UGAGUUAUUCAACUGAAAAUGUCGGCCAAGUUCUUGUGUUAGUUUUAGUAUAUUGUGUAAAAAUGAUACACUAACUUGAAUUUAUAUGCUUUUAUGACUAUUUGAUAAUCAAAUGGGUACAUGACACGAAGAACUUUGAGUUUAAAAAUCUGGCCCUGAUGCCUGGUAGCCCUCCAACCUAUGAAGCACUAGACGUUUUAAUGAGAAAACGACAAGACCAUUUAUCAAAUUUCUUGUGGAUAUAAAUACAUACACAUAGACGAGACCAACCUCCUCAAAGGAGAAUCAGAGUGAUUACAAGACCUUGUGAUGGUUGUCGAAACCAGUAAAAAUAAAUAUCUACUCUAAAUAAAUUGUGUAUAGUGAUUGAGCAGGAUCGUGUCCAUAAAGAUCGGUAAUUAUUUAAAUCCUUUUUAAAAUGUAAAUUGCAAAAUGGGGAGAUUGUUGACAAUAAAAAAAAAUCAAAUUAAAAUAACAAGAAUGCAAAUUAAAAUUGUAAUUCAAAUUGGAAAAAGUUCUGGUUGAAGGAAUUAACUCAGCUUGAUUCGACUACUGAUCAUUGAUUCAAAUAUAAAUUAUUACUACUUAUGAAUAAAUCGGUUAUAGCUACUGAGACCCUCUAAUAGCCAAUCUCUCUUUAACUAAUCGAUAACCAAGGUACGACCGUUGGUUAUUUCCCUAAUCAAUAGACAACCCUAGAUACGAUCAAAGGAUUUAAUCAAUUGACAGCCUAAAAAACCAGAGAGACCCAAAUCCUAAUCAACAAACGCAUACGAUGGUUCAUUUAAAUUAGAUUGUUUAUUCUCAUAACACAACUCACUGCUAUGUUAUUUGUCACAAAUAUUAAAAUCUUCAUACGAUGAAUCCUUUAAUUGACAAUAGAUUAAGUUGAUAAUUAAAUAGUGGCCAAUUAUCUAAUUAACAAACAUAAUCAUGACAAUAAUUCAGAGAAUAAACAAAUACCCAAAAAGUAAUAAAAUAAUUAAAGCAUAAGAAAGAUCUCACAGUAGUUAUGAAUCAAAGCUUCAUUAACUUUCAACCAGAAUAAUAGGUUUAGUUCUUCAUAGAGAGAAGAGAAAAGUUUAGAUCUAGGGUUUCUUUCUUUUAAAAAAUCUCCUUUUUUCACAAUAGAUUCCUCCCUUAAAUACUCUCUCUCUUCUCCUUUAGAGUUCUAUUUAAAAUAAAAUACUAAUAUAUGAAAUAUUAAAUUUGUAAUUACAAAAAUAAACAAAAAUACAAAACACGUUAAACUAAAAACUGUAGGUCCGUAGUUGACAGCACGCACCCACGCCUUAUCAACAAAGUUCUUCUGACACUCAUAAUUUCUCUAAGAGAACAAUCAUCCUUAAACAUCAUAUUGUAGCUCAAUUUUAUCACCAAUCAAUAGAAUUGCACCUACAAAAGUAAAACACAAGUAAAUCACUAUUAUUAAGUGCAAAACAUCGAUAUUAAGGGAAGUAAACAAUGCAAAACUAGUGCAUAAAUUGCACUCUAACAUAUACUCACUGUGACGAGUUGCACCAGAGUUUUUGCUGUGGAGGAUGUUACCAUGUGUAACAAUUUCUUGCAACCGAAAGCUACAAGUUUUGUUAGGUUCCGAAAAGAUACCGAUGAUGAUGGCAAUAGAAUUAACAGACUUUGACAAUGAUAUACUUUUAGAAUUUCAAGAUACUGAAAAAUGGGGCCAAGUUUGGAGUCUUGUUUGCACAGCUGCUUCAGAUGAUAGUGCCGGUUCAGCUCUAAUGUUUUUAUCAUUGCCAACUUCCCCACAUGUUUCUCUAAGCAUCCUUCCUCCGAAAAUACCUCUUCGUUGAAUGAAAAACAAACCAGUAAGAGUUUUUCAAGAUUGUGAAAUCUCUCCAGUACGUUCCAGAUUGGAAAACAAGCUGAGUCAUCUGCAGCAAUCUCUAGUUCUCUAAGACUGCCAAAAAGGUGUUGUGGGAAAUCGGCCUGCAAAAUCAUCUUCACAUCUUUUCCACUUAGUGCUAGUUCCUUCAAGUUGGGUACGAUCUGAUCAUCAUUAAUCAUAAUAACUAAUGAGGUCAAUUGAUGAUCUACGGUCACACGCAGUAACUUUAUAGUAUUUAUUUUAUAUUAUAUUUUAAAAAAAAAUGAAUUAUUGAUAAAAUUUAUUUUGUAUGUUAAUUUUACAGGUAAAAAAAGAAAUUAGGGAAAAAUAGUUGAUUUAUAUUGGCUCAAAAUUAUUUUAUUGCACAAUAAUAAAUUACUAAUUUAUUUUGCAAGUUCUUCUAUAUGGAAAGACUGAGGAUUCUUUUAUAAAUGCUAUACCUAAAAAAGUUCAUAUAAUUAUGAAUCUACCAUAUUGAUCCCUUAGUCUAGACUAGCAAAGAUUAUUGUAUAAUAAAAGUUUUUAAUUUAUUGAGUAUUAAAUGAUUUUUUAUAUGUUAAUUUUAGAGGUAAAAAAGAAAUUAGGGAAAAAAGGUUGAUUUCUACUGACUCGAAAUUAUUUUAUUGCACAAUAAUAAAUUACUAAUUUAUUUUGUAAAUUCUUCUAUAUGGAAAGGCUCAAGAUUCUUUUACAAAUGCUAUACCUAAAAAAGUUUAUAUAAUUAUUAAUCUACCACAUUGAUCCCUUAGUCUAGACUAGCAAAGAUUAUUGUCUAAUAAAAGUUUUCAAUUUAUUGAGCAUUAAUUUAUCGAUACUUUGUCAUAUUUUUCAAAGUUAAAAAUAAGCUAUAGAUAAAAAAUCUAGAAAAUGGCUUCAUACCUUUUCCAAUGGCAAUAGGGGCUGUUGUGCAGGAAUACCAAGUUGAUCAUUCCCAUUAUUCUGCGAUAAAUCUGCAGCGAAUAUCUUUAAUUUGUCACAACCAUGCACUAAAAGAAUUUCUAGUGCGGGCCAUUCCGAAGUAUGCAUUCCAGGGUACAAACAUCUAAGUUUUGGUAGAUCUUGGAGCUUCAGAGUGGUGAGCUGUGGAAAGACAAAAUAAGGGAUCAUUUGAUCUGCUCUGUUUUCAGAAAUGAUCUCCUGUAAAUUCUCACAGAAGUAUAUAUCCAGGUGUUGGAGCUGCUUAAGGCUUUCGAUCAUAGACGCUGAAAAUAUGUAUUUUAAUUUAUGACAACGCUGCACAAUCAAUCGUGUUAAAUUUUGAAAGCGAGGAAACAUGACCGGAAGAUGAUUGUAGUGCCAAAUCUUGUCGACAUUAAUUUCAGAUAUCUCCAAAGCCUCCAAGUUAGGCAACGCAACCUAAAAAAAGAAGAAUUUCUCGUUAGAUCCAAUAUCCAUAUGGGAAGUACUUGUUGAAAUUUUCUUCUUUGAUUACAAAUUAAUGCAAGUCAGAAUCAAUUUCAUACUACUUGUUAAGAGCUCAAUUAGUGAGCGCGUGAGAUUCUUUUUAUCCUUUUUUCCAUUUUCUUUCAAUUCUUUAAAUGAUUUAAUUAUUUUCCACGUAUAACAUCAAAACAGAACGCAUGAUAGAAUAAAAUGUGUUAUACAUUAAAGAAAAUGUUAGCCUACGCACCUUCUCGUUGAAAAGCAGAGUUGAAAUAUCCAAAGUGAUUUCGCUGGAGCUAUACAUAGUCGUCGAUUCCUCUUGCGACACUUGUCUGUUCGGUGAUGCUGAAGGAGUCUUCACCUCAUUGCGGCAAAAACUUGUAACCUCUGGAAGAUUCCCCAGACUCAAAGAUCUUAAUUGAGCAAACUCUAUCUUCUCAAUUGCAUUAUCAACUUCUUCCCCAAUUGCAAAAAUCUCUUUCAUCUUGCUGCAAUUAAUAACUGCAAUUCUCUCAAGUCUUGGAAGGCAUUUUGUAGUGGAGAGCCAAAAGAUAUUGCUCAACUUAUUACAACUAUAAGCUUCUAUGGUUUUGAGUUUGUUGAAAGACUCUACUUUGAGCCGAUCAAUACAUAUCCUCUCCAUGUUGAUCAAAUUGCGAAUGGUAAGUGACUCCAAAAGAGGAAAGGCAUCACAAGCGACCAUCUCCCUUGAAUCGACGAUACAAAAGAUGUCAGGAUUAUUUUGAACCAAGAGAAGCUUCAAUUGUGAAAAGCCAUCCGUGUCCAAAUUGAAAAGAACAUUCUCGAUGCCUUGCAGCUUGUCCAACCAUAAGUAUUCAACGUUAUUGAUGCCCUGCAAUUUCAUGGAGAAAAUGUCCAUAAAAUCAAGCUUGAGCUUCAAUGCUCUUAAACUCUUGCGAUCACGGUUGAUUGAAAAGUGCGGCCGACUUUGGAACCAUUUAUGUCUAGCAUACUUGUUGGGAGGCAUGAAUGACCCAUUUCCAAUAGAUAUUUUGAACCUUUCGAGCUUUCUGGCCAAAAAGCGUUCUGGUAAAAUACUAUCAUUUUUAACGUCAAUUUCUAGAGUGGUUAGCCUAGGUAAAUGCAUCAAUUCGUCGAGGCUAGCAUUACUUCUUUUGCUGUUGGCUCUUUCAACCUCCCAUUCAAUGAAGCAAUUACCCAUAUACAGCUCUUCUAAUCGACUUAAGCUUGAUAUGAGAUUGGGCGCAAUAACUUUUAGAUCGAAACAAUUGGUUAAAUCUAACAAUCUCAACUUAUUCAAUUGACCUAGUUCUUCUGGCAACUUCAUAAUAUCAGACAUCAAAAAGCUAAGGACUUCUAGAUUCUUCAACUUCCCAAUGAUUGCUAUGUCGCCCAACGCACUUUGAUCCAGACAUAGUGUGUGAAGAUAUGCUAGAAGAUCAAUUGAAGAUGGAAAAGAAGAAAACUGCAUUCGAGUAAAAUCUAGAACUCUAAGCUUUUUCAUCCCUACCAAAAAGUUCUCAGGAAUAUUGAUUUCAAGAGAAAAAUCUUUGAGAGAGAUAUAUAAAAAUUCAAGGUUUGGGCAUUCUAAUCGUCAGGAAAUCACGAUUACUAUUAUUUAUAAAGAAGAUAGCAUGCAGUUUCGAAGUGGCAUCUCAUCUGGCCAGUCCCACACAUCUCAUUUCUCACCGAAAACACAUGUUGGUGGCGGCAUGCAAUUGAUAUUGCGACAUCGCGAACAACAUCAUGCAUUGAAAAUUCUUCAUUGCUGUCACCCUCAAGCAACAAACAAGAGUCUCUAAGUUCAUGGACCGAUGCAUAUAAUUUGUCUCGUGCAUCUUCCAUCUUAUUGACUCCUUGAAAUAUACCCAAACCCAUGGAGUACUUAAACAAGUCCAAAGUAAGGAUACUGUUACCCAUUAGACUGCAGAGCUGAAAAAUGUUCUUGAGUUGCUCACCUUUUAAAUGGUUGAAACUCAGCUCAAUACUUGAAUAAGUCUCUGCAGACACUCCUUCGAAGUUUACCAUUGAAGGCGUUAGGAGUUCUCGCAAGGAAUUCUUCCAUUCAUGCAGACUCUUGCUUCUCAGUGCCUUUGCCACUGUAAUCAAGGCAAUGGGCAAACCUCCACAUGCCCUGGCGACGUCUAUUGCUGUAGAUUUCAACUCACGAUUUUCAACAUCAUCACCGGCCAUCAUCUUAAACAAUCUCCAGGCUUCUUCUUCAUUUAAAUUGUUAAUCAAGAAGUUGUCUUUAGAUCCCAUUUUUAAGAGGACACUACGAUCUCUUGCUGUCAGCAGUAGUUUGCAUCCUUUAUGAUCUUCUCCAAAAGGAAUUCCCACUGUCUCCAAAUCAAGGUGUUUCCAGAUGUUAUCUAAAACCACAAGGAUCUUCUUCUGAUUUCUCAAUCGCUCAAAUAGUCUACUUGCUCUUCUAGAUUCAACUUCCUCGUGCAACUCCAGGCCCAACUUCUCGGCAAUUUCCUGUUGAAUCUUUUUUAUGUCUGGAGUUUGCGAAACCUCUGAAAAGACCACCAUAUCAAAGAGCUUGUCUUCCAUAGCUUGCCUGGCGACCUUCUUCACCAGUGUCGUCUUUCCAAUGCCGCCCAUGCCGUACACCCCAACGACACUAACAUUAACAUCGAUCAAUGCUUUUUUUAUAGCCUCCAAAGAAGAAAGUCUUGACUCGAAGGCCUCGUAGCCUUUGUGAGACUUGAGCCAUAUCUCCUCCGGAAUGGUACGGUAGGAAAUUCUAUCAUCAAAUCUUGCAGCUUCUUCUCGGAUUUUGACGAGUGCCUUCACCUCUGCCUCUGCUUUCUUGCUAAGCUGAUAGCGAGUAAUCCAAUUAGGAAACAGCCCCAUGAGACAUCGUUCAUUUGCUUUCUCUUCGUCUUGAAUGAAUUUGGCUGCCUGCUCAAUGCUCUUGUUCGCAUUAACCAGCCAUUUCUCAACCUUCUCUUCAAUCUUUUCACUUUUUCUUUCAGCCUCAGAAACUCUGCGCUGAAUGCUUUCUCUUUCAUCCUUGAGCCUAUCGAGUUCUGCCUUGAGAUUCUCAAAGUUGGCAUCGGAGUUAUACCAGUAACUAAAUUCGCGUUGUGCGUGAGGAGACAAGCAGUUUACAACUGGAACAAUGCUUUUCAAAAUGUCCAUUUGUUUUUUUUUUUUGGGGGGGUGGGGGGUGAGUGAACGAAAUAGAAAUAGAACAGGGUCAACGACCGCGCAAUUAAUAAUCAAGUAGAAGCAAAACAAGGCAAAAUGGAGAAAAGAAAUUAUAUUUGUACAAAACAAGGGGAAAAUCAGUGUAACAGAAGAGAAUCAAAGUGUUUUUGAGAUCAGAAAAUUGAAUCAAGAAAAGGGUUGCUUGAUCCAAUGAAAAUGCAAAGAGGGAACAAACAUAAAUAAGAAAACGGCUAGCAGGAGCAGUGACCACGAUAAACAGAAGCAAAGUGUGUAUGAGAUCAAAAGAAGAAAAUCAGGAGAGGUUUUCUUGACUGAGAAUUGAAGGCAAAGAGUAGGAGCUGACGAAUACGGGGAUCAAGAGGGAAAAACUGCUUAAUAACAUUACGAUUGUCAUAAAACAUGUGAUCCUCAUCCAAUAUCCAUUAUUUGUGAUCCUUAAUCAAUAAAAUAUCUAACAAUAUCGAACAGUCGAUAUCCAACACAUGCACGAAGAUUCCAAGAAGUUGCGUGGCUGCCGACUUUUAAAUGCUAAGCCUGAUUGUGUCGAUGAUACACAAAAGAGAGCAGUCGGGGUAAUUGCCAAAACUUAGAACUAAACAGUAGCUUAGUCAGAAAAUCAAACGCCAGUACCGGUAAAAUGACCGAUAAAAAUAUAAAGAAAUAAAACUUUUAAAGUUUUACUUCAUUGCUUUUUUAAUGUUAUUACUAUUUCUCCUAGCACUUCUAAAGAAACCAAAGCUUUAAAAGAAAUCGGCCAAAGAAAUAAAGUUUUACUUCAUUGCAUUUUUAAUCUUAUUACUAUUUCUCCUUGCUCUUCUAAAGAAACCAAAGCUUUAAAAGAAUCAGCCAAAUCACCAAGAUUGAAGAGUAAAUCUAUUGUUUUAGAUUUUUAUUUUUAUUUUUUUAGAUAAUAGAUAUUAUUUUGAUGAAUUUUUUAAUAUUGGAAUAAUGUUAGGAAUUCCAAUAGAUGAAUUCUAACUUGACACCCAAUUGUUAUGUGUCAUUUUUUUAUUGGAUAAUGAAUUUCAUAACUAGUAAAAUUAAUAUUUUGAUCAUCUAAUAAAUAACUACUAUAUCAGUUGGGACUCAAUCAUUGGGAUGCUUAACAUUGCUCUUAGUAUUGUAUUGGACAUCUUAGUUAAAUCAGAUUAAAAAUCAAAUUAGAUUUUAGGCUUUAUUCAACAUCUCCUUUUCUUUAUUUUUUUUUCUUUUUUAGGUCUAUUUGAAGUGAACGAAUUAAAAAUACGACAAGGUCAACGAUUGGGCAAUUGAUAGUCAAGUAGAAGCAAAUGAAGGCUAAAUGGGAAAGAGAAAUUAUAUUUGUACAAAACACGGAGAAAAUCAGUGUAACAGAAGAGAAUCAAAGUGCUUUUGAGAUCAGAAAUUGAAACAAGAAAAGGGUCGCUUGAUCCAAUGAAAAUGCAAAGAGCUGAUGGCAAAAGGGAACAAAGUUAAAUAAGAAAACAGCUACCACUAGCAGCGACCACAAUAAACGAGAAAUUGGAGAUGGAUCUACAAUAUUUCUGCCUUUCUUUAUGCUUUAACAAAUAUUGCUCUAUCGAAAAAAAUAUUGUGGGUUUUUAUUAUUGGAGUCACAAAAGACCAACACAAUAUAGCAAGUGACUAGGAAUAAGAAUAUAUAACUCUCUCUCUAUUUCUCACUCUAGCUUUUAAUUGUCACUCAAAACCCAGACAGCGUAAGGAAAUAAGAGAUGACAGCGUCUGGUUGUCAUACGUGCCUUUUGGUUUCUGGAUGACAUGGCGUACACUUCUUUUGCAAACCAACACGACAUGUCGUACUCUUUGUUUUGAGAUCAUAUUUCAAACUCUUGAUGUUACGAAUGAAAGAUAAACUACAAUCAUCAAAAUAUUUAGUGUUUGUUUGGUAAUGUAAAGUCAUAGUUGUUGUGAAUUGAAAUUAUUUCUGUAAAAUAAAAGGAUUUGGGUCAUUGUUCGUUAUUUUUUGGCAAUAUUGCCUGGCUGUGACUAUUUAUUAAAUAUUAAAAAAAUAAAUUUAUAUUUAUUAAGUAUCAAAAAUAAAUAAACAACAAAAAUAAACGGAAAAAUUAUACAUUACGUAAAAUAAUAAGGACAAUAUCAAUAUUUCACACUCUAUAAUUGAGUGAUGUGUUAUCCAAUUGCAACACAUUUGUCCCAAACGGAGUCUUAAAUAUCAAAGUUAUUGCGAUGAUGACUUAUAAUCACCAAACUUGACAUACGGGUAAUCAUGCAUUAUAAGGUGUUGAUUUCUUACUAUCGGAACCUUAUAUUUCAUUUACAAAUAAAUAAAUGAUGUGACUUAACUGGUGGCGGGUCCUUUGUGCCAUUUGCGCAUUCCACUGAAUAGUUGAUUGUAGCAGAAACAUUCCUGGAGUUGCCAUUUGCCAAUGCUACUGACAUUUUCAAACUCGGAAAACCCUCCAAUCAAUCUUUUAGUGGUAGGCUUGGUAGCUUGGCUUGAUUAUGACAUAUGAUUAUUUGAUAAUAAAGUUAGAGGAUGUAUUAAUAUAAAAAUUAUUUAUCGGUGUUGAAAUUAUCUCAUUAAUAAUAGUAUGAAAAGUUAAUUCUUAAGAAAUACAUAAUAGUAGUUAAUUGGUGUAAUAUUAUUGAGAUUCUGGAAAUAAUUUUAUAUCAUAACUUUGUAGGUGUAUAAAUAUUACUCAUUAAAUUAAUAUAAUUAUUUUAAAAAAAUCAGUUGGAAAAAAUAAAUUAUAUUAUUUUUACUUCAAAUAAUCUUUAAAUUAACUCAAAAUAUAAUCAAGCUCAGAAUUAAAAAUUUAAACUAAUGCUACUAUAUCAGAGGAUUUUCUUUUUUUCUCCACUGAAUAGUUGAUUGUCGCAGAAACAUUCCUGGAGUUGCCAUUUGCCAAUGCUACUGACAUUUUCAAACUCGGAAAACCCACCCUCCAAUCAAUCUUUUAGUGGUAGGCUUGGUAGCUUGGCUUGAUUAUGACAUAUGAUUAUUUGAUAAUAAAGUUAGAGGAUGUAUUAAUAUAAAAAUUAUUUAUCGGUGUUGAAAUUAUCUCAUUAAUAAUAGUAUGAAAAGUUAAUUAUUAAGAAAUACAUAAUAGUAGUUAAUUGGUGUAAUAUUAUUGAGAUUCUGGAAAUAAUUUUAUAUCAUAACUUUGUAGGUGUAUAAUUACUCAUUAAAUUAAUAUAAUUAUUUAAAAAAAUUCAGUUGGAAAAAAUAAAUUAUAUUAUUUUUACUUCAAAUAAUCUUUAAAUUAACUCAAAAUAUAAUCAAGCUCAGAAUUAAAAAUUUAAACUAAUGCUACUAUAUCAGAGGAUUUUCUUUUUUUCUCCGAAGUUUCACUAGGAAAUUAUUGAUGUAUAGCUUUGUUGAGAAUUGAGAUCAUUUCAGUUCAGAAGACAAAUAAUUGAAAGACUAAACUAAAUAGACCGGCGAACAAAUUUGUACAUGAAAGUUAAAAAAUUAAGGUCAUGAGUUGGUAUUGCGGUUCUGUCUUGAGCAACUUUGCUGUCAUUGUUUAUUAUUUUUUGGUAAUAUUGCCUGGCGGUGACUGUUUAGUAAAUAUUAAGAAAUAAAUUUAUAUUUAUUAAGUAUAAAAAAUAAAUAAACAAACAAAAACACAAGGAAAAAUUUAUACUUUACGUAAAAUAAUAAGGACAAUAUCAAUACUUCACACUAUAAUUGAGUGAUGUGUGGCAUCUUAAUUGCCCAACUGCCACACAUUGGUUCCAAACGGAGACUUAAAUAUCAGAAAAAUUCCAAGUUAUUGCGAUGAUGACUUACAAUUGCCAAACUUGACAUAUGGGUAAUCAUGCAUUUCUUAUGAUCAUAACCUUAUUUUUCAUUCACAAAUAAAUAAAUGAUGUGACUUAACGGUUGACGGGGUCCUUUGUGCCAUUUUGGCAUUUCACUGAAUGGUUGAUUGUCGCAGGAAGAUUCCUGAAAGUUGCCAUUUUCCAAUGCUACUAACAUUUUCAAACUUGGAAAACCCUUUAAUCAAUCUCUUAGUAGUAGGCUGUGGUAGCUUGGUUUGAUUAUGAUUUAUAAUCAUUUGAUAAUAAAGCUAGAGGAUGUAUUAAGAUAAAAUUUAUUUAUUGGUGUUGAAGUUAAUUAUCUCAUUAAUAAUAGUAUAAAAGGUUAAUUAUUAAGAAACACAUAGCUGUAGUUAAUUGGUGUCAUAUUAUUGGAAUUCUGGGAUAUAAUUUUAUAUAAUAACUUUGUGAGUAUAUAAUUACUCAUUAAAUUAACAAACUUAUUUUAAAAUAUUUAGUUGGAAAAAAUAAAUUACAUUCUUUUUAUUUCAAAUAAUCUAUAAAUUAACUCAAAACAUAAUCAAGUUGAGAAUUAAAAUAAUGCUACUGUAUGAGAGGAUUUUUAUUUUUUCCCGAAGUUUCACUCGGAAAUUAUUGUUAUAUAGCUUUAUAUGCGAUCAUCCUCAGUUCAAACGACAAAUAAAUGAAAGACUAAGCUAAAUAGACCAGCCAACAACUUUGUAAAAUAGAGUUCGAAAAUUAAAUUAAGGUCAUGGUAGUGUUAUGUCUUGAAAAGUACAACGUAGUACUAAAAUAAAAACUAUUAGUCUUUGGUAAGAUAAUGACAUUUAAAUAAUAAUUUUCACAAAAAUACAAAGAAUAUUUAUAAAGUACUUCUAUAGUGAGGAGGCCCUCACUUUGUGAAAGUGAAAAUGUCGAUAAUAUACAAAAGCCAUAUAUUUUAACACAUUAAAAAUUGUAUUUUUUAUCUAUUGGUGUAUUAAAAUAUGUGUUACUUAGUUUGUUAGUGAUAUCAUCACUUUGUUAAAAUGAGGAUAUCGUCGCUAGAGAAUCAUUAUAUAUACAUAUCUAUAAAGUGCUUCUCUCCAAGACCUAGACUUUAUUAGAAUUUAAGAAAGCAAAUAUAUUUUAAAUGGUAUAAUAGUGUAAUAACAUCACACUAUUAUAUCAUAUAGAGUAAAAGUUUUUCGAACUUUAAUAAAGUUCAAGAUUAUAGAAUGAAUGAUUUAUAUAUAUAUAUUAUACAUUUUUUAUCAUAAAGUGGAGGACAAAAUUAACAUAUUUUUCAAAUUAUAAUAAGUAUUUAUCAAUAAUUUAACAUCAUAAUUUCUCCUAACUAGUAUAGUAAAUACAACCUAGGAGGUACAUUCAAAGCAUUUCAUAGGUUAGUUGUUCGCUCCAAAUUCAAUCACAGACAAGGAGCCUUUUUUGAGAAUAUUAAGCAUCAUCUUCAAAUGAAUUUUCAUGGCAAAGGUUUCAGGUCCAAAUUGUUGUUCCAGAUUAGUCCAAAGCUCAUGUGAGGUUUGAGAGUUUACCACAAGACUAAGGAUCUCGAUACUGAUGGAUGACAUUAACCAGCUCAACAACAAUUGAUCCUUUCUCUUCCAUGAAGUGAAUGCUAGAUUGAUCUGUGCUUUAGCUGUUGAAUCUUCAAUUUCAGUAAAAAGAAACUGAUUAGGACAUAGUUUUGAUCCAUCAAGUAGAUCUUCUAGUCCAUUGGCACGGACUUAAGACAAGAUUUGUAAUUUUCAGAUCAUUUAAUUCGACCGAUCCAGUUUGAUUGGUGAAGUGAAAGUAAACGAGGAAACAAAGAAGUUUGUAUUCUGAUUUGAGCUUGACGAAGCCAUUAGAAUUGAUAACUCAGGCUCUGAUACCAAGUUAAAGAUUCUAAUAUGUUUGGUAAGUAAGAAAAUGAGAGAAAAUGAAAGAAAGAACAGAGAUCAUCUAAGAGCUGGAUUUGAUGAAUAAACUUGAAUCAUACAUUCUUUAGCUGAUUACAAAUGUAUUUAUGCAAAAUUCCUGAACAUUUCAGAUUGUAUAUGCUUGACCUAAGCACCUGAGAGUUGAGCAGUGUGGACUGACAAACUGAUCACAAAAUAAGUAACUUAUGCCAGCUCAGCUAACACGUCAGUAACUCUAACUAUCUUGCUUAACAAACUGAAACAAUAACUAACCAUUUUAACUAUCUUAACAAUGCCAAUAAUUUCUUCAUUUGCGUAUUUCUUGAAUCAUAAUCAAAUGGGUAAAUUUUUCAACUAUUCUUUUAGAUAUUUUCACUUUGGGCUAUAAGGCCGGGGAAGUACGGGGGUCUGAGUUACUCAACUGAAAAUGUCGGCCAAGUUCUUGCCAUCUCAGGUGCAAAACUGAUACUUGUGUUCCCCAUUUAUACUUAUUACGAAACUGAUACUCGUUCCUCUUAACUUGUUUUCUCAUGCAUCAACUGUUGAGAAAAUGUGCUCUUUAAAAGCAUAUGUGUUUAUUUAAUUGUAAUGAAAAAAUGUGCUCUUUAAAACCAUAUGUGUUUAUUUAAUUGUAAUAAAUAUUUUUUCUGAUUAAUAAAAUAUAUGAGGUAUUUUAUUCAAGUAUAUUAAUUGCAUUGAUAUUUUGAGUAAAGUCCAUUUAAUCAUAUUAUAUGUAUUUAUGUGAUCACUAUGUGGAUUCACAAAAGACAUAAAUACAAGUUAUCUUAUGAUUAAAUAAAUUAUGUUCGCAGUUGAUAAAUAAAGUUGGACACUUUAUUUAGGUAUAGACUGUAAUAAAUUCAUUGAAUGAUUUGUCUUAAUCAUGUAUGAAUUUAUUGAUGUAGUGCGAUUACAUUGAAUAGGAUCACAUAUGAGAUUUAAUUAACUUUGUAAUAACUGUCAGACUUAUUAAAUCUCAUAGGCAUUGAUUUUACUGUAAUCUUAAUCUUGAGUUAGUUAUGAUUCCAUUAUUGUAAUUGUUAUUUCAUUUGAGUUACCAAUGGGCAUGACACAUACUUGUAUUCAAGAUUACCAGGUAUCUUGGUGAGAGCAAUUAUGAGUAUUGGAGUUAUAGAUUAACAAUAUAGAAUUUGUACAAUACAUCUCUUGAUGGGUUUUCGGUACUUGAUCAUAGAAUUCUCUGGCCAGAUUGUGUCGACAUAUUUAAUAUGUUGAAAAUGAUCAUUAGAGAAAAACCAGUAAGUAUCAAGGAACAAGAUGUAAUUAAAUUGAUUGGACAGUUGAGAUAUCGAUUUAAUUAAUGAUGUGGUACAAAUGAUUGAGCAGUCAAGAAAUCAUUGUGGUUUGGGACGAAUUAUUAUUCGAACAUACAAUUAGUGUGCGACCAGCAUUGGCCAGCGACAUGCGCUGCAUGCGCAGCGAGCUGCGCAGUCGAGUUUGGUUUGCUUUCGGUGAGGCGGCAGUGGUUAGCUCGGCAUCGGAGAUUGGUGGCAACUUUGAACAGCGGUUGAAGUUUGCGUUGAUGGCGGCUGGAGAAGAAGGGGAGAGAAAUAUAUGGAUUUAAGGCUUUAAUGGUUUUUAUCGUUGAGGUCUCUACGGUUUUACAAUUUUUCUUUCGGUCAGAUAAGGUUUAAUUUUUGCAUUUAAGUCCAACAACAGUUUUGGGCUUAAUGAAUCAUAAUUUUAGGCCCAAUUGAAAUUGGGUUUAAUGGAUUAAAAUGCAUAGAUAAAAUUGAAUAAAUUAAAUUUAUUUUUGGUCCAAACGUUUUAUUUAAAAAAGUUUAUUUAUUUAUUUAUUUCCUUUCAAAAUUAAAAUUGGACCAAUAAUAAAUUUAAAAGCCCAACUUCCUCUAGUCCAUUAACAAAGACAAGCCUAUGGAAGAUGGACAUUGACAAGAAGCCCAAUGAAGAUUAGGCUUAGGGUUAAUGUAUUUUUUUUAAUUUUAGGAAAGCCAUGAAUUCAGAUUAUUUAAUUAUUUUUCUAUAUGUUAUAUUUUGGAUGAUAACAUGCCAUGAUAACACGUCAUAUAGAAUAGGUAGUGCCACUCUAUGCAUAAUGAUACAUGAUGUUCAUUAAUUAUGAAUCUCAUUAUAUUGUUUGAAAAUUGAAUAUGCUUAAUAAUAUUGAAUAUCAUCUAGAUAAUAUUAUAGGAAGCAUGCAAUUAAAAAUAUUAUUUAUGUAUGUUUUAAAAAAAAACCAAUUUUUAAAUAUUGAGUGGGAGAGGGAAAAUUCAAGAUAAUUUUUCCCACGGGCUCCAUUGUUAGUUCAAUAAUAAAAUUAUAUAUAUACCUCGACUUCAUGAUACGGUGAUGCUCCCUUCGAAGGGUAUAUAUAUUAGAUAUUUUAUUUGAUGAACUUCUUCAAAGAUAAAAUUGAAAUAUUUUUCAAUCGAUUGUUCACCCCAACAGUGACUAUUGAUAUGAAAAAUACUUAGAUUGAAACAAUGGUUAUACACUCAACUAAAAUUUGUUAUUAACCUUCCCAACGAAGCUCUGUUAACAAAUUUAGGCCCAAAAGGAUAACAAUAAUUAUUUAUCAUGUCUCUACAUGAAAGUAAAUAAUCCAAUGGAUAAUUGGGUCUAGUAAGUGUAGACAUGACUUCCCCAACGGAUAGCUUGUCAAAGCGGUCCUAGAUUAUCGUUACAAUAAAUAAAAAUGCAGUUAUGGUUUUUUGCAUUUUUGUUAUUUAUUGUGAAUAUUAUAUCAAAUUAUUUAUGCAUGGAUGUUUUAUUUUUCAAAAAAAUGUCUUCCCUGAGCUCACUUACUAUUAUUCUGAGUCAAAACAAACUCACUGGAGAGAACUAUAUAGAUUGGAAAAAAAAAUAUAUUCAUUGUCCUGACUGCUGAAAAUUAUAAAUAUGUCUUAACCCAGCCAUGCCCUCUAGUUCCAGUGGAUGAUGCUCAUAGAAAUUAGAGGAGGCUUUAUGAGAAAUGGCAAAAGGCCAAUGAAAUGGCAAAAUGCUACAUUUUAGCCUCGAUUUCUAAUAUUUUGCAGACCAAACAUCAGAACUUGGAGACUUCCACUGAAAUAAUGGAUAGUCUCCAAGAGAUGUUCGGGCGGAAUACUCGCUCCGCGAGACAAGCAGCGCUGAAAGGCAUUAUGAACUGCAAAAUGGGGAAGGGCACAAGAGUUCGUGAUCAUGUCCUCAAAAUAAUGGACUAUUUGAAUGAGGCUGAGAUUCAGGGAGCACAAAUCGAUGAUAACUCAAAGAUUGACAUGGUGCUAGAAUCUCUGCCAAAAAAAUUUAAGGAGUUUAAGGUUAAUUAUAACAUGAACAAAAGAAACAUGACCUUAACUGAAUUGAUGAACGAACUCCAUUCUGCUGAAGAGAUCUAUUGCACUGAGAAAUCUCUAGGAAGCAUAAAGAUUGCUAACAAGGUUCUUCUUCUAGGCCCAAGCCGAAAGGCAAGGGUAAGAAGAAAGCUGGGAAAAAGAAACCGUCUACCAAGCAAGAUGGCAAGCCGAAAGGCAAAUGCUUCAAGUGUGGACAGAAAGGUCACUGGAACAAGGAUUGCCCUAAGAUUGUGAAAUCAGGAAUGAGAAAUCUUUUUGUAAUUGAGGUCUGUUUAGUUCAGAAUCCUAUUGACACUUGGGUGUUGGAUUCAUGAGCAACUAAUCAUAUUUUUAAUUCACUUUAUUGGUUUUAGGAAACUAGGAAAAUAAGUGAAGGAAGCGUCAAGCUGCAGUUAGGGACAAGACAGUUCGUGACAGUAGUGAAGACUGUAUCUAUUUUAUUAUCUUUUAAUAAUGAGAAUUUAGUUUUGAAUAUUUGUCUUUAUGUUCCAGACAUUAAGUGGAAUUUAAUUUCAAUAGCUUGUUUGUCAAAACAAGGGUACACUGUAAAUUUUGGAUCCUUUGUUUUUAUUUUUUAUAAUAAGAGACUUAUUUGUUCUGGAACAUGGGAAGAUAAUUUAUAUCAUUUAAGUCCUAUGAUCCAUUCUAUGCAUGACACAGUGAUCAAUAAUGAUGAGCAUACACAUUUAUCUAAGAAAAGAAAUAUUUCUUCCAACUAAUGUUACCUCUGGCAUUUGCGCUUGGGUCAUAUAAAGCAAAAUAGGAUACAGAGAAUGAUCAAAGAUGGGCUCUUGGGUCUAUUGGAAAAUGAAUCAUUGCCACUUUGUGAAUCCUGUUUAGAAGGGAAAAUGACCAAAAGACCGUUCUCGGCCAAAGGAGUGCAUGCAAUAGUACCACUUGAAUUGGUACAUACAGAUGUAUGUGGACUAAUCAAUAUACAAGCUUGAGGAGGUUAUGAGUAUUUCAUCACUUUCAUUGAUGAUUACUCAAGAUACGGUUAUGUUUAUCUGAUGCGUCACAAGUCUAAAACUCUUGAGAAAUUCAAAGAGUAUAGGGCUGAGACAGAAAAGCAAUUAGGUAAGAACAUAAAGCAACUUCGAUCUGAUCGAGGUGGUGAAUUUCUUUCUGGAGAUUUCAAAGAGUAUCUGGUAAAAAAUGGGAUUAUAUCUUAGUUAACUGCCCCAAGAACACCACAACAAAAUGGGGUAGCAGAAAAGAGAAAUAAAACUCUUUUAGAUAUGGUGAGAUCUUUACUUAGUUAUUUGUCAUUACCAAUCUCUUUUUGGGGACUAGCACUGGAAACUGCAGUUUACCUCUUGAACUUAGUUCCAUCUAAGUCAGUGCCUAAAACUGCAAUAGAAUUAUGGUAAGGUCACAAACCAAGUUUACGACAUGUCCAUAUUUGGGGAUCACCAACACAUGUGCUGAAACCAAAAGCAGAAAAAAUGGAUUCACGUUUUGAGGUUUGUAUGUUUGUGGGGUAUCUCAAAGGAACAAUAAGAGGUUUAUUUUAUAGUCCUUAAUAUAGAAAAGUGAUUGUGAGCACACAUUUCACUUCCCUCGAGGAAGACUAUAUGAAUAACUUCAAACCUAAGAGUAAGGUAAUACUUGAAGUACUGUCAGGUGAUCAGGUCUUUCAACACCUGUUAUAGAACAAGAAGAAGAACAACAACUAGCUGAUCAACACAGGAUUAUCCCUAAACAACCAUCACUUUUAGAACCUCGUCGUAGUGGGAGGGUAAGUAGGUUACCUGCGAGAUACAUGUUAUUGGGAGAAACUUAUACGACUAUCUCAGAUGAACAUGUACAAGAUCCCACUGGCUACAACGAAGCUCUAAUAAACAGAGAUGUUGAAUUCUGGAAAAAGGCCAUAAAUCAAGAAAUGGAAUCUAUGUAUUCCAAUAAAGUCUGGGAACUUGUAGAGGCACCAAAUGAGGUAAAACCUAUAGGGUGCAAGUGGAUCUAUAAGAGAAAAAGGGGAGUAGACGGAAGGGUGGAAACAUUCAAAGUAAGAUUAGUAGCCAAAGGUUUUACUCAGAAAGAGGGAAUCGAUUAUGAGGAAACAUUUUCUCCGAUUGCUAUGCUUAAAUCCAUUAGGAUUCUACUCCCUAUUGCUGCAGUACUAGAUUAUGAAAUUUGGCAAAUGGAUGUUAAGAUUGCCUUUCUUAACGGGCAUCUUGAAGAAGACAUCUACAUGCAGCAACUAGAUGGAUUCAUACAAAAAGGCCAAGAACACAUGGUAUACAAGUUGCAGAGAUCUAUUUAUGGAUUGAAGCAAGCAUCCCGGUCAUGGAACGCCAGAUUUGAUCAAGCGAUUAAAUCGUUUGGAUUCAUUCAGAACAUUGAUGAACCAUGUGUGUACAAGAAAAUUCAGGAAAAAUCUGUAGCCUUCCUAAUUCUUUAUGUAGAGGAUAUUCUCCUAAUUGGAAACGAUAUAGGAGUAUUGACUACAAUAAAAAGUUGGUUAGCAAAAUAAUUUGAUAUGAAAGACCUGGUAGAGGCAAGUUAUAUUCUUGGUAUCAAGUUACUAUGAGACAGGAAGAUUAAAACUUUAGCCUUGUCUCAAGCGGUCUUUAUCGAUAAAAUAUUGGCUAGAUUUAGCAUGGAAAAUUCCAAGACUGGUUUAUUACCAUUCAGACAUGAAAUUACAUUCUCUAAGGAUCAAUCAGCUAAAACAUAUGAAGAGAUAGAGAAAAUGAGACGAGUUCCGUGUGCAGAAGUUGUGGGAAGUCUCAUGUAUGCCGUGCUUUGCACUAGACCAGACAUCUGUUUUGCGGUAGGGAUGGUUAGCAAAUAUCAAUGUAAUCCUAGACCUGAACACUUGACUGCGGUCAAGCAUAUAAUAAAGUAUCUGAAAAGAACUAAAAAUUAUAUGCUUGUGUAUUCUGGUGAUGAACUCAUUCCAGUGAGUUAUACAGAUUCUGACUUUCUGUUAGAUAAGGAUUUCAGAAAAUCAACUUCUGGCUAUGUGUUUACAUUAGGAAGUGGAGCUAUUAGUUGGAGGAGUGUGAAACAAUCUUGUAUCGCAGACUCCACAACUGAAGCUGAAUAUGUGGCUGCAUCUGAAGCUGUAUGGCUCCACAAGUUCCUAUAAGAUCUUGAGGUGGUACCUGCUGUAACUGCACCCCUUAAACUAUUUUAUGAUAAUAGUGGUGUGGUAGCUCAAUCUAAGGAACCACAAGAAACAAAAACAUAUUGAGAGGAAGUAUCAUCUCAUAAGGGAUAUAGUGCAGAGAGGUGAUGUGGAGGUUACUCAGAUUGCGUCACAGCAAAACUUGGCAGAUCCUUUUACUAAGGCCAUACCUGGGAAACCUUUUAACUUGCACUUAGAAUCCAUGAGCAUGCGUGAGAUGCCAAAUAUGCUUUGAGAGUUAGUGGGAGAUUGUUGGGAAAAUGUGCUCUUUAAAAGCAUAUGUGUUAAUUUAAUUGUAAUAAAUAAUUUUUCUAAUUAAUAAAAUAUAUGAGGUAUUUUAUUCAAGUAUUUUAAUUGCAUUGAUAUUUUGAGUAAAGUCCAUUCAAUCCUAUUAUAUGUAUUUAUGUGAUCACUAUGUGGAUUCACAAAAGACAUAAAUACAAGUUAUCUUAUGAUUAAAUAAAUUAUGUUCGCAGUUGAUAAAUAAAGUUGGGCACUUUAUUUAGGUAUAGACUGUAAUAAAUUCAUUGAAUGAUUUGUCUUAAUCAUGUAUGAAUUUAUUGAUGUAGUGCGACUACAUUGAAUAGGUUUGGGACUACAUUGAUGUAGUCAAGAUUACCAGGUAUCUUGGUGAGAGCAAUUAUGAGUAUUGGAGUUAUAGAUUAACAAUAUAGAAUUUGUACAACACAUCUCUUGAUGGGUUUUCGGUACUUGAUCAUAGAAUUCUCUGGCCAGAUUAUGUCGACAUAUUUAAUAUGUUGAAAAUGAUCAUUAGAGAAAACCAGUAAGUAUCAAGGAAUAAGAUGUAAUUAAAUUGAUUGGACAGUUGAGAUAUCGAUUUAAUUAAUGAUGUGGUACAAAUGAUUGAGCAGUCAAGAAAUCAUUGUGGUUUGGGACGAAUUAUUAUUCGAACAUACAAUUAUGGAGGUUAGUUCCAAUCUUAUAGUGGGGUAGAGUUGGAAUUAAAUGAUUAGGCUUAUUUAACUACAAGCUUAAUUGUUGUAGCCACUAUUGUAUGUUCCAAAAUGAUCCCCGGGUUAGCUCAUUUAAUUGACUGCACCACUACUGGAUUAAUAAGCAAGAUAACUAGCUAUUUGGGUCAAAAGGCUAAAUAUAUCAUUUAGUGGGAGGCUCCAUUUAAUAUGCUUGUGUGUAAGGGACCUUAUGUUAUUUUACAAGGUGGACCCCCUAUAGAAAAAGCAAGUACCGUGGCUUUUGGUUUUUAUUAUUUGGAGCUAAGGAUUUUCACUAAAUGGAAAUAUAAAAAGGCUUAUUUUCUCUAAAGAAAAGAGAUAGAGCCACAUUAUACAGACCAAGAGAAAAAUAAUUUCUCUCUAAUUUUGAGAAAAAAUUUCUCCUGCUAGUUGCUUUUAGUGGUGAUAAAGGUGCCCACACGUUAAGUGCAGAUCAAACUUGAGUUAUAGCCUGGAAGGUUAUUUGAUGGCGGAUCGUGAUCUAAAAGGAGUGGUGGUGACGGAUCGUGAUCUGGGAGCCUAAAUCACUUCAGCGGAAAAAGCAAAAAUUGUUCAUCUUCUCGGAUUGUCAAGGUAUGAUUUUCUAGAUUAUGAAUUCCUAUAUAUUUUAUGAGAUUGGUCCUAAAAGUUUUUUAAAAAAAAUUUAAAAAACUGAUUUUUCCCCAACAUCAACCCCACAAAACUGCUUAUUGAUUGUCCUCAUUUUGAACUUACUAUAGGAUUCACCCUCCUUGUUUUACAACUUACUUUAUACCCUUACGUUGAGAGGAAGAUCAGGCCAAUAAUCAUAACACGCAUUGCAGGGGUAAAAUUUCGAACACACCAUGUGGCAUUUAGACCAUUUGAUAGUUUGUUUCAUACAUAUUUGUUUAUAAAAUACUUUUCUUCAUGGAUUUGGUGACGUAAUUUUCUAUGUAUGUACAGGUUUUAUCGAUACGUCUUUUGACAAGUUACACUUACAUAGCAAUGUUAUCUGUGUUCAGCCUUGCCUUAUUGAUACCUUAUUGAUAAACUGUGCUUCUGUGAUGAAGAAUGUUUUCUCUGUCAGUGGAUAUCCUAAUCAUUGAUCCAUAUACUUAGGUUAUAUUACCCAUUAGGAAGUAUGUAUAAAAAUUAUUUUAUAUCUUCUUUAUUAGAAAUGUUGUAAUUCUUUAUUACUUUUCCUGAAUUAUAACAUCAGAUGUCUAUAAUAACUGGAUUAUUCCUUCUGCAAAACAGAGCAGUGGUAAAUAUUUUUUUUCUUUUGUUUGUUUAGCACAUUUCCAUGAUUUCAGCUUUUUCAAAUUUUGUAUGUGUCAAAGUUUAAAUUUAAUUUGUUGGUUUAUCGUACAAUAACAGGAACAGCAUCAAAGAGGAGCUGCCAAUGGACUUGCUAUGACUGUAGUGUCGCUUACCAAAACUGCCGGUCCAGCUGUAGGAGGUGCUCUGUGAGUGUCCUAUUGAUUUUGUAAAAUUAUAUGUAAAUAAUGUUAUAAUUGUUUUUUCAUUAAUUGGGGUUCUGGCAGAUUUUCUUGGUCACAAAAGCGUCAAGAUGCUGGUUUCCUCCCAGGUAUGAUGAUUUACUGAUGAAAUUUCUGACGAGUUUGUGAAUUACUUUGUCCUAAUUAGCUUAGUUAGCUGCUUAAACUAAAGUGCAGGUAACCAGAUGAUUUUUUUCAUUCUGAAUUUGGUCGAGGCACUAGGAGUAAUAUUGACAUUCAAACCAUUUCUAACUCAACGUGUCCCGUGAGUAGAGAAAAGAUGCAUCUGUUGAAAUAUUCAAAUAUAUGUCAAGCAAAUUAAAGCUUUCAAAAUCUAUCAACAAUUUGAUUAUUUGAUGUGGUUUUCCACUUGCCGUAUUUUGUUUUGCUGUUCUAAAGGCUUAAAUAUGAAAAUGGUGGUUGGCGCUCACACCAAUCGAUUGCUGUUAACAUUGUUCAGUACUUUUCUCUGUCGACAUUUAUACUUGUUCAUUGUCAGAACUACGACAAUUUAUCUUUACAAUGAUGCAAGCUAGAAAGAAUUUUUCAUGUUAAGUAAAAUAUUGAAGCCACAAAGAGUCUGAAUUAAGUACUAAGUUUUCUGCCAUGCUUUCAACGGCAGCACAUUUGUAGCUCUUAUUCCAGGGGCUCCACAGUAGAGAGACCUGAUUUCGACCUUCUUCAGAACUUGGGGAUUCCGUAAUAACAGAGGACAACAGUUAUAUAAGAAUAUUAUUUUGUACAAUUUUCGUAUAACCUGACCAAUGCAAGUAUAAUUUUAUGAUCUUAACUCAUAUCAAAAGACCUUCAAUGAUGUAAAAUUUGCACAUAAAGAUGAGAACCAAACAUUAGAACUUAUGAUGAAACGGAAACAAAAACAUUGAGAUUGAAAAGAUAGAGAAACACAAGCUUUUUAAAAGGAAUAAAUGUUCAUUUAGUCUCUAUAUUUUGACUUAAGAGCGCAUUUAGUUCUUAUAUUUUAAAAAGUGCCUCAACCUCGAGUAGGGCUGGCAAAAAUCCCCACGGCGACGGGUACCCUUGGGGAUUUUCCCUAUUCGGGGAGGGUAUGGGGAUAAUUUCAUACCCAAUUUCUUAUUCAGGGAAGGAACGGGGAAAUUUUUUUACCCAAUUUCUUAUUUGGGGAGGGGACGGGGAUGAGGUGGAAUCCCCAUCCCCUACCCAUUUCCCCAUUUUAAUUUUUUAUUUUAUUUUUAUUUUUUAAAAUUACUAGUAAAUAAAUUAUAAAAUUUGAAUUAUAAAAUUAUAAAUAUUGGUAAAAAUAACAAAUAUCAAAAUAUUUAUAUUAUUAAACUUUUAGGCCUAAUUAACAAAUUAAAGUCCUAAAUUUUUAUUUAGGACAUUAAAAAGACCGGAUAUAUUCUAUUAGCCCAAAAAUUUUGUUUUAAUUUUAAUAUUCAUUAAAUAUUUUAAACUUAAAUCUAUUUAUUUAUUUAUUUUUAGAUGUUAUAAUUGCCCACAGCAAAUCACAAUUUUAAUAUCUAAUCUAAUCUAAUAUUUGCUCUUGAUUUGCUCGGACUUAACUAUUGUGCUGUAAAGGGAAUAGUCCACAUUUAUAAAGUGCCCACGCCACCAUUGAAAAAGUUAAUUUUGAAUCUAAAUUCGAUUUUAUCUGUAACAAUUUUGUAUUAGACUAUUAAUUUAUUCAUGAUAGUUUGUAUCCCUUGCAUGCUGCGUUACUUACUAAUUUAAUGUAUGUGACUUUUGUAAUAGAUAUUAAUGUAAGAUAUAUUUCGAACUUUACUUUUAUUUGAAUUUUUUUUAUUUUAAUAUGAUUAACUCAAAAUCGAAAAUAAAAAAAUGUAUUAGUUAUUCGGGGAUCGGGGAUCCUCUGUUAUUAUUCGGGGAGGGGAUGAGGAUUCUCUCAAGUAAUUCUGACGGGGACGGAGAGGGGAUGAGGACAUACGCAAAAUAUCGGGGAUGGGUACGGGGAGAUUGGUCCCCUCCCCUCCCCUCCCCUCCCCAUUGCCAUCCCUAACCUCAAGACACCCCUACUGUGUUGGAAUAAUAUUUUUGGGAAUAUCAAUGAAAAGAAAAAAAUGGUAAUUCAUCUAGCCAGCCUUAAACAAAAUAAAUAUUAAUAAAAACUUUUAUGUUAUUAUUUUAGUUUUAGGACUAAUUUCGUAAAUUAAAUUUUUUAUGCAUUUAUUAGUAAGAUUGCUUUAAGAAUAUUAAACAUUACUUUAAGAUGGCUGUUAUUAAUUUAUUUAUAAAGAAUUAUUAGCAAGAUUGUUGUAAAAGUACAAAAAAUACUGGUUAUUUCAUAUUGAUAUUUAUUGAUUAAUUUUCCAAUUAACUUUUUUAUAAAUAAAUAAAUUAAUUUAAGAAUAUUAUUGCCAAGAUAUUAUUGUAAAAGUAAAUAAAAUUUAAGGAAAAAUGUAACGUAUUUAAUAUCAAGGUAUAUUGAGGUAUUUUUUAAAAUAUAAAAACUAAACGAGCAUUGAAGUUAAAAUAUAGGUACCAGACGAGCAUUUUCUCUUUUAGAAAGUUUUAUAUUUUAUUAAUGAAAGUCUGAAUAACAAAAUUAAGGUUUUGGACUUCUUUUAAACUAAACUUAAAUAUCACAAAUUUACCAAAAUAAGUAAACCUAACAUAUUACUACAUAAUAACAUUCUCCUAACUGAAAUAAGAUAAAUGUUACUCAAAUUCUAUAUCUAGAAAAAAAAAGAUAAAAAUCCUGAAAACAAUAGGAAAAUAGAUCUUAAACUUGUAAAAUAAUAUGAAAUAAAUAUAAUUUUCAAUCGAACCACGAGACUAAUGCGGUGCUACAGUAUUAGAUUAGAUUCCCCUCGUCGCGAACUUCGAAAUGUAUAUUAUACACCCUAAAUAGAUACUUAUAGCUCAAGUUGUUACCCUAGAGAGAUACUCCACUCAUCCUACGCAACCAUCCGCUGCAUCAAAUUCGUUCCAAAAUUAAGAAUAAACCAGCUGAUGCAUUCCAAAUAAUUUAGAUGAAACGAUAAAAUAAACCUAGAGAUCAAAUAACAUGAAAUGAAAAAGAUAAUUACCUUGGACUGAAGCUCAUACAAAUUCAUUAUUUGACACCUGCAGCAAUUGUUGAAAUAAUAGUUAAUGAAAUAUAAAAUAAGACAAGUACAUAUUAAUGAAACACCACUGUGAAUCGAUAGCUAAGGACGGAGUAAAAUUUAAUUGUAAAUUAGGACAGUAGAGCAAGCAUCCAUAAACAUAACAUGAACGUAAUACAUCAAUUGAAAUAUCAUAGGAUAAAUUAGGACGUCAGAGAAAGAAAUAAGUAAAUAAAUCAGCAAAGGAAACAUGCAUAAACAAAUAAAAAAACAAAGACAAAAUAAGGAAGAGUUUGUGAUAAUUUUCUUCUAUGGUCAUUGAAGUCCAAAAACUAAUAAGGAUCGAGCAAUUGAACGGUUGCAAACUCAAUGGAACCUUAAAAAUGAACAGUGAAGGAAAAUGAAGAAAUCUGCAGGAAAUAAGGCGAUUGAGAGUGAAGAAUUAAUUACCACUGAGUAAAUGCGAAUGAAGAAUGGAGACAGAUCCUUCUUCGCCCCAUUGAAAAGUGAGAUUCAUAGAUUGUAUUGAAAUUGAGAGUUGAGAUCAAGAAGCGAUUCUUCUUCUCCGUAAUUUCCUUUUUCUUUUAAUGUUGUUAUUAUUAUUAUAUCUUUUUUGAUAUCUUUUUUGUUUUAAACGGUAUUGGCAUAUUCUAUUUAUUUAUGUUAAUUUUACAAUACCUCCCUUCAGAUUGCACAAAUUACAUAAAAAAAAAAAAAAGUGCUUUAUGUAUAAAACUUUCAAACAAAUUGGGCCAAAAUCUAACUUUACCAAGUUUAGAGUAAUUUUGGGCUCGACAUUCCAUUUCCGACAAACGAAUUUUCUUUAUCACCAAGGUAUGAUACUUUUCAUAUUUAUCCAACGGCUCGUCAAUGACAAUACCUUUGUAAAAAGUACUUAUUUUGAAUAGUAUAUUGUGGAAAUGUCUGGUCGGUAAUACAACUAUUUCUUAUAGUGUAAAAAUGAUACACUAAGCGUUCACAUUUUGAUGAGUAAAUUAAGGAUUUCAAGAUGAAGUACAUAAUUAGAUUAAUGCUAAGAAACUGAAGUUUGAUCGAUUGAAAAUGAAAAUAAUAAUGAAGGUAAUUAAGAAAAUGAACAAUAUAUGCAGAAGCGGUCCUUAUUAGGACUUCUAGAUUUUCUCUUGGGCUUUCCUUAUUAUUGUUAAAAAAUGAAACGAAGAACUUUGAGUUUAAAAAUCUGGCCCUGAUGCCUGGUAGCCCUCCAACAUAUGAAGCACCAGAUGUUUUGAUGAGAAAAUGACAAGACCAUUUAUCAAAUUUCUUGUGGAUAUAAAUACAUACACAUAGACGAGACCAACCUCCUCAAAUGAGAAUCAGAGUGAUUAAAAGACCUUGCAAUGAGACAAUGAUACACCAUCAAAUGUCAAAAUACAAUAGAAAUUCACGACAUAUAUAUAAUAAAAGACCUCUCAUUGAGUCAUAUAUAUUGAGAAAAAAAAAUGUUAUAAUACAUACACAGAGCUUAGUUAGAAUAAAAUGUCUUUGAACUUGCGAUGAUCAAACAAAGGAAACAGACAGGUUGUAACUCACACUAUCACAAGAAGAUCACGAAGAUGGAAAUGGGAACCCAUCAGAAUGGAAACUUUGAAUAGAGGAAAAAAGAAAAACGACCUUAUUCACAGAAGAAGAGUGACUUAAAUCUUCAUCAGUAUCCAGACAUUUUGCAAUCAUAGAGUAGAGAAAUUUUAACAGGAACAGCAGAGAAAAUAUUAUGAAUAUGCUAUAGACCAAUAUACUUGUUCAUAGCUGACGUUUGAUGGUUUAAGGAUUUGUUCUAGGAAUAAUGGGCUGAUUACUUUCUUUUUAUUUUUUUAUUUUUUAAUCCAAUGAAUGAUAUUCAGCUGUUAAUUAUGUGUUCAUAGGGAAGAACAUUUUCUAAGUACUUUCCUUGCCUUCUAACUUUCCGAAAAGCAAACCCAAUGAACAAACAGAGGACAAACUAAAAUAAAAGAACAGCAAUGAUGACAAUAAAUAAUUGGCAAAGAAAAAAAAGGAAAAAGUAUGCACGUUUUCAAGGAAUUAUAAAAUAUGAAGGCUUUUAAUGAAACUUAAUCAUAAAAAGUAUGCAAGGAAUUAUAAAAUUUUAGAAAACAAGGGGAGCUCUCAAAAAAAAAUGAAAAACUCAAAUUAAACUAGACUAAAAGACAUUCAAUUUUGCAAAAUCUGUCCAUAAAAGUCUGAAAGGAUCAUUAAAAUUGCAUUGCAAAUUUAACAGUAAACCGAGGGACCCAUUCUAAAUAAUUCAGAUGAAAUUGCGAAACAAGACAUGGGAUUAAAUAAAUGAAAUAAAAAUUAAUUACCAGUUGAGACUUUCUUCUAAAAAUUCGCAACUCCAAGUCAUAAGAAGCCUAUGAAAUUAGUCGUACUGCGUAGAGUAUGACGAUGACACCGCCAACAGUUGAAAGUAAAAUUCUUAUUCAUCAAUUUAAACUUACUUUAUAACAAAUAUCUUAUCUAUAUUGUAUUUAAGAAAUCAAAUUUUGUAAAAAUUUAUCAUGGGAGAUAGAGAGUAAUAUGUAUAUACGUACCUUCUCAGCAUGUAAUUGUUGUAUGGUUGUGUUUAGAUCAUUAUUAGCCCAGCGCCGUUGAUCCGCUGUCUCUCCAUAGCAGACGUUUACUCUUAGAGGCGUGAUUGAUUCUCCUGUAGUGAAAAUCUUCAUCUUGGGACAACCAAUCACCCACAAAUUUUGCAAAGAUGGCAAUUUGACGGUGUAAUUGGCAGAGCAGAAACAAUCUCUUCUUUUUCAACUCCAUCUUUGUCAUUUAUUACCACCUCUGUCAUUGCUCUGCAUCCAUAUAUUUCUAUUGCUACGAGUCGCACCAGAGUUUUUGCUGUGGAGGAUGUUACCAUGUGUAACAAUUUCUUGCAACCGAAAGCCACCACAGCUGUUAGGUUCUGAAAAGAUACCGAUGAUGAUGGCAAUAGAAUUAACAGACUUUGACAAUGAUAUGCUUUUAGAAUUUCAAGAUACUGAAAAAUGGGGCCAAGUUUGGAGUCUUGUUUGCACAGCUGCUUCAGAUGAUAGUGCCAGCGCAGCUCUAAUGUUUUUAUCAUUGCCAACUUUCCCGCAUGUUUCUCUAAGCUUCCUUCCUCCGAAAAUACCUCUUCGUGGAAUGAAAAUUGAAACAGUGAGAGCAUUUCAAGAUUGUGAAAUCUCUCAAGUACAUUCCAGAUUGGAAAACAAGCUGAGUUAUCUUCGGCAAUCUCUAGUUGUUUAAGACUGCCAAAAAGGUGUUGUGGGAAAUCGGCCUGCAAAAUCAUCUUCACGUCUUUUCCAUUCAAUGAUAGGUCCUUCAAGUUGGGUAAGAUCUGAUCAUCAUAAAUCAUAAUAACUAAUGAGGUCAAUUGAUGUUCUCUCAAAUGAUUUUGAGUAAUCCAAUCACAAGCAGUGACUUUAUAGUAUCUGUUUUAUAUUAAUUUUACCCCCCAAAAAAAAUUGAAUUAGUGAUAAAAUUCAUUAUAUGAUUUUUUUAUAUGUUAAUUUUAGAGGUAAAAAAGAAAUUAGGGAAAAAGAGUUGAUUUAUAUUUGCAUGAAAAUAUUUUAUUUCACAACAAUAAAUUAUUAAUUUAUUUUGUAAGUCGUUGUAUAAAGAAAAACUAAGGAUUCUUUACCUAAAAAAGUCCAUAUAAUUAUUAAUCUCCCACAUUGAUCCCUUAGUCAUGACUAGCAAAGAUUUUUAUGUAAUAAAAAUUUUCAAUUUAUUAAGUAUCAAUUUAUAAAUGUUUUGUUACAUUUUUCAAAGUCAAAAAUCGUCAAUGAGCUAUUGAAAAAAAUAUCUAGAAUAUGACUUCAUACCUUUUCCAACGGCAAUAAGGGCUGUUGUGCAGGAAUAUCAAGUUGAUUAUUCUCUUUAUUCUGCGAUAAAUCUGCAGCGAAUAUCUUUAAUUUGUCACAACGACACACUGCAAAAUUUUCUAGUGCUGGCCAUUCCGAAGUAUGCAUUCCUGGGUAUAAACAUCUAAGUUUUGGUAGACCUUGGAGAAUCAGAACGGUGAGCUGUGGAAAGACAAAAUAAGGGAUCACUUCAUCUGCUCUGUUUUCAGAAACGAUCUCCUGUAAAUCCUCACAGAAGCGUAUAUCUAAGUGCUGGAGCUGCUUGAGGUUUCCGAUCAUAGACGCUGAAAAUAUGAUUUAAUUAUUUUCCACGUAUGACAUCAAAAGAGAACGCAUGAUAGAAUAAAAUCUGUUAUAUAUAUAUAUAUAUAUAUGAAGAAAAUGUUAGCCUACUGUUGCGGACAGCCCAAUUCGCUAGCCCAAUUGCCCACAAUUUCGGGCUAGAGAGCCAACACAAGGCCAAGAGUGCUAGCUUGGCCCAAUUCCGGAAGGUUCUAGGCAACUCUAGCACAUGUGAACAUGUAAAUAUUCUAGAAUACUUUAUACAAUUCCAGCACAUGUAGAAUUCUCCAUAGAAUUCCAGCACAUGUAAAUAGCUAGGAAAUGGUAGAAUUCUCUAGAAUCUCUAGAGCUUGGCAAGCCUCCCCUAUAAAUAUGGGAUGACAUUAGGCAUUUGUAUCCAACAAGCAUUGUAAGCAACUCAAGCAUUGUAUUAUCUCUUUGUGCAAUACAAGUUUUCUUCUAUUGGCUCAAUUGCUCUCUCUCUCUUCUCUAGUUCGAGAAGCUCUAGGCUUACUUAGCAACAUUCGGCAAAGUUGUCUAAGUGCCGCACGGGUUAGCUGCGCAAAACACUCAUCCCGUGACAAGUGGUAUCAGAGUUAAGGUUUGCACGCACGCAAAUUAGCUCACGAGCAAUGGCCAACCCUUCGAAUCCAGCACAAGAGGGUGUUGUUGGUGUGGAUGUUCCACCGGAACCAAGCCGCGGCCGAGAGGGAGAACGCGCCCAAGGCAAGACUCGCGGCAAGUCCAAGGUCCCAUCCGUGGAUGCGUUGGAGCCUUGUGUGACUACUCUCGAAAUCGCAUUGUCCGCCGCUCAAGAUAGCCUCGAAGGAUUGGAGGAAAGAGUGGAUGGUCUCGAGGGGGAAUACGUCGAGUUCACGGUGGCCACAAAAGCUCUCAUCCAAGAGCAAGCGAACACUCUCAGAGGUGAGUUUCGUUCUUUCCAUGAUGAGUUGCUAAAACUUCGUAGUUUUGUUCAGGACGAACUACGCAAUGUCCGUGCGGAAGUGGAUGAAGUCCGCUCGGAUUGGGCAUGGCACAAGCGCACACUCUCCUCAAGUCCAGCUUCCGCAAACUCGAGUGAUGCGCGCUGCAUUGACGUGCCAAAGCCCGACACUUACGAUGGCACACGCAACGCCACAAUCGUGGACAAUUUUCUCUUUGGGCUUGAUCAAUACUUCGAUGCCAUGGGUGUCCGAGACGAGGCAUCGAAAGUGGGCACUGCACCCACCUAUCUUAGAGGCACUGCACAACUAUGGUGGCGUCACAAGCAUGGCGAGAUGGGCAAGGGCAUUUGCACCAUCGACACUUGGGCCGACUUCAAGCAAGAACUCCGAAAGCAGUUCGCCCCAAGCAAUGCGGAGAAGGAAGCGCGAGCGCGCUUACGUCGCCUCAAGCAAUCGAGUAGCAUUCAGGACUACAUCAACGAGUUCACUACCCUUAUGUUGGAGAUAAGCGACAUGUCCGACAAGGAUUCACUCUUCUACUUCCAAGAUGGCCUCAAGGAUUGGGCCAAGACCGAGCUUGAUAGGCGUGGUGUUCAAACACUUGACGACGCCAUUGCCGUUGCGGAGUCACUCACCGAGUACUCUACCCAAUCCAAGGACAAAAAGGCCAACCAAGGCAAAGGUGGGGGAGAGAGUCGCAAGGACAAGGGCAACAACCGCAAAGAUUGGGGGCAGAAAAAGCCGCCUAGCAACAAGAGCGGGCAAGGAAAAUCGGAGGGCAAGAAGGAAGUGCCAAAGCCGCGAAGCCCAUGCUUCAUAUGCAAUGGUCCUCAUUGGGUACGCGACUGUCCGGAGAAAAGGUCACUCAACGCUCUUGCUGCCCAACUCAAGAGCAACCCCACAAUGUCCGCGGAGGAACCCCAACUCAGCAUGGGUUCUCUCCAACGCCUCGGCGCACUCAAUCGCCAACAGCCCGCACUCGUCAAGAAAGGGCUCAUGUAUGUAAGCGCAAAGGUAAACGGUCAAUCCGUUCACGCGCUGCUAGACACGGGAGCGACGCACAACUUCGUGUCCAUAGACGAGGCCAAGCGCUUAGGCCUCAAGGCCACCAAGGAAGGAGGCACAAUGAAAGCGGUAAACUCACCCGCCAAGCCAAUUGCGGGGAUCGCACAAGGCGUGCACAUCACACUCGGUACGUGGAGCGGAAAGCUUGACUUCUCUAUUGUGCCCAUGGAGACUUCAAGAUGGUCCUCGGCAUGGAAUUCUUCGACCAAGUCCAUGCCUUCCCGCUGCCCGCUACAAACUCCCUAAGUAUCCUCGAUGGGAGCAAAGCAUGCAUGGUACCCACAGAGCGAGGCAAGUCCGAGGAGAAGACACUCUCCGCCAUGCAAUUCAAAAGGGCUUUCAAGAAGGACCCAAGCUUCUUGGUCUCCAUUCGGGAACUAAACGAGGAAGGAAAUAGCGGAACUUCGCCAAGCCAAGUCCCUCCGCGAGUUCAAGCCGUCCUCAAUGAGUACAAGGAUGUGAUGCCUCCAGAACUUCCGAAGAAGCUCCCACCUUGACGAGAGGUAGACCAUGCGAUCGAGCUGGAAUAAGGCGCGAAGCCACCAGCCUUGGAGCCCUAUCGCAUGGCGACCCCCGAAUUAGAGGAGUUGCGGAGACAACUCAAAGACUUGCUGGACGCAGGCUACAUUCGCCCCUCAAAGGCCCCAUUCGGUGCACCGGUCCUCUUCCAAAAGAAAAAGGAUGGAUCGCUACGGAUGUGCAUCGACUAUAGAGCACUCAACAAGAUCACCAUCAAGAACAAGUAUCUGAUUCCCUUGAUCGCGGACUUGUUCGACCAGCUUGGCAAAGCACGGUACUUCACCAAACUUGACUUGCGCUCCGGGUACUACCAAGUGCGCAUUGCCAAGGGAGACGAACCGAAGACAACAUGCACAACAAGGUAUGGGUCUUUCGAAUUCCUUGUAAUGCCUUUUGGCCUUACUAAUGCACCCACCACAUUUUGCACGCUCAUGAACAAGGUACUCCAACCAUUCCUCGAGCGCUUCGUGGUCGUGUACUUGGAUGACAUAGUGGUGUAUAGCACCACGCUCGAGGAUCAUGCCCAACACUUGCGACAAGUCCUCCAAGUACUUCGAGACAAUGAGCUCUUCCUCAAACUAGAGAAGUGCUCGUUUGCCCAACAAGAGGUGGAGUUCCUUGGCCACAAGAUUGCGGGCGGGAAGAUCAUGAUGGAGAAUGCUAAAGUAAAGGCCAUCCUCGAUUGGGAGCCUCCCUCGAAAGUGCCCGAGCUUCGCUCAUUCCUUGGGCUGGUGAACUACUACCGCCGCUUCAUUAAGGGCUAUUAAGCUAAGGCGGCACCCUUGACGGAUAUGCUCAAGAAAAACAGAACGUGGCAUUGGUCCGAAGAGUGCCAACGCGCAUUCGAGGAGUUGAAAAAGGCAAUUUCGGAGGAACCAGUCCUCGCCCUUCCGGACCACACAAAGCCCUUCGAAGUGCAAACGGAUGCCUCGGAUUUCACCAUAGGAGGAGUCCUCAUGCAAGAAGGCCACCCUAUAGCGUUCGAGAGUCGAAACCUAAAUGAUACCGAACGCCGUUACACGAUGCAAGAAAAGGAGAUGACCGCAAUCAUACAUUGCUUACGGGUGUGGCGACAUUACUUGCUUGGCUCGCACUUCACAAUCAUGACGGACAACGUGGCGACAAGCUACUUUCAAACUCAGAAGAAGUUGAGUCCGAAGCAAGCGCGGUGGCAAGAUUUCCUUGCGAAAUUUGAUUAUCGGCUCGAGUACAAACCGGGUAAAGCCAAUGUCGUUGCGGACGCUCUAAGCCGCAAGGCAGAAUUAGCAACACUUAGCAUGAGCCAACUGAAGUCCGACCUUGUCUCACGCAUCAAGGAAGGCCUCCAACAAGAUCAGCUAGCAAAGGAUUUGCUGGAGAAGGUGCUCGAGGGAAAGACAAGGCGAUUUUGGCAAGAAGAAGGCAUCCUCCUCACCAAGGGAGAUCGGCUGUUCGUGCCAAGGUGGGGAAACUUGCGGAAGGAAGUAAUCAAGGAAUGCCACGACUCCAAGUGGGCUGGUCACCCAGGAAUCGAGCGCACCAUCGCACUAGUCCAAGCCUCGUAUUUUUGGCCGCACAUGAGGGACGACAUCGAGGCAUAUGGAUCAUCAACUUCCAGCGGGAUUAUUGGAGCCGCUACCACUAGCAACAAGGCCAUGGGAAAGUGUCUCCAUGGACUUCAUCACAUCGCUGCCUAAGUCCAAAGGUUGCGGAAGCAUCAUGGUCGUUGUCGACCGAUACAGCAAGUACGCCACAUUCAUUGCCGCACCAGUUGAUUGCAAAGCGGACGAGACAACCCGCUUAUUUGUCAAGCACAUUAUGAAGCUUUGGGGAGUUCCGAAGAGCAUUGUGACUGACCGAGACCCUCGGUUCACUGGACGCUUUUGGACGAAGCUCUUCAAGAUGUUGGGGACCGAUCUUAAGUUCUCAAUAAGCUUCCACCCACAAACGGAUGGGCAGACCGAGCGCAUUAAUGGCCUCCUCGAGAUGUACUUGAGGCAUUAUGUGAGCGCUCACCAGCGGGAUUGGGCGAAGCUACUCGACGUCGCCCAAUUUUCUUAUAACUUGCAGCGAAGUGAGGCUACAGGCAAGAGUCCAUUCGAGAUCAUCAUGGGAUUCCAGCCCAUGACCCCCAAUGCCAUAGCCUCGACUUACGGAGGGAAAAGCCCUGCGGCACACAAGCUCGCCCGCGAAUGGCAUGAGGAAGCGGACAUCACGCGAGCCUAUCUCGACAAAGCCGCGAGGAAAAUGAAGAAAUGGGUGGAUACAAGGAGACGGCAUGUUGAGUACAAGGAAGGUGAUCAAGUCAUGAUUAAGCUCCUACCCCAACAAUUCAAGACUUUGCGGAAAGUUCACAAGGGGUUAGUGAGGUGCUACGAGGGACCCUUCCGAGUUGUUCGACGUGUGGGAAACGUCUCGUAUCAACUCCAACUUCCGCCAAGACUCAAGAUCCAUCCGGUCUUCCAUGUGAGCCUUCUCAAGCCAUAUCACGAAGACAUGGGAGAACCAAGUAGCGGAGAAUCGAGGCGCGUGCCAACUGCCGUUGUCACUGCGUUCGACAAAGAUGUGGACUACAUCAUUGCGGACCGCACGGUUUCGAGGAGGGGCGUGCCAGCACAUAGCGAGUACUUGGUGAAGUGGAAAAACCUCCCCGAGAGCGAAGCCACUUGGGAACGUGAAGAUGAUUUGUGGCAAUUCGCUGAGCACAUCCAGAAUUUCAAGCACGAGAGCGCGACGAGGACGCCGCGAGCUUAGGUGGGGGAGGAUGUUGCGGACAGCCCAAUUCGCUAGCCCAAUUGCCCACAAUUUCGGGCUAGAGAGCCAACACAAGGCCAAGAGUGCUAGCUUGGCCCAAUUCCGGAAGGUUCUAGGCAACUCUAGCACAUGUGAACAUGUAAAUAUUCUAGAAUACUUUAUACAAUUCCAGCACAUGUAGAAUUCUCCAUAGAAUUCCAACACAUGUAAAUAGCUAGGAAAUGGUAGAAUUCUCUAGAAUCUCUAGAGCUUGGCAAGCCUCCCCUAUAAAUAUGGGAUGGCAUUAGGCAUUUGUAUCCAACAAGUAUUGUAAGCAACUCAAGCAUUGUAUUCUCUCUUUGUGCAAUACAAGUUUUCUUCUAUUGGCUCAAUUGCUCUCUCUCUCUUCUCUAGUUCGAGAAGCUCUAGGCUUACUUAGCAACAUUCGGCAAAGUUGUCUAAGUGCCGCACGGGUUAGCUGCGCAAAACACUUAUCCCGUGACACUACACACCUUCUCGUUGAAAAGCAGAGUUGAAGUAUCCUCUUGCGAUGAUGGUCUGUUUGGUGAUGCUAAAGGAGUCUUUACUUCACGGCAGAGAUUUAUGAUAUUUUACAAUCAUGUAUUUAGAUUUACUUUAAUUUUAUGUUUAAAGCUUCUACAAUGAAUAGCGUAGCUUGGGCUUUAGUUUCAUUUUCUAAUUAACUUGUUUUAGUUUAUCUUAUAUGCUCGCCAAGUGCUUGUUAUAUUGUCUGAUAAGUUAUAUAACAUUGCUGAUUCUAUAUUAGUAAUGUCAUGUUCCAUUUUCGGAAAUUAUAACACAAAAGUUUUUACAAUGGCUUGCAUCUACAAACUGAAUUGACUUGUAGAGUAAGAGCUUGGAUUAGUGUUAUGUUCUUGAAUAAAUGAAAGUUCAUAUUGUGUAAGAGCAUGUAGAUAUAAAGCAUCACUACCAUUUCUACAAACUGCUUUCAUUCUGUUCAGAUGCUCCUCUUGAACUUUGAAAGGUGCCUCAUUCAAGUCCUAGCUAUAACUACUAGCUCUGAUUGCUUAAGUUCCUGUGCUAGCUGAAACAGAUUUAUUUAAUUAAUUAAUUGUGUAUGUACUAAUUAUAUUGAAAGUAUAUGAAGAAAUUGUUUAACAUGAAUGACUUCUAAAUGACUUAAAAGCCUAAAGGAUAUGUGAAAUAAUGCUCAUUUCACUUGAACGAGCCUAUUAAUACUUGUAUGUCUAUGAUUGUCAAUCUUGCUUAAGUGUUUCAGUUAAGUGGUUUACCUAACAGGGAAAAAAAUUUAAUGGAAAACUUUAGAGUUCUAACAGAAAUAUAGUUGACUGCAGAUAUAGUUAUUUUACGGUACAUAAAUCAUGUUGUCCUAUUCUCAAUGUCCUACGACCUAUUUUAUUUUAUAUGGUCAUUCAUUUUUGCGAUGGUUUUUUGUGCUUAUGAGUAUGGAAAUAGUGGGAUUUAGAGUGGCAAACAAAAAUAUACAUAUAAUCAAGUUUCUUAAUCAUAUAUAUUGGUUUUGGGUAUGAAUGUUUUCCUAUUCUAGUUCUAAGCAAAGUUUCUUCAUUUUGGUCUUCAGAUUUCCAGUAGGUUAAGUUAAGCAACUAUCAUAACUAGCUAGCUAGUUAUUGCCUGCCUUGUCGCCAUUACCGACGCCAUUACAUUGCAUGGCAUAAGGAAUAGUAACUAGGUGAUUAUUGGUGAUUCGUUGAGUUUAUUAUUGGCCAAACAAACAUAUUGGCCUUUACCCACAACUUAGUUUGAUUAGUUAUUAGAUAAUAAAGAGCCUUAAUCUAUGCAUUGCUUUAUUAUUUUUAUUUGGUUUUUCUUUCAACAAUAUUGUUGAUUUCUUAUAAACAGUACUAGUAGUGAAAAAAUGAUGACAACAACAAAAAUAGAAAAUUACAAGACUGCUGAUAAAAUUUCAUUUGCAUGCAUGUCUGACAAAAUUUCCGUGAUUUAAUGUGCUUUCAUGAACGCAAGUCCUAACGUUUCUGUGAUCACAAAAUGAAACUGAAGAUAAAACAGAACAACUACCAAACCUUUCAAGCUUGACGAAGCCAUGAGAAUUGAUAGCUCAGGCUCUGAUACCAAGUAAAAGUUUCUAAUCUGUUUGGUAAGUAAGAAAAUGAGAGAAAAUGAAAGAAAGAACAUAGAUCAUCUAAGAGCUGGAUUUGAUAAGUAAAUAUGAAUCAUCCAUUCAUUAGCUGAUUGCAAAUGUAUUUAUACAAGUGAUGGUUGUCGAAGCCAACAAAAAUAAAUUCCUACUAUAAAUAAAUUGUGUAUAGUGAUUGAGCAGGGUCGUGUCCACAGAGAUCGGUAAUUAUUUAAAUCCUUUUGAAACGUAAAACGUAAAAUGGGGGAAUUGUUGACAAUAAUAAAAAUCAAAUUAAAAUAACAAGAAUACAAAUUAAAGUUGUAAUUCAAAUUGGAGAAAGCUCUGGUUGAAGGAAUUAACUCAGCUUGAUUCGACUACUGAUCAUUGAUUCAAAUAUAGAUUAUUAUUACUUAUGAAUAGACCGGUUAUAGCUACUGAGACCCUCUAAUAGCCAAUCUCUCCUUAACUAGUCGAUAACCAAGGUAUGACCGUUGGUUAUUUCCCUAAUCAAUAGACAACCCUAGAUACGAUCAUAGGAUUUAAUCAAUUGACAACCUGAAAGACCAGAGAGACCCAAAUCCUAAUCAACACAUACGAUGAUUCAUUUAAAUUAGAUUGUUUAUUCUCAUAACACAACUCACUGCUAUGUUAUUCGUCACAAACAUUAAAAGCUUCAUACGAUGAAUCCUUUAAUUAACAAUAGAUUAAGUUGAUAAUUAAAUAGUGGCCAAUUACCUAAUUAACAAACAUAAUCAUGAAAAUAAUUCAGAGAAUAAACAAAUACCCAAAAAGUAAUAAAACAAUUAAAGUAUAAAAUAGAUCUCACAGUAGUGAUGAAUCAAAACUUCAUUAUCCUUCAACCAGAAAAAUAAGUUUAGUUCUUCAUAGAGAGAAGAGAAAAGUUUAGAUCUAGGGUUUCUCUCUUUUUCUCCAAUCCCCAUUUUUCACAAUAGAUUCCUCCCUUAAAUACUCUCUCUCUCUUCUCUUUUAGAAUUCUAUUUAAAAUAAAAUACUAAUAUCUGAAAUAUUAAAUUCGUAAUUACAAAAAUAACCAAAAAUACAAAACACGUUAAACUAAAAACUGCAGGUCCGCAGUUGACAGCACGUGCCCACGCCUUAUCAACAAAGUUCUUCUGACGCUCAUAAUUUCUCCAAGAGAACAAUCAUCCUUAAACAUCAUCUUGUAACUCAAUUUUAUCACCAAUCAAUAGAAUUGCACCUACAAAAGUAAAACACAAGUAAAUCACUAUUAUUAAGUGCAAAACAUCGAUAUUAAGGGAAGUAAACAAUGCAAAACUAGUGCAUAAAUUGCACUCUAACAACAAGGUUCCUGAACAUUUCAGAUUCUAUAUGCUCGAGCUAAGCACCUGAGAGUUGAGCAGUGUGCACUAACAAACUGCUAACAAAAUAACUAACUCAUGCCAGCUCAGCUAACACGUCAGUAACUCUAACUAUCUUGCUUAACAAACUGAAACAAUAACUAACCAUUUUAACUAUCUUAACAAUCCCAAUAAUUUCUCCAUUUGUGUACUUUUUUGAAUCAUAAUCAAAUGGAUAAAUGUUGCAACUAUUUUUUUAGAUAUUUUCACUUUAGGAUGUCAGCCCGAGGAAGUACGGGGGUCUGAGUUAUUCAACUGAAAAUGUCGGCCAAGUUCUUGCCAUCUCAAGUGCAAAACUGAAAAUGUUACUCGUUCUUCUUAACUUGUUUUCUCAUGCAUCAACCCCACAAAACUGCUCAUUGAAGGGGUAAAAUUUUGAACACACCAUGUGGCAUUUAGACCAUUUGAUAGUUUGUUUCAAACAUAUUUGUUUAUAAAAUACUUUUCUUCAUGGAUUUGGUUACGUAAUUGUCUAUGUAUGUACAGGUUUUAUCGAUACCUCUUUUGACAAGUUACAUAGCAAUGUUAUCUGGGUUCAGCCGUGCCUUAUUGAUAAACUGUGCUUCUGUAAUGAAGAAUGUUUUAUCUGUAAGUGGAUAUCCUAAUCGUUGAUCCAUAUCCAUAAGCAAGUAUGUAUAAAAUUAUUUUAUGUCUUUUUUAUUAGAAAUGUUGUAAUUCUUUUUUACUCUUCCUGAAUUAUAACAGCAGGUGUCUAUAAUAACUGGAUUGUUCCUUCUGCAAAACAGAGCAGUGGUAAAUAUUUUUUUCUUUUGUUUGUCUAGUACAUUUCCAUGAUUUCAGCUUUUUCAAAUUUUGUAUGUGUCAAAGUUUAAAUUUAAUUUGUUGGUUUAUGGCAACAACAGGAACAGAAUCAAAGAGGAGCUGCCAAUGGACUGCUAUGACUGUAGAGUCGCUUACCAAAACUGCUGGUUCAGCUGUAGGAGGUGCUAUGUAGGCGUCCUAUUGAUUUUGUAAAAUUAUAUGUAAAUGAUGUCAUAAUUUUUAUUGUCUCCCCCACCCCCUCUCCCCAAAAAAAAAAAUAUUAAAAAAUUAAAAAAUUAAAAACUAAGGCGUGAUUAAAUUGAUCAUUUGUUUGGUAACAACUUGAUUAAUCGGGUUCUGGCAGAUUUUCUUGGUCACAAAAAGCGUCAAGAUGCUGGUUUCCUCCCAGGUAUGAUGAUUUACUAAUGAAAUUUAUCACUAGUAUGUGAAUUACUUGGUGCUAAUUAACUUAAUCAGCUGCUUAAAUUAAAGUGCAGGUAACCUUAUUUUUUUUUCUUUUUACAAUAAUACUCUUGGAAUAAUAUUUCUGGGAAUAUUAAUGAAAAAAUGGUAAUUCAUCCAGCCAGCCUUAAACAAAAUAAAUAUUAAUAAAAACUUUUAUGUUAUUAUUUUAGUUUUAGGACUAAUUUCGUAAAUUAAAUUUUUUUAUGCAUUUAUUAGUAAGAUUGCUUUAAGAAUAUUAAACAUUACUUUAAGUUGGCUGAUAUUAAUUUAUUUAUAAAUAAUAUUAGCAAGAUUGUUGUAAAAGUACAAAAAAUACUAGUUAUUUCAUAUUGAUAUUUAUUGAUUAAUUUGGCAAUUAACUUUUUUAUAAAUAAAUUAAUUAAUUUAAGAAUAUUAUUGCCAAGAAAUUAUUGUAAAAGUAAAUAAAAUUUAAGGAAAAAAUGCAACGUAUUUAAUAUCAAGGUAUAUUGAGGUAUUUUUCAAAAUAUAAAGACUAAACAAGCACUGAAGUUAAAAUACAGAUACCAAAUGAGCAUUUUCUCUCUUAGAAAAUUUUAUAUUUUAUUAAUGAAAGUCUGAAUAACAAAAUUAGGGUUUUGGACUCCUUUUAAACUAAGCCUAAAUAUCACGAAUUUACCAAUAUAGUAAACCUAAAAUAUUACUGCAUAAUAACAUUCUCCUAACUGAAAUAAGAUAAAUGCUACUUAAAUUCUAUAUCUAAAUGAAAAAAAGAUAAAAAUCUUGAAAACAAUAGGAAAAUAGAACUUAAACUUGUAAACUAAUAUGAAAUAAAUAGAAUUCUCAAUCGAACCACGAGGCUACUGUGGUGCUACAGUAUUAGAUUAGAUUUCCCUCAUUGCUAACUUCAAACUGGUAUAUUAUACACCCUAUAUAGGUACUUAUAGCUCAAGUUAUUACCUUAGAGAGAUACCCUACGCAUCCUACACAACCAUCCACUGCAUCAAAGUCGUUCCAAAACAGUAGUUCACAGUUGGUACUGCACAUGAUGCUUGUUUCUCCUUUUGCAUCAACUUUUGUUGUUAACAUUAAUUUCAAUAGCAGCUCGUUAUGUAUGCAACAUUUCAAAAUUAAUCCAAAAAAACAAAAAUUAGUUCAGCUGACUAAAUUUGAAAGCAUGGAUUUGCUGUCGAUUAAAAAUCGUUUUCUAGGGAAAAUUUUUGGAUUGCAAUUCUCAUACAAUACAUAGAAUUAUCAUAAUCUAUAAAUUGUAUUUUUUCUUUUCUACGGUAGUAAGUCAAGAAUCCUUAGUGACAAUUUAAAUUGAAAAAAUAAAAUCAUAAAUAAGAAUUAUUUGAUAAGAAUUAAAAUAAUUGAUAAAUAUUUGAGAGGAACAAUUUUGGAAGACUCGAUCUAAUAGGAGGAGAAUUUGAAUUUUACAACCUUCCGUGAGGAAUCCAAAAUGCACAAUUUGAUGAAAAUUAAAUUUCAAUAGAAAUUGAAUUCCCAUAUAUUAGUGAAAACCAAACAACAGAAAAGUGAAAGGAAUUUGAAUUCAUUUCCUUCCUGUCUCAUCCCUCCAACUAAACACCAUCGAUACCCAAAGGUAUGGGAUUGGGAUUCCAUACUGAUCAGAAUGGGAUUUGUCCAUAUUAUUAGGACCAAUUUUAAAAGCAGUCGGAGUUUAAAAUUGAAAUUAAUCCCAAUUUUUUAUCAAUUUAUGCAUGAAUUUUUGUACGUUUACUUUGGUUUAUUAUUGUUACUUUUAGACAUUUUUAUUGGUUUGAUUUAGGGUCAUUUUGGUAAUCUUGUAAUUUUUAAAAUAGUUACAGUUAGUUAUGCUGUAGAAAUUGAUCAAUCAUGAAGAGAAUCAGCUGAACAUUUAGUAAAAUUUAUUUUUAAAAGUACUUUGUUUUAAAAGCAGUUGUAUGUGUUUCGUAAAUCUUAUUUUUAAACAGGUGCAAGAAUAUAAAUAACUAAAUUGGACAUAAUACUAAAUAAAAUUUAUUUACACAUUUACAAACAUGUAUAUAAAAUAUUUUUAUUAUGUACAUAUAAUUAUUGAUAACUAAAAUAAAUAUUUUAUAUUAUUAAAUUUUAUUCUUUAUUUUGUUAUCUCAAUAUAAUUGGUAAUAAUAAUAAUCUUUUAAAGUUAAUGAUUUUAUUUCUUAAUUAAUAAAGAUAAUUCUGGAUUUUUAUUAUAUAAUGAGGAUAUAUAUAUAUAUAUAUAGAAUUGGAUUAAGUAUAAAAGUGAUUUUCAAAAUCAAAUUUUGAAAAACUAUUCCUUCCAUACUUUUCAAAAUCCACUGUAUGAUGAGAUGAUUUUUCCAAAAAUAAUUACUAAAAAAUUAUAAAACACUAAAAAUUAGGUUUUAGUUUUUAAAAUCACUUUUGAGCUUCCCAAAAACAAUCCUAACGGGCCUUUAUUUGGGUGGUGUUGGAACUUGUAACUUUUGGAUCUUUUAGUUUUUAUUGGUUUGAUACAAGUGUUACACUAAAAAUUGAAUGCAUCUUAAACCCCAAACUUCUUCUUCUUCUUUUUUGAUUGCACAAAAUUAAAAACAAUAGUGAACGCAUUCUUUAAUAAACAAUAAGUAAUUACUAAAAUUGUGUUAAAGAAUUUAGUUGAAACAUAAAUUGAUUUCAAUGUUGUAUAUGCUAAAUUUCUUAAAAAUUUUCUUUCACAGUCUGCGGAAUAGUUUUAUUAGUAUUUUGAAUAAAUAAAAAUAAUUGAUUUAAUUUUUUAAAGAAAUUUAUUAGGUUCAUGUAAAUACGUUUUUGUUAUUUAAAAAGUGUACAAAGUAAAACUUAAUUUUUUAAAUUUAUUAGAUGAAUGGAUAAAAUAAUUGAGUGUUCAUAGUAAAUUUUAAAGUAUAGAUAGUCAGACCCUAAUAUUUUUAAUAAAUGGAAAUUUUUAAAAUAUGUUAAUGAGAAUUAAAAUGAUAAUUAAGGGAGGCAUUCGAGACAUUCAAGAUUGUUAGGAUAGGACAUGAUUGUGAGCGGUUUGAGAUUGGCCCUAAUUUUGAUCACAAAUAUAUAAGCAGGAUGAGUUUAUCCAUACUUACAUUCCAUUUGAUAAUUAAGAUGAGAGUGGAAUUGUCAAAUCCCAAAUUAUCCCGGACCAUUGCCACCAAAGGUACUCUCACUAAUAAUAUCUAAAGAAAAAUCUACAUCUAUUUCAUACUUUUUUUUUUAAACGGAAAGAGCCCUUAUGGGGCUUGAAAUGGUAUCCUAAAUAAUAUUCAGAAUAUCAGGCCAUGACUGGGUUUGUAACAAACAAAUAUUACAUAGUUGGGAUACGUAGUUGCUAGUGUCCCAAUUUAUGUAGUAUCUAUCAUUUAGUGCACAUAUAAAGUGUUUGGGAAAUGAAAUAGGGUGACCAAGAUAAGGUGUUUGCUCAUAUAUUAUCGUGCUCUCCUCAAAGUAAAAAGUGAAAAAAUAGUUGAUAGACUACUAGGAGUUUAUUUGGUCACCUCGACCAGGAUAUUAUUUGAUGAUCUCGAGCACAUCAUCUUGACUAAGAGAUUAUUUGGUCGCCUUGAGUAUAUCACCUCGACCAGGAGAUUAUUUGGUGACCUCGAGUAGAUCAUCUUGACCAGGAGGUUACUAGGAAGCACGACUCAGUCAAAACAAAUCUCACUUAUUUUCUUCGAAAUAUUGGGGACCAUAUUCUUAGUGGGCUGAAAAUUAGUGGUUUUCUUGAGAGUUUAGGUGAGAGGAUAAAAACCGCUAUAAUUUGCUCUAAAAAUCCUGGGAAAGGGGGGGAAAUAGGGAGAUUCUUUUUAUCUCUCUCUCUUUGGGUGACUGAACCCAUGGGAUCUUUUUCUCUCUACCACUGGGAAACUUCUCUUUCUCUCAUGAUUUAUUUUUCUUUAAGAUUGGUUAUUUUUUAUUCUUUUCCCAUAAAUUUACUUAAAAGCUUUUUGUUUAAAGUAUUCAUAAUUAAGCCGCGUGAAUUGUGGUACGGAUUUUUCCAAGUAGACCCAAAUCGCUGACUUGAGCAUCAGAGAAUUUUCUUUAAGAUUGAUUAUUGUUUCCAUAAAUUUGAACCAAGAAGGAUGACGCGAUAAAAUUUGUUUUUAUUGUAUGGUUGAUUUCAUAUCUCAUGCACUCAUUUCUUAAGAUAAUUAGAUUUCAUCUUUUGCAAAUGUGGAAAUAUCAAUUAUGAUCGAUCAAAACAAUCUCAAAACCUUUCAAUGAGACAUAUUUAUAAUACAAUAUUGUGAAAAUUACACCAAAAAUUUAAUUUAUGAUAUAUUAUUGUCCCACCAGCACACAAAAAUGAAUUCGUACAAAUCUAAAAUACUUAGCAAUUUUCAAAUAGAAUUUUAAAUUUAUUUCCAGUUAGAAAACUAUUCGCUGGACUCCGUAUUACUAGCCACCAUGGUAAGCCUAACCGGUUGCCGGCGAAUGGCGUAAAACACCAGCCAUCUUCUUCUUCAUCAUAUUCACCUUUCAUCUUUUGAGUUAAGCCUGUGAUUAUGAGUUUCUUCUCUUACUUAGCUUGUAAUUAUAGAUUUUGAUUCUUUUUAAUUCAUAUUGUAGCCGUUAUUGUCAAUUUUUGUCCCGCCAGCAAUAUUUUUUUAUUCCUACAAGUUGAAAAUGGAUUCAUUUGAAUUACUAUUGAAUUUAGCUUUAAUUUCAAUAUCCAUUCUAAUGUUUUGCUAUUAGAUUUACUUUAAUUUUAUGUUUAAAGCUUCUACAAUGAAUAGCGGAGCUUGGGUUUUAGUGUCAUUUUCUGUAACUUGUUUUAGUUUAUCUUGUACGCUCACCAAGUGCUUGUUAUAUUGUCUGAUAAGUUAUAUACAUUGCUGAUUCUAUAUUAAUAAUGUUAUGUUCUAUUUUCAGAAAUUAUAAUACAAAGUUUUUACAAUGGCGUGCAUCUACAAACUGAAUUGACUUGUAGAAUAAGAGCUUGGAGUAAAUGAAAGUUCAUAUUGUGUAAGAGCAUGUAGAUGUAAAGCGUCAUUACCAUUUCUAUAAAGGACUUUCAUUCUGUUCAGAUGCUCUUCUUGAACAUUGAAAGGUGCCUCGUUCAAGUCCUAGCUAUAACUACUAGCUUUGAUUAAUUAAGUUCCUAUACUAGCUGAAACAGAUUUAUUUAAUUAAUUAAUUGUGUAUGUACUGAUUAUAUUGAAAGUAUAUGAAUUUUUUUUUUUUUUAACAUGAAUGACUUAAAAACCUAAAGAAUAUGUGAAAUAAUGCUCAUUUCACCUGAAUGAGCCUAUUAAUACUUUUAUGUCUAUGAUUGUCAAUAUUGGCUUAAGCAUUUCAGUUAAGUGGUUUACCUAAUAGAGAAAAAAAUUUAAUAGAAAACUUCAGAGUUCUAACAGAAAUAUAGUUCACUAUGCAGAUAUAGUUAUUUUACGGUAUACAAAUCAAGUUGUCCUAAUCUCAAUGUCCUAUGACCGAUUUUAUUUUAUAUAGUCAUUAAUUUUUGCCAUGGUUUUUUGUGUUUAUGAGUUUGAAAUAGUGGGAUUUGGUGUACCUUAUCAUCUUUUGAAAAUUCUCUUUAAGUGUGGCCAACAGAAAUAUACAUAUAAUCAAGUUUCUUAAUCCUGUAUAUUAGUUUUGGGUAUGAAUGUUCCUAUUCUAGUUCUAGGCAAAGCUUCUUUGUUUUGGUCUUCAGAUUUCCAGUAGGUUAAGUUAAUCAACUAUCAUAACUGGCUAGCUAGUUAUUGUCUGCCUUGGCGCCAUUACCCAGGCCAUUAUAUUGCAUAGCAUAAGGAAUAGUGAUUAGGUGAUUAUUAGUGAUUUGUUGAGCUUAUUAUUGACCAAACAAAUGUAUUUGCCUUUGCCCACAACUUAGUUUGAUUAGUUAUUAGACCAUAAAGAGCCUUGAUCUAUUCAUUGGCUUUAUUAUUUUUAUUUGGUUUUUCUUUCAACAAUAUUGUUGAUUUCUUAUAAAAAUAUUCAUUGGUUUUUAAACACCUAAUCAUUGGCUAUAUGAAGCUAAUUAAAACUGAGGCUUUGGAUCAAUUUCUUCUAACAAGAUACAAAUGAGCAAAACCUUUCUCCUCUAAGUAAAUUUUUUUAAUAUCCCUUGAUUUGUAAGGAUCUGGAGGCCUGAAUCCUCUUGAUUUUUUUUAACACUGUCAUUGUUCUUUUUAUUCUGAGAAGGAAAUAAAAGGUUUUAUCUUUCAUACCCGAAUAGUAAGCUGGCCUUGUCUUAACAUGGCCUCCCGAGGACUUGCAAGAUUCAUAGUGCCCCCCACCCCAAAAAAAAAAUCAAAAACACAAAUAGGAAGAUUUUGCAAGAUUCACCACCAGGUUUUUUUUUAAUUUAUUAAUUGUGUGUACGUGCUAGUUAUAUGUUGAAAGAAUAGGAAGAAGUAUUUCAACAUGAAUGACUUAAAACUUAUUGCUCAGUAAAUAUAAUCUGCAUCAGUGCGAAAAUGUAUUUAUCGUUUGUAUUUUUUAUGGUUUUGCUAAAGAAAUGAUAUGUGAAAUAAUGCUACAUUGCAUCAGGAAUAAAUUGAAGAGAUUUAUGAUAUUUAUGUGUUAUUCAAAUUUCAGAUUCAAUUUUAAACUUUUGAUACAUGCAUUGAAAGCUUAGACUUGUUUAAGAAAUUAUUAAUAGACACAUGUUUUAUUAGUUUCAUCUUUGGAUGAUAGUGAGGAUCAUAUGUCUAUUAAUAAUUCUUGAAUUGUCCAGGCUUGGACAGUUUGGGAAUGCAUAGUUCACUCUGGUAGCUAGUAGCUGAAGUUUUUUCCCACGUAAAAAUGGGUUUUUCGGUAGCUGCUCCUCGUGUUCUCUGGGUACGUACUAGGUGAAUGGGUGUCAUGUGUUGUUUUGGCAUAACGCAUAAACACUUAUAUAGCUAUGUCGUGUGCUUGGAGAAUUAUAGGGAGAUGGUGCCGAAAUUUUUAUAAACGUGGAAGAAAACUUUAGGUACUUGAGAUUGAAGAAACUUAUGCAUUCUUGAGUGGGAUAUGUAGGAUUACUUACCUUCUGUAAAUAUGAAGGGAAUGUUGGAUAUAUUGGGGAUAGUGUAGGAGCUGAGUUGGAUGAAUGUAAUUGGUGAUGAUUUUGCUGAGCUGACCUUGGUUUUGAGCUUGUAAUUUUGUUUGUAAAUGGAGUGCUAUCACCAAUGUUGGUUUAUAAAAAUGUUUCAGGACUUGCUGACCUAAUUUUUUGUUUCUAGGUUACAGGCUUUAUAUAUCUGUAAUUGAUAGCCAAGUGAAGUUCUCAGCGCUUGGCGAGGAUAUUUCUUUACAGAAGGUAUUGGAAACUGUUUUUUACAUUAAUUAUCGUUGUUUAUAUACUUUGAUUGUCACAUCUUUUUCUCUGAUUCUUGUGGCUUUGCUUGCUUUCAUAUAUGUAAAUUCUAAUGAAAUUAACCAUAAAAUUGUAAAAUGAUCUUUUUAUUAUAUUGCAAAACUGUGCACACACGAAAAUAUGUUGUUUAGUAGUAGAAAUGAAGAACUAAUUUUUGUAGCGCAUUAAAAGGAGAUAGUCAUGGACAAGUGUUGGGUUGGUUUGCCAAAUAGAUAUCCAAGUCAUAUACUGAUGGCGUUGAAAAAUUUAUAGAUUUUGUAUUUGAGAAUGUUGUUGGUGGUACAAGAAUUUAUUGUCCUUCUUGAUAAGUGUUGUAAUCUAUAUUUCGUUAUAAGGGAAGUGGCUGAUGAUGAUAUGGUUGGAAUGAUACACUGCAUCACGUAAUCAAAUGUUCAAGUUACACGCAGCAUUGUUAUGAACUAUCAGUGGCAACUUGUCUGGGUGGAGUAUUAAAGGUAAAUGAGCAUGUCUUAUUUGCCAACAAAGCACUAGAUCUAAUUGGUUGAUACAGAAUUACAUAGUAGAAAAUUUUGUCACGUGGGUCACCGUCGAUUUUGCCCAACAAAUCAUAGGUUUCGAAAAUAUAGUGUCUUUUGAUAAAACUAGAGAGUAGGGACCAGCACCUUCUCGGUUGUCUGGAACUGAAGUGAAAAAGCAGUUUAAUAUAGUUACUGAGUAUAAGAUUGAAGACUUGAAAAGAGGAGAACGAAUAAAAUGAGAGAAAUGAUAAAAUUACUUGGAAGAAGAACAGCAUUUCUUAAGAUUACUUGGAAGAGAAAUGAUGUGGAAGAUGGCUAUAAAAUAUAAAAGGAAAGGCUUAAAAAGAAAAGCCAUGCCUGUCAAAAACAAAAAACAAUGGCAGCGUCAAAUUUAUAACAAAAAUCAAAACGGUGCGUUUGAGAGUGUAUAAAAUACAUUUAGAGUGGGAGUUGUGUUGUUGCUUGAAGGCAGAAUGUUUGUGAGAUAUUUGUCGACGAAGCCGAAACCAAAGAUGAAGCCCAUCAAAAGUAUUUAUAGUGUAAAAAGUAUAUUGUGGAAAUGUCUGGUCGGUAAUACAACUAUUUCUUAUAGUGUAAAUGAUACACUAAUUUGAAUUUAUAUGCUUUUAUGAUUAUUUUAUUAUCAAGUGGUGAUCAUAUGUGAUGAUAAACUUAGGUAGUACCUUUAUAUUUAUUGCCUUAGUUUUCUAAGCGUUCACAUUUUGAUGAGUAAAUUAAGGAUUUCUAGAUGAAGUACAUAAUUAGAUUAAUGCUAAGGAACUGAAGUUUGAUCAACUGAAAACGAAAAUCAUAAUGAAGGUAAUUAAGAAAAUGAACAAUGCAGAAGCGGUCCUUAUUAGGACUUCUAGAUUUUCUCUUGGGCUUCCUUAUUAUUGUUAAAAAAUGACACGAAUAACUGAGUUUAAAAAUCUGGCCCUGAUGCCUGGUAGCCCUCCAACAUAUGAAGCACUAGAUGUUUUAAUGAGAAAAUGACAAGACCAUUUAUCAAAUUUCUUGUGGAUAUAAAUACAUACACAUAGACGAGACCAACCUCCUCAACUGAGAAUCAGAGUGAUUACAAGACCUUGCAAUGGGACGAUAACACACCAUCAAAUCUCAAAAUACAAUAGAAAUUCAUGACAUAUGUAUAAUAAAAGACCUCUCAUUGAGUCAUAUAUAUUGAGAAUAAAAAUGUUAUAAUACAUACAAAGAGCUUAGCUAGAAUAAAAUGUCUUGGAACUUGCGAUGAUCAAACAAGGGAAACAGACAGGUUGUAACUCACACUAUCACAGAUGUAGCGACACGAUGCAGUGAAUCACAAGAAGAUCACGAAGAUGGAAACGGGAACCCCUCAGAAUGUAAACUUUGAAUAGAGAAAAAAAGAAAAACGACCUUAUUUCAAAUUGUGCACAGAAGAAGAGUGACUUAAAUCUUCAUCAGUAUCCAGGCAUUCUGCAAUCAUAAAGUAGAGAAAUUUUAACAGGAACAACAGAGAAAAUAUUAUGAAUAUGCUAUAGACCAAUAUACUUGUUCAUAUCUAACGUUUGAUGGUCUAAGGAUUUGUUCUAGGAAUAAUGGGAUGAUUACUUUUUUUUUUUUUUUAAUUUUUGUUAAUCCAAUGAAUGAUAUUCAGCUGUUAAUUAUGUGUUCAUAGGGAAGAACAUUUUCUAAGUACUUUCCUUGCCUUCUAACUUUCCGAAAAGCAAACCCAAUGAACAAACAGAGCACAAACUAAAAUAAAAGAACAGCAAUGAUGAGAAUAAAUAACUGGCAAAGAAAUAAUGGAAAAAGUAUGCACGUUUUCAAGGAAUUAUAAAAUACGAAGGCUUUUAAUGAAAUUUUAUCAUAAAAAGUAUGCAAGGAGUUAUAAAAUUUUAGAAGACGAGGGGAGCUCGCAAAAAAAAAAGAAGAAAAAGACUCAAAUUAAACUAGACUAAAAAGACAUUCAAUUAUGCAAAAUCUGUCCAUAAAAGUCUGAAAGGAUCAUUAAAAUUGCAUUGCAAAUUUAACAGUAAACCGAGGGACCCAUUCUAAAUAAUUCAGAUGAAAUUGCGAAACAAGCCAUGGGAUUAAAUAAAUGAAAUAAAAAUUAAUUACCAGUUGAGACUUUCUUCUAAAAAUUCGCAACUCCAAGUCAUAAGAAGACUAUGAAAUUAGUCGUACUGCGUAGAGUAUGACGACGACACCGCCAACAGCUGAAAAUAACAUUCUUAUUCAUCAAUUUAAACUUUUACUUUAUAACAAAUAUCUUAUCGAUAUUUUAUUUAAAAAAAGCAAAUUUUGUAAAAUUUUUCCAUGGGAGAUAGAGAGUAACAUGUAUAUCCGUACCUUCUCAGCAUGUAAUUGUUGUAUGGUCCUGUUAAGAUCAUUAUUAGCCCAACGCCGUUGAUUCGAUGUCGCUCCACACCAGACAUUUACUCUUGGAGGCGUGCUUGAAUCUCCUGUAGUGAAAGUCUUCAUCUUGGGACAACCAAUCACUUCCAGAUAUUCCAAAGAUGGGAAUUCAAAGGUGUAGUUGGCAGAGCAGAAACUUGUGAGACUUUCUAAAUCACGCAGGCCCAACGCCUUCAAUUUGCGGAAAACAAUCUCUUCUUUUUCAACUCCAUCUUUGUCAUUUAUUACCACCUCUGUCAUUGCUCUGCAUCUACAUAUUUCUAUUGCUACGAGUUGCACUAGAGUUUUUGCUGUGGAGGAUGUUACCAAGUGCAUCAAUCCCUUGCAACCGAAAGCUAAAAGUUUUGUUAGGUUCCGAAAAGAUACCGAUGAUGAUGGCAACAGAAUUAACAGACUUUGACAAUUAUAUACUCUUAGAAUUUCAAGAUACUGAAAAAUGGGGCCAUGUUUGGAAUCUUGUUUGCACAGCUGCUUCAGAUGAUAGGGCCGGUACAGCUUUAAUUCUUUUAUCAUUGCCAACUUCCCCACAUGUUUCUCUAAGCAUCCUUCCAUCGAAAAUACGUCUUCGUCGAAUGAAAAAAAAGACAGUGUGAGUAUUUCGAGAUUGUGAAAUCUCUCCAGUACGUUCCAGAUUGGAAAACAAGCUGAGUCAUCUGCAGCAAUAUCUAGUUUUCUAAGACUGCCAAAAAGGUGUUGUGGGAAAUCGGCCUGCAAAAUUAUCUUCAUGUCUUUUCCGCUUAGUGAUAGUUCCGUCAAGUUGGGUAAGAUCUGAUCAUCAUCAAUCAUAAUAACUAAUGAGGUCAAUUGAUGUUCUCUCAAAUGAUUUUGAGUAAUCCAAUCACAUGCAGUGACUUUAUAGUAUUUGUUUUAUAUUAUACUUUACCCAAAAAAAAAUUGAAUUAUUGAUAAAAUUUAUUAAAUGAUUUUUUAUAUGUUAAUUUUAGAGGUAAAAAAGAAAUUAGAGAAAAAAACGAAAUUAUAUUGCACGAUAAUAAAUUACUAAUUUAUUUUGUAAGUUCUUCUAUAGGAAAGACUAAGGAUUCUUUUACAAAUGUUAUACCUAAAAAAGUUCAUAUAAUUAUUAAUCUAUCACAUUAAUCCCUUAGUCUAGACUAGCAAAGAUUAUUGUAUAAUAAAAGUUUUUAAUUUAUUGAGUAUUAAUUUAUCAAUGCUUUGUUAUAUUUUUCAAAGUUAAAAAAAAAAAUGCUAUUGAUAAAAAAUCUAGAAAAUGGCUUCAUACCUUUUCCAACGGCAAUAGGGGCUGUUGUGCAGGAAUACCAAGUUGAUCAUUCUCAUUAUUCGGCGAUAAAUCUGCAGCGAAUAUCUUUAAUUUGUCACAACGAUACACUAAAAGAAUUUCUAGUGCGGGCCAUUCCGAAGUAUGCAUUCCAGGGUACAAACAUCUAAGUUUUGGUAGACGUUGGAGUCUCAGAGUGGUGAGCUGUGGAAAGACAAAAUAGGGGAUCACUUGAUCUGCUCUGUUUUCAGAAAUGAUCUCCCGUAAAUCCUCACAGUGGCGUAUAUCCAGGUGUUGGAGCUGCUUAAGGCUUCCGAUCAUAGACGCUGAAAAUAUGUAUUUUAAUUUGUGACAACGCCACACAAUCAAUCGUGUUAAACUCUGAAAGCGAGGAAACAUGACCGGAAGAUGAUUGUAGUGCCAAAUCUUGUCGACAUUAAUAUCAGUUAUCUCCAAAGCCUCCAAGUUAGGCAACGCAACCUAAAAAAAUAAGAAUUUCUCAUUAGAUCCAAUAUCCAUAUGGGAAGCACUUGUUGAAAUUUUCUUCUUUGAUUACAAAUUAAUGCAAGUCAGAAUCAAUUUCCAACUGACUGCUGAGUUUGAUGCAUUCUAAUUCAUACAACUUUUUAAGAGCUCAAUUAGUGAGCGUGUGAGAUUCUUUUUAUCCUUUUUUCCAUUUUCCUUCAAUUCUUUAAAUGAUUUAAUUAUUUUCCACGUACGACAUCAAAAGAGAACGUUAUAUAUGAAUAAAAUCUGUUAUAUAUGAAGAAAAUGUUAGCCUACGCACCUUCUCGUUGAAAAGCAGAGUUGAAGUAUCCAAAGUGAUUUCGCUGGAGCAAUACGUAGUCGUCGAUUCCUCUUGCGACGCUGGUCUGUUCGGUGAUGCUGAAGGAGUCUUUACUUCACGGCAGAAAUUUGUAACCUCUGGAAGAUUCCCCAGACUCAAAGAUCUUAAUUGAGCAAACUCUAUCUUCUCAAUUGCAUUAUGAUCAACUUCUUCCCCAAUUGAAAAAAUUUCUUUCAUCUUGCUGCAAUUAAUAACUGCAAUUCUCUCAAGUCUUGGAAGGCAUUUUGUAGUGGAGAGCCAAAAGAUAUUGCUUAACUUAUCACAAUUAUAUGCUUCUACGGUUUUGAGUUUGUUGAAAGACUCUACUUUGAGCCGAUCAAUACAUAUCCUCUCCAUGUUGAUCAAAUUGUGAAGGAUAAGUGACUCCAAAAGAGGAAAGGCACCACAAGCGACCAUCGCCCUUGAAUCGACGAUACAAAAGAAGUCAGGAUUAUUUUGAACGCAGAGGACCUUCAAUUGUGAAAAGCCCUCCGUGUCCAAAUUGAAAAGAACAUUCUCGAUGCCUUGCAGCUUGUCCAACCAUAAGCAUUCAACGUUAUUGAUGCCCUGCAAUUUCAAGGAGCAAAUGUCCAUAAAAUCAAGCUUGAGCUUCAAUGCUCUGGAAAUCUUACGAUCUCUGUCGAUCAAAAAGUGCUGCCGACUUUUAAACCAAUUUUGUCCAGCAAUCAUGGGAUGCAUGAAUGACCCAUUUCCAAUAGAUAUUUUGAACCUUUCGAGCUCUCUGGCCAAAAAGCUUUUUGGUAACAUACUCUCAUUUUUAACAUCAAUUUCUAGAGUGGUUAGCCGACGUAAAUGCAUCAAUUCGUCAAGGCUAGCAUUACUUCUUUUGCUGUUGGCUAUUUCAACCUCCCAUUCAAUGGAGCAAUUAUACAUAUACAAUUCUUCUAAUCGGAUUAAGCUUGAUAUGACAUUUGGAGCAAUAACUUUUAGAUGGAAACAGUCUGUUAAAUCUAACAGCCUUAGCUUAGUCAGUUGACCCAGUGCUUUAGGCAUAUCAGAUUGCAAAAAGCUGAGGAUUUCUAGAUUUUCCAACUUUCCAAUAAUAGCUAUGUCUAUGCCUCCCAAAAUGCUUUGAUUAAGACAGAGUGUCUGAAGAUUUACUAGAAGACCAAUUGAAGAUGGCAAUGACAAUAACCGCAUUCUAGUCAAAUCCAAAACCCGAAGCUUUUUCGUCCUUUUGAAGAAGUUCUCAGGAAUAUUAGGCACAGCAAAAGAGUUCUUGGGAGACAUGACUAGAAGUUCAAGUUGUAGAGAUUCGGACCCUUCAGGAAUGUCAUUAAUAGUACUAUCUUUUAAAGAAAUUGCAAGAUAUUUUUUUAAUUCAUCUGCAUUUGGCCAUUUCCAAUCAUCCUCAUUUCUCACCACAAAUCCAAUUUUGUCACGACAUGCAAUUGAAAUGGCAACAUCGCGAACAACGUCGUGCAUUGAAAAGUAUUUACUGCCACCAUCCUCAAGCAACAAACAAGAGUCUCUUAGUUGAUGGACCCAUGCAUGUAAUUUGUUAUGUGCAUCUUCUAGCUUAUGGACACUUUUAAAUGCACCCAAGCCCAUGCUAUAUUUGAACAAGUCCAUAAUAUAAGUUGGUGUAAUUAGACUACACAGUAAAAAAGUUUUCUUGAGUUGCUCACCUCUUAAGUACUUGUAACUCAGCUCAAUUGUUGAGUAUGCCUCUGCUGGUACUCCUUCGUCGAAGCUCGCCUCUGAAGGCGUUCGGAGUUCUUGCAAGGCAUUCUUCCACACAGGCAGCUCUUUUUUUCUCAGUGCCUUUGCUACUGUGGUUAGGGCAAUAGGCAAACCUCCGCAUGCCUUGGCUACACUUGUUGCUGUAGAUUCUAACUCACGAUUUUCAACAUAAUCACCAGCCAUUAUCUUGAACAAUCUCCACGCUUCUUAUUCAUUUAAAAUGCCAAUCGAGAAGUUUUUUUCAGAUUCCAUCCUUAACAGCACAUCAAGAUCUCUUGUUGUGAAUAAUAAUUUGCAUCCUCUGUGCUCAACUCCAAAAGGAAUUCCAAUAGUCCCCAAAUCAAGAGGUUUCCAGAUGUUAUCCAGAAUCACAAGGAUCUUCUUCUCAUUCUUCACUCUUUCAUAUAGUCUACUAGCUCUUCUAGACUCAGGUUCCUCGGACAACUGUAGGCCUAACGUUUCCGCAAUUUCCUCUUGGAUCUUUUUUAUGUCUGGACUUUGGGUAACCUCCGAAAAAGCCACCAUAUCGUAAAGCUUGUCUUCAAUGGCUCGCCUUGCAAACUCCUUCACCAGUGUCGUCUUUCCAAUGCCGGCCAUGCCGUAGACCCAAAUGAUGCUGACAUCAACAUCGAUCAAUGCAUUUUGUAUGGCCUUCAAAGCAGAAAGUCUUGAUUCGAAGGCCUCGUAGCCUUUGUGAGACUUGAGCCAUAUAUCCUCCGGAACGGUACGGUAGGAAAUUCUAUCAUCAAAUCUCCCAGCUUCUUCUCGGAGUUUAAAAAGGGCCUCCUUCUCUGUUUCUGCUUUCUUUCCAUGCUGAUAGCGAGUAAUCCAAUUAGGAAACAGCCCCAUGAGACAUCGUUCAUUUGCUUUCUCUUCGUCUAGAAUGAAUUUGGCUGCCUGCUCAAUGCUCUUGUUCGCAUUAACCAGCCAUUUCUCAACCUUCUCUUCAAUCUUUUCACUUUUUCUUUCAGCCUCAGAAACUCUGCGCUGAAUGCUUUCUCUUUCAUCCUUGAGCCCAUCGAGUUCUGCCUUGAGAUUCUCAAAGUUGGCAGCGGAGUUAUACCAAUAACUAAAUUCGCGUUGUGCGUGAGGAGACAAGCAGUUUACAACUCCUGGAACAAUGCUUUUCAAAAUGUCCAUUUUUUUUUUGGGUUGGGGGGGGGGGGGGGAGGGAACGAAAUAGAAAUAGAACAGAGUCAACGGCCGCGCAAUUGAUAAUCAAGUAGAAGCAAAACAAGGCAAAAUUGAAAAAAGGGAAAAUCAGUGUAACAGAAGAGAAUCAAAGUGUUUUUGAGAUCAGAAAAUUGAAUCAAGAAAAGGGUUGCUUGAUCCAAUGAAAAUGCAAAGAGCUGAUGGAAAAAGGGAACAAAGAUAAAUAAGAAAACGGCUAGCACGAGCAGUGACCACGAUAAACAGAAGCAAAGUGUGUAUGAGAUCAAAAGACGAAAAUCAGGAGAGGUUUUCUUGAUUGAGAAUUGAAGGCAAAGAGUAGGAGCUGACGAAUACGGGGAUCAAGAGGGAAAAACUGCUUGCUCAUAAAACUACUUUCAAGCGAAUCUGAUAAAAUUAUUUCAAUACUCGUGGGCGACUCCCUUUUAAACCGCAGAAGGAAAAAAAAAAAAAAAAGUUCUGAUUUUCAAUAUAUUAAUUUUUAUCCUAAUUUAUGUUGAGACUCGUAAUCUCGUCUCAAUGAUUAAUUAGUAGAUAAUCUUUCUAACAAAUAUGUGUUGAAUAGAUAUAUUUCUUGACUAUUAGUAGGUUAAAUAUAUUUUAGCAUAGGAAUGAAAGUACAAGUUGUGUCAUAUUAGAAUAAAAAUUUGACCUAAAAAUAUUGUUCUACGACCUUUUAAUUAUUUGUCAGCAAAUAAUUAAGUCAUAUAAAAAAAUUAAUAAUCUGAAUUAGUCUUUAAGUAUUAUAAAUAUUUUUAGAUUUUAAUUAUAAUAUCAUUAUUUAAAAAUAAUUGCUUGACUUACAUUAGUAACAUUACGAUUGUCAUAAAACAUGUGAUCCUCAUCCAAUAUCCAUUAUUUGUGAUCCUUAAUCAAUAAAAUAUCUAACAAUAUCUUCACCUAAAGUUUGAGACAUGUGAUCCUUAUUCCACUGCGUCAAAACAAGGAGAAAAUCAGUGUAACUGAAGAGAAUCAAAGUGCUUUUGAGAUCAGAAAUUGAAGCAAGAAAAGGGUCGCUUGAUCCAAUGAAAAUGCUAAGAGCUGAUGGCAAAAGGGAACAAAGUUAAAUAAGAAAACAGCUAGUGCUAGCAGCGACCACAAUACACAGAAAAUUUGAGAUGGAUUUACAAUAUUUCUGCCUUUCUUUAUGCUUUAACAAAUAUUGCUCUAUCAAAAAAAAUAUUUAGAAUUUUAUUAUUGGAGUCACAAAAGACCUACACAAUAUAGCAAGUGACUAGGAAUAAAUAAGAAUAUAUAACUCUCUCUCUAAUUCUCACUCUAGCUUUUAAUUGUCACUCAAAACCCAGAAUUCAUCCUUAAAGUGUAAGCAAAUCAGAGAUGACAGCGUCUGGUUGUCAUACGUGCCUUUUAGUUUUCGGAUGACAUGGCGUACACUUCUUCUGUAAACCGAACAUGACAUGUCGUACUCUUUGUUUUGAGAUCAUAUUUCAAACUCUUCAUGCUAUGAAUGAAAGAUAAACUACAAUCAUCAAAAUAUUUAGUGUUUAUUUUGUAAUGUAACGUCAUAGUUGUUGUGAAUUGAAAUUAUUUCUGUAAAAUAAAAGGAUUUGGGUCAUCGUUCGUUAUUUUCUAGCAAUAUUGUCUGGUCGUGACUAUUUGUUAAAUAUUAAAAAAAUAAAUUUAUAUUUAUUAAGUAUAAAAAAUAAAUAAACAAACAAAAAUAAAAGGAAAAGUUUAUACAUUACAUAAAAUAAUAAGAACAAUAUCAAUAUUUCACACUCUAUAAUUGAGUGAUGUGUUGUCCAACUGCCACACAUUGGUCCCAAACGGAGACUUAAAUAUUAAAGUCCAAAGUUAUUGUGAUGAUGACUUAUAAUCGCCAAACUUGACAUACGGGUAAUCAUGCAUUAUAAGGUGCUGAUUUCUUCCAAUCGAAACCUUAUUUUUCAUUUACAAAUAAAUAAAUGACGUGACUUAACGAGUGGUGGGGUCCUUUGUGCCAUUUGUGUAUUUCACUGAAUAGUUGAUUCAACUAUUCUGAUCGGAAGAUUCUUGGAAGUUGCCAUUUGCCAAUGCUACUAACAUUUUCAAACUUGGAAAACCCUUCAGUCAAUCUUUUAGUGGUAGGCUCUGGUAGCUUGGUUUGAUUAUGACAUAUGAUUAUUUGAUAAUAAAGUUAGAGGAUGUAUUAAUAUAAAAUUUGUUUAUUGGUGUUGAAGUUAAUUAUCUCAUUAAUAAUAGUAUAAAAUGUUAAUUACUAAGAAACACAUAGCAGUAUUCUGGGAUAUAAUUUUAUAUCAUAACUUUGUAAGUGUAUAAUUACUCAUUAAAUUAACAAAAUUAUUUUAAAAUAUUUAGUUAGAAAAAAUAUAUUAUAUUCUUUUUAUUUCAAAUAAUCUAUAAGUUAACUCAAAACAUAAUCAAGCUGAGAAUUAAAAUAAUGCUACUGUAUGAGAGGAUUUUUAUUUUUUCCCGAAGUUUCACAAGGAAAUUAUUGAUAGAUAGCUUUAUUCGGAUCAUCUCAGUUCAAACGACAAAUAAUUGAAAGACUAAGCUAAAUAGACCAGCCAACAACUUUGUACAAGAGAGUUCAAAAAUUAAAGUCAUGGUAUUAAAGUGUUCUAUCUUGAAAAGUACAGCGUAGUAAUAAAAUAAAAACUAAUAGUCUUUGGUAAGAUAUGACAUUUAAAUAAUAAUUUUCACAAAAAUACAAAGAAUAUUUAUAAAGUACUUCUAUAAUGAGGAGACCCUCACUUUGUUAAAGUGAAAAUAUCAAUAAUAUACAAAAGACAUAUAUUUUAACACAUUAAAAAUUGUAUUUUUUUUUAUCUAUUGGUGUAUUGAAAUGUGUGUUAUUUAGUUUGUUAAUAAUAUCAUCACUUUGUUAAAAUAAUGAUAUCAGAACCAUUAUAUAUACAUAUAUAUAAAGUGCUUCUCUCCAAAAUCUAGACUUUAUUAAAAUUUAAGAAAGCAAAUAUAUUUUGUAUGGUAUAAUAGUGUAAUAACAUCACCCGAGUAUAUCAUAUAGAGUAAUAGUUUUUGGACUUUAAUAAAGGUCAAGAUUAUAGAAUGAAUGAUUUAUAUAUAUUUUAAAUUUUUUAUCAUAAAGUGGAGGACAAAGUAACAUAUUUUUCAAAUUAUAAUAAUUAUUUAUCAAAUAAUUUAACAUCGUAAUUUCUCCUAACUAGUAUAGUAAAUACGACCUAGGAGGUACAUUCAAAGCAUUUCAUAAGUUAAUUGUUAAUAAUAAAUGAUACAUGCAGCUCCAACUAUUAUUGUACGGUGAGUAAUUUCAAUAGAUUUUUUAUGGCUUAAUAAUAAUGAACAUUGAAUGUCAAAAUAUUAAUGGCCAAACAGACCAGCUGCCAACGACUUAUUCCAAUGUGAAUAGUUCACAGUGGGUACUGCACAUGAUACUUGUUUCUCCUUUUGCAUCUACUUUUGUUGUUAACAUUAAUUUCAAUAGCAGCUCGUUAUGUACGCAACAUUUCAAAGUUAAUCCAAAAAAAAAAAAACAAAAAUUAGUUCAGCUGACUAAAUUUGAAAGCAUGGAUUUGCCGUCGAUUAAAAAUCGUUUUGUAGGGAAAAGUUUUGGAUUGCAAUUUUCAUACAAUACAUAGAAUUAUCAUAAUCUAUAAAUUAUUUUUUUGCUUUUCUGUGGUAGUAAGUCCGACUCCUUAGUGACAAUUUAAAUUGAAAAAAUAAAAUCAUAAAUUAGAAUUAUUUGAUAAGAAUUAAAAUAAUUGAUAAAAAUUUGAGAGGAACAAUUUUGGAAGAUUCGAUUUCUAAUAGAAAGGGUGAAUUUUACAGCCUUUGGUGAGGACUCCAAAAUGCACAAUUUGAUGAAAAUUAAAUUUCAAUAGAAAUUGAAUUCCCAUUUAUUAGUGAAAACCAAACAACAGAAAAGUGAAAGGAAUUUGAAUUCAUUUCCUUCCUCUCCUCCCUCCAACUAAACACCAUCGAAAUCCAAAGGUAUGGAUUGGGAUUCCAUAUUGAUUAGAAUGGGAUUUGUCCAUAUUAUUAGGACCAAUUUUAAAAGCAGUCGGAGUUUCGAAGUUUAAGAUUGAAAUUAAUCACAAUUGUUGAUUUGGGACUAGAUAAGAAUUUAUCUUAGAACUCCAAUUCUCCAAAAAAAGUACGCUAGCUUCGCCACUGCACUAGGGACAUAUUAAUCAGGUGGCUUAUAUUACAACCAGAGGAUUUAAAUUUGAUUUAAGAUAUGUGGGGUCUGCUUUUGGAUUUAGAAAAUUUGCUCAUUAAGAGUUGAACCCAAGUGACCUACCGUUAGAUUAGAUUAAUAGUGAUUUCUUGUAGUAAAUAUUUGUGAAUUUGAAAUAUGUGAAUUCUAUCCUGGUGAUACAAAACAAGCUUCUUGUACACGAGAACUAUUUAUUUUUAUGAUUUGGAAACCAAUCUAUAAAGAUGAAUUAAGUUGGCAUAAUGGUACAAAGCAACUUUAAUUUUUCAAUAAAUUCAAAAGUUGGCAAGUUGGUUAUGAUUAUUAUCUUUUCUUUUUUACUAUUUAAACUACAAUUAAUUGAAUCCAAAGACUAAAGGGUUGGAUCGAGAAGAAACUAAUUUUAAGUAGACAUUCCGGCGAAAAUCACUCCCAUGAUCGAGACACUCAUGCAAUCAAUGCAAAAAUGGACACAAAAAUUGUCUACUUAAGUUUGGUGGAAUGAUUUUAAAAAUAGUUUUAUUUGUUUCACACUCGAAUUUGUAUUUUGAAAAAGAGUGGGAGUUAAAAAUUGAUUUACACUUUAUCAAUUACUCUAUUUUAAAAAGAAAUAAAUAUUAAAAAAAUAAAAACAUUAAUUUCUUGUUUGUUUGUACUUACCAUUGUAGGAUAAAUAAAGUGGUUGACAAAAAUUAUAUAUCUUAAAAAUAAAUUCUAGAUUUAUAACUAAUGUAUAAUGAUUUCAAUUCACAUGUUUCAAUCCCAAAUAAAUUCUCCUUUGGUUAUUUGAAUCUUAGCGCGGUAAGAUUUCAUUCUCUUAUAUGCAUUUGUGUAAACUUCUCCCUUUACCUUUAUCAUUUUAUCAACUUUAUUGAUUGCCAAUCAACUUUAGGGUUUAGGCAUGAAUCACACAAGGGAAUGAUAUUGUGGCAAUUUUUUCCCCCUUCUUUUUUCUUUUUGAAAAAAAAAAUUAUUUAUAGCUUUGCUUUGAUGGUAGAAGACUAGAAGACCAAUUAAUUUCUUUUUGUUGCGUGGUGAUAAUAAUGAUGGAAAUUGCUAUGUGCGCGUUGGUGAUUGCAUUGCUAGUCACAUAUUGCUUCCCAUCAUGGAGACAAAGGGGACCCCUCUAUCAAAGCUAGCUGUUGAAAUAUCAUACCCAAAAUCACAUGAAUUCAAAGGUUGAAUGGGAAAACGAUCUUGCUUCUUUGUAUGUUUUAUUUUAUUUAAAGACUUAUUGUUUCCCAUAAGAGAUAAGCUUGGAUCUAUCUUUCCUUUUAAUCAUUUUAGCCUCCAACUCCCAUCUUUUUCAAAAGUUUCGUUUAGCCCAUUUUGAAUGGCAAGGUAAGCUUCAAUUAACGCAACAAGUUCCAGUGAUUCCCGUCAAUAUUCGAUUGCAUGUAUGUAGCUUUGAGUGCUCAAAUUUAUUUUAUUUAUUAGUUGUUAUCACUUAUCAUUUUCUUUUUAAUAAUGAGAUUUGGGCAUUUUCUUUUUAAUAAUGAGAUUCGGGUCCCUGGAUGGUGAUUAGCCAACAGUCUAGUUAUGAGAAAUUAAUGUCUUAAUUACAAUGACAAAAAAGGCAAGUGGGGAUCUCAUUUGCCAUUAGGUAACACAACAUCUUCAGCAUUGGAGCUUUUCUUCCUUUCUCUCCUUCUUUCUUUCUUUCUCAAAAUAAUUGAAAAUCUAAUGCAAUACAAUUAAAUUGAUCAACGAUCUAAUUUAAUCAAUACAUUAUAUUAAGAUAUUUAAAAUAAAAUCGGUUCAAAUGGAAUGAGAAGUUCUACUAAAAAAAUAACAACAUUUAUUCCUUAUUAUUAUUAUUCGAAUUCAAAUAACCUUGGAUUCCAAACGCAUUCAAGACUAGCCAGGCUGCAUAUCCAAGAAGAAAACAAAAUCAAAACUUUAGCCACAAACAUAUACGUGUGUGUGUAUGUGUGUGUGUGUAUAUGUGUGUGUGUGUGUGUGUCUGUGUAUAUAUAGAGAGAGAGAGAGAGUUCUUUCACUAGGUUCAUUUGCGUGAAACUUUUUGAUCAUUUAGGUUUAAGACUAUAUCAUAUAUCCUAUUGCACGAACAUUGAUUAAGAUGAAUGAGUCAAACCCACUAAGCUUGCAACAAAAUCUUUUCAUAGUUACUAGAGAAUAUUUAUAUUUUUUUCAAAUAUUAAUAAAAUUAUUGAAUUGCUUUAUUUAUAGUACGUAUACAAUUAAUAGUGUAUGGAUUUUUUUUUAUCUAUUGGUGUAUUGAAAUAUGUGUUAUUUAGUUUGUUAGUGAUAUAAUCACUUUGUUAAAAUGAGAAUGUCGUUACUAGAGAAUCAUUAUAUAUACAGGGUCCAGCUACAAUACCCAUGGGGUUUGGUACCCCAUUUUUUGUCUUUUUCAAAUCUACCGUUGGAUUUAACGUAAGAAUUGCAGAAUGGCUGAGAUGUAAUUUUUGGGUUAUUAACAACAAAGACCCUUAUUGUUCAUGGAAAAUAAAAAAAAUCAAAAGUUUUGAAAUUAUGACGUAUAAGUCCAUAAUAUUCUCUUUUUUUCUUUUUAACUAUUGAACUCGGUUUCUAAUUAAAUGAAUUUUUCUUACAUUUAUUAAUAUCUAUUUAAAUUAAUAUAUUUUUAAUUAAUAAAUUAACUACUUUAUUAUAUAGUUAAACUAUGUAUAUUAUUUACUAACCAUAAUUAACGAUAAGUAUAAAUAUGAUCUUUUUUUUUUUUUAACAUAAUGGCAACCAAUUUCCUCUCACCUAUGUGAACAAGGUUCAAAACCCAUAAUUUUUUUUUUAACACAAGAGAUUUUAUUAUCUCAAGUAGAUGAAAUAUACAAAAUACAAAAAUAAAUUUAAUUUCAUAUUCUAUAUAGUUAAUUUUUUUUGUAACAUAAUAUUUAUUAAACAUACUAUCAAUUAUUUAAUUAACUAGCAAAAAUAUGUUAAUUUACUAAUAAUAAUCAAAUGUUAGUUUAUGAACUUGUAAAAUCUUUUUUUUUAACAAUGAGUUUUUGUCCUUAAAAUAAAAAAUAACAAUUUAAUUGCACACUUAAAUAAAUUAGUAUUUGUUAAAAAUAGUAAUUUAAUUGCACACUUAAAUAAAUUGGUAUUUGUUACUCCACCCCAAUUAUUUAAAUAGUCAUUAACUUAUCUGAGAGAAGGGUAAAAAAAUUCUAAACAAUUACUCUAUUUGAAAAUAAUUUAAAUAUUUCUUUAGAAAAAUAAACUAAAAAUAAGUAUUUUCUAUUCUUUCUUCUUUCUUGCUAACAUCAAUCAUGGAUAACAAUAGAGAUGGCAAUUCAACACAUAUCUAUCAAUUAAAAUAGAAGUCAAUUAAUAUAAUUAAUUGAAUAAUUAAUUUGUGUCAUGAAUGAGUUAUCGUAUUAGGAGUUAUAAAACCAAACCCAAUAGAAUUAUUAAUCGAGUUAACAGCUAGAAAGAGCAAACAAAUCCAUUCAAGUUGGAUGUCUAAGUAUUUGAACCAAAUAGAUUAGAUAAUAUCCAUCUAAAAUACUCCAAAUUUGAUUUAUUCAAUAUCCAUCUAUGAACUUGAAUAUUAGUGAUAUUUAAGUGUAUGUGACUGAAAUUGAGUAUUAUAUUUAAUAUUUAAGUUUUGUAAGUCAAAUGAAAAAUCAAAAUAAUAUUGCUAAAAAUUAUUGCACCAUCAAUGACAACAAUGACGAUAUCAUCACUAAGAAAUAGAAAUGAGUGAACAGAGAAACAAAAACUAUCAACGUAAUCAAAACUCUCUGAUCAAUGUAAUGGUGGCAAUGUUGCCAGAUAAAUAGAUAUGCCGGCAAUAGAUGAGCAUUCCAAUGCAAACAACUAGAACAAGACCCUAUGAUUAGAUGACGUUUUAACGUAGAGUGGAAGCGAUACUAAAUUUCGUUCUAGUAUACGUCUUGAAAACUCAAGAAAGAGACUCUCACCAAAGAGAAGAUAUUUCAAUUGAGAAAAAACUAAAUAUUAUUAAUGAGAAGCUUGUGUCUGUUAUCAUAAAUUAAGAAUAACAAGCCUAUAUAUAUAAUAGUAGCUAACUUAAUCCUUAUCUUUCUCAAAUAAGAGAAAUAAUCUAAAAUCCUAAUUAAAUUAUAAUUACAAAUAUGACUCAAGUAAGCUUAAUAAAAUAAGAUAAAUCCUAAUAAAAUAUUAAAUUCUAAAUUGACCCAAAUAUUAUAAUUCCUAGUAAAUUCUAAUUUAUUUAUUUAUUUAUUUAUUUAUAAGUUUGUUUGGUUUUUGGGUUUUUUUUUUAAAGAACAGAAAAUUAUAGGUAAUAGUGUAAGUAUAGAAAAGUAAAGAGGCAAAAUUAAAAAUAGGCAAAAGUUGGUGUUGCCGUCGACGGUGGUCGAAAAAUUGGCCUAGGAUAGGUGGAUUUGGAAGAUUUGAUGGUGCUGAGUGUGAUGUUGGUGGUGGUUUGUCUCAAAUAGUUGUGAGUUGACCGAAAAGUUGAGCUAAAGUAGUGGGUGGAGGUUGGUUUCGGUUUCCGGCGAUCCGGCCGGGGGUUGGCAGCGUGAGUGGGUUGAAAAGAAAGAGCUAAUGAUGGUGGACGAAUGAGUGGUGGUGGAGGCUGUGAAUCGCGGCUGAUUGUAGCGAAUGGAGAGGCGGAUUUUCGUGGUGGUUCAGCGGCUGUUUUGGCUAGUUUCCCGUGGCUACGGUGACGAGAUGGUGGUGUUAUGGGUUGGGUUAUGAUUGGCGGCGUGUAGGCUUUCGGAUGGGAGAGAGGAUCGACCGAAAAGAAGAGAAACUGGUGGCGGCAGUAGCCGUGUGUGGCAGAUGUAAUGGCGGCUUCGGGUUUUGCUAGUUUUUUUUUUAACUUGAUGGAACUAAUGUACGGAGUUGGUGGUCAGGAAUGCUCUGCCUGCUACCAAAAAAAGCUCUAAUAUCAUUUGUCUUGAAAAUUAAAAAAAAAAUCCCACUAAGGAUUAAUAUCUUAAUUGUGAAAAUAUUGAAUAUUAUUAAUGAGAAGCUUGUGUCUGUUAUCAUAAAUUAAAAAUAACAAACUUACAUAUAUAAUAGUAGCUAAUUUAAUCUUAAUCUUUCUCAAAUAAGAGAAAUAAUUUAAAAUCCUAAUUAGAUUAGAAUUACAAAUAUAACUCAAGUAAGCUUAAUAAAAUAAGAUAAAUCUUAAUAAAAUAUUAAAUUUUAAAUUGACCCAAAUAUUAUAAUUUCUAGUAAAUUUUAAUUUAUUUUAUUUAAUAUGCUUCCUACAUCACGUUUUAAGGUUCAUUGCCUUUAACAACCAAUUUGAGGGUCUCUAAACUAAAAAAAAAAAAAAAAAAGGUGGUAGUAUAAUGUAACUCCUUGUGUUUUGAUGGUAUAGUUAUUGUUGCACCUAUUUUAGAAGGAGCAUGUAACUUUACAUAUCACCAUUUGCUAGCAUUGAGACUAUCUUUAUGUAAAUCAUUCAAUUUCAAGUCUAAUGGAAUCCUUCAUGUUCCAUUUCGGUUAAUAAUGUCAUUGCACAUGAAGAAACAAUAGUCACUAGUGAUUGUCUAUAUUUUUUAAUGCAAAAUAUCUUUUUGUAAUUAAUUAAAAAAUAAGAAUAAUUUUUUAUUAUUAUUAUGUUUCUAUAUGGAAAAUAAUUUUAAUUACCUUUUAAUUAAAAUGGGUGAGAAAAAUGAUGUCAUUGAUGGUGCAAAAUGGAUGAGAAAAAUGAUGUUAUGUAGGUGUAGGACUAAUGCGUAAAACUUUAAAAUUUUUUAACAUUUUUAUUUUUACAACAAAUAGCAGGACACUAUUAUAAUUAACCUUAAUAAAGACAAAAGAGAGGGGUACCAAACGUAUGUUGCAACAUAGCUUUGCCCAUAUAUACAUAUAUAAAGUGCUUCUAUCCAAGACCUAGACUUUAUUAAAAUUUAAGAAAGCAAAUAUAUUUUAUAUGGUAUAAUAGUGUAAUAACAUCACACUAUUAUAUCAUAUAGACUAAUAGUUUUUUGAACUUUAAUAAAGUUCAAGAUUAUAGAAUGAAUGAUUUAUAUAAAUUAUAAUUUUUUAUCAUAAAUGGAGGAGAAAAUUAACAUAUUUUCAAAUUAUAAUAAAUAUUUAUCAAAUAAUUUAACAUUGCAAUUUCUCCUAACUAGUAUAGUAAAUAAUACGACCUAGGAGGUACAUUCAAAGAUUUUCAUAAGUUAGUUGUUAAUAAUAAAUGAUAUAUGCAGCUCCAAUUAAUCAUCAUUGUACGGUGAGUAAUUUCCAGUUAUAAAUAGAUAUUACUCCCUUCCCAGCAAUUUUUGAUGGCUUAAUUUUGUGGGAUCAAAAUCAACAUUGAAUGUCAAAAUGUUAAUGGCCAAACAGACCAGCUGCCAACAACUUAUUCCAAUGUGAGUAGUUCACAGUGGGUACUGCACAUGAUGCUUGUUUCUCCUUUUGCAUCUAUUUUUGUUGUUAACAUUAAUUUCAAUAGCAGCUCGUUAAUGCCAAUUGUUGAUUUGGGACUAGAUAAGAAUUUAUCUUGGAACUCCAAUUCUCUGAAUUAUUUUAGUUGACAAUAUGUUUAACAUUAUUUUUUUUAACAUUAUUAAUUGCAUAUUAUUUAAUUAUCAAUAUAUAAUAUUCUUUAAUUUUUUAAUUUUAUAGGAUUAGACACAAAAUUGAUUAUACCUUUUGAAAUUUAAGGGUUAUGUCAAUUGAAUAGAAAACUUGGAGUUAAACUUUUGGAUGUUUUUGUUGAUUAUCAAUUUAUGCAUGAAUUUUUGUACGUUUACUUUGGUUUAUUAUUAUUACUUUUAAAUAUUUUUAUUGGUUUGAUUUAGGGUCAGUUUAAUAAUCCUGUAGCUUUUAAAAUAAUUAGAGUUAGCUAUGCUGUAGAAAUUGAUCAAUCGUUAAGAGAAUCAGCUGAACAUUUAGUAAAAUUUAUUUUUAAAAGUACUUUUAGUUUUAAAAGCGUCGUAUGUGUUUCGUAAAUCUUAUUGUUAAACUAGUGCAAAAAUGUAAAUGACUAAAUUGGACAUAAUGCUAAAUAAAAUUUAUUUACACAUUUAUAAACACGUAUAUAAAAUAUUUUUAUUACGUACAUAUAAUUAUUGAUAACUAAAAUAAAUAUUUUAUAUUAUUAAAUUUUAUUCUUUAAUUUGUUAUCUCAAUAUAAUUGGUAAUAGUAAUAACCUCUUUAAAGUUAAUCAUUUUAUUUCUUAAUUAAUAAAGAUAAUUUUGAAUUUUGAUUAUAUAAUGAGGAUAUGUAUAUAAAUAUAUAGAAUUUGAUUAAAUAUAAAAGUGAUUCUCAAAAUCAGAUUUUGAAAAAUUAUUCAUUCCAUACUUUUUCAAAAUCUACUAUACAAUGAGAUGAUUUUGCCAAAAGUAAUUACUAAAAAAAUUUAUAAAACACUAAAAAUUAAUUUUUAAUUUUUAAAAUCACUUUUGAACUUCCCAAAAAUAAUCCUAACGGACCNNNNNNNNNNNNNNNNNNNNNNNNNNNNNNNNNNNNNNNNNNNNNNNNNNNNNNNNNNNNNNNNNNNNNNNNNNNNNNNNNNNNNNNNNNNNNNNNNNNNGUGGUGUUAGAACUUGUGACUUUUGGAUCUUUUAGUUUUUAUUGGUUGAUACAAUUGUUACCUAAAAAUUAAAUGUAUCUUAAACCCAAACUUCUUCUUCUUUUUUUUGACUAACAAAAUUAAAAAACAAUAGUGAACACAUUCUUUAAUAAACAAUAAGUAAUAACUAAAAUCGUGUUAAAUUUCUUAAAAAUUUUCUUUCACGGUCUGCUAAAUAUUUUUAUUAGUAUUUUGAAUAAAUAAAAAUAAUUGAUUUAAUUUUUUUAAAGAAACUUAUUAGGUUCAUGUAAAGAUGUUUUUGUUAUUUUAAAAAGUGUAGAAAGUACUCCUAAAAAAAAAGUGUAGAAAGUAAAACUUAAUUUUUUAAAUUUAUUAGCUUACUGCAUAAAUAAUUGAGUGUUCAUAAUGAUUUUUAAAGUAUAGAUAGUCGGACCCUAAUAUUUUUAAUAUGGAAAUUUUGCUAAUAUGUUAAUGAGAAUUAAAAAGAUAAUUAAGGGAGGCAAUUGAGACAUUCAGGAUAGUUAGGAUGGGACAUGAUUGUGAGUGGUUUGAUAUUAGUCCUAAUUUUGAUCACAAAUAUAUAAACAUGACGAGUUUAUCUCUACUUACAUUCCAUUUGAUAAUUAAGAUGAGAGUGGAAUCGUCAAAUCCCAAAUCAUCCCGGACCAUUGCCAUCAAAGGUACUCUCACUAAUAAUAUCUAAAGAAAAAUGUACAUGUAUUUCAUUUUUUUUUUAAACGGAAAGAGCCCUCAUGGGGCUUGAAAUGUUAUCCUAAAUAGUAUUCAAAAUAUCAAGCCAUGAUUGGGUUUGUGACAAACAAAUAUUACAUAGUUAGGAUACGUAGUUACUAGUGUCCCCAUUUAUGUAGUAUCUAUCAUUUAAUGCACAUAUAAAGUAUUAAUCAGCUUAAUUAAUUUAUAAAAUCUAAAUCUAAUUAAUAAGUGACACAUAAAAGCCAAGUGCAAUAUAUGCAAGUCAUGUUUGUCGAUCAUUACAAAACUAGCUCUUGAAAACAAGCAAGAAAGCUUAAUUAAGAACUUAAAACAAAAAGAAAUUUAGAUUGAGAACAGUCAAGCCUUAUUUUUUUCAAGGAUGGAGCUUAUAAAUCUUCAAGUACCAACAUAUGCUUGGCCCAAUUGUUGUUAUUAAAAAUUCAAUAUAUAUAUAUAUAAGUAUGACAUAGCAAAAAUUUGAUGGUACAUAUGUCGGAAUAUACUAGUUCAUGGAUGCAUUUGAUUAUUGUUUCCAUAAAUUUGAACCAGGAAGGAUAACACGAUAAAAUUUGAUUUUAUGGUAUGGUUGAUUUCAUAUCUCAUGCACUCAUUUCUUAAGAUAAUCAAAUUUUCUCUGGCAUCUUUUGCAACUGUGGAAAUAUCAAUUAUGAUCAAUCAAAACGAUUUCAAAACCUCUCAACGAGACAUAUUUAUAAUACAAUGUUGUGAAAAUUACACCAAAUUUUAAUUUAUUAUAUAUUAUUAUCCAACGAGCACACAAAAAUGAAUUCGUACAAAUAGAGUUUACCAUGUACUACAAGAAACUAGGGUAUAAGUGACCCCUAAUGUGAAUGCAAAAGAAGCCAUUAUGUAUAUCACUAACUUCUAGGCUCUAGCUUUGUACCCCGACUUGCUUUUGUUACCCUUUAUGUGACGGCCACACCGCUAUCACAUAUGUUAGUUACUACCCGCGUGACGGUAAAGAGCCGUUCGGUAUAUUACUAUUUUAUAAUUUUAAAUUUAAAACUAUUUGCUGGACUCCGUGUUACUAGCCACCAUCGUAAGCCUAACUGGUUGCCGGCGAACUGCGUAAAACACUGGCCAUCUUCUUCUUCAUCGUCUUCUCCCUUCAUCUUUUGAGGUAAGCUUGUGAUUAUGAGUUUCUUCUCUUACUUAGCUUGUAAUUAUAGACUUUGAUUUUUUUUUUAAUUCGCAUUGUAGCCAUUAUUGUCAAUUUUUGUCCCGCGAGCAAUAUAUUUUUAUUGCUUCAAGUUGAAGCCCCUGUUUUCUUGUUCCAUUGGUGAGUUUGCUCACUCAAAUUAAUUUUGUUCUGCGGAAUUUGCAACGUUCAAAUGGAUUCGUUUGAAUUACUAUUGAAUUUAGCUUUAAUUUCAACAUCCAUUCUAAUGUUUUGCUAUUAGAUUUACUUUAAUUUUAUGUUUAAAGCUUCUACAGUGAAUAGCGGAGCUUGGGUUUUAGUUUCAUUUUCUAGAUAACUUGUUUUAGUUUAUCUUGUAUACUCACCAAGUGCUUGUUAUAUUGUCUGAUAAGUUAUAUACAUUGCUGAUUCUAUAUUAAUAAUGUUAUGUUCUAUUUUCAGAAAUUAUAAUACAAAAGCUUUUACAAUGGCGUGCAUCUACAAACUGGAUUGACUCGUAGAAUAAGAGCUUGGAGUAGUGUUAUGUUCUUGAAUAAAUGAAAGUUCAUAUUGUGUAAGAGCAUGUAGAUGUAAAGCAUCAUUAUCAUUUCUACAAAGUGCUUUCAUUCUCUUCAGAUGCUCUUCUUGAACUUUGAAAGGUGCCUCGUUCAAGUCCUAGCUAUAACUGCUAGCUUUGAUUAAUUAAGUUCCUAUACUAGCUGAAACAGAUUUAUUUAAUUAAUUAAUUGUGUAUAUACUAAUUAUAUUGAAAGUAUAUGAAACUUUUUUUUUUUCACAUGAAUGACUUCUAAAUGACUUAAAAACCUAAAGGAUGUGUGAAAUAAUGCUCAUUUCACUUGAAUGAGCCUAUUAAUACUUUUAUGUCUAUGAUGUCAAAAUUGGCUUAAGCAUUUCAGUUAAGUGGUUUACCUAGCAGAGAAAAAAAUUUUAAUAGAGAAACUUCAGAGUUCUAACAGAAAUAUAGUUCGCUAUGCAGAUAUAGUUAUNNNNNNNNNNNNNNNNNNNNNNNNNNNNNNNNNNNNNNNNNNNNNNNNNNNNNNNNNNNNNNNNNNNNNNNNNNNNNNNNNNNNNNNNNNNNNNNNNNNNNNNNNNNNNNNNNNNNNNNNNNNNNNNNNNNNNNNNNNNNNNNNNNNNNNNNNNNNNNNNNNNNNNNNNNNNNNNNNNNNNNNNNNNNNNNNNNNNNNNNNNNNNNNNNNNNNNNNNNNNNNNNNNNNNNNNNNNNNNNNNNNNNNNNNNNNNNNNNNNNNNNNNNNNNNNNNNNNNNNNNNNNNNNNNNNNNNNNNNNNNNNNNNNNNNNNNNNNNNNNNNNNNNNNNNNNNNNNNNNNNNNNNNNNNNNNNNNNNNNNNNNNNNNNNNNNNNNNNNNNNNNNNNNNNNNNNNNNNNNNNNNNNNNNNNNNNNNNNNNNNNNNNNNNNNNNNNNNNNNNNNNNNNNNNNNNNNNNNNNNNNNNNNNNNNNNNNNNNNNNNNNNNNNNNNNNNNNNNNNNNNNNNNNNNNNNNNNNNNNNNNNNNNNNNNNNNNNNNNNNNNNNNNNNNNNNNNNNNNNNNNNNNNNNNNNNNNNNNNNNNNNNNNNNNNNNNNNNNNNNNNNNNNNNNNNNNNNNNNNNNNNNNNNNNNNNNNNNNNNNNNNNNNNNNNNNNNNNNNNNNNNNNNNNNNNNNNNNNNNNNNNNNNNNNNNNNNNNNNNNNNNNNNNNNNNNNNNNNNNNNNNNNNNNNNNNNNNNNNNNNNNNNNNNNNNNNNNNNNNNNNNNNNNNNNNNNNNNNNNNNNNNNNNNNNNNNNNNNNNNNNNNNNNNNNNNNNNNNNNNNNNNNNNNNNNNNNNNNNNNNNNNNNNNNNNNNNNNNNNNNNNNNNNNNNNNNNNNNNNNNNNNNNNNNNNNNNNNNNNNNNNNNNNNNNNNNNNNNNNNNNNNNNNNNNNNNNNNNNNNNNNNNNNNNNNNNNNNNNNNNNNNNNNNNNNNNNNNNNNNNNNNNNNNNNNNNNNNNNNNNNNNNNNNNNNNNNNNNNNNNNNNNNNNNNNNNNNNNNNNNNNNNNNNNNNNNNNNNNNNNNNNNNNNNNNNNNNNNNNNNNNNNNNNNNNNNNNNNNNNNNNNNNNNNNNNNNNNNNNNNNNNNNNNNNNNNNNNNNNNNNNNNNNNNNGUUAUUCAAAUUUCAGAUUCAAUUUUAAACUUUUGAUAUGUGCAUUGAAAGCUUAGACUUGUUUAAGAAAUUAUUAAUAGACACAUGUUUUAUUAGUGUCAUCUUUGGAUGAUAGUGAGGAUCAUGUGUCUAUUAAUAAUUCUUGAAUUGUCCAGGCUUGGACAGUUUUGGAAUGCAUAGUUCUCUCUGGUAGCUAGUGGCUGAAGUUUUUGUCCCACGUAAAAAUGGGUUUUUCGGUAGCUGCUCCUCGUGUUCUCUGAGUACGUACUAGGUGAAUGGGUGUCAUGUGUUUGUUUUGGCAAAACACAUAAACACUUAUAUAGGUAUGUCUAGUGCUUGGAGAGCUAUCAUUUCAUAAGAGAGUGUAUUGCAAGAAAAGAAGUGCAAAUCAAGUAUGUAAAAUCACAAGAUCAAGCAGCUGAUAGCUUCACUAAGCCACUCAAGCAAGAAGACUUUGUAAGAUUCAGAAGUUUGCUUGGUGUCACAGGAUCAAGUUUAAGGGGAGAUGUUGGAUCAUAAACUUGAUCCAAGAUGAAUAAAUCAAGCCCAACUCAUGGAAGGUUCCAUGAGUAUGUAUGGUUGGUGAGGUUUGAAUUAUUUGUGUUAGGUGUGUUAGGUGUGGUUGGUGAAGUAGGUGAGUGGUAGGUUUUAAUGGAUGGUGAGAAUUUGUUUAUUAGUUGAAUAAAUGAAUGGUUGUGAUUAGUUUUUUUCAUGUAUAAAUACCCCCUCUCCCCUUUGGUUUAAACAUCAAGUGAAGUAGCAAAAUCUCUAAGGUGUAGAGAGUGAAAAAUAAGAGUUGUAAUUGGUGAGGAGUGUUGUUGAAGAAAUAAAAUAGUGUGUUUUAUGUGAGUUUUAUUUAUUAAUUCUCCAACAUGUAAUUGGUGAUGAUUUUGCUGAGCUGACCUUGGUUUUGAGCUUGUAAUUUUGUUUGUAAAUGGAGUGCUUUCUCCAAUGUUGGUUUAUAAAAAUGUUUCAGGACUUGCCGACCUAAUUUUUGUUUCUGCUAGGUUACAGGCUUUAUAUAGCUGUAAUUGAUAGCCAAGUGAAGUUCUCAGCACUUGGCGAGGAUAUUUCUUUACAGAAGUAUUGGAAACUAUUUUUUACAUUAAUUAUUGUUGUCUAUAUACUUUGAUUUUCACAUCUUUUUCUCUGAUUCUUGUGGCUUUGCUUGCUUUCAUAUAUGUAAAUUCUAAUGAAAUUAACCAUAAAAUUGUAAAAUGAUCUUUUUAUCAUAUUGCAAAACUGUGCACACACGAAAAUAUUCUUGUUUAGUAGUACAAAUGAAAAACUAAAAUGAUUUAUUUAACUAAUAUUUGAGCGCAUUAAAAGGAGAUAGUCAUGGACAAGUGUUGGGUUGGUUUGCCAAAUAGAUAUCCAAGUCAUAUACUGAUGGGGUUGAAAAAUUUAUAAAUUUUGCAUUUUAGAAUGUUGUUGCUGGUACAAGAAUUUAUUGUCCUUUUAAGAAGUGUUAUAAUCUAUAUUUCGUUAUGAGGGAAGUGGCUGAUGAUGAUAUGGUUGGAAUGAUACACUGCAUCACAUAAUCAAAUGUUCAAGUUACACUCAACAUUGUUAUGGACUAUCAGUGACAUGAGUGAACUAGACUGAGAAUACCUUCAGUUAUUGAGCUAAGAAGCCAGCUGAGUAAUGUUUGAUCUUGAGAUCUCCAAAUUGUGUAUUCAGGAUUCUCGAUCUGUUGAGAAGAUCCAGCAGCUCCAGCAGUUGUUGCAGCAAAGCUUGAUGAUGCUAUAAAUCGAUUUGGUGCAAUCUUUUCUCCAUUAAUGUAUCCUUCAAGUCGAUUUCCUCUAAUGGAGGCCAGGACUUGAUUUUUCCAAAGCAUGUAGUUAGAUCUAUCUAAUUUGAUUGGUGUGAUGAAAGAAAAAGUUGUUUGAUUUGCAGCUACUGUAUUUUGAUUGUUUGUGAUUGCCAUGAUUGGCUCUGAUACCAUGAAGAAAUUGUAAAAAUGAAUAAAUGCUGUUGUUUGGCAGCUGAGAAAAUACAGAGGAAAAUUUUAUUUCAUUAAUGAAACUGAUAUUUUGUACAUAACAACAAUCACGAACAUGUAGCUAUUUAUACAUGCUUAUGUUCACUAACUAGUUGCUCACUAACUAAUUAUUAAUCACAAGCUCACUCAGCUAAUUAAUAACCAAACACAGAGUGUGCAUUGUGAAGUUAGUUAGGCUGGUAACUGCUGCUGACGUGGAUCUUCUGACGUGGCACUAAUGACAGCUGGUAACUUGACAUGCUGAUUCUUCUUCUUCACUUCUGCAUAAUGACAUAUCUUCACACCAGUCAAGAAGUUAUUUUCAGAUCCCAUACUUAACAAGACAUUACAAUCCCUUGCUGUUAAUAAUAAUUUGCAUCCUCUAUGAUCAUCGCCAAAAGGAAUUCCAACAGUCUCUAAAUCAAGAUAUUUCCAGAUGUUAUCCAGAAUCACAAGGAUCAUCUUCUCUUUCUUCAAUCGUUCAUAAAGUCUACUAGCUCUUCUAGAUUCAGCCUCCUCGGAAAACUCCAGACCUAGUUUCUCUGCAAUUUCCCCAUGAAUCUUUUUUAUGUCUGGAGUUUGGGAUACCUCUGAAAAAACCACCUGAUCAAAGAGUUUCUCUUCACUGGCUUGCCUUGCAAACUCCUUCACCAGUGUUGUCUUUCCAAUGCCGCCCAUGCCGUAUACCCCAACGAUGUUGACAUUGACAUCAGUCAAUGCAUCUUGUAUAGACUUCAGAGUAGAAAGUCUUGAUUUAAAGGCCUCGUAACCUUUGUUAGACUUUAGCCAUACCUCCUCCGCAAUGGUACGGUAGAAAAUUCUAUCAUCAAAUCUCCUAGCUUCUGAUGAGAUAUAAUUAGUAAUCUAGUAAAUUGAGCAAGAAGUUUGAAGGGUUAUUUGGUUUGUUUUUCAACGUGAAGUAAAGGGUAAAAUUGAUGUUUGCAAUGUGGCUUUGGAAAUGUAAAGCAUGAUUAAUGUAAUCUCCAGAGUUGUCUAUAAUGCAUAUAAAUAUAGAACUCUGGUUGUAUGAAAAGGAAGAGAGAAACGAAAAAAUGAAUUAAGCAAUAAAGUUUCAGAAAUUUCCAGCAAAAUACUCUGUUCUUAAAUAAAAAAAUUUCUGCACUUCCGCUUGCACCCAACAAAUUUGGUAUCAGAGCUUUUCAAAACACCCUCAAAAUGACAUCAAAUACCCUACCCACAUUAUUUUCAUAUGCUCCCAGUCAAGUUCCAAUAUUUGAAGGGGUACAUUAUGAAUAUUGGAGUAAUCAAAUAGAAACCUUUUUCCUCUCUCAAAAUUUAUGGGAUGUUGUUGAAGAUGGAUAUGCUGAACCACCAGAAUUUGCAAGUUCUUCAGAUUGGACUCCAGCACAUCAACAGCAGUACAAAGAAAACAUACAGAGAAAUGCCACGACACUUCGAUAUAUCUAGUAAGGUGUUAGUAAGUCAAUUUUCCCAGAAUAUUUGGUGUCAAAAAGGCCAAAAAUGCUUGGGAAAUCCUAAAACAAGAAUUUCAAGGUUCCGAAAAGGCAGUCACCAUCAAGUUACAAACUUUGUGGAAAGAGUUCAAUAAUUUAUCAAUGAAAGACAGUGAAGGAGUUCAAGAUUUUUGCAGUAGAGUUACUGAGAUUGUGAACCAGAUUAAAGGUUGCGGGGACUCCAUUGAAGACAAGAAGGUGAAUGAAAAGGUGCUGAGAUGUCUUCCUCCAAAUUUUGAUCAUGUAGCAGCAGCCAUUAAAGAAUCAAGGGAUUUGUCCAGGAUGACUUUUUCAGAUUUGUCAGGAUCAUUACGGUCUCAUGAGCAAAGAAUCAAUCGACCUUCAAGUCAGCCUACAGAGCAAGCUUUUCAGUCAAAGAUUAAUAAUUUAGAUCAGAAUAAAAGCAGCAAGAAAGACCAGAAGAACGGAGGCUCGUCUCAAAGAAACGGACAGCGUGGCAAAGGGAAAAGAGAAUAGAACGACAACCGCAACAAGUGGAAAAAUGACAGAGGGAAUUCACAGCAAAAUUCAGAUUCUCGGUGCAUCAUUUGUAAUUGGUCUAAUCAUGAAUUAAAAGAUUGUCGUUAUAAAUGCACAAGGUGUCGCAUUCCUAACCAUUCUCAAAGGGAUUGUUGGUAUCAAAAUAAAAAAGGCAAAAAUGAGGCAAAUUUUACAAAAGAAGGUGAUGGAGAUUACUUGUUUUAUUCAAGUAAAGGUACUGAACGUGAAUCAUAUAAUUUUUGGUACUUGGAUAGCGGCUGCAGCAACCACAUGACUAGAGAACGUGACAUUUUCAUCAGCCUUGACUAAAGUUUUAAUUCGCAAGUGAAGCUUGGAGAUGGAAAGAUGCAGAAAGCUGUGGGAAAAGGCACUAUUGCUGUCCAUACAAAGGGAGGUAACAAAAAGCUCAUUUCUGACGUUCUUUAUGUUCCAAAUUUAACUCAAAACCUCUUGAGUGUGGGACAGCUAAUUCAAAAGGGUUUUUCAAUUUAUUUUGAUGAUGAAAAAUGCAAAAUUAUUGAUAAAACUAAUAAUCACACAGUGGCCGUUGUUGAAAUGUCAAAGAACAAAGUUUUUCCUCUUGUUAUGCCACUUGAUGAGAAUGUUGCUCUCAAAACUGAAAAUUCAGAUUUGUCAACUUUAUGGCAUCUCAGAUAUGGCCAUUUAAACUAUAAAGGGCUGAAUUUGCUCAAGCAAAAGAACAUGGUGAUUGGCCUACCUGAUGUUGGAAGAUAUGAAAAAGUUUGCGAGGGCUGUAUUUAUGGAAAAAUGCAUAGACUUCCAUUUCCUAAAAAUUCAUGGAGAGCCAAAGCUCCGUUGGAGUUGGUGCAUGCUGAUAUUUGUGGUCCUACAAGGACUUUCUCUCUCAAUAACAGGAGAUAUUUCAUUCUUUUUGUUGUUGACUAUACAAGGAUGAUGUGGAUUUAUUUUUUGAAUGAAAAAUCAGAAGCUUUCUCAACUUUUCUUCAGUUUAAAGCUCUUGCAGAAAGGCAAAGUGGAUGCAAAAUGAAGACCUUGAGAACUGAUCGUGGUGGUAAAUUUAUCUACACUCCAUUCAUGAAUUAUUGCGGGGAUAAUGGAAUUCAAAGACAACUUACUGUCAGCCGAAGUCCACAACAAAACGGAGUCGCAGAACGGAAGAACCGUACCAUUGUAGAGAUGGCAAGAAGCAUGUUAAAAGGCAAAGGCAUUCCUAACAACUUAUGGGCAGAAGCAUGUCAUACAGCUGUGUACAUCCUCAACAGGUCUNNNNNNNNNNNNNNNNNNNNNNNNNNNNNNNNNNNNNNNNNNNNNNNNNNNNNNNNNNNNNNNNNNNNNNNNNNNNNNNNNNNNNNNNNNNNNNNNNNNNNNNNNNNNNNNNNNNNNNNNNNNNNNNNNNNNNNNNNNNNNNNNNNNNNNNNNNNNNNNNNNNAUAGUGAUGAGUCUAAAGGGUAUCGGUUGUUGAAUCCUACAACAAAUAAGCUUGUUAUCUCAAGAGAUGUUGUAUUUGAUGAGGCAUCAGCUUGGCAGUGGGAAAACGAUCAAUCUCAAGCAUCUAGCUUUUUUGAAGCUCCUGUAUCUCCACCAAAUUCUUCACAGCAAAAUAAUUUGGAACCAAAUUCUCCAAAUUCAGCAGCAGAAAGUUCUUCGGAUGAUGAAAGCCCUCCAAGGAAGAUAAAGUCAAUGAGAGAAAUUUAUGAGUCAUGUGAACUUGCUUUAUUUUCUUGUGAGCCUCAAGACUUUGAGGAGGCCUCAAGAAAUGAAGAUUGGAUCAAAGCAAUGAACGAGGAAAUGGCCACCAUUGUGAAAAAUAAAACUUGGGAGAUGGUUAAUUUGCCAAAUGGAAAAGAAACAAUUGGGCUGAAAUGGAUCUUCAAAAUCAAGUACAAUGAAGAUGGUUCAGUUCAAAAAUAUAAGGCGCGGCUCGUUGCCAAAGGAUACUCUCAGCUGCCUGGAGUUGAUUUUACAGAAACAUUUGCUCCCGUAGCUCGAAUGGAGACUAUUCGAACUGUUCUUGCCUUGGCAGCCCAAAUGGAAUUAAAUGUGUUUCAGCUAGAUGUAAAAUCGGCAUUUCUAAAUGGUGAAAUUGAAGACGAGGUUUAUGUUGAGCAGCCUAAAGGAGACUAAACGCAACNNNNNNNNNNNNNNNNNNNNNNNNNNNNNNNNNNNNNNNNNNNNNNNNNNNNNNNNNNNNNNNNNNNNNNNNNNNNNNNNNNNNNNNNNNNNNNNNNNNNNNNNNNNNNNNNNNNNNNNNNNNNNNNNNNNNNNNNNNNNNNNNNNNNNNNNNNNNNNNNNNNNNNNNNNNNNNNNNNNNNNNNNNNNNNNNNNNNNNNNNNNNNNNNNNNNNNNNNNNNNNNNNNNNNNNNNNNNNNNNNNNNNNNNNNNNNNNNNNNNNNNNNNNNNNNNNNNNNNNNNNNNNNNNNNNNNNNNNNNNNNNNNNNNNNNNNNNNNNNNNNNNNNNNNNNNNNNNNNNNNNNNNNNNNNNNNNNNNNNNNNNNNNNNNNNNNNNNNNNNNNNNNNNNNNNNNNNNNNNNNNNNNNNNNNNNNNNNNNNNNNNNNNNNNNNNNNNNNNNNNNNNNNNNNNNNNNNNNNNNNNNNNNNNNNNNNNNNNNNNNNNNNNNNNNNNNNNNNNNNNNNNNNNNNNNNNNNNNNNNNNNNNNNNNNNNNNNNNNNNNNNNNNNNNNNNNNNNNNNNNNNNNNNNNNNNNNNNNNNNNNNNNNNNNNNNNNNNNNNNNNNNNNNNNNNNNNNNNNNNNNNNNNNNNNNNNNNNNNNNNNNNNNNNNNNNNNNNNNNNNNNNNNNNNNNNNNNNNNNNNNNNNNNNNNNNNNNNNNNNNNNNNNNNNNNNNNNNNNNNNNNNNNNNNNNNNNNNNNNNNNNNNNNNNNNNNNNNNNNNNNNNNNNNNNNNNNNNNNNNNNNNNNNNNNNNNNNNNNNNNNNNNNNNNNNNNNNNNNNNNNNNNNNNNNNNNNNNNNNNNNNNNNNNNNNNNNNNNNNNNNNNNNNNNNNNNNNNNNNNNNNNNNNNNNNNNNNNNNNNNNNNNNNNNNNNNNNNNNNNNNNNNNNNNNNNNNNNNNNNNNNNNNNNNNNNNNNNNNNNNNNNNNNNNNNNNNNNNNNNNNNNNNNNNNNNNNNNNNNNNNNNNNNNNNNNNNNNNNNNNNNNNNNNNNNNNNNNNNNNNNNNNNNNNNNNNNNNNNNNNNNNNNNNNNNNNNNNNNNNNNNNNNNNNNNNNNNNNNNNNNNNNNNNNNNNNNNNNNNNNNNNNNNNNNNNNNNNNNNNNNNNNNNNNNNNNNNNNNNNNNNNNNNNNNNNNNNNNNNNNNNNNNNNNNNNNNNNNNNNNNNNNNNNNNNNNNNNNNNNNNNNNNNNNNNNNNNNNNNNNNNNNNNNNNNNNNNNNNNNNNNNNNNNNNNNNNNNNNNNNNNNNNNNNNNNNNNNNNNNNNNNNNNNNNNNNNNNNNNNNNNNNNNNNNNNNNNNNNNNNNNNNNNNNNNNNNNNNNNNNNNNNNNNNNNNNNNNNNNNNNNNNNNNNNNNNNNNNNNNNNNNNNNNNNNNNNNNNNNNNNNNNNNNNNNNNNNNNNNNNNNNNNNNNNNNNNNNNNNNNNNNNNNNNNNNNNNNNNNNNNNNNNNNNNNNNNNNNNNNNNNNNNNNNNNNNNNNNNNNNNNNNNNNNNNNNNNNNNNNNNNNNNNNNNNNNNNNNNNNNNNNNNNNNNNNNNNNNNNNNNNNNNNNNNNNNNNNNNNNNNNNNNNNNNNNNNNNNNNNNNNNNNNNNNNNNNNNNNNNNNNNNNNNNNNNNNNNNNNNNNNNNNNNNNNNNNNNNNNNNNNNNNNNNNNNNNNNNNNNNNNNNNNNNNNNNNNNNNNNNNNNNNNNNNNNNNNNNNNNNNNNNNNNNNNNNNNNNNNNNNNNNNNNNNNNNNNNNNNNNNNNNNNNNNNNNNNNNNNNNNNNNNNNNNNNNNNNNNNNNNNNNNNNNNNNNNNNNNNNNNNNNNNNNNNNNNNNNNNNNNNNNNNNNNNNNNNNNNNNNNNNNNNNNNNNNNNNNNNNNNNNNNNNNNNNNNNNNNNNNNNNNNNNNNNNNNNNNNNNNNNNNNNNNNNNNNNNNNNNNNNNNNNNNNNNNNNNNNNNNNNNNNNNNNNNNNNNNNNNNNNNNNNNNNNNNNNNNNNNNNNNNNNNNNNNNNNNNNNNNNNNNNNNNNNNNNNNNNNNNNNNNNNNNNNNNNNNNNNNNNNNNNNNNNNNNNNNNNNNNNNNNNNNNNNNNNNNNNNNNNNNNNNNNNNNNNNNNNNNNNNNNNNNNNNNNNNNNNNNNNNNNNNNNNNNNNNNNNNNNNNNNNNNNNNNNNNNNNNNNNNNNNNNNNNNNNNNNNNNNNNNNNNNNNNNNNNNNNNNNNNNNNNNNNNNNNNNNNNNNNNNNNNNNNNNNNNNNNNNNNNNNNNNNNNNNNNNNNNNNNNNNNNNNNNNNNNNNNNNNNNNNNNNNNNNNNNNNNNNNNNNNNNNNNNNNNNNNNNNNNNNNNNNNNNNNNNNNNNNNNNNNNNNNNNNNNNNNNNNNNNNNNNNNNNNNNNNNNNNNNNNNNNNNNNNNNNNNNNNNNNNNNNNNNNNNNNNNNNNNNNNNNNNNNNNNNNNNNNNNNNNNNNNNNNNNNNNNNNNNNNNNNNNNNNNNNNNNNNNNNNNNNNNNNNNNNNNNNNNNNNNNNNNNNNNNNNNNNNNNNNNNNNNNNNNNNNNNNNNNNNNNNNNNNNNNNNNNNNNNNNNNNNNNNNNNNNNNNNNNNNNNNNNNNNNNNNNNNNNNNNNNNNNNNNNNNNNNNNNNNNNNNNNNNNNNNNNNNNNNNNNNNNNNNNNNNNNNNNNNNNNNNNNNNNNNNNNNNNNNNNNNNNNNNNNNNNNNNNNNNNNNNNNNNNNNNNNNNNNNNNNNNNNNNNNNNNNNNNNNNNNNNNNNNNNNNNNNNNNNNNNNNNNNNNNNNNNNNNNNNNNNNNNNNNNNNNNNNNNNNNNNNNNNNNNNNNNNNNNNNNNNNNNNNNNNNNNNNNNNNNNNNNNNNNNNNNNNNNNNNNNNNNNNNNNNNNNNNNNNNNNNNNNNNNNNNNNNNNNNNNNNNNNNNNNNNNNNNNNNNNNNNNNNNNNNNNNNNNNNNNNNNNNNNNNNNNNNNNNNNNNNNNNNNNNNNNNNNNNNNNNNNNNNNNNNNNNNNNNNNNNNNNNNNNNNNNNNNNNNNNNNNNNNNNNNNNNNNNNNNNNNNNNNNNNNNNNNNNNNNNNNNNNNNNNNNNNNNNNNNNNNNNNNNNNNNNNNNNNNNNNNNNNNNNNNNNNNNNNNNNNNNNNNNNNNNNNNNNNNNNNNNNNNNNNNNNNNNNNNNNNNNNNNNNNNNNNNNNNNNNNNNNNNNNNNNNNNNNNNNNNNNNNNNNNNNNNNNNNNNNNNNNNNNNNNNNNNNNNNNNNNNNNNNNNNNNNNNNNNNNNNNNNNNNNNNNNNNNNNNNNNNNNNNNNNNNNNNNNNNNNNNNNNNNNNNNNNNNNNNNNNNNNNNNNNNNNNNNNNNNNNNNNNNNNNNNNNNNNNNNNNNNNNNNNNNNNNNNNNNNNNNNNNNNNNNNNNNNNNNNNNNNNNNNNNNNNNNNNNNNNNNNNNNNNNNNNNNNNNNNNNNNNNNNNNNNNNNNNNNNNNNNNNNNNNNNNNNNNNNNNNNNNNNNNNNNNNNNNNNNNNNNNNNNNNNNNNNNNNNNNNNNNNNNNNNNNNNNNNNNNNNNNNNNNNNNNNNNNNNNNNNNNNNNNNNNNNNNNNNNNNNNNNNNNNNNNNNNNNNNNNNNNNNNNNNNNNNNNNNNNNNNNNNNNNNNNNNNNNNNNNNNNNNNNNNNNNNNNNNNNNNNNNNNNNNNNNNNNNNNNNNNNNNNNNNNNNNNNNNNNNNNNNNNNNNNNNNNNNNNNNNNNNNNNNNNNNNNNNNNNNNNNNNNNNNNNNNNNNNNNNNNNNNNNNNNNNNNNNNNNNNNNNNNNNNNNNNNNNNNNNNNNNNNNNNNNNNNNNNNNNNNNNNNNNNNNNNNNNNNNNNNNNNNNNNNNNNNNNNNNNNNNNNNNNNNNNNNNNNNNNNNNNNNNNNNNNNNNNNNNNNNNNNNNNNNNNNNNNNNNNNNNNNNNNNNNNNNNNNNNNNNNNNNNNNNNNNNNNNNNNNNNNNNNNNNNNNNNNNNNNNNNNNNNNNNNNNNNNNNNNNNNNNNNNNNNNNNNNNNNNNNNNNNNNNNNNNNNNNNNNNNNNNNNNNNNNNNNNNNNNNNNNNNNNNCUCAAGGAUUUGCAGUUCAAUCAAGAUGCUGCAACAACAAUUUAUUGUGACAACAUGUCAGCCAUUGCUCUAACAAAGAACCCCGUAUUUCAUGCUAAAUCUAAGCACAUUGAGCUGCGUUAUCACUACAUCCGUGACUUAGUAAGCAAAGGAGAAGUUAAUAUGGAGUUUAUCAACACUAAUGAGCAGCCAGCAGAUUUUGUCACGUGGGUCACCGUCGAUUUUUACCAACAAAUCAUAGGUUUCGAAAAUAUAGUGUCUUUUGAUAAAACUAGAGAGUAGGGACAAGCACCUUCUCGGUUGUCUGGAACUGAAGUGAAAAAGCAGUUUAAUAUAGUUACUGAGUAUAAGAUUGAAGACUUGAAAAGAGGAGAACGAAUAAAAUGAGAGAAAUGAUAAGAUUACCUGGAAGAAGAACAGCAUUUUUUAUGAACUAACGUAUUGGUUUUUGAUAUCAUGAUCUUGAUAUCAUGCACUGUUUUGAUUUUUGUUAUGAACUCAGAUCAAAAGUUUAAUGUGAUCAAAAUUUCUUAAAAAUAGUGACAACGACUCCUCCUAAUAACAUUGAAGAUGGCUAUAAAAGAUAAAAGGAAAGGAUUAAAAAGAAAAGCUACGCCUGUUUCAAAAAAAAAAAUGGCGGCAUCAAGUUUAUAACAAAAAUCAAAACGGUGCGUUUGAAAGUGUAUAAAAUACAUUUAGAGCGGGAGUUGCGUUGUUUCUUGAAGGCAGAAUGUUUGUGAGAUUUUUGUCGACGAAGCCAAAACCAAAGAUGAAGCCCAUAGAGCUCAAAACUCCACCGGAGCAAAUUCAGACAAUUACGAGGGUUAUAUUUGACAUGGUCAAGGAAGACGGUCCUCUCACCGUCGCCGAUUCUUGGGAACGCGUCAAGGUGUGUGUAUCUGUUAAAUUGAAUUUCAACCGUUUGGUCUGUAAUUAUAAUUAAUCCUAUCGAUCUGACAGUGAUGAUUGAUCAUAAUACUAGUAGUUGUUUUACAUUUUCUACAAGCUGGAGUGAGUGGAUUGACGGGCAAAAGCCACNNNNNNNNNNNNNNNNNNNNNNNNNNNNNNNNNNNNNNNNNNNNNNNNNNNNNNNNNNNNNNNNNNNNNNNNNNNNNNNNNNNNNNNNNNNNNNNNNNNNNNNNNNNNNNNNNNNNNNNNNNNNNNNNNNNNNNNNNNNNNNNNNNNNNNNNNNNNNNNNNNNNNNNNNNNNNNNNNNNNNNNNNNNNNNNNNNNNNNNNNNNNNNNNNNNNNNNNNNNNNNNNNNNNNNNNNNNNNNNNNNNNNNNNNNNNNNNNNNNNNNNNNNNNNNNNNNNNNNNNNNNNNNNNNNNNNNNNNNNNNNNNNNNNNNNNNNNNNNNNNNNNNNNNNNNNNNNNNNNNNNNNNNNNNNNNNNNNNNNNNNNNNNNNNNNNNNNNNNNNNNNNNNNNNNNNNNNNNNNNNNNNNNNNNNNNNNNNNNNNNNNNNNNNNNNNNNNNNNNNNNNNNNNNNNNNNNNNNNNNNNNNNNNNNNNNNNNNNNNNNNNNNNNNNNNNNNNNNNNNNNNNNNNNNNNNNNNNNNNNNNNNNNNNNNNNNNNNNNNNNNNNNNNNNNNNNNNNNNNNNNNNNNNNNNNNNNNNNNNNNNNNNNNNNNNNNNNNNNNNNNNNNNNNNNNNNNNNNNNNNNNNNNNNNNNNNNNNNNNNNNNNNNNNNNNNNNNNNNNNNNNNNNNNNNNNNNNNNNNNNNNNNNNNNNNNNNNNNNNNNNNNNNNNNNNNNNNNNNNNNNNNNNNNNNNNNNNNNNNNNNNNNNNNNNNNNNNNNNNNNNNNNNNNNNNNNNNNNNNNNNNNNNNNNNNNNNNNNNNNNNNNNNNNNNNNNNNNNNNNNNNNNNNNNNNNNNNNNNNNNNNNNNNNNNNNCAAGCCACAUGAAGAUUGUGUAGAGAUGGAUGAGGGAGAGACAAAAGCUCAGGCUCGUCUGCAACCAUGUGGGCCCUCAUUAGCAACUCCUGUACACAGCUUGGCUUACCAAGCCCAACAACUUGAAGCAGGCAAAGUCAGGGAAUGACCAUUCCCCUUCACAACCCUAGCUGCCUUAACCUUGUAUCUCUGAUAUUUAGUUAAAGAGUAAGAAGAUUGCUCCUCUGUCAAUUACCUUUAAGAGAGACUUUCUUUCUCAUUCAUUGAUGCUUGCUUGUGAACGCAAGGGUUUUAGUUACACUUUCAACGCUGUCAAUGUAGUGACACGAUGAAGAUGAAGUAAAGCAGUAGUAGAAUAAUGAAGUUGGAAGCCCCACAGCAUGAAAACUUUUAAACAGUAACACAUCUUUUAUUCCAGAGGCUGCACACGAGUGACCUGAAUCUUCUUCAGAACUUUCAAAUUUUAUUAAGCAAAGCUUUCAAAAUUUCUCAACAAAAUGAUUAUUUGGUGUGGUUGCGGCAUUUUGAGUAACUGCGAUUUGUUCUCAAGUACAAAAUCCUUGCCUUCCUAAGUUAGAAAAGAUAGAUGUGAAGCAAACCAAAUGAAAUAAAUGGGUAAACAGAACAAACAGGGCGAAAAUUAAAAAUGAUGGCAAUUAACAAAUUAAUAGCAACGUUACAUUUGACUCUUUAGCCCUUUGUUCCUUCUCUUAGCAUUCUUCAAAGUUUUUGAAAAUUGGAAGUGAAGCAAACAAAAUAAAAUAAAUUUAGACAACACAUGCCCUGUAUUCAGCAUCAUAUAUAUCUCGAAGACUAGAAUUUCAAACAGUACUAGUAGUAAAAAAAUGACGACAACAACAAAAAUAGAAAAUUACAAGACUGCUGAUAAAAUUUCAUUUGCAUGCAUGUCUGACAAAAUUUCCGUGAUUUAAUGUGCCUUCAUGCACGCAAAUCCUAACGUUUCUGUGAUCACAAAAUGAAACUGGAGAUAAAUCAGAACACCUACCAAACCUUUGGCUGAAAAUUCAGAAGAAUUUAUAUUCAAGAUGUCAAAGUAAACUGGAAAUUUAUGGCACAUAUUACAAGAAGCAGUACACACCAAUGGUAAAUUGAUUCAUCGUCUUUGAACUUAAGAUAGUCAAAUGAAAGAAACACAACGGAGGGUUAAUGCAAUACAGUAAAGUGAAAACCCUCAGCAUGUAAACUUAACUUCAAAGAACGGAGCACAAGUUUCACAGAAAAGUAGCUCUUAUUCCUGAUGCUGCAAACACAGAGGAGUGUUCUCAAUCUUCUUCAUAACUUGGGAAUUCUGCAAUUAUAGAGCACGACAUUGAGCACGAACUAAAAAAAAAAAUUAUUUUCUACAAUUUUCAUAUAACCUGACUAACCAAUAUUAAUUUUGUGGUAAUGUAUUGGGUCAUUAAUUCAUAUGUUUUUACAAUCAUCACUUUAGAAAAAAACUAAUUUCUCAAUGUGAAAUGGCCCAUUGAAAGUAUUCUCAUUUAAAAACUAAAUUUGACGGACCCCUCGAUUAAAGCAGGGAAAAAAAAAAAAGAGAUCUGAGGCUUUCCACAUGAAAAUGUUGUUUGUCACUUUGAAUGAUAUUUUGAAGGGAUUUCAUUCUAAAAAUAAAAUACCUGGGACCUCAUUCUUCAAAAUUGACAACUCGCCAGGUAUUAAAAGCGUAUGAGAUCAGUACUGCGACGAGUAAGAAGACGACCCCUCUAACAGCUGAAAACAAAAUUCGCAUUCAUCAAUUUAAAUUAAAAUUCAUAUUAUGAAACUAAAACUAAUGAUUAAUGAAUUUUCGAGGAAUUUAAUAAGAUUCUCAGAUAUAAACGUGAUAACAAAUUCACUCAUCAAUAACAAAUAUUCUAACAGUUGUCCGUACCUUUUCUUGAUGUAAUUGUUGUAUGAUUGCGUUAAGGUCAUUAUUAGACCAACGCAGGUUGUCCUCUCUCUGUCCGUACCGGAAGUUUACUCUGACAGGCGUGCUUAAUUCUCUUUUGGUGAAAAUCUUCAUCUUGGGACAACCAAUCACAGCAAGAUCUUCCAAAGAUGGGAAUUUGAAGGUGUAAUUGACAGAGGAGAAGCUUGUGAGACUAUCUAAAUCAAAGAGGGACAACGUAGUCAGUUUGCUGAAAACAAUCUCUUCUUUUAAAUUUGCUGUUUCAUCUUCGUCACUUAUUACGACUUCUGUGAUUGCUCUGCAUCCAAAUACACCCAAUGAUACGAGUCGGUCUAGACUUUUUGCUGUGGAGGAUGUUAGUAAGUUCAUCAAUUUCUUGCAAGCAAAAGCUUGCAGGCGUGUGAGAUUCCGAAAAGAUACCGAUGAUGAUGGCAAUGUUGGAACAUUUUCAAAAUAAAUGUGUCUUAUGGUAAAGACAUGUCCUAUUAAUUGUGCCUUAUAGAAAAUGUACCUUUCACUAAAGACAUGUCUAAUUAAAUGAUGUCUUGUUGUAAGGACAUGUCCAUUUAAUUGUGUCUUGUAGAAAAUGUAUCUUUUUACUAAAUGAUGUAACUUUUCAUGACAACAUUUCACUUAGAGAUGCAUCAUUUCAUGGUGACAUUUCAUUUGAAAUUGUGAUGAUUCAAUUUGGACCAUUGAUUAAAAUCAAAUCUAGAUCCAAUGGCCAUGAAUGAAGGGGUAUCAUGAAAGAUGACAACCCAAAUGAGGGGGCACAAGUAUAUCUAUAAAUAGGGAUCAUGUUUAAGCCAUUUAGACAUGAAAUAAAUGAUCCUACACCACUCUUUUCUUAGCAUUCUUUUCUAGUACGAAUUUCAACACAAAACACCCAUUUCUUUUGUGCAUUCACAUUCCAAUAUAUUGUUUUCUGCAGGAACAAUAUAUUGUUUCUUGGCAGGCUUGCAACAUUCAAGAGUAUUCUGGUUUGCUUUCGUCGAUGCACAGCGCAAGCAAACAAACAAGUGCUUCAUUGUAUCCUGGAGGCGUAUUUGCUUAACCUAUGUGCAUCACUCAAUUGGUGGGGGCAAAUAACGUCUUAAGGAAAGCGACAUUUGUAACGUGCCUUGAAGCACACAAAAUUUCUGCAGUUUCUUCCUAUAUACAGAGUUAGUUGUAAACACAUUACUUUACAUAAUAAAGUUCCACCAUUAUUGUUGUAUUUUUCUACAUUUGCCAUUCCCCAAAAAUUUUACCACCAACAAUCUUAAGACGUUAUUUCUACAACAAUGGCACCAAGUUCAUCUCUUCGACAAUUCACAGUAGAUUUUGUCAAAUUGGAGCGGUUCGAUGGUGGCAACUUUAUUCGUUGGCAGAAAAAGUUGCAUUUCUUGUUGACAAGCAUCAAUGUGGUCUAUGUUCUCACAACACCAAAGCCUCAAGAACGUGAGAAUGAGACAUUAGCGGAAACCAGAGUGCAACAUAAGUGGGAGCAAGAUGACUACGUGUGUAAGGGACACAUUUGCAAUGCCAUGUCUGAUACUUUGUUUGAUCAAUAUCACAACAAACCUACAGCAAAAGAGAUAUGGGACUCAUUAGAGGCUAAGUACAUGAUGGAAGAUGCCACAAGUAAGAAAUUAUUGGCUUCUAAAUUUUUUAAUUAUAGAAUGGUUGAUAAUAGAAUUGUGGUUGAACAACAUAAUGAGAUUUUGCAUAUUCUUGAUCAAUUCAACCAACAUAACAUGAAAAUGGAUGAGUCUAUUAUUGUCUCUUCAAUUAUUGAUAAACUUCCUCCCUCUUGGAAAGACUAUAAGAAAAGUCUUAAACAUAACAAAGAGGAAAUUAGUCUGGAUGGCUUAGGCCAAAGUCUUCGCAUUGAAGAGGAACUCAAGCUUAAUAGUUUUGAGGAUCAGACUACUACGUCCUCUAAAAUUAAUGUCGUAGAGGAAGGGAAGGAGUUUAAACAUUCUAAUCACCCUAAGAAUAAUCAAAAGAGAAAGUUUGAUUCCAAAGAGAAUCAAAACAAUAAGAAGAAAAAGAAGGGUACAUGCCACCACUGCGGAAAACCUGGCCACUUCAAAAGAGAUUGUCGACUUCUGAAGAAACAAAAGAAAGUUUCGAACACAAAUUUUGUGGCCAUGAUAUCUGAGAUUAAUGUUCUUGAAGAUGAUAAUGCAUGGUGGAUAGAUUCAGGUGCAACCAAGCAUGUAUGCAAGGAUCGUAGCCUUUUCAAAUCUUAUAAAGCAAUGGAUGAUGGAAGUGUUCUUUACAUGGGAAAUUCCUCCACUGCAAUAGUUAAAGGAAAAGGCAAUGUGCAACUAGAGUUUACUUCUGGAAAAACUUUAACUCUUAUUGAUGUUUAUCAUGUUCCUGAAGUUAGGAAAAACCUUGUAUCUGGUAGCCUUCUUAAUAAGUUUGGCUUCAAACUUGUUUUUGAGUCAAACCAAUUUAUAUUAUCUAAGGGUGGUACCUUUGUUGGGAAAGGAUACAUGUAUGAAGGAAUGUUUAAACUCAAUAUCAAUAAUAUGAAUGUUUCUUCUGCUUAUAUGGUUGAUUCAUUAUCUUUGUGGCAUAAUCGUUUAGGACAUGUGAAUAUUAGAAGAUUGCAUGAUAUGGCUAAUUUAGAGUUAAUUCCUAAGCAUGAAAAUGAUAUGCAUGAAAAAUGUAAAGUAUGUGCACAGACUAAAAUCACAAGAUCUCCUUUUCCAAAAAUUGAAAAAACAUCUUCUUUAUUGCAUUUAAUUCAUAGCGAUGUGUGUGAUAUGCAUAGUAAUCCUUCUAAAUGUGGUAAAAAAUAUUUUGUAACAUUUAUUGAUGAUUUUUCAAAAUAUUGCUAUGUGUAUUUAUUACAUUCUAAAGAUCAAGUGUUAGAAAAAUUUAAAACUUAUAAAAAUGAAGUUGAGAAUUUUUGUGACACUAAAAUUAAAUGCCUUAGAAGUGAUAAAGGAGGUGAAUAUGCUUUUUCUGAAUUUUGUGAAUCUGUUGGCAUUGUACAUGAAACUAGCACUGCAUGUACUCCACAACAAAAUGGCGUAGCUGAAAGGAAAAAUAGGACAUUAAUAGAAAUGGUUAAUGCUAUGCUUUUUAAUGCUGGGCUUGGUAAAGGUUUUUGGGGUGAAGCUAUUUUAACUGCAUGUCAUAUCUUAAAUAGAGUGCCUAAUAAGAAAACAAAGGUGACCCCAUAUGAAUUAUGGAAAAAGAGAAAGCCUAAUCUUUCUUAUCUAAGAGUUUGGGGUUGUCGAGCCAUUGUAAGACUACCAAAACCUAAGAUAAAGAAAUUAGGAGAAAGGGGCAUUGAAUGCAUAUUCUUGGGAUAUGCUGAGCAUAGUAAAGCUUAUAGGUUUCUUGUAACAGAACCUAAUAGCUUUGUUGAGAUCAAUACUAUAGUGGAAUCUAGAGAUGCAAUAUUAUAUGAAAAUAGAUUUUCCACUAUACCAAAAAGUAUUGAUUCUCAAGAGAAUGAUAAACAAAUAGAAAUUGGUCAAAAGCGUGAUGCUAAUAAUGAGCAAAAUCAUUUGAGAAGAAGUAAAAGAAUAAGGACUAUAAAAUCUUUUCCAGAUUUUAUAGUCUAUUUAGUUGAAGGGACAAGAGACUCACAAUCAAAACAGACCAUGAUCGUAUCUACUAUAGAGUCUGAUCCCCUCACCUAUGAAGAUGCAAUGAAGUCUCAAGAUGCUGCUUUUUGGAAAGAGGCCAUUAAUGAUGAAAUGGACUCUAUUGUGGGUAAUAAGACUUGGAAAUUAGUUGAUUUACCACCUGGCUCUAAUCCUAUAGGUUGUAAAUGGAUUUUCAAAAAGAAGAAGAAAGUUGAUGGAACAAUUGAAAGAUUUAAAGCAAGACUAGUAGCAAAAGGCUUUACACAAAAAGAAGGCCUUGAUUAUUUUGAUACUUAUGCACCUGUUGCAAGAAUUGCUACUAUUAGAGUCUUGAUUGCUUUGGCUUCAAUUUAUCAAUUUGAAAUCCAUCAAAUGGAUGUAAAAACAGCUUUCUUAAAUGGAGAAUUAGAUGAGGAAAUUUACAUGAAACAACCAGAAGGGUUUGUUAUGCCAGGACAAGAACAUAAAGUUUGUAAACUAGUCAAGUCUUUAUAUGGUCUUAAACAAGCUCCAAAGCAGUGGCACGAAAAGUUUGACAAAGUGAUUGUCUCAAAUGGAUUUAAUAUUCAUGAAUCUGAUAAAUGUGUCUAUAGCAGAUUCAAUGGAAAUAAAGGUGUGAUUAUUUGUUUAUAUGUAGAUGACAUGUUAAUUUUUGGUAUUGAUAGUGAGAGCAUUGAACUCACUAAAUUAUUAUUGUCAUCUAAUUUUGAUAUGAAAGACAUGAGACUUGCUGAUGUGAUUUUGGGGAUUAAAAUUAUAAAAAAUGAGAAUGGCCUAGUAUUGACCCAAUCACAUUAUAUUGAGAAAAUUUUAAAGAAAUUUAAUUAUUAUGAUUGUAAGUCUGUGUCAACACCUUUUGAUUCAAACAUAAGACUGUAUCCUAACACUGGCAUAUCAGUAUCUCAAUUAGAAUAUGCACGUAUUAUUGGGUGUUUUAUGUAUGCGAUGACUUGUACUAGGCCUGAUAUUGCUUUCGCUAUUGGAAAGCUCAGUAGAUAUACUAGUAAUCCAAGCCAAGCACACUGGCAAGCAGUGUACAAAAUUCUAAAAUAUUUAAAACAUACAAUGGAUUAUGGUAUAUACUACACUGGAUAUCCUUCAGUUUUGGAAGGAUUUUCAGAUGCUAGUUGGAUUACUGAUCGAGAUGAUCAUACAUCCACAAGUGGUUGGAUUUUUAAUCUUGGUGGAGGAGCUAUUUCAUGGGGUUCAAAGAAGUAAACUUGUAUAGCAGACUCCACCAUGGCUGCAGAAUUUGUAGCGUUGGCUUCAUGUUGCAAGGAAGCUGAAUGGUUAAGGAAUUUGCUUAUAGAAAUUCCUAUUUGGCCUAAACCAAUGCCUCCUGUAUCUAUUCACUGUGAUAGUGAGGCAACUUUAUCAAGAGCAUAUAGUCAAAUCUAUAAUGGAAAGUCUAGGCACAUUGGUCUGAGACAUAGUUAUGUAAGACAAUUACUUACAGAUGGAGUAAUCACAAUUGACUUUGUGAAAUCAUGCCAAAAUUUGGCAGACCCCUUAACUAAAGGUCUUGCAAGGGAUAUUGUAUUUAAAACUUCUAAGGGGAUGGGACUGAAGCCAACAUCAUCUUAUCACCAAUGAUGGAAACUCAACCCAACACUUGAAAUAUCAAGAUCUUGGGUUCAAUGAGCAAAAGUACAUCAUAUGUUGUGAUAGGAAGCACUAUAAUAUUUUUAGAUGCGUCCCAAAGGUUAGUGCUUGAUACUUGUAACAUAUGGGAAAGGUUAAGCUACUUAGCUUUUAAUGGACUUAUAAAUGUUUUAGUUACAGGGACAUUCUAGAUAAGUCUACCUAUGUGAGUGUAUGAGGUGGUGCCGCUUCCUAUGUAACUUGGCUGGUUACUAAAGCGCUAAUGAAAACAGGAUAUAGACACAGGGCCAAUCCACGUGUCGGCUAAGGAAUACUUGAGAAUUUGAAAACUUAUGUGUGAGGUAUAUCCGGUUAGUCGAUUAAGGUCGCUGGUUCAAAGCUUGCCUACCAUGCCACCUUGAUUAACUUUGAUGUAUUGUCACUAAGUGAAGGUUCAAGUCCACAAGACACCUUCAUCUAUGCAUAAGUUUUCCAAGCCUGUGUAAGAUAAUUUUUCAAAAUUCAUUUAUUUUGAAAAUGGUGGGGGAUUGUUGGAACAUUUUCAAAAUAAAUGUGUCUUAUGGUAAAGACAUGUCCUAUUAAUUGUGCCUUAUAGAAAAUGUACCUUUCACUAAAGACAUGUCUAAUUAAAUGAUGUUUUGUUGUAAGGACAUGUCCAUUUAAUUGUGUCUUGUAGAAAAGGUAUCUUUUUACUAAAUGAUGUAACUUUUCAUGACAACAUUUCACUUAGAGAUGCAUCAUUUCAUGGUGACAUUUCAUUUGAAAUGGUGAUGAUUCAAUUUGGACCAUUGAUUAAAAUCAAAUCUAGAUCCAAUGGCCAUGAAUGAAGGGGUAUCAUGAAAGAUGACAACCCAAAUGAGGGGGCACAAAUAUAUCUAUAAAUAGGGAUCAUGUUUAAGCCAUUUAGACAUGAAAUAAAUGAUCCUACACCACUCUUUUCUUAGCAUUCUUUUCUAGUACGAAUUUCAACACAAAACACCCAUUUCUUUUGUGCAUUCACAUUCCAAUAUAUUGUUUUCUGCAGGAACAAUAUAUUGUUUCUUGGCAGGCUUGCAACAUUCAAGAGUAUUCUGGUUUGCUUUCGUCGAUGCACAACGCAAGCAAACAAACAAGUGUUUCAUUGUAUCCUGGAGGCGUAUUUGCUUAACCUAUGUGCAUCACUCAAUUAGUGGGGGCAAAUAACGUCUUAAGGAAAUCGACAUUUGUAACGUGCCUUGAAGCACACAAAAUUUCUGCAGUUUCUUCCUAUAUACAGAGUUAGUUGUAAACACAUUACUUUACAUAAUAAAGUUCCACCAUUAUUGUUGUAUUUUUCUACAUUUGCCAUUCCCCACAAAUUUUACCACCAACAGGCAAUAGACUUAACAGAUUUUGACAGUGAUAUGCUCUUAGAAUUUCAAGAUGUUGAAAAAUGAAGUCCGGCUGUUUGGAAUCGUGUUUCCACAGUUGCUGUAGAUGAUUAAGUCUUGUCAGGUGUAACUCUUUUAUCAGUGCUAGCUUCCUCGCAUGUGUCUCCAAAUACCACUUCGUACGAACAAUCCGACAGGUGGAGAAAUUCCAGAUUGUGAAACCUCUCAAGUAAACCAAGUGGAAAGAAAGCUAAGUCAUCAUCCUCAACCUGUAGUCGUUUGAGACUGCCAAAGAUGUGUUGGGGGAAAUGGCCUUGCAAAAUCAUCGUGAUAUCUUUUCCACUUAAUGCCAGUUCCUCCAAGUUGGGUAAGAUCUGAUCAUCAUCGAGCUCAAAUUAUUAACUCAGCACAUUGAUCCAUAAUUCAAGACUGGCAAAAUUCAUUAUGUAAUCAAAGUUUUCAAUGAUUAUAUAUAUAUAUAUAUAGUGCUUUCGUUGGAAUUAAUUAUUAAAAGCUUUAAUCAAACAAUGUUUGGAUUGGGUCGGCCUAUCCAACUUUUAAAUAAGAUUACCAACUUUAAAUUAAAAUUGCUUUAGAUCGCGGUUGGUCAGGUUUUAGUGGAGGUACGUGGCGUUGUAUCUAGAUCGAUGCAGAGCCAAGUCUGUCCUUUGGAACCAGAUCUGACUUAGGACAGAUCAAUAUUCCGCACGCUCUAGUUUCCAGCCGAUAUACCAAUAUUAUUUACCAAAUAUUUAUUAAGUUCUUUAGUCAAGCCUAGCAACAACAUUCAUCUAAAGGCUUGGGUGCAUACACAGUACUAUUUCCUUCUGGUAUCAGAGCCAAGGGGAGGAUAGUGUAAUACAGUUUAGAGUUUUGUGUUUAAAGACUUGUGUUUUAUUUUGAAGUUUUGUUGUGUGGUGAAUUUUUACUGGUAGUAAGUCCCGUCCAAGGAUAAGUUUUUCGUUUAGGGCUGUAAAACCAUACCUGUAGCCAUUCUGACCAAACCAUAAAUAGACCAUAGGUUUGUAACCAUGGAUCCUCUACUCUGUAGAACAUCGUCCUUUUCUAGCUCUUCUUCCGGGAAGACUAGUGAUUCAAAGCAUGUUGUGAGUUCAGAAGAAUUCGUUAUUGAGAACUUUGAUAAAGCAAUUGAUUGUUGGGAACUUCCAAAAGUUUCUAAAGAAAAGAUUUACAAAACAAAAAAGCUUGAUUUUCUAAAAAAUGAUUAUGUAAUAAAGACUGAAGAAAGAGACAUAACUCUCUCAGAACCUUUUGAAACAAUUCAUUUGUUUUCAGAAAAAUCUUUAAAGAAAUUAAGAGAAAAGAAUUAUAAUUAUAUUCACAUUGGUUUAAUCCAAGUUGGAAUAAAACCUUUGACCAAAGAAGGCUUGGAUACUUCUAUCCUUACUGUCCUUAGAGAUGGGCGAUUCAUCUCUUUUGAUGAUUCUUUGCUAAGUAGCAUCGAAUCCAGUCUUUGUAAAUGUCCGAUCUCUUUUGAUUGUUAUCCAAACAUAACAAUUUCUCUUAAAGAUAAAAACAUUUUGAAAAACAUGAUCUUACAAAUCAAAACGCAUAAUUAUAAUAUGAUUAAGGGAUCUGUCCCAGUUGCCUUAAUUUUCAAAAUUUCUUAUAAAGCCAUGAUCUUUGCGUUCAGUACGCAACACAAAUUCCAGUCAGAAAGAGAUGAAACUCUUCUCUUGCAGACUGAUAUGUCUAAAGCCAAUACUGUCAUUCCAAAACCAAUCUAGUGGAAAGAUGUCAAUCUUCCAGAAGAAUGGAUUCUUGAAGGAGCUGCUCCACCAGCAAUUCCAAAACAACUUGAACCUAAUACGGAGUUGCAAAAAGUGACUCAGUAUUCUGAUGGUAGAGUUAAACUGUCUUUCAGGAGAUCUAACUCAACCAGAUUUUCUGAUAAAGAGUCGUGUUCAAGUAUUCCUUCAUUAGAAAGGAAAUUCACAAAAAUCCCUUCUGUCAUAAAUCUUCAUUUUCAAAGUCAACCUAGGUUUUCCACUUCGGCUAUACCUAGUUCUUCCAUUUGUUCUGUUGACUAUACUACAAACAUUCCUCAUCCUAUUUAUACUAGCAGUCAACAUGAACAAAGAUAGGAAGAGAAGUAACCUUCUCCUCCAACUUCCCCUACAUUCUCUGUUGUCACAGAAAAUGUAAUUAAUGUUAUUGAAAAAGAAUUUGAACUGGAUAAAACUCUCCUUCAUAAUGAUUUUUAUUCAGAUAAUAAUAAAGAAAAGAGACUUUGGUUUUUUAAACAUUUUUUAAAUCAAAGAAAAGAAAUCCAACAAUUUUAUUAUGAAUUUGUGAACCUUCACCAAGUUCAUAUAUUAUUUUUUGAUUGGUUCGAAAUACAUUCUUCUGAUAAUAACAUUUCUUACCCCUUCAAAGAGUCAAACCCUAUUACUAUUAGGAAGAAAACCACUGAAUGGAAACUUUCUGAUAGUGAUAAAACCAUAGAAUCUGAGCAUCCACCUCUUCGGAGCAUAACCGUUGAUCACGGCGAACCUCCUAUUCAAAUUAGAGCUUCACCUUAUAAAAUCCCUAAACCAAAUGAUUCUGAUGCAAAUUUAAGUAGUAUUAUUCAACAGAAUAAUUUCUGUAAUACUAACUUAAAUACAAUAGGAAAACAGUUGACUAGAAUAGAAAACCAAUUCCAACAGUCAACCAUAGCUAUUUCUCCUGUAGCAAAGCCAAUUCCUUCAAAAUCGGAUUCUGAUAAAAAGCUUAAGGAACCUAUUUUCAAACCUUUUCAGGUUUCGAAAACUAGCCAAAAGCUUGUCCAAGAAUCAAAAUCAGAUUUUGCUAAAGCCAUUAGGGAACAACUAGAUAGGAUAGAAGCUGUUUCUUCCUCAUCUAACAGAGUCCAAAUAGCCCCUGAUACUCCCUAAUCUAGCAAGAUUGGAGUAUUAGAACAAGACCAGGUUUUUAUUGCCUCUUCCAAUCUAGAAGCCUUUACAGAAGAACCUAUUCCUAAAGCCAAUAAAAUCCAUUGGGAUUUAGCUCUCCCAACUGUCAAGUCUCCACCUGAUUUGGCCAUAGACAAUAGGCCUAGUGCAUUAAACCAAUCACGUUUUAAUGCAUCCUCUGUCUAUGAGUGGAACAUUGAUGGUAUGUCAGAAUAUAACAUCUUAGGAUUGUUGCAACAGAUGACCAUGGCAGCCAAUGCCUAUAAAACCCAAUCGGGAACUUCUGACAAGGCCAUUGCAGAAAUUCUUAUUGCGGGUUUUACUGGUCAACUUAAAGGAUGGUGGGAUCAUCUUCUUACCAAACCGCAACAAUUAGAUAUCCUAAACUCCAUACAAAUAGAUGAGAAUGGUGCCCCCAUUCUUGAUGAGUUCAAUAGUCCUAUUCAGGAUGCUGUUGCUACCCUGAUUUUGACUAUAUCCCUCCAUUUCAUAGGUGACCCUGCUCACCUUAGAGACAAAAACGCCGAGUUACUAUACAAUUUGAGGUGUAGAAAACUUAGUGAAUUCCAAAGCUAUAAAACCUCUUUCUUCACUAGACUUUUCCUUAAGGAUGAUGCUAAUCAUACAACUUGGAAGGAGAAAUUCCUUGCAGGUUUACCAACCUUACUAGGAGAAAAGGUUAGAAAUUCCAUUAAAGCCCUUUAUGACAACCGUAUUCCUUAUGAUGAGCUCACCUAUGGUGAACUUGUCAGUUUCGUCAAUAAGGAAGGCUUAAAGAUCUGUCAAGAUUUGAAAUUACAGAAACGACUUAAAUGGGAGCUUAAAAAGUCUAAGCAAGAAUUGGGCAGUUUCUGUAAACAAUUCAAUUACGACCCCUUUAAGACUUCUACCUCCAAAGAUUGUAAUGGUAAGUGUUCUACAAAACCUUACAAGAAACAUUACAAGUCUAGAUUCCGUAAAAAACCCUUUCAAGACUUUAGAGAACUUCAUUAUAAGAAACCUUCGAGGCCUUAAAAGAAACCGAGUUCUUCUAAAAAGAAAGAGUUUAAAGCCAAACCAAAAACUCCGUACAAAACCCUAUUCAAUUACAGAGAAGCCAUAUGUCACAAAUGUGGUAUGAAAGGUCAUACUGCAAAAUAUUGCAGAAUGAGCAGAAAGCUCCAUGAGCUAGACCUAGAUGAGGAAACCCUCUCCAAAAUUACCUCUCUGCUCAUAGAGUCUUCUGACUCUGAGUCUUCCAUGUCGGGAGAUAGUGACCCUCUUCAAGUUGAUGAGAUAAUUGACUCAGAUGAUUCUGCAUCUAGCAGUAUUGAUUCUGAAUCAGAUCCUUAUUUAAAGAAAAUCAAUGUUUUAACUAAAGACCAAGAAAUUUUUCUUGAACUUGUAAAACAUAUUUCCGAUCCGAAUCUUCAAAAGGAAUACCUAGACAAACUUUUGAAAACUCUGGAUUCUAACAAAGCAGAAACUUCUAAAGUUCCAAUUGUUAAAAAGAAUUCUUACGAUCUCACUGAAAUUUUGGAUAAAAAGAAAACAAAAAAGUUAAUUCCUAAUAUCCAAGAUCUUCAUAAAGAAAUCAAAGAUAUCAAAAUUGAGAUUAAAGAAUUAAAAGAAAAACAAAAGAAAGAUUCUGAAACCAUCCAACUUCUUAUACAAAAACAAUUAGAAGAAAACUCAGAAAAAGAAGUUGAAUCUGAAAGCGAUAACAAUCAAAAUGUUGACAACAUUGAAUCUGUACCUAAUGAUUUUCUGUUUGUCCUAAAACAAAUCACCACUAGAAAAUACUUAAUUAAAAUAACUUUGAUUUUUUCCAAAGACUUUGCUAUUGACGCCAUUGCCCUUUUCGAUACUGGUGCCGAUUUAAAUUGUAUAAGAGAAGACAUUGUCCCCAAAAGAUUUCAUGAAAAAACAAGGGAAAGGCUUUCCACCGCCAACAAUUCAAAACUUAAAGUCAAUUCUAAAGUGGAAGCCUCAAUACAUAACAAUGGAUUCGAAUUUAAAACUUCAUUUCUUCUUACAAAUGACAUUCACCAUACUGUCAUUUUAGGAACCCCGUUCAUAAAUUUAAUUACCCCAUAUACUGUCAAUUAUGAUAGUAUAUCUUUCAAAGCAAAAUCUAAAAAACUUGUUUUCCCUUUUAUUGAGAAACCAAAAACAAGAAAUCUAAAUAUUGUUAAAGCCUGUUCUGUUUACCAAAAUCAAAUCAACGCCAUACUUAAAUCCAAACAAAAUGACUUGUUUUGUUUAAAAAAGAAUUUAAGUCUACAACGAAUUGAAAACCAAUUACAAAAUGAUUUUAUCCAAAGAAAAAUCAAUGAUUUUAGAGACCUCAUUGAAAAAGAAAUAUGUGCUGAUUUACCAUCUGCUUUUUGGAACAGAAAACAACAUUUGGUAGAUUUGCCCUAUGAAAAUUCUUUCGAUGAAAAAAAAAUACCCACUAAAGCCCGUCCAAUCCAAAUGAACAUGGAAUUGGAAAAACAUUGUAAAGAUGAGAUACAAGAUUUAGAAUCUAAAGGAUUAAUUACAAAAUCUAGAUCUCCAUGGUCUUGUGCCGCUUUUUAUGUAAACAAAAAUUCUGAGAUUGAAAGAGGAACACCGAGACUUGUAAUAAUUUACAAACCCUUAAAUAAAGCAUUAAAGUGGAUUAGGUAUCUCAUACCUAACAAAAAAGAUUUACUCCAAAAAUUGUGUUCCGCCUUUAUUUUUUCAAAAUUUGAUAUGAAAUCUGAAUUUUGGCAAAUUCAAAUCCAUCCUAAAGACCGUUACAAAACUGCUUUUACUGUUCCAUUCGGACAGUAUGAAUGGACUGUUAUGCCAUUCGGUUUGAAAAAUGCACCCUCAGAAUUUCAAAGAAUUAUGAAUGAUAUUUAUAAUCCUUAUUCUGAUUUUUGCAUUGUCUAUAUAGAUGAUGUUUUGAUUUUUUCUCAAACCAUCGACCAGCAUUUCAAACAUUUAAAGACUCUCUAUUUUGCCACUAGGAAGGCUGGCUUAGCCAUUUCUAGUUCAAAAAUUUCUCUAUUUCAAACUAAAGUCUGGUUCCUUGGUCAUUAUAUUUCUAGAGGAACUAUUACCCCAAUUGAAAGAUCUCUUGCAUUUGCUGAUAAAUUUCCUGAUAAAAUUCUUGAUAAAACUCAAUUGCAGAGAUUUCUUGGUAGUUUAAAUUAUGUUCUUGACUUCUGCCCUAAUAUCAAUAGGAUGUCUAAACCUCUGCAUGAUCGGUUAAAAAAGAAACCUGUUGCAUGGACAGAUGAACACACUAAAGCUAUUCGAUUAAUAAAAAAUUCUGUAAAGAAUAUUCCUUGUUUAUUUUUAGCCAAUCCUGCAUUACCUAAAAUAGUUGAAACUGAUGCAUCUGAUUUAGGUUUUGGAGGUAUUUUGAAACAAAAGGAAAAUGAUAAAGAACAGAUAGUACAAUAUGUUUCUGCACAUUAGAAUGAUUGCCAGAAAAACUAUUCUACUAUCAAAAAAGAAAUUCUUUCUAUUGUCUUAUGCAUAUCUAAAUUCCAAAGUGAUUUAUUAAAUCAAAAAUUUUUGCUUAGAAUUGAUUGCAAAGCUGCAAAACAUGUUUUAGAAAAAGAUGUUCAAAACAUUGCAUCAAAACAAAUUUUUGCACGAUGGCAAGCCAUUUUAAGUGUUUUUGAUUUCGAUAUUGAAUUUAUUAAAGGUGACACAAAUUCUGUUCCUGAUUUUCUAACCAGAGAAUUUUUACAAAACAGAUAAUGCCGCCAAGAAAGAAUAACAAAGGUAAAGUUGUUCUUAAAGAUACUGAGUCCCAAGCCACCUCUAAAGAACCUCAACCAACUCCCUCUAAAGAAAAACUACUUUCUUCUGCCAUGCCCAUCAAGUCCUGGAUUGAAAUGGUUGAAGAACAUGAAGCCCAAUACAAAACUAUUUCUUCUGAUGACCAAGUAAAGGAAUGGAUGAGUUCCAUUACAAAAUCGCCUGAGCUUAUGCUCGCCCUCCAAAGCUUUUCUCAAAGUCAAAUUUCUCCUAAAGAAGAAAUUGAAAAAGAAAAACCUAAGUCCAAAGAAAUGACAAAACCUUCUUCUCAAAACGUUGUUGUCUCCGGUGAAAGCUCAUCUUCUCAAAUUGUGCUUUCCCAACCAACACUUUCAAAGAAAUCAUCCGAUUGGUUUGAUAAAACCCAUUUUCAAAACAUUUUAUCUAUAGAAGAUGGAUUUUACCAUACUGAUCCUUUUCAAGCAAUUUCAAAGUUUUUCCCCAAAUGCUGGUUUUUUAAACCAUGUUAUUUAACAAAACCCCAGUCUUACUAUCAAAGCAUUUUAGAAAUUACUGAGUCAGUUAAAUUCAAACAUUUCUUUCUCAGUGAUACCCAUUCAGAGCCAGCCUAUUCCACGGCUACUAUUUUAAAAGUCCUGAGCCCAAACCAGUGGGGGGAUCUGCUCCACAAUUUUAAAACCUUCCCUUUAAACUUUCAAACACGUUUACCACAUUGUCGGACUUAUUCCUACUGGGAUUACCAAUAAGCCUGGUAUAACACAUUUUUUAUCCAAAACCCCAAAAAAUCCCACUCUUGGUUAUUUUUCUUCAAUUAAAAAAUAACCGUCCAAAGCCUCCCAAACUGGUUUCAUCAUUGGUGGAAUUCUUUUGGCCCAAUACCUCAAAUCCUAACUCCAAAUGCUACCCAAUGUUUAAACUUCUUUAAAGCCCACUACAUUCCUUCUGAAUCUGAGAAAAGGUUUCCACCCUUUCUCUGUUUCUGUACAAAUUUCUUCCUUCCAUGGGUAUGGAUGUGGAACCUCAGACUUCAUACCCAAGAUGCCCAGCUUAUCUUACAAAGAACAUUCAAAGUAAAAUGGUGGUCAAAAUUUGACGAACAAACCAAACUUACUGAUACCCUCAUCAGAAAUUGGCUUUGUUCCAAAGGCUUCCUCCAACCAACCAUUAAGGGAUCCAAAGCCCAACAAACCUUCCUUACUCAAAAGUCCAAAGCCCAAUCUCUUCUGGCAAGUGCCAAAACCGAAAAAGAAUACUUCAAAGCUAUGGAACAACUCCUCGCCUCCAGGUCAAAGUCAUCAGUGGCAGAUUCCUCUGAAGAUGAAGACAAUGAAGAAGAGGAAGAGCCGUUUAUCUCUCUUGGAGAUGAAAAUGAAGACGACUAUUUCAGAAUUUUCUCUCCUGUAAAGCAUUGUAAAUAAUUAUUGUUUAAUUAAUGUAAAAAAAAAGUAAAUACUCAUUUUUUUUAUUUAUAUCAUUCGGGUGGUCCCUUGGACACAAGUGAGAGCGCACAUGUCUCUUCACCCGUAUUGUAUGUCUACAAAGUCACUAUUUCAACAUACGCUCCAAAAGCUUAUUGUUACAUACGAUCCAAAGCUUACUGUUUGCUUCAACCCCGUUACAGUGAACAGUGCAGAGUUCCAAAGAUUACUGUAUGCUACAGCUCCGCUACAGUCUACAGUUUAAAAUUUCAUUUUGUAUAUAAUCUGAAGGAAGACUCAGACUCCUCAGAUUUUUUGAAUCUCCUCUCUCUCUAAUUUUCAUUUUCUCUCUCUCCUCCCUGGGAAUCAGGAAUCCGAAGGCACUAAGGAAAUUUUUCUGUUUACAGAAUAGUUCCUUACCUUCAGGAUUAAUUUCCCUUUUCUUUUCUACAAAGAAAAAGCAAUUGAUGUAAGCAUUUUAAUUUUCAGUAUUAUUUCAAAGCAUUUGUAAAUUUUAUUUAAGGCUUUCCAUGUAUGUUUAAAUUUCUGUACUUUAAUUUUCGCAAUUUACUUUAAAGCAUUUUUAAAUUUUUAUGCAGACUGAUCUCUAUCAGAUCUGCCAUAAAACUGCUACGUUCCUCUGAGGCAACGAGACCAGAUCUCAAUCCUCAGUUGUAUUCUUUCUCUUCUCCCUCCAUUCCUUUAGAGCACUAUUUCCGGGAACCGGAUCUAGUACUGUGUAUGCACCCAAGCCUUUAGACGAAUGUUGUUGCUAGGCUUGACAAAAGAACUUAAUAAAUAUUUGGUAAAUAAUAUUGGUAUAUCGGCUGGAAACUAGAGCGUGCAGAAUAUUGAUCUGUCCUAAGUCAGAUCUGGUUCCAAAGGCAGACUUGGCUCUGCAUCGAUCUAGAUACAACGCCACGUACCUCCACUAAAACCUGACCAACCGUGAUCUAAAGCAAUUUUAAUUUAAAGUUGGUAAUCUUAUUUAAAAGUUGGAUAGGCCGACCCAAUCCAAACAUUGUUUGAUUAAAGCUUUUAAUAAUUAAUUCCAACGAAAGCACAUCCAUCCUUCGAUCCUAUUUCCUUCUGGUAUCAGAGCCCAAUAAUUAAUUCCUUCAGAUUAAAUCAGAUGCAUCAGUUUCAACUAUUUUAGGUAAUGCGGGAUUGGCUAAAAUAAACAAGGAAUAUUCUUUACAGAAUUUUUUAUUAAUCGAAUAGCUUUAGUGUGUUCAUCUGUCCAUGCAACAGGUUUCUUUUUUAACCGAUCAUGCAGAGGUUUAGACAUCCUAUUGAUAUUAGGGCAGAAGUCAAGAACAUAAUUUAAACUACCAAGAAAUCUCUGCAAUUGAGUUUUAUCAAGAAUUUUAUCAGGAAAUUUAUCAGCAAAUGCAAGAGAUCUUUCAAUUGGGGUAAUAGUUCCUCUAGAAAUAUAAUGACCAAGGAACCGGACUUUAGUUUGAAAUAGAGAAAUUUUUGAACUAGAAAUGGCUAAGCCAGCCUUCCUAGUGGCAAAAUAGAAAGUCUUUAAAUGUUUGAAAUGCUGGUCGAUGGUUUGAGAAAAAAUCAAAACAUCAUCUAUAUAGACAAUGCAAAAAUCAGAAUAAGGAUUAUAAAUAUCAUUCAUAAUUCUUUGAAAUUCUGAGGGUGCAUUUUUCAAACCGAAUGGCAUAACAGUCCAUUCAUACUGUCCGAAUGGAACAGUAAAAGCAGUUUUGUAACGGUCUUUAUGAUGGAUUUGAAUUUGCCAAAAUCCAGAUUUCAUAUCAAAUUUUGAAAAAAUAAAGGCGGAACACAAUUUUUGGAGUAAAUCUUUUUUGUUAGGUAUGAGAUACCUAAUCCACUUUAAUGCUUUAUUUAAGGGUUUGUAAAUUAUUACAAGUCUCGGUGUUCCUCUUUCAAUCUCAGAAUUUUUGUUUACAUAAAAAGCGGCACAAGACUAUGGAGAUCUAGAUUUUGUAAUUAAUCCUUUAGAUUCCAAAUCUUGUAUCUCAUCUUUACAAUGUUUUUCCAAUUCCAUGUUCAUNNNNNNNNNNNNNNNNNNNNNNNNNNNNNNNNNNNNNNNNNNNNNNNNNNNNNNNNNNNNNNNNNNNNNNNNNNNNNNNNNNNNNNNNNNNNNNNNNNNNCGUUGGUCUCUAAUAGGAUGAGGAAUGUUUGUAGUAUAGUCAACAGAAUGAAUGGAAGAACUAGGUAGAGCCGAAGUGGAAAACCUAGGUUGACUUUGAAAAGAAAGAUUUAUGACAGAAGGGAUUUUUGUGAAUUUCCUUUCUAAUGAAGGAAUACUUGAACACGACUCUUUAUCAGAAAAUCUGGUUAAGUUAGAUCUCCUGAAAGACAGUUUAACUCUACCAUCAGAAUACUGAGUCACAUUUUGCAACUCCGUAUUAGGUUCAAGUUGUUUUGGAAUUGCUGGUGGAGCAGCUCCUUCAAGAAUCCAUUCUUCUGGAAGAUUGACAUCUUUCCACUGGAUUGGUUUUGGAAUGAAAGUAUUGGCUUUAGACAUAUCAGUCUGUAAGAGAAGAGUUUCAUCUCUUUUUGACUGGAAUUUGUGUUGCGUACUGAACGCAGAGAUCAUGGUUUUAUAAGAAAUUUUGAAAAUUAAGGCAACUGGGACAGAUCCCUUAAUCAUAUUAUAAUUAUGCGUUUUGAUUUGUAAGAUCAUGCUUUUCAAAAUGUUUUUAUCUUUAAGAGAAAUUGUUAUGUUUGAAUAACAAUCAAAAGAGAUCGGACCUUUACAAAGACUGGAUUCGAUGCUACUUAGCAAAGAAUCAUCAAAAGAGAUGAAUCGCCCAUCUCUAAGGACAGCAAGGAUAGAAGUAUCCAAGCCUUCUUUGGUCAAAGGUUUUAUUCCAACUUGGAUUAAACCAAUGUGAAUAUAAUUAUAAUUCUUUUCUCUUAAUUUCUUUAAAGAUUUUUCUGAAAACAAAUGAAUUGUUUCAAAAGGUUCUGAGAGAGUUAUGUCUCUUUCUUCAGUCUUUAUUACAUAAUCAUUUUUUAGAAAAUCAAGCUUUUUUGUUUUGUAAAUCUUUUCUUUAGAAACUUUUGGAAGUUCCCAACAAUCAAUUGCUUUAUCAAAGUUCUCAAUACCGAAUUCUUCUGAACUCACAACAUGUUUUGAAUCACUAGUCUUCCCGGAAGAAGAGCUAGAAAAGGACGAUGUUCUACAGAGUAGAGGAUCCAUGGUUAAAAACCUAUGGUCUAUUUAUGGUUUGGUCAGAAUGGCUACAGGUAUGGUUUUACAGCCCUAAACGGAAAACUUAUCCUUGGACGGGACUUACUACCAGUAAAAAUUCACCACACAACAAAACUUCAAAAUAAAACACAAGUCUUUAAACACAAAACUCUAAACUGUAUUACAGUAGUUUUCUGGUCAGGGAAUUUAAAGUGCGGGAAAGUCCGGGAAAGCUUUAAAACCACACGGCUUUAAAGGCUUACAAUUUUAAGCCUUUAAAACCAUGCGGUUUUAAAGGUUUCCCGUACUUUCCUGCACUUUAAAAUUCCUGACUGGAACAUUUCUAUAUAUAUAUAUAUAUAUAUAUAUAUAUAUAUAUAUAUAUAUAUGUAUGUAUAUUUCUUCUCUAGUGCGGACGCCCUCAUUUUCUUUUUCAUGCGGACCAGUUUUUAGACCCCAUGGUUUAAAAGACUUAGUUUUUAACUCUCUAAAACCGCAUGACUUUAUAAUUCAUUUAAAAACUAACUAUCUUAAACCGCACGGUUUAAAAGUGUGUCCCCAUUAAAAAAAAUGCGGACCCCCACACCUAAGAAUGAUUAUAUAUACAUACACGCUCUUAAACCGUGGGACUUGAAAGCUUCUCCGCAUGAAAAAAGUAAAAAAUGAGAGCAUUCCCACUAGAAAAAAACUCCAUAUAGGUAUUUAUUAAACCUCCUAAUCUGUGAGUGAGGAACAACAAAGAUAAUUGAUAAAAAAAAUCUAAAAUUUGGUUUCAUACCUUCUUGAACGAGAGCAGGGGCUGUUGUACCGGAAUACCAAAUUGAUCAUUCUCGUUAUUCUGGGACAACGUUAUUUUAUCACAAUUACAGGCUUCCAAUUUUUUUAGUGCUGGCCAUUCUGAAGUAUGCAUUCCAGGGUAUAAACAUCUGAGUUCUGGCUUUUGGAAAGACAAAAUAUGGGGUCACUUGAUCUGCUGUGUCUUUGGAGAUGAUCUCUUGUAAACCCAUACAUAUCCGUAUCUCCAGGUGUUGGAGGUGCUUAAGGCUUUGGAUCAUAGAAGCUGAAAAUAUGUAUUUUAAUUUGUCACAGCCCCACACUAUCAAUCUUGUCAAGCUUUGAAAGCAAGUAAUCAUGGCCGUAAGUUGAUUGUCAUGCCAAAUCUCGUCGACAUUAAUAGCAUUCAGCUCCAAAGCCUCCAAAUUUGGCAACACUACCUAAAGAUAAUUUUCUCUUUAGAUCCAAUAUCAGUAUGAAAAGCACUUGUUUUGACACAAUAUCCAUAUGAGAAGCACUUAAUUAAGAGCUUAAUUAGCGAGUGUAUCAGACUUUUUUUUUUCAAAUGCGAGUGCAUGAUAGAACUAAAAAAAAAAGAAGAAGCAUUGGCCUACGUACCUUCUUGUUGAAAAGCAGAGUUGACGUUUCGGAACUGAUCUCGUUGGAACUGGCUGUCAAUUCCUCUUGCGACUCUUGUCUGUUUGGUGAUGUGGAAGGAGUCUUCACUUCACCGCAAAACCUUGUAACCUUUGGAAGCUUUCCCAGACUCAAAGAUCUUAAUUGACCAAACUCUAUCUUCUCAUCAACAUCAACAUCAGCUUCUCCUCCAGUUGCAAAAAUCUCUUCCAUGCUGCUGCAAUUGAUAACUGCAAUCCUCUCCAGUCUUGGAAGGCAUUUUGUACUACUAGAGAGCCAGAAGAUAUUACUCAACUCAUCACAAUUUUCUACUUUUAUGGUUUUGAGUUCAUUGAAGGACUCUAUUUUGAGUCGAUCAAUACAUAUCCUCUCCGUAUUGAUCAAAUUGUGAAGAGUAAGGGACUCCAAAAGAGGAAAGGCGACACAAGGUUCUCUCUUCAUUGAAUCGACGAUACACAGGAUGUCUGGAUUAUUUUGAACAUGGAGAUGCUUCAAUUGUGAAAAUCCCUCGGUGUCCAAUUCUAAAACAACAUUCUUGAUUCCUUGCAACUUAUCCAAACAUAAGUAUUCAACGUUAUUGAUGCCCUGCAACUUCUUGGAGGAAAUGGCCAUAGAAUCAAGCUUGAGCUUCAAUGUUCUUAAACUCUCAAGAUUACUGAUCAUAAAGUGCGGCCGACUUUGAAACCAGUCUUUUCCAAAUAACCAUGGUAGAGUCGAAAGAUCCAUCUCCUAUUGAUAUAUCAAACCUUUCCAGCUUUUUGGUAAAAAAGCCAUCUGGUAAAAUGCUAUCAUCUUUAACAUCUAUUUUUAAGGCGGUCAGUCGCUGCAAAUGCAUCAAUUCAUCGAGGCUGGCAUUACUUCUUUCACUAUUGGCUUUUCUCACUUCCCAUUCAAUAGAGCAGUUACUCAUAUACAGUUCUUCCAAUCGAGUGAAGCUUGAUAAGAUAUUGGGCACAAUAAAUUUUAGUUGCAAGCAAUCUGUUAAAUCUAGCAUCCUUAACUUAGUCAGUUGACCUAGUUCGUCAGGCAACCGUACAAUAUCAGACUUUAAAAAGCUAAGGAUUUCUAGAUUCUUCAACUUUCCAACUAUGGCUAUGUCUCCCAACAUGCUUUGAUCAAGACACAGUGUUUGAAGAUUUGCUAGAAGACCGAUUGAAGAUGGCAAUGAAAAUAAUCGUACCCUUGUCAAAUCUACGACUCGAAGCUUUUUCAUCCCUUUGAAAAAGUUGUUAGGAAUAUUGACCUCGACAAAAGAGUCUUCGGGAUCAAUAUGUAAAAAUUCAAGUUGCGGACAUUCGAAUUCCUCGGAAACUUCAUGAAUGCUACUAUUUAGUAAAGGGAUUGCAUAGCAUUUUUUAAGUGCAUCCUCAUCUGGCCACUCCCACACAGCGUCAUUUCUCACCAAUGAAGCAUGUUGGUCUCGACAUGCAAUUGAUAUGGCAACAUCGCAGACAACAUCAUGCAUAGAGAAUUGUUCAGUACUAUCACCCUCAAGCAACAAACAACAGUCUCUAAGUUCAUGGACCAGUGCAUAUAAUUUGUUUCGUGCAUCUUCCAUCUUAUUGACUCCAUGAAAUAUUCCUAAACCCAUAGAGUAUUUAAGCAAGUCUAAAAGACAAAAACUGUUGCCUAUUAGACUGCAGAGCAGAAAAAUUUUCUUGAGUUGCUCACCUUUUAAAUACUUGAAACUCAGUUCAAUACUUGAAUAAGUCUCUGCAGGCACACCUUCGAAGUUUACCACUGAAGGCGUUUGGAGUUCUCGCAAGGCAUUCUUCCACUCAUGCAGACUCUUGUUUCUCAGUGCCCUCGCUACUGUAGUCAGGGCAAUGGGCAAACCUCCACAUGCCUGGGCUACAUUAAUUGCUGUAGACUUGAACUUACAAUUUUCAACAUCAUCACCAUUCAUUAUCUUAAACAAUCUCCAAGCUUCUUCUUCAUUUAGAUUGCCAAUCAAGAAGUUAUCUUUGGAGCCCAUACUUAAUAGCACAUUAUUGUCUCUUGCUGUCAGCAGUAGUCUACAUCCUUUAUGAUCAUUUCCGAUGGGAAUUCCAACCGUCUCCAAAUCAACAUGUUUCCAGAUAUUAUCUAGAAUCACAAGAAUCUUAUUCUCAUUCUUCAGUCGUUCAUACAGCCUGCUAGCUCUUCUAUAUUCAGCUUCAUCGGACAACUCCAGACCUAACUUCUCUGCAAUUUCCCCUUGAAUCUUUUUUAUGUCUGGAGUUUGUGAAACCUCUGAAAAAACCACCCGAUCAAACAACUUGUCUUCCCUGGCUUGCGUAGCAAACUCCUUCACCAGUGUCGUCUUUCCAAUGCCGCCCAUGCCGUACACCCCAAUAAUGCUGACAUUCACAUCAGUCAACGCAUUUUGUAUAGACUUCAAAGUAGAAACUCUUGAUUCGAAGGCCUUGUAACCUUUGUUAGACUUAAGCCAUAUCUCCUCCGGAAUGGUACGAUGGGAAACGAUAUCAAACUUCUUAACUCCUUCUCCAAGUUCAACAAGGGCCUUCACCUCUGUCUCUGCUUUCUUGCUAAGCUGAUAGCGGGUCUUCAAAUUAGGACACAAGCCCUUGAGACAGCGCUUGUUUGUUGACUCCUCAUCUUCAAUGAAUUUGGCUGCCUGGUCAAUGAUGCCGUUUGCACUGACCAGCCACUUCUCAACCUUCUCUUCAAUCUCUUCCCCUUUUUCUUUCGCCUUUGAAACUCUGCGCUGAAUGCUCGUACGUUCAACCUCAACUUCUCCAUUUCCGCCUUGAGAUUCUCAAGGUUGGCAUUGUAGUUCCGCUUGCGCAAAUAAACAAGUUGGCGUUCUGUCGGAGGAGCCAGGCAUUUUACAAGUUCCAAAACGAGAGUAACAAUGAUUUCCAGCAUCUUGAAUCCUGACAGCAAUGUAGAAGUGAAGAAGGCCAAAGGACAGUAAAAACAGAGAGACAACGAUACGACAAGCAGUUAUAGAGCUACAAAUAAAUAACAAACAAACAGAAGCAAAGUGUUCUUCGAAUGAGAAGAAGGAAGCAAGAAAAGGGUUUCUAUUUAGAUUAAGAAUAAAUGUAAAGAGCUAAAAAAGCUGAUGGGUACAGAAUAAGAAAUGAUUAAGAGAAUGGGGGAGCUAACAAGACUGUGGAGUGAGCAGGCGUAAAUAAACUUUUCUUAACCUUUUGUCAUACGUGUAUAUAAAAUAAUAUAAUUAAUUUUAUAUUUUUAUUCAAUAACUAUUAAUUAUAUUUUUUUCAAAAUUAAUAAAAAGAAUAAUUAAGUACUGAAUCCAAAUCCUAUCCUAAAUGGUUAGAUAAAAAUAAGGGAAUGAAAAGAGUAAUGGUAGAUUAAUGAGAAGGUGAUUGAUUAAUUUAUGAGGCCAAUUAACGAAACGACAGAUCUGGUUUCCAUGUUUGUAGUUUAAGUGUAUGAGUACGAGGUGAACCGAAGCUUUGUCGAGUCAGGCAAAUAGAAAGAGAAAUUACUAAAACAAGAACCAGCAACUUUUACUCACACAUGAGCUAAUAAUGUAUUGAGAUUGUGCAGAGUAAUAUAAAAGAUUAAAACUAGUAUAAUCAAUUUGUCAUCAAGUUUUAGCCUUCUUCUUCAACCAAUUACAGCACGAUCUUGAGCUCUGUGUUUCUUUUUUUAAAUCAUUCAAAAGAUCUCUGUCAUUAAUUUUUCAAUGAUAAAAAUUAUAUUUUUGUCUCAUAAAAUAUAAAAUAUAAAAAAAUCAAACAUAUAUUAUAAGUCCGUUUGAGAUUAUUUUUAAAUAAAGUAUACAAAUCUCUAAAUUAACUUCGUCCCCUUGAAAUUCAGCAUAAAUAUAAAUAGAAUUAUAGAAAUCUUACUACCUUUUAUGAGAAAUCCAACUUAUAUAUUUGAGACUUCUCUCUCUAAACACACGCUUCCUCUCUCUGUACACUUUCCACCUUUAAAUUCUCCUUCAUUAAGUCUACCUAAAUGAAUUUAGCAUUCUCUCAGUUUCUUCAGCAUUUUUCUCCGUGAAAAUAGGUGAAAAAGAGAAAGUGAUUUGAUUAUUUUAAUGUACGACAGAUCUGAUUUCCAUCUCUGUAAUUUAAGUGUAUCAAAACGAGGUCAACAACUCUUGGUCGAGUCAGUCAAAUAUAAAAGACAAAUUACUAAACCAAGCAGAGCCACAAAAAAAAAAAAAAAUCCAAUUAAAUAAUCAUCAAGUCUUUUUCAAUUAAAAUAGGGGGUGCAGAACAACUGUCAAGAGAUAAUCAUUGUUUAUUAUAUUUUCGAUUAAAAUAGUUGCGCGUGAACGAUUGUCCGAAUUCGUAUAAAUUGUUGUAAGGUCUAUUAUAAUUAACAAGUGGAAUGGCCAAUGGAUGAAGAACCACUGUAAUUUCGUUUAUGAAUUUAAAAUGCUAAAGAAACUGGACACCAACGCUAAACGUGAGUCUGCCCAAUCUAGAUAAAUAGGAUAAAAAAUUAUCCGUCGGCUAUCUGAUCUUUUAGCCAUUAUAAAAAAUAUUAAAAAAAUAUACAAACAAUUUUUUUUUUUUUUCAACAAUCCAUCUGAUAUUUAUGAAGUGCAUUAGUGCUCCACUACUAUCAUAACCCUUUAAAAAUAUCGCUUAAACACAAGAACGUAUUGCCUAAAAUUAUUUUUCAAGCAAAUGUAACGACAUAUUUGGUUUUGAUCUUCGUGACUUUUUAAGUGUACAAGAACAAGAUGUAUGACCCUUUGUCGAGUUGAAGAAUUAAAAUAAAUCAGUUACAAAUCCAGAACAAACUUACGGGUGACAUUUUAGUAUUAAGCAAACUAUAAUUGAUCAUCCAAUGAUAGGCUUAUUUUCAAUUAAAUUAGAGUAAAUAUAGACAUUCCAAAUUUUUUCUCUCAAAUUUAAUCCUAGAUAAUGUGUUAUUAAUUGAGUGCUUGGUAAUUCUUUCAAGAUCUAAGUGAAUUAAUUAUAUUAUCUCUCCAACCAAUUGAUGAAUAUUAUAUUAUUAAAUAAUCAUCAAGUAAUACGACACUUCUCAUGUUCCGUUAACAUUUCAGUUAUAUUAUUAAUUAUCAUUUUAAUUUGGAUAGUAUUUUUGUUUAGGAGAAUAUAUCAAUUAUGAAAUUUUUAAUUUUGAAAAUUAAAGAAAUAAUUGAACUGAUUUUUUCUUAUUAAUUGAUAGCUUAGAUGCAUUUUGUUACAUGUUAAAAAAUUAUGAAUACAUAUCCUUUUUGGUAAUUUAAUUACACAAAAGCACUUUUAGUUUUGCACAACCAAACCGUUUAAUGGUUCAAAAGUACUUUUUUAAUUGACAACCAAACACCCAAUGACUUUUUUGUCCAAAAACUCUAUUGGUAUAAGCUCUACUUCUAUAAGCUCUACUGCUAUAAGCUCUAUUUAAUAAGUUGUACCAAACGGAGCCUUAAAAUCUAAGUGAAUUAAUUAUAUUAUCUCUCCAACCAAUUGAUGAAUAUUAUAUUAUUUGAGUUUUUUUUUUGUCUCAAAUCCCAGCAAAGAAAACAGAACAAACGGAGCAAAAAUAUUUUUACAAACCUAAAAUAACAAAAAAAGAACUUUUUCUUGUUUUUCUUAUUUUCCACUGUUAAACUUCAAAAUGAACAACUUUAUUCUACCAUCUCUCAAAUAAUAAUAAUAAUAACAACAAUGUCAUCAUCAUCAAUAAUAAUAAUAAUAAUAUAUUAACUUUGUAGGAUGGAGCUCUCGCAAAUCUUCAAGACACAAAAUGUGCUUGACCCCAUUGUUGUUAAUAUAAUUUCAAAAUCAUAUGUAUUAUAUAAUAUUAGAGAAUAUGACAUAGCAAAAUUGAUGGUACAUAUGCUGCAAUAUACUUGUUCAUGUGGCGACACAUUGAAGUAAAGCACAAGCAGAACAACGAAAAAUGUAACGGGAGAGCUCUCAUUAUGUAGAUUUUCAAUAGAAGUAAUGCAAAUUUCACAAGGGCAAUGGCCUUAUUUCGAAUGCUGCACCUGAGGAAUGACUUGAAUCUUCUUUAGAACUCAGGCAUUCUAUAAUCAUAGAGUAUAGCAUUUCAACAAAAAUAUUAUAUAAACAAAAAUAUUAUAUAGGUGGUUCCUUUAUAUAUUUUCUGGGUACACCUACAAAAAUAUUAUUUUAGGUACAUUUCUUGCAAUAAAACCUGCCCAAUCUAGCGUUUUCGUAAGUUGGGUUUCUCAUUUACAUUUUUUUCCAUUGGUUAAUUAUCACAAACCUCCACUGAGAUUUAGCAUGUUUUUAGUUUGAUAGAUUGUAUUCGCAUAUUCUCAAAUACCUUUUAGUUUACCACUUCGUAUAAAUUAAGUUGGUGAGGAUAAAAUCGUAAAAGUACACAUUAAUGAUAAAAAAAUUCAAGUAAACUUGAAAUUUUCAAGGAUUAAUUUUUCGGGACCUCCCUUGAGGUUCGGUGUAUUAAAAGUCUCAUAGAAUGUAUUCAUGUAAUUAUAAGAACCUCCCCUGGCGUUAGUACACAGUUAACUUGACUGUUAGUGGACUGAUAAAAAGUCAAAAAUGCCCUUGGCUACAAAAAUGAGUGCAACAAUUUGGAGCUAAAUAGUAAACACCACACUGGAGCACUAAAAAGUCUACAAUAAUCAUGGAAAACAAAUCAUUGACAUUUACAUAAUAUAAAAAAAAAAAGUAAAAUAUAAAUUAAGAAAAUCAACAAAAUUGUCAACGUAUUGAAUAUUUACAGCAGCAGUGGCUAUAAAUACAACCAUCGUCAAAUUAAAAUAUCACCAUUAGUAAACUACUUCAAUAAGACAAUAAACCAUGAUUCAAUCUUCAAUGCAUUCAAAAUACACAACCCGCACAAUAGAAUCACAUACGCACACCUGCUAAUGAAAUAUAAGAACAAACGGGAAAUUGAACUGACAUGGCUAAGAUACUCCUUCCCGAUAUCUAUUAGAAAGAUAAUGAGCGAUUUAUGAAUCAUGAUGCUUGCUUUACUUUCUGGCAGUGUUAACUUCAAAUUCAAUGAUAGUAAAUGAACAAUGGUUCAUUCAUUAUGAAAGUAAUUGUAAAGCUAGGAAUUUAUAAUAUUCAGAUGUUGGAAUUAGAAAAAUAUUUCUUAAUCGUUUCAAUUGAAGCCAAGGAAGAAAAAGAAAUGAGUCUUCUUUUUUCAGGCCACAAGCCAUAUGAAGAAGGCAGACCAGAGCAUAAGAACGAAUGCUAUUGCCACAGUAAAAGCCUGGAUCAAUGGGUAAUGGCACCUGCCAUGUCAAUUUCAUGACAAACAAAAAUCAAUUAUCAUCCCCAGACCACAACACCACCAAACCAACCUUUUGCAUCUAAAAUAACAAGUUAAUAAAUCAAAGAUUUCAAUUCAUUUAAGUUUGAAAUCAACUAAAAUAGAAAAAAAAAAACCCAAUUUCUUUUUUGUUCAAUAUAACUCAUUCAGCAUCUUCUUCAACACAUUUUUAUCAUUCUUCAUCAUCACAACAAUAAAAAGAACAAAAAACUUUGAGUUCAACAUGCAAUUCUUUUUUUUUGGGAAACUAACCUUUUUUAGGUUCCAAUUCUAGUAGUCUUAAACAGUAGCCGCCGAUGAAAUUCGCUUGGCAACACCCUUUUGCCACCAUUGCAGCUUGUCAUGUUCAUACUCAACUUAAAAUUACUUGAAGGCAGCAGGGAUUUUAUAGUUACAAAAGUUUCUUCAGAGCUUUUCAAGCUUGAAAAUGGAGUUUUCAUUCAUCUUAGAUAAAUUGAAGAUAAUUUGCAUUGUGGGUAAUAAAUUGAUUAUCAGUGUCUAAAUCUGGGUCAUCGACGCAACAUUGGAUUUUGUUUUGAUUUUCUUUGAUUUUUUUUAUGAAACCACUAAUUUACCCUCAUAUACUAACAAUAUACGAAAUGGUAUACUAACGUCAGUUACGUCAGGGAGCUCCCUAUAAUUACAUGAAUACUUUUCAUGAGACUGUCAAUACACAAAACCUCAGGGGAGGUACCUAAACAUUACCCAAUGGUAUCAUUUCUUGUAUGGAUAAUGGAUGAUUAGAUUUUGUUUUUUUGUUAUCCGACGAAGGAUAUUCAGUUGUUCUUUAUGUGUUCAUAGGCAAGAGCAUGAGCAUAUGCAUGAUUUGAUAUAUGCUUCUUGCAUUUUCUAAUUAAGUGUUCUCUUUCCUUGCCUUCUUAGUUUUGAAAGAAAGAUGUGAAGCAAGACAAACCCAGUGAAAUACACAGAGCAACAGAACCAUCAGAGGAAAAACUAAAUAACAGAACUACAAUUAAACCAAACAAAAUCAAAUAAACCGACGCAACAGAUGCCCUGAAUCAGGCAUUCCUUUUUCUCGAAAGAAAAUAUGUUUGCAUGGGUGGGAACCCAGUAUUUACUCAAGAGUUGAGGAGUUGGAAAGAUUUGGUAUUCAUAUCUUCUCAAUUCAUAUGCUUUAAUGCAGAAUCGACAGCUUUAUAUUAUUUUAUACACUUGCACUUGCUUGAGUAUUUGUGCCGACAUUUUCAUAUGUGAUGCUACUUCUUAGCCAGUAGAUAUGUUGAAGUACUACAAAACAGAGUAUUUGAUGAAGUUUUGCUACUUUCGUAUCCCCUUUUUUGUUGAAUUCUUUAUAAACAAAAAUUAGAAAGCUACAAAUAAUACAGUAGCUUGAAUUUAUAUGCUUUUAUGAUUAUUUGAUAGUUUAGUGCUGAUCAUAUGUGAUGAUAAACUUAGCUAGUAGUUUUAUAUUUAUUUUCAUAGUUUCCUUAGCGUUCACAUUUUGAUGAGUAAAUUAAGGAUUUCCAGAUGAAGUACAUAAUUAGAUGAAUGCUAAGGAACUGAAGUUUGAUUAAUUGAAAACAAAAAUAAUAAUGAACGUAAUUACGAAAAUGAACAAUGCAGAAGUAGUCCCUAUAGUAUUUCUAUAUUUUCUCUUGGUGUUUCUUAGUAUUCCUCAAUAUUUUUAAAAAAUGACAUGACGAUCUUUGAGUUGACAAAUCUUGGCCUGCUGCUUAGUACCCUUCCAACAUAUAAAGUACUAGAUGUUUUACUGAGAAAAUGACAAGAUCAUUUUUCAAAUUUCUUGCGCAUAUAUACGUAUGUACACGAGAAAUGAGAAUCAGUGAUUAUAAGACCUUGCAAUGAGACAAUAAUACAUCAUCAAAUCUAAAAAUACACAAGAAAUUCGGGACAUAUAAAUAACAAAAGACCUCUCAUUGAGUCAUCCAUAUUGAGAAUAAAAUGUCAAAAUGCAUACAAAGAGCUUAUACAGAAAAUGAAUGUACACAUAUUUAGAAUAAACUGUCUUUGAACUUUCGAUGGUCAAACAAAAGAAACAGACAGGAUAUAACACACACUAUCAUAGAUGUAGCGACACGGUGAAGUAAAUCACAUGAAGAUGGAAACGGAAACCCUUCACAACAUAAAAUUUGAAUAGAGGGGGAAAAAAAGGCUUCAUUUCGAAUGUUGCACGAAAGAAGAGUGACUUGAAUCUCCAUCAGUAUCCAAACAUUCUGCAAACAUAGUGCUGAGAAUUUUAACAAGAAUAACAGACAAAAUAUUGUGCUUCUAUACUUGUCAAAAAACUAGACAAAAAUAGUUCCCUUUUUGGUUUGUGAAAACUUGAUAUUUUUGAAAAUUCUAUCCAAUGCUUUCAAACAAUAUUUCCAUAAUAUAGUUGUUCAUAGCUAACCUUUGAUGGUGUAAGGAUUUGUUGUAGGCAUAAUGGGCUAAUUAUAUAUAUAUAUAUAUAUUUUUUUUUUUUUUUUUUUUACCCGCUGAAUGAUAUUCAGCUUCUUAAUUAUGUGUUCAUAGGCAGGAGCAUUUUCUUAAGUACUUUCGUUGCCUUCCAAGUUUCCAAUGAACAAACAGAGCACAAACAAAUUUAACGGAACAGUAACGAUGACAAUAAAUAAUUGGCAAGGAAAGAAAGAAAAAAGUUUGCAUGAUUUCAGGGAAUUAUAAAAUCUGAACACUUUCAACAUGCAAGUGUUGCCCCUCUUAAUGAAAUUUCAUCAUAAAAUGCUUGCAAGGAAUUAUAAAAUUUUAGAGAACAAGGGAACUCUCAAAACAAAAUACUCAAAUUAAAUUACAAUAGGCCAAAAGACGCUCAAUGACGCAAAUCUGCCCAUAAAAGCUUGAACGAAUCAUGAAAAGUGCAUUCCAUAUUGAUAGUAAACCAAGUGACCCAUUCUAAACAAUUGAGAUGAAAUUGUGAAACAACCCACGAGAUCAAAUAAAUAAAAUAAGAAUUAAUUACCAGCUGGGACUUUCUUCUUCAAAUUCGUAACUCCAAGUCAUAAGAAGCCUAUGAAAUUAGUCGUAAUCCACAGAGUAUGACGACGACCCCGCCAACAGCUGAAAAUAAAAUUCUUAUUCAUCAAUUUAAACUAACUUUAUAACAAAUAUCUUAUCGAUAUUUUAUUUAAAAAGAAAAAGCAAAUUUUGUAAAAUUUUUCCAUGGGAGAUAGAGAAUAACAUGUAUAUCCGUACCUUCUCAGCAUGUAAUUGUUGUAUGGUCGUCUUAAGAUCAUUACUAGCCCAACGCCGUUGAUUCGAUGUCUCUCCAUACCAAACGUUUACUCUUGGAGGCGUGCUUGAUUCUCCUGUAGUGAAAAUCUUCAAUUUGGGACAACCAAUCACAGAUAGAUCUUGCAAAGAUGGGAAUUUGAAGGUGUAAUUGGCAGAGCAAAAACUUGUGAGGCUAUCUAAAUCAAACAGUUCCAACCUCUUCAAUUUGCGGAAAACAAUCUCUUCUUUUUCAACCCCGUCUUUGUCAUUUAUUACCACCUCUGUCAUUGCUCUGCAUCCGUAUACACAAAGUGAUACGAGUUGCACUAGAGUUUUUGCUGUGGAGGAUGUUACCAAGUGUAUCAAUUCCUUGCAACCGAUAGCUACAAGUUUUGUUAGGUUCCGAAAAGAUACCGAUGAUGAUGGCAAUAGAAUUAACAGACUUUGACAAUGAUGUACUUUUAGAAUUUCAAGAUACUGAAAAAUGGGGCCAAGUUUGGAAUCUUGUUUGCACACCUGCUUCAGAUGAUAGUGCCGGUACAGCUUUAAUUCUUUUAUCAUUGCCAACUUCCCCACAUGUUUCUCUAAGCAUCCUUCCUUCGAAAAUACCUCUUCGUCGAAUGAAAAAAAAAACAGUGAGAGUAUUUCGAGAUUGUGAAAUCUCUCAAGUACGUUCCAGAUUGGAAAACCAGCUGAGUCAUCUUCAGCAAUCACUAGUCGUUUAAGACUGCCAAAAACGUGUUGUGGGAAAUCGGCCUGCAAAAUCAUCUUCGCGUCUUUUCCGCUUAGUGAUAGUUCCGUCAAGUUGGGUAGGAUCUGAUCAUCAUCAAUCAUAAUAACUGAUAAGGUCAAUUGGUGUUUUCUCAAAUGAUUUUAAGUAAUCCAAUCACAUGCAGUGACUUUAUAGUAUUUGUUUUAUAUUAUAUUUUACAAAAAAAAAAUUGAAUUAUUGAUAAAAUUUAUUAAAUGAUUUUUUAUAUAUUAAUUUUAGAGGUAAAAAAGAAAUUAGGGAAAAAAAGAAAUUAUUUUAUUGGUAAUUAAGUGUUUGGUAAAUUUUGUUUCAAGAAGUACUGUAAAUUUUGAAAACAAUUAUGGUCGUUUGGUAAAUUUUACUGUUAAACUGCUGAGAGAAAAUAAAUGACUAAAAUAUCCAUAAUAUAAGAUAAAAUUUACUUAUAUAUCUCCUAAAAGCAAUCCCAAACGGGCCCUAAGGAUUCUUUUAUAAAUGUUAUACCUAAAAAAGUUCAUAUAAUUAUUAAUCUACCACAUUGAUCCCUUAGUCUAGACUAGCAAAGAUUAUUGUAUAAUAAAAGUUUUCAAUUUAUUGAGUAUUAAUUUAUCAUUGCUUUGUCAUAUUUUUCAAAGUUAAAAAUAUGCUAUUGAUAAAAAAAUCUAGAAAAUGGCUUCAUACCUUUUCCAACGGCAAUGGGGGCUGUUGUGCAGGAAUACCAAGUUGAUCAUUCUCAUUAUUCUGCGAUAAAUCUGCAGCGAAUAUCUUUAAUUUGUCACAACGAUACACUAAAAGCAUUUCUAGCGCGAGCCAUUCCAAAGUAUGCAUUCCAGGGCACAAACAUCUAAGUUUUGGUAGAUCUUGGAGUCUCAGAGUGGUGAGCUGUGGAAAGACAGAAUAAGAAUUUGUCACUUGAUCUGCUCUGUUUUCAGAAAUAAUCUCCUGUAAAUCCUCACAGUCUCGUAUAUCUAGGUGUUGGAGCUGCUUGAGGCUUCCGAUCAUAGACGCUGCAAAUAUGUAUUUUAAUUUGUGACAACGCCACACAAUCAAUCGUGUUAAACUUUGAAAGUGAGGAAACACGGCCACCAGAAUUUGAUUGUAGUGCCAAAUCUUGUCGACAUUAAUUUCAGAUAUCUCCAAAGCCUCCAAGUUAGGCAACGCAACCUAAAAAAAUAAGAAUUUCUCGUUAGAUCCAAUAUCCAUAUGGGAAGCACUUGUUGAAAUUUUCUUCUUUGAUUACAAAUUAAUGCAAGUCUGAAUCAAUUUCCAACUGACAGCUGAGUAUGCAUUCUAAUUCAUACUACUUGUUAAGAGCUCAAUUAGUGAGUGCGUGAGAUUCUUUUUAUCCUUUUUUUCCAUUUUCUUUCACUUCUUUAAAUGAUUUAAUUAUUUUCCACGUAUGACAUCAAAAGAGAACGCAUGAUAGAAUAAAAUGUGUUAUACAUUAAAGAAAAUGUUAGCCUACGCACCUUCUCGUUGAAAAGCAGAGUUGAAAUACCCAAAGUGAUUUCGCUGGAGCAAUACAUAGUCGUCGAUUCCUCUUGCGACGCUCGUCUGUUCGGUGAUGCUGAAGGAGUCUCCACCUCACAGCAAAAACUUGUAACCUCUGGAAGAUUCCCCAGACUCAAAGAUCUUAAUUGAGCAAACUCUAUCUUCUCAAUUGCAUUAUCAACUUCUUCCCCAAUUGCAAAAAUCUCUUUCAUCUUGCUGCAAUUAAUAACAGCAAUUCUCUCAAGUCUUGGAAGGCAUUUUGUAGUAGAGAGCCAAAAGAUAUUACUCAACGUAUCACAACUAUAUGCUUCUAUGGUUUUGAGUUUGUUGAAAGACUCUACUUUGAGCCGAUCAACACAUAUCCUCUCCAUGUUGAUCAAAUUGUGAAGGAUAAGUGACUCCAAAAGAGGAAAGGCAUCACAAGCGACCAUCUCCCUUGAAUCGACGAUACAAAAGAUGUCAGGAUUAUUUUGAACCCAGAGAAGCUUCAAUUGUGAAAAGCCCUCCGUGUCCAAAUUGAAAAGAACAUUCUCGAUGCCUUGCAGCUUGUCCAACCAUAAGCAUUCAACGUUGGUGAUGCCCUGCAAUUUCAUGGAGCAAAUGUCCAUAAAAUCAAGCUUGAGCUUCAAUGUUCUUAAACUCUUGCGUUUACUGUUGAUCCAAAAGUGCGGCUGACUUUGGAACCAAUGUUGUCUAACACACUUGGGAGGCGUGAAUGACUCAUUUCCAAUAGAUAUUUUGAACCUUUCGAGCUUUCUGGCCAAAAAACCUUCUGGUAAAAUACUGUCAUUUUUAACGUCAAUUUCUAGAGUGGUUAGCCGAGGUAAAUGCAUCAAUUCGUCAAGGCUAGCAUUACUUCUUUUGCUGCUGGCUCUUUCAACCUCCCAUUCAAUGAAGCAAUUACCCAUAUACAGCUCUUCUAAUCGAGUUAAGCUUGAUAUGAGAUUGGGCGCAAUAACUUUCAGAUGGAAACAAUUGGUUAAAUCUAACAAUCUCAACUUAUUCAAUUGACCUAGUUCUUCUGGCAACUGCAUAAUAUCAGACAUCAGAAAGCUUAGGACUUCUAGAUUCUUCAACUUCCCAAUGAUUGCUAUGUCCCCCAACGCACUUUGAUCCAGACAUAGUGUGUGAAGAUUUACUAGAAGAUCAAUUGAAGAUGGAAAUGAAGAAAACUGCAUUCGAGUAAAAUCUAGAACUCUAAGCUUUUUCAUCCCUACAAAAAAGUUCUCAGGAAUAUUGAUUUCAAGAGAAGAAUCUUUGGGAGAGAUAAAUAAAAAUUCAAGGUUUGGGCAUUCUAAUCCUUCAGGAAAUUCACGAUUACUAUAAUUUCUUAAAGAGAUAGCAUUGCAUUUUCGAAGUGCAUCCUCUUCUGGCCAGUCCCACACAUCCUCAUUCCUCACCGAAAACACAUGUUGGUGGCGGCAUGCAAUCGAUAUUGCGACAUCGCGAACAACAUCAUGCAUUGAAAAUUCUUCAUUGCUAUCAUCCUCAAGCAACAAACAAGAGUCUCUAAGUUCAUGGACCAAUGCAUAUAAUUUGUCUCGUGCAUCUUCCAUCUUAUUGACUCCUUUAAAUAUACCCAAACCCAUGGAGUACUUAAACAAGUCCAAAGUAACAAUACGGUUAUUCAUUAGACUACAGAGCAGAAAAAUUUUCUUGAGUUGCUCACCUCUUAAAUGGUUGAAACUCAGCUCAAUACAUGAAUAAGUCUCUGCAGACACUCCUUCGAAGUUUACCAUUGAAGGCGUUCGGAGUUCUCGCAAGGAAUUCUUCCAUUCAUGCAGACUCUUGCUUCUCAGUGCCAUUGCCACUGUAGUCAAGGCAAUGGGCAAACCUCCACAUGCCCUGGCGACGUCUAUUGCUGUAGAUUUCAACUCACGAUUUUCAACAUCAUCACCGGCCAUCAUCUUAAACAAUCUCCAGGCUUCUUCUUCAUUUAAGUUGUUUAUCAAAAAGUUGUCUUUAGAUCCCAUUUUUAAGAGGACACUACGAUCUCUUGCUGUCAGCAGUAGUUUGCAUCCUUUAUGAUCUUCUCCAAAAGGAAUUNNNNNNNNNNNNNNNNNNNNNNNNNNNNNNNNNNNNNNNNNNNNNNNNNNNNNNNNNNNNNNNNNNNNNNNNNNNNNNNNNNNNNNNNNNNNNNNNNNNNNNNNNNNNNNNNNNNNNNNNNNNNNNNNNNNNNNNNNNNNNNNNNNNNNNNNNNNNNNNNNNNNNNNNNNNNNNNNNNNNNNNNNNNNNNNNNNNNNNNNNNNNNNNNNNNNGGCUUCCAUAGCUUGCCUGGCGACCUCCUUCAUCAAUGUCGUCUUUCCAAUGCCGCCAUGCCGUACACCCCAAUGAUGCUGACAUUAGCAUCGAUCAAUGCGUUUUUUAUGGCCUCCAAAGUAGAACGUCUUGAUUCGAAGGCCUCGCAGUCUUUGUUAGACUUGAGCCAUAUAUCCUCCGGAAUGGUAGGGUCGGAAAUUCUAUCAUCAAAUCUCCCAGCUUCUUCUCGGAGUUUAAAAAGGGCCUCCUUCUCUGUUUCUGCUUUCUUUCCACGCCGAUAGCGAGCAAACCAAUCAGGAAACAGCCCCAUGAGACAUCGACCGUCAUUUGCUGUCUCUUCGUCUUGAAUGAAUUUGGCUGCCUGCUCAAUGCUCUUGUUCGCAUUAACCAGCCAUUUCUCAACCUUCUCUACAAUCUUUUCACUUUUUCUUUCAGCCUCAGAAACUCUGCGCUGAAUCCUUUCUCUUUCAACCCUCAGCCUAUCGAGUUCUGCCUUGAGAUUCUCAAAGUUGGCAGCGGAGUUAUACCAAUAACUAAAUUCGCGUUGUGCGUGGGGAGACAAGCAGUUUACAACUCCUGGAGCAAUGCUUUUCAAAAUGUCCAUUUUUUUUUUUUUAUGGGGAAGUGAACGAAAUGGAAAUAGAACAGGGUCAACGACCGCGCAAUUGAUAAUCAAGUAGAAGCAAAACAAGCCAAAAUGGAAAAAGAAAUGAUAUUUGUACAAAACAAGGGGAAAAUCAGUGUAACAGAAGAGAAUCAAAGUGUUUUUGAGAUCAGAAAAUUGAACCAAGAAAAGGGUUGCUUGAUCCAAUGAAAAUGCAAAAAGCUGAUGGCAAAAGGGAACAAAGCUAAAUAAGAAAACGGCUAGCACGAGCAGUGACCACGAUCAACAGAAGCAAAGUGUGUAUGAGAUCAAAAGACGAAAAUGAGGAGAGGUUUUCUUGAUUGAGAAUUGAAGGCAAAGAGUAGGAGCUGACGAAUACGGGGAUCAAGAGGGAAAAACUGCUUGCUUGUAAAACUACUUUCAAGCGAAUCUGAUAAAAUUAUUUCAGUACUAGUGGGCGACUCCUUUUUAAACUGCAGAAGGGAAAAAAAAAAGUUCUGAAUUUCAAUAUAUUAAUCUCGUAAUCAAUGAUUAAUUAGUAGAUAAUCUUUCUAACAAAUAUGUGUUGAAUAGAUAUAUUUCUUGAUUAUUAGUAGGUUCGAUAUACUUUAGUAUAGGAAUGAAAGUACAAGUUGUGUCGUAUUAGAAUAAAAAUUGGACCUAAAAAUAUUGUUCUAUGGCCUUUUAAUUAUUUGUCAGCUAAUAAUGAAGUCAUAUAAAAAAAUUAAUAAUCUGAAUUAGUCUUUAGUAUUAUAAAUGUUUUUAGAUUUUUAAUUAUAAUAUCAUUAUUUAAAAAUAAUUGCUUGACUUACAUUCGUAACAUUACGAUUGUCAUAAAACAUGUGAUCCUCAUCCAAAGGCCAGGUGAACAACUCUUUGUCAAGUCAGUCAAAUAUAAACGACAAAUUCUUUUCAAUUAAAUAAUCAUCAAGAAAUAAUCUUCUAUUUCAGUACAAAUGGCGAGUGCAGAACAGCUGUCAAGAGAUAAUCAUUGUUUACGGAGCCAUAUAUAUUUUCUAUUAAAAUAGUUGCGUCACUUGCGUGAACAAUUGCCAGAAUCCGUAAAAAUUGUUGAAAGGUCUAUUAGUUUCGAGUAGAAUAUUUUCGAUUAAAAUAGUUGCGUGAACAAUUAUCAUAGAUAGUGUUUAUAUUUUGGAUUGAAGUGAGAAUUUUGAGAAAUAAAAAUCUAAGAUUGAGAGUGUAGAGUGGAAGUGAGUGUAAGUUAUUUACUUACACUGAAAAAUAAGCAUGGAAUGGAGAUCAUAAUCCAAUUUAUGUGUUUAUUUUAUCUUCAAUUGAGAAUAAAUAGUUUCAAAUUACAAUUUUACCUUUAUUUAAAGAAUUAUAUAUAUUUAAUGAAUAAACAUUUAUUUUAUUAUAUUUGUAAAUUUAUAAUAAUUGUUAAUAUUCUUAAUUAUGUACAUCAUAAUUUUUUAUUAAUUUUAAUUUUAAUUAUAUAAAUUAAAAAUUAUUGAUAAGAGCAAUAUAAAUGAAACAUUUUUACUAUUAACAUAGUACAAAAUUAAUAUUUUCUUAUAAUUAACUAUUUAUUAUUACUAAUUAUUGAUAUUAAAUAAAUAUAAUACUAUUAUUUUUAAAUAAAUAUAAUAAUAUUAUAUUUUCAAAUAAAGAUAGUAUAUAGUAAUAUUAUUAAUUCUCUAUUAAUAUAAUAAUAAUAUUUAAAUAAAUAAAAUAUUUUUUAUUUUAUUUUAUUAAUAUAUAAUUAUAGUAAAUUUAAUAAAAGGGGGUUAAAAAAGGAAGGUAAAUAUAAAAUGAAAUAUUAUUUUAUUUAAUUAUAUUAAAUUUAUUAUUAUAUAAAUAAUAAUAUAAUAUUAUUUAGUAUAAAAUUAAUAUUUUCUUAGAAUAAACUAUUUAUUAUUAUUAAUUAUUAAUAUUAAAUAAAUAUAAUACUAUAUAUUUAAAUAAAUAUAAUAAUAUUAUAUCUUCAAAUAAAGAUAACAUAUAGUAAUAUUAUUAAUUCUCUAUUAAUAUAAUAAUAUUAUUUAUUUUAUUUUAUUAAAUAUUAAAUAUUAAAUUUAAUUAAAUAAGGUAGAAAAUGGAGAGGUGGGAAUGGGUUUCCCAUGGGAGUCCCACUCCCACUCCCACUCCCCACUCCAAAAAUGGGUGGAGUUUAUGGAGUGAGAUUCCCAAUUCCUCCUUAAAAUGGUAAAGUAAAUAUUGAAGUGGGAGGAAUUCACACUGCUCACACCCACUCUAGAAAAUAAACACCGAAAAGGCCAAAGGAUGAAGAACCACUAUAAGUUCUUUUAUGAAUUUAAAAUGCUAAAGAAACUUGAUUUUGAUGAUAACAAACUACAUAGGGUACAAUGGUAAAUUUAUUUCUCACAAUCUCACAAGUUUUUGAAGGGCAAAAAUCAUUCAAGUGAGAUCAAGAUCAAGAUACUCAAUGGACAAUGACAAUCAAGGACGAAUACUAAGGGUACUAGUUUAAGCAAUCUUUAUUGUUAAAUUUAUUGUAAAGCCAGUAUAAUUUAAUGUGUGCAUGAUUUAACAUUUAAAAGCUCAAGAUAUUUUUCAUGACAUUUUCAAAUUAAAUCAUCAUUUUCUAUAAUAUAAAAGUUUUAACGAUUUUAUAAAAUUAGUUGCUUUUUCCAAAUUUAUGGACUAACUUGAAAAGUUUUGAGAACUUGGAAAUCAACCAAUAAUGUUUUAAAUCCUAGAAAUUGACAUAUUUGUAAAUAUUUCAAACAUUUUGGGUUGUAAUAUAAUUUCAAAAAAAUUAGGUCUAAUCUAUAAAUCCUGGAACAAUAGUGGCUAAUCGCUUAACCAAUAGCGGCUAACUACUUCAAGUCCAAAAACAUAGCAGCUAACCGCUUAAAUCAAGUGGAAUCCGCUUGAACCAAAGUUUUCAAAUUUGAUUUGCAACUGUAACUUACCAUAUCAACAUAGUGGCUAACCGCCUCAUUUUAACGGCGAUCCAGCAAGUCCCUAGAAAAGCCAAUAAUUGCUAGUUUGAUUGUUUAAACUAUAAAAUUCAAAUUAAACUCAAAUCUAACAAUUUUUUUCAAUCUCAAUUAAGCUAAAACUUAUUCAUAUAUCUUGAGGUUUCAUUUUGCUUAUCUACAUACAUUAAUCAUUAUAGGGCUAUCAUUUGCUUAUACACUCUUAUAGAGUGUAAUCUUUGUAAUCUUCAAUUAAAUAUCAAAAUUGAGUGAGUAUAAGUGUGGGAAACACUUGGGAAAAGAGGCGUGUGUAUACAUAACUACUUGUAAAGGUUUAUUGACACCUUAGAAGUCAAUUGUAAAAUCUUGGAGUCUUGGAAGGUUUAGAUAGUAGAAUUCUCAAGUUUGGAUUGCUUGGAGGCGUAGUCAUAGGCGGGUUUGCCGAACCACAUAAAAAUUCAUGUGUUUGUUAUCUUCUCCCUUAUCUUUUUAAUUUCACGCAUUGUUAAAUUUACCAUUAUUAAAUUUCUUGAAGCAUUUGUUUAAUUUGUAUUGUGUUUUUGUUAGUAUAAUUUUUAAUACCUAAUUCACCCUCUCUUGGGUUGCUUAGCUAGAAUUUUAUUUGGUAUCAGAGGAAGUUCUCUUAUUAUAACUUAACCAUCUAGAGUAAAAGAUCUAUAGUAAUCCAAAAUGAUCCCAGAUUUGGGAAAGGUUAAUCCCUUACUAGAUCACCAUUCUUUGAUGGGAAUGAUUAUCCAUGUUGGAAAAUUAUGAUAAGAAUUUAUUUGCAAGCAUUAUAUUAUGAAAUAUAGGAAGUUGAUUGUGAUGGUCCAUUCAUGCCUACUACUAAAAAUGAAGAAGGGAAAGAAAUUCUAAAACUUUCACAAGAAUGGAAUGUGUCAGAAAAGAGAAAAAAUUCUCUUAAUUUCAAAGUCAUGAAUGCUUUGUUUUGUGCCUUAAGGUUGUUCCAAUGCUUAUGAAAUUUGGAAAAAAACAUAAACUCGUUUAUAAAGCUACAAAUCAAGUUAAAUAGUCUAAAAUUAGUAGAUAUACUAGGCAAUACGAAUUGCUAUAAAUGGAACAAAAUGAGAGUGUUAAUUCCAUAUACACUAGAUUUACAAACAUUAUAAACACUUUAGAAGCUCUUAGAAAGGCCUUUUCAAAUAGCGAGAAGGUAAAAAAAAUCAGUAGGUCUUUACCAAAAGAAUAGAGACCUAAGAAAAUUGCCAUUGAGGAAGACAAUGAUACUUUAUCUAUUGAUGAUUUAAUUAGUUCAUUUAUUUCUUAUGAAAAGGAUUUGACAACUUGAAAAGGCAAUGAAGACGAGAAGAAGAAGAGUAUUUCCUUAAAAGCAUCAAGAUCUAAAAGUGACAACGAAAGUGAGAUCGAAAAUGAAGACAUGGCUAUGAUAGCUGGAAAAUUCAAAAAAAAUUUCAAGAAAUCCAUCGAGCGAAGGAAUUCAAAAAUCAGAAAGAAAAGGAGGCAAUUAUUUGCUUUAAAUGCAGGAAGCCUAGACACAUAACACUAGCAUGUCCUUUUCUCAAUAAAGUAAAGAAGAAAGCUAUGGUAGCAACACGGGAUGAUAGUGAUAAGGAGACUAUAGAUGAAGAGUAGUCUCAUGAAGUGUCAAAUUUGGCACUUAUAGUUAUAGGAGAUGAUUAUAGGAGAUGAACUUGAUGAGGUAAACCUCUUAGGAUGAGUUGUUUGAAGUAUUCUCUAAAUUGCAUAAAGAUUUAAAGAAGAUUGGAAUGUAAAAUGUUUCUCUUGGAAAGAAAAAAGUAGAACUUUUAUAUGAGAAUGACACUUUGAAUAAAAAGAUUAAGUGCCUAGAAUUAUUUGUGAAGAAAUUGCAUCUUUUAAAGAAAAAACAAAGUGUUUCAUCUAAGAAUAAAGGUUUACCUGUAAAUGAUUUGAAAAAGAAAAAUAAAAGAUAUUGCUUUAGAAUUUGCUUAGUAUUAGUCAAUUGUGUGAUAAAGGUUACAAAGUUAUUUUUAUGUGAUAAAGGCUAUAGAGUUAUUUUUUUAUAAAACAAAAUGUGUUAUUAAAAAUGCACGUGAUGGCAAAGUUUUAUUUGUUAGAUAAAGAUAUGUUAAUGUAUACACCAUUGAUAUAGAUUGUGUAUCAACUCAUAAUAAAUGUUUUUUUCACAUUACAUGAUGAUAGUUGAUAUGGCAUGGAAGACUAGGUCAUGCGAGCAUGGAUUUUAUUUCAAAAUUUUUUUAAAAUGAUUUGGUUAUAGGUCUUCCAAAAAUUGGUUCUAAAAUAGAUAGAAUUUGUGAAGUUUGCCAAUUUAGAAAACAAAUAAAAUGUCCUUUAAAAAUAAAAUUCAUAUUUCUACUUCAAAACCACUUUAACUUUUUCACAUGGAUUUGUUUGAAUUUUCUAAAUAUGCUAGUCUAAGUGGUAAAUAUUAUGCAUUUAUAAUUAUAGAUGAUUAUUCUAUAUACACAUGGUAUUACUCUUAACUAAUAAAGAUGACACCUUUAAUGCUUUCAAAAUUUCUAUAAAAAGGUUCAAAAUGAAAAAUGAUAUGUUAUUUCUUGCAUUAGAAGUGAUCAUGGUGGAGAAUUUAAAAAUUGUAAUUUUGAAAAUUUUUACAAUAACUUUGGCAUUGAGCAUCAAUUCUUGUCACCAAGAACUCCACAAUAAAAUGGAGUAGUUGAGAGAAAGAAUUAGUCUAUCCAAGAAAUGACUAGGACCAUGUUAAAUAAAAAUGCUUUACUAGAAUAUUUUUAGGUUGGAGCCGUCAAUAUUGUUUGUUAUGUUUUAAAUCGUGCAUUGAUUAGACCUUACUUCAAUAAAACUCCUUAUGAGCUUUGGAAAAAUAGAAAAACAUUGACUAUUUCAAAGUUUUUGGUUGCAAAUGUUUUCUAUUGAAUACAAAAGAUAAUCUUGGUAAAUUUGAUCUAAAAUCUGAUGUUGAUAUUUUUUCUUGGGUAUUCAAAUACAAGCAGAACUUAUAGAGUGUAUAAUAAAAGAACCUUGGUCGCUAAAGAAUCUAUACAUGUUGUGUUUGAUUAAAUCUAACUUUUCUUCUACGAAGAAAGUUGUUGUUGAUAAUGAUGCAUAUGAAGAGUUACAAAAAAAAAAGUCUUUAAAAGACAAACAAGAUGAUUUACUAGGAAAAAAUCAAGAUGAGCAACAAGAAGAACCAGUUAAAUAUAUUCAAAAUGAAGGUAAUUCACAAACACUCUCUAAGGAGCUAAGGUAUGUCUCUUCAGACCCUAAAGACUUAAUCUUAGGAGAUCCUUCAUGAGGUGUAACUACUAGAUAAUCACUUAGAAAUACAUGUGAACAUACUGUAUUCGUAUCUCAAGUUGAACCAAAAUCCUUUUCAGAUGUGGAAAAUUAUGAAUCUUGGAUCAUAGCAAUACAAGAAGAGUUAAAUCAAUUUGAAUGAAACAAUGUAUGGAAACUUGUUCAUAAACCAGAACAUCAAUCUGUAAUAGGCAGUAAAUGGGUGUUUAGGAAUAAAAUUGAUGAAUCUGGUGUGGUUGUAAGGAAUAAAGCUAGAUUAGUAGCUCAAUGAUGCAACCAAGAAAAAGAAAUUGAUUUUGAUGAAACCUUUGCACAUGUAGCUAGAUUAGAAUCCAUUACAUGCUUUUAUCAUUUGCAUAUCAUAAUGAUUUUAUUUUAUAUUAAAUGGAUGCUAAAAGUGCCUUUCUAAAUAGUUGUAUUAUAAAGGAAGCUUAAGUGAAACAAUCCCCUCGUUUUAAAAACGAAAAAUAUUUUUGGAUCAUGUUUACAAGUUGUCCAAAGUUUUAUAUAGUUUAAAGUAAGCAUCUAGAGCAUGACAUGGUAUACUUAGUAAAUUUCUUGUAGAAAAUAGUUUUUCAAUGGGUAAAGCGAAUACUACUCUAUUUGUUAAAUACAAGGAUCAAGGUAUACUUGUUCAAAUUUAUAUUGAUGAUAUUAUCUUUAGUUCUACUAAUGAGUUUCUGUGUAAGGAAUUUUCAUCUUGUAUGAGUAGAGAAUUUGAGAUGAGCAUGAUGAGAGAAUUGAAGUACUUUCUUGGACUUAAAAUUUAAAAAAAAAAUCAUUAAUCAAGCCAAGUAUUUUAGAGAUCUACUCAAAAGAUUUUGCAUUCAGGACUAAAGACACUCCAAUGAGUACUACAAUCAAGAUCGAUAAGGAUAAAAAAAGUAAAGAUGUUGUAUCAAAAGAUAUCGAGGUAUGAUCAUAUCUUUACUUUACUUUACUGCUAGUAGACAUUACUUUAGUGUAUGUUUGUGUGCAUGAUUUCAACCAUAUCUCAAAGAAUCUCAUUUGCUUGCGGUUAAAAGAAUUUUUCAUUAUUUAUGAGGAACAAUUGAUCUUGGUCUAAGGGAACUCAUAUAGAUUAGUAGCUCAAUAAAUUUGUCAAAGAAUCCCAUUCAACAUUUUAGGACCAAACAUAUUGAAAUUAGGCAUUAUUUCUCACGUGAUCAUGUUUAAAUGAGAGAUAUUGCUUUAGAAUUUGUUUCUAUGGAAAAAUAACUUGCUCAUAUUUUUACAAAGCCUUUUUGUGAAGAAUAGUUUUCAAAGAUUUGGCUUGAGUUUGGAAUGAUGACAUUUUCACAUCAAUAUUUCAUUACAUGAUAUUGAGACUACAAAUUUGCUUGAUUUUCUAUCUUGAUUGAUUGUAUGAUAAAAACUUGAUUUUAAUGUGUUAUAUGCUUGAAUUUACUUCUUUGAAUGUUUAUCAUCAUAUCUUAUGCAUUAAAAAUGGCUUUUGAAAUACUUCGGGAUCACAAAAUGGUCUCAAAAUUAAUUAAAUUUUGGCCAAAAAGCAAAAUCGUGCAAAAUUCAGGGGAACUAGCUAACCGUUAACCACAAGCGACUAGCCAAUUGUGAGGCAGAAACUAGCUGGCCAGCCGGCUUAAAGCAAACGGUUAAUUGCUUGGUUUCUAAAAAUGAAACGGUUAACCGCUUUCUUCAAGUGGCUAGCUGGCUUCACGUUUUCAAAUGUUGUUCAUCUUCUUUUUCCCACUUUCAGUUGUUACCCUCUCUCUAUCACUGUCAUCUCUCAUUUCUUUUACUCUCUCUCUAAAAUCUUCCAUUUUUACAUCACUUUUGUGUCAAAUUAAACUUUCCAAAUCAUUUCCCAUCAAUUAAUCUUCACUCAUUCGCUUUUAAAACACAAUCUAAUCACUCUUUUCUCAAAAUCUUAAAGCCUAAGUCACCAGUUUCAACAUUCUCAAAUUUGAACCAUUAUUUGACCAUUUUCGACCAAAAUAAACCCAUACAUUCCUUAGAUAUUCUCAAAGAAUAUUUUAACAUUUUAAUCGGUUCAAAAUCAUCUAUUUCUUUAAAAACUUACUAAACUCAAAUUUGUGCAAUUUUGGACACAUUUUGAUAAUUUCUUAAUGGCUAGUGGUGAGAAGUCCAAGGGUUAGCAUAUGCCUAAAAUGUAAAAAAAAGAUUCAUAAAGACAUUAUGAAAUUUAUUUCCACCCACUUUCCAAAUCCACCUCAAUAGAAUGAUUCUAUGAUCGAUUUAUGACAAGGUCAGUCCUCCCAUCCUAUAUAUGUUAAUCUUGAUUAAUUAGAAAAUUUGUCAAGUUGUAGCAAAACUUUUAGAACUUUACUUGCUGAAUUGGGUUGGACAAAUGUCUUAGUUCUUAAGGAACAUAUUUGUCCUAAUUUGGUACGAUUAUUUUAUUCGAACAUGCUUAUUUAUACAAUUACUGCCAAUAUGAUUAUUACUAAUGUUGCUGGGAUUCCUAUUAAGUUUACAGUAGAAGAUUUAAACAUGAAUCUCAGGACUAGGAAUGAUAGGUUGCAUUUGUAUACAUCUAGGACUAAAAUUGAUUAUCCCUGGUAUUCAGGACUAGGAAUGAUAGGUUGCAUUUGUAUACAUCUAGGACUAAAAUUGAUUAUCCCUGGUAUUUAGUUGUAGAUGAUGUUUGAAACAUAGAUGUUCGAAAAAUAUGUAGGUGAUCUGAUCUAUCCAUGGAGCUUUUUAAUUCCUCUCUUAGAUCACAAAUGUUGCCUCUUCAAGUUCGGAUCCUACAUAGUGUUCUUCAGCUUGCGAUCAGUCCUCGCAAGGGACAUGGUGCUAAGGUUACACGCUUAGAUGUUACUUUAUUAGAUAGCAUCCUUGAGGGUAAAAGCUAAAUGUGCGAAUAUUAUCAUUCAGCACAUGCUUAAUACACUGAGUAUAGGAAACCGAUCCUUUUCAGUUGAUAGUGUCAUUACCCAUAUCCUUCAAUAUUUUUGGGUCCCUAUAGCUGAACCAUCUCAUGAUGAACCCAAGGAGUUAGGGGAUGAGGUCAUUGCUAGCUUAGGAUUUGGGUGGGUAGAUGACCAAUAGGUUAAGAAUCAGAACUUGUUGAGCAAACCCACAAAGCUGGCUCUUUUUUAUCAUUGCAUCUUUAACGAUGUGCUUCCCAUUACUGGGUUCUUGAUCUUAGCUCUUCCCUGAGGUCACAAGCUCUACAUUGGCCUUCUGAUGCUCCACCACCAUCAUCUUCAGCCAUUCCCAAUAACCCAAUCCAGCAGUUGUUGAAUAAAGUGUGUUCCAUAUCCGAGUAGUAGAGCAAACUUAAGAUACCGUUCGCAGCAUUCCAGGAUCAUUUUCUUUCUGAGCAGCAGCGUCUCUUUCUUCAACAAUAACAAAUUCUAGACCAUCAGCAGCUUAUUUUCAUUGCUCUCAAAUUUUUGCCACCAUCCUUGUUAUCAUGUUUGCCGCCUCAUCAGUGAUUUUCUUUUAUCUCUUUUGCUUCCUUGUUUUAUGCACCGACAUUAUUUAUCAUAUGCAUUUUCGUUUUUAGCAUUAUGGAUACUUGAUGGAUGUUAUUUUACUUAUGCAUUAUAGAUACUUGAGUUAAUAUGGAUUAUCUUUAUGCAUUCUAGUUAUUGAUCGUGGUAUCUUUAUUAGUUAUCUUUAUGGAUUAUCUUUAUUGAUUAUGGAUUAUGUAUAUGGAUACUUGAUUAAUGGUCAUGUGUGGAUUCUUGAUUGAUGAUCUUUGUGGGGGAUAAUUAUUGAUAAUAUUUGUAUAAUAGAGGAGUGAUUUUUCAUGAUGAAGGGAGAGAAGAUAUUGACAUGUAUUUUGAAGUGUUUUGACAUGUUUUUGGCUCAUGGGGGUUGAUUGAGUGUUUGUAGUAUUUUAGUUACUUUAUGAGUCACUCAAGGAGAGUUUACAAAUGUUGUACAAUUAUAUGGAUCAUGUACUUAGAGGGAGUGAGUUUAUAUAUUUGGUUAUAUUUUUUGAAUUAUGUCAUAUAUUCAGGGGCAAUAGAAAUGUCAAAAUACAUAGAGUGUUUGUCAUCAUAAAAAAAGUAGAGAUUGUUGGGGUAAACGACUAUAUGAUCCUUAAUUUUGAUGAUAACAAACCACAUAAGGUAAAAUGGUAAAUUUAUUUCUCACAAUCUGACAAGUUCUUAAAGGACAAAAAUCACUCAAGUGAGAUCAAGUUCAAGUCACUCAAUGGACAACAACAAUCAAUGAUGAAUGCUAAAGGUACUAGCUUAAGCAAUCUUCAUAGUUAUAUUUCUUGUAAAGCUAAUAUGAUUUAAUGUAUGCAUGAUUUAGUAUUUAAGAGUUCAAGAUAUUUUUCAUACAAUUUUCAAAUUAAAUCAUCAUUUUCUAUAAUAUAAAAGUUUUAAACGUAAAUAAAAAUGAUUUUAUAAAAUUAGUUGUUUUCAAAUUUAUGGACUAAAUUGAAAAGUUUUGAGAACUUUGAAAUCAACUAGUAAUGUAUUAAAUUCUUGAAGUGGACCUAUUUAUAAAUAUUUCAAAAUUUUUAGGCCAUAGUAUAAUUUUAGGAACUUUUAGUUUAAAUCUAUAAAUUUUGAAACAGUAGCGACUAACUGCUUAACGAAUAGUGGCUAACUGCUUCAGGUCCAAAAACAUAGCUGCUAACCAUUUAAAUCAGGCGACAAUUCGCUUAGGCAAAAAAGUUUUUAAAUUUUAUUUGUAACGGUAACUUACCACAUCAAUAUAGCGACUAACUUCUUUAUUUUAACAGCAAUCCGGUAGGUCCUCAGAAAGUCAAUUACGACUAGUUUGAUUGUUUAAACUAGAAGAACCCAAAUCAAACUCAAAUCUAACAACUUUUUCAAUCUCAAUUAAGUUAAACUUGUUCAUACAACUAAUCCUGAGCUUUCAUUUUACUUAUCUACAUGCAUUAAAUCAUUAUUGAGUUAUCAUUUGCUUAUACACUCUUAUAGAGAUUAAUCUUUGUAAUCUUCAAUUAAAUAUCAAAAUUUUGUGAGUAUAAGUGUGGGAAACACUUGGGGAAAGAGGUAUGUGUAAACAUCACUACUUAUAAAGGUUUAUUGACACAUUACAAGUCAAUUGUAAAAUCUUAGAGCCUGAGAAGGCUUGGAUAGUGGAAUCCUCAAACUUAGUUUGCUCGGCAGCAUAAACAUAGGCGGGUUUUGCCGAAACAUGUAAAAAUUCGUUUGUCUGUUAUCUUUUCCUUUAUUUUUUUAAUUGCAUUCAUUGUUAAAUUUACUGUUAUAAAUUUCUUAAAGCAUUUGUUCAAUUUGUUUUGUAUUUUUGUAAGUAUAAUUUUAAUACCCAAUUCACCACCCUCUUAGGUUGUGUAGAUAGAAUUUCACAUUUGUUGUACAACAACAACAACAGCAAUAACAAUAAUAAUUGUUAUAAUGGUUGUAACAAUUACUAUUGAAAAAAAUUUAUUGUUAAUAAUAGUAGAAAAUAAGAAAAAAAAAGGAAAUUAUCCACUAACCAUGUAGUCUUUGGGACUUUUUCAAAAAUACACAAAAAAAAACUUUCUUUGUAGAAAUCCACCUAGAGUUUAUUAAUUAUUCAUUGUCAUCUUAGCUCAUUAGAUUCUUGUUGAUGUCAUAAGAUUAAAAUUAUCAUUUUACUUGAACACCUAAGAUUAAAAUUAUCCUUUAGAGUUUCUUUCGCUGGGGCUGGUGACCUUAGUGGUUAGAUUUGCUAGAUAUGGUCGUGAGAAACUCGACAAUGACCGAGGAUUGGCUGGAUUCACGGUGGUUUGGUCAAAAAUCUGACUUGAAUUGGCAUUUGUGGUGCUUCAUUCAUGUUGGAGAUUUUGAUUGCGAUUUGGAUAUCGACAAUGAGAAAGUGGCAUUUGCGGUGGCGCUAGGUGAAGCCCGGGUUUUGGGUUAGCGUUGUGGCGAUUUAUGGCGGUGAUCAUUGUUGGGUUUUGUCAAGUUAUGACCAGUGGAAUGUAGCAAGUUUAGUGGUGGUGUUGGUUGACAGUGAAGAUGGUUGGUUUCACGGUGGCAGCUGGUGGAUGCUCCCAGUUUUAGGUCUAGAUGAUUUAUAGUAGGUACAAGCGGCGAUUGAUGGCAGGAGUGGCUAAGGCUUGGUCAGUAGUGGCUAAUGAGUUUGGUAGAGGGAUUAGCCAAUGGUGAACUAUUAGUGAAGAGUGGCAGUGGCGGUGGGCGGCUGCUAAGGUUUUGUAAUUUUGUAAUAUUUUUUUGUUGGAUAAACAGUUAUGAAUUUGGUGGGGAUGGAUAUGGGUAGCCAGGAAAACUGUGCAAUUGGCAUUGAACCACUCUAAUACAAACUAACAAAUUGGAAUAGCGGAAGUGGAAUUGAUAGAGUAGGAAAUAUUAGCUAUCAUUCUAAUACUGGCUAAGGUAAUGUGGAUAGUUUACGUCCUAAUCGAAACGUGAGUAGAUCUCAUUCUAACAAUGGCUCAAUGAGAUUUUAAUAACGCAUAAAGCAAGAUUAGACGACGUUCUAAUCCAAAUAACUUUGUAAGAGAGAUUUUGAUAAAUAAUUUUAGAGAGAAUUAUUAAAAAGGGCUUUAUUAGUUGAUCAAUAGUUGAAGUUACAAUAAUAAGAUUUUGAUUUAUAAUAUAAUAAACCUACUUCACUAAGUUAACUUAAAAAGAAAAACUAAAUCACAAUUUUAAUAGAAAUAAAAAACUAAGACAUAUACCAUAGUUGACUAUAAUUAAAAUAGAAAACAAUAAAAUAAUAAAAAUUAUAGAAUCCUAAAAUAAUGUCUACAUCGUAUCCUCACUAAAAUAAAAAUAUAAAAGUAAAGCAAAUUGUGGUAUAACAGACUUUAAUUCUAUCACUCUUCAAUUUUUUUGUUUAUUAAUUAAUAUUGGUGUCUAUGGUUAAAUUUGUUAUUUUUUAUAACAAUUUUAUUUGUUAAUUGAAAUAUUUAGUCUAUGUAAACAAAAAAAAAAUGGUUGGAAAGAAUGAGAGACGAAGGGGGAGAGAGAGAGAGAGAACAAAGUCAAACAAAUAAUUUAUUGAAUUAUAUUUUAAAAUUAAAUUUUAAUUUGAUUAAAUAAAUGAUGUAGUGAGAAAAUGAGUAGGUUCAAAUAGCUUUACUUAUAUUUAUUUCAUUAAUGGCUCAAAAUUUAAUGAAAAUAAAUGGUUUUAAAAAAAUUGCAUUUAAGUUGCAUAAUUCAAUGAGUAGUGCCACACAUCCUAAAUCUUUUAUCUUAAAAAAUUAUCUCAAAUGAUAUGGUAUUCAUCAAUAGAUUGAAGAGAUAAUACAAUUAAUUCACUCAAAUCUUGAAAGAAUUACCUACUAUUCAAGUAAUGACACACCAUUUGGGAUAAAAAAAAUUUGGAAUAUCUAUCAUUACUCUAAUUAAAAAUAAACCUAUCACUGGAUGAUUAAUUAUAGUAGGUUGCUUAAUACUAAAAUGUCACUCAUAAAUUUUGUUUUGGAUUUGUAAUUGAUUUAUCUUAAUUCUUCAACUUGACAUAAGGUCGUUCUCCUCGUUUCUGUACACUUAAAAGUCACCAAGAUCAAAACUAGAUCUGUCGUUGCAUUUGCUUGAAAAAUAAUUUACAAGCACUAGGUUCUCCUGAUUAAGCAACAUUUUUAAAGGGUUAUGAUAGUAGUGGAGCACUUUGUAAAUAUUAGAUGGAUUGUUGAAAACAAUAAAAAAUGUUUGUGUGUUUUUUAUAAAGGCUAAAAGAUGAAGUGGUCUAUGGAUAAUUACUUAUUUUUUCCCUUUUUAUCUUAAUCAUAUUUGAACGACAUCCUUUUAUAGUUCCCAGGCAUUCUGCAACUAUAAUAGACAAUUUUAAUAGGAACUACAGAGAAAAUAUUAAUAUUUUUAUACUUAUUUACUUACCUGAUGGAUAGCUAGAUAAGUGUUACUUUUCACACAACUAGACCAAAUUAGUACCCUUUUUGGUUGGUGAAAACGUGAUUUUUAUGAAUAUGCUAUAGAUGCUUUCAAACGUUUCCACAGUUUACGAAUUUACGCAUUAAACGAAAACCUCCAACUAUCAAACAAAAAGGUGAAAAUUCAAUAGAAUCGACAACUUCUCAGACUCACGUAGGUGGUGGUUCAAGUUUCUAAACUACUAUUAUUAUUAACAGUUUUGAAAAGCAAAUAGUAACUUCAUUUCACAGCAUCUGCUUUUGAGAAAGCUCAGAUGUAAUCAAAAUUCCAAAACCACUCUAAAUAUGUUAGGGAUAUGACCAUAAAUAGAAGUUAAAUAUGAUAGGAUAUAUAGUUGUUCAUAGCUAACAUUUGAUGGUUUAAUUAUUUGUUCUAGGGAUUAUGCGCUGAUUAGUGUUUUUUGUUAUCCACUGAAUGAUAUUCAGUUUUUCUUACAUGUUCAUAGGCAAGAGCAUUUUCUAAGUACUUUCCUUCCCUUAAAAUUUUGAAAGAAAGAUAGAUAUGAUAUGUGAAGCAAGCCCAAUGAAAUAAGCAAAUAAAAUAGAAUAAACGAAGCAAAAAUAUUUCUAGAAACAAGAAAUGACAAAGGAAACACGAAUACAACUUUUUUCUUGUUUUCCUUAUUUUCCACUGUUAAGCUCCAAAAUGAAUAACUUUAUUCUACCAUCUCUCAAAUAAUAAAAACAUCAACAGCACAUCAUCGUCAUCAAUAAUAAUAAUAAUAAUAAUAAUAAUAAUAAUAAUAAUAAUAAUAAUAACAACAAUAAUAAUUUAACUUUGUAGUAUGGAGCUCUCGCAAAUCUUCAAGACACAAAAUGUGCCUGACCCCGUUGUUGUUAUUAUAAUUUCAAAAUGAUUUGUAUUAUAUAAAAUUAGGGAAUAAGACAUAGCAAAAUUGAUGGUACAUAUGUUGCAAUAUACUUGUUCAUGUAGCGACACAUUAAAGUAAAGCAAAAGCGAAACAACGAAAAAUGUAACGGGAGAGCUCUUAUUAUGUAGAUUUUCAAUAGAAGUAAUGCAAAUUUCACAAGGGCAAUGGCCUUAUUUCGAAUGUUGCACCGGAGGAAUGACAUGAACCUUCGAUACGUCACAAAUGUAUCAUGAAAGUGUGAUAGAUUUGUGACAUAUAUUUAUUUAUUUAUUUAUUUUUUGGUCUUAACCACGAGGUAUUCUGGGGAGGGCUCCAACUGUGGAAAACAUCUUUAAGCCCGUACCACAACUCAGACUACAAGUUUCCGCUCGAACCGGGAGGCAUAAGUUCUCCCAACAAAAGCGACUUUCCUACAACUCGAACUAGGGAGCAAACCCAGUCAAGCCACUUAAGGGGACUCCAUUGCCAGUGGAGCCAACACUUUGUUGGUGUGGCAUAUAUUUAUAUGUUCAGAGUUUAUGACAUAUUCAUGACUUAUAACUUAACUAACAUAAAUAAAUGAUAGAUAUAAGUGAUGCUCAAGUUUUGUGGAUUUAUAAUAUCAUAAAAUGAUGACUAUUUAAACGACGUCGUUUUUAUGAAACUUAAAACAUACCAACACUUCAGCCAAAUAUCGACAAGUGUUGAAUAAACCCCUCUCUCGCUGCAACCUAAAAUCAAUGAACUUUGAGCCAUUCUCAACAACAUUGUGUAGAACCCUAGCCCUAACCCUCACUUCCACCACCGAUAAAGCUAAGAAAGUUUUCCGUAUAUCAGAACCAUGGCGAAUUGCCUUCAGCUCUUAGGACCCAUAAUAAAUCUUGUAUUCCCUCGCUUUCACUUUGCUAAUUUUUUGUAUUAUUCCAUCUCUUUCACUUUAAUAACCCAAAAUCUUUCUCUGUUUCAAUCGAAAGAAGACCCUAGCUUAAAUUAAGCUGAAAUUUACAUAUCAAAGCUCUCGCUCAGCUUCCCUCCUUCAAUUGAAACAAAACGAAGCCAUAAGACCCCAAUAUGCCACGCCCUUUUGUCUCAGGCCAACAUUCAUUUAAACCCUACCUUUCGGUUCAAUGCCAUUUAAUGCGAUUGCAGAUGCCGUUUCAACUCAUUAUUUAGUUAACGCCAUUCAGUUCUUUGCGGUAAGCCUUAACCCUAAUAACUAAUCAACUGUGGUAGCACGUUGCUGACUGGGGUGGGAAUACAUUAAUUGAAUAUAUGAAUUGGGUGAUGUCAGUGAUUCAUCCCCCUAUUUGCCGUUAAUGGAGAUUUGUGUAUAAUGUUUGUAAGAUUGUUAAAAAUUUCAUGUUCCAGUCGAAUUUCUUGCUUGUGGAAGAUAAAACAAAAGUUUAAUCUAUAUAUAUAUAUAUAUAUAUAUUAGCUUCUUUAUAGUCAGGCUCUGGCUUUGCUGCUAUGCUUAGUGCAGUUUAUGGUUUCAAGAUUAAAUUAGGUUUAUUUGACGACAUUGAUAUCUUAUCUAGCUCCGCUUGAAAAUGAAAAUGUUGUACUAGUAAUCAUAGACUUUGUUUAUUCAGUUGAUAUUUUAAUUAUACAUAUAAGAAUGAAGGUUUAUUUGGGAAAAAAAGAAAUAAAGAAAUAGGCUCUGUUGAAGCUAAUUAAUACUUCAUUCUUUCUAUACGUGCGACCUGUGGUGGAAACAUGAUAUGAAAAUGUGUUACUGGUGAGGUUGCUGCUUGAGAUGAGAAUGAUGAGAAUGCCUUCUAUUCGGAAAUCCUUGGUAGGUAUUAUAUAAUUAUAUUUGAUGGAAUAUUAAAUAGCUAAAGAAUCUGUGAUAUUGUCUUUGUUCAAUUGUUACUGUAGUAGUGUUUGUUGGUCUUUUUCUGGUUGGCGUUUGGAUGUUAAUGUCAUCAUCAGUUGUACUGGUGUGGGAUCCAGGAUGUUGUCCUCUUAAGAGCCUAUAAGCAAAGUGAAACAGAGAGUAUCUGAGAUUUUUCUGGGCCUUUCGUAGAAAAUCAAGGUGAUGAAUGACAGGAUUCAACAAAUGGGGAUGGGGAUGAUGUUCCUGUUGAAAAGUUAGAGAAUAGAGUGGAAGAUAAUCACGAAGAGAUGAAUAUGUAUGAGGGUGAUGGUGAGACGAGUGAAUCUAAGAAUAUGGUUAAUCAAAACCAGGAAGAGAAUUUAGUGAAGGAGAGUUUUGAUGAGAAUACUGAGUCUGAAGAGGAAUCUAGGGCGGUGUCUAAAAAUUAUGAUGUUAGAAAAAAGGAAGAUAAGGAAUCUAAAAGUGAAGGUGGAGAUUUGAAUUAAGAAGCUGGAGAAACAGAAGGCGGCGAAUUGAAUAAAAUUGAGCAAAUUGAAUCAGAGAAGAGCUUGGAUGAAAAUAAAUGGAUCAGGCUAGUCAGAUUGAAAAGGAGAAGGAUUCUCAAGAUCAAGAUAAUGACACUGAGAGUCGUUGAAAGGAUCAGGCUUCAACUGAGAUUUUUCCUUUUGGUGACUAGUCAGAAAUUCUGAAGGAAACUAAUGCUCAGAAUGGGGCUUGCUCAACUCAACCUAUUGAGUCAUAGAAUCAGAAAAUAUCACAACAAUCUUCUAUAUCUAAGGACCAGUAUGGUCGUCGCUGGAAAGUGUGUAAUGCCACUGCUAGGCCAGAUUGCAUCCCUUGCCUGGAUAAUUUGCAAGCAAUUAGAAUGCUUUCCAGCACAAAAGCAUUAUGAACAUCGAGAGAGGUAUUGCCCUGAAGAAGCUUGUACCUGUAUUGCUCCUUUACCGGAAGGAUACAAACACUCAAUUAAGUGGCCCCAAAGCAGGGAUAGGGUAUGAUCUUAUAUUAUGCAUUAUAAAAUAUAUACUUGACUACUUUUAAUUCACUUGGGCUAAGAUUUGUUCUCAUGCUGUGUGGGAUAGAUUUGGUAUUAUAAUUUUCCCCACACAAAGCUUGCAGAAGUUAAGGGUUAGCAAAAUGGGGUUAAAGUUACUGGUGAAUACCACAUUUUUCCAGGUGGCAGAACUGAAUUUGAGAAUGGUGCUCUUCAUUACAUUGACUUCAUUCUGAAGGUGAGCAUUUUUCAUUUAUCAUUUUAUGUCUGUUGUUAGCUUCAAUUAAUAGGUGGCUUAUUCUUUUCUUUGUAUGAACCAUGGGCGGUCCAUUUCAUCUUAUAAGCUAUUUCUUGGGUUUUAGCAAGACAACUUAUGGAGGGUAUACAGAGGCUCAAGAGCUCGAUUGCCAUUCAUUUUACACUUGGCUGGGCUAUAGUAUACCAACUAGUGAUUAAUAAAGAGAAGGUAUGAAGGUCCUGUUGCUGGUGGUAUUAUCAAUCAGAAUUGUUAUUUUACUUAGUCAUACUUACCAUGUAUACUAUUCGUAGGCUUUUUCAUUUUCAUGCAUUCGCAUCAUCUUCUGGUUAAGCUACAGAUGGUUGAUUUGUGUACUCAUUUGUAUCACUUGUAGCUCUUGAGGAAUAAAAUUUAAAAUUAUGUUGCAUCCCUUGUACUAAAUAGUAAUUUUGUUGGCUUUAUGCAUGGGAAAUGGUUUGUUGUCUUAUUUCUUUGAUGUGUAUGGUGUUACACUGUCUAAAGUUAAGAAGUAUUUCUAUCACUUGUGUAAAAAACAACCUACUUUUUUCAUUCUUCUUAUAUUGAAUAAAAGAGGGACACCAAGAUUGAACGAAAUUUGAUUCAGAAAGCAUAGCAAUUAGGCCAGUUCAAAACAGCUUCCUUCUGAUUCUUUGAUAUUUGACUUAAAUCUUUUGUUUGUUUCAUUUAUCAAAGUCAUUUUGGAAAGUAACGGGGGUGAUUUGAUAUUUUCAUUGCAUUCACAUCCCUUAGGCACCAAAACAAGCAUGCUGGUACUAACCAACAAUUUUUUAUUUUCAGUAUACAAAUUAUUUUUUUCUAAAUUAGGGGUAUUAAGAAAAGGUAUACUAGCACCAGGGGAGGUAUUUGAGAAUACACAAAUACAAUCUAUUAAACUAAGAAUAUGUCAAACUUCAGGGGAGGUUUCUGAUAAAUCUCUUUUACUUUUUCCUCCAUUCACCAUAGGUUCAAUUUAGAACAGUUGACCAAACCGAAGGUUUAGGUUGGUAAACGCACUAGUGUUAAUGUCAACAACCCAAGGGGCUUCAUGGUCCUCUGGGCUGAAAUAGCGUAAUUAUUAAUUCUCCUCCAGUGAAAAUCUUCAUCUUGGGACAAAUAAUUACAAAUUGACAUUAUGGCUAUGCAAAUUUUGAGGUGUAAUAACCGGAAAAAUAAAAAUCUUAAGAGACUUUUUAAAUAAAAAAGAUACAACACCUUUAAUUUGCUAAAAGUAAUGAUAUCAUUACUUGUAUGGAAAAUGGAUGAUUAGAUUUUCUUUUUUGUUAUCCGACGAAGGAUAUUCAGUUGUUCUUUAUUUGUUCAUAGGCAAGAGCAUGAGCAUAUGCAUGAUUUGAUAUAUGCUUCUUGCAUUUUCUAAUUAAGUGCUCUCUUUCCUUGCCUUCUUAGUUUUGAAAGAAAGAUGUGAAGCAAAGCAAACCCAGUGAAAUACACAGAGCAACAGAACCAUCAGAGGAAAAACUAAAUAACAGAACUACAAUUGAACCAAACAAAAUCAAAUAAACGGACGCAACAGAUGCCCUGAACCUAGUAAUUACUCAAGAGUUGAGGAGUUGGAAUGAUUUGGUAUUCAUAUCUUCACAAAUCAUAUGCUUUAAUGCAGAAUCGACAGCUUUAUAUUAUUUUAUUCAAAAAACGAUAAAGCAGGAAAACCACAAUAAUCCACCAACUUUUGAUACUUGUAGGAAUUUUUUUUAGUCAAAUUAAGUUUCAUGAUAACACAAGUGGCUCGUCCACACACUUGCACUUGCUUGAAUAUUUGUGCCGACAUUUUCAUAUGUGAUGGUACUUCUUAGCCAGUAGAUAUGUUGAAGUACUACAAAACAGAGUAUUUGAUGAAGUUUUGCUACUUUCGUAUCCCAUUUUGUUGCAUAACUAAAUUCUUUAUAAACACAAAUUAGAAAGCUACAAAUAAUACAGUAGCUUGAAUUUAUAUGCUUUUAUGAUUAUUUGAUAAUCUAGUGCUGACAAUAUGUGAUGAUAAACUUAGCUAGUAGUUUUAUAUUUAUUUUCGUAGUUUCUUUAGCAUUCACAUUUUGAUGAGUAAAUUAAGGAUUUCCAGAUGAAGUACAUAAUCAGAUUAAUGCUAAGGAACUGAAGUUUGAUUAAUUGAAAACAAAAAUAAUAAUGAAGGUAAUUACGAAAAUGAACAAUGCAGAAGUAGUCCCUAUAGUAUUUCUAAAUUUUCUCUUGGGGUUCCUUAGUAUUCCUUAAUAUUUUUAAAAGAUGACAUGACGAUCUUUGAGUUGACAAAUCUAGGCCUGCUGCUUAGUACCCUUCCAACAUUUCAAGUACUAGAUGUUUUACUGAGAAAAUGACAAGAUCAUUUAUCAAAUUUCUUGCGCAUAUAUACAUAUGCAUACAAGAAAUGGGAAUCAGAGUGAUUAUAAGACCUUGCAAUGAGACAAUAAUACAUCAUCAAAUUUAAAAAUACACAAGAAAUUUGUGACGUAUAUAUAACAAAAGACCUCUCAUUGAGUUAUACAUAUUGAGAAUAAAAUGUCAAAAUGCAGACAAAGAGCUUAUACAGAAAAUGAAUAAACCGUCUUUGAACUUCCGAUGGUCAAACAAAGGAAACAGGCAGGAUAUAACACACACUAUCAUAGAUGUAGCGACACGAUGAAGUAAAUCACAUGAAGAUGGAAAGGGGAACCCCUCACAGCAUAAAAUUUGAAUAGAAGGGGGAAAAAGGCUUCAUUUCAAAUGUUGCACAGAAGAAGAGUGACUUGAAUCUCCAUCAGUAUCCAGACAUUCUGCAAACACAGUGCUGAGAAUUUUAACAAGAAUAACAGACAAAAUAUUGUGCUCUCUAUACUUUCACAAAACUAGACCAAAUUAGUUCCCUUUUUGGUUUGUGAAAACUUGAUAUUUUUUAAAAUUCUAUCCAAUGCUUUCAAACAAUAUUUCCACAAUAUAGUUGUUCAUAGCUAACCUUUGAUGGUUUAAGGAUUUGUUGUAGGCAUAAUGGGCUAAUUAGAUUUUUUUUUUUAUCCGAUGAAUGCUAUUCAGCUGUUCUUAAUUAUGUGUUCAUAGGCAAGACCAUUUUCUUAAGUACUUUCGUUGCCUUCCAAGUUUCCAAAGAACAAACAGAGCACAAACAAAUAUAACGGAACAGCAAUGAUGGCAAUAAAUAAUUGGCAAAGAAAGAAAGAAAAAAGUUUGCAUGAUUUCAAGGAAUUGUAAAAUCUGAAGACUUUCAACAGGAAUUAUAAAAUCUGAAGACUUUCAACAUGCAAGUGUUGCCCCUUUUGAUGAAAUUUCAUCAUAAAAUGCUUGCAAAGAAUUAUAAAAUUUUAGAGAACAAGCGAACUCUCAAACAAAAUACUCAAAUUAAAUUAAAUUAGACCAAAAGACACUCAAUGACGCAAAAUCUGCCCAUAAAAGCCUGAACAAAUCAUGAAAAGUGCAUUCCAUAUUGACAGUAAACCAAGUGACCGAUUCUAAAUAAUUGAGAUGAAAUUGUGAAACAACCCACGAGAUCAAAUAAAUAAAAUAAGAAUUAAUUACCAGCUUUGACUUUCUUCUCCAAAUUCGCAACUCCAAGACAUAAGAAGCCAAUGAAAUUAGUCGUAACCCAUAAAGUACGACGACGACCCCGCCAAUAGCUGAAAAUAAAAUACUUAUUCAUCAAUUUAAACUAACUUUAUAACAAAUAUCUUAUCGAUAUUUUAUUUAAAAAAAGCAAAUUUGUAAAAUUUUUCCAUGGGAGAUAGAGAGUAAUAUGUAUAUCCGUACCUUUUCAGCAUGUAAUUGUUGUAUGGUUGUGUUAAGAUCAUUAUUUGCCCAACGGCGUUGAUCCUCUUACUCUCCAUACGAGACGUUUACUCUCGGAGGCGUGUUUGAUUCUCCUGAAGUGAAAGUCUUCAUCUUGGGACAACCAAUCACUUCUAGAUAUUCCAGAGAUGGGAAUUUGAAGGUGUAAUUGGCAGAGCAGAAACUUGUGAGACUGUCUAAAUCGCACAGAAUCAACGCCUUCAAUUUGCUGAAAACAAUCUCUUCUAUGUCAACUCCUUCUUUGUCAUUUAUUACCACCUCUGUCAUUGCUCUGCAUCCAUAUACUUGCACUGAUACGAGUCGCACCAGAGUUUUUGCUGUGGAGGAUGUUACGAAGUGUAUCAAUUCCUUGCAACCGACAGCUACCAGUUUUGUUAGGUUCCGAAAAGAUACCGAUGAUGAUGGCAAUAGACUUAACAGAUUUUGACAAUGAUAUACUUUUAGAAUUUCAAGAUAUUGAAAAAUGGAGUCAAGUUUGGAGUCUUGUUUACAUAGCUGCUUCAGAUGAUUAAGGUGGCCCAGCUCUAUACAUUUUAUCAUUGCCAACUUCCUCAAACGUUUCUCUAAGCAUCCUUCCGUUGAAAAUAGCUCUUCGUAUGAACAAUGAUACAGUAAGAGUAAUUCGAGAUUGUGAAAUCUCUCAAGUACAUUCCUGAUUGGAAAACAAGCCGAGUCAUCAUAAGUUAUGUCUAGUUUUUUAAGACUGCCAAAAAGGUGUUGAGGGAAAUCGGCGUCCAAAAUCAUCUUCACAUCUUUUCCGCUUAACGCCAGUGACUCCAAGUUGGGUAAGAUCUGAUCAUUAUCAAUCACGUAGUAACUAAUCAGUCAGUUGAUGUUCUCUCCAAUAAUUUUGAGUAAUCCAAUCAUAUGCAGCGACCUUAUAGUACUUGUUGUAGAUUAUAUAUAUUUUACCAAAAAAAAAAAAAAAAGAAAGGAAAAAUUGAAUUAGUGAUAAAAUUCAUUCUAGGGGCCGUUGAAUUAGUGAUAAAAUUGAAUUAGUGAUAAAAUUCGGUUAUAUUUUUCAAAGUCAAAAGUCGCUAAUGAUCUAAUUGAUAAGAAAUCUAGAAAGCGGCUUCAUACCUUUUUGAACAAGAAUAGGGGCCGUUGUGCAGGAAUACCAAGUUGAUCAUCCUCAUUAUUUUGUGAUGAAUCUGCAGCGAAUGUCUUCAAUUUGUCACAACCAGACACCACUAAAAUUUUUAGUGCAGGCCAUUCCGAAGUAAGCAUUCCAUGGUAUAAACAUUUAAGUUCUGGUAGCUCUUGGAGUAUAAGAGUGGUCACCCGUUGAAAGACAAAACGAGGGGUCACAUGAUCUACUCUGUCUUCCGAAAUGAUCUCUUGCAAACCCCUACAAUUCACUAUCUCUACUUGUUGGAGAUGCUCAAAGCUUUGAAUCAUAGAAACUAAAAAUAUGUAUUUCAAUUUGUUACAGUGGCACACAAUCAAUCGUGUUAAACUUUGAAAGCGAGGAAGCAUGACCGGACGAUGAUUGUAAUGCCAAAUCUUGUCGACAUUAAUUUCAGAUAUCUCCAAAGCCUCCAAGUUAGGCAAGCCUACCUAAAAAAAUAUUAAUUUCUUGUUAGAUCCAACAUCCAUAUGAGAAGGACUUAUUGAAAUUUUCUUCUUUGAUUGCAGAUUAAUAAUUCAAGUCAAAAUCAAUUUCCAACUGACAGCUGAGUAUGCAUUCUAAUUCAUAUUACUUGUUAAGAGCUCAAUUAGUGAGUGCGUGAGAUUCUUUUUAUCUUUUUUUUUUCACUUUCUUUCAAUUCUUUAAAUGAUUUAAUUAUUUUCCACGUAUGACAUCAAAAGAGAAUGCACAAUAGCAUAAAGAAAGUGUUAGCCUACGCACCUUGCCGUUGAAAAGCAGGGUUUCCAAAUUGAUUUCGUUGGAGCAAGAACUUGUCAAUUCCUCUUGCAGCCCUUGUCUGUUUAGUGAUGCUGAAGGAGUCUUCAAUUUACGGAAAAAAGUUGUAACCUCUGGAAGAUUUCCUAAACUCAAAGAUCUUAAUUGAGCCAACUCUAUCUUCUCAGUAGCAUUAUUGUUGUCAACAUCAGCUUCUCCCCCAGUUGCAAAAAUCUCUUUCAUCUUGCUGCAAUUAAUAACUGCAAUUCUCUCAAGUCUUGGAAGGCAUUUUGCAGUGGAGAGCCAGAAGAUAUUACUCAACUCAUUACAAUUUUCUACUUUUAUUGUUUUGAGUUUAUUGAAAGACUCUACUUUGAGUCGAUCAAUGCAUAUCCUCUCCAUGUUGAUCAAAUUGUGAAGAGUCAGCGACUCCAAAAGAGGAAAGGCAUCACAAGCGACCAUCUCCAUUGAGUCGACAAUACAAAAGAAGUCAGGAUUAUUUUGAACCCAGAGAAGCUUCAAUUGUGGUACGCCCUUUGUGUCCAAAUCGAAAAGAACAUUUUUGACACCUUGUAGCUUGUCCAACAAUAAGUAUUCAACGUUAUUGAUGGCCUGCAAUUUCAUGGAGCAAAUGUCCAUAAAAUCAAGCUUGAGCUUCAACUCUCUUAAACGCUCAUGAUUAUUGUUGAUCAAAAAGUGCGACCGACUGCGAAACCAAUCUUUUGUAACAGGCAAGGAAGCCAUGAAUGACUUAUUUCCAAUAGAUAUUUUGAACCUUUUGAGCUUUCUGGCCAAAAAGCCUUCCGGUAAAAUACUGUCAUUUUUAACAUCAACACUUCGGGAAUGUCAUUAAUAAUACUAUCUUUUAAAAAAAUUGCAGGAUAUUUUUUUAAUGCAUCUGCAUCUGGCCAUUUCCACAAAUGCAAUUUUGUCACGACAUGCAAUUGAAAUGGCAACAUCGCGAACAACAUCAUGCAUGGAAAAUAAUUUACUGCUACCAUCCUUAAGCAACAAACAAGAGUCUCUUAGUUGAUUGACCCAUGCAUCUAAUUUGUUAUGUGCAUCUUCUAGUUUAUGGACACUUUCAAAUGCACCCAAGCCCACGCUAUAUUUGAACAAGUCCAUAAUUGAAGUUGGUGUAAUUAGACUACACAGUAAAAAAGUUUUCUUGAGUUGCUCACCUCUUAAGUACUUGUAACUCAGCUCAAUUGUUGAGUAUGCCUCUACUGGUACUCCUCCGUCGAAGCUUGCCUCUGAAGGCGUUUGGAGUUCUUGCAAGGCGUUUUUCCACACAGGCAGCUCUUUGUUUCUCAGUGCCUUUGCUACUGUGGUUAGGGCAAUAGGCAAACCUCCACAUGCCUUGGCUACACUUGUUGCUGUAGAUUUUAACUCACGAUUUUCAACAUAAUUACCAGCCAUUAUCUUGAACAAUCUCCAAGCUUCUUGCUCAUUUAGAAUGCAAAUCAAGAAGUUAUUUUCAUAUCCCAUACUUAACGAGACAUUACGAUCCUUUGCUGUUAAUAAUAAUUUGCAUCCUCUAUGAUCAUCGCCAAAAGGAAUUCCAACAGUCUCUAAAUCAAGAUAUUUCCAGAUUUUGUCCAGAAUCACAAGGAUCUUCUUAUGAUUCUUCAAUCGUUCAUAAAGUUUACUAGCUCUUCUAGAUUCAGCCUCCUCGGACAACUCCAGACCUAGUUUCUCUGCAAUUUCCCCUUGAAUCUUUUUUAUGUCUGGAGUUUGGGAAACCUCUGAAAAAACCACCUGAUCAAAGAGUUUCUCUUCACUGGCUUGCCUUGCAAACUCCUUCACCAGUGUUGUCUUUCCAAUGCCGCCCAUGCCGUAUACCCCAACGAUGCUGACAUUGACAUCAGUCAAUGCAUCUUGUAUAGACUUCAGAGUAGAAAGUCUUGAUUUAAAGGCCUCAUAACCUUUGUUAGACUUUAGCCAUACCUCCUCCACAAUGGUACGGUAGAAAAUUUGAUCAUCAAAUCUCCUAGCUUCUUCUUUGAGUUCAACAAGGGCCUUCACCUCUGUUUCUGCUUUCUUGCUAAGCUGAUAGCGGGUCUUCAAAUUAGGACACAAGCCCUUGAAACAUCGCUUACUUGUUGUCUCCCCAUCUUCAAUGAAUUUGGAUGCCUGCUCAAUGGUGUUGUUCGCACUAACCAGCUAGUUCUCAACCUUCUCUUCAAUCUUUUCUCCUUUUCUUUCAGCCUUAGAAACUCUGUGCUGAAUGCUCUUACUUUCAUCCUUGAGCUUGUCUAUUUCUGCCUUGAGAUUCUCAAAGUUGGCUUUAUAGUUACGCAAAUAACCAAGUUGGUGUUCUGUUGGAGGAGCGAAGCAUUUCACAACUUCUAACAGAACAGUAACAAUGCUUUCCACCAUCUUCGAUCCUCUUUUUUUCAAAGUUCCGAAAUGAAAAUAAACGACGAGCGAAACACAGAGAGAAAGAGAGGCAAAAAAAAAAAAAAAAAAAAAAAGAAAAUGAAACAACAAAGAUGACAAGUGUAUCUGUUUGUGGAAGCGGAGAAAUCAAAGAAAGCUUAAAAACUGUUGUGAAUCUGGUGAGAAGAUGGAAACAAGGAAAAGGUUUCUAGUUCAAAAGUGAUUGAAUUGAUAUAAGGAAUGAUUUAGAUAAUAGAGGAAAAGUGAAUCAGUCAAAAUAACUUAUGUAUUGACCAGAAGAAAGAUGCAAACAAUAUUGGAGACAACAACAACGCUAUGUGUUGUGCGCAGAAUGCGGAAACAAGUGCACUGAAUAAUCACAGAAAAAUAAAGGACACAAGAAUUACAUGGUUCGGCAAUAUGCCUACGUCCAUGGGAACAAGAGAAAAAUAAUUGUAUUAUUAACAAUUAUAGUACAAAUUUGAGUAAAGAAAUCUCACUUUCCCAUAACCCAAAUACACCAGUACUCUCACACACACUCUCCAAUUGCUCACACUCUCACAACUCUCAAAACCUUAGAAACUUAUACGCUUAACAAUUUAGGGAUGAUUUACAAAUGAAGAAUGCAUCUAUAUUUAUAGCAAAAAACGUUGCACUAUUGCACCAUCCGCUUUGCAAUUUGUCAAUUCUCCUAUCUGUCAAUUUGACAAAUUUUACUAACCUUUUUCAUUUUUCUUCAUUUGGUGCAGGAUUGUCAAAAGUCAUAUAUUCUACAGCUUGCAAUUUUGGUGCCGACUUUGAAAAACAAAAGCAAUGCAUGUGGCUCACUUUUAUUUUUCAACCAAUUUGAAAAAAACUCUUUGACUUUUCAACAAUUCUCCACCUCGGCGAAGAUUUGUUCAAAUCUGAGCCGACUACCAACCAAUCAUCAUCCCCAAAGUGGCUGCAUCUCUGUGACUGCCUACGUACCCAAAAUUUGGGAUCAAGCCAACCGUAGUUUAAAAUUUCCGAAGGACAUAUCUUAACACAAUCGAAGGAUUUGAAUUAGUUUCAAGCAAUGUUGAAACUUAACUCCAGAAACUACCUUCGUCAACAUAUCUGAUGGAUUAUCUUUGGUAUCGAUCUUUCUCAACAACACAACACCGCUCUCGAUAAUCUCUCUCACAUAAUGAUAUUUCACAUCUAUGUGUUUCGUCCGAGCGUGAUAUGUUUGAUUCUUCGCAAGGAAUAUCGCACUUUGAUUAUCACAGAAGACCGCAAUGUUCUCUUGGAUUACUCCUAAAUCACCUAACAAGCCUUUCAACCAGAGAGCUUCUUUUACAGCUUCAGUUACUGCCAUAUACUCUGCUUCCAUAGUGGACAAAGCAAUUAUCGAUUGUAGAAUCGACCUCCAGCUAACCGGACCUCCACCCAAUGUGAAUACGUAGCCCGUUGUUGAUCUUCGCUUGUCAAGGUCUCCAGCGAAAUCAGAAUCACAAUACCCAACACAUUGUUGACCACAAUCAUUCUUGAACAAUAACCCAACAUCAACUGUCCCAUACAGAUAUCGGAGAAUCCACUUUACUGCAAGCCAUUGAUUUAUACCCGGAUUGUGCAUGUAUCUACUAACCAUGCUCACUGCUUGAGAUAUAUCAGGCCUUGUACAUACCAUAGCAUAUAUAAGACUACCCACAGCACUAGCAUAUGGAACACGAGCCAUAUAAUCGCGCUCCUCUUGAGAUCUAGGACAUAAAGAAGAGCUUAAUUUGAAAUGAGGAGCUAAAGAUGUACAUACUGGUUUAGUUUUGUCAUCCAUGCCUAAUCUUUUUAGCACUUUCUUCAAAUAAGACUUUUGAGUCAACCAUACGCUCCCAUUCUUCUUGUCUCUACGAAUCUCCAUCCCAAGUAUUCUCUGUGCAUCACCCAAGUCUUUCAUCUUGAACUCAGAAGCUAGCUGCUUCUUUAAUCUUUCGAUCUCAUCUCUAUUCUUCGAAGAUAUAAGCAUAUCGUUGACAUAGAGUAACAAAUAGAUAAAAGCUUUAUCUAGUAGUCUUCUAAAGUAAACACAAUGAUCGUGUUCGCUUCUAGUGAAUUUCUGCCCUUGUAUAAAUUGAUCAAAUCUUUUGUACCACUGCCUUGGCGAUUGCUUCAGUCCGUACAAAGAUUUAAUCAACCUACACACAUGAUUCUCCUUUCCAGCAACUUUGAAACCACAAGGCUGAAUCAUAUAGAUUUCCUCCACUAAAUCUCCAUGUAAGAACGUCGUCUUAACAUCCAAUUGAGCCAACUCUAACUCAUAUUCUGCAAGUAAGGUAAGUAGGAUACGAAUGGAAGUAUAUUUUACAACUGGAGAGAAAACUUCAUUAUAUUCAAUACCUUCCUUUUGAGCAAAACCUUUCGCCACGAGCCUUGCCUUGUAUCGAGGAAUUGAUUGCUUCAGAGAUCCUUUCUUCUUGGUGUAGACCCAUUUAUUCCCAAUAGCCUUUUUUCCUUUUGGUAACUUUACAAGUUCCUAUGUCUGGUAACUUUACAAGUUCCCAUGUCUGGUUUUGAUGGAGAGAUUUCAUCUCUUUUUCCAUGGCUAACUUCCAUUGAUCACUUUCACUGCCGCGUAAUGCUUCACUGAAAGUGUUGGGGAUGUCAUCAUCAAUAACUAGAAGUGCAUAGGCUACCACCAUGUAUUUAGUAAGCCAUCCGGGUUUCUUUAUCUCCCUUCUUGGCCUCCUUAUUGCUAUAAAAUCAUCAUUAUCUACAUCAUAAAUUGUUUCUUCAUUUUGUGGGACAUCAGAAGAAACAACCUCUUCUUCAACUGUAGGUGUCACCUCCAUAGUUGAACCCUUCUUUGAUGUAGAAUUAACUGGUACAUAUGAAGUUGCAUCAAACUUCACCCGCUGCAAUACCUCUUUGGUCUUGUUCUCCACCUACUGAGAACUUGAAGCUUUCAUCAUUAAAGCUUCAUCAAAUGUGACAUCUCUGCUACACACAAACUUUUUGUCUUCGAGAUUCCAAAGCUUGAAGCCCUUUACUCCAUCUUUGAAUCCCACAAAGAUAGCUUUUCUAGCACGAGGAUCCAGUUUACCAUCUUUGACAUGAUAAUAAGCUGGACACCUGAAUAUACGAAGGAAAUCAUAGUCUUGUGCAUGCUUUCCAGACCACAUUUCCAUAGGAGUUUUACCUCUAAUUACAGUAGAAGGAACUCGGUUUAUCAAGUGACUUGCAUAGCUCACAGCUUCAGCCCAAAACUUUUUAUCUAAACCAGCAUUAGAUAAUAUACACCGUACUUUCUCCAGUAAAGUACGAUUCAUGCGCUCAGCCACACCGUUCUGUUGCGGAGUAUGUCUCACCAUGAAAUAUCUUUUAAUACCCUCGUUCUGGCAUACUUGCAAGAAUGGAUCAGAAGUAUAUUCACCCCCAUUAUCAUAUCGUAAUACUUUGAUCUUUCUGCCAGUUUAAGUCUCUACCAAUUUCUUCCAUUUCACGAAAAUCUCUAGAACAUCAUCCUUUGCUCGCAUGGUGUACACCCACACACGUCUAGAGAAAUCAUCAACAAAUGUAACAAAAUAAUGGCUUCCACCAAUUGAUGCAGUCUUGGUUGGUCCCCAUACAUCACUAUGAACAUAUGCAAGGAUCUCACGAGUAUCGUGAUUAGCCGUACCAAACUUGACCCUUGUUUUCUUGCCUACUACACAAUGCUCACAGAAAUUUAAUUUACAGGUUUUGGGACCUUUUAAGAGUCCGUGCCUCAUCAGAGUUUGCAAGGACUUCUCUCCAGCAGUCACAGUCGUACAUGCCAUAGCUUGGUGGUGUCACUGUGCGCCUCAACAACAUUUGCUUCAUCAAUUGUACCUCCCUUCAAAUAGUACAGAUUAUGACGCCGAACCCCUUGUAGAAUCACCAUAGCCCCAUGUGUAAACUUCAUUAUACCAUCUUUAAUGGUAACCUUGUAGCCUUUACCUUCCAAAGUACCCACAGAAAUUAGAUUUUUCUUGAAAACUGGAAUAAAUCUAACCUUUUUGAGUUCUCUGACCGUUCCAUCAAACAUUUUGAGCUGAAUUAUUCCUAUCCCCAUUGUGCGACAAGGUUGAUCAUUCCCCAUCACAACUGCACCAGAUUCCAGAUUACGAAAACCCGUAAAUCAUUCCUUAAUAAGACACAAAUGAUAGGUUGCUCCAGUAUCAAGUAUCCACUCGCUCGAAUUAGCUACAUAUACUACAGGAGUAAUACUUAGUGAAUAAUCAGAGUCUUCAUCUUUCCAUGCCAUGUUUGCUGGUGCUGGUUUCUUCCCAUCUCUCUUUUGAACCUUUGGCCAAUCUUUCCUCCAAUGGCCAUUUUCAUGACAAAAUGCACACUCAUCUCGAGCUAUAUUUCUGCUUCUCAAUUUGGAUCGAGAAUUUUUUCCACCAAGCUUUUUCUUUUUCUCCAUCACCCAAUCUUUACUCACCAAAGCUUCAAACGAUACUCGUUCAGAAUUUUUAUCAUUAUUCUGCAUCUCCAAGUUAGUCAAUGUUGUGCAAACAUCUUUGAAGACGAUCACACUCUUCCCGUAUAUCAAGGUAGUCACAAAAUGACUAUAUUCCUCUGGUAGUGAGUGUAACAAAAUUAUAGCUUUGACUUCAUCCUUAAUAUCUUCAUCGAGAUUCUUCAAAUCAGCAGGUAACUUUUCAAAUCUUGAGAUAUGAUCGUGCAUUGACACCCCAUGCUUCAUUCGAAAGCCAUAUACUUGGCUCAUUGUAUAAAGACGAUUUUCAGGACUUUUCAGCAGGUACUUCUCCUCCAAUGUACGCCACAAAGUCACCGCACACUCCUCAUCUUUCACCAAGUAUUUCACCUCCUUGGUCAAACAAGAUCUGAUCUGACCACAAGCUUUCUCGUUCAUACGAUCCCAAAUUUCUUCAUCAUACAAGUGUCUUUUAUUUUUCAGAACAACAUCGAGAUCGAUUUGAAUAAGGACAUCCAUAACUUCGCGCCUCCACAUGCCGAAGUUGAUUUUCCCAUCAAAUUUUUCAACAUCGAUCUUCUGGCCUCCUAUAACAGGUGCUGAGUAGGGAUUUGACAAAUCUCGCCUCCCACUUGAACUGUCUCCUGAAAUAGUCUCGGUAGAUCUCUCCUUACUUCUGGAAGUUUCACCUUCUACCAUUUUCUCAACGAACUAUUUCCACUUGAAAAACAGCCUCUGUGAUGUUAAUUUCGCAUGAAUAAAUGCACCAGGAAAGUUCCCAGGAAACUGGAUGGGAACUCGGUCCCAAUUAAAAACCAAAAUCCUUAGACGCUUAUUGCCUUGUUGACAGAACUUUCCUAGACAUGCAAAAAGACACACUACUUACAAUAGACUGUCUCCUAAAUACAAAUGGCCGUCUCAACCGUAUUCGUGAACAGUACCGUAUGUGAACAAUACCGUAUACAAGAAUAGUACCAUAUGUGUGAAUAGUAUUGUAUAUGUGAACACUUCCGUAUAUUAGAAUAGUAUCGUUUACGUGAACAGUACCGUAUCCCCCCAAGUACGAACCUUCGGCUCUGAUACAACUUGUUGUGCGCGGAAUGCGGAAACAAGCGCACCAAAUAAUCACAAAAAAAUAAAGGACACAAGAAUUACGUAGUUCGGCAAUAUGCCUACGUCCACGGGAGCAAGAGAAAAAUAAUUGUAUUAUUAAUAAUUAUUUAAGUACAAAUUUGAGUAAAGAAAUCUCAUUUUCCCAGAACCCAAAUACACCCAGUACUCUCACACACACUCUCCAAUUACCCACACUCUCAUAACUCUCAAAAGUUUAGAACUUAUAAGCUUAACAAUUUAGGGAUGAUUUACAAAUGAAGAAUGCAUAUCUAUUUAUAGCAAAAAACAUUGCACUAUUGCACCAUCCGCUUUGCAAUUUGUCCAUUCUCCUAUCUAUCAAUUUGACAAAUUUUGCUAACUUUUUUCAUUUUUCUUCAUUUGGUGCAGGAUUGUCAAAAGUCAUAUAUUCUACAGCUUGUAAUUUUGGUGCCGACUUUGAAAAACAAAAGCAAUGCAUGUGGCUCACUUUUCUUUUUCAACCAAUUUGAAAAAACUCUUUGACUUUAAUUUCAACAAAUAGAGAUGGAGAAAAAGAAAUAUCUUCACACGGUGGAAGUACAAAGGGUAGAUAUGGAACCAAACAGAGACAACAACAGGCCACAACUAGAUUGGGAAUGGAGAGAAACAAAUUAACAAAGACUGGAGAUUACAACAGAACAGAUGCCAAGAGAAAAGGGUUUCUUCAUCCAGUGAAAUUCAAGUGAGUUGACAGCAAAAGGGAGCAUAUGUGUUUCUUGAUUGAGAACGAGUGCAAAGGAUGACUUUUUAAUGAGGUUCUGAAGCUGACGGAUAACGAUUUGCUAAAAUUUUGAGAAAGUUAUAUAUUUCGUAACUUCAACAAGUGAAGAAUAAAAGAAUAAUAGUUCGUCAUCUUCACAAUGAAGAUCAUGGCCGAGAUUAAAAGCUAAAACUAGUCCAUUUGAAAAGCCAAAGUUCAAGUUCCUUGGCUAAGUUCAGAAGUGAAGCAAAGAAUAAAUAAAUAAAGAUCAAGGGAUGGGAAUAAAGUCACCCCCAGACAGUUGCAGAAAGAUUAUUAUUUGGUAAGUGUAGUUGAUUAUUAGUACAAAACAGAGUAGGUGAAACACAUCCUUUCUAUUUAGACUGAUCAGCAUCUAAAAUUUUAUGAAUUAUGAGUUGCAUUUUACUUUGUACAUUAUGUUAACACAUUUUAAUUUAGCCAAUUUUGCAAUAAAUGUUAUUGAUGUAUUAAAUAGAAAAUGAAUUGAAUUCCACUCAUCGUCAUCUUGGCAAAUCAAGUCAAAAAAUAAAAAUCCAUAUGCUUUUGUUAAAGUUAAAAGCUACAUAAAUAAUAUCACAGAAGCUUCUGCUAAGGUUCAUGUGAAGUCACAGCUUUGAUACUUGUAAUACAAGGAGCACGGAGAAACCAUAAACUUCAGUUUAGGUAUAUACAUUGCUUGUCUUUCAAACUUGAAUUGAUAAGGGGGAAAAAAUAAUACUAAAGCAAACAGAAGGAUCAUUUAGUUGACAAAAUUAUUAGCUGAUAUGCAUUAACAACUCCUAUCCUAUACUAUCAGCCAGUAGGUUGUUGCUGCUUCCCGAUUUUUAAUGAUGCGAACAUCUCAUACUUAGAAAUAAGGGCGGAGCCUGGAGAUUGAUUUAUAAGAUAAGAAGCAACAUUGUGUACAAUAUCAGAUUUCCAAUGUGAGAAAAAUAAAAUUGCGUUAUAAAAUUAAUCCCACUAAGAAAGUGGUCUACGAAAUUGCCACAUUAAAAGAAAUUUUUUCCAUAAAUUAAAAUAAAAUUAAAUGAAAACUAUUUUUCAGUAAAGUCAAUUGCCCACGCUAGGCUAAGGCGUUUGUUUUUUUGUUUUUUUUUUUUUAAAUCUGAAUAGGUAUAAAUUUUUCGUAAGCAUGAAUGGGCUGAGUACAAAUAUAUGAAUGACAUAUUUAUUUUUAUUUUUCUUAAUACCCGAAUAUAAGUGACAUCUUAUUUAUCUUAAAUAUGGUUAUUUGAUAUUUAUAUUUUUACAAAUCAAAAUAAAAAAAAAAAAGUAGUUAGAUUUUAUAGUUUAAGAAAUAAAUAUAUUUUAUAAAAAAAAAUUUAGAAUAUAUAUUUACUUCUUAUUCAGACUUUUUUCUAUUCAAUAAAAUUCACAAAAGUUACUUUUUCUAUUCAAAUGUAAAUGCUUAAAAAUCAUAUAUAAGUUACAAAAAAAAAUUUGGAAAAAGUCAUAAAUUAAUAAAAUUUCAGAUUUUAUAUAUUUAACUCCCAAUGCAGAUCCGUCCCUAUUAGUGUUAGGAAAUUGACUGGUGAAUGUUGAGUGUUAGAAAAUAGGAGAAAAUCGUCAUUUUACACUUCAAGUUUUACUAACAUCCUUACUUUUACGUAUUUAACCUUCUUGUGAUUUAAUUACGUGUUUUUUUAUUUUAAUUAAGUAUUUUAUGUAUUUUAGUGGCAUUAUAGUCAUUUCACAAUGAACGAGAGAUCAGACGGCAAAACGGACAUCACUUUUGAACUCAGGACGGUCGAAAACCUUAGGAGGAGCAUAAAAGGAAAAAUGACACUGUUCAUAUGUACGGUACUAUUUACAUGUACAGUACUGUCUACGUUACUGUUCACGACACUGUUCACAUAGACGGAUCGAUGAUGUGGCAUUGACCGAUGAUAUGGCAUUGACUGAUGAGGUGUCACGAUCUUGUUGGACUAAAAUUCUUAUGCACUGUUGAUUGGUGACGUGGCAGCAUGUUAGUGGACCAAAAAUUGCGCGUACGGUACAUGCAUAUACACAGGAUUAUUUUCAACCAAACCGCGUUACUGUUCAAGCCGGGUCAAACCGUGUUACUGUUCAAACCGCGUGGUCAAACCGCGUACUGUUGACUGAUGACGUGGCGCAAUCCUAAACGUCCAAACUGUUUUUAAUCCGAUGGCCAUGAUUUACUCAAUGUAUCUAUAAACAAGAUCCUUGUUUAUGGCUCUGAUACCAUAAAUCUUGUUGGUACGUGGCGUUGUUUUACCAUAAACAAGGAUCUUGUUGGUACGUGGCGUUGUUUUACCAGAUCAAUGCAAAAGUUAAUCUGCCUUAGGGACCAGAUCUGACUUAGAACAGAUCAAUAUCCCGCAUGUUCGGGUUUUCAGCCGAUAUACCACAAAGGCUCAACGAUAGUACUAGAUCUGGAUCCCAGAAAUAGUACUCUGAUUGAAUGGAGGGAGAAGAGAAAUACAACUAAGGUCAGAGAUCCGGUCUCUAUGCCUUAGAGGAUAUGUAACAGUUUAUAAAGAAAUUUAAAUAGACGUAAAAUAAAUUACAAAAUUUAAAACAUACAUGCUUUAUAAAAUUAAAAUAUUAAACUUACAUAUUAUUCUUGCUUGAAUCCAAGAAACCUUUACGUUACAAUAUAGUUUUACAGAAUAGGAAAGAUGAGAAAGUUCGGAGACAGGAAAAUUUCCUCCAAGUCUCUGAUUUCUUUCCAGAGGAGAAUACAAGAAGAAGUAAAAAAGAGAAGUGUCCUCCCCUUCUGCUCGAGGCCUCGAUUUAUAGAAUCAGAAGUGCCUUGGUAGCUGCAUCAGACCACUACUUGGAGAAACGUGCUUGUGGAGACAGCAUCGUCUGCUUUAUCACGUGGAGACAGCAUCUUCUGCUUUAUCACGCGGAGACAACAUCUUUUGCUUUAUCACGUGGAGACAGACAUCUUUUGCUUUAUCACGUGGAGACAGCAUCUUCUGCUUUUUGAAAAGCGUUGACGUGGACCAAAAAGUGAAAAUGAAAAUACAAGGAAAAAUACAUAAAUACAAAUUAUUUACAUAAUACUAAAUGAACAAUACAUAUGAUAAUUACUUUUUUUUUUAAAUGGUAACUUUAAAAGUGCUUUAUGGGAGAAAGAAUCCCGAAACAAUCAUCUUUAUUGUCGUCUCCCAGGGAAAUGAAUGGUUCAGCUUCUUCAUCGGUAGAACCUGCUGCAGAUGGUUCAGAUCUUGAGGCAAGGAGGUGUUCUAUAACUUGAAAAUAUUCGUUUUCAGUCUUUGCACUGGCCAAAAGAGAUUGGGCUUUUGACCGUUGGGCUAAGAAAGUACUCUGGGUUUUAACAUCUUGAAUGCUUGGCGCGAGAAGGCCUUUUGAGGAGAGCCAUUUCUGAACUGUGGCUACAGACAGCUUUGACUGUUCAUCAAACUUUGACCACCAUUUGACUUUAAAGGUUCUUUGUAGAAUGAAUUGGGCUUCCUGUUUGUGGUAUUGGAAAUUCCACAUCCAGACCCAAGGAAGGAAAAAGUUUGUACAGAAACAAAGAAAAGGAGGAAACCUUUUCUCGGACUCUGAAGGAACAUAAUGGGCUUUAAAAAUGUUUAAACAGUGAAUGGCAUUUGGAGUUAAAAUAUCGGGGCAUGGCCCAAAAUAAUUCCACCACUGUUGGAACCAGUUUGGAAGACUCUGAACGGUUAUUUUUGAAUUAAAGAAAAAUAACCAAGAAUGGGUCUUUUUUGGGUUUUGAAUAAAGAAUGUGUUAAAUCAGGCCUGUUGAUAGUCCCAGUAAGAGAAAAAUAAACAGUGGUUUAAACUCCGUUGGAAAUUGGCAGGAAAGGUUUUUAGUUUGUGAAGUUCAUCACCCCACUGUUUUGGACUCAAGACUUGUAAUAUGGUGGCUGUGGAAUAGGCGGGUCUUUAUGGGAUUCACUGAGGAAGAAAUGUUUGAAUUUUACAGACUCAGUGUAUUCCAGAAUGCUUUGGUAGAAAGACUGGGGUUUUGUCAAAUCCCAAGGUUUGAAAAACCAGCCUUUCGGAAAAAUCUUUGAAAUGGCUUGAAAUGGAUCAGAGUGAUAAAAUCCAUCUUCUAUAGAUAAAACAUUUUGAUGAUGGGUUUUAUUAAACCAAUCCGAAGAUUUUUUAGGAAGAUUUUGUUGUGAAACAAUAAUUUGAGAACUGGAACUUUCUCCAGAAAGAACUAUAUUUGAAGAGGAUUUUGAAAUAUCUUUAGAAAUAGUCUUUGAAACAGUUUUUUCUUCUUCAGGAUUUUUAGAAAAAGCUUUAUUUUGAGAAAUGCUUUGAAGAGCUAAUAAGAGUUCAGGAGAAUUGGAAAUGGAGUUCAUCCAUUCUUUUACCUGUACUUCCGAGGCGAUAGCUUUAGAAUGAGCUUCAUGCUCCUCAACCAUAUCAAUCCAAGAUUUAAUAGGCAUGGCUGAGGAUAAAAUUUUGUCUUUAGGAGGAGUUGAUAAAGAUUCUUUAGAAGCGGGUUGAGGUGGAGGGUCUUUGAGGACACCUUUUCCUUUGUCUUUUUUGGGCGGCAUUAUCUGUUUUGAAGAAAUUCCCUAGUUAGAAAGUCAGGGAUAGAAUUUGUAUCUCCUUUAAUAAAGUCAAUAUCAAAGUCAAAAACACUUAAAAUAGUUUGCCAUCGUGCAAAAAUUUGUUUUGAUGCAAUGUUUUGAACACCUUUUUCUAAAACAUGUUUUGCAGCUUUGCAAUCUAUCCUAAGUAAAAAAUUUUGAUUUAAUAAAUCACUUUGAAAUUUGGAUAUGCAUAAAACAAUGGAUAAAAUUUCUUUUUUAAUAGUAGAAUAAUUUUUCUGACAUUCAUUCCAAUGAGCAGAAACAUAUUGAACUAUUUGUUCUUUAGUACCAUUCUUUUGUUUUAAUAUUCCUCCAUAACCUAAAUCUGAAGCAUUGGUUUCAACAAUUUUAGGUAAUACAGGAUUUGCAAGAAACAAACAAGGGAUUUCUUUGACUGUAAGUUUUAUUAAUUUAACAACUUUAGUGUGUUCAUCAGUCCAAACAACAGGGUGUUUCUUUAAUCUAUCAUGCAACGGUUUUGAAAUCCUAUUAAUGUUAGGACAGAAAUCAAGAACAUAAUUCAAACUACCUAAAAAUCUAUGUAGUUGAGUUUUAUCAAGAAUUUUAUCAGGGAAUUUGUCGGCAAAUGCAAGAGAUCUUUCUAUAGGUGUUAUAGUACCUUUAGAAAUAUAAUGACCAAGAAAUCUAAUUUUGGUCUGAAAUAAAGAAACUUUAGAAUUAGAAAUAGCUAAGCCAGCUUUUCUAGUCGCAAACUAGAAAGUCUUUAAAUGUUUGAAAUGUUGAUCAAUAGACUGAGAAAAGAUUAAUACAUCAUCAAUAUAAACAAUGCAAAAUUCUGAAAAAGGAUUAUAAAUAUCAUUCAUUAUCCUUUGAAAUUCGGAAGGUGCAUUUUUUAAUCCGAAUGGCAUUACUGUCCAUUCAUACUGUCCAAAAGGAACAGUAAAAGCAGUUUUGUAUCUAUCUUUAGGAUGGAUUUGAAUUUGCCAAAAUCCUGAUUUCAUAUCAAAUUUUGAGAAAAUGAAAGCAGAGUGCAGUUUUUGGAGUAAAUCUUUUUUAUUAGGUAUGGGAUCCCUAAUCCAUUUUAAUGCUUUAUUAAGAGGUUUGUAAUUAAUAACUAAUCUAGGUGUUCCUCUUUCUAUUUCAGAAUUCUUAUUGACAUAGAAAGCGGCACAAGACCAAGGAGACCUAGAUUUGACAAUGAGUCCUUUAGACUCUAAAUCUUUGAUUUCGUUUUUACAGUGUUGUUCUAAGUCCAUGUUCAUUUGGAUUGGACGAGCUUUAGUGGGAAUUUGUCUUUCAUCAAAGGAAUUUUCAUAAGGCAAAUCAACCAAAUGUUGUUUUCUAUUCCAAAAGGCAGAAGGCAAAUCAGCACAUAUUUCUUUUUCAACUAGGGUUUUAUAUUCAGAAAUUUUUCUCUUUGAAAAAUCAUUUUGCAAUUGGCUUUCAAUUUUUUGUAAAUUCAAGUCUUUUGUAAACAAACCAAGUCAUUUUGUCUAGACUUGAGUAAAAUAUUGAUUUGGUUCUGAUAAACAGAACAUGCUUUUACAAUAUUCAAAUUUCUUGUUUUAGGUUUUUCAAUAAAAGGAAAAAAUAAUUUUUUGUUUUUUGCGUUAAAAGAUAUACUAUCAUAAUUGACAGUAUAAGGAGUAAUAAGGUUAAUGAAAGGAGUUCCUAAAAUAACAGUGUGAUGUAUGUCAUUUGUUAGGACGAAGGAAGUCCUAAAUUCAAAACCAUUAUUAUAAAUUGAGGCAUCAACUUUAGAUUUGACUUUUAACUUCGAGUUAUUGGCGACAGAAAGUCUUUCAUUGGUUUUCUCAUGAAAUCCUUUAGGGACAAUAUCUUCUCUAAUGCAAUUUAAAUCGGCACCUGUAUCAAAAAGGGCAAUUGUGUCAAUCUCAAAAUCUUUAGAAAGAAUUAAGGUGAUUUUAAUCAAAUAUUUUCUAGUGGUGAUCUGUUUUAAAACAAAAAGGAAAUCCUUGGGUAAAGAUUCAAUGUUUUCAAGGUUUUGUCCUUCAUUAUCACCAUCGGAUUCUGAUUCUUUAUUAUAAUUAUCUUGUAAUUGUUUUUGUAACAGAAGUUGGAUGGUUUCAGAAUCACUUUUCUGUUUUUCUUUCAAGUUUUUUAUCUCAAGUUUGAUUUCUUUUAUCUCUUUUUGGAGAUCUUGGAUAUUUGGUAUUGUUUUCUUUAUUUUCUUAUUGUCAAGGAUUUUUGUAAGAUCAUAAGUAUUCUUUUUAAUAGUAGGGGCUUUAGAGGUUUCUGCUUUAUCUCCUAAAUCUAAAGUUUUUAGGAGUUUAUCAAGGUACUCUUUUUGAAGAGUAUGGUCAGAAAUGUGUUUAACUAACUCAAGAAAAGUUUCUUGAUCUUUAGUUAACACAUUAACUUUCUUAAAAUAGGAAUCUGUUUCAGCAUCACUAUUACUAGUUACAGAUGUAUCUGAGUCAAGUAAUUCAUCAAUCUAUAAGGGCUCACUAUCUCCCGUCAUGGAAGAUUUAGAAUCAGAAGAUUCUACAAGUAAAGGGGCAACUUUAGAAAGUGUCUCUUCAUCAAGACCAAGUUCGUGAAGUUUUGUAUUUACUCUACAAAAUUUCUUGGUGUGGCAUUUUCUUCCACAUUUAAAACAUGUGGCUUCUUUGUAAUUGAAAGGAGGUUUUGUUGUGGCCUUAGGAUCCUUUCGUUUAGAGAAGCGAGGCUUCCUAUAAAAUUUCGAAGGUUUUUUAUAGGAAGAUUCCCUAAAAUCCGGAAAAGCUUUUUUACGAUUCUUAGAAUUGUAAUGUUUUUUGUAAGGUUUUGUAGAACAUUUACCAUUACAAUCCCUGGAAGUAGAGGCUUUAAAAGGAUCAUAGUUAAACUGUUUACAGAAACUGCCUAAUUCUUGCUUAGAUUGUCUAAGCUCCCAUUUUAGACGCUUCUGUAAUUUCAUAUCUUGGCAAAUCUUUAAUCCUUCUUUAUUGACAAAACUGACCAAUUCACCAUAGGUGAGUUCAUCAUAUGGAAUACGGUUGUCAUAAAGAGCUUUAAUGGAAUUCCUAACUUUUUCUCCUAAGAGAGUGGGUAAACCAGCAAGGAAUUUUUCUUUCCAAGUAACAUGGUUUGCAUCAUCUCGGAGAAAAAGUCUAGUGAAGAAAGUGGUUUUAUAACUUUGGAAUUCACUAAGUUUCCUACAUCUUAAGUUGUGUAGUAACUCAGCAUUUUUAUCUCUAAGGUGUGAAGGAUCACCUAUGAAGUGUAGAGAAAUAGUAAGGAUCAGGGUAGCUACAGCAUCUUGAAUAGGGCUAUUGAAUUCAUCACAGAUAGGUGCUCCAUUUUCAUCUGUUUAAAUAGCAUUAAGAAUAUCUAAUUGUUGUUGUUUGGUGAGAAGAUGAUCCCACCAGCCUUUAAGUUGACCAGUAAAACCAGCAAUGAGGAUCUCUGCAAUAGCUUUGUCAGAGGUUCCUGACUGGGUUUUAUAAGCAUUAGCUGCCAUGGUCAUCUGUUGCAACAAUCCUAAAAUAUUAUAUUCGGACAUACUAUCAAUGUUCCACUCAUAGACAGAGGAGGCAUUAAAUCGUGAUUGGUUUAAUGCGCUUGGUCUGUUGUCUAUGGCUAAGUCAGGAGGAGAAUUGAUAGUAGGAAGGGCUAAUUCCCAAUGAAUUUUAUUGGCGUUAUGAAUAGGUUCAUUUGUAAAGGCUUCUAUAUCUAAAGAGGCUAUAGACACUUGGUCUUGUUCAAGUACACCAAUUUUGCUAGAUUGGGCACUAUCAGGAGCUAUUUGUAUCUUACUAGAUGCAGAAGAAGAAGCUUCGAUCCUAUCUAGUUGUUCUCUAAUGGCUUUAGCAAAAUCUGAUUUUGACUCAUGGGCAAGCUUUUGACUAGUUUUCGAAACUUGGAAGGGUUUGAAAAUAGGCUCUUUAAGCCUUUUGUCAAUAUCCGAUUUUGAUGAACUAAUAGGGGAAACAACUAUUGUUGACUUUUGGAAUUGGUUUUCUAUUCUAGUCAACUGCUUUCCUAUUGUAUUUAGGUUAGUAUUACAGAAAUUAUUCUGUUGGAUAAUGUUACCUAAAUUAGUCUCUGGAUCAUUAGUUUUAUGGAUUUUAUAAGGUGAGGCUUUAAUUUGGACAGGAGGUUCACCAUGGUCAAUGGUCAGACUCCUAAGAGGUGGAUGCUCAGAUUCUAUAGUUCUGUCACUGUCAGAAAGAUUCCACUCAGUGAUCUUUUUUCUAACUGUGAUCGGGUUAGAUUCUUUAAAAGGAUAUGUAAUGUUAUUAUCAGAAGCAUACAUAGUCAACAGAAUGUAUAGAAGAGCUAGGUAUAUCCGAUGUGGAAAACCUAGGUUGACUUUUUACAGGUUGGAAAGGAAGAUUUAUAACAGAGGGAAGUUUUGAGAAUUUUCUCUCUAAAGAGGCGAUACUAGAACUUGAAUCUUUAUCAGAAAACCUAGAUGAUGUGGACCUUCUAAAAUAUAGUUUGACUUUACCAUCAGAAUAUUGAGUCACAUUUUGUAACACUGUAUUUGGUUCAAGUUGUUUUGGAAUCACUGGUUCAGUGGCUCCUUCAAGAAUCCAUUCUUCUGGAAGAUUGACAUCUUUCCAUUGGAUUGGUUUGGGAACAACAGUGUUGGCUUUAGACAGGUCAGUCUGCAAGAGAAGAGUCUCAUCUCUUUUUGACUGAAAUUUAUGUUGUGUAUUAAACGCAGAAUUCAUGGCUUUGUAUGAAAUUUUGAUAAUUAAGGCAACUGGGACAGAUCCCUCAAUCAUGUGAUAAUUAUGGGUUUUGAUUUGUAAAAUCAUGCUUUUCAAAAUGUUUUUGUCUUUUAAAGAAAUUGUUAUGUUCGGGUAACAGCUAAAUGAGAUGGGACCUUUACAAAGACUUGAUUCUAUACUACUUAAUAAAGAAUCAUCAAAAGAGAUGAAUCGCCCAUCUCUUAGGAUAGCAAGAAUAGAGGUAUUAAGACCUUCUUUAGUUAAGGGUUUUAUGCCAACUUGUAUUAAGCCGAUGUGAACAUAAUUAAAGUUCUUUUCUUUUAGUUUCUUUAAAGAGUGUUAUGAAAACAGGUGAAUUGUUUCAAAUGGCUUUGAAAGGGUUAUGUCACGUUCUUCAGUUUUUAUAACAAAAUCAGUCUUUAAAAAAUCAAGCUUUUUUAUUUUGUAAAUCAUGUCUUUAGAAAUCUUUGGUAAUUCCCAAUUAUCAAUUGCUUUAUUAAAGUCUUCAAUAAAAAAUUCUUCUGAAUUUACAACAUUCUUAGAAUCACUAGUCCUUCCAGAAGAAGAGCUAGAGAAAGAUGAUGCUCUACAGAGUAGAGAAUCCAUAUAAGCUGGAACCUAUAAAUGAUCUAGUUUUACAGGAAUGGAAAAUCAAUCCUAGGCUAAGAGUUGGUUUUACUGCCCUUCAACCAAAUCGGGACUUACGACCAAAUACUACCAAGGCACCCAAAGGUAACACCCUUUACCACUCAAGCAAAAGUUUAAUCACAUACAACUUCAGCCUACACAAAAACUCUAAACGAUAAAACACGACCCCCCUGGCUCUGAUACCAUAAAUCUUGUUUAUGGUAUAUAUAUAUAUAUAUAUAUAUAUAUCUUUUUAAUAUAUUCCAUUACUUUAAUAAUCAAUUUAAAAUAGUUUGUGAUAUUUUCAGCUAUUUACUUAUCUACUUUUAGCUAGUUAUUUACACCGAAUGAAGUGCUAGGGUCCAAAUUUUAGUAUCCUUCUCAGCUGUUUGGGGUUAGUAAAUACUAAUUAGCAUAUUCGUCCCGAACAGCUGUGUAAAUGCUGUUAGAUUUCGGAGAGAUGCUGAGGAUGGUACAAGAUUUAUCAAAUUGUGGCGACAUUUUUAUACCUUUAGAAUUUCAAGAUUUUGAAGAAAUAAAUGGGAUCUGUUUUCCAUAAGUGCUCCACUAUCCACCAGGAGGAAUUCUAAAAUACAUUACAGAUUAGUGAUUUCUCAGAAUAAAUAAACACAUAUUAUAACAUUAUUUACUUAUUGUAUGACUGAUAUGAUAUUUCUGAGAUAUUUUAGAAUUUUUAACGCACCAAAGUUCAUUUUUAGCUUUAAAGGUUUUUAUGUGUGAGCCUCUCAGCAUGUUCCCCAACCUCCUCACGUGAAAAUAUUUCUAUGUACGGUUACAAGCUUUUCCAGAUUGUGAGUAUUCCGAAGCAAUCCAACUUGAAAAACAGCUGGUUCGUAGAAAAUGACAGUUUACGAAGCUGGCCCUGCUGCCAUACAUAUGAUGAUGAAGACCAUUUGGCUUUAUGUCAAUUCCUCCAAGUUGAAAUCUUUCUCGGUCUGGGACACUUCCAACACAUAAAGUACUACUAGGCUAGAUGAUUUUAAAAAAUGUCCAGGUCCUUUAUCAAAUUUCAUUUGCAUUCAAGACCAAUCCCCUUUGAUGAAAAUCAAUAAUUAAAGGCUUUCCAAUGAGAAAUUAUUACGUCUUCAAAUCUCAAAAAACGCCAGAAUAUUAAUUCGCUACAUAUAAUCAAGAUAUCUCAUUGAGACGCAUUAAUAAAAAAUGUCAAAAUGCAUAGAAAGAGCAGACACACGGAUGAUGAAUUUACUCAUCUUUAGUAGUAUUUGAACUUGAGAGACAGAAUGAAGUACAUGUCAAGAAUAUCAUAAAGAUGGAAACCGGAAGUCCUCCGCACAUAAACUUUGAAGAAACUGGAAAACGACUUUANNNNNNNNNNNNNNNNNNNNNNNNNNNNNNNNNNNNNNNNNNNNNNNNNNNNNNNNNNNNNNNNNNNNNNNNNNNNNNNNNNNNNNNNNNNNNNNNNNNNNNNNNNNNNNNNNNNNNNNNNNNNNNNNNNNNNNNNNNNNNNNNNNNNNNNNNNNNNNNNNNNNNNNNNNNNNNNCCAUUUGGAGUCUUGUUUCCACAAUUGCUUCAGAUGAUUAAAUUUGUGCAGAUCUAAAUGUUUUAUCAUUGUAAACUUCCUCACUUGUUUCUUCAAGUAUCCUCCAUUCGAAAAUACCUCUUCGCAUGAACAACGACGCCGUAUGAGAGUUUCCAGAUUAUGAAAUCUCUCAAGUAAAUCAAGUGGAAAACAAGUUGAUUCAUCAUCCACUGUUUGUAGUAGUUUAAGACUGCCAAAGUCAUCCUCGAGUAUUUUCCACUUAAUGCCAGUUCCUUCUAAGUUGGGUAAGCUCUGAUCAUCAUCAAUCACGUAAUAACUUAUUAAGUCAAUUCAUAUUCUCUCAAAUAACUUUUAAUAAUCCAAUCAUACACAGUGACUUUAAUAUAAAUGCAUAAUAUUUUACAAACAAGAAGAAAAAAUCGAAUUAGAGGUAAAAGUUAUUCUACGAUUUUAUUUUUUAUAUAUAUCUUGCAUGCUAUUCCCAAAAGCAAUCCCAAACGGCCUUUAAAGCAAUUUUACAAAAGCGGCCUGCACAUAUAUUGCCAACUUUGUUGGGAAUGGCAAUGGGGAGAGGAGGGGAAGAGACCGAACUCCCCGUACCCAUUCAUGAUAUUCUGCAUAUAUCCUCGUCCUCUCCUCAUUUCUCACAAAAUUGCUUUAGGAAAUCCCCCUCCCCUCCCCAAAUAAUAAUAGGGGAUCCUUGAAGGCCCUCGAUCCUCGAAUAACUGAUACGUUUUUUGUUUUAAAUUUUAAUUUAAUCAUAUUAAAAUAAAAAAUAAAAAUAAAAAUAAAGUUUGACGAUAUAUCUUAUAUUAACAUUAAUCUAUUACAAAAGUCACAUUACAAAGUAUAAAUCACCAUAAUAAUUAUCUUCGGCAAUCUUCAAAAUCAUAUAAUAAAAAAAAGAAAUUACUUUUAUAUCAACAAUGAGAUAAAUGAAAUGAAUAUAGAUACUUAAUCAAUAUUUCUAAUAAAAGUAUUUACCUCUGCGUCUCCUACUCUUCUUGUUCUUCCUCGAGGAAUGUGACAAAUUGAGAGAUAGCCUCAGAUUUCAAAUUUAAAACAAUAAAAAUGAUAUAAGUAAUGUAAAUUCUAAUUAAAAUAAACUCAUACUGCCAUUGUAAGCUUGUGGUCAACUUUGACAACAUAUUAAAGCCUCCAAUGUGCUUGAAUAAAGCGUGUUACGGUACUCUACCACUGGUGCUAAAAGCUAAUUCAGAAGCAACAUUUGUAAUUAGAAUUGCCAAAAUAUCUCUAGGUGCCAAUAUAGGAUAUCUAUAGACAUUUAUUUUACAAAAACUCAAAAUAUUAAAAUCUUUCAUCCUAAGCAUAACUUUCUCAUCCAAAUAUUAAUGUAGUCAAUUAGGCCUAAAUUUUAAUAAUAUAAUUUUUUUAAUUUUUUUAUUUAUACUAAUAUUUAAUAUUUUAUUAUUUAUUUACAAAUAAUUUUAAAAAAAUUAAAAUUAAAUCAAAAAAUUAGAAGGGGAUAGGGAUUCCGCCGCAUCCCCGUUCUUUCUCUGAAUAAGAAAUUGAGUAAAAAAACUAUCUCCGUCCACUUUCCAAAUAAAAAAUUAAGUAAAAAAUUAUGUACCCUCCUGAAUUGGGAAAAUCUCGAGGGUCAUGUCCCCGCGGCAAUAUCUGCCAUUCCUAAACUUGUAACAGCCAGUUGCUUUUGUGACUGUUUAUGUGACGGCUAGACUGCUCUCACUUAUGUUACUAACCACGUGACGGUAGAGAGCCAAUUGGCAUACUAUUUUGACGGUAGAGUUAUAAAUUUGUUUCUAAAUAGAAAACUAUUUGCUGAAGUCAAUAUUUUGAAAACCAAAGUCCCAAAUUCUCUCUCGUGCGUGCCUGGUCAUCCUAAACCUUACUGGUAGCCGGAGAAUGGCGUAAAACGGCAGCGAUCUUCUUCUUCAUCUUAUUCUCUCUCUCAUCGUUUCAGGUAAGCUUGUGAUUAUGAGUUUCUUCUCUUUCUUAGCUUGUAAUUAUAGGUUUUGAUUUCUUUAAUUCGUAUUGUAGCCAUUAAUGUCAAUUUUUGUCCCACCGGCAAUUUUUUUUUGUUCCUAGAAGUUGAAGCCCUUCUGUUCUUGUGCCAUUGGUGAGUUUGCUCACUCAAAUUAAUUUUGUUCUGCGGAGUUUACAAAGUUCAAAUGGAUUCAUUUGGAUUACUAUUGAAUUUAGCUUUAAUUCCAACAUCCAUUCUAAUGUUUUGCUAUUAGAUUUACUUUAAUUUUAUGUUUAAAGCUUCUACAAUGAAUAGCGGAGCUUGGGUUUUAGUUUCAUUUUCUCAUUAACUUCUUUUAGUUUAUCUUAUAUGCUCGCCAAGUGCUUGUUAUAUUGUCUGAUAAGUUAUAUAACAUUGCUGAUUCUAUAUUAGUAAUGUCAUGUUCCAUUUUCGGAAAUUAUAACACAAAAGUUUUUACAAUGGCUUGCAUCUGCAAACUGAAUUGACUUGUAGAGUAAGAGCUUGGAUUAGUGUUAUGUUCUUGAAUAAAUGAAAGUUCAUAUUGUGUAAGAGCAUGUAGAUGUAAAGCAUCACUACCAUUUCUACAAACUGCUUUCAUUUUGUUCAGAUGCUCCUCUUGAACUUUGAAAGGUGCCUCAUUCAAGUCCUAGCUAUAACUACUAGCUCUGAUUGCUUAAGUUCCUGUGCUAGCUGAAACAGAUUUAUUUAAUUAAUUUAUUGUGUAUGUACUAAUUAUAUUGAAAGUAUAUGAAGAAAUUGUUUAACAUGAAUGACUUCUAAAUGACUUAAAAGCCUAAAGGAUAUGUGAAAUAAUGCUCAUUUCACUUGAACGAGCCUAUUAAUACUUGUAUGUCUAUGAUUGUCAAUCUUGCUUAAGUGUUUCAGUUAAGUGGUUUACCAAACAGGGAAAAAAAUUUAAUGGAAAACUUUAGAGUUCUAACAGAAAUAUAGUUGACUGCAGAUAUAGUUAUUUUAUGGUACAUAAAUCAUAUUGUCCUAUUCUCAAUGUCCUACGACCUAUUUUAUUUUAUAUGGUCAUUCAUUUUUGCGAUGGUUUUUUGUGCUUAUGAGUAUGGAAAUAGUGGGAUUUGGUGUGGCAAACAAAAAUAUACAUAUAAUCAAGUUUCUUAAUCAUUGUGCUUAUGAGUAUGGAAAUAGUGGGAUUUGGUGUGGCAAACAAAAAUAUACAUAUAAUCAAGUUUCUUAAUCAUGUAUAUUGGUUUUGGGUAUGAAUGUUUUCCUAUUCUAGUUCUAGGCAAAGUUUCUUCAUUUUGGUCUUCAGAUUUCCAGUAGGUUAAAGUUAAGCAACUAUCAUAACUAGCUAGCUAGUUAUUUGCCUUGCCUUUGUCGCCAUUACUGACGCCAUUUACAUUGCAUGGCAUAAGGAAUAGUAACUAGGUGAUUAUUGGUGAUUCCUUGAGUUUAUUAUUGGCCAAACAAACAUAUUNNNNNNNNNNNNNNNNNNNNNNNNNNNNNNNNNNNNNNNNNNNNNNNNNNNNNNNNNNNNNNNNNNNNNNNNNNNNNNNNNNNNNNNNNNNNNNNNNNNNNNNNNNNNNNNNNNNNNNNNNNNNNNNNNNNNNNNNNNNNNNNNNNNNNNNNNNNNNNNNNNNNNNNNNNNNNNNNNNNNNNNNNNNNNNNNNNNNNNNNNNNNNNNNNNNNNNNNNNNNNNNNNNNNNNNNNNNNNNNNNNNNNNNNNNNNNNNNNNNNNNNNNNNNNNNNNNNNNNNNNNNNNNNNNNNNNNNNNNNNNNNNNNNNNNNNNNNNNNNNNNNNNNNNNNNNNNNNNNNNNNNNNNNNNNNNNNNNNNNNNNNNNNNNNNNNNNNNNNNNNNNNNNNNNNNNNNNNNNNNNNNNNNNNNNNNNNNNNNNNNNNNNNNNNNNNNNNNNNNNNNNNNNNNNNNNNNNNNNNNNNNNNNNNNNNNNNNNNNNNNNNNNNNNNNNNNNNNNNNNNNNNNNNNNNNNNNNNNNNNNNNNNNNNNNNNNNNNNNNNNNNNNNNNNNNNNNNNNNNNNNNNNNNNNNNNNNNNNNNNNNNNNNNNNNNNNNNNNNNNNNNNNNNNNNNNNNNNNNNNNNNNNNNNNNNNNNNNNNNNNNNNNNNNNNNNNNNNNNNNNNNNNNNNNNNNNNNNNNNNNNNNNNNNNNNNNNNNNNNNNNNNNNNNNNNNNNNNNNNNNNNNNNNNNNNNNNNNNNNNNNNNNNNNNNNNNNNNNNNNNNNNNNNNNNNNNNNNNNNNNNNNNNNNNNNNNNNNNNNNNNNNNNNNNNNNNNNNNNNNNNNNNNNNNNNNNNNNNNNNNNNNNNNNNNNNNNNNNNNNNNNNNNNNNNNNNNNNNNNNNNNNNNNNNNNNNNNNNNNNNNNNNNNNNNNNNNNNNNNNNNNNNNNNNNNNNNNNNNNNNNNNNNNNNNNNNNNNNNNNNNNNNNNNNNNNNNNNNNNNNNNNNNNNNNNNNNNNNNNNNNNNNNNNNNNNNNNNNNNNNNNNNNNNNNNNNNNNNNNNNNNNNNNNNNNNNNNNNNNNNNNNNNNNNNNNNNNNNNNNNNNNNNNNNNNNNNNNNNNNNNNNNNNNNNNNNNNNNNNNNNNNNNNNNNNNNNNNNNNNNNNNNNNNNNNNNNNNNNNNNNNNNNNNNNNNNNNNNNNNNNNNNNNNNNNNNNNNNNNNNNNNNNNNNNNNNNNNNNNNNNNNNNNNNNNNNNNNNNNNNNNNNNNNNNNNNNNNNNNNNNNNNNNNNNNNNNNNNNNNNNNNNNNNNNNNNNNNNNNNNNNNNNNNNNNNNNNNNNNNNNNNNNNNNNNNNNNNNNNNNNNNNNNNNNNNNNNNNNNNNNNNNNNNNNNNNNNNNNNNNNNNNNNNNNNNNNNNNNNNNNNNNNNNNNNNNNNNNNNNNNNNNNNNNNNNNNNNNNNNNNNNNNNNNNNNNNNNNNNNNNNNNNNNNNNNNNNNNNNNNNNNNNNNNNNNNNNNNNNNNNNNNNNNNNNNNNNNNNNNNNNNNNNNNNNNNNNNNNNNNNNNNNNNNNNNNNNNNNNNNNNNNNNNNNNNNNNNNNNNNNNNNNNNNNNNNNNNNNNNNNNNNNNNNNNNNNNNNNNNNNNNNNNNNNNNNNNNNNNNNNNNNNNNNNNNNNNNNNNNNNNNNNNNNNNNNNNNNNNNNNNNNNNNNNNNNNNNNNNNNNNNNNNNNNNNNNNNNNNNNNNNNNNNNNNNNNNNNNNNNNNNNNNNNNNNNNNNNNNNNNNNNNNNNNNNNNNNNNNNNNNNNNNNNNNNNNNNNNNNNNNNNNNNNNNNNNNNNNNNNNNNNNNNNNNNNNNNNNNNNNNNNNNNNNNNNNNNNNNNNNNNNNNNNNNNNNNNNNNNNNNNNNNNNNNNNNNNNNNNNNNNNNNNNNNNNNNNNNNNNNNNNNNNNNNNNNNNNNNNNNNNNNNNNNNNNNNNNNNNNNNNNNNNNNNNNNNNNNNNNNNNNNNNNNNNNNNNNNNNNNNNNNNNNNNNNNNNNNNNNNNNNNNNNNNNNNNNNNNNNNNNNNNNNNNNNNNNNNNNNNNNNNNNNNNNNNNNNNNNNNNNNNNNNNNNNNNNNNNNNNNNNNNNNNNNNNNNNNNNNNNNNNNNNNNNNNNNNNNNNNNNNNNNNNNNNNNNNNNNNNNNNNNNNNNNNNNNNNNNNNNNNNNNNNNNNNNNNNNNNNNNNNNNNNNNNNNNNNNNNNNNNNNNNNNNNNNNNNNNNNNNNNNNNNNNNNNNNNNNNNNNNNNNNNNNNNNNNNNNNNNNNNNNNNNNNNNNNNNNNNNNNNNNNNNNNNNNNNNNNNNNNNNNNNNNNNNNNNNNNNNNNNNNNNNNNNNNNNNNNNNNNNNNNNNNNNNNNNNNNNNNNNNNNNNNNNNNNNNNNNNNNNNNNNNNNNNNNNNNNNNNNNNNNNNNNNNNNNNNNNNNNNNNNNNNNNNNNNNNNNNNNNNNNNNNNNNNNNNNNNNNNNNNNNNNNNNNNNNNNNNNNNNNNNNNNNNNNNNNNNNNNNNNNNNNNNNNNNNNNNNNNNNNNNNNNNNNNNNNNNNNNNNNNNNNNNNNNNNNNNNNNNNNNNNNNNNNNNNNNNNNNNNNNNNNNNCCCCCCCCCCCCACCACCAAAAAAAAAAACAAAACAAAUAGGAAGACUUUGCAAGAUUCACAACCAGGUUACAUUUAAUUUAUUAAUUGUGUGUACGUACUAGUUAUUUGUUGAUAGAAUAGGAAGAAGUAUUUUAAUAUGAAUGACUUAAAACUUAUUGCUCAGUAAACAUAAUGUGCAUCAGUGCUAGAAAAUGUAUUUAUUGUUUGUAAUUUUUUAUGGUUUUGCUUAAGAAAUGAAAUGUGAAAAAAUGCUACAUUGUAUUAGGAAUAAAAUGAAGAGAUUUAUGAUUUUUAUGUGUUAUUCAAGUUUCAGAUUCAAUUUUAAACUUUUGAUACAUGCAUUGAAAGCUUAAACUCCUUUAAGAAAUUAUUAAUAGACACAUGUUUUAUUAGUGUCAUCUUCUGGAUGAUAGUGAGGAUCUUAUGUCUAUUAAUAAUUCUUGAAUUAUCUAGGCUUGGACAGUUUGGUAAUGCAUAGUUUUCUAUGUUAGCUAGUGCCUGAAAUUUUUUUCCCACGUAAAAAUGGGGUUUUCAGCAGCUGCUCCUCAUGUUCUCUGGGUGCAUACUAGACAAAUGGGUGUCAUGUGUUGUUUUGGCAUAACACAUAAACACUCAUAUAUCUAUGUCGUGUACUUGAAGAACUAUAGGGAGAUGCUUCCGAAGUUUCUAUAAACGUAGAGGAAAACUUUAGAUACUUAAGAUUGAAGAAACUUAUGCAUUCUUGAGUGGGAUAUAUAGGACCACUUACCUUUUGUAAAUAUGAAGGGAAUGUUGGAUAUAUUGAUGGGAGUGGAGGAGCUGAGUGGGAUGAAUGUAAUCGGUUAUGAUUUUGCUGAGUCGACUUGGUUUUGAGUCUUGUAAUUUUUUUUAUAAAUGGAGUACUAUCUCCAAUGUUGGUUUAUAAAUAUGUUUCAGCUGGCUGACCUAAUUUUUUGUUUCUAGGUAACAGGCUUUAUAUAUCUGUAAUUGAUAGCCAAGUGAAGUUCUCAGCAGUGGGUGAGGAUAUUUCUUUACAGAAGGUAUUGCAAACUGUUUUUUAGAUUAAUUAUUAUUGUAUAUAUACUUUAAUUUUCACAUCUUUUUCUCUGAUUCUUGUGGCUUUGCUUGCUUCCAUAUAUAUAAAACCAUAAAAUUGUAUAAUAAUUUUUUUUAUUAUAUUGCGAAACUGCGCACACAUGAAAAUAUCUUGUUUAGUAGUAGAAAUGAAGAAUUAAAGUGAUUUAUUUAACUAAUUUUUCUAGUGCAAUAAAAGGAGAUAGUCAUGGACCAGAGUUGGGUUGGUUUGCCAAAUAGAUAUCCAAUUCAUAUACUGAUGGGGGUCAAAAAAUUUAUAGAUUUUGCAUUUGAGAAUGUUGUUGGUGAUAAAAGAAUUUAUUGUCCUUCUAAGAGGUGUUGUAAUAUCGAUAUUUCAUUAUAAGGAAAGUGGCAAGAGACCAUAUCAUUAUAAAUGGCUAUUGGUUAAAGUAUUAAAACUGGAUAUUGGAGGGUGAGCCAUCUUCAUCUUUGAAAUCUAACUAAGAAACAGGUUAGUCAUGACUCGGGUAGUGAUGCUAGUAUGGUUGGAAUGAUGCAUAAUGCAUCACGUAAUCAAAUGUUCAAGUCACACGCAGCAUUGUUAUGGACUAUCUCCGACUUUCUAGCAUAUGCCAACUUGUUUGGGUGGAGUAUUAAAGGUAAAUAAGCAUUUCUUGUUUGCCAACAAAACACUAGAUCUAAUUGGUUGAUACAUAGUAGAAAAUUGUCACGUGGGUCACUGUCGAUUUUUACCAACAAAUCAUAGGUUCCGAAAAUAUAGUGCCAUCUGAUAAAACUGGAGAGUGGGGACAAGCACCUUCUCGGUUGUCUGGAGCUGAGGUGAAAAAGCAGUUCAAUAAUGUACUUACUGAGUAUAAGAUUGAAGAUUUGAAAAGAGGAGAAUGAAUAAAAUGAAAGAAAUGAUAAGAUUACUUGGAAGAAGAAAAGCAUUUUUAAUGAACUAACGUAUUGGGAGUUCAAUUUGAUUCAUCAUAAUCUUGAUGUCAUACACCGUUUUUAUUUUUGUUAUGAACUCAGAUCAAAAGUUUAAUGUGAUCAAAAUUUCUUAAAAAUAGUGAAAAAGACUCCUAAUAAUAUGGAAGAUGGCUAUAAAAGAUAAUUUCUUAAAAGUUUAAUGUGAUCAAAAUUGCUUGUGAACGCAAGGGUUUUAGUUACACUGUCAACGCUGUCAAUGUAGUGAUACAAUGAAGAUGAAGUAAAGCAUUAGUAGAAUAAUGAAGUUGACCAGUAACACAGUAAAGCAUAUUUUAUUCCAGAGCAUGAAAACUUUUAAACAGUAACACAGCUCUUAUUCCAGAGGCUGCACACGAGUGACCUGAAUCUUCUUCAGAACUUUCAAAUUUUAUCAAGCAAAGAUUUCAAAAUCCUUGCCUUCCUAAGUUGGGAAAAAUAGAUGUGGAGCAAACCAAAUGAAAUAAAUGGGUAAACAGAACAAGCAGGGCAAAAAUUAAAAAUGAUAGCAAUUAACAAAUUAAUAGCAAUGUUACAUUUGACUCUUUAGCCCUUUGUUCCUUCUCUUAGCAUUCUUCAAAGUUUUUGAAAAUAGGAUGUGAAGCAAACAAAAUAAAAUAAAUUUAGACAACACAUGCCCUGUAUUCAGCAUCAUAUAUAUCUCGAAUAUCUAACAUAAUAAAUUUCACAUCUAAAAUACUAGAAUUUCAAACAGUACUAGUAGUGAAAAAAUGAUGACAACAACAAAAAUAGAAAAUUACAAGACUGCUGAUAAAAUUUCAUUUGCAUGCAUGUCUGACAAAAUUUCCGUGAUUUAAUGUGCUUUCAUGAACGCAAGUCCUAACGUUUCUGUGAUCACAAAAUGAAACUGAAGAUAAAACAGAACAACUACCAAACCUUUCAAGCUUGACGAAGCCAUGAGAAUUGAUAGCUCAGGCUCUGAUACCAAGUAAAAGUUUCUAAUCUGUUUGGUAAGUAAGAAAAUGAGAGAAAAUGAAAGAAAGAACAGAGAUCAUCUAAGAGCUGGAUUUGAUAAGUAAAUAUGAAUCAUCCAUUCAUUAGCUGAUUGCAAAUGUAUUUAUACAAGUGAUGGUUGUCGAAGCCAACAAAAAUAAAUUCCUACUAUAAAUAAAUUGUGUAUAGUGAUUGAGCAGGGUCGUGUCCACAGAGAUCGGUAAUUAUUUAAAUCCUUUUGAAACGUAAAACGUAAAAUGGGGGAAUUGUUGACAAUAAUAAAAAUCAAAUUAAAAUAACAAGAAUACAAAUUAAAGUUGUAAUUCAAAUUGGAGAAAGCUCUGGUUGAAGGAAUUAACUCAGCUUGAUUCGACUACUGAUCAUUGAUUCAAAUAUAGAUUAUUAUUACUUAUGAAUAGACCGGUUAUAGCUACUGAGACCCUCUAAUAGCCAAUCUCUCCUUAACUAGUCGAUAACCAAGGUAUGACCGUUGGUUAUUUCCCUAAUCAAUAGACAACCCUAGAUACGAUCAUAGGAUUUAAUCAAUUGACAACCUGAAAGACCAGAGAGACCCAAAUCCUAAUCAACACAUACGAUGAUUCAUUUAAAUUAGAUUGUUUAUUCUCAUAACACAACUCACUGCUAUGUUAUUCGUCACAAACAUUAAAAGCUUCAUACGAUGAAUCCUUUAAUUAACAAUAGAUUAAGUUGAUAAUUAAAUAGUGGCCAAUUACCUAAUUAACAAACAUAAUCAUGAAAAUAAUUCAGAGAAUAAACAAAUACCCAAAAAGUAAUAAAACAAUUAAAGUAUAAAAUAGAUCUCACAGUAGUGAUGAAUCAAAACUUCAUUAUCCUUCAACCAGAAAAAUAAGUUUAGUUCUUCAUAGAGAGAAGAGAAAAGUUUAGAUCUAGGGUUUCUCUCUUUUUCUCCAAUCCCCAUUUUUCACAAUAGAUUCCUCCCUUAAAUACUCUCUCUCUCUUCUCUUUUAGAAUUCUAUUUAAAAUAAAAUACUAAUAUCUGAAAUAUUAAAUUCGUAAUUACAAAAAUAACCAAAAAUACAAAACACGUUAAACUAAAAACUGCAGGUCCGCAGUUGACAGCACGUGCCCACGCCUUAUCAACAAAGUUCUUCUGACGCUCAUAAUUUCUCCAAGAGAACAAUCAUCCUUAAACAUCAUCUUGUAACUCAAUUUUAUCACCAAUCAAUAGAAUUGCACCUACAAAAGUAAAACACAAGUAAAUCACUAUUAUUAAGUGCAAAACAUCGAUAUUAAGGGAAGUAAACAAUGCAAAACUAGUGCAUAAAUUGCACUCUAACAACAAGGUUCCUGAACAUUUCAGAUUCUAUAUGCUCGAGCUAAGCACCUGAGAGUUGAGCAGUGUGCACUAACAAACUGCUAACAAAAUAACUAACUCAUGCCAGCUCAGCUAACACGUCAGUAACUCUAACUAUCUUGCUUAACAAACUGAAACAAUAACUAACCAUUUUAACUAUCUUAACAAUCCCAAUAAUUUCUCCAUUUGUGUACUUUUUUGAAUCAUAAUCAAAUGGAUAAAUGUUGCAACUAUUUUUUUAGAUAUUUUCACUUUAGGAUGUCAGCCCGAGGAAGUACGGGGGUCUGAGUUAUUCAACUGAAAAUGUCGGCCAAGUUCUUGCCAUCUCAAGUGCAAAACUGAAAAUGUUACUCGUUCUUCUUAACUUGUUUUCUCAUGCAUCAACCCCACAAAACUGCUCAUUGAAGGGGUAAAAUUUUGAACACACCAUGUGGCAUUUAGACCAUUUGAUAGUUUGUUUCAAACAUAUUUGUUUAUAAAAUACUUUUCUUCAUGGAUUUGGUUACGUAAUUGUCUAUGUAUGUACAGGUUUUAUCGAUACCUCUUUUGACAAGUUACAUAGCAAUGUUAUCUGGGUUCAGCCGUGCCUUAUUGAUAAACUGUGCUUCUGUAAUGAAGAAUGUUUUAUCUGUAAGUGGAUAUCCUAAUCGUUGAUCCAUAUCCAUAAGCAAGUAUGUAUAAAAUUAUUUUAUGUCUUUUUUAUUAGAAAUGUUGUAAUUCUUUUUUACUCUUCCUGAAUUAUAACAGCAGGUGUCUAUAAUAACUGGAUUGUUCCUUCUGCAAAACAGAGCAGUGGUAAAUAUUUUUUUCUUUUGUUUGUCUAGUACAUUUCCAUGAUUUCAGCUUUUUCAAAUUUUGUAUGUGUCAAAGUUUAAAUUUAAUUUGUUGGUUUAUGGCAACAACAGGAACAGAAUCAAAGAGGAGCUGCCAAUGGACUGCUAUGACUGUAGAGUCGCUUACCAAAACUGCUGGUUCAGCUGUAGGAGGUGCUAUGUAGGCGUCCUAUUGAUUUUGUAAAAUUAUAUGUAAAUGAUGUCAUAAUUUUUAUUGUCUCCCCCACCCCCUCUCCCCAAAAAAAAAAAAAAAUUAAAAAAUUAAAAACUAAGGCAUGAUUAAAUUGAUCAUUUGUUUGGUAACAACUUGAUUAAUCGGGUUCUGGCAGAUUUUCUUGGUCACAAAAGCGUCAAGAUGCUGGUUUCCUCCCAGGUAUGAUGAUUUACUAAUGAAAUUUAUCACUAGUAUGUGAAUUACUUGGUGCUAAUUAACUUAAUCAGCUGCUUAAAUUAAAGUGCAGGUAACCUUAUUUUUUUUUUCUUUUUACAAUAAUACUCUUGGAAUAAUAUUUCUGGGAAUAUUAAUGAAAAAUGGUAAUUCAUCCAGCCAGCCUUAAACAAAAUAAAUAUUAAUAAAAACUUUUAUGUUAUUAUUUUAGUUUUAGGACUAAUUUCGUAAAUUAAAUUUUUUAUGCAUUUAUUAGUAAGACUGCUUUAAGAAUAUUAAACAUUACUUUAAGUUGGCUGAUAUUAAUUUAUUUAUAAAUAAUUAUUAGCAAGAUUGUUGUAAAAGUACAAAAAAUACUAGUUAUUUCAUAUUGAUAUUUAUUGAUUAAUUUGGCAAUUAACUUUUUUAUAAAUAAAUUAAUUAAUUUAAGAAUAUUAUUGCCAAGAAAUUAUUGUAAAAGUAAAUAAAAUUUAAGGAAAAAAUGCAACAUAUUUAAUAUCAAGGUAUAUUGAGGUAUUUUUCAAAAUAUAAAGACAAAACAAGCACUGAAAUUAAAAUACAGAUACCAAACAAGCAUUUUCUCUCUUAGAAAAUUUUAUAUUUUAUUAAUGAAAGUCUAAAUAACAAAAUUAGGGUUUUGGACUCCUUUUAAACUAAGCCUAAAUAUCACGAAUUUACCAAUAUAGUAAACCUAAAAUAUUACUGCAUAAUAACAUUCUCCUAACUGAAAUAAGAUAAAUACUACUUCAAUUCUAUAUCUAAAUGAAAAAAAGAUAAAAAUCUUGAAAACAAUAGGAAAAUAGAACUUAAACUUGUAAACUAAUAUGAAAUAAAUAGAAUUCUCAAUCGAACCACGAGGCUAAUGCGGUGCUACAGUAUUAGAUUAGAUUUCCCUCAUUGCUAACUUCGAAAUGGUAUAUUAUACACCCUAUAUAGGUACUUAUAGCUAAGGGUGGGCAUGUGUUGGUUUGGGUUAGGUUUUAAGUCAAUCCAAACCAAACCAUAAAAUUUUGGGUUCAACCCAAAUUAACCCAAAUAUUUUUAACCCAACCCAAACCAACCCAUUUGGGUUUGGUUUGAAUUUUAUAAUUAAAAUAUUUUUUAUUUUAAUAAAUUUAACUAUAUCAAAUUAUAAUACUUAUUAAUUAAUAUUAAUUAUUAAAUUAAUAUUAAAAUACGAAAAAAUGUAGUGGAUAAAAAUUAUGAAUAAUGGAUUUUACAAUAACUUUGUUCUUAAAUAUUAACCAUAUUACAACAUAAAUUCUACCAAUGUCAAUACAAAUUAAAGUAAGAUAAGAUAUCUCAACUCAAGUAUCAAAGCAAUCCAUCAAAAUUAAAUUAUUUAAUUUUAUAAAUUUAAAUCUUCCGAGAAAUAAAUCUAAAAUUUAUUGUAAUUAGAAAAAAUGCCAAAAUUUUAAAUGCAGUAAGAAAAAUUAGACAUGAAAUCUAAUUAGGUUUAAAUUUAAUUAAAAAAUAACAAUAGAAUCAUAUUUUAUUUGAUAAAAUCUUAUAAUCAAUUACAUUUUUAAUUUUAGUAAGUUACAAUACAAAUAGGAUUAUAAAAUUAUAUUAGAGGAUUUCAUAAAAAUAUUGUUUGAGUAAUUUAUUAAAAUGUUAAUUUAGUCUUUUAACUCAAGUUGAGACCGUAAAAAAUUGUUAUAUAAUAGUGUAUUGUACAACCAAUUGCAUAUGUAUUUGCCCUAUGCAGCACUUCUAUUAUUAUUAUAUAAUAAUAAUUAGUAGUAGUAUAAUUACUAUAUAAUAAUAAUUAUUAGUAGUAUAAUUAUUAUAUAAUAAUAAUUUUAAUAAAAAAUUAUUAUUAAAAUAUUGAUUUAUCCUUUUAUUUUGUUUAAUUUAUUUUUCAUUAAUAUGUUAUUUUGAAUUUGUUCAUGACCCAUGGGUAAACCAUACCCAAGCCAUUGUAAAAUAAUUUCUUUCAUAAAAAUCCAAAUUUAACUCAUUUCAUGAUUUAUCCAACCCAAACCAUUUUAUUUGGUUUGGGUUUGGGUAAACCCAUGGGUUGUGGGUUUAUGCCCACCCCUACUUAUAGCUCAAGUUAUUACCUUAGAGAGAUACCCUACGCAUCCUACACAACCAUCCACUGCAUCAAAGUCGUUCCAAAACAGUAGUUCACAGUUGGUACUGCACAUGAUACUUGUUUCUCCUUUUGCAUCUACUUUUGUUGUUAACAUUAAUUUCAAUAGCAGCUCAUUAUGUAUGCAACAUUUCAAAAUUAAUCCAAAAAAACAAAAAUUAGUUCAGCUGACCAAAUUUGAAAGCAUGGAUUUGCUGUCGAUUAAAAAUCGUUUUGUAGGGAAAAUUUUUGGAUUGCAAUUCUCAUACAAUACAUAGAAUUAUCAUAAUCUAUAAAUUGUAUUUUUGCUUUUCUACGGUAGUAAGUCAAGAAUCCUACUUGUAUUUUUGCUUUUCUACGGUAGUAAGUCAAGAAUCCUUAGUGACAAUUUAAAUUGAAAAAAUAAAAUCAUAAAUAAGAAUUAUUUGAUAAGAAUUAAAAUAAUUGAUAAAUAUUUGAGAGGAGCAAUUUUGGAAGACUCGAUUUCUAAUAGGAGGGGAAUUUGAAUUUUACAACCUUCCGUGAGGAAUCCAAAAUGCACAAUUUGAUGAAAAUUAAAUUUCAAUAGAAAUUGAAUUCCCAUACAUUAGUGAAAACCAAACAACAGAAAAGUGAAAGGAAUUUGAAUUCAUUUCCUUCCCGUCUCAUCCCUCCAACUAAAUACCAUCGAUACCCAAAGGUAUGUGAUUGGGAUUCCAUACUGAUCAGAAUGGGAUUUGUCCAUAUUAUUAGGACCAAUUUUAAAAGCAGUCGGAGUUUAAAAUUGAAAUUAAUCCCAAUUUUUUAUUUGGGACUAGAUAAGAAUUUAUAUUGGAACUCCAAUUCUCCCAAUUAUUUUAGUUGAUAAUAUGUUUAACAUUAUUAAUUGCAUAUUAUUUAAUUAUCAGUAUAUAAUAUUCUUUAAUUUUCCAAUUUUAUAGGAUUAGACACAAAAUUGAUUAUGCCUUCUGAAAUUUAAGGGUUAUGUCAAUUGAACAGAAAACUUGGAGUUGAACUUUUGGAUGUUUUUGUUGAUUAUCAAUUUAUGCAUGAAUUUUUGUACGUUUACUUUGGUUUAUUAUUGUUACUUUUAGACAUUUUUAUUGGUUUGAUUUAGGGUCAUUUUGGUAAUCUUGUAAUUUUUAAAAUAGUUACAGUUAGCUAUGCUAUAGAAAUUGAUAAAUCGUGAAGAGAAUCAGCUGAACAUUUAGUAAAAUUUAUUUUUAAAAGUACUUUAGUUUUAAAAGCAGUUGUAUGUGUUUCGUAAAUCUUAUUUUUAAACAGGUGCAAGAAUAUAAAUAACUAAAUUGGACAUAAUGCUAAAUAAAAUUUAUUUACACAUUUACAAACAUGUAUAUAAAAUAUUUUUAUUAUGUACAUAUAAUUAUUGAUAACUAAAAUAAAUAUUUUAUAUUAUUAAAUUUUAUUCUUUAUUUUGUUAUCUCAAUAUAAUUGGUAAUAAUAAUAAUCUCUUAAAGUUAAUGAUUUUAUUUCUUAAUUAAUAAAGAUAAUUCUGGAUUUUUAUUAUAGAAUGAGGAUAUAUAUAUAUAUAUAUAUAUAUAUAUAUAUAUAUAUAGAAUUGGAUUAAGUAUAAAAGUGAUUUUCAAAAUCAAAUUUUGAAAAACUAUUCCUUCCAUACUUCUCAAAAUCCUCUGUAUGAUGAGAUGAUUUUUCCAAAAGUAAUUGCUAAAAAAUUAUAAAACACUAAAAAUUAGGUUUUAGUUUUUAAAAUCACUUUUGAGCUUCCCAAAAACAAGCCUAACGGGCCUUUAUUUGGGUGGUGUAGGAACUUAUAACUUUUGGAUCAUUUAGUUUUUAUUGGUUUGAUACAAUUGUUACACUAAAAAUUGAAUGUAUCUUAAACCCCAAACUUCUUCUUCUUCUUUUUUGAUUGCACAAAAUUAAAAACAAUAGUGAACGCAUUCUUUAAUAAACAAUAAGUAAUUACUAAAAUUGUGUUAAAGAAUUUAGUUGAAACAUAAAUUGAUUUCAAUGUUGUAUAUGCUAAAUUUCUUAAAAAUUUUCUUUCACGGUCUGCUGAAUAGUUUUAUUAGUAUUUUUAUUAUAUAAAAAUAAUUGAUUUAAUUUUUUAAAGAAAUUUAUUAGGUUCAUGUAAAUACGUUUUUGUUAUUUAAAAAGUGUACAAAGUAAAACUUAAUUUUUUAAAUUUAUUAGAUGAGUGGAUAAAAUAAUUGAGUGUUCAUAGUAAAUUUUAAGUAUAGAUAGUCAGACCCUAAUAUUUUUAAUAUAUGGAAAAUUUGAAAAUAUGUUAAUGAGAAUUAAAAUGAUAAUUAAGGGAGGCAUUCGAGACAUUCAGGAUUGUUAGGAUAGGACAUGAUUGUGAGCGGUUUGAGAUUGGCCCUAAUUUUGAUCACAAAUAUAUAAGCAGGAUGUUUAUCCAUACUUACAUUCCAUUUGAUAAUUAAGAUGAGAGUGGAAUUGUCAAAUCCCAAAUUAUCCCGGACCAUUGCCACCAAAGGUACUCUCACUAAUAAUAUCUAAAGAAAAAUCUACAUCUAUUUCAUACUUUUUUUUUAAACGGAAAGAGCCCUUAUGGGGCUUGAAAUAGUAUCCUAAAUAAUAUUCAGAAUAUCAGGCCAUGACUGGGUUUGUAACAAACAAAUAUUACAUAGUUGGGAUACGUAGUUACUAGUGUCCCAAUUUAUGUAGUAUCUAUCAUUUAGUACACAUAUAAAGUGUUUGGGACAUGAAAUAGGGUGACCAAGAUAAGGUGUUUGCUCAUACAAUAUCGUGCUCUUCUCAAAGUAAAAAGUGAAAAAAUAGUUGAUAGGCUACUAGGAGUUUAUUUGGUCACCUCGAGCACAUCAUCUCGACCAGGAUAUUAUUUGGUGAUCUCGAGCACAUCAUCUUGACUAAGAGAUUAUUUGGUCACCUUGAGUAUAUCACCUCGACCAGGAGAUUAUUUGGUGACCUCGAGUAGAUCAUCUUGAUCAGGAGGUUACCAGGAAGCACGACUCAGUCAAAACAAAUCUCACUUAUUUUCUUCGAAAUAUUAGGGAUCAUAUUCUUAGUGGGCUGAAAAUUAGUGAUUUUCUUAAGAGUUUUAGGUGAGAGGAUAAAAACCGCUAUAAUUUGCUAUAAAAACCCUGGGAAGGGAGGGAAAUAGGGAGAUUCUUUUUAUCUCUCUCUCUUUGGGUGACUGAACCCAUGGGAUCUUUUUCUCUCUACCACUGGGAAACUUCUCUUUCUCUCAUGAUUUAUUUUUCUUUAAGAUUGGUUAUUUUUUAUUCUUUUCCCAUAAAUUUACUUAAAAGCUUUUUGUUUAAAGUAUUCAUAAUUAAGCCGCGUGAAUUGUGGUACAAAUUUUUCCAAGUAGACCUAAAUCGCUGACUUGAGCGUCGGAGGAUUUUCUUUAAGAUUGAUUAUUGUUUCCAUAAAUUUGAACCAAGAAGGAUGACGCGAUAAAAUUUGUUUUUUAUUGUAUGGUUGAUUUCAUAUCUCAUGCACUCAUUUCUUAAGAUAAUUAGAUUUCAUCUUUUGCAAAUGUGGAAAUAUCAAUAAUGAUCAAUCAAAACGAUCUCAAAACCUUUCAACGCGACAUAUUUAUAAUACAAUAUUGUGAAAAUUACACCAAAAAUUUAAUUUAUGAUAUAUUAUUAUCCCACCAGCACACAGAAAUGAAUUCGUACAAAUCUAAAAUACUUAGCAAUUUUCAAAUAGAAUUUUAAAUUUAUUUCCAGUUAGAAAACUAUUCGCUGGACUCCGUAUUACUAGCCACCAUCGUAAGCCUAACCGGUUGCCGGCGAACGGCGUAAAACACCAGCCAUCUUCUUCUUCAUCAUAUUCUCCUUUCAUCUUUUGAGUUAAGCCUGUGAUUAUGAGUUUCUUCUCUUACUUAGCUUGUAAUUAUAGAUUUUGAUUCUUUUUAAUUCGUAUUGUAGCCGUUAUUGUCAAUUUUUGUCCCGCCAGCAAUAUUUUUUUAUUCCUACAAGUUGAAAAUGGAUUCAUUUGAAUUACGAUUGAAUUUAGCUUUAAUUUCAAUAUCCAUUCUAAUGUUUUGCUAUUAGAUUUACUUUAAUUUUAUGUUUAAAGCUUCUACAAUGACUAGCGGAGCUUGGGUUUUAGUUUCAUUUUCUGUAACUUGUUUUAGUUUAUCUUGUAUGCUCACCAAGUGCUUGUUAUAUUGUCUGAUAAUUUAUAUACAUUGCUGAUUCUAUAUUAAUAAUGUUAUGUUCUAUUUUCAGAAAUUAUAAUACAAAAUUUUUUACAAUGGCGUGCAUCUACAAACUGGAUUGACUCGUAGAAUAAGAGCUUGGAGUAGUGUUAUGUUCUUGAAUAAAUGAAAGUUCAUAUUGUGUAAGAGCAUGUAGAUGUAAAGCAUCAUUACCAUUUCUAUAAAGGACUUUCAUUCUGUUCAGAUGCUCUUCUUGAACAUUGAAAGGUGCCUCGUUCAAGUCCUAGCUAUAACUACUAGCUUUGAUUAAUUAAGUUCCUAUACUAGCUGAAACAGAUUUAUUUAAUUAAUUAAUUGUGUAUGUACUGAUUAUAUUGAAAGUAUAUGAAUUUUUUUUUUUUAACAUGAAUGACUUAAAAACCUAAAGGAUAUGUGAAAUUAUGCUCAUUUCACCUGAAUGAGCCUAUUAAUACUUUUAUGUCUAUGAUUCUCAAUAUUGGCUUAAGCAUUUCAGUUCAGUGGUUUACCUAACAGAGAAAAAAAUUUAAUAGAAAACUUCAGAGUUCUAACAGAAAUAUAGUUCACUAUGCAGAUAUAGUUAUUUUAUUUUAUAUAGUCAUUAAUUUUUGCCAUGGUUUUUUGUGUUUAUGAGUUUGAAAUAGUGGGAUUUGGUGUACCUUAGCAUCUUUUGAAAAUUCUCUUUAAGUGUGGCCAACAGAAAUAUACAUAUAAUCAAGUUUCUUAAUCCUGUAUAUUAGUUUUGGGUAUGAAUGUUCCUAUUCUAGUUCUAGGCAAAGCUUCUUUGUUUUGGUCUUCAGAUUUCCAGUAGGUUAAGUUAAUCAACUAUCAUAACUGGCUAGCUAGUUAUUGUCUGCCCUGGCGCCAUUACCCAGGCCAUUAUAUUGCAUAGCAUAAGGAAUAGUGAUUAGGUGAUUAUUAGUGAUUUGUUGAGCUUAUUAUUGACCAAACAAAUGUAUUCGCCUUUGGCCACAACUUAGUUUGAUUAGUUAUUAGACCAUAAAGAGCCUUGAUCUAUUCAUUGGCUUUAUUAUUUUUAUUUGGUUUUUCUUUCAACAACAUUGUUGAUAUCUUAUAAAAAUAUUCAGUGGUUUUUAAACACCUAAUCAUUGGCUAUAUUAAGCUAAUUAAAACUGAGGCUUUGGAUCAAUUUCUUCUAACAAGAUACAAAUGAGCAAAACCUUUCUCCUCUAAGUAAAUUUUUUUAAUAUCCCUUGAAUUGUAAGGAUCUGGAGGCGUGAAUCCUCUUGAUUUUUUUUAACACUGUCAAUGUUCUUUUUAUUCUGAGAAGGAAAUAAAAGGUUUUAUCUUUCAUACCCGAAUAGUAAGCUGGCCUUGUCUUAACAUGGCCUCCCGAGGACUUGCAAGAUUCAUAGUGUCCCCCACCCCAAAAAAAAUAUAAAAAACACAAAUAGGAAGAUUUUGCAAGAUUCACCACCAGGUUUUUUUUAAUUUAUUAAUUGUGUGUACGUGCUAGUUAUAUGUUGAAAGAAUAGGAAGAAGUAUUUCAACAUGAAUGACUUAAAACUUAUUGCUCAGUAAACAUAAUCUGCAUCAGUGCGAAAAUGUAUUUAUCGUUUGUAUUUUUUAUGGUUUUGCUAAAGAAAUGAUAUGUGAAAUAAUGCUACAUUGCAUCAGGAAUAAAUUGAAGAGACUUAUGAUAUUUAUGUGUUAUUCAAAUUUCAGAUUCAAUUUUAAACUUUUGAUACGUGCAUUGAAAGCUUAGACUUGUUUAAGAAAUUAUUAAUAGACACAUGUUUUAUUAGUGUCAUCUUUGGAUGAUAGUGAGGAUCAUAUGUCUAUUAAUAAUUCUUGAAUUGUCCAGGCUUGGACAGUUUGGGAAUGCAUAGUUCACUCUGGUAGUUAGUAGCUGAAGUUUUUUCCCACGUAAAAAUGGGUUUUUCGGUAGCUGCUCCUCGUGUUCUCUGGGUACGUACUAGGUGAAUGGGUGUCAUGUGUUGUUUUGGCAUAACGCAUAAACACUUAUAUAGCUAUGUCGUGUGCUUGGAGAAUUAUAGGGAGAUGGUGCCGAAAUUUUUAUAAACGUGGAAGAAAACUUUAGGUACUUGAGAUUGAAGAAACUUAUGCAUUCUUGAGUGGGAUAUGUAGGAUUACUUACCUUUUGUAAAUAUGAAGGGAAUGUUGGAUAUAUUGGGGAUAGUGUAGGAGCUGAGUUGGAUGAAUGUAAUUGGUGAUGAUUUUGCUGAGCUGACCUUGGUCUUGAGCUUGUAAUUUUGUUUGUAAAUGGAGUGCUAUCUCCAAUGUUGGUUUAUAAAAAUGUUUCAGGACUUGCUGAUCUAAUUUUUUGUUUCUAGGUUACAGGCUUUAUAUAUCUGUAAUUGAUAGCCAAGUGAAGUUCUCAGCACUUGGCAAGGAUAUUUCUUUACAGAAGGUAUUGGAAACUGUUUUUUACAUUAAUUAUCGUUGUUUAUAUACUUUGAUUGUCACAUCUUUUUCUCUGAUUCUUGUGGCUUUGCUUGCUUUCAUAUAUGUAAAUUCUAAUGAAAUUAACCAUAAAAUUGUAAAAUGAUCUUUUUAUUAUAUUGCAAAACUGUGCACACACGAAAAUAUCUUGUUUAGUAGUGGAAAUGAAGAACUAAUUUUUGUCGCGCAUUAAAAGGAGAUAGUCAUGGACAAGUGUUGGGUUGGUUUGCCAAAUAGAUAUCCAAGUCAUAUACUGAUGGCGUUGAAAAAAUUAUAGAUUUUGUAUUUGAGAAUGUUGUUGGUGGUACAAGAAUUUAUUGUCCUUCUUGAUAAGUUUUGUAAUCUAUAUUUCGUUAUAAGGGAAGUGGCUGAUGAUGAUAUGGUUGGAAUGAUACAGUGCAUCACGUAAUCAAAUGUUCAAGUUACACGCAGCAUUGUUAUGAACUAUCAGUGGCAACUUGUCUGGGUGGAGUAUUAAAGGUAAAUAAGCAUGUCUUGUUUGCCAACAAAGCACUGGAUCUAAUUGGUUGAUACAUAGUAGAAAAUUUUGUCACGUGGGUCACCGUCGAUUUUUCCCAACAAAUCAUAGGUUUCGAAAAUAUAGUGUCUUUGAAUAAAACUAGAGAGUAGGGACAAGCACCUUCUCAGUUGUCUGGAACUGAAGUGAAAAAGCAGUUUAAUAUAUUUACUGAGUAUAAGAUUGAAGACUUGAAAAGAGAAGAACGAAUAAAAUGAGAGAAAUGAUAAGAUUACUUGGAAGAAGAACUGCAUUUCUUAAGAUUACUUGGAAGAGAAAUGAUGUGGAAGAUGGCUAUAAAAGAUAAAAGGAAAGGCUUAAAAAGAAAAGCCAUGCCUGUCAAAAACAAAAAAACAAUUGCAGCGUCAAAUUUAUAACACAAAUCAAAACGGUGCGUUUGAGAGUGUAUAAAAUACAUUUAGAGUGGGAGUUGUGUUGUUGCUUGAAGGCAGAAUGUUUGUGAGAUAUUUGUCGACGAAGCCGAAACCAAAGAUGAAGCCCAUCAAAAGCAUUUAUAGUGUAAAAAGUAUAUUGUGGAAAUGUCUGGUCGGUAAUACAACUAUUUCUUGUAGUGUAAAUGAUACACUAAUUUGAAUUUAUAUGCUUUUAUGAUUAUUUGAUUAUCAAGUGGUGAUCAUAUGUGAUGAUAAACUUAGGUCGUACCUUUAUAUUUAUUGCCUUAGUUUUCUAAGCGUUCACAUUUUGAUGAGUAAAUUAAGGAUUUCAAGAUGAAGUACAUAAUUAGAUUAAUGCUAAGAAACUGAAGUUUGAUCGAUUGAAAACGAAAAUAAUAAUAAAGGUAAUUAAGAAAAUGAACAAUAUAUGCAGAAGCGGUCCUUAUUAGUACUUCUAGAUUUUCUCUUGGGCUUUCCUUAUUAUUGUUAAAAAAUGACACGAAGAACUUUGAGUUUAAAAAUCUGGCCCUGAUGCCUGGUAGCCCUUCAACAUAUGAAGAACCAGAUGUUUUGAUGAGAAAAUGACAAGACCAUUUAUCAAAUUUCUUGUGGAUAUAAAUACAUACACAUAGACGAGGCCAACCUCCUCAAAUGAGAAUCAGAGUGAUUACAAGACCUUGCAAUGAGACAAUGAUACACCAUCAAAUGUCAAAAUACAAUAGAAAUUCACGACAUAUAUAUAAUAAAAGACCUCUCAUUGAGUCAUAUAUAUUGAGAAUAAAAAUGUUAUAAUACAUACACAGAGCUUAGUUAGAAUAAAAUGUCUUUGAACUUGCGAUGAUCAAACAAAGGAAACAGACAGGUUGUAACUCACACUAUCACAGAUGUAGCGACACGAUGCAGUGAAUCACAAGAAGAUCACGAAGAUGGAAACGGGAACCCCUCAGAAUGUAAACUUUGAAUAGAGGAAAAAAGAAAAACGUCCUUAUUUCAAAUUGUGCACAGAAGAAGAGUGACUUAAAUCUUCAUCAGUAUCCAGGCAUUCUGCAAUCAUAAAGUAGAAAAAUUUUAACAGUAACAGCAGAGAAAAUAUUAUGAAUAUGCUAGACCAAAUUAGUCCCUUUUUUGGUUUGUGAAAACUUUAUUUUUUAUGAAUACGCUAUCCAAUAUUUUCAAUCAAUAUUUCCACAAUAUAGUUGUUCAUAGCUAACGUUUGAUGGUUUAACGAUUUGUUCCAAGAAUAAUGAGCUGAUUACGUUUUGUUUUAUUUUUAUUUUAUUUUUUUUAAUCCGAUGAAGGAUAUUCAGCUGUGUCUUUAAUUAUGCAUUCAUAGGGAAGAACAUUUUCUAAGUACUUUCCUUGCCUUCUAACUUUCCAAGGAAAGAUAGGUGUGAAGAAAAGCAAACCCAAUGAACAAACAGAGCACAAACUAAAAUAAUUAGCAAAUAAAGAAAGGAAAAAGUAUGCACGUUUUCAAGGAUUUAAAAAAUACGAAGGCUUUUAAUGAAAUUUUAUCAUAAAAAAGUAUGCAAGGAGUUAUAAAAUUUUAGAAGACGAGGGGAGCUCGCAAAAAAAAAAAAGAAAAAAAAAAGAAAAAGACUCAAAUUAAACUAGACUAAAAAGACAUUCAAUUACGCAAAAUCUGUCCAUAAAAGUCUGAAAGGAUCAUUAAAAUUGCAUUGCAAAUUUAACAGUAAACUGAGGAACCCAUUCUAAAUAAUUCAGAUGAAAUUGCGAAACAAACCAUGGGAUUAAAUAAAUUAAAUAAAAAUUAAUUACCAGUUGAGACUUUCUUCUAAAAAUUCGCAACUCCAAGUCAUAAGAAGCCUAUGAAAUUAGUAGUACAGCGUAGAGUAUGACGACGACACCGCCAACAGCUGAAAGUAAAAUUCUUAUUCAUCAAUUUAAACUUACUUUAUAACAAAUAUCUUAUCUAUAUUGUAUUUAAGAAAACAAAUUUUGUAAAAAUUUAUCAUGGGAGAUAGAGAGUAAUAUGUACAUACGUACCUUCUCAGCAUGUAAUUGUUGUAUGGUUGUGUUUAGAUCAUUAUUAGCCCAGCGCCGUUGAUCCGCUGUCUCUCCAUAGCAGACGUUUACUCUUAGAGGCGUGAUUGAUUCUCCUGUAGUGAAAAUCUUCAUCUUGGGACAACCAAUCACCCACAACUCUUGCAAAGAUGGGAAUUUGAAGGUGUAAUUGGCAGAGCAGAAACUUGUGAGGCUGUCUAAAUCACGCAGUUCCAACGUCUUCAAUUUGCGGAAAACAAUCUCUUCUUUUUCAACCCCGUCUUUGUCAUUUAUUACCACCUCUGUCAUUGCUCUGCAUCCAUAUAUACUCACUUUGACGAGUUGCACUAGAGUUUUUGCUGUGGAGGAUGUUACCAAGUGUAUCAAUUCCUUGCAACCGAAAGCUACAAGUUCUGUUAGGUUCCGAAAAGAUACCGAUGAUGAUGGCAAUAGAAUUAACAGACUUUGACAAUGAUAUACUUUUAGAAUUUCAAGAUACUGAAAAAUGGGGCCAAGUUUGGAGUCUUGUUUGCACAGCUGCUUCAGAUGAUAGUGCCGGUGCAGCUUUAAUUCUUUUAUCAUUGCCAACUUCCCCACAUGUUUCUCUAAGCAUCCUUCCAUCGAAAAUACCUCUUCGUGGAAUGAAAAAUUAAGCAGUGUGAGUAUUUCGAGAUUGUGAAAUCUCUCCAGUACGUUCCAGAUUGGAAAACAAGCUGCGUCAUCUCCAACAAUCUCUAGUUGUUUAAGACUGCCAAAAAGGUGUUGUGGGAAAUCGGCCUGCAAAAUCAUCUUCACAUCUUUUCCACUUAGUGAUAGCUCCUUCAAGUUGGGUACGAUCUGAUCAUCAUCAAUCGUAAUAACUAAUGAGGUCAAUUGAUGAUCUACGGUCACAGGCAGUGACUUUAUAGUAUUUGUUUUAUAUUAUAUUUUUAAAAAAAUUGAAUUAUUGAUAAAAUUUAUUUUAUAUGUUAAUUUUAGAGGUAAAAAAGAAAUUAGGGAAAAAGGUUGAUUUAUACUGGCUCGAAAUUAUUUUAUUGCACAAUAAUAAAUUACUAAUUUAUUUUGUAAGUUCUUCUAUAUGGAAAGACUAAGGAUUCUUUUAUAAAUGUUAUACCAAAAAAAGUUCAUAUAAUUAUUAAUCUACCCCAUUGAUCUCUUAAUCUAGACUAGCAAAGAUUAUUGUAUAAUAAAAGUUUUCAAUUUAUUGAGUAUUAAUUUAUCGAUGCUUUGCCAUAUUUUUCAAAGUUAAAAAUAAGCUAUAGACAAAAAAUCUAGAAAAUGGCUUCAUACCUUUUCCAACGGCAAUGGGGGCUGUUGUGCAGGAAUGCCAAGUUGAUCAUUCUCAUUAUUCUGCAAUAAAUCUGCAGUGAAUAUCUUUAAUUUGUCACAACAAUGCACUGAAAGAACUUCUAGCGCGGGCCAUUCCGAAGUAUGCAUUCCAGGGUACAAACAUCUAAGUUUUGGUAGACCUUGGAGUCUCAAAGUGGUGAGCUGUGGAAAGACAAAAUAAGGGAUCACUUCAUCUGCUCUAUUCUCAGAAAUGAUCUCCUGUAAAUCCUCACAGAAGCGAACUUCUAGGUGUUGGAGCUGCUUAAGGCUUCCGAUCAUAGACGCUGAAAAUAUGUAUUUUAAUUUGUGACAACGCCACACAAUCAAUCGUGUUAAAUUUUGAAAGCGAGGAAACGUGACAGGAAAAUGAUUGUAGUGCCAAAUCUUGUCGACAUUAAUUUCAGAUAUCUCCAAAGCCUCCAAGUUAGGCAACGCAACCUAAAAGAAUAAGAAUUUCUGGUUAGAUCCAAUAUCCAUAUGGGAAGCACUUGUUGAAAUUUUCUUCUUUGAUUGCAAAUUCAUGCAAGUCAGAAUCAAUUUCCAACUGACAGCUGAGUAUGCAUUCUAAUUCAUACUACUUGUUAAGAGCUCAAUUAGUGAGCGCGUGAGAUUCUUUUUAUCCUUUUUUCCGUUUUCUUUCAAUUCUUUAAAUGAUUUAAUUAUUUUCCACGUAUGAUAUCAAAAGAGAACGCAUGAUAGAAUAAAGAAAAUGUUAGCCUACGCACCUUCUCGUUGAAAAGCAGAGUUGAAAUAUCCAAAGUGAUUUCGCUGGAGCAAUACAUAGUCGUCGAUUCCUCUUGCGACACUUGUCUGUUCGGUGAUGCUGAAGGAGUCUCCACCUCACGGCGGCAAAAACUUGUAACCUCAGGAAGAUUCCCCAGACUCAAAGAUCUUAAUUGAGCAAACUCUAUCUUCUCAAUUGCAUUAUCAACUUCUUCCCCAAUUGCAAAAAUCUCUGUUAUCUUGCUGCAAUUAACAACUGCAAUUCUCUCAAGUCUUGGAAGGCAUUUUGUAGUAGAGAGCCAAAAGAUAUUACUCAACUUAUCACAAUUAUAUGCUUCUACGGUUUUGAGUUCGUUGAAAGACUCUACUUUGAGCCGAUCAACACAUAUCCUCUCCAUGUUGAUCAAAUUGUGAAUGGUAAGUGACUCCAAAAGAGGAAAGGCAUCACAAGCGACCAUCUCCCUUGAAUCGACGAUACAAAAGAAGUCAGGAUUAUUUUGAACCCAGAGAAGCUUCAAUUGUGAAAAGCCCUCCUUGCAGCUUGUCCAACCAUAAGUAUUCAACGUUAUUGAUGCCCUGCAAUUUCAUGGAGCAAAUGUCCAUAAAAUCAAGCUUGAGCUUCAAUGAUCUUAAACUCUUGCGAUCACUGUUGAUCGAAAAGCGGGGCCGACUUUUAAACCAAUGUUGUCCAACACUCAUGGGAUGCAUGAAUAACCCAUUUCCAAUAGAUAUUUUGAACCUUUCGAGCUUUCUGGCCAAAAAACCUUCUGGUAAAAUAUUGUCACUUUUAACGUCAAUUUCUAGAGUGGUUAGCCGAGGUAAAUGCAUCAAUUCGUCAAGGCUAGCAUUACUUCUUUUGCUGUUGGCUCUUUCAACCUCCCAUUCAAUGAAGCAAUUACCCAUAUACAGCUCUUCUAAUCGAGUUAAGCUUGAUAUGAGAUUAGGCGCAAUAACUUUUAGAUGGAAACAAUUGGUUAAAUCUAACAAUCUCAACUUAUUCAAUUGACCUAGUUCUUCUGGCAACUGCAUAAUCUCAGACUUCAAAAAGCUAAGGACUUCUAGAUUCUUCAACUUCCCAAUGAUUGCUAUGUCCCCCAACGCACUUUGAUCCAGACAUAGUGUGUGAAGAUUUUGUAGAAGAUCAAUUGAAGAUGGAAAAGAAGAAAACUGCAUUCGAGUAAAAUCUAGAACUCUAAGCUUUUUCAUCCCUACAAAAAAGUUCUCAGGAAUAUUGAUUUCAAGAGAAGAAUCUUUGAGAGAGAUAAAUAAAAAUUCAAGGUUUGGGCAUUCUAAUCCUUCAGGAAAUUCACGAUUACUAUUAUUUCUUAAAGAGAUCGCAUUGCAUUUUCGAAGUGCAUCCUCAUCUGGCCAGUCCCACACAUCCUUAUUUCUCACCAAAAACACAUGUUGGUGGCGGCAUGCAAUUGAUAUUGCGACAUCACGAACAACAUCAUGCAUUGAAAAUUGUUCAUUGCUCUCACCCUCAAGCAACAAACAAGAGUGUCUAAGUUCAUGGACCAAUGCAUAUAAUUUGUCUCGUGCAUCUUCCAUCUUAUUGACUCCUUUAAAUAUACCCAAACCCAUGGAGUACUUAAACAAGUCCGAAGUAAGAAUACGGUUAUCCAUUAGACUACAGAGCAGAAAAAUUUUCUUGAGUUGCUCACCUUUUAAAUGGUUGAAACUCAGCUCAAUACUUGAAUAAGUCUCUGCAGAUACUCCUUCGAAGUUUACCAUUGAAGGCGUUCGGAGUUCUCGCAAGGAAUUCUUCCAUUCAUACUCUUGCUUCUCAGUGCCUUUGCCACUGUAGUCAAGGCAAUGGGCAAACCUCCACAUGCCCUGGCGACGUCUAUUGCUGUGGAUUUCAACUCACGAUUUUCAACAUCAUCUCCGGCCAUCAUCUUAAACAAUCUCCAGGCUUCUUCUUCAUUUAAAUUGUUUAUCAAAAAGUUGUCUUUAGAUCCCAUUUUUAAGAGGAGACUACGAUCUCUUGCUGUCAGCAGUAGUUUGCAGCCUUUAUGAUUUUCUCCAAAAGGAAUUGCAGUAGUCCCCAAAUCAAGAGGUUUCCAGAUGUUAUCCAGAAUCACAAGGAUCUUCUCAUUCUCCAAUCUUUCAUAUAGUCUACUAGCUCUUCUAGACUCAGCUUCCUCGCGCAACUCCAAGCCCAACUUCUCGGCAAUUUCCUGUUGAAUCUGUUUUAUGUCUGGAGUUUGCGAAACCUCUGAAAAGACCACCAUAUCAAAGUGCUUGUCUUCCAUAGCUUGCCUGGCGACCUUCUUCACCAGUGUCGUCUUUCCAAUGCCGCCCAUGCCGUACACCCCAAUGAUGCUGACAUCAACAUCGAUCAAUGCGUUUUUUAUAGCCUCCAAAGUAGAACGUCUUGAUUCGAAGGCCUCGUAGCCUUUGUGAGACUUGAGCCAAAUCUCCUCCGGAAUGGUACGGUAGGAAAUUCUAUCAUCAAAUCUCCCAGCUUCUUCUCGGAGUUUAAAAAGGGCCUCCUUCUCUGUUUCUGCUUUCUUUCCAUGCUGAUAGCGAGUAAUCCAAUUAGGAAACAGCCCCAUGAGACAUCGUUCAUUUGCUUUCUCUUCGUCUAGAAUGAAUUUGGCUGCCUGCUCAAUGCUCUUGUUCGCAUUAACCAGCCAUUUCUCAACCUUCUUUUCAAUCUUUUCACUUUUUCUUUCAGCCUCCGAAACUCUGUGCUGAAUGCUUUCUCUUUCAUCCUUGAGCCUAUCGAGUUCUGCCUUGAAAUUCUGAAAGUUGGCAGCGGAGUUGUACCAAUAACUAAAUUCGCGUUGUGCGUGAGGAGACAAACAGUUUACAACUCCUGGAACAAUGCUUUUCAAAAUGUCCAUUUUUUUUUCUUUUUUGGGGAAGUGAACGAAAUAGAAAUAGAACAGGGUCAACGGCCGCGCAAUUGAUAAUCAAGUAGAAGCAAAACAAGGCAAAGUUGAAAAAAGAAAUGAUAUUUGUACAAAACAAGGGAAAUCAGUGUAACAGAAGAGAAUCAAAGUGUUUAUGAGAUCAGAAAAUUGAAUCAAGAAAAGGGUUGCUUGAUCCAAUGAAAAUGCAAAGAGCUGAUGGAAAAAGGGGACAAAGAUAAAUAAGAAAACGGCUAGCACGAGCAGUGACCACGAUAAACAGAAGCAAAGUGUGUAUGAGAUCAAAAGACGAAAAUCAGGAGAGGUUUUCUUGACCGAGAAUUGAAGGCAAUUAGUAGGAGCUGACGAAUACGGGGAUCAAGAGGGAAAAAUUGCUUUUAAGCGAAUCUGAUAAAAUUAUUUCAAUACUCGUGGGCGACUCCUUUUUAAACUGCAGAAGGAAAAAAAAAAUUCUGAAUUUCAAUAUAUUAUUUUUUAUCCUAAUUUAUGUUAGGACUCGUAAUCUCGUCUCAAAUAAUUAAUUAGUAGAUAAUUUUUCUAACAAAUAUGUGUUGAAUAGAUAUAUUUCUUGACUAUGAGCAGGCUAGAGAUAUUUUAGCAUAGGAAUGAAAGUACAAGUUGUGUCAUAUUAUAAUUAUCAAUUGACCUAAAAAUGUUGUUGUGAAUUGAAAUUAUUUCUGUAAAAUAAAAGGAUUUGGGUCAUUGUUCGUUAUUUUCUGGCAAUAUUGUCUGGUCGUGACUCUUUGUUAAAUAUUAAAAAAAUAAAUUUAUAUUUAUUAAGUAUAAAAAAUAAAUAAACAAACAAAAAUAAAAGGAAAAGUUUAUACAUUACGUAAAAUAAUAAGAACAAUAUCAAUAUUUCACACUCUAUAAUUGAGUGAUGUGUUAUCCAACUGCCAUACAUUGGUCCCAAACAGAGACUUAAAUAUUAAAGUCCAAAGUUAUUGUGAUGAUGACUUAUAAUUGCCAAACUUGACAUACGGGUAAUCAUGCAUUAUAAGGUGCUGAUUUCUUCCGAUCGGAACCUUAUUUUUCAUUUACAAAUAAAUAAAUGAUGUGACUUCACGGUUGGCGGGGUCCUUUGUGUCAUUUGGGCAUUUCACUAAAUGAUUGAUUGUAGCAGGGAGAUUCCUGGAAGUUGCCAUUUGCCAAUGCUACUAACAUUUUCAAACUUGGAAAACCCUUCAAUCAAUCUUUUAGUGGUAGGCUCCGGUAGCUUGGUUUGAUUAUGACAUAUGAUUAUUUGAUAAUGAAGCUAGAGGAUGUAUUAAUAUAAAAUUUGUUUAUUGGUGUUGAAGUUAAUUAUCUCAUUAAUAUUAGUAUAAAAAGUUAAUUACUAAGAAACACAUAGCAGUAGUUAAUUGGUGUCAUAUUAUUAGGAUUCUGGGAUAUAAUUUUAUAUCAUAACUUUGUAAGUGUAUACUUACUCAUCAAACUAAUAAAAUUAUUUAAAAAUUUCAGUUGGAAAAAAUAAAUUAUAUUAUUUUCAUUUCAAAUAAUCUAUAAGUUAACUCAAAACAUAAUCAAGCUGAGAAUUAAAAUAAUGCUACUGUAUGAGAGGAUUUUUAUUUUUUCCCGAAGUUUCACUAGGAAAUUAUUGAUACAUAGCUUUAUUCGGAUCAUCUCAGUUCAAACGACAAAUAAUUGAAAGACUAAGCUAAAUAGACCAGCCAACAACUUUGUACAAGAGAGUUCAAAAAUUAAGGUCAUGGUAUUAAGGUGUUCUAUCUUGAAAAGUAUAGCGUAGUAAUAAAAUAAAAACUAAUAGUCUUUGGUAAGAUAUGACAUUUAAAUAAUAAUUUUCACAAAAAUACAAAGAAUAUUUAUAAAGUACUUCUAUAGUGAGGAGACCCUCACUUUGUUAAAGUGAAAAUAUCAAUAAUAUACAAAAGACAUAUAUUUUAACACAUUAAAAAUUGUAUUUUUUUUAUCUAUUGGUGUAUUUGAAUAUGUGUUAUUUAGUUUGUUAGUGAUAUCAUUACUUUGUUAAAAUGAGAAUGUCGUUACUAGAGAAUCAUUAUAUAUACAUAUAUAAAGUGCUUCUGCCCAAGACCUAGACUUUAUUAAAAUUUAAGAAAGCAAGUAUAUUUUAUAUGGUAUAAUAGUGUAAUAACAUCACACUAUUAUAUCAUAUAGAGUAAUAGUUUUUCAAACUUUAAUAAAGUUCAAGAUUAUAGAAUGAAUGAUUUUUAUAUAUUAUAAAUUUUUUUAUCAUAAAUGGAGGACAAAAUUAACAUAUUUUCAAAUUAUAAUAAGUAUUUAUCAAAUAAUUUAACAUUGCAAUUUCUCCUAACUAGUAUAGUAAAUAAUACGACCUAGGAGAUACAUUCAAAGCAUUUCAUAAGUUAGUUGUUAAUAAUAAAUGAUAUAUGCAGCUCCAAUCAUCAUUGUACGGUGAGUAAUUUCCAGUUAUAAAUAGAUAUUACUCCCUUCCCAGCAAUUUUUGAUGACUUAAUUUAGUGAGAUCAAAAUCAACAUUGAAUUUUUGACCAGCUGCCAACAACUUGUGAGCAGUUCACAGUGGGUACUGCACAUGAUGCCUGUUUCUCCUUUUGCAUCUAUUUUGUUGUUAACAUUAAUUUCAAUAGCAGCUCGUUAAUCCCAAUUGUUGAUUUGGGACUAGAUAAGAGUUUAUCUUGGAACUCCAAUUCUCCCAAUUAUUUUAGUUGACAAUAUAUUUAACAUUAUUUUUUUAACAUUAUUAAUUGCAUAUUAUUUAAUUAUCAGUAUAUAAUAUUCUUUAAUUUUCUAAUUUUAUAGGAUUAGACACAAAAUUGAUUAUGCCUUUUGAAAUUUAAGGGUUAUGUCAAUUGAAUAGAAAACUUGGAGGUAAACUUGUGGAUGUUUUUGUUGAUUAUCAAUUUAUGCAUGAAUUUUUGUACGUUUACUCUGGUUUAUAAUUAUUACUUUUAAACAUUUUUAUUGGUUUGAUUUAGGGUCAAUUUAGUAAUCAUGUAGCUUUUAAAAUAAUUACAAUUAGCUAUGCUGUAGAAAUUGAUCAAUCGUCAAGAGAAUCAGCUGAACAUUUAGUAAAAUUUAUUUUUAAAAGUACUUUUAGUUUUAAAAGCGUUGUAUGAAUAAAACUGUUACACUAAAAAUUAAAUGUAUUGCCCACUUGGGUAAAUAAAGCUAUAUAUUACAACUGUUACACUAAAAAUUAAAUGUAUCUUAAACCCAAACUUCUUCUUCUUCUUUUUGACUAACAAAAUUAAAAACAAUAGUGAACACAUUCUUUAAUAAACAAUAAGUAAUAAAUAAAAUCGUGUUAAAUUGCUUAAAAACUUUCUUUCACGGUUUGCUAAAUAUUUGUAUUAGUAUUUUAAAUAAAUAAAAAUAGUUGAUUUAAUUUUUUUAAAUAAACUUAUUAGGUUCAUGUAAAGAUGUUUUUGUUAUUUUAAAAAGUGUAGAAAGUACUCCUAAAAAAAAGCGUAGAAAGUAAAACUUAAUUUUUUAAAUUUAUCAGCUGAGUGCAUAAAUAAUUGAGUGUUCAUAAUGAUUUUUAAAGUAUAGAUAGUCGGACCCUAAUUUAAUAUAUGCAAAUUUUGCUAAUAUGUUAAUGAGAAUUAAAAAGAUAAUUAAGGGAGGCAAUCGAGACAUUCAGGAUAGUUAGGAUGGGACAUGAUUGUGAGUGGUUAGAUAUUGGUCCUAAUUUUGAUCACAAAUAUAUAAACAGGACGAGUUUAUCUCUACUUACAUUCCAUUUGAUAAUUAAGAUGAGAGUGGAAUUGUCAAAUCCCAAAUCAUCCCGGAUCACUGCCACCAAGGGUACUCUCACUAAUAAUAUCUAAAGAAAAAUCUACAUCUAUUUCAUACUUUUUUUUAAUGGAAAGAGCCCUCAUGGGGCUUGAAAUGGUAUCCUAAAUAAUAUUCAGAAUAUCAGGUCAUGAUUGGGUUUGUGACAAACAAAUAUUACAUAGUUGGGAUACGUAGUUAUAGUGUCCCAAUUUAUGUAGUAUCUAUCAUUUAGUGCACAUAUAAAAUAUUAAUCAGCUUAAUUAAUUUAUAAAAUUUAAAUCUAAUUAAUAAGUGAUACAUAAAUGCCAAGUGCAGUACUGUAUAUGCAAAUCAUGUUUGUGGAUCAUUACAAAACUGGCUCUUGAAAACAAGCAAGAAAGCUUAAUUAAGAACUUAAAACAAAAAGAAUUAGAUUGAGAAUAGUCGAGCCUUAUUUUUUCAAGAAUGGAGCUUAUAAAUCUUCAAGUACCAACAUACGCUUGGCCCAAUUGUUGUUACUAAAAUUUCAAUAUACAUAUAUAAGUAUGAUAUAGCAAAAAUUUGAUGGUACAUAUGUCGGAAUAUACUAGUUCAUGGGUGCAUUUGAUUAUUGUUUCCAUAAAUUUGAACCAGGAAGGAUGACACGAUAAAAUUUGAUUUUAUAGUAUGGUUGAUUUCAUAUCUCAUGCACUCAUUUCUUAAGAUAAUCAAAUUUUCUCUGGCAUCUUUUGCAACUGUCGAAAUAUCAAUUAUGAUCAAUCAAAACGAUUUCAAAACCUUUCAACGAGAUAUAUUUCUAAUACAAUAUUGUGAAAAUUACACUAAAAAUUUAAUUUAUUAUAUAUUAUUAUCCAACGAGCACACAAAAAUGAUUUCGUACAAAUCUAAAAUACUGAGCAAUUUUCAAAUAGAAUUUACUAUGUACUACAAGAAAAUAGGGUAUAUGUGACCCCUAAUAUGAAUGCAAAAGCAGCCAUUACGCAUAUCACUAACUUCUAACUUUGUAACUCCGAGUUGCUUUUGUUACCCUUUAUGUGACGGCCACACUGCUGUCACAUAUGUUACGAACCGCGUGACGGCGAAGAGCCGUUCGGUAUACUAAUAUUUUAGAAUUUUAAAUUUAUUUCCAGUUAGAAAACUAUUCGCUGGACUCCGUGUUGCUGGCCACCAUCGUAAACGUAACUGGUUGCCAGCGAACGGCGUAAAACGCCGGCCAUCUUCUUCUUCAUCGUAUUCUCCCUUCAUCUUUUGAGGUAAGCUUGUAAUUAUAGAUUUUGAUUUUUUUUAUUUUGUAUUGUAGCCGUUAUUGUCAAUUUUUGUCCCGCCAGCAAUAUUUUUUUAUUCCUACAAGUUGAAGCCCCUGUGUUCUUGUUCCAUUGGUGAGUUUGCUCACUCAAAUUAAUUUUGUUCUGCGGAAUUUACAAAGUUCAAAUGGAUUCAUUUGAAUUACUAUUGAAUUUAGCUUUAAUUUCAACAUCCAUUCUAAUGUUUUGCAAUUAGAUUUAAUUUAAUUUUAUGUUUAAAGCUUCUACAAUGAAUAGCGGAGCUUGGGUUUUAGUUUCAUUUUCUGGAUAACUUGUUUUAGUUUAUCUUGUAUGCUCACCAAGUGCUUGUUAUAUUGUCUGAUAAGUUAUAUACAUUGCUGAUUCUAUAUUAAUAAUGUUACGUUCUAUUUUCAGAAAUUAUAAUACAAAAGUUUUUACAAUGGCGUGCAUCUACAAACUGAAUUGACUUGUAGAAUAAGAGCUUGGAGUAAAUGAAAGUUCAUAUUGUGUAAGAGCAUGUAGAUGUAAAGCAUCAUUACCAUUUCUACAAAGUGCUUUCAUUCUUGAACUUUGAAAGGUGCCUCGUUCAAGUCCUAGCUAUAACUACUAGCUUUGAUUAAUUACGUUCCUAUACUAGCUGAAACAGAUUUAUUUAAUUAAUUAAUUGUGUAUGUACUAAUUAUAUUGAAAGUAUAUGAAUUUUUUUUUUAACAUGAAUGACUCCUAAAUGACUUAAAAACCUAAAGGAUGUGUGAAAUAAUGCUCAUUUCACUUGAAUGAGCCCAUUAAUACUUUUAUGUCUAUGAUUUUCAAUAUUGGCUAAAGCAUUUCGGUUAAGUGGUUUACCUAACAGAGAAAAAAAUUUAAUAGAAAACUUCAGAGUUCUAACAGAAAUAUAGUUUACUAUGCAGAUAUAGUUAUUUUACGGUAUACAAAUCAAGUCGUCCUAAUCUCAAUGUCCUAUGACCGAUUUUAUAUUAUAUAGUCAUUAAUUUUUUCCUUGGUUUUUUGUGUUUGUGAGUAUGAAAUAGUGGGAUUUGGUGUACCUUAGCAUCUCUUGAAAAUUCUCUUUCAGUGUGGCCAACAGAAAUAUACAUAUAAUCAAGUUUCUUAAUCCUGUAUAUUAGUUUUGGGUAUGAAUGUUCCUAUUCUAGUUCUAGGCAAAGCUUCUUCAUUUUGGUCUUCAGAUUUCCAGUAGGUUAAGUUAAUCAACUAUCAUAACUGGCUAGCUAGUUAUUGUCUGCCUUGGCGCCAUUACCCAGGCCAUUAUAUUGCAUAGCAUAAGGAAUAGUGAUUAGGUGAUUAUUAGUGAUUUGUUGAGCUUAUUAUCGACCAAACAAACAUAUUCGCCUUUGCCCACAACUUAGUUUGAUUAGUUAUUAGACCAUAAAGAGCCUUGAUCUAUUCAUUGGCUUUAUUAUUUUUAUUUGGUUUUUCUUUCAACAAUAUUGUUGAUUUCUUAUAAAAAUAUUCAUUGGUUUUUAAACACCUAAUCAUUGGCUAUAUGAAGCUAAUUAAAACUGAGGCUUUGGAUCAAUUUCUUCUAACAAGAUACAAAUGAGCAUAACCUAUCUCCUCUGAGUAAAUUUUUUUAAUAUCCUUGAUUUGUAAGGAUCUGGAGGCCUGAAAUCCUCUAGAUUUUUUUUAAUACUGUCAAUGUUCUUUUUAUUCUGAAAAGGAACUAAAAGGUUUUAUCUUUCAUACCCUAAUAGUAAGCUGGCCUUGUCUUAACAUGGCUUCCCGAGGAUUUGGAAGAUUCAUAGGCCCCCCCCCCCCCCCCCCCCCCCACACACACACACACAAAAAGGAAGAUUUUGCAAGAUUCACCACCAGGUUAUUUAUUUAUUUAUGAAUUGUGUGUACAUACUAGUUAUAUGUUGAAAGAAUAGGAAGAAGUAUUUCAACAUGAAUGACUUAAAACUUAUUGCUCAGUAAACAUAAUAUGCAUCAGUGCGAAAAUGUAUUUAUCAUUUGUAUUUUUUAUGGUUUUGCUUAAGAAAUGAUAUGUGAAAUAAUGCUACAUGCCUACAUUGUAUCAGGAAUAACUUGAAAAGAUUUAUGAUAUUUAUGUGUUAUUCAAAUUUCAGAUUCAAUUUUAAACUUUUGAUACGUGCAUUAAAAGUUUAGACUUGUUUAAGAAAUUAUUAAUAGACACAUGUUUUAUUAGUGUCAUAUUUGGAUGAUAGUGAGGAUCAUAUGUCUAUUAAUAAUUCUUGAAUUGUCCGGGCUUGGACAGUUUGGGAAUGCAUACUUCUCUCUGGUAGCUAGUAGCCGAAGUUUUCUUCCCACGUAAAAAUGGGUUUUUCGGUAGCUGCUCCUCAUGUUCUCUGGGUACGUACUAGGUGAAUGGGUGUCGUGUUGUUUUGGCAUAACGCAUAAACACUUAUAUAGCUAUGUCGUGUGCUUGGAGAAUUAUAGGGAGAUGGUGCUGAAAUUUUUAUAAACGUAGAAGAAAACUUUAGGUACUUGAGAUUGAAAAAACUUACACAUUCUUGAGUGGGAUAUGUAGGAUUACUUACCUUUGGUAAAUAUGAAGGGAAUGUUGGAUAUAUUGAGGGUAGUGUAGGAGCUGAGUUGGAUGAAUGUAAUUGGUGAUGAUUUUGCUGAGCUGACAUUGGUUUUGAGCUUGUAAUUUUGUUUGUAAAUGGAGUGCUAUCUCCAAUGUUGGUUUAUAAAUAUGUUUCAGGACUUGCUGACCUAAUUUUUUGUUUCUAGGUUACAGGCUUUAUAUAUCUGUAAUUGAUGGCGAAGUGAAGUUCCCAGCACUUGGCGAGGAUGUUGGUUUAUAAACUGUUUUUUAUAUAUACUUUGAUUUUCACAUCUUUUUCUCUGAUUCUUGUGGCUUUGCUUGCUUUCAUAUAUGUAAAUUCUAAUGAAAUUAAACAUAAAAUUGUAAAAUGAUCUUUUUAUUAUAUUGCAAAACUGUGCACACACGAAAAUAUCUUGUUUAGUAGUAGAAAUGAAGAACUAAAAUGAUUUAUUUAACUAAUAUUUGUAGCGCAUUAAAAGGAGAUAGUCAUGGACAAGUGUUGGGUUGGUUUGCCAAAUAGAUAUCCAAGUCAUAUACUGACGGGGAUGAAAAAUUUAUAGAUUUUGCAUUUGAGAAUGUUGUUGGUGGUACAAGAAUUUAAUGUCCUUUUAAGAAGUGUUGUAAUCUAUAUUUCGUUAUAAGGAAAGUGGCUGAUGAUGAUAUGGUUGGAAUGAUACAAUGCAUCACGUAAUCAAAUGUUCAAGUUACACUCAACAUUGUUAUGGACUAUCAGUGACUUUCUAGCAUUGCCAACUUGUUUGGGUGGAGCAUUAAAGGUAAAUAAGCACGUCUUGUUUGCCAACAAAACACUAGAUCUAAUUGGUUGAUACAUGGUAGAAAAUUUUGUCACGUGGGUCACCGUCGAUUUUUACCGACAAAUCAUAGGUUUCGAAAAUAUAGUGUCUUUUGAUAAAACUAGAGAGUAGGGACAAGCACCUUCUCGGUUGUCUGGAACUGAAGUGAAAAAGCAGUUUAAUAUACUUACUGAGUAUAAGAUUGAAGACUUGAAAAGAGGAGAACGAAUAAAAUGAGAGAAAUGAUAAGAUUACUUGGAAGAAGAACAGCAUUUUUUAUGAGAACUACCGUAUUCAUCAUGAUCUUGUUGUCAUGCACUGCUUUGAUUUUUGUUAUGAACUCAGAUCAAAAGUUUAAUGUGAUCAAACUUUCUUAAAAAAAGUGAAAACGACUCCUAGUAAUAUGCUUUGAUUUUUGUUAUGAACUCAGAUCAAAAGUUUAAUGUGAUCAAACUUUCUUAAAAAAAGUGAAAACGACUCCUAGUAAUAUGGAAGAUGGCUAUAAAAGAUAAAAGGAAAGGCUUAAAAAGAAAAGCCAUGCCUGUCAAAAAAUAAAAAAAUAAAAAUGGCAGCGUCAAAUUUAUAACAAAAAUAAAAACGGUGCGUUUGAGAGUGUAAAAAAUACAUUUAGUGGGAGUUAUGUUGUUGCUUGAAGGCAGAUUGUUUGUGAGAUUUUUGUCGACGAAGCCAAAACCAAAGAUGAAUUACGAGGGUUAUGUUUGCCAUAGUCAAGGAACACGGUCCUCUCACCUUUGCCGAAACUUGGGAACGCGUCAAGGUGUGUGUAUCUAUUAAAUUGAAUUUCAACCGUUUGAUCUGUAAUUAUAAUUAAUCCAAUCAAUCUGACAGUGAUCGCUGACCAUAAUACUAGUAGUUGUUUUACAUUUUCAGCAAGCUGGAGCGAGUGGAUUGACGGGCAAAAGCCACAUGAAGAUUGUGUUGAGAUGGAUGAGGGAGAGACAAAAGCUCAGGCUCGUCUGAAAUCACGUGGGCCCUCAUAAGCAAAUCCUGUACACAACAACUUGAAGCAGCCAAAGUCAGGGAAUGAUCCUUCUCCGUCACAACCCUAGCUGCCUUAAAGUGAGACUGUGAAGAUGAAGUAAAGCACCAGUUGAACAAUGAAGAUGGAAACCCCUCAGCAUGUAAACUUUUCAACAGUGACACAGCUCUUAUUCCAGAGGCUGCACAGAAGAGCGACCUGAAUCCUCUUCAAGACUUUCAAAUUUUUAUCAAGUAAAGCUUCCAAAAUUUCUCAACAAAUUGAUUAUUUGGUGUGGUUGACACAUUUUGUGUAAUAACAGAAAAUUGAUUAUUUGGUGUAACAACAGAAAAUUACAAGAUCGCUGACAAAAUGACAAAAUGACAAAAUGACAAAAUGAAACUGAAGAUAAAUCAGAACAACUACCAAACCUUUGACUGAAAAUUCAAAAGAAUUUAUAUUCAAAAUGUCAAAAUAAACUGGAAAUUUAUUGCAUAUAUUACAAGAAGCAGUACACACCAAUUGUAAAUUGAUACAUCGUUUUUGAAAUUAAGAUAGUCAAAUGAAAGAAACACAACGGAGGGUUAAUGUAACACUUUCAAAGCUGCAUUAGUGAUACAGUAGAGUGAAUACCCUCAGCAUGUAAACUUAACUUCAAAGGACGGAGCACAAGUUUCACAGAAAAGUAGCUCUUAUUCCUGAUGCUGCAAACACAGAGGAGUGACCUCAAUCUUCUUCAUAACUUGGGAAUUCUGCAAUUAUAGAGCACGACAUUGAGCAUGAACUAGAAAAAAUAUUUAUUUUGUACAAUUUUCAUGUAACCUGACUAACCAAGAUUAAUUUGGUGGUAAUGCAUUGGGUCAUUACUUUAUAUGUUUUUACUGUCAUCACUUUAGAAAAAACUAAUUUCUCAAUGUGAAAUGGCCCACAAAAGUAUUAUCGUUUAAAAACUAAAGAUUAAAGCCCCCGGGGGGGGGGGGGUGUCUGAAGGCUUUUUACAUGAAAAUGUUGUCACUUUGAAUGAUAUUUUCAAGGAAUUUUAUUCUAAAAAUAAAAUACGUGGGACCUUAUUCUUCAAAUUGACAGCUCGCCAAGUACUAAAGGCGUAUGAGAUCAGUACUGCGGCGAGUAAGGAGACGACCCCUCCAACAGCUGAAAAUAAAAUUAGCAUUCAUCAAUUUAAAUUAAAAUUCAUAUUAUGAAAUAAAAACUAAUGAUUAAUGAAUUUCCGAGGAAUUUCAUAAGAUUCUCAUAUAAAAACGUGAUAAAAAACUCACUCAUCAAUAACAAAUAUUCUAACAGUUACCCGUACCUUUUCUUGAUGUAAUUGUUGUAUGAUUGUGUUAAGGUCAUUAUUAGACCAACGCAGUUUGUCUUCACUCCUUCCGUACCAGACGUUUACUCUCGGAGGCGUGGUUGAUUCUCCUUUGGUGAAAAUCUUCAUCUUGGGACAACCAAUCACCGACAAAUCUUGCAAAGAUGGGAAUUUGAAGGUGUAAUUGGCAGAGGAGAAGCUUGUGAGACUAUCUAAAUCAAGCAGGGACAAUGUAAUCAAUUUGCUGAAAACAAUCUCUUCUUUUAUAUUUGCUGUUUCAUCUUCGUCACAUACUACGACUUCUGUCAUUGCUGUGCAUCCAAAUACCUUCAAUGAUAAGAGUCGCUCCAGACUUUUUGCUGUGGAGCAUGUUAGUAAGUUCAUCAAUUUCUUGCAAGCAAAAGCUUGCAGGCGUGUGAGAUUCCGAAAAGAUACCGAUGAUGAUGGCAAUAGACUUAACAGAUUUUGACAGUGAUAUGCUCUUAUAAUUUCAAGAUGUUGGAAAAUGAAGUCCAGCUGUUUGGAGUCAUGUUUCCACAGUUGCUGCAGACGAUUAAGUCUGGUCAGGUUUAACCUUUUUAUCAGUGCCAACUUCCUCCCAUGUUUCUCCAAAUAUCCUUCAUUUGAAAAUACCACUUCAUACGAACAAUCCGACAGGAAGAGAAGUUCCAGAUUGUUAAACCUCUCAAGUAAACCAAGUUGAAAGCAAGCUAAGUCAUCAUCCCGAACCAGUAGUAGUUUAAGACUGCCAAAGAGGUGUUGUGUUGAACCUCGCAAAACCACCAGGGCUAGGAAGCCUAAUCCAAAGUAUCUGGCAUUUCUGGAUGUGAGCAAUACUAAUGACGUGGGGGCUAAAAGGCUUGGUCAAGUGUUGGAUGCAUAAAGGACCGAGUCUUGUGCUGGAAAAUCUCUAUAUCUUGUUAGUAGCUUCAGUAGUUGAGUUAAAAUAGGAGUUAGCCGUUGCCUUGCUUCAUUAUUUAAUAAGUUGUAAAACAAGUAGUUGGGGGAGAAAAAAAUAAGAUUUGUCAUUGUGGUUUACUCCAAACCCGAAUUGGAGAACUUUGAAAUAACAGAAGAAUUAUCAAAUUUAUUAAUUCUUGUUGCUGAGAUAAGAAUCUUCUUUCAUUCUAACUUGAGUUCUAACAUGUUGUGGAAAAUCGCCUUGCAAAAUCAUCGUGAUGUCUUUUCCACUUAAUGCCAGUUCCUCCAAGUUGGGUAAGAUCUGAUCAUCAUCGAGCUCAAAUUAUUAACUUAGCACAUUGAUCCAUAAUUCAAGACUGGCAAAAUUCAUUGUGUAAUCAAAGUUUUCAAUGAUCCAACUAAUAUAUAUAUAUAUAUAUAUAUAUUCCUUCUCUAGUGCGGACAUCCUCAUUUUUUUUCAUGUGGACCAGUUUUUAGACCCUAUGGUUUAAAAGAGUUAGUUUUUAACUCUCUAAAACCGCAUGGCUUCAUAAUUCAUUUAAAAACUAACUCUCUUAAACCGCACGGUUUAAAAGUAUGUCUACAUUAAAAAAAAUGCGGACCCCCACACUUGAGAAUGAUUAUAUAUAUAUAUAUAGAGAGAGAGAGACACACACACACACACGCUCUUAAACCGUGGGAUUUGAAAGUUUCUCCGCAUGAAAAAAGUAAAAAAUAAGGGCAUUCCCACUAGAAAAAAACACCAUAUAGGUAUUUAUUAAACCUCCGGAUCUGUGAGUGAGGAACAACAAAGAUAAUUGAUAAAAAAAAUCUAAAAUUUGGUUUCAUACCUUCUUGAACGAGAGUAGGGGUUGUUGUGCCGGAAUACCAAAUUGAUCAUUCUCAUUAUUCUGGGACAACGUUAUUUUAUCACAAUUACAGGCCUCCAAUUUUUUUAGUGCUGGCCAUUCUGAAGUAUGCAUUCCAGGGUAUAAACAUCUGAGUUCUGGUAGACCUUCGAGAUUCAGAGUGGUCACUUGUGGAAAGACAAAAUAUGGGGUCACUUGAUCUGCUCUGUCUUUGGAGAUGAUCUCUUGUAAACCCAUACAUAUCCGUAUCUCCAGGUGUUGGAGGUGCUUAAGGCUUUGGAUCAUAGAAGCUGAAAAUAUGUAUUUUAAUUUGUCACAGCCCCACACUAUCAAUCGUGUCAAACUUUGAAAGCAAGGAAUCAUGGCCGUAAGUUGAUUGUAAUGCCAAAUCUCGUCGACAUUAAUAGCAUUCAGCUCCAAAGCCUCCAAAUUUGGCAACACUACCUAAAGAUAAUUUUCUCUUUAGAUCCAAUAUCCGUAUGGAAAGCACUUGUUUUGACACAAUGUCCAUAUAAGCACUUAAUUAAGAGCUUAAUUAGCCUACGUACCUUCUCGUUGAAAAGCAGAGUUGACGUUUCCGAACUGAUCUCGUUGGAACUGGCUGUCAAUUCCUCUUGCGACUCUUGUCUGUUUGGUGAUGUGGAAGGAGUCUUCACUUCACCGCAAAACCUUGUAACCUUUGGAAGCUUUCCCAGACUCAAAGAUCUUAAUUGACCAAACUCUAUCUUCUCAUCAACAUCAACAUCAGCUUCUCCUCCAGUUGCAAAAAUCUCUUCCAUGCUGCUGCAAUUGAUAACUGCAAUCCUCUCCAGUCUUGGAAGGCAUUUUGUACUACUAGAGAGCCAGAAGAUAUUACUCAACUCAUCACAAUUUUCCACUUUUAUGGUUUUGAGUUCUUUGAAGGACUCUAUUUUGAGUCGAUCAAUACAUAUCCUCUCCAUAUUGAUCAAAUUGUGAAGAGUAAGGGACUCCAAAAGAGGAAAGGCGACACAUGGUUCUCUCUCCAUUGAAUCGACGAUACACAGGAAGUCCGGAUUAUUUUGAACAUGGAGAUGCUUCAAUUGUGAAAAGCCCUCAGUGUCCAAUUCUAAAACAACAUUCUUGAUUCCUUGCAACUUAUCCAAACAUAAGUAUUCAACGUUAUUGAUGCCCUGCAACUUCUCGGAGCAAAUGGCCAUAGAAUCAAGCUUGAGCUUCAAUGUUCUUAAACUCUCAUGAUUACUGAUCAUAAAGUGCUGCCGACUUUCAAACCAAUCAUUCUCAAUAACCAGGGUAGAGUCGAAUGAUGCAUCUCCUAUUGAUAUAUCAAACCUUUCCAGCUUUUUGGAAAAAAAGCCAUCCGGUAAAAUGGUAUCAUUUUUAACAUCUAUUUCUAAAGUGGUCAAUCGCCUCAAAUGCAUCAAUUCGUCGAGGGUGGCAUUACUUCUUUCACUAUUGGCCUUUUCAACUUCCCAUUCAAUAGGGGAAUUACCCAUAUACAGUUCUUCCAAUCGAGUGAAGCUUGAUAAGACGUUGGGCACAAUAAAUUUUAGUUGCAAACAAUCUGUUAAAUCUAACAGCCUUAACUUAGUCAGUUGACCUAGUUCGCCAGGCCACCGUACAAUAUCAGAAUUUAAAAAGCUAAGGAUUUCUAGAUUCUUCUACUUUCCAAUUAUGGCUGUGUCUCCCAACAUGCUUUGAUCUAGACAGAGUGUUUGAAGAUUUGCUAGAAGACCGAUUGAAGAUGGCAAUGAAAAUAAUCGCAUUCGUGUCAAAUCUAUAACUCGAAGCUUUUUCAUCCCUUUGAAAAUGUUGUCAGGAAUAUUGACCUCGACAAAAUAGUCUUUGGGAUGCAUAUGUAAAAAUUCAAGUUGCGGACAUUCAAAUUCCUCAGAAACUUCAUGAAUGCGACUAUUUAGUAAAGAGAUUGCAGAGCAUUUUUUAAGUGCAUCCUCAUCUGGCCACUCCCACACAGCCUCAUUUCUCACCAAGAAAGCAUGUUGGUCUCGACAUGCAAUUGAUACGGCAACAUCGCAGACAACAUCAUGCAUGGAAAAUUGUUCACUGCUAUCACCCUCAAGCAAUAAACAAGAGUCUCUAAGUUCAUGGACCAAUGCAUAUAAUUUGUUUCGUGCAUCUACCAUCCUGUUGACUCCUUGAAAUAUGCCCAAACCCAUGGAGUAUUUAAACAAGUCUGUAAACCAAAAACUGUUACCUAUUAGACUACAGAGCAGAAAAAUUUUCUUGAGUUGCUCACCUUUUAAAUACUUGAAACUCAGUUCAAUACUUGAAUAAGUCUCUGCAGGCACACCUUCGAAGUUUAUCACUGAAGGCGUUUGGAGUUCUCGCAAGGCAUUCUUCCACUCAUGCAGACACUUGUUUCUCAGUGCCCUCGCAACUGUAGUCAGGGCAAUGGGCAAACCUCCACAUGCCUGGGCUACAUUAAUUGCUGUAGACUUGAACUUACAAUUUUCAACAUCAUCACCAUUCAUUAUCUUAAACAAUCUCCAAGCUUCUUCUUCAUUUAGAUUGCCAAUCAAGAAGUUAUCUUUGGAGCCCAUACUUAAUAGCACAUUAUUGUCUCUUGCUGUCAGCAGUAGUCUACAUCCUUUAUGAUCAUUUCCGAAGGGAAUUCCAACCGUCUCCAAAUCAAGAUGUUUCCAGAUAUUAUCUAGAAUCACAAGAAUCUUAUUCUCAUUCUUCAGUCGUUCAUACAGCCUGCUAGCUCUUCUAUAUUCAGCUUCAUCGGACAACUCCAGACCUAACUUCUCUGCAAUUUCCCCUUGAAUCUUUUUUAUGUCUGGAGUUUGUGAAACCUCUGAAAAAACCACCCGAUCAAACAGCUUGUCUUCCCUGGCUUGCCUAGCAAACUCCUUCACCAGUGUCGUCUUUCCAAUGCCGCCCAUGCCGUACACCCCAAUAAUGCUGACAUUCACAUCAGUCAACGCAUUUUGUAUAGACUUCAAAGUAGAAACUCUUGAUUCGAAGGCCUCGUAACCUUUGUUAGACUUAAGCCAUAUCUCCUCCGGAGUGGUACGGUGGGAAACGAUAUCAAACUUCUUAACUUCUUCUCCAAGUUCAACAAGGGCCUUCACCUCUGUCUCUGCUUUCUUGCUAAGCUGAUAGCGGGUCUUCAAAUUACGACACAAGCCCUUGAGACAGCGCUUAUUUGUUGACUCUUCAUCUUCAACGAAUUUGGCUGCCCGGUCAAUGAUGCCGUUAACACUAACCAGCCACUUCUCAACCUUCUCUUCAAUCUCUUCCCCUUUUUCUUUCGCCUCUGAAACUCUGCGCUGAAUGCUCGUACGUUCAACCUUCAACUUCUCCAUUUCCGCCUUGAGAUUCUCAAGGUUGGCAUUGUGGUUCCGCCAUCGCAAAUAAACAACUUGGCGUUCUGUUGGAGGAGCCAAGCAUUUUACAAGUUCCAAAACGAGAGUAACAAUGAUUUCCAGCAUCUUGAAUCCUGACAACAAUGUAGAAGUGAAGAAGGCCAAAGGACAGUCAAAACAGAGAGACAGCGUUACGACAAGCAGUUAUGAAGCUAAAAAUAAAUAACAAACAAACAGAAGCAAAGUGUUUUUCGAAUGAGAAGAAGGAAGCAAGAAAAGGGUUUCUGUUUUAGAUUAAGGAUAAGAAAUGAUUAAGAGAGUGGGGGAGCUAAUAAGAGAGUGGAUUGAGCAAACGUAAAUAAAUUUUUCUUAACCUUUUGUCACACGCGUGUGACAAAUAAUAUAAUUAAUUUUAUAUUUUUAUUCAAUAACUAUUAAUUAUAAUUUUUAAAAAUUAUUAAAAAGAAUAAUUAAGUACUGAAUUCAAAUCCUAUCCUAAAUGGUUAGAUAAAAAUAAGUGAAUGAAAAGAGUAAUGGUAGAUUAAUGAGAAAGUGAUUGAUUAAUUUAUGAGGCCAAUUAACGAAACGACAGAUCUGGUUUCCAUGUUUGUAAUUUAAGUGUAUCAGUACGAGGUACACCGACUCUCCCAGUUUCUUUAGCAUUUCUCUCCGUGGAAAUAAGUGAAAAGCCAAAGUGAUUUGAUUAUUUUUAUGGCCAACUAAUGUAUGACAGAUCUGGUUUCAAUCUCUGCAAUGUAAGUGUAUCAAAACGAGGUCAACAACUCUUUGUCGAGUCAGUCAAAUACGCAAGCAGAGCGAACAAAUUUUUUUUCCAAUUAAGUAAUCAUCAAGUGAUAACCUUCUUUUUCUAUUAAAAUAAGGAGUGCAGAACAACUGUCAAGAGAUAAUCAUUGUUUAUUAUAUUUUCGAUUAAAAUAGUUGCGCGUGAACGAUUGCCCGAAUUCGUAUAAAUUGUUGUCAGGUCUAUUAUAAUUAACAAGUGGAAUGGCCAAUGGAUGAAGAACCACUGCAAUUUCGUUUAUGAAUUUAAAAUGCUAAAGAAACUGGACACCAACGCUAAACGUGAGUUUGAGGCCCUUGCCUCAGUGUCUUUCAGGCGUUACUCGGGGUAGUUGAUAUACUGACGGCCCCGUUAUCAAUUAAUCAUCGAAAUAGAUUAAAAUAUGAAUGGAUUGGAAUGGAAUGAGUUGGAAUUAAAAUAUGAAAUGAUAGUCAGAUUAAUUUAUUUUUUUUUAAAUUAGAAAAUUAGAAUAAAAAUAAAUUAUAUUAUUAUUGAUGCAUUUGCUUUAUCUUAAAAUUACGAUGAGUUAUUACAAGUUACUAAUAUGCCUUUGAUUUUUUAUUAUAAUUAUAGUUAUUUAUUAUAACAUUUGUCAUAUAAUAAUAAUAAUAAUAAUAAUAAUAAUAAUAAUAAUAAUUGUAACAAUUAAUAUUGAAAAAAAAUUUAUUGUUAAUAAUAAAUAGGCAAUUAUCCAUCGACCAUGUGAUCUUUCGAACUUUUUCAAAAAUAGAUAAACACUUUUUUCUUUGCAGAAAUCCACCUGAAAUUUACAAAGCGUUUCAAUUGUUUAUUGUCAUCUUAACUCUGUUAGAAUUUUGUUGAUGUCAUAAGGACAAAAUUAUCAUUUUCACCUAAAUAUCCAAAAAGGGUAUCUUUCAAACAUGAUUAAGAUAAAAAAGUAAAAUAAAUUAUCCAUUGACUAUAUAAUUUUUUAACCUUUAUAAAAAAUAUUAAAAAAAUAUAUGAACAUUUGUUUUUAUUUUUCAACAAUCUAUCGGAUAUUUGUGAAGUGCAUUAGUGCUCCACUACUAUCAUAACCCUUUAAAAAUAUCGCUUAAACACGAGAACCUAUUGCCUAAAAUUAUUUUUCAAGCAAAUGCAACGACAUAUCUGGUUUUGAUCUUCGUGACUUUUAAGUGUGCAAGAACAAGAUGAAUGACCCUUUGUCGAGUUGAAGAAUUAAGAUGAAUCAAUUACAAAUCUAGAACAAACUUACAUGUGACAUUUUAGAAUUAAGCAAACUAUAAUUGAUCAUCCAGUGAUAGGCUUAUUUUCAAUUAAAUUAGAGUAAAGAUAUACAUUCCAAAUUUUUUAUCUCAAAAUUAAUCUUAGAUGAUGUCAUUAAUUGAGUACUUGGUAAUUCUUUCAAGAUCUAAGUGAAUUAAUUAUAUUAUCUCUCUAACCAAUUGAUGAAUAUCAUAUUAUUUUGGAUAAUUUUUUAUCUCAAAUCCUAGAAAAGAAAACAAAAGAAAGGGAGCAAAAAUAUUUUUAGAAACGUAAAAUAACCAAAAAAACACCUUUUCUUGUUUUUCUUAUUUUCCACUAUUAAGCUUCAAAAUGAACAACUUUAUUCUACAAUCUCUCAAAUAAUAUUAAUAACAACAACGUCGUCAUCAUCAAUAAUAAUAAUAAUAGAUUAAUUUUGUAGGAUGGAACUCUCUCAAAUCUUCAAGACACAAAAUGUGCUUGACCCCAUUGUUGUUAUUAUAAUUUCAAAAUCAUAUGUAUUAUAUAAUAUUAGGGAAUAUAACAUAGCAAAAUUGAUGGUACAUAUGUUGCAAUAUACUUGCUCAUGUGGCGACACAUUGACGUAAAGUACAAGCAGAACAACGAAAAAUGUAACGGGAGAGCUCUCAUUAUGUAGAUUUUCAAUAGAAGUAAUGCAUAUUUCACAAGGGCAAUGGCCUUAUUUCAAAUGCUGCACCUGAGGAAUGACUUGAAUCUUCUAUAGAACUCAGGCAUUCUGUAAUCAUAGAGUAUAUCAUUUCAACAAAAAUAUUAUAUAGGUCGUUCCUUAUAUAUUUUAUGGGUACACAUACAGAAAUAUUACUUUGGGUACAUUUUUUGCAAUAAAGCCUGCCCAAUCCAGCGUUUUCAUAAGUUGGGUUUCUCAUUUACUUGUUUUUUCCAUUGGUUAAUUAUCACAAACCUCCACUGAGAUUUAGCAUAUUUUUAGUUUAAUAGAUUGUAUUCGCGCAAAUAUCUUUUCAGACAUUAGUUUACCACUUCGUAUAAAUUAAGUUGGUGAGGAUAAAAUCGUAAAAGUACACAUUAAUGAUAAAAAAAUUCAAGUAAACAUGAAAUUUUCACGUUGUGUUCUGAAAUUGGUCUCAACUUUUUAAAUGUCCAUUAGGUAAAGAACAGAAGCAAGCUUUACCCAGCACACAAAAGCAAGCUUUGCGCAGCACGCAUUAACGCCCGCAAAAAUGAAAAAGGAAAAAUGGUCAUCUCUUUCCUCCAUUCGAAUUGAAGCCAUGAAACGCAACAUCCCUUUCAUCUUCUCUCUAAUGCUUUGAUUAAAAAACUUGCUUACGAACGGGAGACCAUGACACUGAAUCCGGAGACGGCAAUACCAGAGACGAUUGAUCGAUUUGGAAGAAUACCAACCAGUGACUUUCGCCGUCGACCCACAAACAGUCCCAGUGUUUUCGAGCCGUGAAUGAGGUAUGAAUCAGAUUAUUUCCGUGCAUGUCAGUUUUGUUAGGUGAUUUGGUUUAAAAAAAGAAUAAUGGGUCUCGAAAAUUUUUUGAGAGUAUUUCUGUUGCUUACAUUUUUUUUCCAUUGAUUAAUGUUAGUUGUAGGUGAAUGAUUGUUUCAAAUGCAUGUUCGCGUGUGACUGAUUGAAAAUGGCUUGUGAUUUGUCAUGCUGCCGUAUGACUGAUUGAAAAUGGCUCUAAAAUUUUUUUUAUUUGUUUAAGCUACUGAUUCUGAUUAUUGAACAGGAAUUCAUGCUAGCUUUUGUGAAAUUAAAGAUGAGACUAUUUUUUAAGAGAUCUGCCAAACCUUCUCUACUAUAGAUUUGGCUUCUGACAUACCUGGUUGGCUGGAGAUAAUUGUUUAUAUAGUCAUUGUUGCCCGUAUUAUUUAGGAAUAUUGAUUAGCAAUGUACUGGAUUAGAGAUUGGUAUAAUUUUGGAAAAUUAGUCGUAGAUGCAACCUGAUUAUGGUCUCAAAUAGUGUGAUCUGUCAAUUUCGUCUGCUAUGGCCUAACAACCUUGAAUCUGAGCUAUGCUACUAUACAAAGUCCUGACCUAAUCAAGCUUGUUAGCCAAUGUCCAAAAUUGCAGUGUCUUUAGAUAAGUCCCAUCUUAUUUGUUUGAAUUAUAAAUGAAAAUUGCAGUGUCUUUGGAUAAUCACGCUGAAUGUUCAAGUUAUUGACAAGAAGGGACCCCCAGAUUCAAGGCCGGAGCUCCCUGUUGAGAAGCUUUAUAUAUAUAGGAUUGUCGCUGGGUGGAGGAUCGAUAUGCCCGGUUUUGUUUGGAAUAAGGAUGAAGAUUUUGCAUUGAGGCUUUCUUGACAGAUCAUUCUGCAAAUCAAGCUCCAUGUACCUAUCUUCAAACUCUAGGAUAUGUAUAAAGCAAGUGCAUGCUCUAUAUGUCACUUAUUGUAUCCCGAUUAUUUUUCUAUUACUUAAUAUAAUUGCAGUCCUUGAUGAAGUUGGAGACAACUUAUGGAGGGUAUCCAGGAGCUCGAGAGCUCGAUUGCCAUUCAUUUUACACUUGGCUGAGCUAUAGAAUACCAACUAGUGAUUAAUAAAGAGAAGGUAUGAAGGUCCUAUUGCUGGUGGUAUUAUCAAUCAGAAUUGUUAUUUUACUUGGUCAUAGUUACCAUGUAUACUAUUCAUAGACUUUUUGCAUGUUUAUGUAUUUGCGUUCAUCGUUUUGUUAAGCUAGAGAUGGUUGAUUUGUGUACUCAUUUGUAUCACUUGUAGCCCUUGAGGAAUAAAAUUUAAAAUUUUGUUGCAUCUCCUGUACUAAAUACUAAUUUUGUUGGCUUUAUGUAUGUGAAAUGGUUCAUUAUGUUAUUUCUUUGAUGUGUGUAUAGUGUUACGCUGUCUAAAGUCGAAAAGUAUUUCUAUCACUUGUGUAAAAAACAACCUACUUUUUUUCACUCUUCUUAUAUUGAAUAAAAGAGGAACACCAAGAUCUUCACCAAGAUUGAACGAAAUUUGAUGCAAAAUGCAUAGCAAUUAGGCCAGUGCAAAACAACUUCCUUCUGAUUCUCUGAUAUUUGACUUAAAUCUUUUGUUUGUUUCAUUCAUCAAAGUCAUUUUGGAAAGUAGCAGGGGUGAUUUGAUAUUUUCAUUGUAUUCACAUCCCUUGGCACCAAAACAAACAUGCUGGUACUAACCAACAAUUUUUUUUAAUUUUCAGUAUACAAAUUAUCUUUUUUUUUCUAAAUUAGGGGUAUUAAGAAAAGGUAUACUAGCAUCGGGGGAGGUAUUUGAGAAUACACAAAUACAGGCUAUCAAACUGAGAAUACGCCAAAUCUCAGGGGAGGUUUCUGAUAAAUCUUUUUUUUUCCUUUUCCUCCAUUUACUAUAGGUUCAAUUUAGACAUUGUUGACCAAACAGAAGGUUUAGGUUGGUAAACGCACUAGUGUUAAUGUCAACAACCCAAGGGGCUUCAUGGUCCUCUGGGCCGAAAUAGCGUAAUUAUUAAUUCUCCUCCAGUGAAAAUCUUCAUCUCGAGACAAAUAAAUACGAAUUGACAUUAUAGCUGUGCAAAUUUGGAGGUGUAAUAACCGGAAAAGUAAAAAUCUUUAGAGACAUUUCAAAUAAAAAAGAUACAACACCUUCAAUUUGCUAAAAGUAAUGGUAUCAUUUCUUGUACGGAUAAUGGAUGAUUAGAUUUUGUUUUUUGUUAUCCGACGAAGGAUAUUCAGUUGUUCUUUAUGUGUUCACAGGCAAGAGCAUGAGCAUGUUUAUGAUUUGAUAUAUGCUUCUUGCAUUUUUUAAUUAAGUACUCUCUUUCCUUACUGUGAAGCCGAAAUUAGUUAUAAUCUGUUAUGGACAUGCUGAGGUGGCAGGUGAGCUGGCAUAAGUGGGAUCCAAAUCAAGAGUUGGUUAGUUAGUUAAAUAACAGACUGACUCAUUGCAAGUGGAAACACACGUGAGAAGCAUACAUUUAUAAGCUGUCUCUAAGCUAGCUAAACAUACAUAGAAUCAUAGAGAAUUUACAGAGAGGAAACACUCGAUAGGUUUUAAUCUGUAAUUGGUGACUCAGUUGUAAACCAUCUUCUUCUUGUUGUUCAAUAAAGCCUCUGCCCUUGCUGGUUUUACAGCCGUGGAUGUAGGUUCCUUUGUGGAGCUUAACCACGUUAGUUUCUUGGUGUGUUGUGAAUCUUUGAUUGCUUGGUUCUUCUUUGUUCUUUUCUUAAUGUUGUUUCUGUAAACUCUGGUUUUGUGGGUUGCUUAAUUCUUGUUCAAGUAAGCGAAGUAAACACGUUUGCCAUAACAAACUGGUAUCAGAGCCUGGUAUUGGUUGGGAUCAGACUCAAAGAUGGCAAGCACCAGAGUUGAUCUUGAAAAGUUCAAUGGAGAUAAUGAUUUUUAUCUCUGGAGUUUGAAGAUGAGAGCAAUACUUAUUCAAUAAGGGCUUGACAGUGCCCUCGAUGAUGGAGAAGAUCCGAUGGCCAAGAAAGAAAAGGCAGAAGGCUCUUCAAGCCUUGGUGCAGAUCAGAGGAUCAUAAACAAUAAGGCCCAUAGCACCAUUAUCUUGCAUCUCUCUGAUGAAGUCUUGAGAGAAGUAUCCAAAGAAAGAACUGCAGCUGGUUUAUGGGCAAAACUAGAAGAAAUGUUUCUGAAGAAAUCAUUGGCAAAGAGGAUGUACAUGAAGAGGAGAUUGUACACAUUCUCAAUGAAAGAUGGAGUAGCCAUGAAAGAUCACGUGGAUGAGUUUAAUAAACUCAUUCUUGAUCUCGAGAAUGUCAACAUAAUUCUUGAAGAUGAAGACAAGGCACUCAUCCUCUUAAGUUCUCUUCCAGAAUCUUAUGAACAUUUUGUAGAUACCCUCAUCUAUGGCAGACAAACCCUCUCUUUGAAAGAUGUCAAAGAUGCUCUGAAAUCCAAGGAUUUGAAGAAAAGAUCAGACAUGAAAGAUCAAAACAAUGCAGAAGGUUUGGUUGCCAAAGGAAAGCCAGAAAAGAAACACAAUAAGCAGAAAAAGAACAACAGCCAGAAAGAUAAAGCUGAAAAGAAGAAGAAGAAGAAGAGAAAGUGUUACUUCUGUCAGAAAGAGGGACACUACAUUAAAGAUUGCUUUGAGAAAAAGAAACUAGAAGAACUGCAAAAGAAAUCAAAUGGGAAGACUGCUGUUGCCUCUGAAGAUGAAUGUGACUACGAUGAAGCAGAUGUCUUGGUGGCUGCAGAAAGGCACCCAACUGGUGAGUGGAUUCUGGACUCUGGUUGCUCAUUCCACAUGUGUCCAAAUAAAAGUUUCUUUAAGACCUUUGAAAGUGUAAAUGGUGGAAAGGUAUUGUUGGGAAAUAACCUAGCUUGCAAGGUGGCUGGAAUAGGAACCAUUAGCUUAAAAUUGCAUGAUGGUGUCACUAGAGACUUGCACCAAGUAAGAUUUGUCCUUGAACUGAAAAGAAACUUGAUAUCUCUAGGAAUGGUUGACCAAUCAGGGUGUACUAUUAAGGCUAAAAAUGGAGAGAUACAGGUCUUGGAUCAGGGUAAAAUUGUAAUGAAAGGGGUUAGGAAAAAUGGGCUGUACAUACUAGUUGGAUCCUCACUUGUGCAAGGGAUCUCAGCAAGUGUGACCAGAGAUAAAACCAAGCUCUGGCACAUGAGACUAGCUCAUAUCAGUGAGAGAGGUCUCAAGGAGCUAAGCAAUCAAGGUUUGCUUGGUGAUGACAAAGUUACUUCCUUAAAAUUCUGUGAGAAAUGUGUGUUUGGGAAGGCCACAAGACUAAAAUUCAGUUUAGGGAGAAAAGAAACCAAACAGACUCUAGAUUACAUCCACUCAAACCUUUGGGGGCCAUCACAAGUUCCAUCUUUAGGUGGAGCUAGGUACUUUGAGUCCUUAAUAGAUGACUACUCUAGGAAGGUUUGGAUCUAUGUGUUGAAACACAAAAGUGAAGCACUAGGGAAGUUCAAAGAGUGGAUUACUCUCAUUGAAAACCAAACUGAUAAGAAAAUAAAGAGGCUCAGAACAGACAAUGGGCUGGAGUAUUGCAGCAAAGAGUUUGAAGAUUUCUCCAAAUAUAAGGGCAUUACAAGGCAUAGAACUGUCACCUACACUCCACAGCAAAAUGGGUUGGCAGAAAGAAUGAACAGAACCAUAAUAGAGAGGGUAAGAUGCAUGCUGCUGAAUGCAAACCUAUCCAAAGGUUUUUGGGCAGAAGCAGUCACCACAACUGCCUACUUGAUAAACAGAAGCCCAUCCUCAGCUCUAGGUUUCAAGACACCUCAGGAGCUUUGGUCUGGAAAGCCACAAGACUUGAGCAAUUUGAGGAUCUUUGGAUGUCCAGCUUAUGCACACUUAAAGCAAGGUAAGCUUGAACCAAGGGCUGUUAAAGGGUAUUUCUUGGGCUAUCCUGAGGGCAUUAAGGGAUACAAGAUAUGGACCCUCAAUGGCAAACCAUCUAGGAUAUUAAUCAGUAGGGAUGUCACCUUUGAUGAAGAGCAAAUGCUUCAGUCAAAGGUAGAAACUGAGAUUGAAGCUGCUGAAAUAGAGGAAGAAGAAAGUGCUGGACAGAUGGUAAAGCAUUCUGAUAGUUGUAAGCCUUCUGAACAACCAUAAGACCAGACCAAGGAAAGAAAACAACCAUCAGAACUGGAAACAUAUCAGCUUGCUAGGGACAGAGAGAGGAGAGCCAUCAAAAUGCCAAAGAAGUAUGGCAUAGCUGACCUCAUUUCCUAUGCACUGACAGUAGCUGAUGAAGUAAAUGGUGGAGAGCCUUUGAGCUAUAAAGAAGCUAUGAGAUGUGAGGAUAAGCUGAAAUGGUAUGCUACAAUGCAGGAUGAAAUAGUCUCUUUAAAGAAGAAUAAUACCUGGAUCUUAGUGGACAGACCAUCUAAUAAGAAACUAGUUGGCAGCAAGUGGAUUUUCAAGUUGAAGGCUGGAGCUUCAGAGAAUGAACCACCAAGACAUAAAGCCAGACUUGUGGCAAAGGGAUUCACACAAAGAGAGGGAGUUGACUUCAAUGAAGUGUUCUCACCUGUAGUCAAAUACAGCUCAAUUAGGUUGCUGUUGGCCUUCUCUGCAUAUCAUGACCUGGAGCUGGAGCAGACGGAUGUUAAAACUGCCUUCUUACAUGGCAGUCUUGAUGAAGAGAUUUUCAUGGCACAGCCAGAAGGGUUCAUUGAGAAAGGAUCAGAGGACAAAGUGUGCUUAUUAAAGAAGAGCUUGUAUGACCUCAAGCAAUCUCCAAGGCAAUGGUAUUUAAAGUUUGAUGAGUUUAUGCUAAGCCAUGGAUACUGCAGAAGCAGAUUUGAUAAUUGUGUGUAUUAUAAAUUCCUGUCAAAUGGUGGUGGCAUCUACUUACUUAUGUAUGUGGAUGACAUGCUUAUUGCAUGUAAACAAAAUGAAAAGUAAAGAAGCUUAAGGUGGAGCUCAGCACUGAAUUUGAAAUGAAGGAUUUGGGUGCAGCUACAAAGAUUCUGGGAAUGCAGAUAAAGAGAGAUAGAGAGUCCAAAGUUUUGUAUCUGUCUUAGGAGGAUUAUGUGAAGAUGGUGUUAACCAGGUUCAAUAUGAAAGAUUCAAAGCCUGUUUCAACACCUCUGUCAGCUCACUUCCAGUUAUCUAAGUCACUGGAACCUACAACUGAUGAUGAUUUUAACUACAUGAGGGAGAUACCUUGCUCCAGUGCAGUUGGCAGCAUCAUGUAUGCCAUGGUGUGCACCAGACCUGACUUGGCUCAUGGAGUUGGAGUCAUCAGUAGGUUUAUAGGGAAUUCAGGGAAGGGUCACUGGAAUGCAGUGAAAUGGGUACUAAGAUAUCUUAAAGGGUCUGCUGUCACUGCCAUCAUGUUUGGUAAAAUAAGUGGAGCAUCACCUGUAGUGGCUGGAUUUGUGGACUCAGACUAUGCAGCAGACAAAGAUAGAAGGAGGUCCAUCACAGGUUUUGUGUUUACUAUAUGUGGAGGUGCUAUAAGUUGGAAAUCUUCCCUGCAGUCAGUGGUUGCCCUCUCAACAACAGAAGCUGAAUAUAUUGCACUUACAGAAGCUGUCAAAGAGGCAAUAUGGCUGAGAGGGCUGGUCUCUGAAUUGGGGUUUAAACAAGAAGUUGUUGUAGUUGGCUGUGAUAGCUUAAGUGCUAUUCAGCUAAGUAAAAAUCCUAAGUAUCAUGAGAGAACUAAACAUAUUGAUGUUAGAAUGCAUUUAAUUAGGGAUGAAAUCAGCAAAGGAGUAGUGAAUGUGGUUAAGGUGCCAUCUGAAGUAAAUCCAGCUGACAUGUUAACCAAGCCUUUGCCAUCAGUCAGGUUCAGGGACUUACUGAAUCUGAUUGGAAGUGUUAGCUUGUGAAACAAGCUUACUGGUGCUGUGUUGCAGUGAAGGGAGAAGCAUAAACAGAUUAGAACUAAGGUGGAGAUUUGUGAAGCCGAAAUUAGUUAUAAUCUGUUAUGGACAUGCUGAGGUGGCAAGUGAGCUGGCAUAAGUGGGAUCCAAAUCAAGAGUUGGUUAGUUAGUUAAAUAACAGACUGACUCAUUGCAAGUGGAAACACAUGUGAGAAGCAUACAUUUAUAAGCUGUCUCUAAGCUAGCUAAACAUACAUAGAAUCAUAGAGAAUUUACAGAGAGGAAACACUCGAUAGGUUUUAAUCUGUAAUUGGUGACUCAUUUGUAAACCAUCUUCUUCUUGUUGUUCAAUAAAGCCUCUGCCCUUGCUGGUUUUACAGCCGUGGAUGUAGGUUCCUUUGUGGAGCUGAACCACGUUAGUUUCUUGGUGUGUUGUGAAUCUUUGAUUGCUUGGUUCUUCUUUGUUCUUUUCUUAAUGUUGUUUCUGUAAACUCUGGUUUUGUGGGUUGCUUAAUUCUUGUUCAAGUAAGCGAAGUAAACACGUUUGCCAUAACACUUGCCUUCUUAGUUUUGAAAGAAAGAUGUGAAGCAAAGCAAACCCAGUGAAAUAUACAGAGAAGCAGAACCAUCAGAGGAAAAACUAAAUAACAGAACUACAAUUGAACCAAACAAAAUCAAAUAAACCGAGGCAACAGAUGCCCUGAAUCAGGCAUCGCUUUUCCUCGAAAGAAAAUAUGUUUGCAUGGGUGGGAACCUAGUAAUUACUCAAGAGUUGAGGAGUUGGAAAGAUUUGGUAUUCAUAUCUUCACAAUUCAUAUGCUUUAAUGCAGAAUCGACAGCUUUAUAUUAUUUUAUUCAACCAAAAACGAUAAAGCAGUAAAACCACAAUAAUCCACCAACUUUUGAUACUUUUAGGAAUUUUUUUAGUCAAAUUAAGUUUCAUGAUAAAACAAGUGGCUCCUCCACACACUUGCACUUGCUUGAAUAUUCGUGCCGACAUUUUCAUAUGUGAUGGUACUUCUUAGCCAGUAGAUAUGUUGAAGUACUACAAAACAGAGUAUUUGAUGAAGUUUUGCUACUUUCGUAUCCCUUUUUUUGUUGCAUAACUAAAUUCUUUAUAAACACAAAUUAGAAAGAUACAAAUAAUACAGUAGCUUGAAUUUAUAUGCUUUUAUGAUUAUUUGAUAAUCUAGUGCUGAUCAUAUGUGAUGAUAAACUUAGCUAGUAGUUUUAUAUUUGUUUUCGUAGUUUCCUUAGCGUUCACAUUUUGAUGAGUAAAUUAAGGAUUUCCAGAUGAAGUACAUAAUUUGAUGAAUGCUAAGGAACUGAAGUUUGAUUAAUUGAAAACAAAAAUAAUAAUGCAGGUAAUUGCGAAAAUGAGCAAUGCAGAAGUAGUCCCUAUAGUAUUUCUAAAUUUUCUCUUGGGGUUCCUUAGUAUUCCUUAAUAUUUUUUAAAAAUGACAUGACGAUCUUUGAGUUGACGAAUCUUGGCCUGCUGCUUAGUACCCUUCCAACAUAUAAAGUACUAGAUGUUUUACUGAGAAAAUGACUAGAUCAUUUACCAAAUUUCUUGCGCAUAUAUACGUAUGCAUACGAGAAAUGGGAAUCAAUGAUUAUAAGACCUUGCAAUGAGACAAUAAUACAUCAUCAAAUCUAAAAAUACACAAGAAAUUCGGGACAUAUAUAUAACAAAAGACCUCUCAUUGAGUCAUACAUAUUGAGAAUAAAAUGUCAAAAUGCAUACAAAGAGCUUAUACAGAAAAUGAAUUUACACAUAUUUAGAAUAAACUGUCUUUGAACUUUCGAUGGUCAAAUAAAGGAAACAGACAGGAUAUUGUUAACAUAUAUGUUUCCAUAAUGUUGAUUUUGAUGAUAACAAACAUGAUUAAGAAUAAUUAAUCUUUUAAGCUCAAAUUAUUUUCUUUUUAAAUAAAUCAUUAUUUUCACAUUUUAAAGGUUUUAUAUUUAAUGGAAAAAUGAUUUUAAGAAAUUGAUUGUUUUUAUUCUUUUUAAAUAAAUCAUUAUUUUCACAUUAUAAAUGUUUCAUAUUUAAUGGAAAAAUGAUUUUAUGCAAUUGGUUGUUUUUCAAGUUUAUGGUUUAUUUGAAAGAGUUUUGAAAACUUUGAAAUCAACAAGUAUUGCUUGAAAUUUUGGAGAAGGAUUUAUUUGAAAAGUAUUCAUAGCAUUUUGGGCUAUAUUAUAAUUUCAUAAAGUUUUGGAAAUAGUAAGUAUUAUUUAGAAAUUCUGAAAUUGGACUUAUUUGCAAAGUUUCAUAACAUUUUGGGCCGUAAUACAGUUUUAUAAAGUUUUGGGGUCAAACGAUAAUUUUAGAAAAUAUGUCACUGUAGCAGUUACUGUAGAAAACGGCGAUCCGACAUCUUGAUAACGGCUCGCCGACAUCUAACAGAAUUGAAGAUUAGUCUCUGGACCUAAACGGCGAACCGACAUGUGUGAUAAACGGCUCGCCGAUAUCAACCAGUAGCCUCUGGACCUAAACGGCGAUCCGACAUAUAGUUAACGGCGAGCCGACAAUUUGAAAAAUCAGCCCAACGGUCAUAUUGACCAGUCAAACGGCGAUCCGACAUCUAGCUAACGGCGAUCCGACAGUGUGCAGAAAGUCAAUAACGGCUAGUUUUCAGCUCUAACUAUAAAUAAGCUCAAUCCAAUUCAAACAAGGAGUGAUCCAAGAGUUAUCAUUGAGCUUGCCAUUGAGCAUAAAAUUAUUAUUGAGCUUUGAACUUGUUUUUGUUUCUUUGAUUCACACAUUGAGCAUUCAUUUGUAAUCAAACACAUUGUGUGAGAGAAAAUUCAUUUGUAAUAUUUAUCCUUGAGAGGUUGUAAGUGUUGGGAUACACUUGGGUUAAGAGAUUGGAGAUAAUCUCUUGUUGUAAAGGUCCAUUGACACCUUGAAAGUCAAUUGUAAGCGUUUGAAGCAUUGGGAGGCUAGCUUAGUGAAAUCCUCAAGCCCGGUGAGCUUGGAGGCGUGGACGUAGGCGGAGAUUGCCGAACCACGUAAAAAUCAUUGUGUUUGUUUUCUCUUCCCUUACUCUUUUAUAUUGUGAUUGAUUUAUUUGUUAUUGCUUUAAAUUAGUUUUGGAUUUUCAUUGUGUUUUGUUUUAGAAUUGAAUAAUUUUUUAAUAUCCCAAUUCACCCCCCCUCUUGGGUUGCAUAACUAGAAUUUCAGAUAUAACACACACUAUCAUAGAUGUAGCGACACGGUGAAGUAAAUCACAUGAAGAUGGAAACGGAAACCCUUCACAACAUAAAAUUUGAAUGGAGGGGGGAAAAAAGGCUUCAUUUCGAAUGUUGUACAGAAGAAGAGUGACUUGAAUCUCUAUCAGUAUCCAGACAUUCUACAAACACAGAGUUGAGAAUUUUAACAAGAAUAACAGACAAAAUAUUGUACUUCUAUACUUGUAACAAAACUAGACCAAAUUAGUUCCCUUUUUGGUUUGUGAAAACUUGAUAUUUUUUAAAAUUCUAUCGAAUGCUUUCAAACAAUAUUUCCAUAAUAUAUUUGUUCAUAGCUAACCUUUGAUGGUUUAAGCAUUUGUUGUAGGCAUGACGGGCUAAUUAGAUUUUUUUUUUUUUAUCCGAUGAAUGAUAUUCAGCUGUUCUUAAUUAUGUGUUAAUAGGCAAGAACAUUUUCUUAAGUACUUUCAUUGCCUUCCAAGUUUCCAAUGAACAAACAGAGCACAAACAAAUUUAACGGAACAGUAACGAUGACAAUAAAUAAUUGGCAAGGAAAGAAAGAAAAAAGUUUGCAUGAUUUCAAGGAAUUAUAAAAUCUGAACACUUUCAACAUGCAAGUGUUGCCCCUCUUAUUGAAAUUUCAUCAUAAAAUGCUUGCAAGGAAUUAUAAAAUUUUAGAGAACAAGGGAACUCUCAAAACAAAAUACUCAAAUUAAAUUAAAUUAGACCAAAAGACGCUCAAUGACGCAAAAUCUGCCCAUAAAAGCCUGAACGAAUCAUGAAAAGUGCAUUCCAUAUUGACAGUAAACCAAGUGACCCAUUCUAAACAAUUGAGAUGAAAUUGUGAAACAACCCACGAGAUCAAAUAAAUAAAAUAAGAAUUAAUUACCAGCUGGGACUUGCUUCUUCAAAUUCGUAACUCCAAGUCAUAAGAAGCCAAUGAAAUUAGUCGUAAUCCACAGAGUAUAACGACGACCCCGCCAACAGCUGAAAAUAAAAUUCUUAUUCAUCAAUUUAAACUAACUUUAUAACAAAUAUCUUAUCGAUAUUUUAUUUAAAAAGAAAAAGCAAAUUUUGUAAAAUUUUUCCAUGGGAGAUAGAGAGUAACACGUAUAUCCGUACCUUCUCAGCAUGUAAUUGUUGUAUGGUCGUGUUAAGAUCAUUACUAGCCCAACGCCGUUGAUUCGAUGUCUCUCCAUACCAGACGUUUACUCUCGGAGGCGUGCUUGAUUCUCCUGUAGUGAAAAUCUUGAAUUUGGGACAACCAAUCACAGAUAGAUCUUGCAAAGAUGGGAAUUUGAAGGUGUAAUUGGCAGAGCAGAAACUUGUGAGGCUGUCUAAAUCACGCAGUUCCAACCUCUUCAAUUUGCGGGAAACAAUCUCUUCUUUUUCAACCCCGUCUUUGUCAUUUAUUACCACCUCUGUCAUUGCUCUGCAUCCGUAUACACAAAGUGAUACGAGUCGCACUAGAGUUUUUGCUGUGGAGGAUGUUACUAAGUGUAUCAAUUUCUUGCAAUCGAAAGCUACAAGUUUUGUUAGGUUCCCAAAAGAUACCGAUGAUGAUUGCAAUAGAAUUAACAGACUUUGACAAUGAUAUACUCUUAGAAUUUCAAGAUACUGAAAAAUGGGGCCAAGUUUGGAGUCUUGUUUGCACAGCUGCUUCAGAUGAUAGUGCCGGUACAGCUCUAAUUCUUUUAUCAUUGCCAACUUCCCCACAUGUUUCUCUAAGCAUCCUUCCAUCGAAAAUACCUCUUCGUGGAAUGAAAAAUAACACAGUACGAGCAUUUCGAGAUUGUGAAAUCUCUCCAGUACAUUCCAGAUUGGAAAACAAGCUGAGUCAUCUCCAACAAUCUCUAGUUGUUUGAGACUGCCAAAAAGGUGUUGUGGGAAAUCGGCCUGCAAAAUCAUCUUCACGUAUUUUCCGCAUAGUGAUAGUUCCGUCAAGUUGGGUAAGAUCUGAUCAUCAUCAAUCAUAAUAACUAAUAAGGUCAAUUGAUGUUCUCUCAAAUGAUUUUGAGUAAUCCAAUCAGACGCAGUGAGUUUAUAGUAUUUGUUUUAUAUUAUAUUUUAAAAAAAAUUGAAUUAUUGAUAAAAUUUAUUAAAUGAUUUUUUAUAUGUUAAUUUUAGAGGUAAAAAAGAAAUUAGGGAAAAAAGGUUGAUUUAUACUGACUCGAAAUUAUUUUAUUGCACAAUAAUAAAUUACUAAUUUAUUUUGUAAGUUCUUCUAUAUGGAAAGACUCAAGAUUCUUUUACAAAUGCUAUACCUAAAAAAGUUUAUAUAAUUAUUAAUCUACCACAUUGAUCCCUUAAUCUAGACUAGCAAAGAUUAUUGUAUAAUAAAAGUUUUUAAUUUAUUAAGCAUUAAUUUAUCGAUACUUUGUCAUAUUUUUCAAAGUUAAAAAUAAGCUAUAGAUAAAAAAUCUAGAAAAUGGCUUCAUACCUUUUCCAGCGGCAAUAAGGGCUGUUGUGCAGGAAUACCAAGUUGAUCAUUCCCAUUAUUCUGCGAUAAAUCUGCAGCGAAUAUCUUUAAUUUGUCACAACGAUACACUAAAAGAAUUUCUAGGGCGGGCCAUUCCGAAGUAUGCAUUCCAGGGUACAAACAUCUAAGUUUUGGUAGAUCAUGGAGUAUCAAAGUGGUGAGCUGUGGAAAGACAAAAUAAGGGAUCACUUGAUCUGCUCUGUUUUCAGAAAUGACCUCCUGUAAAUCCUCACAAGAGCGUAUUUCUAGGCGUUGGAGCUGCUUAAGGCUUCCGAUCAUGGACGCUGAAAAUAUUUAUUUUAAUUUGUGACAACCCCACACAAUCAAUCGUGUUAAACUUUGAAAGUGAGGAAACACGGCCGCUGGAAUUUGAUUGUAGUGCCAAAUCUUGUCGACAUUAAUUUCAGAUAUCUCCAAAGCCUCCAAGUUAGGCAACGCAACCUAAAAAGAUAAGAAUUUCUUGUUGAAAAUUUCUCUUUGAUUACAAAUUAAUGCAAGUCAGAAUCAAUUUCCAACUGACAGCUGAGUAUGCAUUCUAAUUCAUACUACCUGUUAAGAGCUCAAUUAGUGAGUGCGUGAGAUUAUUUUUUUCCCCAUUGUUUUCAUUUUCUUUCAAUUCUCUAAAUGAUUUAAUUAUUUUCCACGUUUGACAUAAGAGAACGCAUGAUAGAAUAAACUCUGUUAUAUAUAUAUAUGAAUAAAAUGUUAGCCUACGCACCUUCUCAUUGAAAAGCAAAGUUGAAAUAUCCAAAGUGAUUUCGCUGGAGCAAUACAUAGUCGUCGAUUCCUCUUGCGACACUUGUCUGUUCGGUGAUGCUGAAGGAGUCUCCACCUCACGGCAAAAACUUGUAACCUCUGGAAGAUUCCCCAGACUCAAAGAUCUUAAUUGAGCAAACUCUAUCUUCUCAAUUGCAUUAUCAACUUCUUCCCCAACUGCAAAAAUCUCUUUCAUCUUGCUGCAAUUAAUAACUGCAAUCCUCUCAAGUCUUGGAAGGCAUUUUGUAGUAGAGAGCCAAAAGAUAUUACUCAACUUAUUACAACUAUAAGCUUCUAUGGUUUUGAGUUUGUUGAAAGACUCUACUUUGAGCCGAUCAAUACAUAUCCUCUCCAUGUUGAUCAAAUUGUGAAGGGCCAGUGACUCCAAAAGAGGAAAGGCAUCACAAGCGACCAUCUCCCUUGAAUCGACGAUACAAAAGAAGUCAGGAUUAUUUUGAAUGCAGAGGACCUUCAAUUGUGAAAAGCCCUCCGUGUCCAAAUUGAAAAGAACAUUCUCGAUGCCUUGCAGCUUGUCCAACCGUAAGUAUUCAACGUUAUUGAUGCCCUGCAAUUUCAUGGAGCAAAUGUCCAUAAAAUCAAGCUUGAGCUCCAAUUCUCUUGAAAUCUUGCGAUCACUGUUGAUCGAAAAGCGCGGCCGACUUUUAAACCAAUGUUGUCCAACACUCAUGGGAUGCAUGAAUAACCCAUUUCCAAUAGAUAUUUUGAACCUUUCGAGCUUUCUGGCCAAAAAACCUUCUGGUAAAAUAUUGUCACUUUUAACGUCAAUUUCUAGAGAGGUUAGCCGAGGUAAAUGCAUCAAUUCGUCAAGGCUAGCAUUACUUCUUUUGCUGUUGGCUCUUUCAACCUCCCAUUCAAUGAAGCAAUUACCCAUAUACAAUUCUUCUAAUCGGAUUAAGCUUGAUAUGACAUUUGGGGCAAUAACUUUCAGACGGAAACAGUCUGUUAAAUCUAACAGCCUUAGCUUAGUCAGUUGACCCAGUGCUUUAGGCAACUCUACAAUAUCAGAUUGCAAAAAGCUAAGGAUUUCUAGAUUUUCCAACUUUCCAAUAAUGGCUAUGUCUAUGCCUCCGAAAAUGCUUUGAUUAAGACAAAGUGUCUGAAGAUUUACUAGAAGACCAAUUGAAGAUGGCAAUGACAAUAACCGCAUUCUAGUCAAAUCCAAAACCCGAAGCUUUUUCGUCCUUUUGAAUAAGUUCUCAGGAAUAUUAGGCACAGCAAAAGAGUUCUUGGGAGACAUGACUAGAAGUUCAAGUUGUAGAGAUUCGGACCCUUCAGGAAUGUCAUUAACAAUACUAUCUUUAAAAGAAAUUGCAAAAUAUUUUUUAAUUCAUCUGCAUUUGGCCAUUUCCAAUCAUCCUCAUUUCUCACCACAAAUGCAUUCAUGUCACGAAAUGCAAUUGAAAUGGCAACAUCGUGAACAACAUCGUGCAUAGAAAUGUAUUUACUGCCACCAUCCUCAAGCAACAAACAAGAGUCUCUUAGUUGACUGACCCAUGCAUCUAAUUUGUUAUGUGCAUCUUCUAGCUUAUGGACACUUUUAAAUACACCCAAGCCCAUGCUGUAUUUGAACAAAUCCAUAAUUGGUGCUGGCGUAAUAAGACUACACAGUAAAAAAGUUUUCUUGAGUUGCUCACCUCUUAAGUACUUGUAACUCAGCUCAAUUGUUGAGUAUGCCUCUGCUCGUACUCCUUCGUCGAAGCUUGCCUCUGAAGGCGUUUGGAGUUCUUGCAAGGCAUUCUUCCACACAGGCAGCUCUUUUUUUCUCAGUGCCUUUGCUACUGUGGUUAGGGCAAUAGGCAAACCUCCGCAUGCCUUGGCUACACUGGUUGCUGUAGAUUUUAACUAACGAUUUUCAACAUAAUCACCAGCCAUUAUCUUGAACAAUCUCCAGGCUUCUUGUUCAUUUAAAAUGCCAAUCGAGAAGUUUUUUUCAGAUCCCAUCCUUAACAGCACAUCAAGAUCUCUUGUUGUGAAUAAUAAUUUACAUCCUCUGUGCUCAACUCCAAAAGGAAUGCCAAUAGUCCCCAAAUCAAGAGGUUUCCAGAUGUUAUCGAGAAUCACAAGGAUCUUCUUCUCAUUCUUCAAUCUUUCAUAUAGUCUACUAGCUCUUCUAGACUCAGCUUCCUCGGACAACUCUAGGCCUAACGUUUCCGCAAUUUCCUCUUGGAUCUUUCUUAUGUCUGGACAUUGGGUAACCUCCGAAAAAACCACCAUAUCGUAAAGCUUGUCUUCAAUGGCUCGCCUUGCAAACUCCUUCACCAGUGUCGUCUUUCCAAUGCCGCCCAUGCCGUAGACCCCAAUGAUGCUGACAUCAACAUCGAUCAAUGCAUUUUGUAUGGCCUUCAAAGUAGAAAGUCUUGAAUCGAAGGCUUCGUAGCCUUUGUGAGACUUGAGCCAUAUAUCCUCCGGAAUGGUACGGUAGGAAAUUCCAUCAACAAAUCUCCCAGCUUCUUCUCGGAGUUUAACAAUGGCCUUCACCUUUGUUUCUGCUUUCUUGCUAAGCUGAUAGCGGGUCUUCAAAUUAGGACACAAGCCCAUGAGACAUCGUUUAUUUGUUGUCUUCUCAUCAUCAAUGAAUUUGGCUGCCUGCUCAAUGAUGAUGUUCGCACUAACCAGCCACUUCUCAACCUUCUCUUCAAUAUUUUCCCCUUUUCUUUCAGCCUCAGAAACCCUGUGCUGAAUGCUUCUCCUUUCAUCCUUGAGCUUGUCUAUUUCUGCCUUGAGUUUCUCAACGUUGGCUUUAUAGUUACGCAAAUAACCAAGUCGGCGUUCUGUUGGAGGAGCCAAGCAUUUCACAAAUUCUAAAACACUAGUAACAAUGCUUUCCACCAUCCUGGAUCCCUUUUCUUUUUUUCGAAGUUUCUGACAAGAAAAUAAACAAUGAGCGAAACACAGAGAGAGUGAGGAGAAAAAGAAAAAGAAACGCAAAGAUGGACAGUUUAUCUGGUUGUGGAAGCGGAGAAAUGAAAGAAAUCGUAAUAGCUGUUAUGGAUAUGCUGAGAAGAUGGAAACAAGGAAAAGGUUUCUAGUUCAACAACUGGAUUGCGAGCGGAGAGACUAAUUAACAAAGACUGGAGAUUACAACAAAGCAGAUGCCAAGAGAAAAGUUGAUCCAGUGAAAUUCAAGAGAGUUGACAGCAAAAGGGAGCAAAGAUUAAUAACAAAACAGCAGUGACUACAAUGAACAAAAGCAUAUGCGUUUCUUGAUUGAGAAUGAGUGCAAAGAAUGAUCCUUAAUCAAUAAAAUAUCUGACAAUAUCUUCACCGAAAGUUUGAGACAUGUGAUCCUUAUUCCACUGCGUCAAUUACACUCCAGACCAAUGCUGCCGUCAUUAUCGAACGGUCGAUAUCCAACACUUGCACGAAGAUUCCAAGAAGUUGCGUGGCUGCCGACUUUUAGAUGCAAAGCCUCAUUGUGUCGAUGUUACACAAAAGAGAGCAGUCCGGGUAAUUGCCAAAACUUAGAACUAAACAGUAGCUUAGUCAGAAAAUCAAACGCCAGUACCGGUAAAAUGACCGAUAAAAAUAUAAAGAAAUAAAAAUUUUAAAGUUUUACUUCAUUGCUUUUUUAAUCUUAUUACUAUUUCUCCUUGCACUUCUAAAGAAACCAAAGCUUUAAAAGAAAUCAGCCAAAUCAAGAAGAUUGAAAAGUAAAUCUAUGGUUUUAGAUUUUUAUUUUAUUUUUUUAGAUAAUAGAUAUUGUUGAGUAAUGAAAAGUACCAGCUCCGCUAUCCCCUCUUUCCUCACCCUGGGGCGAAUUUCCCCAUAUGAAUGGCACGAGCAGAUUCCUGGUAAUACAUCCUGUACAAGGCAUAUGCCGACUAGAAACGAAUACCGACCAGAUGUACAUACCGACCAAGUACUCAUUAUUCAAAGAAAGAGGACACGAUCUCACAAACUCACGACAAUUUUGUCAUGCCCCAAACUGUUGGGGAGAACAUGACGCCCCACGUUUACCCACGAUUCGGUGGUUGGAAACCCAUGAAGGUCCGUCAUCACCCGAAAAUGAGGGGCAUGAAUAAUACUCAGAAAACAUGGGAUGAUUGCCUAUAAAAGGCCAAGAAAUCGAUGAAAAAGGGGAGACAAAAAUUGAGAGUAAAGGGGAAACUCUGUCAAAUUAUAAUCAGAAAUUCAUAUAUCAAAAUCCUUGAUACAUUUGGUAUUGAGAAUAUUGCAACUAAUAUGUACAACACAAAUCAUUCACUUUUCUCGUAAACACCUUGUACUAAAUUAAGUAUUGAAGGGUUUAUGCCCGAAAAACCACUGGCGUCUCUGAUUUGUUUCUGUGAACGCAGGCCUGGAAGGAAGAAGACGGGUGAUUUGGGUCCCAGAAGCUCGGGAAAUUGCUGAAGCUGAUGGAUCGCAGCCUCCGUUCCUUUGUCGAUACAAGCGUUGGUGAACCAAUCUAGUCGGUCCAAAGGCGACCAGAUUUUAGCAUCAACAUAUAUUAUUUUGAUGAAUUUUUUAAUAUGAGAAUAAUGUUAGGAAUUCCAAUAGUAAAAUUCUAAUUGAGACCCAAUUGUUAUGUGUUAUUUUUUUAUUGAAUAAUGAAUUUCACAACUAAUAAAAUUUAUAUUUCCAUCAUCUAAUAAAUGACUACCAUAUCAGUUGGGACUCAAUUAUUAGGAUCCUUAACAUUGCUCUUAGUAUUAAAUUGGACAUCUUAGCUAAAUCAGAUUAAAAAUCAAAUUAGAUUUUAGGCUUUUAUUCAACAUCUCUUUUUUUUUUUUGGUCUAUUGGAAGUGAACGAAAUAAAAAUACAACAGGGUCAACGACUGGGCAAUUGGUAGUCAAGUAGAAGCAAAUCAAGGCUAAAUGGGAAAGAGAAACGAUGUUUGUGCAAAACAAGGAGAAAAUCCAUGUAACAGAAGAGAAUCAAAGUGCUUUUGAGAUCAAAAAUUGAAACAAGAAAAAGGUCGCUUGAUCCAAUGAAAAUGCAAAGAGUUGAUGGCAAAAGGGAACAAAGUUAAAUACGAAAACAGCUAGCGCUAGCAGCGACCACAAUAAACAGAAAAUUUGAGAUGGAUUUACAAUAUUUCUGCCUUUCUUUAUGCUUUAACAAAUAUUGCUCUAUCAAAAAAAAUAUUGAACAUUUUUAUUAUUGGAGUCACAAAAGACCUACACAAUAUAGCAAGUGACUAGGAAUAAAUAAGAAUAUAUAACUCUCUCUCUAAUUCUCACUCUGGCUUUUAAUUGUCACUCAAAACCCAGAAUUCAUCCUUAAAGUGUAGGCAAAUCAGAGAUGACAUCGUUUGGUUGUCAUACGUGCCUUUUAGUUUUCGGAUGACAUGGCGUACACUUCUUCUGUAAACCCAACACGACAUGUCGUACUCUUUUGUUUUGAGAUCCUAUUUCAAACUUUUCAUGCUAUGAAUGAAAGAUAAACUCCAAUCAUCAAAAUAUUUAGUGUUUGUUUGGUAAUGUAAUGUCAUUGUUGUUGUGAAUUGAAAUUAUUUCUGUAAAAUAAAAGGAUUUGGGUCAUUGUUUGUUAUUUUCUGACAAUAUUUAUUAAAUAUUAAAAAAUAAAUUUAUAUUUAUUAGUUAUUAAAAAUAAAUAAACAAACAAAAAUAAAAGGAAAAGUUUAUACAUUACGUAAAAUAAUGACAAUAUCAAUAUUUCGCACUCUAUAAUUGAGUGAUGUGUUGUCCAACUAGCAUACUUUGGUCCCAAACGGAGACUUAAAUAUCAAAGUCCAAAGUUAUUGUGAUGAUGACUUAUAAUCGCCAAACUUGACAUACGGGUAAUCAUGCAUUAUAAGGUGCUGAUUUCUUCCGAUCGGAACCUUAUUUUUCAUUUACAAAUAAAUAAAUGAUGUGACUUCACGGUUGGCGGGGUCCUUUGUGUCAUUUGGGCAUUUCACUAAAUGAUUGAUUGUAGCAGGAAGAUUCUUGGAAGUUGCCAUUUGCCAAUGCUACUAACAUUUUCAAACUUGGAAACCCCUUCAAUCAAUCUUAUAGUGUUAGGCUCUGGUAGCUUGGUUUGAUUAUGACAUAUGAUUAUUUGAUAAUAAAACUAGAGGAUGUAUUAAUAUAAAUCUUGUUUAUUGGUGUUGAAAUUAAUUAUCUCAUUGAUAAUAGUAUAAAAAGUUAAUUACUAAGAAACACAAAGCAGUAGUUAAUUGGUGUCAUAUUAUUGAGAUUCUAGGAUAUAAUUUUAUAUCAUAACUUUGUAAGUGUAUAAUUACUCAUUAAAUUAACAAAAUUAUUUAAAAAUAUUUAGUUGGAAAAAAUAAAUUAUAGCCUUUUUAUUUCAAAUAAUCUAUAAGUUAACUCAAAACAUAAUCAAGCUGAGAAUUAAAAUAAUGCUACUGUAUGAGAGGAUUUUUAUUUUUUCCCAAAGUUUCACUAGGAAAUUAUUGAUAUAUAGCUUUAUUCGGAUCAUCUCAGUUCAAACCACAAAUAAUUGAAAGACUAAACUAAAUAGACCAGCCAACAACCUUGUACAAGAGAGUUCAAAAAUUAAGGUCAUGGUAUUGAGGUGUUCUUUCUUGAAAAGUACAGCAUAGUAAUAAAAUAAAAACUAUUAGUCUUUGGUAAGAUAUAAUUUUUAAAUAAUAAUUUUCACAAAAAUACAAAAAUAUUUAUAAAGUACUUCUAUAGUGAGGAGACCCUCACUUUGUUAAAGUGAAAAUAUCAAUAAUAAACAAAAGAAAUAUAUUUUAGCACAUUAAAAACUGUAUUUUUUUUAUCUAUUGGCGUAUUAAAAUAUGUGUUAUUUAGUUUGUUAAUGAUAUCACCACUUUGUUAAAAUGAGGAUGUCCGUCUCUAGAGAAUCAUUAUAUAUAUAUAUAUAUAUAUAUAUAUAUGUAUGUAUAUAUAUAAAGUGUUUCUCUCCAAGGCCUAGACUUUAUUAAAAUUUAAGAAAGCAAAUAUAUUUUAUAUGGUAUAAUAGUGUAAUAACAUCACACUAUUAUAUCAUAUAGAGUAAUAGUUUUUCGAACUUUAAUAAAGCUUAAGAUUAUAGAAUGAAUGAUUUAUACACAUUAUAAUUGUUUUUAAUCAUAAAGUGGAGGAUAAAAUUAAUAUAUUUUUUAAAUUAUAAUAAAUAUUUAUCAAAUAAUUUAACAUUGUAGUAUCUCCUAAUUAGUAUAGUAAAUACGACCUAGGAGGUACAUUAAAGUAGUUGUUAAUAAUAAAUGAUAUAUGCAGCUCCAAUCAUCAUUGUACGAUGAGUAAUUAUAUAUGAAUCUUCACUUAUAGGUGAAAGCACUUUGUCAGACAUCAAAUCUCUGCAAAAGAUACCCGUCUUUAUUCGCUCAUUAUCCACACACACACAUAUUUAAUCUCACCUUUUUUUUUCCAAUCAAACCGAACAGAAAAAGAAAAAAAAUAAUUUUUCUUUUAAAAAAAAUGUAAAUUGAGGUUAUGUGAUUGUAAAGGCUGAUGUUACAAUACCUGCAUGUAUCAGAUACAUGCAGGUUUUAUGGCCGUUGGAUUCAUUGUAUUGAAUCCAACGGCCAUAAAUGAAUUUAAACAAUAAAUAAUUAAAAAAAUAAAAAAAACUUGAAACCUAUAGAAUCGGUCUCAACACACACCAAACCCCCUCAACACACAUCAAACCCAGGCAAAUAUAUUUGUUGGGAAAAAAAACAAACAAAAGGCUCUCACCUCACGCGGGAAAUCAAUUUGUUCUUCCCUCCAUCCUCACUCACGGCUCACGACUCCUGAUAACUCUAUGAAAUGAGAGUUAUCAUAGCACUUUUAGACUUAAAUUAAUAUUACUUAGAGAGUAAAUGAUGUGAUUCUAUUGCAUUUUUGUUACAUUUUGCAUAAAUAUUCAUUUGAGUUUAGUCUUAAUGAGUUUUGCUUGAUUUAAAGUAAUUUGUGCUCAAAUUGUGUACAUAAUUGUAGGUUUCCAGAAGCUUAUAAUUCAUGGAAGGAAUGCUAUGCAAUAGGCUUGCAAAAUAAAAUCCACUGGAAAAAUAAAUUUAUCCACCUUCACCAACACAUCUUCAAUCUUCCCUUCUGGAUAUGCAUGAGAUCUGUCAGCAAGUUGUAAAGUCACUGUUGUUGGUCUACAUUCACCAACUCCCAAUUGCUUAAACACUGAUAAAGGCAUGAGAUUGAUGCUAGCCCCUAAAUCACAAAGUGCUUUGCCACUGUAUUCAGUGCCUAUGGAGCAUGGAAUUGUGAAGCUUCCUAGAUCCUUCAUCUUCUGUGGUAUCUUACUCUGAAGCAUUCGGCUGCACUCUUGUGUUAAAGCAACUGUCUCAAAUUCUCCAAGUCUUCUUUUCUUUGACAAGAUAUCCUUAAAAAUUUUUGCAUAAUUUGGCAUUUGCUCUAGAGCUUCCACAAAAGGGAUAUUGAUAUGUAGCUGUUUCAGCACCCCCAAAAUUUUGCUGAACUGCUUGUCUUAUUGUUGCUUCUGAAAUCUUUGAGGGAAUGGUGGUGGGUGUCUAAACUGCUGUGCUGCAGCAGGUUGUACAGACUGCUUCUCUUUUGCUCUACUCAGGUCUGUUACUAUUGGUGUUGUAGCUUCCUUACCACCAGAUGCUGGAUCAUAACUUUCUGUAAAUGUUGUAGCAGAGCUGUGUUGAUUUGCAUUCCGAAAAGUGGAAGACUGUGACUCAUUCUCUACUUGAGUGUCUUCUUGGCCUUUGUUGGACUCAAUUUUUCUUUUUGGUACACCAACGGGACUAUGAACAUCUUUUCCAGAUCUCAAGUUAAUUACUUUGCAGUGCUCUUUCCCUUCUCUUCUUGGGUCCUCUGUAUUAAUGGGUAAACUACCGUGAGGUCUGUUGCUUACUGCUGUAGCAAGCUGUCCAAUUUGAUUUUCCAAGUUUUUCAAAGAUGCAGCAUGACUUUGGACAACCACUUCAUUUUUCACAAUAUAAUCCUUAAUCAAACCUUCAAGGGAGCUAAGUUGAUCAUUGUUGAUACUUCUUUGCUCUUGAUUUUACUGAUAAAAUCCAGGUGGUUGAGCAAGUCUGUUAUGUCCACUGGGUGCUGCAGUAGUCUGGUUCUGAUAACUCCAUGAAAAGUUCGGGUGCUGUCUCCAUCCAGGGUUGUAAGUGUUUGAAUAUGGAUUGUCCUGGUUCUGUCUAUUAAAGCUGCCCAUAUAGUUAACCAAAGCUGGAUUACCAGGACAAUUGUCAAAUAAAUGCCCUUCUCCACAAUAAACGCAAGACAUAUCAGAAAUUUGGUUAACAGUUGCUGGAGCAGUAGUCAUAGCCUUUACCAUCCUUGUUAAUGAAGUUACUUGGGCUGACAAUGUUCUCAAGGCAUCUACGUUAUGAACUCCUGCAGUUCCUCUUGCUGCAGCUUGUUUGGUUGAUGGCCACUGAUAAUUGUUGUUAGCAAUCCUCUCUAAAAUUUCAUAAGCCUCAUUGUAAGACUUAGAUAACAAAGCCCCAUUUGCUGAAGCGUCCACCAUCAAUCUAGUGCUUGGGUUGAGACCAUUAUAGAAAGUUUCCAACUGUAUGCAUCAAGGAAUACCAUGAUGAGGACAUCUCCUAAGUAACUCCUUAAAUCUUUCCCAUGCAUCACCAAGCUCUCAUCUUCAAGUUGAUGGAAAGAUGUGAUCUCGUUCCUCAACUUUGCAUUCUUGGUUGGCGGGAAGUAUUUCAACAAAAAUUUGUCAGCCAAGUCACUUCAUGUAGUGAUAGAAUCUGGUGGUAGAGAAUUCAACCAUGCUCUUGCUCGAUCUCUCAAAGAAAACGGGAAAAGUCCGAGUCUCAAUGCUUCCUGCGAUGCUCCAGCAAUCUUGAAAGCAUCACUUACUUCCAAAAAUAACUUAAGGUGUAAAUGAGGAUCUUCGGAUGGCAAACCAUUAAAUUGCCCCACUGUUUAAAGCAUCUGAAACAUCACGAGUUUGAGUUCAAAAUUGUCAGCUUGAACGUCGGGUCUAACUAUUCCUGGAUGUAUGGCUUGAGGAGUCAACACUGCGUAAUCUCAAAUGGCUCUAUCUCUAUCGUUCACCAUGUGAAUAAUGUCGUUGUUCCCUGGUGGAUAAAUUUAUUUUUCCAGUGGAUUUUAUUAUGCUAGACUUUGAGGCAGACAAAGAAGUGCCAAUCAUUCUAGGGAGACCUUUCUUAGCUACGGGAAAGACUUUAAUUGAUGUUCAAAAAGGAGAAUUAACCAUGAGGGUGAAUAACCAGCAAGUUACAUUCAAUGUGCUGGAUGCCAUGAAGAGUCCCGAUGAGAUUGAAGAUUUUAAUUUUAUCAGUGCUGUGGACUUUGUUGUAACUGAGAGAUUACACAGUUGCUGCUGUAAGGAAGAAAUCAAUGCUGUAACAAUUGAAGGACUUGAUGAUGAAGAUCAUGGAGCAGCUAACAUAGCAUGGUUAAGGAAGAAGCAACCAUUCAGAAUUGACGAGCAAAUCCAGCAAAGGGAACUCACUCCAGAACAACAAGAAUUCAAGGUUAAUGGGCCAAGAGUAAAGCACUAUAUGGGAGAUGGUGUGAAUAGCCUAAAGAGGGAUCGGUUCUUGAAAGAUCUAGGUUGAGGAAACAAGAAAGGUCAGGCUGAAGGACCUAAAAUCAAGCGCUAAUUGGGAGGCAACCCAAUAAGGGAAGUUGUUUCAAGUUUUUAUGGCAUUGAAUUUAGCUUUUAAAUUAUUUAAUUUGUCUUUUUGUUAUUUUAAGUGUGCAUCUAAUUUUUUAUGUCUUUAUGUUACAUUGUAGCAAGUACAAAAAAAAAUGUGGGCAAAAAGAGCAGGAGGGAAUUGCUGCAGCAUCACUUACAGCAUGACAUAUAACAGAAGAUUCUCAAACAAUAGAGACAUUUCUUGCUUUUGCAGCAGCAAAUGGAUUGAUCAUAUUUUAUGAUAAGGAGCGUUUGAGAAGUGGAUCAAAGAAGAAGUGACCCUUUACAGCCUGUGCUACAGCAGUGCUUCCAGCAACAGGGCAGUGCCCCUAACCGCUAGUUUAUUUUACUUCUUGCUGUAAAACUUUUCUUUCAUUUAGUUUUAAUUUUCUAAUUCAUUUUGCAUGUCAUUUUAUUUAGUGUAUGCAUGUCUGGUUUAUGUGGUUUUGUUUUGUGUGCUUGUGAGGACACAGCACCACUCAAGUUUGGGGGGGUUGUGUUUAUGAGUGCAUGUGUUUAUGCUUGUGUUGUGUGAAGCUCUGUUAUCUAAUAUUUGUGUAUGGAUUUGAAAACCUAAUGAAGAUAAAUUGAGUGUUAUUCAGUAUUUAUGAGAAAGCCAAGUAGAGAUAGUUAUAGAUGGAGGUUGAACUUCAGUCCCGACACUUAGACUUUGGUUGAGUUUUAUGAGAAUGUUGUAGCAGAGCCAUGAAAACCAAAAAAAGAGUAGAAAAUAUCUCAAGUUUGGGGAAAACUUUUUGUUGGACUGUGCUUGUUAUGAAAUAAAUUCUGCUCCAAUGGUUUAAGUUGCUGAGUAACCAGGGUUGAGUAUGCACCCCAUAUGCAAACUUGAGUCCAAAGGCAACACGAGCUACGAGCAGUGCUGCAGCAAUUAUAAAAAAAAGAGAAAUGAUGAUAAAGUGGUCCGCUACCUAGAAUACUGAGUAACCUGGUCUGUUCAUGAGCCCCAUGUUCAGCCUUGAGUCAAAGGCGUCCAAAGGUAUGACCUAGAUAUAACAUCCUGAAUGCGUUGCUGUAGCAACUCUGACAUGUACUUUGAAUGAGUAAUUGGGUGUCGUCAUUACAAGUGAUAGGCAUUCACAUGAAAGCUCAAUGUUGCAUUGAAGGGUUUAACUGAAAAAAAAAUUAUUAUUGUUGUAGCACAGUUUGAAUAUAAUUGUGAGUUCUGAUCCCCCAUAUGUGAAUAUAUUUGUGUUCUACCUCUGAAUUGUAUACAAAGUUUGUGCAAUGCUGUAGCACCUCUGGAAUUUGAUCAAAGUGGAACAUACACACUUUGGACAGAAUGAACCCUAAGUCUAGAACUGAACUACUAUGGCUAUUUUGUAUGAUUAAGAGUGUGAUCUGAGGGUGGAAGAAUCCUUGCAAAUUUGAUGACAGAGCUAAGUUAUUUGUUGCAUGAUUGUGUGAUUGAAGUGUGAAUGUUGUUGUCAUUACUUGAGGACAAGUAAUGGUUUAAGUUUGGGGGUGUAAUAACUCUAUGAAAUGAGAGUUAUCAUAGCACUUUUAGACUUAAAUUAAUAUUACUUAGAGAGUAAAUGAUGUGAUUCUAUUGCAUUUUUGUUACAUUUUGCAUAAAUAUUCAUUUUAGUUUAGUCUUAAUGAGUUUUGCUUGAUUUAAAGUAAUUUGUGCUCAAAUUGUGUGCAUAAUUGUAGGUUUCCAGAAGCUUAUAAUUCAUGGAAGGAAUGUUAUGCAAUAAGCUUACAAAAAUGAGGAAGAACAUGGCUAUAAAAGAAUUGAAACAAAUCUGGAACAGUUCAGUUGCUGUAGCCAUUGCUGUAGAAAUCUUGGAACAACGACAGAAAAAAUUCCGUGCGGGAUACUUGCAGAAUUGCGAUCUGCAGUUUCCUAAUCUGACUUAUGCGCGACAAAGGCUUCCGUUUACCCUAAUUUUCAACUAUAAAAGAAGCACACAUCAUAAGGAAAAGGGAGAGCCGUCACCCAAGGAGAAAAACACAAAGAAACAUAAGAAAUACAAGAUUCAAGAGAGAGAUUAAGGGCUGCACAAGAGGAGAAUUUGCAGAAAUCAAUUGGGAGCUCAAUCCUUCUUAUUCUUCUCUUGUUUUCUCGUUUUCUAUUUAUUUAUGGGGAUGUGUUUCAUGGCUGAAACUUUGUUCUUUAUUUUUCUUUUGCAAACCACGAACUAAAUUUAUUUGUGGUUGAGUGAUAAACAAUCUUGAUGGUUUAUUGACUGAAUUUAUGUGUUGCUACAUGUUUGCUGUAGCAGUUUGUUUUGAUAGUAUAUAUUUUUAUUCAUUAUUUUGGUUGAUCACCCAUUUAAUGAUACAAGUUAGGAGAGAGCCGUAAAAGGGCCUAUCUUAGUGGAGCAUAUCAUAACAAUACUUGAUCUUAAAUUGAGUUUCCCGGAUUGAGUUUUACUUGAGUCCCAAAAAGGCCAUGCUUGAUUUAAGAUUAGUGAUGAACUAGACAUAAGGAUUCACCUUGUAGGGUAAAUAGAACCUAAGCAUGUAAUGCUAUAUCUUAUGUUGGCAUAGCAACUGAUCACUGUUAGGUUGCAUAUAGAUAUAAGAUAUCCAACAUGCGACGGUUGAGGAUAUAUAAGGAUUCUGCCCAGUGCUGUAGCAAAUACUAUAGCAACCGAGCCAACCAUUAGAAAAUAGUCAAGACCAUUAGGAGAGUUUAUUCACUCAACUACUAUAUACUCCCAUUAGUUUUAUCCUUGAGCUUGACGUAAUAGUUUACUUUAUUGCAUUUAUUUAUUGCGUUUUUAUUUUAAUUAGUACAUUAGUUUCAUUAAUUGUUUAUUUUAUUUUAGCACAAAAUCUGCACUGUUAAGAUUGUUGUAGCAAAUCUAAUAACAUCAAUCCCUGUGGAGACGAUCUUGAAUACUCAUCACUUUAUUACUUGUUGUGUACACUUGCACAUUGACACCAAUAGCAUUAGUAUUUAUACACCAACAACUCCUUCUCCCUCUCCCUCUUCACUCACCCUCACGGCUCCCUCUCUCUCUCCCUCUCCCUCUUCACUCACCCUCACGGCUCCCUCUCUCUCUCCCUCUCCCUCUUCACUCAUCCUCACGGCUCCCUCUCCCUCUCCCUCUCCCUCUCCCUCAUCAUUCACUCUCUCGCCUGCAGUCCCUCACGAGACGCCUCAUCAGGGCCACCAACGACGGCGCUAUCCGGCGAAGACACGCGGAGGUUGAUCUCUAUUGCCGGCAAGGAUUUGCAGUUACAGAUUCACAACCCACUCAGUUCCCGUCAGCCCAUUCUGAGUCGUUGUCAGGCCAUAUCUGCAGUCCACCUACGGUAAUGAGACAUGGGUAUCAUGGGUUUUGUUUGGUAUCAUUAUAUUUGUUGAUUGAGUGUUUUAUUUGAUGUGGUAAGAAGAAUCAUUCGCCUCUCAUAUUUAAAAAUUACAGGUUUUAUCAUGUAAGUUUAUUAGUGCGUAUUGUUGGGUAAUGUAAUAAUUUACAUGGAUUUAGAAUUCGCGGAGAGAGUUUGAUGACAUUAUCUGUGUGUAUUGACAGGGGACAUAAUUUUUAGUGUACACAGUAUAAUGGGUAAGCGUAAGGCCAAUGUCGCAGAUGACAUUAAUAUUCAGUCUGAAGCUGGAUCCUCCGAGGCCGGGCAAGCAUUCGUACAUAUACUACUUGUAAGAAACUAAUUCAUUGUUGAAUUUUAUUAUUGACAUUCUGUAGUCAUUUCAGUUUAAUAGUGCAAUAAUUUUAAUUGACAUAUAAAGAACUGAUAUUUCAUAUUAUUUUUCUAUCUACAGCAAGAUAGAAUCCCAAAAGUUAAAGGAGGAAUGUGUGAAGGUGGAUGAAACGGUUUGUAGACAACUUUUCUAUGUUGCAACCUACUAACUAAUAGUUUGGUUAAUGAUUGGCCAAUGAAUAUAUAUAUUUUUUUAGUGUAGGUUAAGGGGCGUAUACGUGACAAAUGGUUGAAACUCAGCGCGAAAGAUAAAGUCGAAUUCAUCAACAGUUAUAAUGAAAAGGCUGAAAUGAACUCGAGAUUGGCCAGUGGAUUGUUAAGUGAACCGAUUCCAACAGUGGAGAACAAUUCUGAUAAGGGUAAUCACCUAUCUCGAUGUAGUGUUUUACGGUUCUCCAACAUUGUUUCUUCGUUAUCUAUUGAACAGCAAGAUGCCGUGAGAGAAAUUGGUUUCGGAAGCUUGUUAGGUUUAAAAUGUGGGCGACUUAGGCAAGAUUUAUGUAGAUUGUUAGUUAAGCAAUGUAACGUAGAUAAGCGGUCGAUAACAGUCCAUGGAAUGGAAUACAAGCUUACUCCGAAAACUUUUACAAGCGUGAUGGGUGUUGGUGACGGAGGAACACCGAUUGUGCUUGGUGGUGAAGAUAGUGAAAUUACUGACUUACGAGCCAAGUAUUGCUCAGGAAAGAAAGGCAUCCCAAUAGGUAGUUUAGAUGAAAAAUUAAAGACAAAUAGUUGUGCAGAUGAAGAUUUCUGUAUUCUAUUUAGUCUAUUUGUGAUUGAAACUAUUUUGUGUCCAACUACAGCUACAUACAUCAACCCAUCAUACCUUUAUGCUUUAAAAGACGUGAAUAACAUUCGCGAUAAAAAUUGGGCCAACUGGUCUUUCAAUUUUUUAUGGGAAGAAGUUUCAAAGUUCAACGAAAAUAAAAUUUCCUCGAUGAGCGGAUGCGUUAUAUUUUUAAUGGUAUGAUUUAUUUAGUAAUUUGUAUUCUCGUUAGUUAAACGAUUAUGGUAUUAUCGAUCAUUAUUUCCGUAUUAACUAAUUUGUUGUUGUUUGCAACUGUUCUACAUGUCAUCAACUAAGUUUCAACUUUCUUCUGUUGCGGAGAAUGGAUGUCCUCUUAGUGCAUGGAUUGAUAGUGAAAUAAAAAGAUUCCUCAAGUGGUGACAAAAGUAUGGUGACUUUGAGAGCAAUGCGGUUUGUUCCCUUCCAUAAUUGUAUAGUGUUUUGUAGUUAUGUUAUUAAAUUGAAUAGAUUAUUUAUGGAUAUUUGUAGUUAAUGCAGGUUUCGAUGCGAGAAAUCAGUUGCAGCUCAUCAGGUGCUCAAAGUGAAGAACAAAUUGACGAUGUUGACACUGCAAGGCAGCAUCCAUUUCAUGCUAUAUUAGCAGUAAUGGAUAGAAUGGAGGAACAUAUGAGAAGAAAUAAUGAUUUACUAUAAAGAAUGGGCUUGAAAAUGGAUUCUCUUACUGAAAAGGUUGAAAAGUUGGAACGAGCAUAUUUUCGUCAAGAAGGAGCGAAUGUCGCUGAUGAUAGUCAAUCACCUCCUACAUGUACUGGUGCCGAGGCAACUGAUGGUCCAAUCUUUUCCUCUCCGAAUAUGAAGAUGCACCCACCUAUCCCAGAGUUGUCACGCUUUUAGAUCUAGUACAGGAAAAGCGUACGCCCAUCGAAGUUAAAGAACGAAAAGCUGUGUACCUCAGCACAUCCACUGAUGAAGAGGCUAUCCUAAAAGAAAAGUUGGCAGAAGUAUUGCAAGACGCGAUGAAGCCUAAAUUGGUGCCGGAACUUCAAGAUGAGGUAUACAUAGAGUAAUAAUUUGUUAACUUUUGUCUAAACUAUAUAUGAUUUAGUCUAAUCGAAACAAGAGAAGAAAUGUCAACAGCCGUAAGAUUUUAAUCCGCUGUCUUUAGGCCCUCCUCGGCCAUACAGAAAUCGAAAGCCGGGGCGGUACCAGUUGUCCCCGUAUGAUCAAGUCUCACGCGGUCCAAAGCCAAAAUAUCGAGCGGGCCCUUUUUUAGUGAAUGAGCCGGUGACCCUCGAUCAAUUGAAAAUGCUCUAGUAUGGAUUUGACAAAAGCACUAGCCUAGAGUAACAAUACCUUCAUGGCCACUCAUCAAGCUCUUUUCGUUUAAUAUGUUGUCAUAGUUGUUUGAUUUUGUUAAUAUAUCAUGUGAUUAACAUACAGUGAAAUAAUUGUGCGAUCAAGUCAUGAGGAUAUCACUCGGCGAGGCUUGUUAUCACUUUUGCCCGAUGCAUCACUUGACGAGGAGGUUUAUUCGUAAUUUGACUUUAAUGAUAAAAUUGUAGUUAAUAAAACCAAUUAUAAUUGUUCUUGUGUUUAGAUUAUUUGCAUGAUGAGUGAUUACCUUACACGACGUGAGUCGUGCAAAAGCCACGGGCAACCAAUCAGUUGGUUCCUACCAACAAGAUAUGCAGUUACUGAUCCGUUCCUGUUUUUUUUUUUUUCAUAUCCUUUUUUUCAUCAUUAACUAUGGUAAUUUCAGUUGUGUUCUAUAUGAAUUUGAUGUGAUGAAUAUGUAGCAAUUUGCUACAAUGCCAAAUGCACAUUUAGAUGGUUUCAAGGCUGCCUCCCAAUACCGCAAACGUUACAUGUAUGACCUGCACCGGUGCCAUCAGGUAGCGUGUGUGUUUGUUGAAAUGAUUUUUCGUUAUGAUCGAUAUUAUGUAUGGUAAAAGUGACCCUAAGUUGUUCUUGAAUAGAUCAUUGUUCCCAUGCAUGAUGGUGGCCACCAUUGGUUUAUGCUGUUGGUUAAAAUUAAAGACAAACAAGCAGAGAUCUGGGAUCCACUAUCGGAUGCACAACGGACACGAGAUCGAGAAAUCCAAGUGAAUAGUAUUGUAAGUCCAACUAAUUUUUUUAUAAAAACGAUGAGUUUAGUUUUCUAGGUAUUGUGUUAUUAAUACAUGUGAUGUAUUUUUGCACUUGAAAAUAGUUACACUCGUUGGAUGCUAUACUUCAUGGCGUUGUGGAUGCUACAUAUUCAGUAUCUUGGAGUUUCUUGUCAUUUGUAGUGACCCAUGGGGAAGGAGUUCCACGGCAACCUAACGGUUUUGAUUGUGGAGUUUACGUCAUCAAAUUUAUGGAUACUCCUGGAAUCAUCACCAACAAAUCGUAUGUGGUACGCUCCCUUAUUCGCCUUAUGUGGUUUUUUGGUUGAUUUUACUACUGUUGUUGGGCCACUGACAUGAUGAAAGUGCAUGAUUAUUUCUGCAGCAUGACUCACAGAAUGUUCGGGCGUAACUUGCGUUACAACUUAUAGACUCUCCGUUCAACAAACAACGCGAUCAAUUAUUGACGUUGGCUAAUGCACACUACAGUAACGCUGCAACGUACAUAAAUGAAUCGAAUCGAAGCUUGCAUCAACAGUGAAGCCUCGUAAUGUGUCCACCAAAAAAGGUCAUAAGAAUAGUUCCACAAAACGUCAUUUCAGGCGGAAGGUCUAAGAUUGUUGUGAAUAUAGAUUAUGAUAAUUUUUUGCUGACUUCAUUCACAACCCUAAACUUUUGCUAAAUUUACCUUGUAACUGGCGUUGACGUACGAGUCAUGUAAAUUGUUUUGGUGAUCCAAAGACGUAGAGGGAUUAAUGGGGCAAUUAUGAUUUUUUCCUUCGGCAACCGGUUGUCUUAAUUAAUAUAUGUUGAAAGGAAGAUAAUUGUUGUAAAUGUUGCUAUUAUCACUAAGUAUGCAAAAUAUAUUAUUACAUUGCCAUUGUUCACUUCUUACAUGAUAAUAUAACUCAAUGAUUUCCAAAAAGUUCAUUCUACCCCUCAGUUCAGAUCCAAAAAUUGUAUCAUUAGCGAUCAUCCUCCAUCCUCCAAGUAUGUGUACCGUCCUCAACUAAGCAUAAUGUUACUGCUGUCGUAAUGGUCGUCAAUUCCUUCUGAGAUGUUAAGCCUCCAAGGACAAGUUGUCUCGAACGUAAAUGUUGGGGAACUUGGCGAGCUUGAUUCCAUUGAAACAGGCGGUGUUAACACAUUAUAAGAACAAUGCCUUGGAUGAUCGUCAGUCGAAACACAACCAAUACCGCUAACGCUGCAAUGAAGGUCAUUGGGCUGUAUGUCCUUUGGCAGAUAUAGCGGGCAAGUCCGUUUAGUAUGGCCAGGCUGAAAACACUGACUGCAUUUGCGAUUUUUAGCCCCAUCGUGUUUAACGGUUUUAGAGCAACCUUUACUAUUAACCGUAACCGGGUCUUUCAACUUCAUACCUGCUUGAAGUACACAAUUCCUGGCUCGUUUAGCUGAUUCAUCAUCCGCAACCAUCUGUUCAACGCGAAGCGUCAGCCGUUGAAUCUCAUCUAUCGCUAUCAUAUAACUUUGUUCAUUCUUUGCGGCAAAAAGACAAAGAUUAGUACAUGCCGCUGAAAGUGAGGCAAACUUUGCUGUUUCUAACACUCCUUUAUCGAGGUGUGACGCUGCAGCGGUUAUUUUCAUCACUUUACUCACCUUCGCUGAUUUGGUCCAGCGACCAAGAAUCAAUAGUGGUGGUAUGCGAACUAGUUGCUCGAACUUCAUGACGUGAAAUAUAUCCCUACAUGGAAUACCUGCUGAUUCCAUCAUCUUACAUGAACAAGUAAUUGCAACUUCUUUACUAUAAAAUACCACUGUCCAUUUUUGUUCUGGAUGCUGAAAUUUCAUUAAAGUAUAGAUAUUGGAAUUAGCUGUCUUGGCACACUCAAGCAUAAUUAGCGUGGCUUCUCCGAGGAUCUCCAUCCGAACCCACUUCAAUACAUUCCUUGUAUAUAUUUCGGACGCAUGUUUUUCAAUGCUUAGCAGAUGUGUUGUAAGAACUGGGGCUGUGUGGUUUGUCUCAUACUCAUCUUGGACUUCUUUGUGCCGUAUGCAAUACAUUGCACGAUGAAUUUGUCUAAUGAAAUCAUACAGUUUUAACUUCUUCUCAACAAAGCGACGCAAGUAAGAAUUCAAGCUCUCACACCUUUAUGUGGUUCGCAUUCCGGCGAAAAAGGUUCCUUUCAAAUAAGCCACUGCCCAUUUUCUACGCUUUGCAUACAUUUUUUCCACCCAAGAAUUUUGUUCCAGUCCCAGAUCAUAGAGAACCAAUCUCGAUCAAACUCCUCCAUGGUCAUUGGAUUCAACAUUAACUGCCGAAACUUCGACGUGAACUUAUUUCUCUUCACAUUUGCUUGUGCAUUCCGCUCAAGAUGCCAGCAGCAGAGUCGAUGUACACAUCCAGGCAUAACAGUUUUAAUCGCUUUCGACAUAGCUUUAUCACCAUCUGUUAUGACACUUAUGGGUUUUUUUUGUUUCAUUGCCGAUAAGAAAGUCUGUAGCAGCCACACAUAUGAUUCAACAGUUUCGUCAAUCAGUAUCGUAAAUCCAAAAACAGUAGUUCUUUUAUGAUGAUUUACACCAACAAAUGCGACCAAAGGUUUGUUGUAUGCAUUUUUCUUGUACGUUGCAUCAAAACCUAAAACAUCUCCAAAUUGUUCAUAGUCGUACCGAGCAACAGUGUCGGUCCAGAACAAGUUUCGCAGUCGAUUUUCCUCAUCAAGAGUAUACUCGAAGUACACUCCAGCAUCAUAAUCAACCCUUGCAGAUAAGUACGCAAUGGUAGCCUUUGUGUCGGUGUCAAUAAUUUGUGCAUGGUGAUCUGCGUCUAUUCUAUUCCGCAUGUCCUUACCCAUAUACCCAACAUGAUGGAACCCUCCUGCUUGAUCAGACUUGUAGUUCAUGAGCUGGCACACUUUCACCCCAACUUGUCGCAAUGCCUUUGCGUGAGCCAAAUCAGCUUCGUUGACAAGUCUAUGCAAACGAAGAAAUUGUGUCUCGUGCGGUUCAACCAAGCGAUGAGUGUGCUCAAAAACGAAUUUAGUUACCACGUACUUCCCUUUAAACUUAUCAUAGUUCACGCGAAGUUCCGCCUUGCACCCGUUACGAGUAAUGCCCCUCGGUUCCCUGAUUCUGUCUGUUUUCUCCAUCCAUUUUUUUAGCUUGUAUCCCUGUCCUGAGCAAACCCAUCGCCGACUUGCUACUUCACCACUUUUGCCGUCACAACGAAGUUCAUCUUUUCUCACAGAGAAUCCAACCGACUUAGCAUACUUUUUAUACCAUAUGUGGGCAUCAUUGACAUUUUCAAAACAGGAUCCGACACCCACUUCAAUGAGUUCACUUUUUUUAGGCAAACUGUAGGUCGUAUGACUAGAUGAUCUUGUAGCAGAUUUGUCCCCAAAAUAAUCACUGAUUUCGCUAGUUUGUGGCGGUAAUGACGUACCUGCACUUGCACAAAUUUCCAUCCCAUUAUCAUAUGACGGGUUGUCGGGGGGUCCACUUAUUUUCUGUUCUGAUGGCUGGUUAUCAUUGAGGUCUAACACCCAUGCAGAAAUGCUUCCCACGUCUAAAGAUGUUGUCAUGCUCUCUGGUUAUCUUCUCUCAAGAUUCUAGCAUUUGAAGACCAUCAAAAGGACCUAGUUGAAGACUUAAAAGAGUACUGCGUGGGUUAUGUUUGUUGGCAUUCAAUGUCUUCAUUAAAUGAUGGGGUUUGGUUGGUGCUUGGGUUGGUGGAUACAACAUUUAAACGCCUAGCCUAUUACCUAUAAAAGGUUAGCCGGUUUCGCAUUUGUGCUCUCUGGACAUUAAACGGCAAGCCUUUUAAACUCAUGCGGCUAGCCUUUUUCGAAUUGAUGCUAACUGGAGGGGAAACGACUGGCCUCUAAAAUUUAAGAGGCUAGCCUUUUUCGCGUUGGGGCUCAUUGGAGGGGAAACAGCUAGCCUCGAAAAUUUAAGAGGCUAGCCUUUUUCGCGUUGGGGCUCACUGGAGGGGAAACAGCUAGCCUCAAAAAUUUAAGAGGCUAGCCUUUUUCGCGUUGGGGCUCACUGGAGAGGAAACGGCUAGCCUCGAAAAUUUAAUAGGCUAGCCUUUUUCGCAUUUGUGUAUGGGAUGCUCACCAUUAGCGAAAACGGCUAACCUUUAAAAUUUAGAGGCUAGCCGUUUUCGCUUUUGGUGCUCUCUGGACAUUAAACGGCUAGCCUCUAAAAAUAAAAGGCUAGCCGUUUUUUCUUACUAGAGUUUCUGGAACAUGAACGGUCACCCUAUUAAUUUGUAAAAGGUUAGCCGGGUUCAAAGGAAUCAAACUGUUUCGUCUUCACAAAACUGGUCAGCCGCUUCUAUCUCUAAAAGUCGAAUCCUCUCUCCUACGUUCUCAGCCGAAAGAUCCACCGUUUAUAAUCAGUUCAUAGCCCAAAUUCAACCUUAGAAAUCAUUUCCCACCAUUUGCUCUUGCUAAAUUUAACCCUCGAAACCGAAAAACCCUAAGUUGUAAACCCCUUUGACUUCGGUAAAUGUUUGCCGAAAUUGAACUCACAUAUCCCUUUUAAGCAUCAUUAUCUUCCAUUUAAUCGGUUUAUUCCUCUUCAAAUCGCUGAAAAAUCAUAAUGUCAACUUCAAGGCCACGUAGAGCGAAAGACAACGGGAAAGAUGCGAUUCCACCACCCAAACGGAAACGGAAGGACGGCGGCCCUGUAGAACAACCUGAUUUUGAAUCAAGACACUUCCCGGACAAGCGUUUGGCCACCCGUUUUUGCCAAAGAUUCAUGACCCGUAAGGUACUUGAUACAUUCUAUAUUGUGUCUGAUUGGCUUCGUAGCCUUAGUAUCAGUAAUGGAAAUUUGUUGCAAUUGUUGGAGGAAGUUGGUUGGAUUAAUGCCCUUACGAUUAAUGAGAAUGUGUAUCCUGACUUGGUGAAAGUAUUUUACUCGAAUAUGGAUACUUCCACGGAGAAAGAGAAUCGAGUAAUCACCAACGUUAGAGGAGUUUUGAUUGAAUUUGAUGAUACUAAUUUGAAUUCUAUCCUAGGAACCUCCGAAGAUGGGUUAGAAAUAUAUUCUGCUAGGAAAGUUCCUACGAUUGAUAACUUUGUUCAUGUUGAUGCCGUUAGAAACAUUUGUAGGCGCAUUGAUCUUUCUGAUGAGGUCUGUACAAUCGAUUUUCGUGCUCAAUGUCUAUGCCUUCAAUCGCGUAUUUUACAUCGUAUAAUUCAGAAUAUUGUCCUUCCUAGGUCGAGCCACUUAGAUGAUGUUACCCACAUGGAUGUUGCUUUGAUUGAUUCUAUCCUCAGGCAUCGUCCGGUUAGCCUCGGAUACACUAUUAUACGCACCAUGCUUUCCAUACCUAACUUGAUCAGUCGUGCUCUUCCAUACGGAAAUUUCAUCACGCAGAUCCUUAAAUACUUUAGGGUGCCCAUAAACGAACCGUCUUGUAAACCCUGUAGGAGUAUAGGAGAUGAGGCCGUGUAUGCCUUAGGAUUUUUGUGGCGUAAUGGAGCAUGGGUGAAGUAUACUGAAGCUAAGUACACAAUGCUUGCUCCGAAUGAUGAUCGUCCUUUGAAUUUUGUAGUUCCUGCUAAUCAGCUGCCUAAUUUUUCACUUCCUUUCUAGGGUCAACGUAGACGUGAGGACCCUCCUACAUGUGAACCUGAUCAUGAUGCUUCUGCAUCUGCUGUACCACCUGUAGAGCCACAUGACUCCAGCGAAGUUACUCUUCAAUAACUUAUGGACGAGGUGAGGACACUUUAUGUACAGCAGACCAGCUUUCAGCAGCACGUUUUGGAGGAGCACCGGCAUCUGUCACAGCAGCAUCAGUAGUUCCUUCACGGACAACGCCUCAUGUUCGAGCACUUUGGCAUUCCUUAUCCGUUUCCACCUCCACCACCACCAUCCCCACCGCCUCAGUAGUUUCCAUUUCUUUAUUCCAUUAUGUAUGUUUGGAUGUUAGUUUUAUGUUCAGAUGAUUGUUUUAUAUGUUCAGAUGGUUGUUUUAUAUGUUCGGAAGUUUGUUUGACAAGUUCGUUUAUAUGUUCGGAAAUUUGUUUUAUAUGUUUGGAUGGUUGUUUUACGUGUUCGGAUAUGGAUUUAAAGAGUUCGGAAGUUUGUUUAACAUGUUCGGAAGUUUAUUUUAUAUGUUUGGAUGGCUGCUGCUUAUUGUAGCAAUAACAUCAGCUGUCGGGUGCUUAUGACAGCAACUGUUAUUGCUGUUGCUGUCAUAAGGCAGCAGCUGCUGCUGGCAGCUAGCAGCAGCAGCAAGAAUUCGCAGCAAUUGUGUUUGCUGCUGCAACUACUUAUGCAGCAACAGCUACUGCUAGAAUGCCAGCAGCAGCUGGUAUAAUGCACACUACAGCUGCUUAUGCAGCAACAGCAGUUGGUGCCUGAAAAAGCAGCAGCUACCGUUGCUGGUUCUGCACUUGCCUGUUGCAGCAUAACCAGCAGCUGCUGGCAGCUAGCAGCAGCAGCAUCUGCUGCUGGUGUUGUUGCUGCUGCAUCUGCUUAUGCAGCAACAGCUGCUGGCAUUCCAACAACAGCUAGUGCCUGUAAAAGCAGCAGCUUCUCUAUCCAUUAUGUCUGCUGCUGGUGUUGUUACUGCUGUUGGUGCUUAUGCAGCAACAACUGCUGGCUACUUUUACAGCAGCAGCAGCUGGUGGAUGCAUAAGCACCAGUUACUGGCUACUGCAGUUGCUGGUUCUGCAGCUGGUGGCUGCUGCUGCUGUUGAUUCUACAGCUGCUGCAGCUACUGGCUGCAGCUGCUGGCUGCUUUUGCAGCAGCAGCAGCUGGUGGAUGCAUAAGCACCAUCUGCUGGCUACUGUUGUUGCUGGUUCUGCAGCUGGUGGCUGCUGCUGUUGUUGGUUCUGCAGCUGCUGGCUGCUUAUGCCAACAGCAACAGCAACUGAAAUCCCCAAAAUAAGCAUUAGCAGUAGGGCCAUUAGUAGCUGCCACUGCUGGCUGCUUAUGUCAACUCCUCAUUCACUUCUUAUUGCUGAAAUUACUCACGCACAUUGAUUUCAAACCAGUUUGCAUGCUAUUUAAUCGAUUCAUAUUCACCUAAAACACAAUAUUUGUUAUUCAGCGGAAGCAAAGGAAACUAAAGGAACAUUAAAUCAUUAACUUCAAACAUGUGAUCAUUAACUUGCACUAUGGAAAUCAUGCAGAUAAAAAUGAACUCAGGACUAUUAACUUGAUACCGGGACCAUUAAACUUGAAACCGAAGGAACCUGAAACUUAGGGCAACAAACAUGAAAUAGGAUCUCAUUAACGUGCAACCUUAAAAAUUAUAUAUUUAAUGGACCAAUAAACAUGAAACCAUCACCAUUAACUUGAUAUCGAAACCAUUAAACAUUAAACCAGUGAACUUGAAACAUAGGCCAAUAAACCUGAAAUAUGAGAUCAUUAAAUUGCAACCAUAAAAAUAAUUAAAUUAAUGAACUUGAAACUUAGGGCAAUGAACAUGAAACAUCGGAUCAUUAACUUGCAACCUUCAAAAUUAUAUAAUUAAUGGACCAAUAAACAUGAAAUCAUGACCAUUAAUGUGAUACCUAAACCAAUAAACUUGAAACUAAUGAACUUGAAACUUAAGGCAAUAAACCUGAAAUAUGAGAUCAUUAACUUGCAACCAUAAAAAUGAUUAAAUUAAUGAACUUGAAACUUAGGGCAAUGAACAUGAAACAUAUGAUCAUUAACUUGCAACCCAAAAAAUUAUAUAAUUAAUGGACCAAUAAACAUGAAAUCAUGACCAUUAACGUGAUACCUAAACCAAUAAACUUGAAACCAGUAAACUUGAAAUUUAAGGCAAUAAACCUGAAAUAUGAGAUCAUUAACUUGAAACCAUAAAAAUGAUUAAAUUAAUGAACUUUAAAUUUAGGGCAAUGAACAUGAAACAUCUGAUCAUUAACUUGCAACCAAAAAAAUUAUGUAAUUAAUGGACCAAUAAACAUGAAAUCAUGACCAUUAACGUGAUACCUAAAUCAAUAAACUUGAAACCAGUGAACUUGAAACUUAAGGCAAUAAACCUGAAAUAUGUGAUCAUUAACUUGCAACCAAAAAAUGAUUAAAUUAAUGAACUUGAAACUUAGGGCAAUGAACAUGAAACAUCUGAUCAUUAACUUGCAACCGAAAAAAUUAUGUAAUUAAUGGACCAAUAAACAUAAAAUCAUGACCAUUAACGUGAUACCUAAAUCAAUAAACUUGAAACCAGCGGACUUGAAACUUAAGGCAAUAAACUUGAAAUAUGAGAUCAUUAACUUGCAACCAUAAAAAUGAUUAAAUUAAUGAACUUGAAACUUAGGACAAUGAACAUGAAACAUCUGAUCAUUAACUUGCAACCGAAAAAAUUAUGUAAUUAAUGGACCAAUAAACAUGAAAUCAUGACCAUUAACGUGAUACCUAAAUCAAUAAAUUUGAAACCAAUGGACUUGAAACUUAAGGCAAUAAACCUGAAAUAUGAGAUCAUUAACUUACAACCAAGAAAAUUAUUUAAUUAAUAGACCAAUAAACAUGAAACCAUAAUCAUUAACUUGAUACCCGAACCAUUAAACAUGAAACCAAAGGAACAUGAAACGGAAGGCAAUAAACAUGAAAUAUGUUAUCAUUAACUUACAACUAUGAAAAUCAUUAAAUUAAUGAACCAAUAAACAUGAAACCGUGAUCAUUAAGUUGAUACCUUGACCAUUAAACUUGAAACUCCUUUUUUAUUAUUAUAAAAUUAAUUUUUUUGUUAUGUCCUUUACUAUUAAAAUAGUGAUUAUUUUAUUAUUAUUUAAUUUAUUUAAGGGGCAACCGGUUGCAAAAACCGGUUGCUCCCAUUUAUUUUUUUUAGGGAAAUUAUCACUGGUAUACCCUUAAAUGUCACCGGUAUCAAACGUAUUAUAACACUUUUUGCUUAUAUCACUCGUAUACCCUAAAUUGACAAAAGAGUUCUGGCGUCCACCUUUCUGUUUACUACCGUUAAGAACUUAACAAAAUUUGAGCAAAAUGACUAUUUUACCCUUUAAACUCAAAAUGAUGUAAAAAAACAAAUUUGCCUUGAAAAUUAAAGUAAAUUUUCAAUACACAAUUUUUUUAAUUUUGUUAUUAACAAUACAUUUUUUUAUUAAAAAAAUGAAUUAUUAAUGGUACAUAUUAUUAACAAUUAUCCAUAAAAAAAUAUUCAUCUUAUACCAUAAAAAAUUAUUAACAACAUAUUAUUUAUAAUUAUACAUAUUAUACCAUAAAAAAAAUAAUGAUGCUUGGAGGAGUAGAUCUUCAAUAAUUUAGGUUAAAUUUGGAGGAGUAGAUUCAGUUGUAAAGUAGCUUUUUUUUUUUUAGCAAUUAUUAACAAUUAUCCGAUAAAUGGGAUGACAUGUCAUUUUUAUCAAAAUAUAUCAUAUGACAUAUCGUUUUUUACUAGGUAAAUGGGAUGACAUGUCGUUUUUUUAAAAAGACUAAAUUACCCUUAUGAUGUCAGUGUUGUGCAAAUUUUAAUGUACUCGCAAGCGCACGAAUCUAUUGUAGUAUAGAUCAUGGUGACGAGUGUCGAUCCCACGAGGAGGUGGAUUUUAAUUGUGUGUAGAAUUAAUUUUGUAAAUGGGUGAUUGGAUUUGUGGUGGAAAUGGUUUGGAAUAUGCUAAAACUUAAAUUAAAAUGGCGAGAAUAAAUUCUAAAAUUGGAAUUGCAAUGGCGAGAAUAAAUUGAAGAUAAUUCUAUUGAAAUGACGUACUUGGGUAUUCGGAUCCGUAUCAACAUGCAUCAUGGGCUAAAUAAUCCUUAUUAAUGCCAAUUAAAUCAUGAGGGGGGAAUCCACACCUCAUGAACCACGCUCUAAUCAAUAUGGUGCUAAGGGCUUAUCGUGCCAAAUAAUAAUAACCUUGUACUAGAGAGCCGGUGUAACCAAGGCGGUAUCUAGACAAGAUUAUUAUUAUUUGUCGACGAAAAGUCAAAUCAUCCACAAAAACUAGAGGGGAAGAGAAAAUAAAUUUACCAAAUAAAGCCCAUGACACAUGUUGAGACUUCACCUUCAACCCAAGCUUGAAAGAAAAUUAGCCACUCAUAAUUGAACUAAGGGCAAAAUGGGAAUUUAUUAAAAUAUGUAGAAAAUACAAGAUGGAGAGAGAAUUACAGAAAAUGGAGUCCAAAAAUGGAUUCAGAGAUAUCAAAUUACAGUAGCGCGGUUUGGUUGAAAAUAAUCCUGUGUGAUGCAUGUACCGUACGCGAGAUUUUUCGUCCACUGAUAUGCUGCCACGUCACCAUCAACAGUACAUAAGAAUUUUAGCCUAACAGGAUCGUGACACCUCAUCAGUCAAUGCCACAUCAUCGGUCAAUGCCACGUCAUCGAUCCGUCUAUAUGAACAGUGUCGUGAACAGUAACGUAGACAGUACCGUACACGUGAAUAGUACCGUACAUGUGAAUAGUGUCAUUUUUCCUUUUAUGCUCCUCCUAAGGUUUUCGACCGUCCUGAGUUCAAAAAUGAUGUUCGUUUUGCCGUCUGAUCUCUCCUUUAUUGUGAAAUGACUAUAAUGCCCCUAAAAUACAUAAAAUACUUAAUUAAAAUAAAACACACGUAAUUAAAUCACAAGAAGUUUAAAUACAUAAAAGUAAGGGUUGUUAGUAAGACUUGAAAUGUAAAAUGACGGUUUUCUCCUUUAUAAAUAUACAUUUUCUAACACUCAAUACACCCCCCAACCAGCUUAUUGCUAGUCCCUAGCAAAUAAAGCGAAAACAAAAUUCAAAUUCAAAAUGAUUUUUUUUAUUUAUUUUUAGAAACACUCGUGUUUAUUCAAUCAGAUUAAUGAUAGCAAUCAAAUAAAAGUAUAAGUAUUAUCUCCAGUCUAAAGCAACAUCACACCCACAUCAACCAUCCACAUGAAUUAGCCCAGUAGACUUUGUUAUAGCUACUUUCAAGAAUGACAUGUCAAACCCCAAAAUCUCACUAGAAGUAGUGACACUCUCACAAAGAAAUUAAAACCAAUAAAAAUAGUCACUCCAAUGAAUGGUAAUUGAGAGAGAAAAUAAUAAAGAAGUGAUAUCACAUGCUCUCACCAAGAUGAAAUAAAUAUGCCCUCAGCUUAGAAAUAAUACGAUCUCAAGUCAAACAAAAAUGCUAGUCAACCCAAUUUAUUUAUCUUUUUUUUUCUUUUAUUUAUUUAUUUAUUUUUAUUAUGCACCACUACAUCUUUUUAGCCCACAUAACUAGCUUCUACUUCAAACUAUAGUUCCCUAAAAUCAAGAAGGACUUUUAUUAGGACGUAACGUAGGCUAGGGAUAUGGCUAACAAAGAAAGGAAAUAAGGAAAACAAAGUGUAUGUUUGAGAAAAAUGCAGGGAAAUUUUUUUUUUUUUUUUUGGAAGUUGCAAGGUAGAUUUCACCUAUUAUUGUUAUUUUUAUUCUUUUGAAACAACAACUUUUUUUUUCUUUUUGUUUGUUUUUUUUUUUUUGCUUUUAUUUGGCAUAACUUCACUGAACAACAUAAUUAUUUACAUUUUCUCAAACAUAAAUAGGUAAUGGAACUUAUAAGACAUCGGGUAAUACUCCAAAUCGGAGUGGGUCAAGAUGAUAAGUUGACAAAGAAAAGGUUUUUUUUUUUUUUUUAAAGGCUCAAAAGGGUUAACUAUAGAUAUUUAAUAAAAGGGAUGGCUAGAAAGGCUCAAACGGAUCAAAGAUGGCCUUUCCAUCGUCUUUUAGGGCUCUAAAUAAUCAUCCAUAUCUACUAGUUAGACGGGCCUCCCAAUGUAGCAACACACAUUUUUUUUUCUUUUUCUUCUUUUUUUUUUUUUAAUUUUACCAUUUUUUUUAAGGGUUAACUCAAAAGAAAUCUAGAGAUCGUGUAUAAAAUAAUAAACUGCUAAGCUGUAUGAAAAAUGGGCAAAAGAGUUAUUCUCCAAGAAAAAUAAUAGGCUCAAAAACUCACUUGGUACUUAUUACGACAUGUUCAUUCCUUCAAGCAACUCAUAUUUGUCUUCGACAUCAACAUGUAAAGUAGCAAACAUGACGUAACAUCACUUAAGACCAAAGAUAAUACAAAUACUAAAAUUUGAAAUUCAUCAUGUCAUCCAAUGUUAAAACAAAUCACACAUUUUUUUUUUCAAACAACAUUCUACCCCCCAACCUAUUCUAAACAUGAAAGGAAAAUAUGAAUGCAGAAAUGUGAAAAUGAUGUAGAAAAACUAAUUAGAAACGUUACACUUAAAAUGAUAGAAAAAGAAAAUGAUUUUUUUUUUUAAGAAGAUGUGUUUCUAGAGGCACUACACUCCAUAUUCAGCCAUCUUCGACUCAAAAGUUGGGAAAUGUAUAUUUAUAGAGGAGAAAUUAAAAAGAAGAAGAAAAAUGAACAUCAAAACUUAAUUAAGAAAAAGAAAAUGUCUGAAUUUUUUAUUAUUAUUAUUAUUUUUUAUUAUUUUAUUUAUUUAUUAUUUUUUUUAAACGAAGAAGAUGCGUUUCUAGAGUCACUACACUCCAUAUUCAGCCAUCUUCAACACAAAAAGUUAGCAACAGUUAGUUUCUACAACAAAAAAUCAGUAAAAACUUAACCAAGAUUCCACAAUUGUCGACUAUUCCCUCCCCCCAACCAGAACGAAACAUUGUCCUCAAUGUUUUAAAGGAAAGAAGUAGAGUUUAGAAGACAUCACCUGGGUGGUGCAACACAAAAGAAAAUAUUUACAGGCGGAGAGUUAAAUCUAAUUUGUACUUCUUAUUGCUGCUACUGUUACCAUCAUUAUUUGGUCUCUCCAACACAAAGGUCCAGGGGUUUGGCUCCGGUCUAUAAGCUUGUAACAGAUCAAGUAGCUCAUUAGCAGUGUGAGCACAAAUAAAAAGUUUUUUCGCAUGGGAAGGAAUGAAGUAGUUUUUUAUUGCAUGGUUAAGAAAUGCGAUAAAGCCAUCAUAAAAGUUAUUGACAUUUAACAAACCGAUGGGUUUUUGGUGGAUGUGCAGAUGGGCCCAAGAUGCUAGUGUGAUAAGUGCCUCUAGUGUUGCAAGAUCUCCUGGAAUGAAAAUAAAAGCAUCAGCAUGAUUAAGCAUUUCAGUUAUUCUUUCUUGCAUACCUGAGACGACUAACUCUUCUCCAGUUGAUGAGUCAGACGAACUGCCCAAUGGUUUUAAGACUCUUGGGAUGAUGCCUAACACUUGACUUUCUCUGAUAAAAGCUGCUUCUGAGACCAUUUUUUAUAACCCUCGGUUACCUCCUCCAUACACCAAGUGUAAUUUUCUCGCUGCUAUGCUUCGACCAAGAUCUAUGGCUGCCUCCACAAACUCUUUAUGUUUGCCAUAGUUAAAUCCAGAAAGCACACAAAUGUUCUUGAAUUAUCUAUUGGGAGUAGCUGCCAUUGUGAUACUUCUCAAAAACAAUUUGUGAGUGCUUGACAAAAAAGAAAUCACAUUUAAGAGUCUUGGUGACAGUGGGUCACAAUUGUGUAGGAGGUAACAUGUCAGUGUCAAAUAACGCGUAAAGCACGUGGCUCGCGAGUCAAAAAGGAAACAGUAAAAAGGAAAAAGCAAAUAGUAAUAAGGAAAAAAGCAAACAGUAAUAAAAUUAUUAAAGACAAUAAUGCACACAAUAAAACAACAGUGAAAUGAAAUAAAAUAACAGUAAAGUAAAAUGAUAUUUACACAUAGUUGCGACUGUGGCUCACAUCUUCCUCUGGUUUUACGUCCAGAAACGGCUUGAACGCCCUCUAUAGGUCGAGGAUAGGCUUCCUAUCCAGUUUUCUUAUAAACUGGCAAACAGGGUCGUUUAUAGUCAGAUUCCCGAGACUAUAUCGUGCAUGCUCUUUCUGGAAUAAUGGUCAUAACUGGAGAAUCGCUCCUUGCACAUAUCCACUGGGAUGCGUUUCAAGAGACAGAAGGAUAUCAUCCAAUGACUCCUUAUUCAAGCCAUCCCUAAUGAAUUGAAUCUUAUCUUCCCUGUUAUCAGACACCAUUCCUAAAGAACAUGGGUUUUUAUUGCAACUCAUUCUGGCACACUUAUGACAAGCAACAGAAAUUCUUCGAGCUCGUCGUUUUCUUGCAUAAUUUCCUUUACCACAACCAGGCAUGUAUGCAAUAAAUUUUGGAGGUAACUCACCUGCCGAUCGUACUUUAGCCUCGAUUGACCAACGGAUGUCAGCAGGUAUGUUAUUCAUCAUGAGUAAUCGCAUGCGUUCGGACCGAGCUUUAUAGAUCGUAAGGAGGGCAUUCUGAGGAAGUGAAGGGAAUCGCUUGUGAAGUUUCGCUAGAAUCUCGUUUCUGUCCAUACCUUCGCCUCAGAAUAUCAAUUAUUAUGCGAAACUGAAGUAACCGACUUGAUUGUCACGGAGUACCGUUAUCCGCCACUUCACCGGGGUAACAAACUAAAGCACACAAACAGAAAAACAAAUUAAACACACAAAGAAAAUUAAAAUCGUCCUCUUAUGGAAUUUACCUCAAGCUCCAACUGGAUGUCGUAAACACUUCUCUCAAUGUCUCUGAGUUGGCGUUCUAAACCCUCAACAUAGGCUACUAACUCUGGUGGUUGUAGAGCCCAAAUGCAAUGUGUUUUACAAAAUUGAAUCUGCCUUUUGAGAUGAGUUUUGACACGUUGAAGUGGUUUAAGAAUGUUCAGGAGGAACGGUCUUAGUAAGGUACUCAUGAUUAAAAAUGAUAAAAGAAAACUUAAUAGUUAAACAAACACACUUAUGCAAAAAUAAUUUCAAUUAGCAGAAGAAUAACAUAAAGAAAGAAAAAAAUCAAAUCAACGAAAAGAAAAAAAAGUCAAUUCAAAUCUGGUGGGUCACUCAAAUUUAUUUCGGUGUCUUCUCCAUGUGGUUGGUACUCUAGAUAUGGCUUUAAUCUUUGACCAUUAACUUUAAACGUGACACCGUUCUUGGGGUCCUUAAUUUCAAUUGUCCCAUGUGGAAAAACAGUAUGAACAAUAAAGGGACCAGACCAUCGAGAGCGUAACUUACCUGGGAAUAGGUGCAAGCGAGAAUUGCAUAAAAGCACUUUCUGACCUGGAGUGAACGAUUUUCUCAUAAUUUGCUUAUCAUGGAAGACUUUCAUUCGUUGCUUGUAAAUCUUGGCAUUUUCGUAUGCGUCAUUGCGAAUUUCUUCAAGUUCUGCCAGUUGUAAUCUUCUUUCUGAGCUGGCUUGCUGCAUGUCAAAGUUGAAUUUCUUGAUGGCCCAAUACGCACGAUGCUCGAGUUCCACAGGUAGGUGGCAAGCUUUUCCAUACACUAGCAUGUAGGGUGACAUCCCAAUCGGGGUCUUGAAAGUCGUUCUAUAUGCCCAUAAUGCAUCAUCAAGUCUUAAUGACCAAUCUUUUCUGUCCGGCCUCACCGUCUUUUCUAAUAUGUGCUUUAUUUCUCGAUUGGAGAUCUCAACUUGGCCACUGGUUUGCGGAUGACACGGGGUCGCCACUUUGUGUGUGAUUGAAUACUUUGUCAAAAGAGCUUUGAAUGCUUUGUUACAAAAGUGGGCACCACCAUCACUGAUUAUUGCUCGAGGGAAUCCAAAGCGCGAAACAAUGUUGCUUUUAAAAAAUCCUAUCACCACCUUGUGAUCAGUGGUUCUACAUGGAAUUGCUUCUACCCAUUUUGAGACAUAGUCAACAGCAACCAAUAUGUAUUGAUGGCCAAAAGAAGUGGGAAAUGGUCCCAUGAAGUCGAUACCCCAUACAUAAAAAAUCUCAACCACUAAAAUUGGAUUUAGUGGCAUCAUGUUCCUUCGUGUAAUGCUCCCCAUUCGUUGACACUUAUCACAUGAAGAACAAAAAGUGUAAGCAUCUCGAAAUAUAGUUGGCCAAUAAAAACCACAUUGUAAAACUUUAGUUGCUGUUUUCUUAGCACUGAAAUGGCCUCCACAAGCUUAUUCAUGGCAGAAUGAAAGAAUAUUCUGAAUUUCAAUUUCUGGGACACAUCGUCUAACAAUUUGAUCAGCACAAUACUUGAACAAAUACGGGUCAUCCCAAAAGAAAUUCUUUAUCUCUGCAAAGAAUUUAGCCUUGUCUUGCUUGGUCCAAUGCUCUGGAAGUUUACCUGUAACAAGAUAAUUAACUAUAUCAGCAUACCAAGGUAAUACUUCCACAUUCAUUAAUUGUUCAUCUGGAAAUGACUCAUUCAAUAUUAAUGGCUCUGUAAUUGUGUCAAAAUGGAGACGAGAGAGAUGGUCCGCCACAACAUUUUCAGUGCCUUUCUUAUCUUUGAAUUCCAAGUCAAAUUCCUGCAAAAGUAACACCCAACGAAUUAAUCUAGCUUUUGCAUCUUUCUUUGUGAGAAGAUAUUUAAGAGCAGCAUGAUCUGUGAAUACAAUUAUUUUACAACCAAUGAGAUAAGAUCGAAAUUUUUCUAAUGCAAACACUAUGCUAGCAUUUCUUUUUCAGUAGUUGAAUAGUUCAACUGUGCAUCAUUCAAUGUCAUACUAGCAUAGUAAAUAACAUGGGGAACUCGAUCAACUCUUUGUCCUAAUACUGCUCCUAUUGCAUAAUCAGAUGCAUCACACAUGAGCUCAAAUGGUAAACUCCAAUUUGGGGGCUGAAUGAUGGGUGAUGAUGUCAACAACUGCUUUAAUUUUCCAAAUGCCACAAGACAUGAAUCAUCAAAGACAAAAGGUACAUCCUUAGCAAGUAGAUUGCAUAAGGGUCUAGAAACUUUGCUAAAAUCUUUAAUGAAACGUCUAUAAAAACCAGCAUGCCCAAGGAAAGAUCUUACUUCUCUGACUGUUUUAGGUGGAGGAAGAUUAGAAAUGAGAUCCACCUUGGCUUUGUCAACCUCAAUACCUUUGCUUGAAAUGAUGUGACCGAGAACAAUACCUUGUUUUACCAUAAAAUGGCACUUCUCCCAAUUUAAGACUAAAUUCUUCUCGAUACAUCUCUGCAGAACUAGCGUUAGAUGAUGUAAACAUUGAUCAAACGAAUCACCAAAGACAGAAAAGUCAUCCAUAAAGACUUCAAGAAAUCGUUCAACCAUAUCAGAAAAAAUGCUCAACAUGCAUCGUUGAAAUGUAGCAGGUGCAUUACAUAAUCCAAAUGGCAUUCUCCUAUAUGCAAAAGUGCCAAAAGGGCAAGUGAAAGUAGUUUUCUCUUGAUCUUUUGGUGCUAUGGGGAUCUGAUUGUAUCCUGAGUAGCCAUCUAGAAAGCAAUAAAAUUCAUGGCCUACUAAUCUAUCAAGCAUUUGAUCGAUAAAUGGUAAAGGAAAAUGGUAUUUACGUGUGACAGAAUUCAACUUUCUAUAAUCAAUGCAUACACGCCAUCCUGUAGUCACUCUAGUGGGUAUCAAUUCAUUAUCAGCAUUCGUAACUACUGUGACUCCUAACUUUUUGGGGACAACUUGUACAGGACUGACCCAUGAACUAUCAGAAAUUGGGUAAAUGAUACCUGCGUCUAAUAGCUUAAGGACUUCAGUUCUAACAACUUCUUUCAUAUUAGGAUUUAAUCGCCGUUGCAUUUCCCUAGUAGAUUUAGUAUUUUCAUCAAGGUGAAUGUAAUGCAUGCAGUCUACUGGGUUUAUACCUUUUAUGUCUGCUAUGGUCCAUCCUAAUGCUCCUUUGUGCUCUUUUAAAACAUCCAACAACUUACCUUUUUGUUCGUCAUUUAGGGAUGAUGAGAUGAUUACCGGUAGAGUACUUUCUUCUCCCAAAAAUGCAUAUUCCAAUGUGUUGGGUAAUGGUUUGAGCUCGAGUUUUGGUGGUGAUUCUGAUGAUGGGAUGAGUUUCUUUUCUGAUGGUGCUAGUUGUUCAACUCUUGACUUCCAUUUAUUAGUGUCCAUAGAUGGUGCUGAGUCAAGUAGGGCGUUGACCUCAUCGACUGAUCUGUCAAUAUCAAAAUCCAAACCAAAGUGAGUUAAACAUGUUUGUAAAGGAUCAUCACUAAGGUUUGAAAGAAAAGUAUUAUCAACUAUUGUUUCUAUUAAAUCCACAUCAACAAUUCCAUCAUCUGCACUGUGAGGUUGUUUGGCAAUGUUGAAAAUAUUUAGCUCCAUAGUCAUGUUGCCGAAGGACAACUGCAUAUUUCCAGUCCUGCAUUGAAUGUGAGCAUCCGCAGUUGCCAAGAAAGGUCGGCCUAAGAUAAUGGGGAUAUGCUUCCUUGAAUCCUGUAUUGGUUGAGUGUCAAUUACAAUGAAAUCAACAGGAAAAUAAAACUUAUCUACCUGGAUAAGCACGUCCUCCACAAUGCCACGAGGUAUUUUCGUGGACCGAUCUGCAAGCUGUAACACCACUGGAGUUGGGUGUAAUUCUCCAAGUCCAAGUUUCAAAAAUACUGAGUAAGGCAACAGAUUUACACUAGCUUCUAAAUUCAACAAAGCAUUCUCAAUUGUGUGGUUCCCUAUGCUACAUGAGAUAGUGGGGGAGCCUGGGUCUUUGCAUUUUAAAGGAAUUUUGUGUUGGAGUAUAGAACUAAUGUUUCUGUUAAAAAUGCCUUCUUUUGAACAUGCAUAUUUCUUUUUUUAGUACAAAGGUCUUUAAGAAACUUGGCAUAAGAUGGAACUUGCUUUAUAGCAUCAAGUAAAGGGAUGUUAACACUUACCUGUUUGAAGAUUUCAAGAAUCUCACCUGUGGAUUUUCCCUUCUUUCCUUUCGCUAACCUCUGAGGAAAUGGAGCUUUCGGAAUGUAUUCUCGUGGGUUGGUUUCUUCUUUCUCCUCCGGUGAUGAGUCCUCAACACUUACAGGUACAAUUUGAUUUUCUUUUGCCACCGGCAUCUCCACUUUGUUGUCGACUUCUUUUCCUUUUCGCAAAGUCAUGACUGCUUUGACUUCUCCAUGCUGCUGUGGUGAACUGGUACUUGCUUCAUGCACUCCUUUAGGAUUAGGCACUGGUUGACUUGGAAACUUACCUUUCUCAACGGUCAUUGCCAAGGUCUGAACUGAAGAAGCAAGUUGUCCCACCAUCUUCUCGAGGCUUGAAACUGAUUGAGCUUGUGAGUUGAAGCCUGCUCUCAACUCAUUUCGUAGUCCAUCAAUGGUGCGGUUUUGUUGCUCAAUCAUGGAGUGAGUAAGAUUCUUGAGAUUCUGGAAUGAAUCCUCCCAUGGUAUGGGUUGAGAGUAGUUCUGGUUCUGAUUGUAUGGUCUAAAUGGUGGCUGGGAGGCUUGAGGAACUUGAGGAAUUUGUUGCAUUGGUGGAGUUGGAGCUUCUGGUCCAUUCUGUUGGAAUCCUUGAGACCAUGAAAAAUUGGGGUGGUCUCUCCAUCCAAGGUUAUAUGUGUUGGAGUAUGGGUUGUAAUUUGAUGGUUUUCUCAUUACACCUAUGGCAUUGGCUUGAUCUGAGUAUGAGUCAAGGUCAUGUGGUUCAGUUGAUUUAGCAGUCGAUAACGAUGCUAUUUGUCGAGCAAGACCUUCAACCAUCUCCUUGACUUCUUUGAUUCCCGAAGUUGACUCGCCAAUGUGAACCUCAUUCACUCCUUUAAUUCUUUUAGUAUUCCUGAGUGAUCGACUCCGUUGUUGGGAAUUAUCUGCUUGUCGCUGGAAGAAUUCUCAAAUUUCUGAUGCACUUUUUGACAUUAGCUCUCCUCCACUUGUUGCCAUUAGCCAUUCUUGCACAUUCGGCAAUAAUCCCUCCAAAUAGUAUUGGCAUUGGUGCCAUUUCUCGUACCCAUGAUGUGGACACUUCAAGAGUAGCCCAUUGAAUCGCUCCCAUGUUUCGAAAAAUUGCUCGUCCUCUCUCUGGGUAAACUCCGAGAUUUCCCUGCGAAUAGCAUUGGUUUUAUGCACUGGGAAAUAUUUAUUCAAAAAUUUUGUUACCAUUUGUUCCCAUGAUGAAAUGCUAUUAGCAGGUAAUGUAUUAAGCCAUGAACGAGCUCUAUCCUUUAAAGAAAAUGGGAAUAAUCUGAGUUUAACAUCAUCGUCUGAAAAAUUUUCGUAUUUAAAAGUUUGACAAAUAGCAUGAAAAUCAUUCAGAUGAUUAUAUGGAUCCUCAUUUUCUAAGCCAUAGAAUGUGGGGAGACAAUUUAGCACACUAGGUUUUAACUCAAAGCUCCUAGCAGCUACAUUUGGGUAUCUUAUGCAUGAUGUGCUCAAAUUAGCUAAGGGACUAAAAUAGUCCUUAAAUGGCCUCUCCUGUGGUUGCAAAUCCAUUUUAUUUUUAAUUUGUUUGUGUGUGCGAAGUGUUUUUCCUAAUUCAAGGUCUAUAGGUUCAAGAUUAGGAAAUAAUGACCUACGACCAUGCAUGCAAAACAAAUAAAAUAAAAAUAAAGAUGGGAACAAAACAAAUAAAAAUAAAGAAGAGGGAGAAAUUACGAUACUAACCUUAUUGCGCUAUUACAACCUUACUAUAAAAAUACACAAAAAAAAUACGUGAAAUAAAUUAACUAAAAAUAAAUUAAUAAGAUAAACAAAAAAAAAUUACAAAGAAAAAUAAAUUAAAAAUUAAAUUACAGAAUUUUAAAGAAGAGAAAAAGAAAAGAAAUACUAACCUUUAAAUGUAGAUUCACUUUUUUUUUUAAUAAGAAAAAACAAAUACAAGAAAACAAAUAAAAGAAAUUAUUCACAAAAAUUAAUUCUAUGAAUUAAAAUUACUUACCUCCCCGGCAACGGCGCCAAAAACUUGUUGUGCAAAUUUUAAUGUACUCACAAGCGCACGAAUCUAUUGUAGUAUAGAUCAAUGGUGACGAGUGUCGAUCCCACGAAGAGGUGGAUUUUAAUUGUGUGUAGAAUUAAUUUCGUAAAUGGGUGAUUGGAUUUAUGGUGGAAAUGGUUUAGAAUAUGCUAAAACUUAAAUUAAAAUGGCGAGAAUAAAUUCUAAAAUUGGAAUUGCAAUGGCGAGAAUAAAUUGAAGAUAAUUCUAUUGAAAUGACGUACUUGGGUAUUCGGAUCCGUAUCAACAUGCAUCAUGGGCUAAAUAAUCCUUAUUAAUGCCAAUUAAAUCAUGAGGGGGGAAUCCACACCUCAUGAACCACGCUCUAAUCAAUAUGGUGCUAAGGGCUUAUCGUGCCAAAUAAUAAUAACCUUGUACUAGAGAGCCGGUGUAACUAAGGCGGUAUCUAGACAAGAUUAUUAUUAUUUGUCGACGAAAAGUCAAAUCAUCCACAAAAACUAGAGGGGAAGAGAAAAUAAAUUUACCAAAUAAAGCCUAUGACACAUGUUGAGACUUCACCUUCAACCCAAGCUUGAAAGAAAAUUAGCCACUCAUAAUUGAACUAAGGGCAAAAUGGAAAUUUAUUAAAAUACAUAGAAAAUACAAGAUGGAGAGGGAAUUACAGAAAAUGGAGUCCAAAAAUGGAUUCAGAGAUAUCAAAUUAGGGGGGAGAGGCCCCCUUUUUAUAGAUACAUGGAGUAAAUCAUGACCAUCGGAUUAAAAACAGUUUGGACGCUCAGGAUUGCACCACGUCAUCAGUCAACAGUACGCGGUUUGACCAUGUGGAUGAACAGUAACACGGUUUGACCCGGAUGAACAGUAAUGCGGUUUGGUUGAAAAUAAUCCUGUGUGAUUCAUGUACCGUACGCGAGAUUUUUCGUCCACUGAUAUGCUGCCACGUCACCAUAAACAGUACAUAAGAAUUUUAGCCCAACAGGAUCGUGACACCUCAUCAGUCAAUGCCACAUCAUCGGUCAAUGCCACGUCAUCGAUCCGUCUAUAUGAACAGUGUCGUGAACAGUAACGUAGACAGUACCGUACACAUGAAUAGUACCGUACAUGUGAAUAGUGUUAUUUUUCCUUUUAUGCUCCUCCUAAGGUUUUCGACCGUCCUGAGUUCAAAAAUGAUGUCCGUUUUGCCGUCUGAUCUCUCCUUUAUUAUGAAAUGACUAUAAUGCCCCUAAAAUACAUAAAAUACUUAAUUAAAAUAAAACACACGUAAUUAAAUCACAAGAAGAUUAAAUACAUAAAAGUAAGGGUUGUUAGUAAGACUUGAAAUAUAAAAUGACGGUUUUCUCCUUUAUAAAUAUACAUUUUCUAACACUCAACAGUCAGCGCUCGCAAACGGCAGUUAACGGAUCGGUGGACGGCAGAAGUGUUUUGUCAACUUAGGGUAUACGAGUGAUACACUUGAAAAAUAUUGUAGCACGUUUGAUACUGGUGUCAUUUAAGAGUAUACGGCUGAUAAUUUCCCUUUUUUUUAUUGCUUGCAUGUAUCAUAUACAUGUAUAUACUGUAGCCGUCCCCUAUUGUGAAAGGUUGUUAUUCUUUAGUCUUUACUACACAAAUAGUAGUUUUUUUUUCCUUCUUUUUUCAAAUUUUGGGUUUUCUUUUACGGCUUCUGAGAGAAGUACCUGCGAAUGGAUCAAAACAAGGGAAUUUCAAUUUAAUGAUUUGACUCUUCUGCCAUGCUUUGCUUUUCAAAUCAUUUGAUAUGGAGCGGAGCAGUGAUGAGCUACAGAAAAUUCUUGACUCUGAGUGCGAGGAGAGGGAGAUGUGUGUGUCACUGUUUGUAAUUUUUUUGUAUUACCAAUGAAAUAUAUUUAGCAUGAGUGUGAUAAAUAUAUGUGGGUCCAGUUACCUUGCAACAAUUGCAAUACACCAUUUAUUUUUGUCUUAUGUGACGUUACAUUUCAUUUAACACCUUGUUUUUUUUCUUAUUUACAUUUUAUUUAUAAGUUUAUAUGUUUUAACUAGUGAACUUUUAAAAUGUAAACUUAUUUUUUUAAUAUUAUUUAUUUUUUUACAUUUAUUUAUAAUUUGUAUGCUUUAGCUGGUAACUUUUAUAAAAUGUAAUUUUAUUUUAUUUAACAUUAUUUAUCUUUAAAAAAAAAGAAUAAAUAUAAUAAUAAGCCUAUGACUAAAUAAUAUUAAAUAAAAUAAAUAAUAUUAAAUAAAUUAAAUUAAAUAAAUAAUAUUAAAAUUUUAACUUAAAUAAAAUAAAUAAUAUUAAAAAUGAUAUUAUUUUUAAGACACUAUUGAUUUUUUAAUGUUAUUCAGUUUUUAAAGAAUAAAUAUAAUAAUAAGCCAAUGAUUAAAUAAUAUUAAAUAAAACAAAAAUAAAAAUAUUAAAAAUAAUAUUUAUUUUUAAAGCUCCCUAAUGAUUAUUUUAUUUUAUUUAAUGUUAUUUAGUUUUUUGAAAGAAUAAAUAUAAUAAUAAGUAUAUGACUAAAUAAUAUUAAAUAAAAUGGAAUAAAUAAUAGUUAUUUAUUCUUUUAAAUAAAAUAUAUAAUAUUAAAAAUAAAAUUUAUUUUUUAAUACUCACUACUAAUUAAACAAUAUAAAUUGUAAACAAUCCGGACUUAUGUGCUAAAAUUUUUAACUCUUUAAUUUGUUUGUGUCUUUAAUAAAUAUCAGGGAGUGCAAUGUUAAUAUUUAAAUGAACAAAUCUCUACCAUUGAAACAACCUUUUCACUAAAUCCAACGUUUUGUCUAAAACUACCUUUUCACUAAACUACCUUUUGUCUGAAAUCAAGAAAAGACAAAACUUGAGGGUACCUUGCAACUGUUGUAAGGUAGCUGAGUCCAAUAUAUAUUGCCAUAAAACGAAAUAUCAUAUCCAAAAUAAUAAUAAUAAUAAGUGUGUCAGAUGACACAAACAGCUGAAAAACGAGGAAACGUCUUCUUCUAACAAAGUUUGUAAUUAAAAAUUUAUAAACGAAUACAUACAUAUAUAUGAAAGGAAAGAUGAUGAUGAUAAUGAUAAAGAGAAUAGGGUUGAAUUUGGCGAGAGGGGUCCCCCUAUUUGUUGAAUUUCAUAUUAAAUAAAUAUCCGUUUGUCUCUUUAAUGGCCAAACAGACCAGCUGCCAACAACUUAUUCCAAUGUGAGUAGAUCACAGUGGGUACUGCACAUGAUGCUUGUUUCUCCUUUUGCAUCUAUUUUUGUUGUUAAUAUUAAUUUCAAUAGCAGCUCGUUAUUAUGUAUGCAACAUUUCAAAAUUAAUCCAAAAAAAACAAAAAUUAGUUCAGCUGACUAAAUUUGAAAGCAUGGAUUUGCUGUCGAUUAAAAAUCGUUUUGUAGGGAAAAUUUUUGGAUUGCAAUUCUCAUACAAUACAUAGAAUUAUCAUAAUCUAUAAAUUGUAUUUUUGCUUUUCACUUAUAUUUAGAUAGUUCAACAUUUUUAUUGGUUUGAUUUAGGGUUAGUUUGGUAACGUUAGUUUAAUACUCUGAUUAUUAUUAUUCGAUUCGUUUACUUUGAUUAUUAUUAUUUUUUAAUAGAGAAUAAAUUAUUCGAUUAAAAAAGUGAUUUUUUCUCUAUUAACAAGUGAUUUUUCUCUAUUAAAAAAUAAUAAUAAUCAAAGUAAACGAAUCGAAUAAAAAAAUAAUAAUAAUCAAAGUUCACAUAAUCUAUAAAUAUCAUGUUUAUUUAUUUAAGAUAGUUCAAAAUUUUUAUUGGUUUGAUUUAGGGUUAGUUUGGUAAUCCUGUAGCUUUAAAAUUAAUUACAGUUAGCUAUGCUGUAGAAAUUGAUCAAUCGUAAAAAGAAUCAACCGAACAUUUAGUAAAUUUUAUUUUUAAAAGUACUUUUAGUUUUAAAAGCAGUCGUGUGUGUUUCAUAAAUCUUAUUAUUAAACUGGUGAAAAAAUAUAAAUGACUGAAUUGAACAUAAUGCUAAAUAAAAUUUAUUUACACAUUUACAAACAUGCAUAUAAAAUAUUUUUAUUACGUACAUAUAAUUAUUGAUAACUAAAAUAAAUAUUUUAUAUUAUUAAAUUUUAUUCUCUAUUUUGUUAUCUCAAUGUAAUUGAUAAUAAUAAUAAUAAUCUAUUUUAAGUUAAUGAUUUUAUUUCUUAAUUCAUAAAGAUAAUUUUAGAUUUUUAUUAUAUAAUGGGGAUAUAUAUAGAAUUGGAUUGAGUAUAAAAGUGAUUCUCAAAAUCAAAUUUUGAAAAACUAUUCAUUCACUACUUUUCAAAAUCUACUGUAUUAUGAGAUGAUUUUACCAAAGUAAUUACUAAAAAAAUUUAUAAAACACUAAAACUUAGCUUUUAUGGUGUGUUUACUUCAUGGAAUGGGGAAUGGGAAUAAAAUGUGUGGGUCUCACACAAUUUGGGAAUAAGGAAUGAGAAUCCCAUGCCCAUGAGUGGUUGGGAAUAAAAGUGAGGGAAUGAGAAUGGAAUAUAUAUUUACUUUUGUAUCCCUCUAAUUUUUUCAUAUUUUCCAAAUUACCCUCAUUCAAAUCACAAUUAAUUUUAUUAUUUAAAAUGUCAUUAAUAAUAAUAAUAUUAUUAUUAUUAAAUUUUAUUAACUUUAUUAUUUUAGUUAUUAUUAAUUAUUUUUAUUAAUAUUAUUAUUAUUAACAAUAAAAAUAAUAAUUGAUAAAAAAUAAUUAAUUUAUCAUUAUUAACAAUAUUAUCAUUAUUUUUGUUAUUAUUAUUAUUAUUAAAAAUAAAAAUAACAAUAAUUAAUAAUAACUAAAAUAAUAAAGUUAAUAAAAUUUAAUAAUAAUAAGUUAAUAAUGAUAAUUUUAAUAAAAAUAAUAUUAACAAUAAUUAGUAAUAACUAAAAUAAUAAAGUUAAUAAUAUUUAAUAAUAAUAUCUAAUAUUAUUAUUAUUAAAUAUUAUUAACUUUAUUAUUUCAGGUAUUACUAAUUAUUGUUAAUAUUAUUUUUAAUAAUAAUAAUAGUAAUAAUAACAACAAUAAUGAUAAAUUAAUUAUUAAUACUAUGGGUAUUUUGGUAAAUUGAUUCUCAUUCUCAUUCCUCAUUCUCAUUUAUUUUGCCAAGUAAACAUAUCAAUAGCAUUCCAGCACAUUCUCAUUCCCAUUUAUUUUUGUCAAGUAAACAUUGAAAUCUCAUUCAUAUUUCUCAUUUCCAUUCCAGUCCAUUCUCAUUCCCAAUCCACUCACAUUCCACCCCAUUCCACUUCCAUGAAGUAAAUGCACCAUUAAUUUUUAAAAUCAAUUUUGAGCUUCCCAAAAACAAUCCAAACAUGCCUUUAUUUGGGUGGUGUUAGAACUGUUAGCCUAAAGGACUAUACAUAAUGUGAUUUUGAUGAUAACAAACAUAUGUAUUAAGUGAUUUAAUAAAUAUUGUAUUUCACAUUUUCACUAGUUUUUGAAGGAUAAUAUUUAUGCAAGUGAAUCAAGUGAAAUCAAGAUUGAAGACACUCAACGGACAACGGUGACAUCAAGAAUAGUCUAGAGCUCCACGAACAAAUUAGUGCGAUAAAUUCUUGUAAAGCCGGUAUGAUUUAAUUGAUGUAUGAUUUAGCAUUUGAGAAGCUCAAGAGAUUAAUUUAAUUAAAUACUUUUCAUAAACUAAAAGUUUUAUUUUUAUAAAGUAAAGUAUUUUGUGGAUUUAAGUAAUUUGGACUUAAAUGCUAAUAUUUGAAAUCUUUGAUUUUAAAUAAGUAUUAAAUUUCAGAGUUGGACGUUUUUACAAAUAUUUGAAAUGUUUUGGGCCAUACUAUAAUUUAUGAAUAUGUUGGACUAAAGUGAAAGGUUUUGAGAACUUUGAAAAAUAUGGGUAUUAUGUUGAAAAGGACCUUUGUGCGAAAUAAUAAAAUCUUUGGGGCCAUAUCAUAAUUUUAGAAAGUUUGGGAAAGACGACUAUUCUUAGGAAGUUCUGAAAUUGGAUCUAUUUGUAAAGUUUUAUGACAUUUUGAGCCAUAGUAUAAUUAUAGAAAGUUUUGGGUCAAAGUAUAAAUUUAGUGAACAGAGUUACUGUAGUAAAUUCAAAAAUAACGGUAAUAUCACUGUUCCUGAGCGGCUAGCCGGAUAAUCAAGCGGCUAACCGCUUGGGCGCGGGAAUUUACCUAUAACGGCUAGUUUUCGGGCUUUCACUAUUAAAACUCAACUCAAACUUCAUUCCUUAAACGAAUGCAAGGAAAAACAAGAUCAUAUAACAUAUAUUGAGCUUCCAUUUCGCAAAUCAUCAUUGAUUGAAUGAUCAUUGAGCUAUAAUUUGUUAUCUACUCUUAAAGAGAGUUUCAUUGUUGUGAUUUUCAUUUCUCAUCAAAUUGUGAGUGUACAAGUGUGAGAAACACUUGGGGUGAAGAGAUUGGGGAGAUAAUCUCUUGUUGUAAAGGUUCAUUGACACCUUAGAAGUCAAUUGUAAACAUUUGAAGCCUUGGGAGGUUUGGAUAGUGAAAUCCUCAAGCCAGGUGUGCUUGGAGGCGUGGACGUAGGCAGGGAUAGCCGAACCACGUAAAAAUCCUUGUGUUUGUUUUAUCUUCCCUUACUCUUUUAAUAUUGUGCUUGAUUGAAUUUAUUAUUUUUUUAUUUGAUUAAGGCAAUAGAUUCAAUUGUUGUGCGAAUUGUAUUGCAUAAUUUUAAAAACCCAAUUCACCCCCCUCUUGGGUUGCAUAACUUGCAUUUCAUUUGGUAUCAGAGCGAGGUGCUCUUGUGUAGACUUAACCGUCUAGAGUAAAAGAUCCAUGGCAACCCAUAAUGAUUCAACCUUUAGGGAAGGACAAUCCACAAUUAGACCACCGUUCUUUGACGAUAAUGACUACCCAUAUUGGAAAACUAGGAUGAGAAUUUAUUUACAAGCUUUAGAUUAUGAAAUUUGGGAAAUUGUUUGUGAUGGUCCAUUUAUGCCUUUGACUAAAAACGAAGUCGGGGAAGAUAUUCCAAAACCUUCACGGGAAUGGAAUGAAUUGGAAAAGAGAAAAGCUUCUCUAAAUUCCAAAGCCAUGAAUGCCUUGUUUUGUGCACUUGAUAAGAAAGAGUUUCAUAGAGUGUCAAGUUGUGAAAGUGCUAAUAAAAUUUGGCACAAACUUGAAGUUGUUUAUGAAGGCACGAAUCAAGUGAAAGAGUCUAAAAUUAGUAGGUACACUCGACAAUAUGAAUUGUUUCAAAUGGAACAAAAUGAGAGUGUGUAUUCUAUGUAUACUAGAUUUACGGACAUAGUGAACACUCUAUGAGCCCUAGGAAAGACCUUUUCAAAUAGCGAGAAAGUUAAGAAAAUCAUUAGGUCUCUACCUAAGGAAUGGAGACAAAAAAAGACUGCCAUUGAGGAAGCCAAAGAUUUAAAUAUUUUACCUAUUGAUGAUUUAAUUGGUUCUCUUAUUUCUUAUGAGGAAGACUUGGCAGCUGAAAGAAGCAAUGAGGAGAAGAAGAAAAGUAUUGCUCUCAAAGCCUCGAAACACGAGAGUGAUGAGGAAAGCGAGCUGGAUGAGGAGGAGAUGGAUAUGCUGGCGAGGAGGUUUAGAAAACUUUUUAAGAAAUCCGGUGAGCGAAGAAAAUUUAGAGACCUCAAGAAAUGAAAGGAGAAGAAUGAAGUAAUCAAAUGUUAUGAGUGCAAAAAGCCUGGCCAUAUAAGAACGGAUUGCCCUCUUCUCAACAAACUCAAGAAGAAAGCAAUGGUAGCCACAUGAGAUGAUAGCGAUGAGGAAACAAGUGAUGAUAAAGAGCAUCAAGAAAUGACAAAUCUAGCUCUCAUGGCAAUUGGAGAUGAAUCGGAUGAUGAACUUGAUGAGGUAAAUGAUAUUUCUACUCAUGAUGAAUUAUAUGAUGCUUUUAAAGAAUUGCAUGAUAAUUGGAUAAAAAUUGGUAAAAAGAAUGCAUGUUUUAAAAAGAAAAUGGUAAAGCUCACAAAUGAAAAUGAAUCUCUAAGUGCAAAGAUUACAUGCCUAGAAUUAGAGAAUAAAACAUUACAUGAUAGAGUUGUAUUAUCAAAUGAGAAACCUAGCACUUCACAUGAGCAUCUAGAAUCAUAUGUAGAUGACUUGAAAAAUGAAAAUGAUGCUUUACAAAAAUGCAAUGAUUCAUUAAAUGAAAAGCUUAAAGGACUAGAGUUAGAUAAUAAAAUGUUGCAUGAUAGAAUUGUAUCAUUUAAAUGCAAACAAAGUACUUCAUAUGAGCAUGAGAAAUCACAUGUUGGUGAAUUAAUGAAAGAAAAUGAAGUGCUUAAGAAGAAGAGUAAUGAACUAAAUCAAAUUGUGUUAAAAUUCACAAAUUGGCAAAAGAUGUUGGAUAACUUGCUUAAUUCACAAAAAUGUGUGUUUGAUAAAGGAGGUAUUGGUUAUAAGCCAAAUUUGAAACAAAAAUAUUAUAAGAGUUAUUUUGUUAAAACUACCUCCAUUAAUGAUCAAAUUGUAUGUCAUUAUUGCAAUCAAAAUGGUCACAUAAAGAAUAGAUGUCCAGUUAAAAUAAAUGCAUAUUAUGGAGCAAAAUGUAUUUGGGUUCCAAAAGGAACCAUUACUAACACUCAGGGACCCAAGAAUAUUUGGGUACCAAAGUACACAACUUGAAUAAUUUUUGUAGGUACCACAAACAAGGAAGGGUGGAGAGUUCCUUGAUGAAACUUGUGAGGAUAAUCACUUGAUCAUGGUCUAGGCAAAAAUAAUGAGGCAAGAUGGUUUAAUUGUUUUGGUAACAAUUAUUGCCUUAUUGAUUAUAAGUUACGGUCUUUUAAUCUUAGUAAAUAUUUCAUAUUUCAUUAUAUCAUUAAGUGCUUUAUCAUGAUGGAUUUGUUUGAUUUUAAUGAUUAUGUAAUGCCUAAGUAUGAUAAAUGAGUAAUAUGCUUGAAUUAUUAAUCUUUGAAUGCUUAUAUGUUUCAUGAUUGAGUAAAAUAUAUACAUGAUGGAUGAAUUAUAUGUGUGAAUUAAUCAUGUCUUAAAUGUUUAUAAUUUCAACCAUAAAGGUUAUUGUAUCUCAUAAUUGUGAUGGAUAUGCAUGAUGAAUAUGUUAUAAAUUUGAGUUUUAUGAUUUUUUGGAUGUUAAUUAUAUUGAUCCAUGCAUUAAAAUGGUUUUUGAAAAUGUUUGGAUCACGAAAUGGUCUUAAAAUCGAUCAAAAAUAGCCAGAGAGCAAAAAUUGGUGCAGAUGGGCAGCCAUGAGGUAGCUAGCCGCCUGCCCCAAGCGGCUAGCCGCUUUGUCACGGGUUGGAGUAAUUGUUUUUGCUUCUUCUUCUUCCUUCGUUAUUUUUCUGCACUUGUUCCUCUCUCUCUCAAAACCGUGAGCCACCCUCUUCCAUUUCCAAUCAAUUUCUCUUUAUUUCUCAACCAUUUUUAUGCCAAAAUUAAUCAUUCAAACCAAUACCCAUGCAUUUCACUCUCAUUAAACACUUCCCAAUCAUCAUUUCUUCACUUGUUCUUGAUCAUUUCAUCAUCAUCUCUCACGCGUGAACAGUACCUCUCCAUUUCUCUCUCAAAUUUCUUCAUCUUUCACUCAUUCUCUUGCCAAAAUCAAUCAUCCAACUCAUUAUUCAUCCAUUACUCCUUCAAUUUUCACUCUCAAAACAUGAUUUCAUUAUCUCUCCACAUAAAACCCAAAAUCAAAAACCUAACUUACCCAUUUCUUUCUCUUCCAAUUUAAGCUCUUUUUAGUCCACUUUUGAUCCAAUCAACACCAUCCAUUAUCUUAAAUCAUCUCUUGGAUCAAUAUAAUCAGUUUAAAAUAAUCCAUUUCACUCAUUAUUUUACAAAACCGAGUUUGUGCAUUUUGGGUAUUUUAAAUUACCAUGGUUCCUUAUUAUAUUAUGCACCUACAUUUUCAUAUGCAUAAUUGUUUUAAUUGUAGAUUACGGAUGAUGGUUGUUUAAUAUUUGGAUAACUUAUAUUUGGAUGAUAUUUUCUGAAUUCUUAGAAUGAAUAUGACUCUUUAGUUAAUUGAAUGCUUAAUUUUUAUAUGUUUCUUGAUUAAUCAUUGAGAUAUUCUUUUUGGUAUAAGCAUAGAUUUAUAGUACUUUUGAUGAUUGAUGAUUAUAUGUGUGUUGCUUGAUGAAUUAAUGGAGUUGUUAGUUUGUUAUAAUUGUUUCAGCUUAUAUGGAAGUGUUUUUAACCAUGUUGUAUAUUUAAGGAUUUGUUCAUUUUAAGGGGAGAUUCUGCCGAAAUUUUUGCUCGCACAAAAUUGGUAAUAUCUUUAUCGAAUUAUUUUUGAUGCUCUUGUUUCGAUUGCAUCUAUCUAUUUUUUAUGAAGGGGAAGAUAAAUAUGAUAUGUUUUUGGAUAAUAUCAUUUUGGUUAAAUUUUUUAAUUGGCCAUAUAUUUAGGGGGAGCAUACAAUAUGAUUUUGGAUAAUAUGCAUUUUGAGCAUUCUUUUGAUGGGUUGAUGGUUCAUGAUCAUUUUAUGGUUAAUUGGAUGUUUGGUUAUUAUAUGUUUCUUGAUUAACCAUUGACAUAUUAUCGAUCUUCACAUGAAUUUCUAGUAAUUUUGAUGAUGAAGGGGGAGAAGUCAUGUAUUUUGAAUAUGAAGACAUAUAAUACGUAUUUUGUAUUUCAAGUAUUUAUGCAUGGUUUUGAAAUAUUAAGGGGGAGCUUACAAAUUAUCAUAAAUCAAAUAUUCAGGGGGAGUUUUUGUUUUGAAUUUGAUUUAUAUGUUUAAUUAUAUAUGCCAUGUAUUAAGGGGGAGUACAAAUGUCAAAAUACAUGAGAUGUUUGUCAUCAUCAAAAAGGGGGAGAUUGUUAGCCUAAAGGGCUAUACAUAAUAUAAUUUUGAUGAUAACAAACAUAUGUAUUAAGUGAUUUAAUAAAUAUUGUAUUUCACAUUUUCACUAGUUUUUGAAGGAUAAUAUUUAUGCAAGUGAAUCAAGUGAAAUCAAGAUUGAAGACACUCAACGGACAACGGCGACAUCAAGAAUAGUCUGGAGCUCAACGAAUAAAUUAGUGCGAUAAAUUCUUGUAAAGCCGGUAUGAUUUAAUUGAUGCAUGAUUUAGAAUUUGAGAAGCUCAAGAGAUUAAUUUAAUUAAAUACUUUUCAUAAACUAAAAGUUUUAUUUUUAUAAAGUAAAGUAUUUUGUGGAUUUAAGUAAUUUGGACUUAAAUGCUAAGAUUUGAAAUCUUUGAUUUUAAAUAAGUAUUAAAUUUUGGAGUUGGACGUUUUUACAAAUAUUUGAAAUGUUUUGGGCCAUACUAUAAUUUAUGAAUAUGUUGGACUAAAGUGAAAGGUUUUGAGAACUUUGAAAAAUAUGGGUAUUAUGUUGAAAAGGACCUUUGUACGAAAUAAUAAAAUCAUUGGGGCCAUAUCAUAAUUUUAGAAAGUUUGGGAAAGACGACUAUUCUUAGGAAGUUCUGAAAUUGGAUCUAUUUGUAAAGUUUUAUGACAUUUUGAGCCAUAGUAUAAUUAUAGAAAGUUUUGGGUCAAAGUAUAAAUUUAGUGAACAGAGUUACUGUAGCAAAUUCAAAAAUAACGGUAAUAUCACUGUUCCUGAGCGGCUAGCCGGAUAAUCAAGCGGCUAACCGCUUGGGCGCGGGAAUUUACCUAUAACGGCUAGUUUUCGGGCUUUCACUAUUAAAACUCAACUCAAACUUCAUUCCUUAAACGAAUGCAAGGAAAAACAAGAUCAUAUAACAUAUAUUGAGCUUCCAUUUCGCAAAUCAUCAUUGAUUGAAUGAUCAUUGAGCUAUAAUUUGUUAUCUACUCUUAAAGAGAGUUUCAUUGUUGUGAUUUUCAUUUCUCAUCAAAUUGUGAGUGUACAAGUGUGAGAAACAAUUGGGGUGAAGAGAUUGGGGAGAUAAUCUCUUGUUGUAAAGGUUCAUUGACACCUUAGAAGUCAAUUGUAAACAUUUGAAGCCUUGGGAGGUUUGGAUAGUGAAAUCCUCAAGCCAGGUGUGCUUGGAGGCGUGGACGUAGGCAGGGAUAGCCGAACCACGUAAAAAUCCUUGUGUUUGUUUUCUCUUCCCUUACUCUUUUAAUAUUGUGCUUGAUUGAAUUUAUUAUUUUUUGAUUUGAUUAAGGCAAUAGAUUAAAUUGUUGUGCGAAUUGUAUUGCAUAAUUUUAAAAACCCAAUUCACCCCCCCUCUUGGGUUGCAUAACUUGCAUUUCAAGAACUUGUAACUUUUGGAUCUUUUAGUUUUUAUUGGUUGGAUACAAUAUUAUGACUUGAGCGUCGGAAGGUUUUCACCGAAAUAACUUCCAGCACCCCCUGACUGUUCUUUGUGCUUGCAUGCUCGCGGGUUAUUUGCUCAUGGAUCAUCUGCUCAUAGAACAUCUGCUCACGGUGCUCACUGAUCAGCAGCUCGUGGAUUAUCUGCUCAUGGUGCUCACUGAUCAGCAGCUCAUAGAUUAUCGGCUCAUGGAUUAUCUGUUCAUGGUUAGAGGAUUUUCUUGGAGAUUAAUAAGUCGCUUCUCCACCAAACAAAUUUAUUGCUGAUGCGGGGAUGUGGUAUUGAGUCAACAACUGACUCGACUUUAUUUCUGCAUCAAUAUAAAGUAUUAAUCAGCUUAAUUAAUUUAUAAAAUUUAAAUCUAAUUAAUAAGUGACACAUAAAUGCCAAGUGCAAUAUAUGCAAAUCCUGUUUGUCGAUCAUUACAAAACUGGCUCUUGAAAACAAGCAAGAAAGCUUAAUUAAGAACUUAAAACAAAAAGUAUUAGAUUGAGGAUAGUCAAGCCUUAUUUUUUCAAGGAUGGAGCUUAUAAAUCUUCAAGUACCAACAUAUGCUUGGCCCAAUUGUUGUUUUUAAAAUUUCAAAAUAUAAGUAUGACAUAGCAAAAAUUUGAUGGUACAUGUGUCGGAAUAUACUAGCUAGUUCAUGGAUGCAUUUGAUUACUAUUUCCAUAAAUUUGAACUAAGAAGAAUGACACGAGAAAAUUUGAUUUUAUUAUAUGGUUGAUUUCAUAUCUCAUGCACUCAUUUCUUAAGAUAAUUAGAUUUUCUCUGGCAUCUUUUGCAAAUGUGGAAAUAUCAAUUAUGAUCAAUCAAAACGAUCUCAAAACUUUUUAACGAGACAUAUUUAUAAUACAAUAUUAUGAAAAUUACACCAAAAAUUUGAUUUAUUAUAUAUUAUUAUCCAACGAGCACACAAAAAUGAAUUCAUACAAAUCUAUAAUACUUAGCAAUUUUCAAAUAGAAUUUACCAUGUACUAUAAGAAAAUAUGGUAUAUGUGACCCCUAUUGUGAAUGCAAAAGCAGCCAUUACGUAUAUCACUAACUUCUAACUUUGUAACCCUGAGUUGCUUUUGUUACCCUUUAUGUGACGGCCAUACUGCUGUCACAUAUGUUACUAACCACGUGACGGUAAAGAGCCGUUCCGUAUACUACUAUUUUAGAAUUUUAAAUUUAUUUCCAGUUGGAAAACUAUUCGCUGGAUUACGAGUUUAAAUGCUGUCACCAUCGUAAACCUAACUGGUUGCCGGCGAACGGCGUAAAACACCGGCCAUCUUCUUCUUCAUCGUAUUCGCCCUUCAUCUUUUGAGUUAAGCUUGUGAUUAUGAGUUUCUUCUCUUACUUAGCUUGUAAUUAUAGAUUUUGAUUCUUUUUAAUUCGUAUUGUAGUCGUUAUUGUCAAUUUUUGUCCCGCCAGCAAUUUUUUUUAUUCCUACAAGUUGAAGCCCCUGUGUUCUUGUUCCAUUGGUGUGUUUGCUCACUCAAAUUAAUUUUGUUCUACAAAGUUCAAAUGGAUUCAUUUGAAUCACUAUUGAAUUCAGCUUUAAUUCCAACAACCAUUCUAAUGUUUUGUUAUUAGAUUUACUUUAAUUUUAUGUUUAAAGCUUCUACAAUGAAUAGCGGAGCUUGGGUUUUAGUUUCAUUUUCUAGAUAACUUGUUUUUCUUGUAUGCUCACCAAGUGCUUGUUAUAUUGUCUGAUAAGUUAAUAUAUUGCUGAUUCUAUAUUAAUAAUGUUACGUUCUAUUUUCAGAAAUUAUAAUAUAAACUGAAUUAACUUGUAGAAUAAGAGCUUGGAGUAGUGUUAUGUUCUUGAAUAAAUGAAAGUCCAUAUUGUGUAAGAGCAUGUAGAUGUAAAGCGCAUUGCCAUUUCUAUAAAGGACUUUCAUUCUGUUCAGAUGCUCCUCUUGAACUCUGAAAGGUGCCUCAUUCAAGUCCUAGCUAUAACUACUAGCUUUGAUUAAUUAAUUUCCUGUACUAGCAGAAACAGAUUUAUUUAUUUAAAUAAUUGUCUAUGUACUAAUUAUAAUGAAAGUAUAUGAAGAAAUUUUUUAACAUGAAUGACUUCUAAAUGACUUAAAAACCUAAAGGAUAUGAGAAAUAAUGCUCAUUUCACUUGAACGAGCCUAUUAAUACUUGUAUGUCUAUGAUUCUUAAUAUUGGCUUAAGCAUUUCAGUAAAUGGUUUACAUAACAGAGAAAAAAAUUUAAAUGAAAACUUUAGAGUUCUAACAGAAAUAUAAUUGACUAUGCAGAUAUAGUUAUUUUAUGGUAUACAAAUCAUGUUGCCUUAAUCUCAAUGUCCUAUGACCUAUUUUAUUUUAUAUAGUCGUUCAUUUUUGCCAUCGCUUUUUGUGUUUAUGAGUAUGGAAGUAGUGGGAUUUGGUGUAUCUUAGCAUCUUUGGAAAAUUCUCUUUAAAUGUGGCAAACAAAAAUAUACAUAUAAUCAAGUUUCUUAAUCAACUAUCAUAACUGGCUAGCUAGUUCUUGCCUGCCUUGCUGCCAUUACCCAGGCCAUUACAUUGCAUAGCAUAAGGAAUAGUGAUUAGGUGCUUAUUAGUGAUUCGUUGAGCUUAUUAUUGACCAAACAAACAUAUUCGCCUUUACCCACAACUUAGUUUGAUUAGUUAUUAGACCAUAAAGAGCGUUAAUCUGUUCAUUGGCUUUGUUAUUUUUAUUUGGUUUUUCUUCCAACAAUACUGUUGAUUUCUUAUAAAAAUACUCAUUGGUUUUUAGUUAUUAGACCAUAAAGAGCAUUAGUCUGUUCAUUGGCUUUGUUAUUUUUAUUUGGUUUUUCUUCCGACAAUACGGUUGAUUUCUUAUAAAAAUAUUCAUUGGUUUUUAAACACCUAAUCAUUGGCUAUAAUGAAGCUAAUUGAAACUGAGGCUUAUCAAUUUCUUCCUACAAGAUACAAUUGAGCAUAAACUAUAUCCUCAGUAAAUUUUUCUAAUAUCCUUGAUUUGUUAGGAUAUGGAGGCCUGAAAUCCUCUAGAUUUUUUUAACACUGUCAAUGUUCUUUUUACUCUGAAAAGGGAAAAAAAAGGUAUAUCUUUCAUACCCUAAUAGUAAGUAGGCCUUGACUUAACAUGCCUUCCCGAGGAUUUGCAAGAUUCACAAGCAGCUCACCCCCCCCCCCCCUCCCCCAACCCAAAAAAAAAAAAGAAAAACAAAUAGGAAGAUUUUGCGAGAUUCACAACCAGGUUAUAUUUAAUUUAUUAAUUGUGUGCACGUACUAGUUAUAUGUUGAAAGAAUAGGAAAGUAUUUUAACAUGAAUGACUUAAAACUUAUUGCUUAGUAAACAUAAUCUGCAUCAGUGCUAGAAAAUGUAUUUAUUGUUUGUAUUUUUUAUGGAUUUGCUUAAGAAAUGAUACGGGUAAUAAUGCUACAUUGUAUUAGGAACAAAUUGAAGAGAUUUAUGAUAUUUAUGUGUUAUUCAAAUUUCAGAUUGAAUUUUAAACUUUCAAUACAUGCAUUGAAAGCUUAGAUCGUUUAAGAAAUUAUAAAUAGACACAUGUUUUAUUAGUGCCAUCUUUGGAUGAUAGUGAGGAUCAUAUGCCUAUUAAUAAUUCUUGAAUUGUCUAGGCUUGAACUGUUUGGGAAUGCAUAGUUUUCUAUGGUAGCUAGUAGCUGAAGUUUUUUUCCCACAUAAAAAUGGGUUUUUCGCUAGCUGCUUCUCAUCUUCUUUGGGUGCAUACUAGAUAACACAUAAACACUCUUAUAUCUAUGUCGUUGCUUGGAGAACUAAAGGGAGAUGCUGCCGAAAUUUCUAUAAACGUAGAAGAAAACUUUAAAGUACUUGAGAUUGAAGAAACUUAUGCAUUCUUGAGAGGGAUAUAUGGGACCACUUACCUUUUGUAAAUAUGAAGGGAGUGUUGGACAUAUUGAUGGGAGUGGAGGAGCUGAGUUGGAUGGAUGUAAUCGGUUAUAGUUUUGCUGAGUUAACUUGGUUUUGAGCUUGUAAUUUUGUUUAUAAAUGGAGUACUAUCUCCAAUGUUGGUUUAUAAAUAUGUUUCAGCUGGCUGACCUUAUUUUUUGUUUCUAGGUAACAUGCUUUGUAUCUGUAAUUGAUAGCCAACUGAAGUUCUCAGCUGUGGGUGAGGAUAUUUCUUUACAGAAGGUAUUGGAAACUGUUUUUUACAUUAAUUAUUGUUGUAUAUAUACUUUAAUUUUCACAUCUUUUUCUCUGAUUCUUGUCACUUUACUUGCUUUCAUAUACAUAAAUUCUAAUGAAAUUAACCAUAAAAUUGUAUAAUGAUUUUUUAAUUAUAUUGCAAAACUGUGCACACACGAAAAUAUCUUGGUCAGUAGUAGAAAUGAAAAACUAAAAUGAUUUAUCUAACUAAUUUUUGUAGUGCAUUAAAAGGAGACGGUAAUGGAGAAGAGUUGGGUUGGUUUGGCAAAUAGAUAUCUAAGUUAUAGAUUUUGCAUUUGAGAAUGUUGUUGGUGAUGCAAGAAUUUAUUAUCCUUGUAAGAAGUGUCGAAUAUUUCGUUUUAAGGGAAGUAGCAAGAGACCAUAUCAUUAUAAAUGGUUUUUGGUUAAAGUUUUAAAACUGGAUAUUGCAUGGUGAGCCAUCUUCAUCUUUGGAAUCUAACCAAGAAACAGGUUAGUCAUGACUCGGGUGCUGAUGAUGAUAUGGUUGGAAUGAUACAUGAUACAUCACGUAAUCAAAUGUUCAAUUCACAGACAGCAUUGUUAUGGACUAUCAGUGACUUUCUAGCACAUGCCAACUUGUCUGAGUGGAGUAUUAAAGGUAAAUAAGCAUUUCUUGUUUGCCAACAAAACACCAGAUCGAAUUGGUUAAUACAUAGUAGAAAAUUGUCACGUCGGUAACGUCGAUUUUUACCGACGAAUCAUAGGUUUCGAAAAUAUAGUGCCUUUCGAAAAUCUGGAGCUGAAGUGAAAAAGCAGUUGAAUAAUAUCCUUACUGAGUUUAAGAUUGAAGACUUGAAAAGUGGAGAAUGAAUAAAAUGAGAGAAAUGACAAGAUUACUUGGAAGAAGAAAAGCAUAUUUUAUGAACUACCGUGUUGGGAGUUCAAUUUGAUUCAUCAUAAAAUGUGAGACAUGAGGGAGAGACAAAAGCUCAGGCUUGUCUGCAACCAUGUGGGCCCUCAUAAGCAAUUCGUGUACACAACUUGGUUCACCAAGCCCAACAACUUGAAGCAGGCAAAAUCCGGGAACGAUCCUUCUCCUUCGCAACCCUAGCUGCCUUAACCUUGUAUUUCUGAUAUUUAGUUAAAGAGUAAGAAGAUUGCUCCUCUGUCAAUUACCUUCGAGAGAGACUUUCUUUUUCAUUCAUCGAUGCUUGCUUGUGAAAGCAAGGGUUUUAGUUACACUUUCAACGCUGUCAAUGUAGUGAAGUAAAGCAUUCGUAGAAUAAUGAAGAUGGAAGCCCCACAGCAUGAAAACUUUUAAACAGUAACACAGCUCUUAUUCCAGAGGCUGCACGCGAGUGACCUGAAUCUUCUUCAGAACUUUCAAAUUUUAUCAGGCAAAGCUUUCAAAAUUUCUCAACAAAUUGAUUAUUUGGUGUGGUUGCCACAUUUUGAGUAACUGCUAUUUGUUCUCAAGUACAAAAUCCUUGCCUUCCUAAGUUAGGAAAUAUAGAUGAGAAGCAAACCAAAUGAAAUAAAUGGGUAAACAGAACAAACAGUGCAAAAAUUAAAAAUGAUGGCAAUUAACAAAUUAAUAGCAAUGUUACAUUUGACUCUUUAGCCCUUUGCUCCUUCUCUUAACAUUCUUCAAAGCUUUUGAAAAUUGGAUGUGAAGCAAACAAAAUAAAAUAAAUUUAGACAACACAUACCCUGUAUUCAGCAUCAUAUAUAUGUCGAAUAUCUAAUUUAAUAAAUUUCACAUCCAAAAUACUAAAAUUUUAUUUGCAUGCAUGUCUGUCAAAAUUUCCGUGAUUUAAUGUGCUUUCAUGCACGCAAGUUCUAACGUUUCUGUGAUCACAAAAUAAAACUGAAGAUAAAACAGAACAACUACCAAACCUUUCAAGCUUGACGAAGCCAUGAGAAUUGAUAGCUCAGGCUCUGAUACCAAGUUAAAGUUUCUAAUCUAUUUGAUAAGUAAGAAAAUGAGAGAAAAUGAAAGAAAGAACAGAGAUCAUCUAAGAGCUGGAUUUGAUGAAUAAAUCUGAAUCAUCCAUUCUUUAGCUGAUUACAAAUGUAUUUAUACAAGUUUUCUAAGCACCUGAGAGUUGAAUAACUUAUGCCAGCUCAGCUAACACGUCAGUAACUCUACCUAUCUUGCUUAACAAACUGAAACAAUAACUAACAAUUUUAACUAUCUUAACAAUCCCAAUAAUUUCUCCGUUUGUGUAUUUUUUUGAAUCAUAAUCAAAUGGGUAAAUGUUGCAACUAUUUUUUUAGACAUUUUCACUUUGGGAUGUCAGCCCGAGGAAGUUCGGGGGUCUGAGUUAUUCAACUGAAAAUGUCGGCCAAGUUCUCGCCAUCUCAGGUUCAAAACUGAUAAUCUUGCUCGUUGCUCCCCAUUUAUACUUAUUACGAAACUGAAAAAGUUACUCGUUCCUCUUAACUUGUUUUCUCAUGCAUCAACCCCACAAAACUGCUUAUUGCAGGGGGUAAAAUUUUGAACACAUCAUGUGGAAUUUGGACUAUUUGAUAGUUUGUUUCAAACAUAUCUGUUUAUAAAAUACUUUUCUUCAUGGUUUUGGUCCCAUAAUUUUCUAUGUAUGUACAGGUUUUAUCCAUACCUCUUUUGACAAGUUACACUUACAUAGCAAUGUUAUCUGGGUUCAGCCUUGCCUUUUUCAUAAACUGUGCUUCUGUGAUGAAGAAUGUUUUAUCUGUAAGUGGAUAUCCUAAUCAUUGAUCCAUAAACUUAGGUUAUAUUAUCCAUCAGCAAGUAUGUAUAAAAUUAUUUUAUGUCUUUUUUUAUUAGAAAUGUUGUAAUUCUAUUUUAAUCUUCCUGAAUUAUAACAUCAGGUGUCUAUAAUAACUGGAUUAUUCCUUCUGCAAAACAGAGCAGUGGUAAAUAUUUUUUUCUUUUGUUUGUUUAGUACAUUUACAUGCUUUCAGCUUUUUCAAAUUUUGUAUGUGUCAAAGUUUAAAUUUAAUUUGUUGGUUUAUGCCACAACAAAAGGAACAGCAUCAAAGAGGAGCUGCUAAUGGACUUGCUAUGACUGUAGUGUCGCUUACCAAAACUGCCGGUCCAGCUGUAGGAGGUGCUCUGUGAGUGUCCUGUUGAUUUUGUAAAAUUAUAUGUAAAUGAUGUUAUAAUAUUUUUUUUCAUUAAUUGGGGUUCUGGCAGAUUUUCUUGAUCACAAAAGCGUCAAGAUGCUGGUUUCCUCCCAGGUAUGAUGAUCUACUAAUGAAAUUAUAUUCUUUUUAUUUCAAAUAAUCUAUAAGUUAACUCAAAACAUAAUCAAGCUGAGAAUUAAAAUAAUGCCACUGUAUGAGAAGAUUUUUAUUUUUUUCCCGAAGUUUCACUAGGAAAUUAUUGAUAUAUAGCUUUAUUCGGAUCAUCUCAGUUCAAACGACAGCUAAUUGAAAGACUAAACUAAAUAGACCAGCCAACAACUUUGUACAGUAGAGUUAAAAAAAUAAAGUCAUGGUAUUGAGGUGUUCUGUCUUGAAAAGUACAGCAUAGUGAUAAAAUAAAAACUAUUAGUAUUUGGUAAGAUAUGACUUUUAAUUAAAAAAUUUCACAAAAAUAUAAAAAUAUUUAUAAAGUACUUCUGUAGUGCGGAGACCCUCACUUUGUUAAAGUGAAAAUAUCAACAAUAAACAAAAGACAUAUAUUUUAACACAUUAAAAACUGUAUUUUUUUAUCUAUUGGUGUAUUGAAAUAUGUGUUAUUUAGUUUGCUAAUGAUAUCAUCACUUUGUUAAAAUGAGGAUGUCAUCACUAGAGAAUCAUUAUAUAUACAUAUAUAUAAAGUGGUUCUCUCCAAGACCUAAACUUUAUUAAAAGUUUAGAAAGCAAAUAUAUUUUGUAUGGUAUAAUAGUGUAAUAACAUCACACUAUUAUAUCAUAUGAGUCCCAUAUAGAGUAAUAGUUUUUCGAACUUUAAUAAAGUUCAAGAUUAUAGAAUGAAUGAUUUAUAUAUAUUAUAAAUUUUUUAUUAUAUAGUGAAGGACAAAAUUAACAUAAUUUUCAAAUUAUAUUAAGUAUUUAUCAAAUAAUUUAACAUCAUAAUUUCUCCUAACUAGUAUAGUAAAUACGGCCUAGGAGGUACAUUCAAAGCAUUUCAUAGGUUCCUUGUUCGCUCCAGAUUCAGUCACAGACAAGGAGCCGUUUUUUGAGAAUAUUAAGCAUCAUCUUCAAAUGAAUUUUCUUGGCAAAGGUUUCAGAUCCAAAUUGUUGUUCCAGAUUAGUCCAAAGCUCAAGUAAGGUUUGAGAGUUUACCACAAGACUAAGGAUCUCGAUACUGAUGGAUGACAUUAACCAGCUCAACAACAAUUGAUCGUUUCUCUUCCACGAAGUUGAAUCUUCAAUUUCAGUAAAAAGAAAUUGGUUAGGACAGAGUUUUGAUCUAUCAAGUAGAUCUUCUAGUCCAUUGGCACGGACUGAAGACAAGACCUGUGAUUUCGAGAUCCUAUAAUUCGAUCGAUCCAGUUUGAUGGGUGAAGUGAAAGUAAACGAGGAAACAUAGGAGUUUGUAUUCUGAUUUGAGCUUGACGAAGCCAUGAGAAUUGAUAGCACAGGCUCGGAUAUCAAGUUAAAGUUUCUAAUCUGUUUGGUAAUUAAGAAAACCAGCGAAAAUGAAAGAAAGAACAGAGAUCAUCUAAGAGCUGGAUUUGAUGAAUAAAUCUGAAUCAUACAUUCUUUAGCUGAUUAAAAAUGUAUUUAUACAAGUUCCUGAAUAUUUUAGAUUCCAUAUGCUUGAGCUAAGCACCUGAGAGUUGAGCAGUGUGCACUAACAAACUGCUAACAAAAUAACUAACUUAUGCCAGCCCAGCUAACACAUCAGUAACUCUAACUAUCUUGCUUAACAAACUGAAACAAUAACUAACCAUUCCAAUAAUUUCUCCAUUUGUGUAUUUCUUGAAUCAUAAUCAAAUGGGUAAAUGUUGCAACUGUUCUUUUAGAUAUUUUCACUUUGGGCUGUCAGGCCGGGGAAGUGCGGGAGGUCUGAGUGACUCAACUGAAAAUGUCGGCCAAGUUCUUGCCAUCUCAGGUGUAAAACUGAUACUCUUGCUCCCCAUUUAUACUUACUACGAAACUGAAAAUGUUACUCGUUCCUCUUAACUUGUUUUCUCAUGCAUCAACCCCACAAAGCUGCUUAUUGCAGGGGUAAAAUUUUGAACACACCAUGUGGCAUUUAGACCAUUUGAUAGUUUGUUUCAAACAUAUUUGUUUAUAAAAUACUUUUCUUCAUGGAUUUGGUUACGUAAUUGUCUAUGUAUGUACAGGUUUUAUCGAUACCUCUUUUGACAAGUUACACUUCCAUAGCAAUGUUAUCUGGGUUCAGCCGUGCCUUAUUGAUAAAUCUGUAAUGAAGAAUGUUUUAUCUGUAAGUGGAUAUCCUAAUCAUUGAUCCAUAUCCAUAAGCAAGUAUGUAUAAAAUUAUUUUAUGUCUUUUUAUUAGGAUUGUUGUAAUUCUUUUUUACUUUUCCUGAAUUGUAACAUCAGGUGUCUAUAAUAACUGGAUUAUUCCUUCUGCAAAACAGAGCAGUGGUAAAUAUUUUUUUUCUUUUGUUUGUUUAGUACAUUUACAUGCUUUCAGCUUUUUCAAAUUUUGUAUGUGUCCAAGUUUAACUUUAAUUUGUUGGUUUAUCCCACAACAAAAGGAACAGCAUCAAAUUUUGUUGGUUUAUGCCAAAACUACCGGUCCAGCUGUAGGAGGUGCUCUGUGAGUGUCCUAUUGAUUUUGUAAAAUUAUAUGUAAAUGAUGUUAUGAUUUUUAUUGUCCCCCCCCCCCCCCCCCCAACACAAAAAAAAGCAUGAUUAAAUUGAUCAUUUGUUGGGUAACAACUUGAUUAACCGGUCCUGGCAGAUUUUCUUGGUCACAAAAGCGUCAAGAUGCUGUUUCCUCCCAGGUAUGAUGAUUUACUAAUGAAAUUUCUCACGAGUUGGUGAAUUACUUUGUGCUAAUUAGCUUAAUUAGCUGCUUAAACUAAAGUGCAGGUAACCAAAUGGUUUUUUUUUUCAUUCUGAAUUUGGUUGAGGCACUUGGAGUAAUAUUGACAUUCAAACCGUUUCUAACUCAACGCGCCCCGUGAGUUGAGAAAAGAUGCAUCUGUUGAAAUAUUCAAAUAUAUUUCAAGCAAAUUAAAGCUUUUCAAAAUCUAUCAACAAUAUGAUUAUUUGAUGUGGUUGCCACUUGCCAUAUUUUGUGUUACUGUUCUAAAGGGUUAAAUAUGAAAAUGGUUGUUGGUGCUCACACCAAUCGAUAGCUGGUAACAUUAACUCCUCAAUACUUAUACUUGUUCAUUUUCAGAACUACGACAAUUUAUCUUCACAAUGAUGCAAGCUAGAAAGAAUUUUUCAUGUUAAGUAAAACAUUGAAGCCAUAAAGAGUCUUAAUUGAGUACUAAGUUUUCUACCAUGCUUUCAACGGUAACAUAUUUGGAGCUCUUAUUCCAGGGGCUUCACAGUAGAGAGACCUGAUUUCGAUCUUCUUCAGAACUUGGGGAUUCCGUAAUAACAGAGGACAACAGUUAUAUAAGAAUAUUAUUUUGUACAAUUUUCGUAUAACCUGACCAAUGCAAGUAUAAUUUUAUGAUCUUAACUCAGAUCAAAAGACCUUCAAUGAUGUAAAUUUGCACAUAAAGCUGAGAUCCAAACAUUAGAACUUAUGAUGAAACGCAAACAAAAACGGUGAGAUUGAAAAGAUAGAGAAACACAAGCUUUUUAGUAGGAAUAAAUGCUCAUUUAGUCUCUAUAUUUUGACUCGAGCGCAUUUAGUUCUUAUAUUUUAAAAAGUGCCUCAACCUCAAGACACCCCCUAUUGUGAAAUAUAUUUUGUUUCUACCUUUUUUUUUUACAAUAAUACUCUUGGAAUAAUAUUUUUGGGAAUAUUAAUGAAAAUAAAAAAAUGGUAAUCAUCUAGCCAGCCUUAAACAAAAUAAAUAUUAAUAAAAACUUUUAUGUUAUUAUUUUAGUUUUAGGACUAAUUUCGUAAAUUAAAUUUUUUAUGCAUUUAUUAGUAAGAUUGCUUUAAGAAUAUUAAACAUUACUUUAAGAUGGCUGAUAUUAAUUUAUUUAUAAAGAAUUAUUAGCAAGAUUGUUGUGAAAGUACAAAAAAUACUGGUUAUUUCACAUUGAUAUUUAUUGAUUAAUUUGCCAAUUAACUUUUUUUAUAAAUAAAUUUAAGAAUAUUAUUGCCAAGAUAUUAUUGUAAAGGUAAAUAAAAUUUAAGGAAAAAAUGUAACGUAUUUAAUAUCAAGGUAUAUUGAGGUAUUUUUUAAAAUAUAAAAACUAAACGAGCAUUGAAAUUAAAGAGCAAUGAUAUAGCCACAAACUCUUGUACAAACUUAUUUUGUACAAACUGAUGUGGCAUGAUAAGAUUAGUUGAAUUAAAUAUCACUUUGCCCACAUGAUUUGUUUUUAUUAUUUUAUAUUUUCAUUCAACCAAUGAAUUAAUGCCACGUCAGUUUGUACAAAAUAAGUUUGUACAAGAGUUUGUGACUGUAUCAUUACUCGAAAUUAAAAUACAGGUACCAGACAAGUAUUUUCUCUUUUAGAAAGUUUUAUAUUUUAUUAAUGAAAGUCUGAAUAACAAAAUUAAGGUUUUGGACUUCUUUUAAACUAAACUUAAAUAUCACAAAUUUACCAAAAUAAGUAAACCUAAAAUAUUAAUACAUAAUAACAUUCUCCUAACUGAAAUAAAGAUAAAUGCUACUCAAAUUCUAUAUCUAGAAAAAAAAAAAGGUAAAAAUCCUGAAAACAAUAGGAAAAUAGAUCUUAAACUUGUAAAAUUAUAUGAAAUAAAUAUAAUUUUCAAUCGAACCACGAGACUAAUGUGGCGCUACAGUAUUAGAUUAGAUUCCCCUCGUUGCAAACUUCGAAAGGUAUAUUAUACACCCUAAAUACAUACUUAUAGCUCAAGUUGUUACCCUAGAGAGAUACUCUACUCAUCCUAUGCAACCAUCCGUUGCAUCAAAUUCGUUCCAAAAUUAAGAAUAAAUCAGCUGAUGCAUUCCAAAUAAUUUAGAUGAAACGAUAAAAUAAACCUAGAGAUCAAAUAAAAUGAAAUGAAAAUGAUAAUUACCUCGGACUAAAGCUCAUACAAAUUCAUUAUUUGACACCUCCAGCAAUUGUUGAAAUAAUAGUUAAUGAAAUAUAAAAUAAGACAAAAGUACAUAUUAAUGACACACCACUGUGAAUCGAUACAUCAACGUAAUACAUCAAUUGAAAUAUCAUACGAUAAAUUAGUCAGAGAAAGAAAUAAGUAAAUAAAUCAGCAAAGGAAACAUGCAUAAACAAAUUAAAAAAAAAACAAAGACAAAAGAAGGAAGAGUUGUCUGUGAGAAUCUUCUUCUAUGGUCAUUGAAGUCCCAAAACUAAUAAGGAUCGAUCAAUUGAACAGUUGCAAACUCAAUGGAAAUACAAUGGAACCUUAAAAAUGAACAGUGAAGGAAAAUGAAGAAAUCCGCAGGAAAUAAGGCGAGUAAGAGUGAAGAAUUAAUUACCACUGAGUAAAAUUGAGAGUUGUGAUCUAGAAGAGAUUCUUCUUCUCCGUAAUCCCCUUUUUUCUUUUAAUGUUGUUAUUAUUAUUAUUAUAUAUAUAUUUUCAAUUUCAUGAUUUCUUUUUUGUUUUAAACGGUAUUGGCAUAUUACAUUUAUUUAUGUUAAUUUUACAAUACCUCCCUUCAGAUUGCACAAAUUACAUAAAAAAAAAGCGCUUUAUGUAUAAAACUUUCAAACAAAUUGGGCCAAAAUCUAACUUUACCAAGUUUAGAGUAAUUUUGGGCUCGACAUUCCGUUUCCGACAAACGAAUUUUCUUUAUCACCAAGGUAUGAUACUUUUCAUAUUUAUCCAACGGCUCGUCAAUGACAAUACCUUUGUAAAAAGUACUUAUUUUGAAUAGUAUAUUGUGGAAAUGUCUGGUCGGUAAUACAACUAUUUCUUAUAGUGUAAAAAUGAUACACUAAGCGUUCACAUUUUGAUGAGUAAAUUAAGGAUUUCAAGAUGAAGUACAUAAUUAGAUUAAUGCUAAGAAACUGAAGUUUGAUCGAUUGAAAACGAAAAUAAUAAUGAAGGUAAUUAAGAAAAUGAACAAUAUAUGCGGAAGCGGUCCUUAUUAGUACUUCUAGAUUUUCUCUUGGGCUUUCCUUAUUAUUGUUAAAAAAUGACCCGAAGAACUUUGAGUUUAAAAAUCUGGCCCUGAUGCCUGGUAGCCCUUCAACACAUGAAGCACCAGAUGUUUUGAUGAGAAAAUGACAAGACCAUUUAUCAAAUUUCUUGUGGAUAUAAAUACAUACACAUAGACGAGACCAACCUCCUCAAAUGAGAAUCAGAGUGAUUACAAGACCUUGCAAUGAGACAAUGAUACACCAUCAAAUGUCAAAAUACAAUAGAAAUUCACGACAUAUAUAUAAUAAAAGACCUCUCAUUGAGUCAUAUAUAUUGAGAAUAAAAAUGUUAUAAUACAUACACAGAGCUUAGUUAGAAUAAAAUGUCUUUGAACUUACGAUGAUCAAACAAAGGAAACAGACAGGUUGUAACUCACACUAUCACAAGAAGAUCACGAAGAUGGAAAUGGGAACCCCUCAGAAUGGAAACUUUGAAUAGAGCAAAAAAGAAAAAACGACCUUAUUCACAGAAGAAGAGUGAUACAACUUGGCCAAUUGUUGUGAAUCAGAUCGAGCACAAUGAGACAGCAAGGGAAGAGACCCAGCCUGCAGAAAUAGAAGAAGUCCAACCCUUGAAUGAGACACAAGCUAAAGAGCAGCUCAAGACAGGUCCAGCUCGCGCGAGAAAGAAACCAGGAUGGCUCAAAGACUUUGUCAUUUGAGGAAUGUUCGAGAAUGCUUGAGAUAUCAUAAUAACGAAUAUUGUUCUGUUUUCAAUUAUUGUUUUGUUGUUAUCAAUUUUAUUCUAUUUAGUUAGUUAAGGGUGCGUGGCUGUUUUUGGAAGGGAGAAUAUAUUGUACUGUCAAGGGACCCAUGAGGGCAUGAAAAGAAAGGAUAUCAUUUUGUCUUUUUUCAGCUUCGUCUUCUUUCUCUUCUCUGUAACUCCCCUGUCCCAUUUCUCUUUCUUCAAAUUAUUUUCUCCACGAAUUGGAGCUUGCACUCGCUCAAAGAGUGUCGUAUCAACUGGUGCUUUCAUUGCAUUUAAUCUCUUUACACAAAACAAAAAAAAAAUGUCUCUCACAGAACCAACGACUGAUUCAGCAGUUCUCUCCACCAUGAAGACGCUCAUUGAAAAUCAAAUGCUUGCUGUUCAUCAGACCUUAUAGCAAUAUAUGUCCACGGUGGAUUCUCGAUUUGAGGAGCUACGUUCCCAAAUCAAUGGUUCCGUCGGAGGGUCAGUGGGUUCUUCCCGCCCAAUGGCGCCAGAACCAGCGUCUUCGACUGUACUGUCAGGUGUUACUGAUAUCUCUCCUCUGUUGCGUUCUAUGAAAAUGAAUGUCCCAAAAUUUGAUGGCACUGAUCCGAAUGGUUGGGAUUUUUGAAUCAAUGAGUUCUUUGAUUUUCACGGCACCCCUGACCAUUUACGCCUUCGUAUUGUAUCUUUUCACAUGGAGGGAAAAGCAGCAGCAUGGUAUCAAUGGAUGAAGGCCAACAACUUGCUGAGCACUUGGCAGAAUUUUUUACUCAAUCUUAAGCAAAGAUUUGGUACAUCCUGUUGAAAAGUCAAAGAGGUUUGGUUGAAAAAGAAAAGUGAGUCACAUGCAUUGCUUUUGUUUUUCAAAGUCAGCACCAAAUUGCAAGCUGUAAAAUAUUUGGCAUUUGACAAUCCUGCACCAAAUGAAGAAAAAUGGAAAAGUAAGCAAAAUUUGUCAAAUUGACAGAGAUGGAGAUUGACAAAUUGCAGAGGGAUUAGGUGGAAUAGUGCAUGCUUGAAGCCUAUAAAUUGAAGCCAUUUUUUUUCAUUCUAAAUCAUCCCAAAAUUUGUUAAGCUUAUAAGUUUCUAAGCUUUUGAGAGUUCUGAAAGUGUGAGCAAUUGGAGAGUGUGUGUGAGAGUACUGGGUGUAUUUGGGUUCUGGAAAAGUGAGAUUUCUUUACUCAAAUUUGUACUCAAAUAAUUGUUAAUAAUACAAUUAUUUUUCUCUUGCUCCCAUGGACAUAGGCAUAUUGCCGAACCACGUAAAUUCUUGUGUCCUUUAUUUUUCUAUGAUUAUUCGGUGUGUUUGUUUCCGCAUUCCGCGCACAACAAGUGGUAUCAGAGCCGACGGUUCGUACUUGGGGGGAUACGGUACAAUUUACGUAUACGGUACUAUUCAUGUAUACGGUACUGUUCACGAAUACGGUGGAGACGGCCAUUUGUACUUAGGAGACAGUCUAUUGUAAGUAGUGUGUAUUUUUGCAUGUCUAGGAAAGUUCUGUCAACAAAGGCGAUAAGAGUCUAAGGAUUCUGGUUUUUAAUUGGGACCAAGUUCCUGUCCAGUUUCCUGGAAACUUUCCUGGUGCAUUUAUUCACGCGAAAUUAACAUCAUAGAGACUGUUUUUCAAGUGAAAAUAGUUCGUUGAGAAAAUGGUAGAAGGUGAAACUUCCAGAAUUGGGGAGAGAUCUGCCGAGACUAUUUCAGGAGACACUUCAGGUAGGAGGCGAGAUUUGUCAAAUCGCUAUUCAGCACCUGUUAUAGGAGGCCAGAAGAUCGAUAUUGAAAAGUUUGAUGGGAAAAUCAACUUCGGCAUGUGGAAGCGCGAAGUUAUGGAUGCCCUUAUUCAAAUCGAUCUCGAUGUUGUUCUGAAAAAUAAAAGACACUUGUAUGAUGAAGAAAUUUAGGAUCGUAUGAACGAGAAAGCUUGUGGUCAGAUUUGAUCUUGUUUGACUAAGGAGGUGAAAUACUUGGUGAAAGAUGAGGAGUGUGCGGUGACUUUGUGGCGUACAUUGGAGGAGAAGUACCUGCUAAAAAGUCCUGAAAAUCAUCUUUCGAAUGAAGCCUGGGGUGUCAAUGCACGAUCAUGUCUCAAGAUUUGAAAAGUUACUUGCUGAUUUGAAGAAUCUUGAUGAAGAUAUUAAGGAUGAAAUCAAGGCUAUGAUUCUGUUACACUCACUGCCAGAGGAAUAUAGCCAUUUUGUGACUACCUUGAUAUAUGGGAAGAAUGUGAUCGUCUUCAAAGAUGUUUGCACAACAUUGACUAACUUGGAGAUUCGGAAUAAUGAUAAAAAUUCUGAACGAGCAUCGUCUGAAGCUUUAGUGAGUAGAGAUUGGGUGAUGGAGAAAAAGAAAAAGCGUGGUGGAAAGAAUUCUCGAUCCAAAUCGAGAAGCAGAAAUCUAGCUCGAGAUGAGUGUGCCUUUUGACAUGAAAAGGGCCAUUGGAGGAAAGAUUGUCCAAAGGCUCAAAAGAGAGAUGGGAAGAAACCAGCAGCAGCAAACAUGGCACGGAAAGAUGAGGACUCUGAUUAUUCACUAAGUAUUACUCCUGCAGCAUACGUGGCUAGUUCGAGUGAGUGGAUACUUGAUACUGGAGCAACCUAUCAUUUGUGUCCCAUUAAUGAAUGGUUUACGAAUUUUCGUAAUCUGGAAUCCGGUGCAGUUGUGAUGGGGAAUGAUCAACCUUGUCGCACAAUGGGGAUAGGAACAAUUCGGCUCAAAAUGUUUGAUGGAAUGAUCAGAGAACUCAAAGAGGUUAGAUUUGUUCCAGCUUUAAAGAAAAAUCUAAUUUCUGUGGGUGCUUUGGAAGCUAAAGGCUACAAGGUUACCAUUGAAGAUGGCACAAUGAAAUUUACACAUGGGGCUAUGGUGAUUCUGCAAGGGGUUCGGCGUCACAAUCUGUACUAUUUGAAGGGAGGUACAACUGAUGAAGCAAAUAUUAUUGAGGCGCACAGUAACACCACCAAGCUAUGGCAUGUACGGCUGGGACAUACUGGCGAGAAGUCUUUGCAAACUCUGAUGAGGCACGGACUCUUAAAAGGUACCAAAACCUGUAAAUUAAAUUUCUGUGAGCAUUGUGUAGUAGACAAGAAAACAAGGGUCAAGUUUGGUACAGCCAAUCACGAUACUCGUGAGAUCCUUGAAUAUGUUCAUAGUGAUGUAUAGGGAUCAACCAAGAUUGCAUCAAUUGGUGGAAGCCAUUAUUUUGUUACGUUUGUUGAUGAUUUCUCUAGAUGUGUGUGGGUGUACACCAUGCGAGCAAAGGAUGAGGUUCUAGAGAUUUUCGUGAAAUGGAAGAAAUUGGUGGUGACUCAAACUGGCAGAAAGAUCAAAGUAUUACGAUUUGAUAAUGGAGGUGAAUAUACUUCUGAUCCAUUCUUGCAAGUAUGCCAGAACGAGGGUAUUAAAAGACAUUUCACGGUGAGACAUACUCCGCAACAGAACGGUGUGGCUGAGCGUAUGAAUCGUACUUUACUGGAGAAGGUACGGUGUAUGUUAUCUAAUGCUGGUUUAGAUAAAAAAUUUUGGGCUAAAGCUAUGAGCUACGCAAGUCACUUGGUAAACCAGUUGCCUUCUGCUGCAAUUAGAGGUAAAACUCCUAUGGAAAUGUGGUCUGGAAAGCAUGCACAAGACUAUGAUUCUCUUCGUAUAUUCGGGUGUCCAGCUUAUUAUCAUGUCAAAGAUGGUAAACUGGAUCUUCGUGCUAGAAAAGCUAUCUUUAUGGGAUUCAAAUGUGGAGUAAAGGGCUUCAAGCUUUGGGAUCUCGAAGACAAAAAGUUUGUGUGUAGCAGAGAUGUCACAUUUGAUGAAGCUUCAAUGAUGAAAGCUUCAAGUUCUCAGCAGGUGGAGAACAAGACCAAAGAGGUAUUGCAGCGGGUGGAGUUUGAUGCAACUUCAUAUGUACCAGUUAGUUCUACAUCAAAGAAUGGUUCAACUAUGGAGGUGACACUUAGAGUUGAAGAAUAUGUUAUUUCUUCUGAUGUCCCACAAAAUGAAGAAACAAUUGAUGAUGUAGAUAAUUAUGAUUUUAUAGCAACAAGGAGACCAAAAAGAGAGAUAAAGAAACUCGAAUGGCUUACUAAAGAUAUGGUGGUAGCCUAUGCACUUUCAGUUAUUGAUGAUGACAUCCCCAACACUUUCGGUGAAGCAUUACGCAACAGUGAAAGUGAUCAGUGGAAGUUAGCCAUGGAGGAAGAGAUGAAAUCUCUCCAUCAAAACCAGACUUGGGAACUUGUAAAGUUACCAAAGGGGAAAAGGGCUAUUGGCAAUAAAUGGGUCUACACCAAAAAGCAAGGAUUUCCGAAUCAAACAACUCCUCGAUAUAAGGCAAGGCUCGUGGCAAAAUGUUUUGCUCAAAAGGAAGGUAUUGACUACAAUGAAGUUUUCUCUCCAGUUGUAAAACAUACUUUCAUUCGUAUCCUACUUGCCUUAGUUGCAGAAUAUGAGUUAGAGUUGGCUCAAUUGGAUGUUAAGACAGCGUUCUUACAUGGAGAGUUGGAGGAGGAAAUCUAUAUAAUUCAGCCUUGUGGUUUCAGAGUUGCUGGAAAGGAGAAUCAUGUGUGUAGAUUGAUUAAAUCUUUGUACGGACUGAAGCAAUCAUCAAGGCAGUGGUACAAAAGAUUUGAUCAAUUUAUACAAGGGAAGAAAUUCACCAGAAGUGAACACGAUCAUUGUGUUUACUUUAGAAGACUACUAGAUGGAGCUUUCAUCUAUUUGUUACUCUAUGUCGACGAUAUGCUUAUAGCUUCAAAGAAUAGAGAUGAGAUCGAAAGAUUAAAGAAGCAGCUGGCUUCUGAGUUUGAGAUGAAAGAUUUGGGUGAUGCACAGAGAAUACUUGGGAUGGAGAUUCAUAGAGACAAGAAGAAUGGGAGCGUAUGGUUGACUGAAAAGUCUUAUUUGAAGAAAAUGCUAGAAAGAUUCGGUAUGGAUGACAAAACUAAACCGGUAUGUACACCUCUAGCUCCUCAUUUCAAAUUAAACUCUUCUUCAUGUCCUAAAUCUCAAGAGGAGCGCGAUUACAUGGCUCGUGUUCCAUAUGCUAGUGUUGUGGGUAGUCUUAUGUAUGCUAUGGUAUGCACAAGGCACGAUAUAUCUCAAGCAGUGAGCAUGGUUAGUAGAUACAUGCACAAUCCGGGUAAAAAUCAAUAGCUUGCGGUAAAGUGGAUUCUCCGAUAUCUGUAUGGGACAGUUGAUGUUGGGUUAUUGUUCAAGAAGGAUUGUGGUCAACAAUGUGUUGGGUAUUGUGAUUCUAAUUUCGCUGGAGACCUUGACAAGCGAAGAUCAACAACAGGCUGCGUAUUCACAUUGGGUGAAGGUCCGGUUAGCUGGAGGUCGAUUCUACAAUUGACAAUUACUCUAUCCAGUACGGAAGCAGAGUAUAUGGCAGCAACUGAAGCUGUAAAAAAAGCUAUCUGGUUGAAAGGCUUGUUAAGUGAUUUGGGAGUAAUCCAGGAAAACAUUACGGUCUUCUGUGAUAAUCAAAGUGCGAUAUUCCUUGCGAAGAAUCAAACAUAUCACGCUCGGACGAAGCACAUAGAUGUGAAAUAUCAUUAUGUGAGGGAGAUUAUCAAGAGCGGUGUUGUGUUGUUGAAAAAGAUCGAUACCAAAGAUAAUCCAUCAGAUAUGUUGACGAAGGUAGUUUCUGGAGUUAAGUUUCAACAUUGCUUGAAACUAAUUCAAAUCCUUCGAUUGUGUUAAGUUAUGUCCUUCGAUAAUUUUGAACUACGGUUGGCUUGAUCCCAAAUUUUGGGUACGUAGGCAGUCACAUAGAUGUAACCACUUUGGGGAUGAUGAUUGGUUGGUAGUCGGCUCAGAUUUGAACAAAUCUUCGCCGAGGUGGAGAAUUAUUGAAAAGUCGCCGAGGUGGAGAAUUGUUGAAAAGUCAAAGAGAUUUGGUUGAAAAAGAAAAGUGAGUCACAUGCAUUGCUUUUGUUUUUCAAAGUCGGCACCAAAUUGCAAGCUGUAAAAUAUUUGGCAUUUGACAAUCCUGCACCAAAUGAAGAAAAAUGGAAAAGUAAGCAAAAUUUGUCAAAUUGACAGAGAUGGAGAUUGACAAAUUGCAGAGGGAUUAUGUGGAAUAGUGCAUGCUUGAAGCCUAUAAAUUGAAGCCAUUUUUUCAUUUUUUCUUACUUUUCCAUUUUUUAUGCAGAGGGAUUAGGUGGAAUAGUGCAUGCUUGAAGCCUAUAAAUUGAAGCCAUUUUUUUCAUUCUAAAUCAUCCCAAAAUUUGUUAAGCUUAUAAGUUUCUAAGCUUUUGAGAGUUCUGAAAGUGUGAGCAAUUGGAGAGUGUGUGUGAGAGUACUAGGUGUAUUUGGGUUCUGGAAAAGUGAGAUUUCUUUACUCAAAUUUGUACUCAAAUAAUUGUUAAUAAUACAAUUAUUUUUCUCUUGCUCCCAUGGACGUAGGCAUAUUGCCGAACCACGUAAAUUCUUGUGUCCUUUAUUUUUCUGUGAUUAUUCGGUGCGUUUGUUUCCGCAUUCUGCGCACAACACAUCCAUGUAUGAAGAUCAUCCAGGUAACCUCUCCAAGCUCUCCCAAACGUCGACUGUUGCUGAUUUUCAGUCUGCCUUUGAGGAUUUGAUGAACAAGGUCACGGGCAUCUCCGAGCCAUUGUUGGUUAAUUUCUUUAUCACGGGCUUAAAACCCGAUAUCAGGCGAGAAUUAUUAUUUGCAAGACCCACAUCUCUCAUGGAGGCUUUUGCUUUAGCCAUAGCUUAUGAGGCACGAUCGGAAGAAAUCAAGACCUCUAGCCGUUCUUGGACAAAGUGGACACCCUCAUCUACUUACACCCACCAAUCCACCAUUACUGCCUCCCCACAUCCUGCAUCAUAUAAAACCCCAACAACAACUACUCUUCCGAGUUUGUUAGCCACUAAACAGCCACCUCAACCCCCAUUAUUGCCUACUCCCACCUUGCCUAUUCAUCGAUUAACUCCAACAGAAUUAAGAGAGAAAAGAGAAAAAAGGGCUCUGUUACAACUGUGACAAAAAAUAUAGCGCCACACAUCGCUGUCGUAGCAAGUUUUUGUUAUUAAUGGGUACGGAUGAUGAAGAUGAUGAGCCAAGUGAGGACGCUUUUAUUCAUGCACAACCAGACGAAGUAGUCACAGCGGACAUAUCUAGUUUGCAUGCCUUGGCUGGGCAAACUAAUCCACGAUCUUUAAGGGUGAUGGGCACCGUUGUCAACUAUCAGUUUCAGGUGUUAAUUGACAGUGGCAGUACCCACAAUUUUCUUAAGCCGCCAUUGGCUAAACGCCUUGGCCUUUCCGUUCAAGCUAUAACUCCUUUUCGAGUUUACAUUGGCAAUGGCAAUUUUCUUACUUGUCGAUUUCUCUGCCCUAAAGUGCCUAUCAAUAUGCAGGGGCAUGAAUUUCUUUUGGAUUUCUUCCUUUUGCCAAUCGAAGGCCCUGAUGCUUUCCUUGGGAUUCAAUGGUUACAAAGCUUGGGAAGAAUUUCUACGGAUUAUUCCGAGAUGACGAUGGAGUUUCAGUAGGAGGGAAAAUCUGUCAUUUUACGAGGAGACCCAAUUCCAAAUCCGAAUUUAAUCUCUUUUAACCAGUUUCAUGCCUUGCUAUCCAACUCCAAAAUCGACAACGUAUUUGAACUUCAUUCUUUACCAACUGAACCAUCAACAACUCACACAUCUACCAACACAUUGCCGGAUAAUGACUUAGAAUUUCCGAGGUCGUUGCCUGAACCUAUUACUACUCUCCUUCAAAAAUUUAAGGCAUUAUUUGCUCCACCCACUGGUCUUCCCCCUCAACGGCUAUUUGAUCACAAAAUACACCUUAUUCCCAAUUCCAAACCAGUCAACGUUCGCCCAUAUCGGUAUCUUUAUUUUCAGAAAACCGAAAUGGAGAAAUUGGUGAGAGAAAUGUUAAAUCAAGGCAUCAUAAAACCCAGCCAAAGCCCAUUUUCUUCACCGGUAAUGCUAGUAAAGAAAAAGGAUGGCUCCUACAGAUUCUGUGUGGAUUACCGCGCUGUGAAUACGGUGACAGUGAAGGACAAAUUUCCCAUCCCCACUAUUGAUGAAUUGUUUGACGAACUUGGCGGUGCUAGGAUUUUCAGCAAACUUGAUCUAAGAGCCGGUUAUCACCAGAUAAGAGUUCACAAGAGGGAUACUUAUAAAACAGCGUUUCGCACGCAUGAUGGACACUACGAGUUUCUUGUUAUGCCGUUCGGUUUGACCAACGCGCCGUCCACUUUUCAAGCAACAAUGAACCAAUUAUUUGCUUCCUUUUUACGUAAAUUUGUUAUUGUCUUUUUUGAUGAUAUAUUGGUCUAUAGUGCAUCAUUGGCUGAUCAUGUGUAUCAUUUGGAGCAGGUUAUGAGUUGUUUAUACACAUAUCAAUUUUAUGUCAAAUUCUCCAAAUGUUUGUUUUGCCAGGAAUCAAUUGAUUAUUUGGGCCAUAUUGUGUCGGCUCGAGGAGUGCACGCUAAUCCGCAAAAGAUCACAGCCAUGGUAGAUUGGCCCUUGCCUAAAUCGGUGAAGCAACUGAGAGGGUUCUUGGGGCUGACAGGGUACUACUGACGUUUUAUUCAAGGCUAUGCAACCAUCGCAGCUUCUCUCACUGAGUUGCUUUGUAAGGAGGCUUUUUAUUGGAAUCUGGCAGCUACUCAAGCUUUUCAAGCAUUAAAGAAGGCUCUUGUGGAAGCCCCUGUACUUCACUUGCCGAAUUUUGCCUUGGAGUUUGUCAUUGAGACCGAUGCUUCUAAUGUCGGGAUCGGUGCUGUGCUAAUGCAAGUCGGGCAUCCUCUAUCUUAUUUUAGCAAAAAGUUGGGUCCUCGAAUGCGUGCAUCCUCGACAUAUUUGAAGGAAUUAUAUGCUAUUGUAGCUGCGGUUCAAAAAUGGCGUCAAUACCUCCUUGGUCGAUUUUUCCUUAUACGCACUGACCAUAAAAGCAUAAAGGAACAGUUUCAACAAGUUAUUCACACCCCAAAGCAGUAAUUUUACAUUCGCAAGUUGAUGGGUUAUCAAUACAGAAUCGAUUAUAAAGCUAGUAACUUCAAUAAAGUUGCUGAUGCUUUAUCGCGAAUUCAUGGGGACAACGUGACUGAAGAACCCAAACCAACAGCACUCUGUUUGUCAUUUGUAAGCCAACCUUCUAGUGAACUAUUGACAGCUCUGCACAAGGAAAAUUGCACUCUUCCUGAUAUGAAAUAACUCCAUCAGAGGUAUGCAGCCGGUUCACUUUCUUCUGACUUCUCGGUUCCUGCUAUUUCGACAUCGAUAUUACCUCAGCCCCAACUCAUCAUUAAAAGCCGUGCUACUCAAAGAGUUUCACGAGACACCUAUGGCAGGACAUGCUGGUAUUAAAAAGACAUUGGUACGUCUUUCAUCGACUUUUUUUUGGCCUAAGAUGAGGAAAGAUGUUGAGCAAUAUGUAGCCGCUUGCCUUGUUUGCCAGCAAAUUAAAUACUCAACUCAAGCGCUGGCGGGUCUGUUACAACCUUUGCCCGUCCCUUCAUUAGUUUGGGAUGAGUUAACCAUGGAUUUCAUUACAGGGCUGCCACUUUUGAGAGGAUUUGAAGCAAUUCUGGUUGUUGUGGAUCGUUUAUCAAAGUCAGCUCACUUUGGAGCCUUGCCUUCUCAAUUUACUGCCAUCAAAACAGCAGCUUUAUUUGCUGACAUGGUUGUAAAAUUACAUGGAUUUCCUAGCUCUAUAAUUUCAUAUCGUGAUCCUAUAUUCAUGAGCAACUUUUGGCAAAAAUUGUUUGAUUUAAGUGGGACAUAGUUAUGCCACAGCACGGCUUAUCACCCUCAAACGGAUGGCUAAUCCGAAGUAGUUAACCGAGGGCUUGAGCAAUAUUUACGAGCCUUCGCACAAGACAAGCCACAGACAUGGUCUUCAUUUUUAGGCUGGGCUGAAUUUUACUACAAUACCAGUUAUCACAGCAGCUUGCGUAUGACUCCCUUUCAAGCCCUUUAUGGACGUCUUCCUCCCACAAUUCCAAGUUACUCAAGGGGCUCUACUUCAAUCCAAGCGUUAGAAGACAUGUUAAUUGAGAGGGAUGCCAUGCUUUGCUCAUUGAAAGAGAACUUACGACAAGCUCAGCAUCGAAUGGCUCAAAAGGCUAAUUUACAUCGCCGAGAAAUUCAAUUGCAGGUAGGUGAUAAAGUGCUGGUACACCUUCAACCAUAUCGCUAGACAUCAGUUGCUAAGCGCUCAUCUCACAAGCUGGCAAGGCACUAUUAUGGACCAUUCACAGUGGUAAAGCGUAUUGGACCCGUUGCUUACAAGUUAGAGUUACCCACAAAUUGUAGAAUUCACUCGGUGUUCCAUAUUUCCUUACUAAAACCUUAUGUGGGAAACUUCCUCAUUGAUGUUUAUUCACUGCCUCCAGGAAGUGUGGAUAACAAGCCCCUGUCAUCGCAAAUUGCAGUAUGUGCUGAGCGAAAGAUACUUCAACAAGGCAAAGUAAUUCCACAAAUUUUGGUGCAAUGGUCUGAUAGCUCACCAGAAAAUUCGACUUGGGAGGACUUUGAGGAAUUUCGUAAACUCUACCCUGCACUACACCUUGAGGACAAGGUAAGCUUUCAAGGAAUGGGGAAUGAUACAACUUGGCCAAUUGUUGUGAAUCAGAUCGAGCACAAUGAGACAGCAAGGGAAGAGACCCAGCCUGCAGAAAUAGAAAAAGUCCAACCCUUGAAUGAGACACAAGCUAGAGAGCAGCUCAAGACAGGUCCAACUUGCGCGAGAAAGAAACCAGGAUGGCUCAAAGACUUUGUCAUUUGAGGAAUGUUCGAGAAUGCUUGAGAUAUCAUAAUAACGAAUAUUGUUCUGUUUUCAAUUAGUGUUUUGUUGUUAUCAAUUUUAUUCUAUUUAGUUAGUUAAGGGUGCGUGGCUGUUUUUGGAAGGGAGAAUAUAUUGUACUGUCAAGGGACCCGUGAGGGCAUGAAAAGAAAGGAUAUCAUUUUGUCUUUUUUCAGCUUCGUCUUCUUUCUCUUCUCUGCAACUCCCCUGUCCCAUUUCUCUUUCUUCAAAUUCUUUUCUCCACGGAUUGGAGUUUGCACUCGCUCAAAGAGUGUCGUAUCAAAGAGUGACUUAAAUUUUCAUCAGUAUCCAGACAUUCUGCAAUCAUAGAGUAGAGAAAUUUUAACAGGAACAGCAGAGAAAAUAUUAUGAAUAUGCUAUAGACCAAUAUACUUGUUCAUAGCUAACGUUUGAUGGUUUAAGGAUUUGUUCUAGGAAUAAUGGGUUGAUUACUUUUUUUAUUUUAAUUUUUUUUAAUCCAAUGAAUGAUAUUCAGCUGUUAAUUAUGUGUUCAUAGGGAAGAACAUUUUCUAAGUACUUUCCUUGCCUUCUAACUUUCCGAAAAGCAAACCCAAUGAACAAACAGAGCACAAACUAAAAUAAAAGAACAGCAAUGAUGACAAUAAAUAAUUGGAAAAGAAAAAAAGGAAAAAGUAUGCACGUUUUCAAGGAAUUAUAAAAUACGAAGGCUUUUAAUGAAAUUUUAUCAUAAAAACGUAUGCAAGGAGUUAUAAAAUUUUAGAAGACGAGGGGAGCUCCCAAAAAAAAAAAAAAAAGAAAAAGACUCAAAUUAAACUAGACUAAAAAGACAUUCAAUUAUGCAAAAUCUGUCCAUAAAAGUCUGAAAGGAUCAUUAAAAUUGCAUUGCAAAUUUAACAGUAAACUGAGGGACCCAUUCUAAAUAAUUCAGUUGAAAUUGCGAAACAAGCCAUGGGAUUAAAUAAAUGAAAUAAAAAUUAAUUACCAGUUGAGACUUUCUUCUAAAAAUUCGCAACUCCAAGUCAUAAGAAGCCUAUGAAAUUAGUCGUAAUACGUAGAGUAUAUCGACGACACCGCCAACAGCUGAAAGUAAAAUUCUUAUUCAUCAAUGUAAACUUACUUUAUAACAAAUAUCUUAUCUAUAUUGUAUUUAAGAAAGCAAAUUUUGUAAAAAUUUAUCAUGGGAGAUAGAGAGUAAUAUGUAUAUCCGUACCUUCUCAGCAGGUAAUUGUUGUAUGGUUGUGUUUAGAUCAUUAUUAGCCCAGCGCCGUUGAUCCGCUGUCUCUCCAUACCAGACAUUUACUCUUGGAGGCGUGAUUGCUUCUCCUGUAGUGAAAAUCUUCAUCUUGGGACAACCAAUCACCCACAAAUCUUGCAAAGAUGGCAAUUUGAAGGUGUAAUUGGGAGAGCAGAAACUUGUGAGGCUAUCUAAAUCAAACAGUUCCAACGUCUUCAAUUUGCGGAAAACAAUCUCUUCUUUUUCAACUCCAUCUUUGUCAUUUAUUACCACCUCUGUCAUUGCUCUGCAUCCAUAUAUUUCUAUUGCUACGAGUCGCACCAGAGUUUUUGCUGUGGAGGAUGUUACCAUGUGUAACAAUUUCUUGCAACCGAAAGCCACCAGAGCUGUUAGGUUCUGAAAAGAUACCGAUGAUGAUGGCAAUAGAAUUAACAGACUUUGACAAUGAUAUGCUUUUAGAAUUUCAAGAUACUGAAAAAUGGGGCCAAGUUUGGAGUCUUGUUUGCACAGCUGCUUCAGAUGAUAGUGCCAGCGCAGCUCUAAUGUUUUUAUCAUUGCCAACUUCCCCACAUGUUUCUCUAAGCUUCCUUCCUCCGAAAAUACCUCUUCGUGGAAUGAAAAUUGAAACAGUGAGAGUAUUUCGAGAUUGUGAAAUCUCUCAAGUACAUUCCAGAUUGGAAAACAAGCUGAGUUAUCUUCGGCAAUCUCUAGUUGUUUAAGACUGCCAAAAAGGUGUUGUGGGAAAUCGGCCUGCAAAAUCAUCUUCACGUCUUUUCCAUUCAAUGAUAGGUCCUUCAAGUUGGGUAAGAUCUGAUCAUCAUAAAUCAUAAUAACUAAUGAGGUCAAUUGAUGUUCUCUCAAAUGAUUUUGAGUAAUCCAAUUACCAGCAGUGACUUUAUAGUAUCUGUUUUAUAUUAAUUUUACCCCCAAAAAAAAUUUAAUUAGUGAUAAAAUUCAUUAUAUGAUUUUUUAUAUGUUAAUUUUAGAGGUAAAAAAGAAAUUAGGGAAAAAGGGUUGAUUUAUAUUUGCAUGAAUUUCACAACAAUAAAUUAUUAAUUUAUUUUGUAAGUCGUUGUAUAAAGAAAAACUAAGGAUUCUUUACCUAAAAAAGUUCAUAUAAUUAUUAAUCUCCCACAUUGAUCCCUUUGUCAAGACUAGCAAAGAUUAUUAUGUAAUAAAAAUUUUCAAUUUAUUAAGUAUUAAUUUAUCAAUGUUUUGUUACAUUUUUCAAAGUCAAAAGACGUCAAUGAGAUAUUGAAAAAAAUAUCUAGAAAAUGACUUCAUACCUUUUCCAAUGGCAAUAGGGGCUGUUGUGCAGGAAUACCAAGUUGAUCAUUCCCAUUAUUCUGCGAUAAAUCUGCAGCGAAUAUUUUUAAUUUGUCACAACGACACACUGCAAAAUUUUCUAGUGCUGGCCAUUCCGAAGUAUGCAUUCCUGGGUAUAAACAUCUAAGUUUUGGUAGACCUUGGAGUAUCAGAACGGUGAGCUGUGGAAAGACAAAAUAAGGGAUCACUUCAUCUGCUCUGUUUUCAGAAAUGAUCUCCUGUAAAUCCUUACAGUCUCGUAUAUCUAGGUGUUGGAGCUGCUUAAGGCUUCCGAUCAUAGACGCUGAAAAUAUGUAUUUCAGUUUGUCACAGUACCACACAACUAAUCGUGUUAAACUUUGAAAGUGAGGAAACACGGCCGCCGGAAUUUGAUUGUAGUGCCAAAUCUUGUCGACAUUAAUUGCAGAUAUCUCCAAAGCCUCCAAGUUAGGCAACGCAACCUAAAAAAAAUAAGAAUUUCUCGUUAGAUCCAAUAUCCAUAUGGGAAGCACUUGUUGAAAUUUUCUUCUUUGAUUACAAAUUAAUGCAAGUCAGAAUCAAUUUUCAACUGACAGCUGAGUUUGAUGCAUUCUAAUUCAUACUACUUGUUAAGAGCUCAAUUAGUGAGCGUGUGAGAUUCUUUUUAUCCUUUUUUCCAUUUUCUUUCAAUUCUUUAAAUGAUUUAAUUAUUUUCCACGUAUGACAUCAAAAGAGAACGCAUGAUAGAAUAAAAUCUGUUAUAUAUAUAUAUAUGAAGAAAAUGUUAGCCUACGCACCUUCUUGUUGAAAAGCAGAGUUGAAGUAUCCUCUUGCGACGAUGGUCUGUUUAGUGAUGCUGAAGGAGUCUUUACUUCACGGCAGACAUUUGUAACCUCUGGAAGAUUCCCCAGACUCAAAGAUCUUAAUUGAGCAAACUCUAUCUUCUCAAUUGCAUUAUCAACUUCUUCCCCAAUUGCAAAAAUCUCUUUCAUCUUGCUGCAAUUAACAACUGCAAUUCUCUCAAGUCUUGGAAGGCAUUUUGUAGUAGAGAGCCAAAAGAUAUUACUCAAUUUAUCACAAUUAUAUGCUUCUACGGUUUUGAGUUAGUUGAAAGACUCUACUUUGAGCCGAUCAACACAUAUCCUCUCCAUGUUGAUCAAAUUGUGAAGGAUAAGUGACUCCAAAAGAGGAAAGGCUUCACAAGCUACCAUCUCCAUUGAGUCCACGAUACACAGGAAGUUAGGAUUAUUUUGAACAUGGAGAUGCUUCAAUUGUGAAAAGCCUUCUGUGUCCAAAUAAAAAAGAACAUUCUUGACACCUUGCAGCUUGUCCAACCAUAGGUAUUCAACGUUAUUGAUGCCCUGCAAUUUCAUGGAGCAAAUGUCCAUAAAAUCAAGCUUGAGCUUCAAUUCUCUUAAACUCUCACGAUUACUCUUGAUCAAAAAGUGCGGCCGGCUUUGAAACCGUUCUCUUGUAACAUUCUUGGGAGGCAUGAAUGACUCAUUUCCAAUGGAUAUAUUGAACCUUUCGAGCUUUCUGGCCAAAAAGCCUUCCGAUAAAAUACUGUCAUUUUUAACAUCAAUUUCUAGAGUGGUUAGCCAAGGUAAAAGCAUCAAUUCAUCAAGGCUAGCAUUACUUCUUUCACUGUUGGCUCUUUCAACCUCCCAUUCAACGGAGCAAUUACCCAUAUACAAUUAUUCUAAUCGGAUUAAGCUUGAUAUGACAUUUGGGGCAAUAACUUUCAGACGGAAACAGUCUGUUAAAUCUAACAGCCUUAGCUUAGUCAGUUGCCCUAGUGCUUUAGGUAACUGUACAAUAUCAGACCGCACAAAGCUAAGGAUUUCUAGAUUUUCCAACUUUCCAAUAAUGGCUAUGUCCAUGUCUCCCAAAAUGCUUUGAUUAAGACAAAGUGUCCGAAGAUUUACUUGAAGAUCAAUUGAAGAUGGCAAUGACAAUAACCGCAUUCUAGUCAAAUCCAAAACCCGAAGCUUUUUCGUCCUUUUGAAGAAGUUCUCAGGAACAUUGGGCCCAACAAAAGAGUUAUUGGGUGACAUGAAUUAAAAUUCAAGUUGUGUAGAUUCCAACACUUCAGGAAUGUCAUUAAUAAUACUAUCUUUUAAACAAAUUGCAAAAUAUUUUUUUAGUGCAUCUGCAUCUGGCCAGUUCCACACACCCUCAUUUCUCACCGCAAAUGCAAUUUUGUCACGACGUGCUAUUGAAAUGGCAACAUCGCGAACAACAUCAUGCAUGGAAAAGAAUUUACUGCUACCAUCCUCAUGCAACAAACAAGACUCUCUUAGUUGAUGGACCCAUGCAUGUAAUUUGUUUGUUAUGUGCAUCUUCUAGCUUAUGGACACUUUCAAAUGCACCCAAGCCCAUGCUAUAUUUGAACAAGUCCAUAAUUGAAGUUGGUGUAAUUAGACUACACAGUAAAAAAGUUUUCUUGAGUUGCUCACCUCUUAAAUACUUGUAACUUAGCUCAAUUGUUGAGUAUGCCUCUACUGGUACUCCUUCAUCGAAGCUUGCCUCUGAAGGCGUUUGGAGUUCUUGCAAGGCAUUCUUCCACACAGGCAGCUCUUUGUUUCUCAGUGCCUUUGCUACUGUGGUUAGGGCAAUAGGCAAACCUCCACAUGCCUUGGCUACAUUUGUUGCUGUAGAUUUUAACUCACGAUUUUCAACAUAAUUACCAGCCAUUAUCUUGAACAACCUCCAAGCUUCUUGCUCAUUUAGAAUGCCAAUCAAGAAGUUAUUUUCAGAUCCCAUACUUAACAAGACAUUACGAUCCCUUGAUGUUAAUAAUAAUUUGCAUCCUCUAUGAUCAUCGCCAAAAGGAAUUCCGACAGUCUCUAAAUCAAGAUAUUUCCAGAUGUUAUCCAGAAUCACAAGGAUCAUCUUCUCUUUCUUCAAUCGUUCAUAAAGUCUACUAGCUCUUCUAGAUUCAGCCUCCUCGGACAACUCCAGACCUAGUUUCUCUGCAAUUUCCCCUUGAAUCUUUUUUAUGUCUGGAGUUUGGGAAACCUCUGAAAAAACCACCUGAUCAAAGAGUUUCUCUUCACUGGCUUGCCUUGCAAACUCCUUCACCAGUGUUGUCUUUCCAAUGCCGCCCAUGCCGUAUACCCCAACGAUGCUGACAUUGACAUCAGUCAAUGCAUCUUGUAUAGACUUCAGAGUAGAAAGUCUUGAUUUAAAGGCCUCGUAACCUUUGUUAGACUUUAGCCAUACCUCCUCCGCAAUGGUACGGUAGAAAAUUCUAUCAUCAAAUCUCCUAGCUUCUUCUUUGAGUUCAACAAGGGCCUUCACCUCUGUUUCUGCUUUCUUGCUAAGCUGAUAGCGGGUCUUCAAAUUAGGACACAAGCCCUUGAAACAUCGCUUACUUGUUGUCUCCCCAUCUUCAAUGAAUUUGGCUGCCUGCUCAAUGGUGUUGUUCGCACUAACCAUCCACUUCUCAACCUUCUCUUCAAUCUUUUCUCCUUUUCUUUCAGCCUCAGAAACUCUGUGCUGAAUGCUCUUACUUUCAUCCUUGAGCUUGUCUAUUUCUGCCUUGAGAUUCUCAAAGUUGUCUUUAUAGUUACGCAAAUAACCAAGUUGGCGUUCUGUUGGAGGAGCGAAGCAUUUCACAACUUCUAACAGAACAGUAACAAUGCUUUCCACCAUCUUCGAUCCUAUUUUUUUCAAAGUUCCGAAAUGAAAAUAAACGACGAGCGAAACACAGAGAGAGAGAGAGAGGCAAAAAAAAGAAAAACGAAAAAAAGAAAAUGAAACAACAAAGAUGACAAGUGUAUAUGGUUGUGGAAGUGGAGAAAUCAAUGAAAGCUUAAAAACUGCUGUGAAUCUGGUGAGAAGAUGGAAACAAGGAAAAGGUUUCUAGUUCAAAAGUGAUUGAAUUGAUAUAAGGAAUGAUUUAGAUAAUAGAGGAAAAGUGAAUCAGUCAAAACAACUUAUGUAUUGACCAGAAGAAAGAUGCAAACAAUAUUAGAGACAACAACCGCGCUAUUGACUGGUAAUAGAGAUGGAGAAAAAGAAAUAUCUUCACACGGUGGAAGUACAAAGGGUAGAUAUGGAACCAAACAGAGACAACAACAUGCCACAACUAGAUUGGGAAUGGAGAGAAACAAAUUAACAAAGACUGGAGAUUACAACAGAACAGAUGCCAAGAGAAAAGGGUUUCUUCAUCCAGUGAAAUUCAAGAGAGUUGACAGCAAAAGGGAGCAUAUGUGUUUCUUGAUUGAGAACGAGUGCAAAGGAUGACUUUUUAAUGAGGUUCUGAAGCUGACGAAUAACGAUUUGCUAAAAUUUUGAGAAAGUUAUAUAUUCCGUAACUUCAACAAGUGAAGAAUAAAAGAAUAAUAGUUCGUCAUCUUCACAAUGAAGAUCAUGGAUGAGAUUAAAAGCUAAAACUAGUUUUCAAAAUAAUUCCUUAUGAANNNNNNNNNNNNNNNNNNNNNNNNNNNNNNNNNNNNNNNNNNNNNNNNNNNNNNNNNNNNNNNNNNNNNNNNNNNNNNNNNNNNNNNNNNNNNNNNNNNNUCUUUUUUCUUUAAUACACGAAUAUACGCGACAUCUUAUUUAUCUUAAUAUGGUUAUUUGAUAUUUAUAUUUUCACAAAUCAAAACAAAAAAAAAGUAGUUAGAUUUUAUAGUUUAAGAAAUAAAUAUAUUUUAUAAAAAUAUUUUUAGAAUAUAUAUUUACUUCUUAUUCAAACUUUUUUCUAUUCAAUAAAAGUCACAAAAGUUACUUUUUCUAUUCAAAUGUAAAUGCUUAAAAAUCAGAUAUAAGUUACAAAAAAUGUUUUUAGAAAAAGUCAUAAAUUAAUAAAAUUUCAGAUUUUAUAUAUUUAACUCCCAAUGCAGAUCCGCCCCUAUUAGUGUUAGGAAAUUGACCGGUGAAGUAGGUCCACAACUAAAAUGAAAUUGAAAGAAAAUGAAGAACAAGCACACAGAGAACACCAAAAAUUACAUGGUUCGACUUUUAGCCUACGUCUACAGGUAAAGACAGAAGGAUAAAACUUUACUGGUGAAAUGAGGAUUACUAGUAUUAUAAUAUUUUGUUUCACUUCCCAGAACCUCAAUCCACUCAAUCUCUUAAAACACUAAUCACUCAAGAGCAUUAAAACUCUUAGUCUCUCACUCUAGAAUUGAAGAAGAAAAGAAUGAAAUGCGGGGGUGAACCCCUCAUUUAUAGUUAAAAAUUUGGGCACUAUUUAUAUAUUUAUAUAUUUUUUUUUAAAUUCAAAGUUUGAACUUGACAUUCAAACUUUGAAUAUCAAAAGGUAUUGGUCGCUCUUCUAGAAAAGCGAUAUUGACUUUGACAUUCUCCCACUUAGAAAUUUAAUUGAGAAUCAAUCAAUCUCCACACCAUCCUUUCUACUUCGCCGCUAUCAUGUUGCUUAUGUCUCUACUAGGCCAUAAAAUGAUCUACUCCAAACAAAUUUAUCAACAUUGAUAGGCUUGGGCAAAACAUUUGUUAGGUUCUCCUUGGUAUCCACUCUUGUAUCUUUCACUACUUCAUGAAGAAGUGAUAUUGUACUCCUAUAUUCUUUGUCCUGGAAUGAAAGGUUGGAUUCCUUGCAUCCUAACUAUCACAAGCCAUAAAAAAUUUUAUGCCCAAGCUCCUUCAGUAACCUUUGUAUCCAAAUAGCCCUUCCAAGCUUGUGUAGCUGCUAUGUAAUCUACUUCUGUUGUUGAUAAAACCACAACGGUCUGCAAUUUUGAAAUCCAACUAACAAUUUCUCCUUCUGGUGUAAAUACUUAGCCAGUAGUGGAUUUCCUUUUAUUAAGAUUUUCUGUAAAAUCUAAAUGCACAUAGCCCUUGACAGUAAAUUCUAAUCCUUCGUAACAUAAUGCAACAUCUAAUGUUCCUCUGAUAUAUCUCAGAAUCCUCUUAAUAGUCUUCCAAUGUUCUUUGCAAGGAUUCGCUAUGUAUCGACUAACCGCUCCCACUACUUGUACAAAUCAUAGUGAACCUUAAAUUUUCCACUGCUGAUGCAUACAGUGCUCAAGACAUCUCUUCUUCUCUACUUCAUUACCAGAUGAAUACUUAAGAAUAACUUAAAAUUAAUAGGAGGCGGGGUAGAAAGCCAAAUCUUCUUGCUAUUACUAUCUCGGUGAAUUUGCAUCCCUAAAAUCUUGUUUACUAGUUCUAAGUCUUUUAUUUCAAACUCCCUAGUUAACUGUGCCUUCGGUUCUUGGACUCGGUCUUUGUUGGGGUCUGCUACCAAUAUGUAAUCCACAUACCACAAUAAAAUGAUGAAAUCAUUAUUAUCAAACUUGUUGUAAUAUGUACAACAAUCUGAACUGAUUCUAUUGUAUCCAAUGUUUAUGAUGAAGGGAUUAAAAUCUCUUAUUUCAACAUUUCGGUGCACGUUUGAGAUCGUAUAGAGAUUUGUUCAACUUGCAAACCAAGUGUCCCUUUUUAGUAAAAUCUUCUAGUUAGAACAUAUAAAUCUUUGUUUCAAGUUCUCCAUGAAGAAAUGAAAUUUUCACAUCUAACUGCUCCAAAUAUAGGUCAAAUGUAGCACACAUUGACAAGACCACUCUGACUGUCCUAGGUCAAAUCACUGGAGAAAAUAUGUCAUUGAAGUUAAUACAUUCUUUCUAAGCAUAUUCUUUCACCACCAAUCUUUCACGAUACCGCUCCACUAAGUUAUUACCAUCACAUUUGAUCUUGUGGACCCAUUUGCAACCAAUGGUUUUUUUUUUUUCAUAUGGUAGUAGUACGAGUUCCUAUGUCAUAUUCUUGUGUAGAGCCUUAAUUUCUUCCUGCAUUGCUAUCAUUCACAAAGUAACAUCUGAGCUGUUUAAAGUUUCAUGGAAAGUUGAUGGCUUUCCAUUCUCUGUUAAAAGACAGUAUGCAAAAUUGAUAUCUAUGACAUAAUCCAAAUGCCACACUGACAGUUAUCUAUCACGAGUUGACCAACAAACUUUUGGGGCCUCAGACUCGAUUGGUUCUUGUUCUCAUACUUUGGUGUUGCUUCAAAAAAAUAUGAAUCUUCAUUUUCCAGAUUAUUUUCAACAUAUAUUAGCACAAUCUCUGAAUUUUUAUAGUGCUAUCAUCCAUAUCUCUCUUUUGCAUUUGAUCUUCUACAAAGAUAAUAUCUUUGCUGAUAACGAUCUUGUGAGCAUUGAGGUCCCAUAGAUAAUACCCUUUCACUCCAUCAAUAUAUCCUAAGAAGAUACAUCUCUAGGAUUUUGGAUCCAUCUUUAAUCUCACUUGGGUAUUGUAUAUCACGUAAAAGGACAUCAAAAUGCCUGAGAUGAGAGUAAUCAAUUGGCUUUCCUGUCCAUUUUUCCAUUGGAAUCUUCAACCUGAUUGCCUUGAAUGAUGACCCAUUUACCACAUAACAAGUAGUUUUUGCUACUUCCGCCUAGAAUGAGUUGAUAGACCAGCAGUUCUCAACAUAACUCUUAUUUUUUCUAUAAGAGUCCUGUUCUUUCACUCUACUACUCUAUUUUAUUGAGGAGUGUAUGCCACCGUGAACUAUCUCUAGAUACUUUCUUGCUUACAUAUGCAAGAAACAUGUUAUCUGUAUACUCUCCACCAUUGUUUGUCCUCAGGCACUUGAUCCCUUGCCCUGAUUUAAGUUCAAUCUACGCUUUGAAUUCUUUGAACAAUAGAAAUACAUUUGACCUUUUCUUGAUUGGAUACACCAAAUAUCUCCUAGAAUAAUCAUCAAUAAAAGUCACCAAGUACUUUGCACCUCCUAUAGAUAUAUCAAGUUAUUCCCAAACAUUAGAAUGAAUCAAGUCUAAAUACAUUUACUUUUGAAAGUGGAUCUGCUAAACUUUCAUCUAUGAUGCUUCCUUGUUUCGACAUGUGGCCAAGUUUAAGAUACCACAUCAUCGUUGAAUUUUCUCUAUUUGAUGUGACACACAUAAAAGCUUUCUGUAGUGUUUCCCUUUAAGUAUGAAUAGAUUAGCACCGAUCUUUUCCACUUUCAUUAAUGCAAGUGCGCCUUUGACUAUCUUUAUGAUCCCAUUUUCUACAUGAGUUUUGCGCGCAAGACUAUUUAUUUGUCCUAAAGAUAAGAGAUAUUUUUCAAGUCUUUGACAUGUCUUACCUUCUCAAUUGUGUGAACCGUACUAUUAAACAUAUUUAUUUUGACAGUACCAAUAUCAGUAAUCUCAAAGGCAUGAUCAUUACCUAUGUAUACAAAUUCUCUUGAAAUAGGUUCAUAUUUGUGAAAUCAUUCUCUUGGAGAGAUCAUGUGCCAGGCAACUAUUAAGUCUAUAAGCCAGACGUCAUAUAGUGGUUUUCUGCCUUUUGAAGUAGUUGUUGCCUUACUGUAGAGAAUUUUGCCCUCAUACGAGGUACUUACUACAUACCCUUGAGCAUUUGAUGACUUAGGAUCUUUACCCUCUCUUCUCUUCUAGUUGUUCCAAUACUCUUCCUUGCCACGCCCUUUCUUGCCACAAUUGUUGCAUUUGACAUUCUUCUUACUUCUUGAUUUUGAUCUACCGUGAUUGUGGCUCUCACUAGGGCCACGUUCCAUGGAUCUUCCUUUCAUCACCAAUAGUGCUUCUACUUGUUGCGAACUCGUUUGUCUAUCUUUUUUAUUUUUUGCUACUCUCCUCAUUUAAUACGGAGGCUGCCAUAUUGUCAAAGACUAACUUGUCUGCUCGAUUGUUAUUAGUUAGAUUAAUGACGAAUUGAUCAUACGAAUCUGGUAAACCUUGAAGUAGAAGCUCCACAUGUUCAUUUUCCUCUAUUUUAUGACCUAACGUUGUAAGUUAUGAAAAUAAAGUCUUUAAAGUGUUGAUAUGGUCGAUCACUGAUGUAGAUUCCGCCAUUCGAAGAGUAUAAAGCCUCCUCUUUAAAAAGAUUUUAUUUUGUAGUGAUUUGACCUCGUAUAGUCUUGUGAGAGUAAACCAUAUUUCCUUUGCUUUCUUUUACUCUACCAUAUUGAAUAAUACCCUAUCUGAAAGUGGGAAGUGUAGAUCUGCAAUGGCAUUAUUGUCUAUUUGAAAGUGGUAAGUGUAGAUCUGAAAUGGCAUAAUACCACUAUUAGAAAAUUGAUUGGUGAAGUAGGGUCACGAUUAAAAUAAAAUUGUAAGAAAAUGAAGAACAAGAACACAGAGGACAUCAUCAAUUAUUUAGUUCGGCUUUUAACUUAUGCCCAUAGGCAAGGACAAAAGGAUAAAACUUUACUAGUGAAAUGAGGAUUAUAAGUAUUUUAGUAUUUUGUUUCACUUCUCAAAACCUUAAUACACCCAAUCUCUCUAAACACUCUUAAUCACUCAUUAUAGAACUAAAGAAGAAAAGAAUGGAAUGAAUGAAAUGAGGGGGUGAACCCCUCUAUUUACAGCUAAAAAUUUGGGCAUUUUUAUAUUUAUUAUUAUUAUUAUUAUUUCUAAAUUUAAAGUUUGAACUUGAUAAUCAAACUUUGAAUAUCAAAAGAUAACGGCACCAACCUUGACUCUUAGGCUGACCUUUAGAGCUUUAAAUAAAGAAAAAGCUUUUAAAAAUGUCAUGUGUACUUGAUUAUACAAAAAUCUCCACCACAUAGAAUGAUUUGAUAAAAGAAAAUUUUUAUUUUUAAUUUUACUUUUAUCAGGCACAGUGCAUUUCCCCUUGGGCUCAUAUGUAAGGAUGUCAAUAAGAAGGGAAGGAGAGGGGAUUGAUUUCCCCAUACUCAUCUUUAAUACUCUGUCUAUCUCUUUGUACUCUAGACAUUUCCUUCAAAAUUACUUGAAAUGAGGGGAUGGAUGUUUCUAAAUAAUACAAAGGGAUCUCCGAUGGUAUCCGAUCGCUGAUUAUUUAAUUUCUUUUUUUUUCUUAAUUUAAUCAUCUUAAAGUAAAAAUAUAAAAUCAUAUUAACACAAAAAUAUCAAAUUAACUAAAGUGAUUAAAAUCAUUUCCAUCAAAUUAAGUCAAUGUCAUCAAAUUAGAACAUAAUCUUUGAACUAAUUAAGCAAAAGUAAAUCUUCAAAGUUGAACUCAUCCAUAAAUGUCAUAUAGUAUAAACCAUCAAUUAAAUUAUCUUUGUCAAUUUUAAAUUGUUUAUAUUUACUUUAUAUUGGCUGUUAUUUAUAUUAUUUUUAUAAAUGUAUUAUAAUAUUUUUUAUUUACAUCACACUAUUACAAUUGAAAUUUUAAAUGUAUUUACUAUAAAUUUGAAAAAAAUGAAUUAAAAAUAGAAACUAAAGAUAGAAAUAGAAAAAUGUGGAGCCAAAUAAAAUAUUAGGGCAAACACCAAGUUAUAUUUCAUGUAACUUACACCCACACAUAUUAAUUUAUCAGAUUCUUGUCUCCACAUAGAAAAAUUAGAUCUAAAAUUAUCAAACUCCCGAAUGAGGAAGAUCCCUCGGGGCCAUCGUCCCUGUGGAAAUUUCUGCAUCCCUGCAGUCUACAACGCCUAAUAAUGAAUUGAACGGUUGAAAUCCCUCUAAAUUUUUGAUAAUUUCUAAUCGCCCCUCCGUAUUUGAUUGAACAUCAAAACUAUUGAGUCCAAAUUUAUAACUUUGAUUUAUCUUCCAUUCCAUAGUUUUCAAGUUCUCUCUCUCUCUCUCUCUCUCUCUCUCUUAAUCCUUUUUACUGCAACCACCAUCAAAGCCUAGUAGUUAAUAUGUAUGCUGCUUUGCUUUCAAAAUCGGACACUACUGCUAUUUAUGGUUUUUAUUCUUUAUUUGACACAAAAUUUGGUGAUAUCUCCGUGGAAAAACACUACUGGUGUAUUCAAUUUUAUCCGGUAAUGGUUAAAUUGAUUAGUUAUAUGAACGGUAACUUCGCCAAGACGAAAAUACAUAUUAAGUUAUAAAGUGUUGGCACUCAUUAUUUUUCGCAAAAAGUUUCGCCCAAAAUACAUAUAUUUUUUUAUUGUUUUAUUUGACACAAAAUAUUGACAAAUUUUUCUGUGAAAAAACACUACUAUUAUAUUCAAUUUUAUCAUUAAAGUUGUUAGUUACAUGAACCUUAAAUUUGUUGGAUCAUAAACUUGAUCCAAGAUGAAUAAAUUCAAGCCCAAUUCAUGGAAGAUUCCAUGAGUAGGUAUGGUUGGUGAAGUAGGUGAGUGGUAGGUUUUAAUAAAUGGUGAUGAUUUAUGUAGUAGUUGAAUAAAUGAAUAGUUGUGAUUAGUUUGUAUCAUGUAUAAAUACCCCCUCUCCCCUUUGGUUUAAGCAUCAAGUGAAGUAACAAAAUCUCUAAGGUGUAGAGAAUGAAAAAUAAGAGUUGUAAUUGGUAAGGAGUGUUGUUGAAGAAAUAAAAUAGUGUGAUUUGUGUGUUUUAUUUGUUAAUUCUCCAACAAAAUUAACACGAACCGUAACUUAGCCAAGCCCAUAAUACAUAUUUCAUAUUUGUAUGAACUUUAAAGUUUUUCCACUUAUUAUUUUUCGCUAAAAGUUUCUAAAUUGUAUUGUAGUUUGAACUUGCCCAUCAUUCAAUUUUUUAACUCCACAAUUAUUUGACCUUACCAAGCUUGAAAAUAUCCUUCCAUACAUAUUUAAUUUUCUCCAAGUAUGAUCAAGAUUUAAUCAAGAGCCUCCGGGAUCUUAAAGUAUAAGAAAGGUCCGGAAAAUCUUUAAAACCCCACUGUUUAAAGUUUUUUUGGACUUUCCUGUACUUUAAAAUCUUGAAUUGAUAUAUAUAUAUAUAUAUAUUAUCAUUGUUAGGUGCUAGUACCCUCAUUUUUUUUUUUAAUGCAAACACCCUCUUAAGCAGUAGGGUUUAAUAGGAUUAUUGUUGAAUAAACUAUAAAGUCGUGCAUCUUAAUAACAUUAAAAACUAACUUUCAACUAGCUCUCUUAAAUUGUACGGCUUAAAAGCAUGUCCGCAUGAAAAAAUAAACAUGCCUGCACCAAAAAAGGACUAUAUAUAUUAUUUAUUUUAUAUAUACAUACGUGUGCACGCUCGUGUAUAUAUAUAUAUAUAUAUAUAUCUUUUUAAUAUAUUCGAUUACUUUAAUAAUCAAUUUAAAAUAGUUUGUGAUAUUUUCAGCUAUUUAUUUAUCUACUUUUAGUUAGUUAUUUACACCGAAUGAAGUGCUAGGGUCCAAAUUUUAGUAUCCUUCUCAGUUGUUUGGGAUUAGUAAAUACUAAUUAGCUUAUUCGUCCCGAACAGGCGCGUAAAUGCUGUUAGAUUUCGGAGAGAUCGAUGCUGAGGAUGGUACAAGAUUUAUCAAAUUGUGGCGACAUUUUUAUACCUUUAGAAUUUCAAGAUUUUGAAGAAAUAAAUGGAAUCUGUUUUCCAUAAGUGCUCCACUAUCCACCAGGAGGAAUUCUAAAACACAUUACAUAUUCGUGAUUUCUCAUAAUAAAUAAACACAUGUUAUAACAUUAUUUACUUAUCGUAUGACUGAUAUGAUACUUUGGAUUGCAAUUCUCAUACAAUACAUAGAAUUAUCAUAAUCUAUAAAUUGUAUUUUUGCUUUUCUACGGUAGUAAGUCAAGAAUCCUUAGUGACAAUUUAAAUUGAAAAAAUAAAAUCAUAAAUAAGAAUUAUUUGAUAAGAAUUAAAAUAAUUGAUAAAUAUUUGAGAGGAGCAAUUUUGGAAGACUCGAUUUCUAAUAGGAGGGGAAUUUGAAUUUUACAACUUUCGGUGAGGAAUCCAAAAUGCACAAUUUGAUGAAAAUUAAAUUUCAAUAGAAAUUGAAUUCCCAUAUGUUAGUGAAAACCAAACAACAGAAAAGUGAAAGGAAUUUGAAUUCAUUUCCUUCCCGUCUCAUCCCUCCAACUAAACACCAUCGAGACCCAAAGAUAUGGGUUUGGAAUUCCAUACUGAUCACAAUGGGAUUUGUCCAUAUUAUUAGGACCAAUUUUAAAAGCAGUCGGAGUUUAAAAUUGAAAUUAAUCCUAAUUUUUUAUUUGGGACUAGAUAAGAAUUUAUAUUGUAACUCCAAUUCUCCCAAUUAUUUUAGUUGAUAAUAUGUUUAACAUUAUUAAUUGCAUAUUAUUUAAUUAUCAGUAUAUAAUAUUCUUUAAUUUUCCAAUUUUAUAGGAUUAGACACAAAAUUGAUUAUGCUAAUAUUCUUUAAUUUUCCAAUUUUAUAGGAUUAGACACAAAAUUGAUUAUGCCUUCUGAAAUUUAAGGGUUAUGUCAAUUGAACAGAAAACUUGGAGUUGAACUUUUGGAUGUUUUUGUUGAUUAUCAAUUUAUGCAUGAAUUUUUGUACGUUUACUUUGGUUUAUUAUUGUUACUUUUAGACAUUUUUAUUGGUUUGAUUUAGGGUCAUUUUGGUAAUCUUGUAAUUUUUAAAGUAGUUACAGUUAGCUAUGCUGUAGAAAUUGAUCAAUUGUGAAGAGAAUCAGCUGAACAUUUAGUAAAAUUUAUUUUUAAAAGUACUUUAGUUUUAAAAGCAGUUGUAUGUGUUUCGUAAAUCUUAUUUUUAAACAGGUGCAAGAAUAUAAAUAACUAAAUUGGACAUAAUGCUAAAUAAAAUUUAUUUACACAUUUACAAACAUGUAUAUAAAAUAUUUUUAUUAUGUACAUAUAAUUAUUGAUAACUAAAAUAAAAAUUUUAUAUUAUUAAAUUUUAUUCUUUAUUUUGUUAUCCCAAUAUAAUUGGUAAUAAUAAUAAUCUCUUAAAGUUAAUGAUUUUAUUUCUUAAUUAAUAAAGAUAAUUCUGGAUUUUUAUUAUAUAAUGAGGAUAUAUAUAUAUAUAUAUAUAUAGAAUUGGAUUAAGUAUAAAAGUGAUUUUCAAAAUCAAAUUUUGAAAAACUAUUCCUUCCAUACUUUUCAAAAUCCACUGUAUGAUGAGAUGAUUUUUCCAAAAAUAAUUGCUAAAAAAUUAUAAAACACUAAAAAUUAGGUUUUAGUUUUUAAAAUCACUUUUGAGCUUCCCAAAAACAAUCCUAACAGGCCUUUAUUUAGGUGGUGUUGGAACUUGUAACUUUUGGAUCAUUUGGUUUUUAUUGGUUUGAUACAACUGUUACACUAAAAAUUGAAUGUAUCUUAAACCCCACACUUCUUCUUCUUCUUUUUUGAUUGCACAAAAUUAAAAACAAUAGUGAACGCAUUCUUUAAUAAACAAUAAGUAAUUACUAAAAUUGUGUUAAAGAAUUUAGUUGAAACAUAAAUUGAUUUCAAUGUUGUAUAUGCUAAAUUUCUUAAAAAUUUCUUUCACGGUUUGCUGAAUAGUUUUAUUAGUAUUUUGAAUAAAUAAAAAUAAUUGAUUUAAUUUUUUAAAGAAAUUUAUUAGGUUCAUGUAAAUACGUUUUUGUUAUUUUAAAAGUGUACAAAGUAAAACUUAAUUUUUUAAAUUUAUUAGAUGAGUGGAUAAAAUAAUUGAGUGUUCAUAGUAAAUUUUAAAGUAUAGAUAGUGAGACCCUAAUAUUUUUAAUAUAUGGAAAUUUUGAAAAUAUGUUAAUGGGAAUUAAAAUGAUAAUUAAGGGAGGCAUUCGAGACAUUCAGGAUUGUUAGGAUAGGACAUGAUUGUGAGCGGUUUGAGAUUGGCCCUAAUUUUGAUCACAAAUAUAUAAGCAGGAUGAGUUUAUCCAUUCUUACAUUCCAUUUGAUAAUUAAGAUGAGAGUGGAAUUGUCAAAUCCCAAAUUAUCCCGGACCAUUGCCACCAAAGGUACUCUCACUAAUAAUAUCUAAAGAAAAAUCUACAUCUAUUUCAUACCUUUUUUUUAAACGGAAAGAGCCCUUAUGGGGCUUGAAAUGGUAUCCUAAAUAAUAUUCAAAAUAUCAGGCCAUGACUGGGUUUGUAACAAACAAAUAUUACAUAGUUGGGAUACGUAGUUACUAGUGUCCCAAUUUAUGUAGUAUCUAUCAUUUAGUGCACAUAUAAAGUGUUUGGGAAAUGAAAUAGGGUGACCAAGAUAAGGUGUUUGCUCAUACAUUAUCGUGCUCUCCUCAAAGUAAAAAGUGAAAAAAUAGUUGAUAGGCUACUAGGAGUUUAUUUGGUCACCUCGAGCACAUCACCUCGACCAGGAUAUUAUUUGGUGAUCUCGAGCACAUCAUCUUGACUAAGAGAUUAUUUGGUCACCUUGAGUAUAUCACCUCGACCAGGAGAUUAUUUGGUGACCUCCAGUAGAUCAUCUUGACCAGGAGGUUACCAGGAAGCACGACUCAGUCGAAACAAAUCUCACUUAUUUUCUUCGAAAUAUUAGGGACCAUAUUCUUAGUGGGCUGAAAAUUGGUGGUUUUCUUGAGAGUUUUAGGUGAGAGGAUAAAAAUCACUAUAAUUUGCUAUAAAAACCCUGGGAAAGGGAGGGAAAUAGGGAGAUUCUUUUUAUCUCUCUCUCUUUGGGUGACUGAACCCAUGGGAUCUUUUUCUUUCUACCACUGGGAACCUUCUCUUUCUCUCAUGAUUUAUUUUUCUUUAAGAUUGGUUAUUUUUUAUUCUUUUCCCAUAAAUUUACUUAAAAGCUUUUUGUUUAAAGUAUUCAUAAUUAAGCCGCGUGAAUUGUGGUACGGAUUUUUCCAAGUAGACCCAAAUCGCUGACUUGAGCAUCGGAGGAUUUUCUUUAAGAUUGAUUAUUGUUUCCAUAAAUUUGAACCAAGAAGGAUGACGCGAUAAAAUUUGUUUUUAUUGUAUGGUUGAUUUCAUAUCUCAUGCACUCAUUUCUUAAGAUAAUUAGAUUUCAUCUUUUGCAAAUGUGGAAAUAUCAAUUAUGGUCAAUCAAAACGAUCUCAAAACCUUUCAACGAGACAUAUUUAUAAUACAAUAUUGUGAAAAUUACACCAAAAAAUUAAUUUAUGAUAUAUUAUUAUCCCACCAGCACACAAAAAUGAAUUCGUACAAAUCUAAAAUACUUAGCAAUUUUCAAAUAGAAUUUUAAAUUUAUUUCCAGUUAGAAAACUAUUCGCUGGACUCCAUAUUACUAGCCACCAUCGUAAGCCUAACCGGUUGCCGGCGAACGGCGUAAAACACCAGCCAUCUUCUUCUUCAUCAUAUUCUCCUUUCAUCUUUUGAGUUAAGCCUGUGAUUAUGAGUUUCUUCUCUUACUUAGCUUGUAAUUAUAGAUUUUGAUUCUUUUUAAUUCAUAUUGUAGCCGUUAUUGUCAAUUUUUGUCCCGCCAGCAAUAUUUUUUUAUUCCUACAAGUUGAAAAUGGAUUCAUUUGAAUUACUAUUGAAUUUAGCUUUAAUUUCAAUAUCCAUUCUAAUGUUUUGCUAUUAGAUUUGCUUUAAUUUUAUGUUUAAAGCUUCUACAAUGAAUAGCGGAGCUUGGGUUUUAGUUUCAUUUUCUGUAACUUGUUUUAGUUUAUCUUGUAUGCUCACCAAGUGCUUGUUAUAUUGUCUGAUAAGUUCUAUACAUUGCUGAUUCUAUAUUAAUAAUGUUAUGUUCUAUUUUCAGAAAUUAUAAUACAAAAGUUUUUACAAUGGCGUGCAUCUACAAACUGAAUUGACUUGUAGAAUAAGAGCUUGGAGUAGUGUUAUGUUCUUGAAUAAAUGAAAGUUCAUAUUGUGUAAGAGCAUGUAGAUGUAAAGCGUCAUUACCAUUUCUAUAAAGGACUUUCAUUCUGUUCAGAUGCUCUUCUUGAACAUUGAAAGGUGCCUCGUUCAAGUCCUAGCUAUAACUACUAGCUUUGAUUAAUUAAGUUCCUAUACUAGCUGAAACAGAUUUAUUUAAUUAAUUAAUUGUGUAUGUACUGAUUAUAUUGAAAGUAUAUGAAUUUUUUUUUUUUUUAACAUGAAUGACUUCUAAAUGACUUAAAAACCUAAAGGAUAUGUGAAAUUAUGCUCAUUUCACAUGAAUGAGCCUAUUAAUACUUUUAUGUCUAUGAUUGUCAAUAUUGGCUUAAGCAUUUCAGUUAAGUGGUUUACCUAACAGAGAAAAAAAUUUAAUAGAAAACUUCAGAGUUCUAACAGAAAUAUAGUUCACUAUGCAGAUAUAGUUAUUUUACGGUAUACAAAUCAAGUUGUCCUAAUCUCAAUGUCCUAUGACCAAUUUUAUUUUAUAUAGUCAUUAAUUUUUGCCAUGGUUUUUUGUGUUUAUGAGUUUGAAAUAGUGGGAUUUGGUGUACCUUAGCAUCUUUUGAAAAUUCUCUUUAAGUGUGGCCAACAGAAAUAUACAUAUAAUCAAGUUUCUUAAUCCUGUAUAUUAGUUUUGGGUAUGAAUGGUCCUAUUCUAGCUCUAGGCAAAGCUUCUUUGUUUUGGGCUUCAGAUUUCCAGUAGGUUAAGUUAAUCAACUAUCAUAACUGGCUAGCUAGUUAUUUGUUUGCCUUGCGGCCAUUACCCAGGGCAUUAUAUUUGCAUAGGCAUAAGGGAAUAGUGAUUAUUAGUGAUUUGUUGAGCUUAUUAUUGACGAAACAAAUGUAUUUCGCCUUUGCCCACAACUUAUUUGAUUAGGUAUUAGACCAUAAGGAGCCUGGAUCUAUUCAUUGGCUUUAUUAUUUUUAUUUGGUUUUUCUUUCAACAAUAUUGUUGAUUUCUUAUAAAAAUAUUCAUUGGCUUUUAAACACCUAAUCAUUGGCUAUAUGAAGCUAAUUAAAACUGAGGCUUUGGAUCAAUUUCUUCUAACAAGAUACAAAUGAGCAAAACCUUUCUCCUCUAAGUUAAUUUUUUUAAUAUCCCUUGAUUUGUAAGGAUCUGGAGGCCUGAAUCCUCUUGAUUUUUUUUAACACUGUCAAUGUUCUUUUUAUUCUGAGAAGGAAAUAAAAGGUUUUAUCUUUCAUACCCGAAUAGUAAGCUGGCCUUGUCUUAACAUGGCCUCCCGAGGACUUGCAAGAUUCAUAGUGCCCCCCACCCCAAAAAAAAACAUAAAAAACACAAAUAGGAAGAUUUUGCAAGAUUCACCACCAGGUUUUUUUUAAUUUAUUAAUUGUGUGUACGUGCUAGUUAUAUGUUGAAAGAAUAGGAAGAAGUAUUUCAACAUGAAUGACUUAAAACUUAUUGCUCAGUAAACAUAAUCUGCAUCAGUGCGAAAAUGUAUUUAUCGUUUGUAUUUUUUAUGGUUUUGCUAAAGAAAUGAUAUGUGAAAUAAUGCUACAUUGCAUCAGGAAUAAAUUGAAGAGAUUUAUGAUAUUUAUGUGUUAUUCAAAUUUCAGAUUCAAUUUUAAACUUUUGAUACGUGCAUUGAAAGCUUAGACUUGUUUAAGAAAUCAUUAAUAGACACAUGUUUUAUUAGUGUCAUCUUUGGAUGAUAGUGAGGAUCAUAUGUCUAUUAAUAAUUCUUGAAUUGUCCAGGCUUGGACAGUUUGGGAAUGCAUAGUUCACUCUGGUAGCUAGUAGCUGAAGUUUUUUCCCACGUAAAAAUGGGUUUUUCGGUAGCUGCUCCUCGUGUUCUCUGGGUACGUACUAGGUGAAUGGGUGUCAUGUGCUGUUUUGGCAUAACGCAUAAACACUUAUAUAGCUAUGUCGUGUGCUUGGAGAAUUAUAGGGAGAUGGUGCCGAAAUUUUUAUAAACGUGGAAGAAAACUUUAGGUACUUGAGAUUGAAGAAACUAAUGCAUUCUUGAGUGGGAUAUGUAGGAUUAGUUGCCUUUUGUAAAUAUGAAGGGAAUGUUGGAUAUAUUGGGGAUAGUGUAGGAGCUGAGUUGGAUGAAUGUAAUUGGUGAUGAUUUUGCUGAGCUGACCUUGGUUUUGAGCUUGUAAUUUUGUUUGUAAAUGGAGUGCUAUCUCCAAUGUUGGUUUAUAAAAAUGUUUCAGGACUUGCUGACCUAAUUUUUUGUUUCUAGGUUACAGGCUUUAUAUAUCUGUAAUUGAUAGCCAAGUGAAGUUCUCAGCACUUGGCAAGGAUAUUUCUUUACAGAAGGUACUGGAAACUGUUUUUUACAUUAAUUAUCGUUGUUUAUAUACUUUGAUUGUCACAUCUUUUUCUCUGAUUCUUGUGGCUUUGCUUGCUUUCAUAUAUGUAAAUUCUAAUGAAAUUAACCAUAAAAUUGUAAAAUGAUUUUUUUAUUAUAUUGCAAAACUGUGCACACACGAAAAUAUCUUGUUUAGUAGUAGAAAUGAAGAAAUAAUUUUUGUAGCGCAUUAAAAGGAGAUAGUCAUGGACAAGUGUUGGGUUGGUUUGCCAAAUAGAUAUCCAAGUCAUAUACUGAUGGCGUUGAAAAAUUUAUAGAUUUUGUAUUUGAGAAUGUUGUUGGUGGUACAAGAAUUUAUUGUCCUUCUUGAUAAGUGUUGUAAUCUAUAUUUCGUUAUAAGGGAAGUGGCUGAUGAUGAUAUGGUUGGAAUGAUACAGUGCAUCACGUAAUCAAAUGUUCAAGUUACACGCAGCAUUGUUAUGAGUGGCAACUUGUCUGGGUGGAGUAUUAAAGGUAAAUAAGCAUGUCUUGUUUGCCAACAAAGCACUGGAUCUAAUUCGUUGAUACAUAGUAGAAAAUUUUGUCACGUGGGUCACCGUCGAUUUUUCCCAACAAAUCAUAGGUUUCGAAAAUAUAGUGUCUUUGAAUAAAACUAGAGAGUAGGGACAAGCACCUUCUCAGUUGUCUGCAACUGAAGUGAAAAAGCAGUUUAAUGUAUUUACUGAGUAUAAGAUUGAAGACUUGAAAAGAGAAGAACGAAUGAGAAAUGAUAAGAUUACUUGGAAGAACAACAGCAUUUCUUAAGAUUACUUGGAUGAGAAAUGAUGUGGAAGAUGGCUAUAAAAGAUAAAAGGAAAGGCUUAAAAAGAAAAGCCACGCCUGUCAAAAACAAAAAUCAAUGGCAGCGUCAAAUUUAUAACAAAAAUCAAAACGGUGCGUUUGAGAGUGUAUAAAAUACAUUUAGAGUGGGAGUUGUGUUGUUGCUUGAAGGCAGAAUGUUUGUGAGAUAUUUGUCGACGAAGCCGAAACCAAAGAUGAAGCCCAUCGAAAGUAUUUAUAGUGUAAAAAGUAUAUUGUGGAAAUGUCUGGUCGGUAAUACAACUAUUUCUUGUAGUGUAAAUGAUACACUAAUUUGAAUUUAUAUGCUUUUAUGAUUAUUUGAUUAUCAAGUGGUGAUCAUAUGUGAUGAUAAACUUAGGUCGUACCUUUAUAUUUAUAGCCUUAGUUUUCUAAGCGUUCACAUUUUGAUGAGUAAAUUAAGGAUUUCUAGAUGAAGUACAUAAUUAGAUUAAUGCUAAGGAACUGAAGUUUGAUCAACUGAAAACGAAAAUAAUAAUGAAGGUAAUUAAGAAAAUGAACAAUGCAGAAGCGGUCCUUAUUAGGACUUCUAGAUUUUCUCUUGGGCUUCCUUAUUAUUGUUAAAAAAUGACACGAAGAACUGAGUUUAAAAAUCUGGCCCUGAUGCCUGGUAGCCCUCCAACAUAUGAAGCACUAGAUGUUUUAAUGAGAAAAUGACAAGACCAUUUAUCAAAUUUCUUGUGGAUAUAAAUACAUACACAUAGACGAGACCAACCUCCUCAAAUGAGAAUCAGAGUGAUUACAAGACCUUGCAAUGGGACGAUAACACACCAUCAAAUCUCAAAAUACAAUAGAAAUUCAUGACAUAUGUAUAAUAAAAGAUCUCUCAUUGAGUCAUAUAUAUUGAGAAUAAAAAUGUUAUAAUACAUACAAAGAGCUUAGCUAGAAUAAAAUGUCUUUGAACUUGCGAUGAUCAAACAAAGGAAACAGACAGGUUGUAACUCACACUAUCACAGAUGUAGCGACACGAUGCAGUGAAUCACAAGAAGAUCACGAAGAUGGAAACGGGAACCCCUCAGAAUGUAAACUUUGAAUAGAGGAAAAAAGAAAAACGUCCUUAUUUCAAAUUGUGCACAGAAGAAGAGUGACUUAAAUCUUCAUCAGUAUCCAGGCAUUCUGCAAUCAUAAAGUAGAGAAAUUUUAACAGGAACAACAGAGAAAAUAUUAUGAAUAUGCUAGACCAAAUUAGUCCCUUUUUUGGUUUGUGAAAACUUUAUUUUUUAUGAAUACGCUAUCCAAUAUUUUCAAUCAAUAUUUCCACAAUAUAGUUGUUCAUAGCUAACGUUUGAUGGUUUAACGAUUUGUUCCAAGAAUAAUGGGCUGAUUACGUUUUGUUUUAUUUUUAUUUUAUUUUUUUUAAUCCGAUGAAGGAUAUUCAGCUGUCUUUAAUUAUGCAUUCAUAGGGAAGAACAUUUUCUAAGUACUUUCCUUGCCUUCUAACUUUCCAAGGAAAGAUAGGUGUAAAGAAAAGCAAACCCAAUGAACAAACAGAGCACAAACUAAAAUAAAAGAACAGCAAUGAUGAGGAUAAAUAAUUAGCAAAUAAAGAAAGGAAAAAGUAUGCACGUUUUCAAGGAUUUAAAAAAUACGAAGGCUUUUAAUGAAAUUUUAACAUAAAAAAGUAUGCAAGGAGUUAUAAAAUUUUAGAAGACGAGGGGAGCUCGCAAAAAAAAAAGAAAAAGACUCAAAUUAAACUACACUAAAAAGACAUUCAAUUAUGCAAAAUCUGUCCAUAAAAGUCUGAAAGGAUCAUUAAAAUUGCAUUGCAAAUUUAACAGUAAACUGAGGAACCCAUUCUAAAUAAUUCAGAUGAAAUUGCGAAACAAGCUAUGGGAUUAAAUAAAUUAAAUAAAAACUAAUUACCAGUUGAGACUUUCUUCUAAAACUUCGCAACUCCAAGUCAUAAGAAGCCUAUGAAAUUAGUCGUACAGCGUAGAGUAUGACGACGACACCGCCAACAGCUGAAAGUAAAAUUCUUAUUCAUCAAUUUAAACUUACUUUAUAACAAAUAUCUUAUCUAUAUUGUAUUUAAGAAAGCAAAUAUUGUAAAAAUUUAUCAUGGGAGAUAGAGAGUAAUAUGUACAUACGUACCUUCUCAGCAUGUAAUUGUUGUAUGGUUGUGUUUAGAUCAUUAUUAGCCCAGCGCCGUUGAUCCGCUGUCUCUCCAUAGCAGACGUUUACUCUUAGAGGCGUGAUUGAUUCUCCUGUAGUGAAAAUCUUCAUCUUGGGACAACCAAUCACCCACAACUCUUGCAAAGAUGGGAAUUUGAAGGUGUAAUUGGCAGGGCAGAAAUUUGUGAGGCUAUCUAAAUCAAACAGUUGCAACGACUUCAAUUUGCAGAAAACAAUCUCUUCUUUUUCAACUCUAUCUUUGUCAUUUAUUACCACCUCUGUCAUUGCUCUGCAUCCAUAUACUUGCACUUUGACCAGUCGCACUAGAGUUUUUGCUGUGGAGGAUGUUACUAAGUGUAUCAAUUCCUUGCAACCGAAAGCUACAAGUUUUGUUAGGUUCCGAAAAGAUACCGAUGAUGAUGGCAAUAGAAUUAACAGACUUUGACAAUGAUAUACUCCUAGAAUUUCAAGAUACUGAAAAAUGGGGCCAAGUUUGGAAUCGUGUUUGCACAGCUGCUUCAGAUGAUAGGGCCGGUACAGCUUUAAUUCUUUUAUCAUUGCCAACUUCCCCACAUGUUUCUCUAAGCAUCCUUCCAUCGAAAAUACGUCUUCGUCGAAUGAAAAAAAAGACAGUGUGAGUAUUUCGAGAUUGUGAAAUCUCUCCAGUACGUUCCAGAUUGGAAAACAAGCUGAGUCAUCUGCAGCAAUCUCUAGUUCUCUAAGACUGCCAAAAAGGUGUUGUGGGAAAUCGGCCUGCAAAAUCAUCUUCACAUCUUUUCCACUUAGUGAUAGUUCCAUCAAGUUGGGUACGAUCUGAUCAUCAUCAAUCAUAAUAACUAAUGAGGUCAAUUGAUGAUCUACGGUCACACGCAGUGACUUUAUAGUAUUUGUUUUAUAUUAUAUUUUAAAAAAAAUUGAAUUAUUGAUAAAAUUUAUUAAAUGAUUUUUUAUAUGUUAAUUUUAGAGGUAAAAAAGAAAUUAGGGAAAAAGGUUGAUUUAUACUGGCUCGAAAUUAUUUUAUUGCACAAUAAUAAAUUACUAAUUUAUUUUGUAAGUUCUUCUAUAUGGAAACACUAAGGAUUCUUUUAGAAAUGCUAUACAAAAAAAAGUUCAUAUAAUUAUUAAUCUACCACAUUGAUCUCUUAAUCUAGACUAGCAAAGAUUAUUGUAUAAUAAAAGUUUUCAAUUUAUUGAGUAUUAAUUUAUUGAUGCUUUGCCAUAUUUUUCAAAGUUAAAAAUAAGCUAUAGACAAAAAAUCUAGAAAAUGGCUUCAUACCUUUUCCAACGGCAAUGGGGGCUGUUGUGCAGGAAUGCCAAGUUGAUCAUUCUGCGAUAAAUCUGCAGUGAAUAUCUUUAAUUUGUCACAACAAUGCACUGAAAGAAUUUCUAGCGCGGGCCAUUCCAAAGUAUGCAUUCCAGGGUACAAACAUCUAAGUUUUGGUAGACCUUGGAGUCUCAAAGUGGUGAGCUGUGGAAAGACAAAAUAAGGGAUCACUUCAUCUGCUCUAUUCUCAAAAAUGAUCUCCUGUAAAUCCUCACAGAAGCGAACUUCUAGGUGUUGGAGCUGCUUAAGGCUUCUGAUCAUAGACGCUGAAAAUAUGUAUUUUAAUUUGUGACAACGCCACACAAUCAAUCGUGUUAAAUUUUGAAAGCGAGGAAACGUGACCGGAAGAUGAUUGUAGUGCCAAAUCUUGUCGACAUUAAUUUCAGAUAUCUCCAAAGCCUCCAAGUUAGGCAACGCAACCUAAAAGAAUAAGAAUUUCUGGUUAGAUCCAAUAUCCAUAUGGGAAGCACUUGUUGAAAUUUUCUUCUUUGAUUGCAAAUUCAUGCAAGUCAGAAUCAAUUUCCAACUGACAGCUGAGUAUGCAUUCUAAUUCAUACUACUUGUUAAGAGCUCAAUUAGUGAGCGCGUGAGAUUCUUUUUAUCCUUUUUUCCGUUUUUUUUCAAUUCUUCAAAUGAUUUAAUUAUUUUCCACGUAUGAUAUCAAAAGAGAACGCAUAAUAGAAUAAAGAAAAUGUUAGCCUACGCACCUUCUCGUUGAAAAGCAGAGUUGAAAUAUCCAAAGUGAUUUCGCUGGAGCAAUACAUAGUCGUCGAUUCCUCUUGCGACACUUGUCUGUUCGGUGAUGCUGAAGGAGUCUCCACCUCACGGCGGCAAAAACUUGUAACCUCAGGAAGAUUCCCCAGACUCAAAGAUCUUAAUUGAGCAAACUCUAUCUUCUCAAUUGCAUUAUCAACUUCUUCCCCAAUUGCAAAAAUCUCUUUCAUCUUGCUGCAAUUAACAACUGCAAUUCUCUCAAGUCUUGGAAGGCAUUUUGUAGUAGAGAGCCAAAAGAUAUUACUCAACUUAUCACAAUUAUAUGCUUCUACGGUUUUGAGUUCGUUGAAAGACUCUACUUUGAGCCGAUCAACACAUAUCCUCUCCAUGUUGAUCAAAUUGUGAAUGGUAAGUGACUCCAAAAGAGGAAAGGCAUCACAAGCGACCAUCUCCCUUGAAUCGACGAUACAAAAGAAGUCAGGAUUAUUUUGAACCCAGAGAAGCUUCAAUUGUGAAAAGCCCUCCGUGUCCAAAUUGAAAAGAACAUUCUCGAUGCCUUGCAGCUUGUCCAACCAUAAGUAUUCAACGUUAUUGAUGCCCUGCAAUUUCAUGGAGCAAAUGUCCAUAAAAUCAAGCUUGAGCUUCAAUGAUAUUAAACUCUUGCGAUCACUGUUGAUCGAAAAGCGAGGCCGACUUUUAAACCAAUGUUGGCCAACACUCAUGGGAUGCAUGAAUAACCCAUUUCCAAUAGAUAUUUUGAACCUUUCGAGCUUUCUGGCCAAAAAACCUUCUGGUAAAAUAUUGUCACUUUUAACGUCAAUUUCUAGAGUGGUUAGCCGAGGUAAAUGCAUCAAUUCGUCAAGGCUAGCAUUACUUCUUUUGCUGUUGGCUCUUUCAACCUCCCAUUCAAUGAAGCAAUUACCCAUAUACAGCUCUUCUAAUCGAGUUAAGCUUGAUAUGAGAUUAGGCGCAAUAACUUUUAGAUGGAAACAAUUGGUUAAAUCUAACAAUCUCAACUUAUUCAAUUGACCUAGUUCUCCGGGCAACUGCAUAAUAUCAGACUUCAAAAAGCUAAGGACUUCUAGAUUCUUCAACUUCCCAAUGAUUGCUAUGUCCCCCAACGCACUUUGAUCCAGACAUAGUGUGUGAAGAUUUGGUAGAAGAUCAAUUGAAGAUGGAAAAGAAGAAAACUGCAUUCGAGUAAAAUCUAGAACUCUAAGCUUUUUCAUCCCUACAAAAAAGUUCUCAGGAAUAUUGAUUUCAAGAGAAGAAUCUUUGAGAGAGACAAAUAAAAAUUCAAGGUUUGGGCAUUCUAAUCCUUCAGGAAAUUCACGAUUACUAUUAUUUCUUAAAGAGAUCGCAUUGCAUUUUCGAAGUGCAUCCUCAUCUGGCCAGUCCCACACAUCCUUAUUUCUCACCAAAAACACAUGUUGGUGGCGGCAUGCAAUUGAUAUUGCGACAUCACGAACAACAUCAUGCAUUGAAAAUUGUUCAUUGCUCUCACCCUCAAGCAACAAACAAGAGUGUCUAAGUUCAUGGACCAAUGCAAAUAAUUUGUCUCGUGCAUCUUCCAUCUUAUUGACUCCUUUAAAUAUACCCAAACCCAUGGAGUACUUAAACAAGUCCGAAGUAAGAAUACGGUUAUCCAUUAGACUACAGAGCAGAAAAAUUUUCUUGAGUUGCUCACCUUUUAAAUGGUUGAAACUCAGCUCAAUACUUGAAUAAGUCUCUGCAGAUACUCCUUCGAAGUUUACCAUUGAAGGCGUUCGGAGUUCUCGCAAGGAAUUCUUCCAUUCAUGAAGACUCUUGCUUCUCAGUGCCUUUGCCACUGUAGUCAAGGCAAUGGGCAAACCUCCACAUGCCCUGGCGACGUCUAUUGCUGUAGAUUUCAACUCACGAUUUUCAACAUCAUCUCCGGCCAUCAUCUUAAACAAUCUCCAGGCUUCUUCUUCAUUUAAAUUGUUUAUCAAAAAGUUGUCUUUAGAUCCCAUUUUUAAGAGGACACUACGAUCUCUUGCUGUCAGCAGUAGUUUGCAGCCUUUAUGAUCUUCUCCAAAAGGAAUUGCAAUAGUCCCCAAAUCAAGAGGUUUCCAGAUGUUAUCCAGAAUCACAAGGAUCUUCUUCUCAUUCUCCAAUCUUUCAUAUAGUCUACUAGCUCUUCUAGACUCAGCUUCCUCGCGCAACUCCAAGCCCAACUUCUCGGCAAUUUCCUGUUGAAUCUGUUUUAUGUCUGGAGUUUGCGAAACCUCUGAAAAGACCACCAUAUCAAAGUGCUUGUCUUCCAUAGCUUGCCUGGCGACCUUCUUCACCAGUGUCGUCUUUCCAAUGCCGCCCAUGCCGUACACCCCAAUGAUGCUGACAUCAACAUCGAUCAAUGCGUUUUUUAUAGCCUCCAAAGUAGAACGUCUUGAUUCGAAGGCCUCGUAGCCUUUGUGAGACUUGAGCCAAAUCUCCUCCGGAAUGGUACGGUAGGAAAUUCUAUCAUCAAAUCUCUCAGCUUCUUCUCGGAGUUUAAAAAGGGCCUCCUUCUCUGUUUCUGCUUUCUUUCCAUGCUGAUAGCGAAUAAUCCAAUUAGGAAACAGCCCCAUGAGACAUCGUUCAUUUGCUUUCUCUUCGUCUUGAAUGAAUUUGGCUGCCUGCUCAAUGCUCUUGUUCGCACUAAACAGCCAUUUCUCAACCUUCUCUUCAAUCUUUUCACUUUUUCUUUCAGCCUCAGAAACUCUGCGCUGAAUGCUUUCUCUUUCAUCCUUGAGCCUAUCGAGUUCUGCCUUGAGAUUCUCAAAGUUGGCAGCGGAGUUAUACCAAUAACUAAAUUCGCGUUGUGCGUGAGGAGACAAGCAGUUUACAACUCCUGGAACAAUGCUUUUCAAAAUGUCCAUUUUUUUUUUCUUUUUUGGGGAAGUGAACGAAAUAGAAAUAGAACAGAGUCAACGACCGCGCAAUUGAUAAUUAAGUAGAAAACAAGGCAAAAUUGAAAAAAGAAAUUAUAUUUGUACAAAACAAGGGGAAAAUCAGUGUAACAGAAGAGAAUCAAAGUGUUUUUGAGAUCAGAAAAUUGAACCAAGAAAAGGGUUGCUUGAUCCAAUGAAAAUGCAAAGAGCUGAUGGCAAAAGGAAACAAAGCUAAAUAAGAAAACGGUUAGCACGAGCAGUGACCACGAUCAACAGAAGCAAAGUGUGUAUGAGAUCAAAAGACGAAAAUGAGGAGAGGUUUUCUUGAUGGAGAAUUGAAGGCAAAGAGUAGGAGCUGACGAAUACGGGGAUCAAGAGGGAAAAACUGCUUGCUUGUAAAACUACUUUCAAGCGAAUCUGAUAAAAUUAUUUCAGUACUCGUGGGCGACUCCUUUUUAAACUGCAGAAGGGGGAAAAAAAAAGUCUGAAUUUCAAUAUAUUAAUCUCGUAAUCAAUGAUUAAUUAGUAGAUAAUCUUUCUAACAAAUAUGUGUUGAAUAGAUAUAUUUCUUGAUUAGUAGUAGGUUCGAUAUACUUUACUAUAGGAAUGAAAGUACAAAUUGUGUCAUAUUAGAAUACAAAUGGGACCUAAAAAUCCCGUUUUAUGGCCUUUUAAUUAUUUGUCAGCUAAUAAUGAAGUCAUAUACAAAAAUUAUUAAUCUGACCUAGUCUUUAAGUCUUAUAAAUGUUUCUAGAUUUUUAAUUAUAAUAUCAUUAUUUAAAAAAUAUUGCUUGACUUACAUUAGUAACAUUACGAUUGUUCAUAAAACAUGUGAUCCUCAUCCAAAGGCCAGGUGAACAAAUAUAAACGACAAAUUCUUUUCAAUUAAAUAAUCAUCAAGAGAUAAUCUUCUAUUUCAGUACAAAUAGCGAGUGCAGAACAGCUGUCAAGAGAUAAUCAUUGUUUAUGGAGCCAUAUAUAUUUUCUAUUAAAAUAGUUCGUGAACAAUUGCCAGAAUCCGUAAAAAUUGUUGAAAGGUCUAUUAUUUUCGAUUAAAAUUGUUGAAAGGUCUAUUAGUUUCGAUUAAAAUAUUUUCGAUUAAAAUAGUUGCGUGAAUAAUUACCAUAGAUAGUGUUUACAUUUUGGAUUGGACUGAAAAUCUUGAAAAGUAGAAAUCUUGGGAUUGAGAGUAUGGAGUAAAAGUGGGUGUAAGUUGUUUACUUACACUGGAAUAUCAGCAUGGAAUAAAGAUUAUAAUCCAAUUUAUGUGUUUACUUUAUCUUGGAUUGGGAGUAAAUAGUUUCAAAUUAUAAUUUUAUCUUUAUUUAAAGAAUUAUAGUUUUUAAUUACAAAGUUAAUAAAAAAAUAUAUUUAAUGAAUAAAAAUUUAUUUUAUUAUAUUUGUAAAUUUAUAAUAAUUAUUAAUAUUCUUAAUUAUGUACAUCAUAAUUUUUUAUUAAUUUUAAUUUUAAUUAUAUAAAUUAAAAAUUAUUGAUAAGAGCAAUGUAAAUGAAACAUUUUUACUAUUAACAUAGUACAAAAUUAAUAUUUUCUUAUAAUUAACUAUUUAUUAUUACUAAUUAUUGAUAUUAAAUAAAUAUAAUACUAUUAUUUUUAAAUAAAUAUAAUAAUAUUAUAUUUUCAAAUAAAGAUAGUAUAUAGUAAUAUUAUUAAUUCUCUAUUAAUAUAAUAAUAUUAUUUUUAAGUAAUUUAAACUUAGAAUCAAACCAAAUUAUUAUUUAGUUAAAUAUAAUAAUAUUAUUUAAAUAAAUAAAAUAUUAUUUAUUUUAUUUUAUUAAAUAUAAUUAUAGUAAAUUUAAUAAAAGGGGGUUAAAAAAGGAAGGUAAAUAUAAAAUGAAAUAUUUUUUAUUUAAUUAUAUUAAAUUUAUUAUUAUAUAAAUAAUAAUAUAAUAUUAUUUAGUAUAAAAUUAAUAUUUUCUUAGAAUAAACUAUUUAUUAUUAUUAAUUAGUAAUAUUAAAUAAAUAUAAUACUAUUAUUUUUAAAUAAAUAUAAUAAUAUGAUAUCUUCAAAUAAAGAUAGCAUAUAGUAAUAUUAUCAAUUCUCUAUUAAUAUAAUAAUAUUAUUUAUUUUAUUUUAUUUUAUUAAAUAUUAAAUAUUAAAUUUAAUUAAAUAAAGGUAGAAAAGGGAGAGGUAGGAGUGGGUUUCCCAUGGGAGUCCCACUCACACUCCCCACUCCAAAAAUGGGUGGGGUCCACGGAGUGGGAUUCCCAAUCCCUCCUUAAAAUAGUGAAGAAAACACUGAAGUUAGAGGAAUUCACACUGCGCACACUCACUCCAGAAAGUAAACAUCGAAAAAGCCAAAGGAUGAAGAACCACUAUAAGUUCUUUUAUGAAUUUAAAAUGCUAAAGAAACUUGACACCAACGCUAAGCUAACAAGUGCAUAUUUUUCUGUGGCCCUUGCCUCAAUGUCUUUCGGGCAUUGCUCGGGGGUAGUUGAUAUACUGAUUAAAAUAUGAAUGAAUUGGAAUGGAAUGAGUUGGAAUUAAAAUAUGGAAUGAUAAUUAAUUAAUUUAUUUAAAUUGUAAAAAUUAAAAUUAAAAUAAAUUAUAUCAUCAUUGAUAUAUUUAUUUUAUUUUAAAAUCACGAUGAGUUGUUACAAAUUACAAAAUAUCUUUAAUUUUUUAUCAUAAUAAUUAUUAUUUAUUAUAAUAUUUUGUUGGCCUAAAUGGUUAUAUAAUCCUUGAUUUUGAUGAUAACAAACUACAUAGAGUACAAUGGUAAAUUUAUUUCUCACAAUUUCACAAGUUUUUGAAGGGCAAAAAUCAUUCAAGUGAGAUCAAGAUCAAGAUACUCAAUAGACAAUGACAAUCAAGGAUGACUACUAAGGGUACUAGUUUACGCAAUCUUUAUUGUUAAAUUUCUUGUAAAGCUAGUAUAAUUUAACGUGUGCAUGAUGUAACAUUUAAAAGCUCAAGAUAUUUUUCAUGACAUUUUCAAAUUAAAUCAUCAUUUUCUAUAAUAUAAAAGUUUUAACGAUUUUAUAAAAUUAGUUGCUUUUUCCAAAUUUAUGGACUAAAUUGAAAAGUUUUGAGAACUUUGAAAUCAACUAAUAAUGUUUUAAAUCAUAGAAAUUGACAUAUUUGUAAAUAUUUCAAACGUUUUGGGUCGUAAUAUAAUUUCAAAAAAUUAGGUCUAAUCUAUAAAUCCUGGAACAAUAGUGGCUAAUCGCUUAACCAAUAGCGGCUAACUACUUCAAGUCCAAAAACAUAGCAGCUAACCGCUUAAAUCAAGUGGUAAUCCACUUGAACCAAAGUUUUCAAAUUUGAUUUGCAACUGUAACUUACCAUAUCAACAUAGUGGCUAAUCGCCUCAUUUUAACGGCGAUCCAGCAAGUCCCUAGAAAAACCAAUAAUUGCUAGUUUGAUUGUUUAAACUAUAAAAUUCAAAUCUAACAAUUUUUUUCAAUCUCAAUUAAGCUAAAACUUAUUCAUAUAUCUUGAGCUUUCAUUUUGCUUAUCUACAUACAUUAAUCAUUAUAGAGCUAUCAUUUGCUUAUACACUCUUAUAGAGUGUAAUCUUUGUAAUCUUCAAUUAAUAUCAAAAUUGAGUGAGUACAAGUGUGGGAAACACUUGGAAAAAGAGGUGUGUGUAUACAUAAUUACUUGUAAAGGUUUAUUAACACCGUAUAAGUCAAUUGUAAAAUUUUAGAGCCUUGGAAGGUUUGGAUAGUAGAAUUCUCAAGUUUGGAUUACUUGGAGGCGUAGUCAUAGGCGGGUUUGCCGAACUACAUAAAAAUUCAUCUGUUUGUUAUCUUCUCCCUUAUCUUUUUAAUUUCACGCAUAGUUAAAUUUACCAUUAUUAAAUUUCUUGAAGCAUUUGUUUAAUUUGUAUUGUGUUUUUGUUAGUAUAAUUUUUAAUACCUAAUUCACCCCCUCUUGGGUUGCUUAGCUAGAAUUUCAUUUGGUAUCAAAGGAAGUUCUCUUGUUAGGACUUAACCAUCUAGAGUAAAAGAUCCAUAGUAAUCCAAAAUGAUCCCAGAUUUGGGGAAGGUUAAUCCCUUCUAGAUCACCAUUCUUUGAUGGGAAUGAUUAUCCAUGUUGGAAAAUUAUGAUAAGAAUUUAUUUGCAAGCAUUAUAUUAUGAAAUAUAGGAAGUUGAUUGUGAUGGUCCAUUCAUGCCUACUGCUAAAAAUGAAGAAGGGAAAGAAAUUCUAAAACCUUCACAAGAAUGGAAUGAGUUGGAAAAGAGAAAAGAUUCUCUUAAUUUCAAAGUCAUGAAUGCUUUGUUUUGUGCCUUAGAUAAAAAAAAAUUCUAUAGAGUUUAAGGUUGUUCCAAUGCUUAUGAAAUUUGGAAAAAACAUAAAGUCAUUUAUAAAGCUACAAAUCAAGUCAAAUAAUAUAAAAUUAGUAAAUAUAGUAGGCAAUACGAAUUGCUAUAAAUGGAACAAAAUGAGAGUGUUAAUCCCAUAUACACUAGAUUAACAGACAUUAUAAACACUUUAGGAACUCUUAGAAAGACCUUUUCAAACAGCGAGAAGGUAAAAAAAAUCAGAAGGUCUUUACCAAAAGAAUGGAGACCUAAGAAAAUUGCCAUUAAGGAAGCCAAUGAUACUUUAUUUAUUGAUGAUUUAAUUAGUUCAUUUAUUUCUUAUGAAAAGGAUUUGACAACUGAAAAAUAUAUUGAAGACUAGAAGAAGAAGAGUAUUUCCUUAAAAGCAUCAAGAUCUAAAAGUGACAACGAAAGUGAGAUCGAAAAUGAAGACAUGGCUAUGAUAGCUGGAAAAAUCAAAAUAAUUUUCAAGAAAUCCAUCGAGCGAAGGAAAUUCAAAAAUCAGAAAGAGAAGAAGGAGGCAAUUAUUUGCUUUAAAUGCAGGAAGCCUAGGCACAUAAAACUAGCAUGUCCUUUUCUCAAAAAAUUAAAGAAGAAAGCCAUGGUAGCAACACGGGAUGAUAGCGAUAAGGAGACUAUAGAUGAAGAGUAGUCCCAUGAAGUGUCAAAUUUGGCACUUAUGGUUAUAGGAGAUGAUUAUAGGAGAUGAACUUGAUGAGGUAAACCUCUUAGGAUGAGUUGUUUGAAGUAUUCUCUAAAUUGCAUAAAGAUUUAAAGAAGAUUGAAAUGUAAAAUGUUUCUCUUGGAAAGAAAAAAGUAGAACUUUUAAAUGAGAAUGACACUUUGAAUAAAAAGAUUAAGUGCCUAGAAGUAUUUGUGAAGAAAUUGCAUCUUUUAAAGAAAAAACAAAAUGUUUCAUCUAAGAAUAAAGGUUUACUUGUAAAUGAUUUGAAAAAGAAAAAUGAAAUAUAUUGCUUUAGAAUUUGCUUAGUAUUAGUAAAUUGUGUGAUAAAGGUUACAAAGUUAUUUUUAUGUGAUAAAGGCUAUAGAGUUAUUUUUUAUAAAACAAAAUGUAUUAUUAAAAAUGCAUGUGAUGACAAAGUUUUAUUUGUUAGAUAAAGAUGUGUUAAUGUAUACACCAUUGAUAUAGAUAGUGUAUCAACUUAUGAUAAAUAUUUUUUUCACAUUACAUGAUGAUAGUUGAUAUGGCAUGGAAGACUAGGUCAUGCGAGCAUGGAUUUGAUUUCAAAAUUUUUUUAAAAUGAUUUGGUUAUAGGUCUUCUAAAAAUUGGUUCUAAAAAAGAUAGAAUUUGUGAAGUUUGCCAAUUUAGAAAACAAAUAAAACGUCCUUUAAAAAUAAAAUUCAUAUUUCUACUUCAAAACCACUUUAACUUUUUCACAUGGAUUUGUUUGAAUUUUCUAAAUAUGCUAGUUUAAGUGGUAAAUAUUAUGCAUUUAUAAUUAUAGAUGAUUAUUCUAUAUACACAUGGUAUUACUCUCAACUAAUAAAGAUGACACCUUUAAUGCUUUCAAAAUUUCUAUAAAAAGAUUCAAAAUGAAAAAUGAUAUGUUAUUUCUUCCAUUAGAAGUGAUCAUGGUGGAGAAUUUGAAAAUUAUAUUUUGAAAAUUUUUACAAUAACUUUGGCAUUGAGCAUCAAUUCUUGUCACCAAGAACUCCACAAUAAAAUUGAGUAGUUGAGAGAAAGAAUAUGUCUAUCCAAGAAAUGGCUAGGACCAUGUUAAAUGAAAAUACUUUACUAGAAUAUUUUUGGGUUGGAGCCGUCAACAUUGUUUGUUAUAUUUUAAAUCAUGCAUUGAUUAGACCUUAUCUCAAUAAAACUCCUUAUGAGCUUUGGAAAAAUAGAAAAACAUUGACUAUUUCAAAGUUUUUGGUUGCAAAUGUUUUCUAUUGAAUACAAAAGACAAUCUUGGUAAAUUUAAUCUAAAAUCUUAUGUUGAUAUUUUUCUUGGGUAUUCAAAUACAAGCAAAACUUAUAGAGUGUAUAAUAAAAUAUCCUUGGUCGCUAAAGAAUCUAUACAUGUUAUGUUUGAUGAAUCUAACUUUUCUUCUAUGAAGAAAGUUGUUGUUGAUGAUGAUGCAUAUGAAGAGUUACAAAAACAAAAAGUCUUUAAAAGACAAACAAUAUGAUUUACCAGGUAAAAAUCAAGAUGAGCAACAAGAAGAACAAGUUAAACAGAUUCAAAAUAAAGGUAAUUCACAAACACUCUCUAAGGAGCUAAGGUAUGUCUCUUCACACCCUAAAGACUUAAUCUUAGGAGAUCCUUCAUGAGGUGUAACUACGAGAUAAUCACUUAGAAAUACAUGUGAACAUACUGUAUUCAUAUCUCAAGUUGAACCAAAAUCCUUUUCAGAUGUGGAAAAUGAUGAAUCUUGGAUUAUAGCAAUACAAGAAGAGUUAAAUCAAUUUGAAUGAAACAAUGUAUGGAAACUUAUUCAUAAACCAUAACAUCAAUCUGUAAUAGGCAGUAAAUGGGUAUUUAUGAAUAAAAUUGAUGAAUCUAGUGUGGUUGUAAGGAAUAAAGUUAGAUUAGUAGCUCAAUGAUGCAACCAAAAAGAAGAAAUUGAUUUUGAUGAAACCUUUGCACAUGUAUCUAGAUUAGAAUCCAUUACAUGCUUUUAUUAUUUGCAUAUCAUAAUGAUUUUAUUUUAUAUUAAAUGGAUGCUAAAAGCACCUUUCUAAAUAGUUGUAUUAUGAAGGAAGCUUAAGUGAAACAACCCCCUCAUUUUAAAAACGAAAAAUGUUUUUGGAUCAUGUUUACAAAUUGUCCAAAGUUUUAUAUAGUUUAAAGUAAGCAUCUAGAGCAUGAUAUGAUAGACUUAGUAAAUUUCUUUUAGAAAAUAGUUUUUCAAUGGGUAAAGCGAAUACUACUCUAUUUGUUAAAUACAAGGAUCAAGGUAUACUUGUUCAAAUUUAUAUUGAUGAUAUUAUCUUUAGUUCUACUAAUGAGUUUCUGUGUAAGGAAUUUUCAUCUUGCAUGAGUAGAGAAUUUGAGAUGAGCAUGAUGGAAGAAUUGAAGUACUUUCUUGGACUUAAAAUUUAAGAGAAAAAAAAGAAUUCAUUAAUCAAGCCAAGUAUUUCAGAGAUCUACUCAAAAGAUUUUGCAUUCAAGACUAAGGACACUCCAAUGAGUACUACAAUCAUGCUCGAUAAGGAUAAAAAAAGUAAAGAUGUUGUAUCAAACGAUAUCGAGGUAUGAUCAUAUCUUUACUUUACUUUACUGCUAGUAGACAUUACUUUAGUGUAUGUUUGUGUGCAUGAUUUCAACCAUAUCUCAAAGAAUCUCAUUUUCUUGCAGUUAAAAGAAUUUUUCAUUAUUUAUGAGGAACAAUUGAUCUUGGUCUAAGGGAACUCAUAUAAAUUAUUAGCUCAAUAAAUUUGUCAAAGAAUCUCAUUGAACAUUCUAGGACCAAACAUAUUGAAACUAGGCAUUAUUUCUCACGUGAUCAUGUUCAAAUGAGAGAUAUUGCUUUAGAAUUUGUUUCUAUGGAAAAAUAACUUGCUGAUAUUUUUACAAACCCUUUUUGUGAAGAAUAGUUUUCAAAGAUUUAGAUUGAGUUUGGAAUGAUGACAUUUUCACAUCAAUAUUUCAUUGCAUGAUAUUGAGACUACAAAUUUGCUUAAUUUUCUAUCUUGAUUGAUUGUACGAUAAAAACUUGAUUUUAAUGUGUUAUAUGCUUGAAUUUACUUCUUUGAAUGUUUAUCAUCAUAUCUUAUGCAUUAAAAAUGGCUUUUAAAAUACUUCAGGAUCACAAAAUGGUCUCAAAAUUAAUUAAAUUUUGGCCAAAAAGCAAAAUCGUGCAAAAUCUAGGGGAACUAGCUAACCGUUAACCACAAGCAACUAGCCAAUUGUGAGGCAGAAACUAGCUGGCCAGCCGGCUCAAAGCAAACGGUUAAUUGCUUGGUUUCUAAAAAUGAAACAGUUAACUGCUUUCUUCAAGAGGCUAGCUGGCUUCACGUUUUCAAAUGUUGUUCAUCUUCUUUUUCCCACUUUUAGUUGUUACCCUCUCUCUAUCACUGUCAUCUCUCAUUUCUUUUAACCUCUCUCUAAAAUCUUCCAUUUUUACAUCACUUUUGUGUCAAGUUAAACUUUCCAAAUCAUUUCCCAUCAAUUAAUCUUCACACAUUUGCUUUUAAAACACAAUCUAAUCACUCUUCUCUCAAAAUCUUAAAGCUUAAGUCACCAGUUUCAAUAUUCUCAAAUUUGAACCAUUAUUUGACCAUUUUCGACCAAAAUAAACCCAUACAUUCCUUAGAUCUUCUCAAAGAACAUUUUAAUCGGUUCAAAGUCAUCUAUUUCUUUAAAAACUUUGUGAACUCGAAUUUGUGCAAUUUUGGACACAUUUUGAUAAUUUCUUAAUGGCUAGUGGUGAGAAGUCCAAGGGUAAGCAUAUGCCUAAAAUGUAAAAAAAAAAAAGAUUCAUAAAGACAUUAUGAAAUUCAUUUCCACCCACUUCCCAAAUCCGCCUCAAUGGAAUGAUUCUCUGAUCGAUUUAUGACAAGGUCAGUCCUCCCAUACUAUAUAUGUUAAUCUUGAUUAAUUAGAAAAUUUGUCAUGUUGUAGCAAAACUCUUAGAACUUUACUUGCUGAAUUGGGUUGGACAAAUGUCUUAGUUCUUAAGGAACAUAUUUGUCCUAAUUUGGUACGAGUAUUUUAUUCGAACAUGCUUAUUUCUACAAAUACUGCCAAUAUGAUUAUUACUAAUGUUAUUGGGAUUCCUAUUAAGUUUACUGUAGAAGAUUUAAACAUGAAUCUCAUAUGAUAGGUUGCAUUUGUAUACAUCUAGGACUAAAAUUGAUUAUCCCUGGUAUUUAGUUGUAGAUGAUGUUUGAAACAUAGAUGUUCGAAACAUAUGUAGGUGAUCUGAUCUAUCCAUGGAGCUUUUUAACUCCUCUCUUAGAUCACAAGUGUUGCCUCUUCAAGUUCGGAUCCUACAUAGUGUCCUUCAGCUUGUGAUCAGUCCUCGCAAGGGACAUGGUGCUGAGGUUACACGCUUAGAUGUUACUUUAUUAGAUAGCAUCCUUGAGGGUAAAAGCUAAAUGUGCGAAUAUUAUCAUUCAGCACAUGCUUAAUACACUGAGUAUAGGAAACCGAUCCUUUUCGGUCUGUAGUGUCAUUACCCAUAUCCUUCAAUAUUUUUGGGUCCCUAUAGCUGAACCAUCUCAUGAUGAACCCAAGGAGUUAAGGGAUGAGGUCAUUGCUAGCUUAGGAUUUGGGUGGGUAGAUGACCAAUAGGUUAAAAAUCAGAACUUGUUGAGCAAACCCACAAAGCUGGCUCUUUUUUAUCAUUGCAUCUUUAACGAUGUGCUUCCCCUUACUGGGUUCUUGAUCUUAGUUCUUCCCUGAGGUCACAAGCUCUGCAUUGGCCUUCUGAUGCUCCACCAUCAUCAUCUUCAGCCAUUCCCAAUAACCCAAUCUAGCAGUUGUUGAAUAAAGUGUGUUCCAUAUCCGAACAGUAAAGCGAGCUUAAGAUAUCGUUCGCAGCAUUCCAGGAUCAUUUUCUUUCUGAGCAGCAACAUCUCUUUCUUCAACAAUAACAAAUUCUAGACCAUCACCAGCUUAUUUUCAUUGCUCUUAAAUUUUCACCACCAUCCUUAUUAUCAUGUUUGCUGCUUCAUCAGUGAUUUUCUUUUAUCUCUUUUGCUUCCUUGUUUUAUGCACCGACAUUAUUUAUCAUAUGCAUUUUCGUUUUUAGCAUUAUGGAUACUUGAUGGAUGUUAUUUUACUUAUGCAUUAUGGAUACUUGAGUUGAUAUGGAUUAUCUUUAUGCAUUCUAGUUAUUGAUUGUGGUAUCUUUAUUAAUUAUCUUUAUGGAUUAUCUUUAUUGAUUAUGGAUUAUGUAUAUGGAUACUUGAUUAAUGGUCAUGUGUGGAUUUUCGAUUGAUGAUAUUUGUGGGGGAUAAUUAUUGAUAAUAUUUGUAUAAUAGAGGAGUGAUUUUUCAUGAUGAAGGGAGAGAAGAUAUUGACAUGUAUUUUGAAGUGUUUUGACAUGUUUUUGGCUCAUGGGGGUUGAUUGAGUGUUUGUAGUAUUUUAGUUACUUUCUGAGUCACUCAAGGAGAGUUUACAAAUGUUGUACAAUUAUAUGGAUCAUGUACUUAGAGGGAGUGAGUUUAUAUAUUUGGUUAUAUUUUUUGAAUUAUGUCAUAUACUCAAGGGCAAUAGAAAUGUCAAAAUACAUAGGGUGUUUGUCAUCAUAAAAAAAGGAGAGAUUGUUGGGGUAAACGACUAUAUGAUCCUUAAUUUUGAUGAUAACAAACCACAUAAGGUAAAAUGAUAAAUUUAUUUCUCACAAUCUGACAAGUUCUUGAAGGACAAAAAUCAUUCAAGUGAGAUCAAUUUCAAGUCACUCAAUGGACAACAACAAUCAAGGAUGAAUACUAAAGGUACUAGCUUAAUUAAUCUUCAUAGCUAUAUUUCUUAUAAAGCUAAUAUGAUUUAAUGUAUGCAUGAUUUAGUAUUUAAGAGUUCAAGAUAUUUUUCAUACAAUUUUCAAAUUAAAUCAUCAUUUUCUAUAAUAUAAAAGUUUUAAACGUAAAUAAAAAUGAUUUUAUAAAAUUAAUUGUUUUCAAAUUUAUGGACUAAAUUGAAAAGUUUUGAGAACUUUGAAAUUAAUUAGUAAUGUAUUAAAUUCUUGAAGUGGACCUAUUUGUAAAUAUUUCAAAAUUUUAGGCCAUAGUAUAAUUUUAGGAACUUUUAGUUUAAAUCUAUAAAAUUUGAAACAGUAGUGACUAACCACUUAACGAAUAGUGGCUAACUGCUUCAGGUCCAAAAACAUAGCUGCUAACCAUUUAAAUCAAGCGACGAUUUGCUUAGGCAAAAAAGUUUUUAAAUUUUAUUUGUAACGGUAACUUGCCACAUCAAUAUAGCGACUAACUUCUUUAUUUUAGCAGCAAUCCGGUAGGUCCUCAGAAAGUCAAUUAUGACUAGUUUGAUUGUUUAAACUAGAAGAACCCAAAUCAAACUCAAAUCUAACAACUUUUUCAAUCCCAAUUAAGUUAAAACUUGUUCAUACAACUAAUCUUGAGCUUUCAUUUUACUUAUUUACAUGCAUUUAAUCAUUAUUGAGUUAUCAUUUGCUUAUACACUCUUAUAGAGAUUAAUCUUUGUAAUCUUCAAUUAAAUAUCAAAAUUUUGUGAGUAUAAGAGUGGGAAACACUUGGGGAAAGAGGUAUGUGUACACAUCACUACUAUAAAAGUUUAUUGACACAUUAAAAGCCAAUUGUAAAAUCUUGGAGCCUGAGAAGGCUUGGAUAGUGGAAUCCUCAAACUUAGUUUGCUCGAGGCAUAAACAUAGGCGAGUUUUGCCGAAACACGUAAAAAUUCAUUUGUUUGUUAUCUUCUCCCUUAUUUUUUUAAUUGCAUUCAUUGUUAAAUUUACUAUUAUAAAUUUCUUAAAGCAUUUGUUUAAUUUGUUUUGUAUUUUUGUAAGUAUAAUUUUAAUACCCAAUUCACCGCCCUCUUGGGUUGUGUAGAUAGAAUUUCACAUUUGUUGUACAACAACAACAACAACAACAAUAACAAUAACAAUAAUAAUUGUUAUAAUGGUUGGAACAAUUACUAUUGAAAAACUUUUAUUGUUAAUAAUAGUAGAAAAUAAGAACAAAAAAGGAAAUUAUCCAAUAACCAUGUAAUCUUUGGGUCUUUUUUAAAAAUACACAGAAACGUUUUUCUUUGUAGAAAUCCACCUAGAGUUUAUUAAUUAUUCACUGUCAUCUUAGCUCAUUAGAAUCUUGUUGAUGUCAUAAGAUUAAAAUUAUCAUUUUACUUGAACACCUAAGAUUAAAGUUAUCCUUUAGAGUUUCUUUCGCUGGGGCUGGUGACCUUAGUGGUUAGAUUUGCUAGAUAUGGUCGUGAGAAACUCGACAAUGGCCGAGGAUUGGCUGGAUUCACGGUGGUUUGGUCAAAAAGUUGACUUGAAUUGGCAUAUGUGGUGCUUCAUUCAUGUUAGAGAUUUCGAUUGCGAUUUGGAUAUCGACAAUGAGAAAGUGGCGUUUGCGGUGGCGCUAGGUGAGGCCCGGGUUUUGGGUUAGCAUUGUGGCGGUUUAUGGCGGUGAUCAUUGGUGGGUUUUGUCAAGUUAUGACCAGUGGAAUCUAGCAAGUUUAGUGGUGGUCUUGGUUGACAGUGAAGAUGGUUGGUUUCACGGUGGCAGCUGGUGGAUGCUCCCAGUUUUUAGGUCUAGAUGAUUUAUAGUAGGUACAAGCGGCGAUUGAUGGCAGGAGUGGCUAAGGUUUGGUAAGUAGUGGCUAAUGAGUUUGGUAGAGGGAUUAGCCAAUGAUGAACUAUUAGUGAAGAGUGGCAGUGGCGGUGGGCGGCUGCUAAGGUUUUGUAAUUUUGUAAUAUUUUUUUGUUGGAUAAACAAUGAUGGAUUUGGUGGGGAUGGAUAUGGGUAGCCAGGAAAACUGUGCAAUUGGCAUUGAACCACUCUAAUACAAACUAACAAAUUGGAAUAGCGGAAGUGGAAUUGAUAGGUCGGAAAUAUUAGCUAUUGUUAUAAUACUGGCUAAGGUAAUGUGGAUAGUUUACGUCCUAAUCGAAACGUGUAGAUCUCAUUCUAACAAUGGCUCAAUGAGAUUUUAAUAACGCAUAAAGCGAGAUUAGACGACGUUCUAAUCCAAAUAACUUUGCAAGAGAGAUUUUAAUAAAUAAUUUUAGAGGGAAUUAUUAAAAAGGGCUUUAUUAGUUGAUCAAUAGUUGAAGUUACAAUAAUAAGAUUUUGAUUUAUAAUAUAAUAAACCUACUUCACUAAGUUAACUUAAAAAGAAAAACUAAAUCACAAUUUUAAUAGAAAUAAAAAAACUAAGACAUAUACCAUAGUUGACUAUAAUUAAAAUAGAAAACGAUAAAAUAAUAAAAAUUAUAAAAUCCUAAAACAAUGUCUACAUCAUAUCCUCACUAAAAUAAAAAUAUAAAAGUAAAGCAAAUUGUGGUAUAACAGACUUUAAUUCUAUCACUCUUCAAUUUUUUUGUUUAUUAAUUAAUAUUGGUGUCUAUGGUUAAAUUUGUUAUUUUUUAUAACAAUUUUAUUUGUUAAUUGAAAUAUUUAGUCUAUGUAAACAAAAAAAAAUGGUUGGAGAGAAUGAGAGAGGAAGGGGGGGAGAGAGAGAGAACAAAGUCAAACAAAUAAUUUAAUGAAUUAUAUUUUUAAAAUUAAAUUUUAAUUUGAUUAAAUAAAUGAUGUAGUGAGAAAAUGAGUAGGUUCAAAUAGCUUUACUUAUAUUUAUUUCAUUAAUGGCUCAAAAUUUAAUGAAAAUAAAUGGUUUUAAAAAAUUGCAUUUAAGUUGCAUAAUUCAAUGAGUAGUGCCACACAUCCUAAAUCUUUUAUCUUAAAAAAUUAUCCCAAAUGAUAUAGUAUUCAUCAAUAGAUUGAAGAGAUAAUACAAUUAAUUCACUCAAAUCUUGAAAGAAUUACCUACUAUUCAAGUAAUGACACACCAUUUGGGAUAUCUAUCAUUACUCUAAUUGAAAAUAAACCUAUCACUGGAUGAUUAAUUAUGGUAGGUUUGCUUAAUACUAAAAUGCCACUCAUAAGUUUUGUUUGGAUUUGUAAUUGAUUUAUCUUAAUCCUUCAACUUGACAUAAGGUCGUUCUCCUCGUUUCUGUACACUUAAAAGUCACCCAGAUCAAAACUAGAUCUAUCGUUGCAUUUGCUUGAAAAAUAAUUUACAAGUAAUAAGUUCUCGUGAUUAAGCAACAUUUUUAAAGGGUUAUGAUAGUAGUGGAACCGUGAUACAAUUUGUAAAUAUUAGAUGGAUUGUUGAAAACAAUAAAAAAUGCUUGUAUGUUUUUUAUAAGGAUCUCCCUAUCUUACAUGCAUGUAAGAUAGGAAUUGCCUUUUUAUAAAGGCUAAAAGAUAAAGUGGUGCAUGGAUAAUUACUUUUUUUUUCCCUUUUUAUCUUAAUCAUGUUUGAACGACAUCCUUUUAUAGUUCCCAGACAUUCUGCAACUAUAAUAGACAAUUUUAAUAGGAACUACAGAGAAAAUAUUAAUAUUUUUAUACUUAUUCACUUACCUGAUGGAUAGUUAGAUAAGUGUUACUUUUCACACAACUAGACCAAAUUAGUACCCUUUUUGGUUUGUGAAAACGUGAUUUUUAUGAAUAUGCUAUAGAUGCUUUCAAAUGUUUCUACAGUUUACGAAUUUACGCAUUAAACGAAAACCUCCAACUAUCAAAUAAAAAGGUGAAAAUUCAAUAGAAUCGACAACUUCUCAGACUCACGUAGGUGGUGGUUCAAGUUUCUAAACUACUAUUAUUAUUAACAGUUUUGAAAAGCAAAUAGUAACUUCAUUUCACAGCAUCUGCUUUUGAGAAAGCUCAGAUGUAAUCAAAAUUCCAAAACCACUCUAAAUAUGUUAGGGAUAUGACCAUAAAUAGAAGUUAAAUAUGAUAGGAUAUAUAGUUGUUCAUAGCUAACAUUUGAUGGUUUAAUUAUUUGUUCUAGGGAUUAUGCGCUGAUUAGUGUUUUUUGUUAUCCGAUGAAUGAUAUUCAGUUUUUCUUACAUGCUCAUAGGCAAGAGCAUUUUCUAAGUACUUUCCUUGCCUUCAAAUUUUGAAAGAAAGAUAGAUAUGAUAUGUGACGCAAGCCCAAUGAAAUAAGCAAAUAAAAUAGAAUAAACGAAGCAAAAAUAUUUCUAGAAACAAGAAAUGACAAAGGAAACACGAAUACAACUUUUUUCUUGUUUUCCUUAUUUUCCUCUGUUAAGCUCCAAAAUGAAUAACUUUAUUCUACCAUCUCUCAAAUAAUAACAUCAACAGCACAUAAUCGUCAUCAAUAAUAAUAAUAAUAAUAACAAUAAUAAUUUAACUUUGUAGGAUGGAGCUCUCGCAAAUCUUCAAGACACAAAAUGUGCUUGACCCCGUUGUUGUUAUUAUAAUUUCAAAAUCAUUUGUAUUAUAUAAAAUUAGGGAAUAAAACAUAGCAAAAUUGAUGGUACAAAUGUUGCAAUAUAUUUUUUCAUGUAGCAACACAUUGAAGUAAAGAAAAGCAAAACAACGAAAAAUGUAACGGGAGAGCUCUCAUUAUGUAGAUUUUCAAUAGAAGUAAUGAAAAUUUCACAAGGACAAUGGCCUUAUUUCGAAUGCUACACCUGGGGAAUGGCUUGAAUCUUUUAUAGAACUCACACUAUUAUAAAAAACGCUAAACAAUGACAAAAAUUUUAUAACAUAUAUCGAUAUGUCAAAAUCAUUUGAUGGUACAUUUUAUAACAAAAAAUGAAAAAUGUAACGGGAGAGCUCUCAUUAUGUAGAUUUUCAAUAGAAGUAAUGAAAAUUUCACAAGGGCAAUGACCUUAUUUCGAAUGAUGCACCUGAGGAAUGACUUAAAUCUUUUAUAGAACUCACACUACUAAAAAAACGUUAAAUAAUGACAGAAAUUUUAUUACAUAUAUAGAUAUGUAACAAAUGUAUCAUGAAAGUGUGAUAGAUUUGUAACAUAUAUUCAUAUGUCUAGAGUUUAUGACAUAUUCAUGACUUAUAACUUAGGGAAAUUUACGAAAAUAACCAUUAAUAUUUUAUUAUUUUCGCAAUUAAUCCUGUCAACUUUUUUCUAUCAACAUUAGCCAAACACAAGCCUUUCUUCCCAAAUUACCCUUCUUUACAGAACAAAACCAACAUUGUUUCUCCCAUGUCGCCAAACCAAAAGCAGCUUGUCACUCUUGAAUCAUCAGCCAACGGCGACCACAAAAGACAACGAUAAAAGUGAUAUCCGAUCAUAAUCUAUCCGGAUCCAACACAAAUCGACAUCAUUUAGUGGUAUGAAUUAUUUUCUGAACUUACUGAACUGAGUUGGGUGAAUCUGAAUCUGCCGACAGGCUAAUGUCGCAGUAAAACUCGGUGCGACAGGCGCCUGUCGCACCGAGCAAGGUGCGACAGGCACCCUGUCGCACCAAGAUUCGGGCGACAGGUUGUCUGUCGCACCCACCCUGGAGAUUCAUUAAAACUGUAUUAUUUUAAUAGGACUGAAAUAAAUUUUUUUUUAUAAUUUCAGGCUUAAUGGAUUCAGUUGUACUUGAAUUGUGUUACGAUGGUUGGUGGGAGACAUUAGAGAAUGGUCGUAUGGAGCAUGUGAAUGGUAAAAAUCGAGCUUUUUUGGUUGGAAAAAAUUAUCUGUUUGAUCAGUUAUUGGCAAGAGUAUACGAGGUGUUACAAAUAAACCCUAAUGAUUAUAGUAUCACAAUGAAGAUAACUUUGAGGUCUAGUAACACAUUAUAUCGUAUAUGUGCAAUGCCCAUGGAUAUAUGUGAUGAUGAAAUGGUGAGGGUUGUGUUGCAUAUGGCAUUUGACGUAGCUAAUGUUGGAUGCAUUCCUAUAUUCGUGACCACAUCACCUUGAGUUCCGAGCGAAGGUAUUGAGCCACUUGUCGAUACAGAAACUUCGUUUAGAGCAAAUAUGUCUGGCCCCGAUAAUGAUGAAGAGGUGUUGCCAAGGACAAUAUCGUUGCAGCAAUAUUACUCUCCAAUCCACGAAAAUUAUGACAACAUUGAUGAUAAUGGCGUUACGUUACAGGAUGUUGGAGCAACGGUAUUUCCAAUAACAACGUCGUUGGAGCAACGAUAUUCUCCGUAUCACAACAAUGAUUUUCGGGACAAUGAUGAUUUUAAUAAUGAGACAGAGGGGGAUAAUGUUUGUGCAGAACCUUCUAAUAAUACGAGGCGGGGCACUCGUUUCAAUAAUGAUGGUGAUGAUAGAGGAGCCGGUCCUUCGAAUGUUCCGUCGUUUCAGCAUGAGGAUGAGUGUGAAGACAAUACUCCUGUGAAUAACAGAGGCAAUAGACCUAUUCCUUCUACGGUUCGAUCGAGAAGGAGAAUUGACCCCCUUACAAGUCUUGCUCCAACUUUGCCUUCGAACAUGGUUGCUCCAAGCUUUGUUAGCAAUUGUGACUCAGAUGAUAUCAGCGUGGGUAAGCUAUUUGCUGAGAAGAAUGAGCUUAUAUUACAACUACGCAAGGUGGCCUUUAGAGAUAAGUUUGAUUUCAAGAUUGCACAGUCUACUAUGACACGUUUCGAGGCUCACUGUUGUUCAGAAUCAUGUAAAUGGCGUAUUCGAGCAACUAGAAGUUCGAACGAGCAAAAUGUUCCUUGGGUGGUGAAGAGAAUUGAUAAUGUACACACUUGUCAUAAUGAGGUAUUGGUUGAUGGACGUCAUCAAGUAAGGAGCCGGGUUGUCGGUCAUAUUAUCGCAGAAAAAUAUAUUCAAGAUAAGAGGAUUUAUACUCCCAAUGACAUAAGAGCAGAUAUGCAACAGGAAUACGGUGUUCAGUUAACAUACCAGCAGGCAUAUAGGGCGAGAGAAGUUGGUCUUGAAAUAGUUCGCGACAACCCUGCAGAGUCAUACAACUUGCUCCCUAAAUACUCUCACGUACUAACUACAGCGAAUGAGGGUACAGUCACUCACCUCAAGCAAGAUGGAGAUGGUAAUUUCUUAUACUAUUUUGUAGCACUCGGAUCUUCCAUCAAGGGGUUUAUGCAGUACAUUCGGCCUGUCAUUGCUGUAGAUGGUACUCAUCUGAAGGGACUAUAUCGUGGAAGCAUGUUCGUGGCAACAUGUCUUGAUGGUAACAAUCAAUUGUAUCCGUUAGCUAUUGGGAUCAUGGAUUCAGAAAACAAUGAUGCUUGGGAAUGGUUUAUGAUGAAGUUACACGAAGUGAUUGGUGAUAGACCUGAGUUGGUAAUUAUCUCUAAUCGAUGCACUACCAUAAGGAGAGCCGUUCUUAAAGUAUUUCACAAUGCAACUCAUGGCGUUUGUUUUUACCACGUCAAAGGUAACAUUAAGUCACAAUUUAGAAUGUCCAAAGCUCUUUGGGAUGAAUUUGAGCCUGCCUUUAUUAAUGCAGCAAAAGCAUAUGGCCAUGAGGAAUUUAAGAGACAACUUGAGGGGUUGUGGAUGGAUCCACUCGGGUGCGGCUGAUUACCUAGAAAAUAAUGUCGGUACGUGUAAUUGGGCAAGGUCUCAGUUUGAAGGUAGGAGGUACAACAUUCUUACCACCAACAUCGCGGAGAGUGUUAAUGCUUUCAUGAGGGAACCUCAAAAAUUUCCUGUUACUCAUCUUGUUGAUCACUUUAGGAAAACAUUGCAGCAAUGGUUUUAUGAUAGAAAAAUUGUGGCUGAAUCAAUGACUACUCGGCUAACAACAUGGGCGGAUGAAAUAGUCACUGAGAGGAGAACUAUAGCUGAAAGAAUGAUAGUUCGGCCGGUGUCUCCGCAUCGCUUUCAAGUUAUAGGCGGUGGGCUUAAGGAAGGGUUGGUUGACUUGCAAAAGAGAAUUUGCUCCUGCAGAGUGUUUCAGCUUGAUCAGCUUGUGUGUGCUCAUGCAAUUGCGGCGUGUCUAACAUACCGGGUGGAUUUUAUUAACCUUUGUUCAGACUUUUACACUACAGAAUCGUUGGCGAUGGCUUAUGCACAACCAGUGGAGCCAGUUGGUGAUGUGGCUGAUUGGGAAGUUCCAGAUGAAAUUCAGGAGAUGCAAGUAUACCCACCAGUUGAGGCACCACCACCUGGCCGUCGUAAAGAGCUCAGAAUACCCUCGGCUGGCGAGGACGUUGACCGGCGGACUGUAAGAUGCUGCCGGUGUCAUGAACUAGGCCAUAAUAGUAAGCGAUGUAAGAAUCCUAUUGCGUCGACUCGAAGUUAGUUGUAUUUUGUGUGUUAUUCGGUGGUUAAAACUAUUAUUGUUUUUGUGUUUCGUUGGUUAAAACUGUUAUUGUUUUUUGUAUUUCGUUGCUUAAAACUGUUAUUGUUUUUUGUAUUUCGUUGCUUAAAACUGUUAUUGUUUUUUGUAUUUCGUUGGUUAAAACUGUUAUUGUUUUUUGUGUAUUGUACACUUAUAUUUCAUAAAACUUUAUUUUAUUUUAAAGUUCAAAAUGUGAGGCAUUAAAAUUAUAUAAACUUAAGUGCGCAAAUUAAAAAAAAAUUCAAAUUUCAACAUUAAAAUUACUACAUAGGUCUAUAAUAUAAUAUCGUCAUUAAAUAUAUCAACCGCAAUCUUCUUUCUAAAGUACUCGACAUGACUAGCGUUAAACUCCAAUCUAAGCCCAAACAUUAAAUACAUCGUAACCAUCAAUACAAAAACACCGCAAUCGCCAGUUCCGGGCUCUUGUUGCGGCGCGCUCUUAACUGCGAUAACUUUCCACGGGUCUUCACUCCGCAACUCAGGUCGGAUAUUGUAGAAGCCAACAUAUUCCAACCAGCGAGGGAAUAUAACUUCAAGUGGCUUGAAUUUCAACUUGUACCUUUUGUCGUCGCGAAAUGUGAGUAAUGAGUCAUAGAUCCAGACUUUAUUUUUCCGAAAGUCAACUCGUGCUAGUACCCAAUGCGCGCCGUCCAAGUUAACAGGGAUGAGUAAAUGCAUAUAAAAAUUGAAAAACAUGUUCGUUAUAUAUGCAAUUGAAAUACAACAAAGAAAAAGCAACAACUCGAAUAUUUUCAUUAUAGAACAUGUGAAAUGUAAUAAAAUACAUACCAUAUCGACAUCUGUCAUUGAUUUUGACAUUGUGUGCUGUCGCCCACAAAGAUAACUAUUUAAGCGGUCGUCGAAUACUAUUGAAUCGACUGCACAAUUCUCGUUAUUCCAUAACUGAUUCAAGAACACCUAGUACAUAGAUAACCAAGAAAUGCAUAAAUUAAUAAAACUUAAAGGCAAUAAUUAAAAAAAAAUUAAAUAGUAUUUAUAAGUUUUGUCGGCACGUUACCCAAAAAAAUGUGUCAGUAUGUGUGACACGUUGGAGUAAGGCAUUUGGAUACUGCCGUUGUUUCUCGCUAAUCAAGCGGAGAUACUCGUGAAUAUGCUGUAGAGAAACAGAAAUAUUACGAUUUAAAAAAAAUUAUACACAAAUCCACAAUAGAAUACACCACGAGGAAAAUAUAAAUACCUCAUCGCCUAGCCAUCCCAUCGAAGCUGUCCCCAAAAUUAUUUGAAAGAAUGACCGCGGGUGCUGGACUCUCCGGCGGACUCUGCUAUCACCAGUGAACCAUCGAUCAAACUCAGCAAACAAACUAGAGUCCUCCAAUUCUCUAAGUGGAUUUACAUCCACACUUGUACUCAUGUCAAUCGCAUGCUCCAUGAUUUGGGGUCGAGGUAAGGGCCGGACGUUCUGUCCUCGCCUGACCGGAGGAAUCAUGUAAGGACUGUUAUAAACAUAUGACGGUAUGUACGCGCGGCCGAACUUACUAAAGCCCGGAGGCACCUCUGUGAACACCUGCACGCUCUCCCCACUAACAUCCCCGUAGAAACUAUACAAUGACGUGGGCGUAGACAAAUUUUCAUUGCCCACGUCAGUAUACACUCCAUAGUCAUCCGGGGCCUAUACAUUCGCCAAAAAGAACAUAUUAAAUAACUAUCAAAUUAAAAGUUAAACGAACAUAAUUAUUAAAUUUAAAUUAGCUUACCGCAUACGAGCGUGCAGUGGGAGAAUCCUUAUUUGGACGUUUAGAAAAUGUGUCGAUGAAGCCAACAACGGUUUCUUUAAAAUCUUUUAAUUCGGACUUUAUUUCAUACACGUUACGAUCAAUCUUAUCCAGCCGUCGUUGUACAUAAUCAUUAAACUGCUUUGUCCUCGACUAUUACAAAAGAAAAAAAUAAAACUUUAGAAUAACAAUAAAAAAAUAAUAAUUUAUAAAGGAAAAAUAUCGUAUAUUAUUUCUAACCUCAGAAUCCCGUGUGUCAUCAGAGUUGUCUGUUUGCUGGUGGUGGUCAUCAACAGCCACCUCAUCCUCAAAAGUGUCAUGACCCACCUCAUCCUCAAAAGUGUCAUGACGCUGCUCUGGUAUUGGGUUUGGUAUGUCGUCAUGAUCGUCAUGCUCGUCUGAUUGCCUUGUAACCGACGGCAUCGCGUUGAUCGAGGGUUGGUGCUGUAUAAAGUAUCAUUUAAAAUUAGUAAAUGAAAAGCCAAAAAUUUCGAUUAACAAAUUUUUAGUACUUAGAGUAUACCGACCUUAUGAACCCAGUCUGGAAUGCUUGGCAAGUAAUUCUUCACAGAGAGCCAAUAUUUUCUGCUACUCUCCUUUGAAUUUGGCUCAAGAGUUUGUAAAAAGUCCCCCUGCCAUAAAUUCAAUUGAAAAUUUUAAGUAAGUAUACAUAACUUAAAUUUAGUAAAGUUAAAAAAAUAAGUAAUACAUAUUACUUACAAGACGAGAUUCGUCGUUGAAGAACGAAUAAACCUCCGCAAAGUUGAUUCUCGAAGACGCCAUGGGAUUCCAUUGCAGAAUGCGGGGAAUCUUAUUCUUCGUUUUGACGACCCAUGUUGAUGGCAACCCUCCGAUUGCUUCGUAAAUCCAAGCCUACAACAACCAAAGUGAAAAAUCAAAUAAAACAACUAUCAAAUAUUUAAUACUAUAAAACUUAUUAAUAAACAAAAAAAAAAAGCACCUGAACCCCAGACGUAAAGCCGUAAAGAUUGUAUAUUUCAAUAUUAUGAUUUGGAUUUUUCAACCGAGUCUUCUUAAAUUUCUCGUCUUUCUCGAACAGUGCAUUGUCAAGACUCUCGUAAAUCAUUUCCCACGACAAUAGACCCCAUGGACGUUUUCGGAAGUACUGUACAUCAUCAACUUGGUCAAGCCAAUCGAAAUUAAUUUGACAGUGAUUUUUUCUUGCAUUUAGUACUCUGUCCGUAAAAUAAAACAGCGUAAUCUUUAAUGCGUCCAUAUCGUCCAUUUCCUCGAAUUUCAACUUCUUAAAUACUGCAUCGAAUUGCUUCACAUUAAUCUUACGAUGCACACCACCAAAAUACGUAUUCCGUAGCCUCUGCUCCAUUUCAUCAUUUUUUUCAUUGGUAUCAACACCAAAUGAAAGUCCAGUAACCAAGCACCAUUCGACAAUUGACAAGCGAAUCAAACGCUUACCAAUUUGAAACCAUAACUGAUCCUCACGGCUAUCGUCUUCAUGGGCCACUUGCCGCAGUAAAAGAUUGUGCAAAAUUACCCCACUAAACGAAAAACUUCGACACUCCAAGAAAUGCUCAAAUAUAUCCUUUUUGAACAUACUCAACUGCCGCAUUGUUAAUUUUUCCUCGAUGGCUUUUACGACCGAAGAUAACAUACACAUGCUCGAAAUUCGACCAGGAAAGUGAUCAGCAUAACGAAAAUACAUCUUGCCUACUUCAAUAUCCGGUGAUUCUGAUUUCGCCAUGUAUCUGUAAUAUUUAUAAAAUUAUUACAUUACAUUUACAGAAAAAAUAUACUCGUUAAAAAAAAAUUAUAAUUUUUGGUCCAAAGCUGGUGCGACAAUGCCUGCUGUCGCACCAAAUCUGGUGCGACAGCGUGCCGCGCAUGGGUGCGCGCGCGCCCCCUGCCCCCCUCCCUCCCCACCCCCAAAAUUAAGCGCAAUCACUCCAAAAUCGAAAACAAUACUCCCAAACACCACCAACCACCACAAACAUCAUCACCACCACUAUUAUUCUCAAGCUAUAACUAUUAUUAUUCUAAAAUCUCAUUUUAAAUUAAUGAAAAUAAGAAAAAUGACUAACCUAGGUUUUGUUGAAGGUUGUAGAUCGUAGAUCGGAUGCCGGUGAGAGAUGGAGCCGCCGCCGACGAGGGUUGAUGUCGCCGCCGAUGAUGGGAGUUGGAUCGGUUUGGGAGAGAUGAGUGCAAGAGAGUGUUGGGGGAGAGAUGAGGGAGGGAUAUUUUGGUCUCAAAUGUUGUUUUAUGGCUAAUGUUGAUAGAAAUAUUUUUGGGGGGGUAAGAUGAAAAAAAGUAAAAUUUUUUUGGUUAUUACUGUAAAUUUCCCUAUAACUUAACUAACAUAAAUAAAUGAUAGAUAUGAGUAAUGUUCAAGUUUUGUGGAUUUAAUAUUUUAAAAUGAUGCCGUUUAAAUUAACGACGCCGUUUUUAUGAAACUUAAAACAUAUCAACACUUCAGCCAAUUAUCGACCAAGUGUUGAAUAAACCCCUCUCGCUGCAACCUAAAAUCAUUGAACUUUGAGCCACUCUUAACAACAUUGUGUGGAACCCUAACCCUAAGCCUCAUUUCCACCACCGAUAAAGCUAAGAAAGUUUCCCGUAUAUCAGAACUAUGGCGAAUUGCCUUCAGUCCUUAGGACCCAUAAAAAAUCUUGUAUUCCCUCGCUUUUACUUCGCUAAUUUUUUGUAUUAUUCCAUCUCUUUCACUUUAAUAACCCAAAAUCUCUCCUCUGUUUCAAUCGAAAGAAAACCCUAGCUUAAAUUAAGCUGAAAUUUACAUAUCAAAGCUCUCGCUCAACUUCCCUCCUUCAAUUGAAACAAAAUGCAGCCAUAAAACCCCAAUACGCCACACCCUUUUGUCUCAGGCCAACAUUCAUUUAAACCCCACCUUUCGGUUCAAUGCCAUUUAAUGCGAUUGCAGAUGCCGUUUCAACUCAUUAUUUAGUUAACGCCAUUCAGUUCUUUGCUGUCAGCCUUAACCCUAAUAACUAAUCGACUGUGGUAGCACGUUGCUGACUCGGGCUGAGGAUACAUGAAUUAAAUAUAUGAAUUGGGUGAUGUCAGUGAUUCAUCCUCCUAUUUGCCGUGAAUUGAGAUUUGUGUAUAAUGUUUGUAAGAUUGUUAAAAAUUUCAUGUUCCAGUCGAAUUUCUUGCUCUCUCUCUAUAUAUAUAUAUAUAUUAUCUUCUUUAUAGUCAGGCUCUGGCUUUGCUGCUAUGCUUAGUGCAGUAUAUGGUUUCAAGACUAAAUUAGGUUUAUUUGACGACAUCGAUAUCUUACCUAGCUCUGCUUGAAAAUGAAAAUGUUGUACUAGUAAUCAUAGACUUUGUUUAUUCAGUUGAUAUUUUAAUUAUAUGUAUAAGAAUGAAGCUUUAUUUGGGAAAAAAAGAAAUAAAGAAAUAGGCUCUGUUGAAGCUAAUUAAUACUUCAUUCUUUCUAUACGUGCGACCUGUGGUGGAAACAUGAUAUGAAAAUGUGUUACUGGUGAGGUUGCUGCUUGAGAUGAGAAUGAUGAGAAUGCCUUCUAUUCGGAAAUCCUUGGUAGGUAUUAUAUAAUUAUAUUUGAUGGAAUAUUAAAUAGCUAAAGAACCUCUGAUAUUGUCUUUGUUCAAUGGUUACUGUAGUAGUGUUUGUUGGUCUUUUUCUGGUUGGCGUUUGGAUGUUAAUGUCAUCAUCAGUUGUACUGGUGUGGGAUCCAGGAUGUUGUCCUCUUAAGAGCCUAUAAGCAAAGUGAAACAGAGAGUAUCUGAGUUUUGUCUGGGCCUUUCGUAGAAAAUCAAGGUGAUGAAUGACAGGAUUCAACAAUGGGGAUGGGGAUGAUGUUCCUGUUGAAAAGUUAGAGAAUAGAGUGGAAGAUAAUCACGAAGAGAUGAAUAUGUAUGAGGGUGAUGGUGAGACGAGUGAAUCUAAGAAUAUGGUUAAUCAAAACCAGGAAGAGAAUUUAGUGAAGGAGAGUUUUGAUGAGAAUACUGAGUCUGAAGAGGAAUCUAAGGCGGUGUCUAAAAAUUACGAUGUUAGAAAAAGGGAAGAUAAGGAAUCUAAAAGUGAAGGUGGAGAUUCGAAUUCAGAAGCUGGAGAAACAGAAGGCGGCGAAUUGAAUAAAAUUGAGCAAAUUGAAUCAGAGAAGAGCUUGGAUGAAAAUAAAUGGAUGAGGCUAGUCAGAUUGAAAAGGAGAAGGAUUCUCAAGAUCAAGAUAAUGACACUGAGAGUCGUUGAAAGGAUCAGGCUUCAACUGAGAUUUUUCCUUUUGGUGACUAGUCAGAAAUUCUGAAGGAAACUAAUGCUCAGAAUGGGGCUUGCUCAACUCAACCUAUUGAGUCAUAGAAUCAGAAAAUAUCACAACAAACUUCUAUAUCUAAGGACCCGUAUGGUCAUCGCUGGAAAGUGUGUAAUGCCACUGCUAGGCCAGAUUGCAUCCCUUGCCUGGACAAUUUGCAAGCAAUUAGAAUGCUUUCCAGCACAAAAGCAUUAUGAACAUCGAGAGAGGUAUUGCCCUGAAGAAGCUUGUACCUGUAUUGCUCCUUUACCGGAAGGAUACAAACACUCAAUUAAGUGGCCCCAAAGCAGGGAUAGGGUAUGAUCUUAUAUUAUGCAUUAUAAAAUAUAUACUUGAGUACUUUUAAUUCACUUGGGCUAAGAUUUGUUCUCAUGCUGUGUGGGAUAGAUUUGGUAUUAUAAUUUUCCCCACACAAAGCUUGCAGAAGUUAAGGGUUAGCAAAAUGGGGUUAAAGUUACUGGUGAAUACCACAUUUUUCCAGGUGGCAGAACUGAAUUUGAGCUCUUCAUUACAUUGACUUCAUUCUGAAGGUGAGCAUUUUUCAUUUAUCAUUUUAUGUCUGUUGUUAGCUUCAAUUAAUACGUGGCUUAUUCUUUUCUUUGUAUGAACCAUGGGCGGUCCAUUUCAUUUUAUAAGCUAUUUCUUGGGUUUUAGCAAGACAAAUAAUAAGAUUUGUGCUGUUUUUGUUUUAUGCGUCUAUAUAAAUUGUGUGUGCGCAUAUCAUACUAGGGGAGUAUUGCUUUAAUGCUAUAUACAGUCAAGGACACACGGUGGGUCACAUUCUGACUCGUUUCAAUGCUUAUUUUAUAAAUAUUUACUUGUAUAUAUUUUGUAGUACUUUUAGAGAUGUAUUCUGCACUGGAUUUUUUAAGUGCUUUUAAUGUAGACUACUGUCUUUGUCUUUAUCUCUCUUUCUGUGAAACUGAAAGGUUCAUAGAAUUUUUUAGAAACCAGUAAUCUUACAAAAAAUUUUAACCUGUUAAUUAAUGCGGUUUCAUUAUCUUGAAAAAUUUUCAAGCGUGCUUGCUUUUUUCUUUUUCUUUCUUCUGAAAUAAUUGUUGAUAUUCCCCUUCUCUUCUAUCAAGUUUCUGAUUCUCUAAAGCCCACAUUAUUUUUGUCUUUCUUUAUACAGGCCUUUAUCAUUUAUUGGCCAGCACCCUUUCCUCGGUUCUAUAUAAGAAUGUAAUUUCGUCCGAAUCUGCCAAAAACCGUGUGCUAUUGUCAACAACAAAUCAGAAUUCCAUCUCCACCUCCUGACAAACCAUGCGUCACCACCUGCUUAGGAAUCCAAAGCCUUUGCUGGUGUUGAUAGUAUGUUCUCUCUCUAUCUCUGUUUUUCCUCGGUUGAGAAUUUAAAACAACAUCAUACUCAUCAUAUACUCUGUUUGGAUUCCUUGAAAUAAUAUUUUUUUAAUUUUUAUUGUUAUUUUGAAUUGUUUCUACAUAUUUUGAAUCAGAGUUGUUUGAGUAAAAUUUAAAUAUCAAUAUUACUGAUACGUGUCUAAUCUGAACUUCUUACCUUAAUAGCUUACUCACCUGUGCUUUUUUUUCUCCCCCCUUUUAAGAAUUCAAAAGCUAUAUUAUGGAUUUUGUUUUUGUUGUUUAUUGUCAUGAAGUAGGAGUGGGCAGAAAAUUGAAGAACCGUAUCAGAUUCGGUUCGAUAUUUGAUUCGGUUGUGCAAUAACCUAAAUUGGACGGUUUCAUUUCGGUUGGGAUGAAUGAAAACCGAAACCGAACCAAUAAUAAAAUUAACAAGCAAACCAAAUGAAAGUCCCAAAACAGUAACAAAACAAACACAGGUUUCUUAUCAAAUUUCACAGCACGACAUGGUCGCUCUAUUUGGUAAAAAAAUAGAAAAAAGAAUAAUGGGUCUCGAAAAUUUUUUAGAGUAUUUCUGUCGCUUACAUUUUUUUCCAUCGAUUAAUGUUAGUUGUAGGUGAAUGAUUGUUGCAAAUCCAUGUUAGCUUGUGAUUGAUUGAAAAUGGCUUGUGAUUUGUUAUGCUGCCAUGUGACAGAUUGAAAAUGGCUCUGAAAUUUUUUUAUUUGUUUAAGGUAUUACUGCUGAUUAUUGAACAGAGAUUCAUGCUAGUUUUUGUUAAAUUGAAGAUGAGAUUUUUUUUAGGAGAUCUGCAAAACCUUCUCUACUAUAGAUUUGGCUUCUAGCAUACCUGGUUGGCUGGAAAUAAUUGUUUAUACAGUCAUUGCUGCCUAUAUUAAUCAGGAAUAUUGAUUAGCAAUGUACUGGGUUAGAGAUUGGUAUAAUUUUGGAAAAUUAGUUGUAGAUGCAACCUGAUUAUGGUCUCAAAUAGUGUGAUCUGUCAAUUUUGUUUGCUCUGGCCUAAUAACCUUGAAUAUGAGCUAUGCCACUAUACAAAGUCUUGACCUAAUCACACUUGUUAGCCAAUGUCCAAAAUUGCAGUGUCUUUAGAUAAGUCCUUUCUUAUUUGUUUCGGUUAUAAAUGAAAAUUGCAGUGUCUUUGGAAAAUCAUGCUGAAUGUUGAAGUUAUGGACGAGAGGAGACCCCCAGAUUCAAGGCCGGAGCUCCCUGUUAAGAAGCUUUACAAAUAUAGGAUUGUCGCCUGGCAGAGGAUUGCUAUGCCUGGUUUUGUUUGGAAUAUGGAUGAAGAUUUUGCAUUGAGGCUUUUUUGAUAGAUCAUUUGGCAAAUCAAGCUCCAUGUAUCUAUCUUCAGACUCUUGGAUAUUUAUAAAGCAGGUGCAUGCUCCAUAUGUUACUCAAUGUAUCACGAUUAUUUUUCUAUUGCUUAAUAUAUUUGCAGUCCUUGAUGAAGUUGACAACUUAUGGAGGGUAUACAGAGGCUCAAGAGCUCAAUCGCCAUUCAUUUUANNNNNNNNNNNNNNNNNNNNNNNNNNNNNNNNNNNNNNNNNNNNNNNNNNNNNNNNNNNNNNNNNNNNNNNNNNNNNNNNNNNNNNNNNNNNNNNNNNNNGGAUUUUGUUUUUGUUGUUUAUUGUCAUGAAGUAGGAGUGGGCAGAAAAUUGAAGAACCGUAUCAGAUUCGGUUCGAUAUUUGAUUCGGUUGUGCAAUAACCUAAAUUGGACGGUUUCAUUUCGGUUGGGAUGAAUGAAAACCGAAACCGAACCAAUAAUAAAAUUAACAAGCAAACCAAAUGAAAGUCCCAAAACAGUAACAAAACAAACACAGGUUUCUUAUCAAAUUUCACAGCACGACAUGGUCGCUCUAUUUGGUAAAAAAAUAGAAAAAAGAAUAAUGGGUCUCGAAAAUUUUUUAGAGUAUUUCUGUCGCUUACAUUUUUUUCCAUCGAUUAAUGUUAGUUGUAGGUGAAUGAUUGUUGCAAAUCCAUGUUAGCUUGUGAUUGAUUGAAAAUGGCUUGUGAUUUGUUAUGCUGCCAUGUGACAGAUUGAAAAUGGCUCUGAAAUUUUUUUAUUUGUUUAAGGUAUUACUGCUGAUUAUUGAACAGAGAUUCAUGCUAGUUUUUGUUAAAUUGAAGAUGAGAUUUUUUUUAGGAGAUCUGCAAAACCUUCUCUACUAUAGAUUUGGCUUCUAGCAUACCUGGUUGGCUGGAAAUAAUUGUUUAUACAGUCAUUGCUGCCUAUAUUAAUCAGGAAUAUUGAUUAGCAAUGUACUGGGUUAGAGAUUGGUAUAAUUUUGGAAAAUUAGUUGUAGAUGCAACCUGAUUAUGGUCUCAAAUAGUGUGAUCUGUCAAUUUUGUUUGCUCUGGCCUAAUAACCUUGAAUAUGAGCUAUGCCACUAUACAAAGUCUUGACCUAAUCACACUUGUUAGCCAAUGUCCAAAAUUGCAGUGUCUUUAGAUAAGUCCUUUCUUAUUUGUUUGAGUUAUAAAUGAAAAUUGCAGUGUCUUUGGGAAAUCAUGCUGAAUGUUGAAAUUAUGGGCGAGGGGAGACCCCCAGAAUUCAAGCCGGGAGCUCCCCGGUAAGGAAGCUUUCCAAAUAUAGGAUUGUCGCCUGGCAGAGGGUUGCUAUGCCUGGUUUUGUUUGGGAAUAUGGAUGAAGAUUUUGCAUUGAGGCUUUUUGGAUAGAUCAUUGGGCAAAUCAAGCUCCAUGUAUCUAUCUUCAGACUCUUGGAUAUUUAUAAAGCAGGUGCAUGCUCCAUAUGUUACUCAAUGUAUCACGAUUAUUUUUCUAUUGCUUAAUAUAUUUGCAGUCCUUGAUGAAGUUGACAACUUAUGGAGGGUAUACAGAGGCUCAAGAGCUCAAUCGCCAUUCAUUUUACACUUGGCUGGGCUAUAGCAUACCAACUAGUGAUUAAUAAAGAGAGGGUAUGAAGGUCCUGUUGCUGGUGGUAUUAUCAAUCAGAAUUGUUAUUUUACUUGGUCAUACUUACCAUGUAUACUAUUCGUAGGCUUUUUUCAUUUUCAUGCAUUCGCAUCAUCUUCUUGUUAAGCUACAGAUGGUUGAUUUGUGUACUCAUUUGUAUCACUUGUAGCUCUUGAGGAAUAAAAUUUAAAAUUAUGUUGCAUCUCUUGUACUAAAUAGUAAUUUUGUUGGCUUUAUGUAUGGGAAAUGGUUUGUUGUCUUAUUUCUUUGAUGUGUAUGGUGUUACACUGUCUAAAGUUCAGAAGUAUUUCUAUCACUUGUGUAAAAAACAACCUACUUUUUUCGUUCUUCUUAUAUUGAAUAAAAGAGGGACACCAAGAUUGAACGAAAUUUGAUUCAGACAGCAUAGCAAUUAGGCCAGCGCAAAACAGCUUCCUUCUGAUUCUUUGAUAUUUGACUUAAAUCUUUUGUUUGUUUCAUUUAUCAAAGUCAUUUUGGAAAGUAACGGGGGUGAUUUGAUAUUUUCAUUGCAUUCACAUCCCUUGGCACCAAAACAAACAUGCUGGUACUAACCAACAAUUUUUUAUUUUCAGUAUACAAAUUUUUUUUUUUCUAAAUUAAGGGUAUUAAGAAAAGGUAUACUAGCACCAGAGGAGGUAUUUGAGAAUACACAAAUAUAAUCUAUCAAAUUGAGAAUACGCCAAAUCUCCGGAGAGGUUUUUGAUAAAUCCUUUUUUUUCUUUUUCCUCCAUUCACUAUAGGUUCAAUUUAGGGUGGUUGUUAAGUUAUAUCAUUGUGUAACAUAGAUCAAUUCAACAGUUGUUACCAGUAACACAAAAGUAUAACGAACAAAAACUAAUUGUGUUACUGGUAGUAACUAUUAAAUUGAUGUAUGUUACAUAAUUAUGUAACUUAACAAGGUCUUCAAUUUAGACACGGUUGACCAAACUGAAGGUUUAGGUUGGUAAACGCACUAGUGUUAAUGUCAACAACCCAAGGGGCUUCAUGGUCCUCUAGGCCGAAAUAGCGUAAUUAUUAAUUCUCCUCCACUGAAAGUCUUUAUCAUCUUGGGACAAAUAAUUACAAAUUGACAUUAUAGCUGUGGAAAUUUGGAGGUGUAACAACCGGAAAAAUAAAAAUCUUAAGAGACUUUAAAUAAAAAAGAUAACACCUUCAAUUUGCUAAAAGUAAUGGUAUCAUUUCUUGUAUGGAUAAUGGAUGAUUAUAUUUUGUUUUUGGUUAUCUGACGAAGGAUAUUAAGUUGUUCUUUAUGUGUUCAUAGGCAAGAGCAUGAGCAUAUGCAUGAUUUGACAUAUGGUUCUUGCAUUUUCUAAUUAAGUGCUCUUUUUCCUUGCCUUCUUAGUUUGAAAGAAAGAUGUGAAGCAAAGCAAACCCAGUGAAAUGUACAGAGAAACAGAACCAUCAGAGGAAAAACUAAAUAACAGAACUACAAUUGAACCAAACAAAAUCAAAUAAACGGACGCAACAGAUGCCCUGAACCUAGUAAUUACUCAAGAGUUGAGGAGUUGGAAUGAUUUGGUAUUCAUAUCUUCACAAAUCAUAUGCUUUAAUGCAGAAUCGACAGCUUUAUAUUAUUUUAUUCAAAAAACGAUAAAGCAGGAAAACCACAAUAAUCCACCAACUUUUGAUACUUGUAGGAAUUUUUUUUAGUCAAAUUAAGUUUCAUGAUAACACAAGUGGCUCGUCCACACACUUGCACUUGCUUGAAUAUUUGUGCCGACAUUUUCGUAUGUGAUGGUACUUCUUAGCCAGUAGAUAUGUUGAAAUACUACAAAACAGAGUAUUUGAUGAAGUUUUGCUACUUUCGUAUCCCCUUUUUUUGUUGCAUAACUAAAUUCUUUAUAAACACAAAUUAGAAAGAUACAAAUAAUACAGUAGCUUGAAUUUAUAUGCUUUUAUGAUUAUUUGAUAAUCUAGUGCUGAUCAUAUGUGAUGAUAAACUUAGCUAGUAGUUUUAUAUUUGUUUUCGCAGUUUCCUUAGCGUUCACAUUUUGAUGAGUAAAUUAAGGAUUUCCAGAUGAAGUACAUAAUUAGAUGAAUGCAAAGGAACUGAAGUUUGAUUAAUUGAAAACAAAAAUAAUAAUGCAGGUAAUUGCGAAAAUGAGCAAUGCAGAAGUAGUCCCUAUAGUAUUUCUAAAUUUUCUCUUGGGGUUCCUUAGUAUUCCUUAAUAUUUUUAAAAAAUGACAUGACGAUCUUUGAGUUGACGAAUCUUGGCCUGCUGCUUAGUACCCUUCCAACAUAUAAAGUACUAGAUGUUUUACUGAGAAAAUGACGAGAUCAUUUACCAAAUUUCUUGCCCAUAUAUACGUAUGUAUACGAGAAAUGAGAAUCAGUGAUUAUAAGACCUUGCAAUGAGACAAUAAUACAUCAUCAAAUCUAAAAAUACACAAGAAAUUCGGGACAUAUAUAUAACAAAAGACCUCUCAUUGAGUCAUACAUAUUGAGAAUAAAAUGUCAAAAUGCAUACAAAGAGCUUAUACAAAAAAUGAAUUUACACAUAUUUAGAAUAAACUGUCUUUGAACUUUCGAUGGUCAAACAAAGGAAACAGACAGGAUAUAAUACACGCCGUCAUAGAUGUAGCGACACGGUGAAGUAAAUCACAUGAAGAUGGAAACGGAAACCCUUCACAACAUAAAAUUUGAAUAGAGGGGGAAAAAAGGCUUCAUUUCGAAUGUUGCACAAAACUAGAAUAACAGACAAAAUAUUGUGCUUCUAUACUUGUCACAAAACUAGACCAAAUUAGUUUCCUUUUUGGUUUGUGAAAACUUGAUAUUUUUGAAAAUUCUAUCCAAUGCUUUCAAACAAUAUUUCCAUAAUAUAGUUGUUCAUAGCUAACCUUUGAUGGUUUAAGCAUUUGUUGUAGGCAUGACGGGCUAAUUAGAUUAUUAUUUUUUUUAUCCGAUGAAUGAUAUUCAGCUGUUCUUAAUUAUGUGUUAAUAGGCAAGAGCAUUUUCUUAAGCACUUUCGUUGCCUUCCAAGUUUCCAAAGAACAAACAGAGCACAAACAAAUUUAACGGAACAGUAACGAUGACAAUAAAUAAUUGGCAAGGAAAGAAAGAAAAAAGUUUGCAUGAUUUCAAGGAAUUAUAAAAUCUGAACACUUUCAACAUGCAAGUGUUGCCCCUCUUAAUGAAAUUUCAUCAUAAAAUGCUUGCAAGGAAUUAUAAAAUUUUAGAGAACAAGCGAAUUAAAUUAAAUUAGACCAAAAGACGCUCAAUGACGCAAAAUCUGCCCAUAAAAGCCUGAACGAAUCAUGAAAAGUGCAUUCCAUAUUGACAGUAAACCAAGUGACCCAUUCUAAACAAUUGAGAUGAAAUUGUGAAACAACCCACGAGAUCAAAUAAAUAAAAUAAGAAUUAAUUACCAGCUGGGACUUUCUUCUUCAAAUUCGUAACUCCAAGUCAUAAGAAGCCUAUGAAAUUAGUCGUAAUCCACAGAGUAUGACGACGACCCCGCCAACAGCUGAAAAUAAAAUUCUUAUUCAUCAAUUUAAACUAACUUUAUAACAAAUAUCUUAUCGAUAUUUUAUUUAAAAAGAAAAAGAAAAUUUUGUAAAAAUUUAUCAUGGGAGAUAGAGAGUAAUAUGUACAUACGUACCUUCUCAGCAUGUAAUUGUUGUAUGGUCGUGUUAAGAUCAUUACCAGCCCAACGCCGUUGAUUCGAUGUCUCUCCAUACCAGACGUUUACUCUUGGAGGCGUGAUUGAUUCUCCUGUAGUGAAAAAAUUCAUCUUGGGACAACCAAUCACACACAACUCUUGCAAAGAUGGGAAUUCAAAGGUGUAAUUGGCAGAGCAGAAACUUGUGAGGCUGUCUAAAUCGCGCAGUUCCAACCUCUUCAAUUUGCGGAAAACAAUCUCUUCUUUUUCAACCCCGUCUUUGUCAUUUAUUACCACCUCUGUCAUUGCUCUGCAUCCAUAUAUACUCACUUUGACGAGUCGCACUAGAGUUUUUGCUGUGGAGGAUGUUACCAAGUGCAUCAAUCCCUUGCAACCGAAAGCUAAAAGUUUUGUUAGGUUCCGAAAAGAUACCGAUGAUGAUGGCAAUAGAAUUAACAGACUUUGACAAUGAUGUACUCCUAGAAUUUCAAGAUACUGAAAAAUGGGGCCAAGUUUGGAGUCUUGUUUGCACAGCUGCUUCAGAUGAUAGUGCCAGCGCAGCUCUAAUGCUUUUAUCAUUGCCAACUUCCCCACAUGUUUCUCUAAGCAUCCUUCCAUCGAAAAUAGCUCUUCGUGGGAUGAAAAAUUAAACAGAGUGAGUAUUUCGAUAUUGUGAAAUCUCUCCAGUACGUUCCAGAUUGGAAAACAAGCUGAGUCAUCUCCAAUAAUCUCUAGUUGUUUAAGACUGCCAAAAAGGUGUUGUGGGAAAUCGGCCUGCAAAAUCAUCUUCACAUCUUUUCCACUUAGUGAUAGUUUCUUCAAGUUGGGUACGAUCUGAUCAUCAUCAAUCAUAAUAACUAAUGAGGUCAAUGAUGAGCUUUUUUUCAUUUUUUAAAACAAAAAUAUAAAAGGUUUUUUAAAAUUUUUAAAAAAUAAUUUUUUAAGAANNNNNNNNNNNNNNNNNNNNNNNNNNNNNNNNNNNNNNNNNNNNNNNNNNNNNNNNNNNNNNNNNNNNNNNNNNNNNNNNNNNNNNNNNNNNNNNNNNNNGUUCAGCUGGCUGACCUAAUUUUUUGUUUCUAGGUAACAGGCUUUAUAUAUCUGUAAUUGAUAGCCAAGUGAAGUUCUCAGCUGUGGUGAGGAUAUUUCUUUACAGAAGGUAUUGCAAACUGUUUUUUAGAUUAAUUAUUAUUGUAUAUAUACUUUAAUUUUCACAUCUUUUUCUCUGAUUCUUGUGGCUUUGCUUGCUUCCAUAUAUAUAAAACCAUAAAAUUGUAUAAUAAUUUUUUUUAUUAUAUUGCGAAACUGCGCACACAUGAAAAUAUCUUGUUUAGUAGUAGAAAUGAAGAAUUAAAGUGAUUUAUUUAACUAAUUUUUCUAGUGCAAUAAAAGGAGAUAGUCAUGGACCAGAGUUGGGUUGGUUUGCCAAAUAGAUAUCCAAUUCAUAUACUGAUGGGGGUCAAAAAAUUUAUAGAUUUUGCAUUUGAGAAUGUUGUUGGUGAUAAAAGAAUUUAUUGUCCUUCUAAGAGGUGUUGUAAUAUCGAUAUUUCAUUAUAAGGAAAGUGGCAAGAGACCAUAUCAUUAUAAAUGGCUAUUGGUUAAAGUAUUAAAACUGGAUAUUGGAGGGUGAGCCAUCUUCAUCUUUGAAAUCUAACUAAGAAACAGGUUAGUCAUGACUCGGGUAGUGAUGCUAGUAUGGUUGGAAUGGUGCAUAAUGCAUCACGUAAUCAAAUGUUCAAGUCACACGCAGCAUUGUUAUGGACUAUCUCCGACUUUCUAGCAUAUGCCAACUUGUUUGGGUGGAGUAUUAAAGGUAAAUAAGCAUUUCUUGUUUGCCAACAAAACACUAGAUCUAAUUGGUUGAUACAUAGUAGAAAAUUGUCACGUGGGUCACCGUCGAUUUUUACCAACAAAUCAUAGGUUCCGAAAAUAUAGUGCCAUCUGAUAAAACUAGAGAGUGGGGACAAGCACCUUCUCGGUUGUCUGGAGCUGAGGUGAAAAAGCAGUUCAGUAAUGUACUUACUGAGUAUAAGAUUGAAGACUUGAAAAGAGGAGAAUGAAUAAAAUAAAAGAAAUGAUAAGAUUACUUGGAAGAAGAAAAGCAUUUUUUAUGAACUAACGUAUUGGGAGUUCAAUUUGAUUCAUCAUAAUCUUGAUGUCAUGCACCGUUUUGAUUUUUGUUAUGAACUCAGAUCAAAAGUUUAAUGUGAUCAAAAUUUCUUAAAAAUAGUGAAAACGACUCCUCCUAAUAAUAUGGAAGAUGGCUAUAAAAGAUAAUUUCUUAAAAGUUUAAUGUGAUCAAAAUUGCUUGUGAACGCAAGGGUUUUAGUCACACUGUCAACGCUGUCAAUGUAGUGAUACAAUGAAGAUGAAGUAAAGCAUUAGUAGAAUAAUGAAGUUGACCAGUAACACAGUAAAGCAAAUUUUAUUCCAGAGCAUGAAAACUUUUAAACAGUAACACAGCUCUUAUUCCAUAGGCUGCACACGAGUGACCUGAAUCUUCUUCAGAACUUUCAAAUUUUAUCAAGCAAAGCUUUCAAAAUCCUUGCCUUCCUAAGUUAGGAAAGAUAGAUGUGGAGCAACCCAAAUGAAAUAAAUGGGUAAACAGAACAAGCAGGGCAAAAAUUAAAAAUGAUGGCAAUUAACAAAUUAAUAGCAAUGUUACAUUUGACUCUUUAGCCAUUUGUUCCUUCUCUUAGCAUUCUUCAAAGGUUUUGAAAAUUGGAUGUGAAGCAAACAAAAUAAAAUAAAUUUAGACAACACAUACCCUGUAUUCAGCAUCAUAUAUAUGUCGAAUAUCUAAUAUAAUAAAUUUCACAUCCAAAAUACUAGAAUUUCAAACAGUACUAGUAGUAAAAAAAUGACGACAACAACAAAAAUAGAAAAUUACAAGACUGCUGAUAAAAUUUCAUUUGCGUGCAUGUCUGACAAAAUUUCCGUGGUUUAAUGUGCGUUCAUGCAGGCAAGUCCUAACGUUUCUGUGAUCACAAAAUGAAACUGAAGAUAAACCUUUCAAGCUUGACGAAGCCAUGAGAAUUCAUAGCUCAGGCUCUGAUACCAAGUUAAAGUUUCUAAUCUGUUUGAUAAGUAAGAAAAUGAGAGAAAAUGAAAGAAAGAACAGAGAUCAUCUAAGAGCUGGAUUUGAUGAAUAAAUCUGAAUCAUCCAUUCUUUAGCUGAUUACAAAUGUAUUUAUACAAGGUUUCUAAGCACCUGAGAGUUGAAUAACUUAUGCCAGCUCAGCUAACACGUCAGUAACUCUACCUAUCUUGCUUAACAAACUGAAACAAUAACUAACCAUUUUAACUAUCUUAACAAUCCCAAUAAUUUCUCCGUUUGUGUGUUUUUUUGAUUCAUAAUCAAAUGGGUAAAUGUUGCAACUAUUUUUUUUANNNNNNNNNNNNNNNNNNNNNNNNNNNNNNNNNNNNNNNNNNNNNNNNNNNNNNNNNNNNNNNNNNNNNNNNNNNNNNNNNNNNNNNNNNNNNNNNNNNNNNNNNNNNNNNNNACUAACUUGAAUUUAUAUGCUUUUAGGAUUAUUUGAUAAUCAAAUGGGUAAAUGACAGGAAGAACUUUGAGUUUAAAAAUCUGGGCCUGAUGCCUGGUAGCCCUCCAACCUAUGAAGCACUAGAUGUUUUAAUGAGAAAACGACAAGACCAUUUAUCAAAUUUCUUGUGGAUAUAAAUACAUACACAUAGACGAGACCAACCUCCUCAAAUGAGAAUCAGAGUGAUUACAAGACCUUGCAAUGAGACAAUAAUACACCAUCAAAUCUCAAAAUACAAUAGAAAUUCAUGACAUAUAUAUAAUAAAAGACCACUCAUUGAGUCAUAUAUAUUGAGAAUAAAAUUUUUUUAAUACAUACAAAGAGCUUAGCUAGAAUGAAAUGUCUUUGGACUUGCGAUGAUCAAACAAAGGAAACAGACAGGUUGCAACUCACACUAUCACAGAUGUAGCGACACGAUGCAGUGAAUCACAAGAAGAUCACGAAGAUGGAAACGGGAACCCCUCAUAAUGUAAACUUUGAAUAGAGGAAAAAAGAAAAACGACCUUAUUCACAGAAGAAGAGUGACUUAAAUCUUCAUCAGUAUCCAGACAUUCUGCAAUCAUAGAGUAGAGAAAUUUUAACAGGAACAACAGAGAAAAUAUUAUGAAUAUGCUACACCAAAUUAUCCCUUUUUUGGUUUGUGAAAACUUGAUUUUUUAUGAAAUAUUUUCAAUCAAUAUUUCCACAAUAUACUUGUUCAUAGCUAACAUUUGAUGGUUUAAGGAUUUGUUAUAGGAACAAUGCACUGAUUACGUUUUUUUUUUAAUUUUUUUAAUCCGAUUAAUGAUAUUCAGCUGUUCUUUAAUUAUGUGUUCAUAGGGAAGAACAUUUUCUAAGUACUUUCCUUGCCUUCUAACUUUCCAAGGAAAGAUAGGUGUGAAGAAAAGCAAACCCAAUGAACAAACAGAGCACAAACUAAAAUAAAAGAACAGCAAUGAUGAGAAUAAAUAAUUGGCAAAGAAAGAAUGGAAAAAGUAUGCACGUUUUCAAGGAAUUAUAAAAUACGAAGGCUUUUAAUGAAAUUUUAUCAUAAAACUUAUGCAAGGAGUUCUAAAAUUUUAGAAGACGAGGGGAGCUCGCAAAAAAAAAGAAAAAGACUCAAAUUAAACUAGACUAAAAAGACAUUCAAUUAUGCAAAAUCUGUCCAUAAAAGUCUGAAAGGAUCAUUAAAAUUGCACUGCAAAUUUAACAGUAAACCGAGGGACCCAUUCUAAAUAAUUCAGAUGAAAUUGCGAAACAAGCUAUGGGAUUAAAUAAAUGAAAUAAAAUUAAUUACCAGUUGAGACUUUCUUCUAAAAAUCGCAACUCCAAGUCAUAAGAAGCUAUGAAAUUAGUCGUACUGCAUAGAGUAUAUCGACGGCACCGCCAACAGCUGAAAAUAAAAUUCUUAUUCAUCAAUUU
rnacentral:lncRNA from 1 species